rnacentral:lncRNA from 1 species
UUUCUCUCUCUCUUUCGGAUCGGGGACUAGCUUUCUCGAUUGUAGCCAGUCUAGCCGCCGGGGAGAGGUCGCCAUCGGUUACGGCGGUGGAGGAUUGUCCAGUGAGGCGUUGAACGACGGACAUGAAGUUAUUCUCCGCGACGUGGAUGACUUUGGGGGAGAUGUCGUAGAUUAUAAGGGGUUGAGGCCAUUGGGAAGGACCCGGUGGGAGAGGAGGCCGGCCCGGUUGGGGAACCGGCUGAGGAUGCGGUGGUGGCUUCUUGAUUUUACGAGACUCUUGACUGACGCGGAGUUGAGGUGGACGAGGACCUUGUAGCUGGAUCUCUUUCUUUCUGGGGGUAGUGGGGCUGCCGGCGGCGGAAUAUCCCGGCGGAUUCAUGACGGAUCUGGCGGGGAAUCGGAUCGGAGGACGUGAGGAUCCGGGGGAGGAGAAAUGGAAAAUUGGGUUAAUUUUGGGGGUUUUGUUUGUAAUAAUUGGAGGAGAGGAGAGGAGAGGAGAGAGUUGAGAAGCAAUGUGGUUGGGGGAAUUAAAUAAAUAACCCUUUUUUUAAUUUUCUUUCAUUAUUAUGAUUAUUAUUAUUUUUUGUAAUAUAGUUUUGUGACAAAAAUAUUAUUUGUUUGACUUUUUAUUUAUUGACUUCAUAAAAUGGAAGAUGGAAACCCUAAAUUUCUAAUAUAUAUAUAUAUAUUUGCAGUCCCUAAAUAUUAAAUUAAAAUAGAAAAAGUUUGGUUUAGAUUUUGAAAGAUGGAUUUGCAUUUCAAAAAUUUAGACUAAAGUCAAGCAGAUUUAAUAUAAUAUAUAAUUAGGUUUAUAAUAUGUUACUACUUGUUCAAAUGAAAGAAUGGGUUAAGGAUGUGAAUAUACUUUCUAAUUAAUUUGAAGAAAAAUAAUAAUAUAUUUAUCAUAUGAUCACCAUCUUUUUCAAUAGGAUGACAAGUAGGAAAUCUCUUGUUCAGAAUUUAACUCAAUUAAUUUUGUUUUUCGAACUAGGGAUAAAUUCUAAUUUUGUGGGGGAACAAGUUGGGGGUAAUUUUCUUAAUUUUUUAUGAUUGUUAUGUUAACCACAAGGGUGACUUUGAAAAACACUUGCAAUAAUUCAAAAUUGAUUAUUAUUGUAGUUCGUACUAUAAAAGAUUGUAUCCACAUGUGAAUUGAUUUGAGAUUUUCUAAUAGUGUUCAACACUAUUCUAUAAGGCAAAUCUAUAUAUUCUUAAUUAGGUUGGGUUUUCCUAAAGGUUGUGGGGGAGUAGGGUGUGAAUGCUAUACUAUUGUGUUGUUCAAUCAACUAGUUUAGUUAUUGAAGUAUUGUUUGAUAAGUGCCGUUGUAUAAGAAAUUUGCUUGUUGAGUAUAAUAUGAGUAUUUGAAUUUUAUAUACUGACAAUAUAAGUAAUAGUCUAUAUGAUUUAGAGUUUAUAGGAAUAAAGUUUAGUGUCUUAUUUUAUAGACAUUAUGGAUGCAACUCCCUUUUUGUAUUUAGUACAAAAUGAUCUUGAGAUGCUUGUGCAAAGACAUGUGUGCAAUGAGAUGAUAUAAAAUCAAACCAUGAAAUAGUCAUUUUUUCUUUAAUACACAUUUAACUAAUUAAACCUAACUACUUCAACUUUGAUAAUCUAGAUAAUUUUGGCCUUAAUCCUGAAUUAACUAUCAUAUUUAAUCAAAGACUAUAUUGAAUUUUGACUUAAUCGUAAGUAAAUUAUAAUUUUUAAUGAAGAUAUUAGAAAAAGAGAAAAUUUUGAAUUUUGGUAAAUGAGAGUCAAAAGUCAAAAUGUUGACUUUUGACCCUUGAAAGUUAAAAGUUGACUUCAAUCUUGAGUUAAUGGAAAAUUUAACACACUUAGUUGAGAAUUAUCCCAAAAAUGGUGAAUAAACUAUGUGUUUGGUGUGUUCUUCUUCAAACAGAAGAUCCACUUACUUAGUGCAUACUUAAGUUUUAAAUUCAUUUGCAAAUAAGAUCUAUAUUGUGAUCUAGCUAUAUAAUUACACAAUUUGAUUGGGUAAAAGGACGAUGAACUUGAGUGAAUUUUCUUAGAAAAUGAUUUAUGUUCGUAGCUCUUUCUCGCUUAAAAAAAACACACAAAACCCUACAACCAAACUCUAAGGCGAAAGAAUUGUAGCAAAGACUUAGAUGGUUGUCUUUAAUAUAUUCGUUCUUGUUUAAAACAUGUUUAAUCUUCUAAAUUCGUGUUAUUAAAACGAUAUAUAUCUGACCCAAUUGCUUUUCAUUACAUGAUAUUGUUCCACGCUAAAUUAAAAAGCUAGAGGUAAAAAUGUUAUUCCCCAACCAUUAACAAUAUGUACACAUCUAUGCAAAAAAAAAAAAAAGGCCAUAAUUAGGUCUUACAUGACAAAAUCUUAGGCAUGAGAAUUUGUCUUUUACCCAUAAUAUAGAGAAAAAUCUUCUUCUUCUACGAAGGUCGGAUUAAUAUACGUUAAAUUCAAUUUACCAUGACUAGUAUCCAUAUCUCGAUAGAAAAAUCACAUUUUUUUUCUUCAUUUAUCGACGACAAAACCUUGUCAUAGAAAAUUCGACAUUAACAAUUUAUCAUCAUAAAUAAUCGAUUAUUAUUAACUAGUACAAAAGUCAUUAUAUUAAAAAUUAAUUAGGGAUAUAGUUUUGUAAAAGUACCAUUACUCUUUCUUUGUUGUUCGAUUCAACGACUAAAAAGAAGCCACAUAUGAUAUAGUUGUGAUAGUUUUUAAGGGAUGCUACAUUUAUGGUAAAGGAUGAGAGUUUAUGGUGACACCAAAUAUGGACGAGAGACUUUGUGAAAAGACUAAUUAGGUUUAUGGCAUAGAUUCCUUUGUUGUUGAUAUCUCUCUGAAAAAAGGUUGAAAAGCAAUGUGUAGGCAUCUUAGAUAUUGGAUGAGGCCACCGAUACCCAAUAUUAGUAAGUGGAAAGACUCAUCUUCAUGUUUCAAGCAAUAUCAAGACCUUGCCAUUAAUAAUAGGUGAAAACACAUAUCAAAGUCUUUUUUUUUUUUUGAUAGAUUAUAAGUGCAUAAGAACAGUGCAAAUAAAGGUGAAGAUUGUAACCACACGACCAAGUAAUCAUUAGUUUAUUUCUUAUCCUAAAUUGGAGAAAAUAAUCCUUAUAAACGGAUGGUUAAAGUUUGUUUUGAAAAUAUCCAUAGAACUAUUGAAAAGUUUCGUAAAUAACCUUGACCUAAAAAAAAUUUAAAAAUACUUUCAUUAAUCCAAUUUUUAUAACAAAUUUCUUAGCACACAAAAUAAAAGCCAAAAUUUAAAGUUAAUUAAUCCAUAGUUUUGGAUUUUUUUCAUAUAUUUCUAUCUAUUUUCACACUCUAACGUGCUGAAUAUCUAUAGAAGGGUGAUUGAUAUUUUCAUUACAUUGUAGAAAAAUCCACGAAUCACAAAAAUGUAAAUAUCAAAAUGACACUAGUAUAAAUAAAAGACAUGUUUACUUAUUUGAAAAUACUAAAGUAUUUAUUUAGUAAUUUUAAUUUAUUUUUACAAUUUUUCAUAAAUUUUUUGUAUAAUUAACUCUUCGAUUUAUCCAUCAACAUCCUUAAUUUAGACCUUGGAGAAAACAUAAAAUUUUACAAAAUCUCUCUCUUUUUUAACAUCCUUUUAAGUACAACUUGAGGUAGGAGAAUUUGAAUCUGGGAACUUUUGUCUUUAAGAACGUACAUGUAAUACUCGAGUUUAGGAGAUUUGAAUGAAUUAAUAUCUUAUCUGAAUGAGAGGAAUUCUAAGAACAUGAAAGUAAAGUUAAAAAAACUUAAAAUAAUUAAAAGUUAAUACAUAAACCAACAAGCUAAAGUGCACAUUUCUUUUCGAUGACUUGAUCAUAGGAACUCCAAAGUUAAGCGUUCUUAGCUCGAAACAACUUUGUGUUGGGGGCGACUUUCACUCUAAUAAGCUUUUAAGACAAAUAAGGACGAUGUUGCUAAGUUGCAGGAAAAUGUGAUGUCGCAAAGGCGUAUAAUUUGGAUCAAUAAGAGUAUUUUUAUAUUUUUACACAAACUACAAAGAUCAAGGGCAUUUUUUUGUAAUUUAACCAAUAAUAAAUAGUAAGAUUGAUGGUUAAUCUUCAUAUUUGUAUAGUUUUCAAUAAAGGAUAGUGGUUAUAUAGUCUCUAAUAAAUAAUCCUUUUCUACUUUCUCUAAAAGGUAAACUUGUCUCGAGGACUUUACAACUUGCUCUCGAAUAUUGAUUUGUCUUGAGAGCUCUGUAGCUUGUUCUCAACAGUUUGAAGAGUGUUAUGCUUUUUGAACUCUCUCCAAAAACUUUCUCUAGAGUCUUAACUUCUCGUCUCAAUCUUCUUUGGAGUUUGUUCAGAGUUUUAAAAGAGUUACGCUUUUCAGGACUUCCAAGUUUUAGUCUUUUGUUCUUUAAGGAAAAGUUUGAGGAAAGUUGUAUUCUUCACAUCUGUAGAGCUUAAGAACUUUAGGAGUUUUAGUCUUCACAUAACUAUUAAAAGAUAAUUCAACACUGCGCCAACUUUCAAGUUUCUUACAUUAGAAAGUUGAUACAAAUUGUAUUCACGUGAAACAAUUAAUUAAAAUACUCCAUGAAGAAAAAAAUUAGAUUAUGAAGUUACAAAACUUAACCUAAUUUAGGAUGGAAAUGGAUGUAAUAAAAGGUAAAAAAAGUGAUGCUAAAUUAACAAAAAAGGGAAAAAAUUAGGGCAAAAAUUAUUGAGAAAGUAAGGAAGGGGGAGAGGUUUGUCAGUUUGUAGUUUGUUUAAUAACUUCCCUUUAGUUAAUUUGAGCAUCAAAUUCCGUGCGCGCCACAGAGGCGUAAAUUAGCACCAUCCAAUCACAAUCUUCCACGUCUGCACGACGUUGUGCGCACUCCCCCCCCCCCCCCCCCCCUCUCCUCCUCCUCGCCGUAGAAGCCAUUUCUGAAGAGAGAGAGAGAGCGGUAACAAUAUUCCGCCAUUUUCGUCUUCCUCCAAGCACCUUUCACAGCUUCACCAAUCGAUUCUCCUCCCUUGCAUUUCUAUCUCCUCUCCCAAUUCUCCCCUUUUCCAAAUCCCCUCUUCUUCCUCAUGACUCCAGCUUUCUCCUCUUCCUCUGCCGCCUCCCAGCGUCUUAUCCGCUGCAGCGCUUCUCCCCGUCGCACCCACGCCCCUCACCGACCUUCCUCGAUGUCUCCGCCACUCAGGAAGCUGAAGUCAAUGACGGAAAUAAUGGCUAAGGCUAAGCAUGUGGUUCUCGAACGGGAAGAUUAUGAUGAUGUCAGCUGUGAGGAAUGUGGCUCCGGUGACCGGGAUGAUGAGCUGCUAUUGUGUGAUAAAUGUGAUAAGGGAUUUCAUAUGAAAUGUGUUAGUCCGAUCGUUGUUAGGGUCCCGAUUGGAUCCUGGCUUUGCCCCAAAUGCUCUGGCCAAAGAAGAGUAAGAAGUAAGAAUAAUCUCCAAUUUGUUGGUUCUGUUCUUUUUUCCACCAUUUUCUGUGAAAUUGUUUUGGUGUGUAAUCUCUGAAAUGUCAAUGUGUUUGUCAAUUUCUUUUGUUUUGUUUCUAGGCUUUUCUCAGAAGAAGAUUAUCGAUUUUUUCAGAAUUCAGAAAUGUAAGGACGACGGAGAUGUUCUUUAUCUGUCUGCUCAAGGUAAAAUUCUUCAUUACAGUAUUCAAAAUUGAUAUCAUACUAUGUUUGUGUUAUAAUCUUGAUCAUGAUCGUGCUCCAUUUGGUAUUCAUUUUUAUAUUUUAUGCUAUUAUCCUUAGAAACUGCUUUUCAAUUUCAAGCAUUAAAACAAUAUAAUAGUUGAGCUACUGGAUUUUAUAAUAUGCUUUUUAUAGAUUUUGCUCAAAUCAUCAUUCUUGCUGUUUAUGUUUCCCAUCACACCCAAAUUUAAGUCUUUAGUUUAUUGUUAUAGGUAUGAUUCUUGAAGUGAAAUUCUAUUGAUAUCUUGAUGAAUUCGAAGGAGAUGAAAAGUAUAGCGACCAAUUCUUCCCUAUACUUCAUUAUAUAUAUCAAGGUGUAUUAGGCAUAAAAUUUCUUAGUGGACAUCAAUGAGCCUUUAAAUAUCAAGGAGUUCAUUUAGUUCUUGUGGUUACUUGAGCUCUAGUUGCUUAAUAAAGACAUACCGAAUGUGUAUGCUUCAUAAGGUGUGCUGUGAGAUCUAGCAUUCCAGAUAAGAUAUUACGGAGAUAUAUUGAUAAAUAAAAUGUUACGACAUAUUUGGUGUGUCAUCCUCGUGUUAUAAUCAUAUGUGUGACAACCGUACUUAGCUUGAUCAUGUAAUAACGUUCAUAGAAUUUAUGUUUAGUGGAGGCAUUGCAAUUUCAAGCAAAAUGUCAGAGAUUUGAAUCCCACUCUCCACAAUUUCGGGUAUUGUCGAAUUUGAAAAAAAAGUAAAAGAAUAAUCUUUCGGAAUGAUUUGAAGUUUUCUUUUUCCUUGAGACUAUUUGAGAGCAAGAAAUCCUCAAGAAGUUCUCUCUCGACGUGUUCUUGUGAAUUGAUCCUUUUAUGUUGGUAUUUUAUGAGAUUUCUAGAUUUGAGACCUAUUGGCAUCAUAACUUAGAUCUUCUAAGUUCUCUGCUUAAACUUUUCUACACCAUAGUUGUUCCUAAACCGAUCUUUACACGUUGGCCGGUUUUAUUUUACUAUUCCUUGAAUCUAAAAUUAUUCAUGGUUUCAUCAUUUUAAUAUUAUAUAAAUGGUCAUGAACUGAAGCUAUAAAGCGUAGGAGACGAUUACGGUCAUUGGUGUGGCAGAAGAAAAGGAGAAGAUUGCUACCAUUUCUUCCAAGUGAAGAUCCUGAUCGCAGAUUGAAACAGAUGGGUUCACUUGCUACAGCUUUAACAACAUUGCAAAUGGAGUUUAGUGAUGAUUUGACUUAUGGGCCGGGCAUGGCUUCGAGGUCUGCGAAUCAGGCAGAGUUUGAAGAUGGUGGAAUGCAGGUCUAAAAACUUAGAACCAUUUGGAAGCAUUUUCCAGUUGGAAUCUUUUUUGUUGUUAAUAGUGGAAUGGUCAUGGAUUAUGAUACUUGCCUUCUACUUUAGGUUCUUUCGAAAGAGGAUGCUGAGACCUUGGAACUCUGCAGAGCCAUGAACAGAAGAGGCGAAUGCCCUCCCCUUUUGGUUGUUUUUGAUUCAUGUGAAGGGUAAAUUUACCUUGAACUUGUUAACCAUAUUGCCAUUUGCUUCCAACCUCUAUAAUGAGUUGGUCCAUGCUCAAUUUAUGAUGUAGUUUCACAGUAGAAGCUGAUGAUCAAAUUAAGGAUAUGACGUUUAUCGCUGAAUAUACUGGUGAUGUGGACUAUCUUAAGAACCGUGAACACGAUGAUUGUGAUAGUAUGAUGACCCUUCUUUCAGUAAAAGAUCCAUCUAGAAGUCUUGUCAUAUGCCCUGACACGCGAGGGAACAUCGCUCGGUUUAUUAAUGGAAUAAAUAAUCAUUCUCCGUAAGUUCGCUGAGGCUAUCACAUUUUACAUGUUUAUAUAAUCAUUCAAUCAAUUCAACCUUUUCUAUGAAGAAAAAAACUGACUUAUGAACAUAUCCAAGCAGCUGUGUGUACCUCAAGGCCACACAUUGAUUACUAGUCAUUUAGAAUAACUAUUUUCUUAGAAUUUCAUCGUAUGUUUAGUUUUGUUUCCUCUUUUACUUCACCUAAUAUUUGUGAGAUUCAAAUUCAUGAUGCUCAAAACAUAUACUUCAUUUUUGUGCAGAGAAGGUAAGAAGAAACAGAACUGUAAAUGUGUGAGAUACAAUGUAAACGGCGAAUGCCGGGUCAUUUUGGUUGCUAUUCGGGAUAUUGCUAAAGGGGAGAGGCUUUAUUAUGACUACAAUGGAUAUGAGUAUGAGUACCCUACCCAUCAUUUCGUUUGAUAAUUUCUUAGAUUACUUCUAACAAAUUUGGGAUUUGAUUUGUCCCAUACAAUUUUUUUCCAUUCUUUCUGCUGAAUCUUGUUACAAAGUCAACAGUUUUUGCUGAUUCCAUCAGAGUAAUUCUUAUAGCAUUUCCUUGGCCGAGCUCAGCCGAGGCCACGAUCGAUGCCGGGAGGAGGAGGGUGGGGUAGAAAUGCAGAUUUUUUCCCGAGUUUUGGUAGGUAGCGUAGGACAAAACUCCGGUUCUAGAAGUUCGUCUAUUAGGUAUAUGUAUUGUAAUACAGUUCUGAGAUCAAUUGUUUUCAAUUUUAAAGCAAAAGUUAUACUUAUUCCCUUCCUACUCCUCUCUCAUUAAGUUUCUUUCAUCCAUUUCAUUGAUGUUUUCUUACUAUUUCUUUACCAUUCAUACUCAUAAGUCAUUCCAUAGAAAUGGAAUAUUCUGUUCGUCUAAAAGUUGAAAGAAAGCCAAUAUAAACUGUCAAAACCAUUGGAAGUAAAAUAAAGGAAAAGUAAGAAAAGGAAUCACUCAGUGUUAGUGAAUUCCAUUGUAGAUGGAGAAUAUAAUGAUCAAAUAUGAAUCUCCCCUAUAAAUGCAUCAAAUGUUUUUAGCAAUAUUUAGAUUAGAUUGAGCAUUGCUCCAGUUAUUGCAUAUAUUUAUACUCUUUAACAUGAUUUAUAUGGAAUGAUCAAAUAUGAAUCUCUCCCAAUUAUGAAUUUCCAAGUUGGAACAAUCUAAACAUUGAGCUAAUCAUAUCAUGAAUUUCAAAAAAUUCUCUAGUUCUUGUGGAGGAUACAGUCUCAAAAGCCCAUGAAGUAAAAAAAAAAGAGAGUUCUAAAAAAUAGUAAUAACGAAUAAUUAACUAUCAUAACGAAGAUUUUACAUUAUAUUUUUUGUUCGACACAACGCAUAAAUUACUUCUCUAAUUGUCAUUUGAUUUAACUGCAUAUAUCAUGUAUUAAUUUAAUCGCUUAUAUCGUAUGCUUGAGUUUAGCGUUGGGAGAAGACAAGUUAACAUCAAAGAAGAGUGUUUAGAUGAAAGUGGUGAAAAGCGACUUAGUGUGAAGAAACAUUCAUUCGAAAUUGAAAGACCAAAGGGACUUGUAGUAGUAAAGGAAAAAGAAAACAAAGGAUCAGUUCCCCUUAUUUGAAGAAACCUCUCAUUCAAAAUGGGGGACCAAAGGUUUGUAGCUAACAAAAAAACCAACCCCAUUCUCUUUAUAUUGCAUUUUUAGUCCAAUUGUUAGUAACAAAGCUUUCUAAAUUUUCAAUCACCAAACACCAAAAGCCAAACGCAUUAUGACUAUUGACCAAUACAUUGCUCUAUUAAUUCAUUGGACUCGAGGGUUAGCCAACCAAUUCAACACUAAAUAAAUUAUGAGACUAGAAGAUUAAACCCUUCAACUUCAAGGGAUCGUAAAAAUUAAAUAAAAUAUUUCCAUGAACCUAAGCUCAACUCUAACCACUCCAACUUUUUAGUUGACUUAUUCUUUCAAGUAUAUAUUAAAGGAUACAAUACAAUAUUAGAGAGAGAGAGAGAGAAAAGGUGUCCAAACCUUAUCAUGUAAGUGUGUAAGUGGAGGCAGUUCCUGUGAGGGCCAAGAAACAAUAUUUUUAAUGACAAAGACGAGAACAAAACACAAAAUAUAUAUAUGGUAAAAUUAAAGGUGGUAUAGAUUUAUUUAGCACAUUGGAUCAGUAAAGCUUUAUUAUAACUUGGGUUGUUUUGUCUCUUCUUGGCUCGUUCUUUCUUUUUGACACAACCCUAUACCACUUGUCCCUUUCAAAUUAUUAGUGUCUUGUAAAUCAAACAAAAGAUAAGGAUAUAUAUAUACCUUCAUGAUUGAUCUGAUCUUUUCAUGUCAAAAAAAUGAGCUCAUCUUUAAUAUUUUUUUCUCUGGUUUCUAUAUAUUUACACCUGAUCUCUUCUUCCCACACCCACCGCCAUAGCCCAAAGACUUACUGAAAUUUAAAACCCCCACUCAUCUCUUUCCUUUAUUAAGAAGUGAAGGAAGAAAAAGAGAGAAAAUAUAUAUGGAAAGUUUAGAAGAGGAAAAAUUAGUUCAAAUGGUUGAUGAUUUUAUCGAAUCAGUUGAUGAUCAUCAUCAAUCACCAACUUCUUCUUCUUUUCGGCCUCUUUCAUCCAAUUCCAAAUCCCAUCAUUUUUUCACAUUAAAGGUAUGUGUGUGUGUAUGUAUGUAUGUACGUAUAUUCAACGACCACUUUUAAAUUAUAAAAGAAAAGAAUGAUUAAAUUGUUGGGUUUUGCAAUAUAAUUAUUAUUAUGUGUGUAGGAGAUUCUUGGGAAUGGAACGAAGGAAGAAGAAGAGGUGGGUGAGAGUGUGAUGAAACACUUGAGAAGAUGGAAAGCAUCAGAUGCUUCUUCCAAAACCAAUAGCCUUAGGAAAUGGCUUGUGAUGAAGCUCAAAAUGGACGGCUAUGAUUCUUCUCAUCUUUGUCAUACCUCUUGGGUCACUUCCAUGGGCUGCCCAGCAGGUGAACUAGUUUAUAUCAUUCUCUCUCUCUCUCUCACACACACACACCUCAGUAGCACUUCUAAUAACCUUAACCUUUUUUGAAAACAGAGAUUAAUUUAGUAGAUUUAGAAAUUAAGCCAUAAAAUAAAGUAGCAAGGUUUUUCGUAGGUAUGUGUGAUAUUUUGAUCACUAAUUUGUUUUACUUGAAUUAAUUUGAAUUUUGUAAUAGGGGAUUAUGAAUACAUAGAGAUGAGAACGAAGGAUGAUGAAUUAGGGAGCAGAAAGAGAUUGAUAAUAGACAUAGAAUUCAAAGCACAGUUUGAAGUAGCAAGAGCAACAGAAGAAUACAAACAACUCACAAAAGCACUUCCAACAGUGUUUGUAGGAAGUGAAGAGAAAGUGAAGAGAAUAAUAAGUGUUUUAUGUUCAGCAGCCAAGCAAUCCCUUCAGAAGAGUGGUCUUCACAUUCCACCUUGGAGAACUUCCACUUAUAUGCAUGCCAAAUGGCUUCUUCUUCACCUUGAUCACUCUACUAAUAAUCACUCUAAUUAUUAUAUCCCUACUAAUAUUAAUAUCAAUAUUAUGAGACAUAAUAAUAACAACAACAGUAACAAUAAAUAUUAUUAUUGGAAGCCUCCAAUGGUUAAUUAUUAACCAAUUUUCAAGGAGGUAUUCAUUUGGGGUUGUGGUGCUUCUUCUGCUUUGUCUACUCAGUUUUCUAAUAUCACUGUUAAUUGUUGUAAUUGAUUAUAUUAUUAAUUAUUAAUCUCUCUUUCUUUCUUUAAUUAUUCUUCAUUUGAAGUUUGUAACUUUUGUCUGUUUUGGCCAACCAUAGUUAGAGUAGAUUAUAUAAUUAUGAAUCUAUGAUAUCAUUUGUGUUUGUUUUGUCCAAUUAAAAAUUAAGCUAACUAAGAAUUUAAAAUUUUGAAGUUAGAACACAUAUAUAUUGCAUUUCAUUCUAUUCUUUAACUAUCAAAAUUUAGUCCAUACUUUUAAUAAGCUUGAAAUUGUUUCAAUAAAUAAUCUAAUGUUUCUUUGAACAUAAUAAUUUAAAAUUUCUAAGAUAUUCAUAUAUUAAUUACCUUUAAAAAUGAAAGCUACUUUACAAAUAGAAAAAUAAUUAUCCCAUAGAGAACCCAAAAGGAAAACAAAUUAAAUUUGCUCUUUAUCCUCAUUGCUUUCUCUAUUUUUCCUCUAAGGAUACCUCAUUUUGAGGUCAAUAUAAUUAAUCCUCACAAAAUAAAUAAAUAAAUAAAAAUUAGCUUGCAUUUUUUUUUUUUUUUUAGGAAAAGUCAAGCCAAAAUAUCACAAAAACAAAUUCUUUUUCUCACAAUAACACCAUUUUUCAAUGUGGGAAUUUAUUAGCAUGUAAUUUGUAAAUUUCUUUCCAAUUCUUAUGUCGUAAUUGCUAAUAGUAAUUUUUACUAUUAAAGUAUUUUUUUAUUUAAUUAAUAAAUAAAUAUUAAAAUGCUAUUUUGAUCCUUAUCUUAUACUUUAUAAAUUAUUCGAAAAAAAUAAUGCUAUUGUCUUUGUUAUAUAAAAUAGAGAAAUUUGAAAUAAUAAACUUCCAAGAAAAGCUUUUAUUUUUCAUUGGAGAGAGGGACAUAGAUAUAUAUAAAGUUUAAUUAUUGAUAGGUAGGAUAUGUCAUUUCGUGAAGAUGGUAAUACUAAAACAAGAGGCACUCUUUCAUACAAAACAAUUGGCCCAAAAAACAAUGGGAUGAAAGAGAGACAACAGAAGUUUACUUUCCUUCUUGCUCUCUCUAUUUCUAAGUGAUUAUAUUUAGUGGUUUAUAUUCAAUUUCAAUAAUCCUUAGUAAUUCCAUAUACACUUAACGUUAUCUACAGUUAUAUUGGGUUGAUCAUGGAGAUAAACAAUUUGUCAUAAAAACUCUUUUAACCAUAAAGCAUUAGAUUUAAUAUUGAUAAUUUUGUUACAACUUAAAGGAUUCAAGUCUAGCUUUAUACAGACUAGAGCAAGCUUGAAGAUAAAUGAAUAUAAGUGAGAAGAAAGAUUAGACAUAUAUUUGGAUAUAUCACACUCACAGGUGGAAUAUAAUCUCUUUAUUGAUUGAAGUUAUUUUUUUUCUCUUUCAAAUGUUCUCUGAUGUUUCACACCUACCAACCCAUCUGAUCACAAGAGCUUGGUUCCAUCUCUCUUAUGAGAAAACAAAUUUAUCUUUUUAGGAACCACUUAUGUAUGUGCCUCUAAUGCACAGCUAAAAUGAUUAGAAAGUUGGCCCAAACAAUCACCAAUCAAAUCAAGUGACGUGUAGUGCACUUCAUCUUCAUCUUGGGAGUAGUCCAUAUUCUCUAGGUGCCCUUAAAUUUAUGUUGCACAAUCUUGACUUUUUGACAAAGCUACAUACACCUCACACCAUGCAUAUUGAUCACUAACUUUCCCAUAUGUGCUAGAAAAGCUCAUUGUACCUAGUAACCUAUGAAUCUCACUUUACAGUUAAAUGCAACAACAUUCCUAUUUUAUCACCAAAUUACUACUAACUACAAAUGUGAAAUUUAAAUUAGUUAUUUGCCUCAAAACAUGGCAUGAGACCUUCAAACAUGUAUAAUUUAAGGCUUUCAAUUACCAUACAUAAAUUUCAAACUUGAUUCAAUUUGAAUAAAAAAUGAAUGUGAACAUAAUCAAAUCUUUAUCCCCUAUCAAAUUACACAAAACACUAUAUAUUAGCAUUUUAUUUUGAUUUUAAGCUAAAAUUUGGUGAAAUCUGACACAUAUUCACAUUCAAACUAUCUACGGUUUAUCUCAUAUUAAGAAAAAUUGUUACAUUCAUAUUCAAUCUCAACUCAAAUUUGAGUGAUAUUAAAAAUCAAAAUUUAUAUGUAGUUGAGAAUGAUUUUAACCCUUUUUUUUUUUUGUCAUGUGCAUUAUUGUUGAAAAUGUGAAAUUAAAAAAGAAAAAGAUUAAAAGAUGGUAUUGUAGGAGAGUAUGGGCAAUAACAACUACAAGUCAUCAAAACACAAAUGGAAUAUGAGCACUUCAUGUGGUGAUAAAGCCAUUUAUAUGUUAAUGUCAUUUUCUUUUGAUAGUGCUUUGUCUAAUGGGUCUACACAUUAAUUAUCAUCUCUUUUCCCCCCCACUCCCCAUUCUCAUCCAAUAUCAUCUUCUUGUUUAUUUAUAUUGACAAUAACCAUAUCAUGAAAAUAUAAAAUUGUUGAGUUGGGAGAUUUGCUUAAAGUUGUAUAUAUAUAGAACCAAUAGCAUGUAUUUGAUUUUCAAUUCAUUCUCAAUCAAAAUGUUAUAAGAAUAUGAUAGAUUUUGGUUAAUACUUAGAUUCUACUUGACUUGAUACACAAUUAUAUGCCUUCUUAAUUACAUAUCAAAAUAUGUUAAUACAAUAAUAAGUUAAUUAUGACAUGUCAACUUUUAAGUUGAGACAACUUAACAUAUUAUUGUGCUAUAAUAAAAUGAUGAAAUAAUAAAUAAAACUUAGCAACCCAUGCAUUGAAUAUUUUACACAAUAAAAAUAAAGUACCAAAUAGGGCUUCAAAUUAGAAACCUAAAACAUUGACAAUUAUUUAUGUAUCAAUUUUGGCCCCUCCACUUCAUAUAUAUAAUUCAAACACUUCAACAAAAAUAAGGGUUAGUUAUCCAAAUAAUCCAAAAUUCAAAAUUUCUAUACCAAAAUUUGACUUCUUUUGUAAAUCUUUUGUAAAUAAUAAUCUAUUCUAAACAAUCACAAAUAAAUCAUAUACAAAACAGCAGAGAGCAUUAGUCAAUGAAACUACAUAGCAAAUAUCAUAACAAAAUGAUAUUCAUGAUUCUAAAUGUAAAGAAAGGAAAUAACCUUUGUGAGAAAUGAUCAAUUGGAUAAAUUUUGAGUUAUUUUGGACAAGUUUACAAAAAAGAACACUGAUCCUUUUCAACUAUUUUACUUUCAAAAUCCAAACUUGAUCUUCCAUUUAUUUGUUUCGGUUUCUCUUCUUUUAGAAAAAUGGAGACUUUGAUUAAGUUUAUGCAUACUUGUUUUCAAUCAAAAUGGUUGAGGCAACCUCAUGAUGUGAAAAAAUACAUCCAAACUUGAAAAUAAGAAAGAAAUGAGAAGUGGAUUAUUUGGUAGGCUUUUUUGUAGACUGAUAAUUUUAUACUUCUUUCAUGUAGAGAAAUUUGUAAUUACAAAAGGAUUUGUAAAUCUAAUCUAAUUUUACAUCUUUACUUCUCUUGUUCAACAUUUUUUGUUCAUCAGAUGAUUCAGAUGAAGGAAUCCAUUCAUCUCCCUGAAUGAAAUUCUCAACAGAGUAACUAAAAACAUGUUGUGCCGGAAUCUGACUACUCCAACCCACUCUCUCCGACGUCUUCGACCCCGCACCCGAGUUCUCAAACUCUCCGUAGAACAGAGUCUUCAAAGCAAAAUCUCCACUCCACGGCAUCCACCCCGACGGGGACACAAGAGCCUCCAGAUUACAGUGUAUAAAAACCGUCCUCGAGUACUCCUUCCACGGCCUCCCCAAGAAGUUCUUAUGUACUUGAGGCUUGCUGUAGUACAAUGACAUAUACUCUUGAGUUCCAUUUAUGAGGCAGUUUUGGAAUACAAAACCAGUGGAUUGAGCAGGGUCGGUCCUCCCAUGUGCAGUUACGGCGUUGUUUUCGCCUUUCUCGGGCUUGAGUUGUCGAGGGCGGACUAGGAUCUCGCAAUCUUGGAAGAUGGAGGCUGAGUUUCCAAAGAUGAAAUCUACAUUGCCUUGAAUCUUACAAGAUUUGUAGAAUUGGCGAAGGGAAUGAGCAUAGAGAGUAUCUUGGUUGCCUAGAAACUCACAAUCUUGAAUCACAGAGAGAUCGCUGUCUGAUCUAAAGGCCACAGCUUGAUGGGCAUCAGGCCCUGCUGUGUUUUGAAUGGUGAGACCACUAGCCAUGAAUCCAUCACCAACUACUCCUGCACGUAUCAACAUUCAACUUUAUACUAAAUUGGCAACAUUUUUCACAAUCUUUUCUAUACGAUUCCAUAAAGAAUUAAGAACUAAACAACUCUAAAAUUGUAAUUAAGAAGAGAAGAAACUGACCAAGGGUGGCAGUGUUGUAAGUGGAAAGCCCAGGCUGGCCUACAUUCAAAGAGCCAGUGAUGACCGUUUUGCCCAUCCCAUCUCCUAAAAACACAACAUUCUUCUUCUCUAACGGAACCCUCACGAUUUCCUCAUAAACGCCUUCUUUAAUAUGAAUCACAAACCUACGCGCAGCCGCGUUCUCCGGCGCCGCAUCCACCGCUUUCUGAAUACUUCCAUAACAACCCCCACUACCAUCCUUACACACCGUCGCAUCUGCCGUCACCUUUGCCGGAAACCCACCGCUAAACCCCAACCCAGAUCCACCUCCGCCUUCCCAAAACCCAUCGCGCUCUGUCCUCGGUGGCGUCCACGCCGCCGUAUCAUUUCCGUAAAUAUCAUAAGCCACCAACAUACUAAGCGCAUUACUGGAGAGACCGAUUAAAGAAUCAAGAAACGCCAUGGUUUUAUCAACCAACUGAGUGUCGUUCGCGUAUUUAAGCGCUGACCAGCAAUCGUAAUGGUAAAGCAGAGACGCGCUGAGCCAGGCGCGGGCGUCUUUGGUUCGACCGUGGUGGAGAGCGUCAUUGGUGAGGGAGAUUCGGUAAUCGGAAUUUCGUAGGACCUCGAGGCAAUUCUUGGCGGCGGUGGUACGAUUGAGAUUCGUGGCAGAGGAAUCGAGGAUCUGUUUAACCAAGGAUUGGGCAGUGGUUAGACCGUCGGAGGAUAAAGCGAUGGCGGAUUGAAGGAUUUGGAGAGGGGAGGGAUUAGGGGGGAGAGAGGAGUGAGAGAGGGAAGAUCCGCAUUGAUCGGGGAAACGGGUGGAUUUGCAAGCGUGAAGGAUCUGGUCGGAGGGGUAGUUGGUGAAAUGGGAUGGGAGGUGGGGGUGGGGGUGGUGGUGGUGGUCGGCGGAGGAGGAAGAGAGAGAGAGGGAGGAGAAGAAGAAGAAAAGAGAGAGGAAAGAGAGAAAGGAGAGGGAAGCCAUGGAGAGGAAAAGGAGAGUGGAUUUGGAGAAUGGGAAAGUGGGUUUUCUGGGGAACACCAUGGAAAUGGAAAUGGAAAUGGGAAUAUUUAUAAUGGAGAAUGUGGAGAUGAUGAUAAUGGCUAAAAAUGGAGAAAGGGAGUCACGGGGAGAGAAAAAACAAAUGUCACGGGUGGUUGUUGAGACGGUUAAAAUGGUGACCGUGGCAGUCUAUGGCGGAGGAGUUGUACUUUUCCGAGCUGUUUUUCUUUUUCUUGAUUGGAAUGACAUAAAGAAAAUAAGCAAAGGAAUCCGCUCAUGCCUUGGACUUUCUAAAUCUAAGCGUUAUGUUAUAAAGAUAGAAAAUUUGACAAAACAUUUCAAAAAGUACUUCUAACCAUUUUUCUUUAUAUAUGUUUCAUUUUUUAGGAUGAGAAAUAUAUAAACUAAUCAAAACAAUCCCCAACAAACUAAUUUCAAAAUUACUAUUACACAUUGUUUGCUUGAGUAAGAUGGUGUUCAAAUUUUUGUAUAAAUUCAUAUGUGUUUUUAAAGUAACUUUUUAACUUAGAAAUGGAUGUAACUUUAAUAUUCCAAUGAAUUUUUGUUUCAAAUAUCAUUAUAAACAAAUGAAAAGUUAUCCUACCCUUUCAAUAAUGUUUUUGUAUGAUAUGAAAUUGAAUGAAUUUUUAGUUUCUUUUACGGAAAAUUAAGCUUUCUUUGAUGGAAUCUUUAAGGACCUUUUCAAGACAAAGAACUUUCUAAUUAAUUACCUUUGAAAAAGAAAAAAAAAAAAACAACUUUCCAAUUAAGACAUUAACAUUACCUUUGAGAAAGAAAGAAAACAACUUUCUAAUUUAAAACAUCAUCUUUCUAAAUUAGAACAUGAUCUUUCUUAUAGAAUGUUCAUUUAAAUUUUUGUUCAUUCUCUCAUGAAUUUUUGAAGUGUAUAGAUGUGUUUAGAAAUUGAAUAGGAACAUAAACUUUUGGUUUCUUUUAUUUAUUACUAGUUGUUAAAACGAUAGAUAUUAUCAAAGUUGCAUUUAAACAUCAAUAAAAUCAGGGACAAAUGGUAAAAAUUACUUUGAAAGUGUGCAGUGGUGUCGUAGACUCUCAAACUUUUAAUUAUAGAAAAUUUAAACAUUCACAACAAUCUAAUUGUUGAAAUUCACCUCUCAAAGUUAUAAUAGUUGUAAAAAUUUAAAUAAUAAAAAUGAAACAUUUCAAUUAUUGUAACAUUUUAUACUCUACAAAUACAAUUCAAACCUUGAUAGAAGGUAUCAUUUCCAUUCGUGUAGUAAAAUUGGACUCUUCCAUUUUUUAAAUUGAGGUAAACAAUUCAACUUCAAUAAUAAACACGAUUAAAGUUAUAUACAAUUCAAUUAUUUUACCAUAGUGGGUAACUUCAACUAAAGGGUUAUCAAGUCAACUUAGUGGGUAAACAAAACCAACCAAAGGUUUCAACUAAAGUGAGAAUUAACAUACCAAGUGUCUUCUAAGGAUGAGAGACAAUAUGAAAUGACUAAGAAAAAUGGACCAAAUGAUGGAAAGACAGCUGCAAACCUCUCAGGCUCAACAAAUCCUCUCCUACCUUCUUCACCACGCUUUGCAGACUACACUCAUCCAUAUUAUCAUUUUACUUCAACUAUAAAUUUGCUCCUUCUAUCAUGUUUUUAUGUGGUAAGAAUUUUUUGUUUCAAGUGUAGAGUUAAAAAAGUAGAAUUCCCAAGUAGAAACAGAGUACAUAACACGAUGGUUUGGGGUUGAAUUGAAGUGUAUAUAUAGAUCUUGCACUUUCACUCCUUUUGAACAAAUACAUAUUUAUAUAAAUUGGAGUUUAUAAUUUAUAAAUCAUAAAUUUAUGUAAUGUAUAGCAACAAAAGUGAAAUGCUAAUCCUAGUUUUAUCUUUCAUUUAAGAGGAAGGAAUCCACUCAUUUCCUUGGAUGAAAUUCUGUACAGAGUAACUAAAAACAUACUCUGCAGGGAUUUGAUUGCUCCAUGCAACUCGUUUUGACGAAUUUGAACCAGUCCCAAAAUUCUCAAACUCCCCAUAAUAUAGUGUAUUCAAUCCAAUAUCUCCACUCCAUGCCAUCCAUCCGGAUGACGAAACAAGAGCUUCAAGUUCACAAUGUAUAAAAACCGUUCUCGAAUACUCUUUCCAAGGCCGCCCCAAGAAGGUCCUAUGCCUCUGAGGAUUGGCAUAGUACAAUGCCAUGAACUCCUCAGUGCCAUUUAUCAAGCAGUUUUGGAACACAAACCCAGUCGACUGCGCUGGGUCUGUCCUCCCAUGUGCAGUGAUUGCAUUCUCAUCUCCGAGUUGAGGAUUGAGUUGGUGAGGACGAAUUAAGAUAUGACAGUUUAGAAACAUGGAAGCUGAGUUGCCAAAAAUGAAGUCCACGUUGCCUAAAAUACGACAGGAGUUGUAGAAUUGACGGAGGGAAUGGGCGUAAAGAGUGUCUUGAUUGCUUAUAAACUCACAGUUAUCUAUGAUCGAGAGGUCACUGUCUGAUCUAAAGGCAACAGCUUGAUGGGCGUCAGGACCUGCUGUGUUUUGAAUGGUGAGUUCACUAGCAAUGAAUCCAUCCCCAAGAACUCCUGCAAUUUCUUAUACAUUAUUAUUCUCUCUAAUGAUGAAUAAUUCUCAUUUUGUUUGUGACAGACACGCUAAUAGUACACUCCCGACAACUUUAUAUUGCUUACAAAGGUAUUGAUAAUAAUUAUCUUCUACAGAAAGCAACAAGAAAUAAAUAAAUAAGUGAGUUUUGGUGAAUUGAAAAAGGUGACUCACCGACGGUGGCCGAAUUGUAAGUCGAGAUCCCAGGCUGACCCACGUUCAAAGAUCCGGUAAUCACCGUUUUGCCCAUCCCAUCCCCCAAAAACACCAAAUUCUUCUUCUCCAUUCCCACUCUCACACUCUCUUCGUAAACCCCUUCCUUUAUGUGUAUCACAAACCUCACCGCCGACUCUCCCGGCGCCGCAUCCACCGCCGCUUGCACCGUCCUAUAACACCCCUCACUCCCAUCCUUACACACCGUCACAUUCGCCUCUGUCUUCGUUGGAAUCCUCACCCCUCUCACCACCUCCCCCGUUCCACUGCUCCGUUCCCAGAACCCGUCUCGCUCCGUCCUCGGUGGUCUCCACGCCGCCGUCUCAUUCCCGAAAUUAUCGUACGCCACCACCAUGCUCAGCGCGUUGCUGGACAGCACGGUUAAGUUGUCAAGAAAUAACAUCGUUUGAUCCACUUCACGCGUGUCGUUCACGUACUUCAACCCCGACCGGCAACCGGUCUGGUAGAGGAGGGACGCGCUUAACCACGCGCGCGCGUCUUUAAUUCGACCGAGCGGAAUUGCGUCGUUGGAAAGGGAAAUUCUGUACUCCGAAUAACCCAACGCAUCCAUACAGCUUAGCGCCUUCUCGGUGCGGUUGCGGUUGGGAAUCUUCUCAGCAGAAUCGAGAAUGGCUUUCACCAUGGAUUUAGCAGUCUUGAGAUUGUCCGAGGAGAGGUAGAGGGCGGCCUGAAUGAUCUGCAGCGAAGUGGGAUUCUGGGGGAGACGGCUGGAUUGGGAGAUGGAGGAUGCGCAUUGGUCCGGGAAGCGGGUGGCGUUGCAGGCGGCGGCGAUGUCAGGGAGAAGGGUUUGGUGGGCGGCGGAGGAGAAAUGUAGAGGGAGGAAGAAGAGAAAGAGAAGAGAAGGCAUUGUUGGGUUUGAGAAUUGGUUGGGAAAUUCAUGGCGGAAAUAUAAAGAGUGAAUUUUGGGAGGAAAGAGAGAGAGACGGUCACGUGUUGCAGCGGCGGCGGAGGAAAUGGAAAGUGGUGACGGAAAACUUAUACUAAUAUUUACAAUUUAGAAAACUAUAUAUGAAAAUGAUGUAAUUCCAAAACUAUUUAUGAAUAGUGUGUGAAUUGUUUUCUCUCUAUAUUUAUUAUUUCUUUUAGAAAUAUUGGUUCAAUUUUACUUUUGUAUUUUUAAAUUAAUUAAAUUUCCUUCCAAACUUAUUUCUUAUGUUCAAAGUUUUAAAACUAUUUAGCAUUUUAUCAUAAAAUUUGUUGUGUUUUUUCUUUUAACACUAAUAAUCUCUUUCUUUUUUUUUUCUUUUUUUAAAUUUUAGAAAGUCCCAAUCUAUUUUUCUUUUCUAAAUGUUUAGAAACAUUUUGUUUAGUUUGUUAGAGGGUGGCUGCCUAUUUUGUUCGUUUAGCGUUGGGCAUAACAACUAUUUUGCUUUUUUCCUCUACUUUUAGAUAACUUCAUAUGUCAUCUAUUCUAUUUUUAAAUAUAUUGUAAAUAUAAAUAGGUUAAUGAUCAUGUCUAAUCUUAAUAAAUUUUUUAAUUUGUACUAUCUAUUUUUUAAAUAGUCUACAAAAUUUAGAAAUCCUUCCUAUAUACUAAGUUGAGUAGAGUAUAGUAUUAGUAAAUAUAUCGACCCUUCACAAAACUAGUUUUUUAGUUAAAAUAUUGAUCCAAAGUUUUGUGUAACUAGACAAAAGUGCAAAUAAGUAAAGACUAGAUAAUAUAUUAAUAUCGUUUCUUAUAAAAUUCUACAAUUAUGUUUUUAGUUGUUUGUAAUUGAAAAAUAGCUAAAGGUAAAUUUAAAAUGUCUAUACCAAUACAAUGUAUAAACAUAUAAGAUUCGUUUAUCGUAUGUAUUGAUAGUUCUUAUAGUUUGUUUUAUACUUUAUCUUAGACAAACUAUCUAUUAUUAUAGUUUUGUAUGUCUCUCAAAUAAUUUGAAAUAAUAACAUAUUAUGUUAAAACAAAUAAUCAUAUUGUAGAGAUGUUUGGAGGCAUAUUAUCUCUCUUUAAAAACUAAUAUUGAUCAAAUCAAAUAUCAUAAAAAAGAAUUUAAAAAAAAGACUUAUCUUUUAUUUUUCUCUAAUUUUAUAUGGGUUUCAAUAUACAUAUCUAUAAGCAUUAAAACUAAUUUUUCUAAACGUUAAUCUUUAUUUUAAUAUUAAAAUAUUUCUGCUAAUCAUAAUUUUCUUUUCUUUUGAAUUUAAUUAUUUUCUUUAUUUCACUAAUAAGUUCUUGAAAAUACAUGAAUAUUUCAAUAAAUCAUUCAUGGAGUGAUUGGUGUAGUUUUGUAUGUAGUGACAUAAAGUGAUUGUUAUUAUUAAUGUGAUUUCAUUAUUUUUGUUUUGUUCUCAUACAGAACUUCAUUGUUAUUAAUUCUUUCAAAAUUGUAUGUCAAAAUCAGUAUAGUUAAUGUAAUAUCCACUCUUAUUUGACUAUUCAUUUAUGUUUUAAUUUAACAUUUUCUCGUGUUGUAGUCUAUCUAAUUUUUACGAGCUUCUUAAUAAACUAUCGAUAUAUAAAUAUCAUACUUAGUAUUGUAUUUUAAAGGAACGAUGAUAUGUACUCAUUUUAAAGACUUUGAUACCAGGGAACGAGUUGGAUUAUCUGUGAUUGUAGUGAAUCUUCUAUUAUUGAUUGAUAUUGGAUUUCAAAAAGACGAAGAAGACUUUGAAGAUUAUUAAAGUUUUAUAGAUGAAAACUACUGAGUUUAGUCUUCUCUCGGUGUUGUUCAAGUUUGUGAGCGCAACUCUUUUCUUUUUGGUUGCAUCAAAUUCCUCUUACUUUAACAUUGCAUUAGAUUAAAUUAAAUUUGUUUCCUGUAAUGUUCUUCUUUUAGCCGAUUCUUUGGAUAUUAAUCAUUUUCUUUUUGAAGUAUCCUUGUAAUUCUGCCGCUCACUAGCUUGCACACGUUUCUUUUAAUAUGUUUUAUAUUUGUUCGUUUUUGAGUUCUCUUGCUUCUUCCUCUUUCGUAGAAUAUUAAAAUAACGAAAUAUGAGGUGUAUUCAUUCUUUAAUUGAUAUAUCAAUUUUUAAUUUAAUUGAUACGUCAUCUAAAUUAUAUCAAAAUUUAAAAAUAGAAUAUGAUUUUUUUCAAAAAUAAUAAUAAUAAGACUUGCACCAUUAUUUUCCAAAAAAAAAAAAAAAAACAUAUAAGAUCUUAGUAAAUGCUCACGAAAUUGGUUUAAAACAGUUAAAACUAAUAUAAAGUUUGUUCAUUUUAGAUCAUUUUGGGGUCAAAUUAGCAUAUGAUCAAGUACUUCUAUAAGAGAAAGUUAGUAAACAUAUAUGUAGCCAAAACAUCUACCUUUUCACAUUUAUCACCUAUAAUAAAAUGCUAUAUCUUAGUUGAAUGUUUAAAUCUUACAAUAUACUCCUAAACUUCGUACUUUGUAUUUUUAAAUGUUUCAAAUACCCUUAAUAAACUAUAUAUAAAAAAAGGUUUAAAAUACUUUGGCUAUUAGUUUUGGACAAAAUAUGAAGAUUAUUGUUAGGUAGUUUAGGUUGAAAAUGCUAAAAAAAUAGUCAUAUACUGAUUUCUUUUAUCUCCAUCAAUAAAAUAAUAGACUUAAAAAACAAAAGAGUUGUGUUAUGUUAGUGAUAAUAUUAAACGCUUAAAAUAGAUCUAACAAUAUUUUUUAAAAAUGAAAAAACCCAUCAAAUUUAUUCAGAUUUGUGUUUUUUCCUUUCCUCUUGAGGUAUAUUUAAUAAUAUGUUGGAAAUAAGAAAAGUUGAAAAAUGGUUGAGAGAUAUAGCGUAGAUGAAGUGAAAUGGAGGUAAGAGUUUUCGAUCCCAACGUGCAUUCAGAUGAACUACAACUUUCUUUGAAUUGAAUUAACCAAAAAAGCAAGAGAAGACAUUUUUUUUGGUUAUUGAUUAAAUGCAUCAUCAAAUUCAAAUCAUUUUUUGGUUAUUGGGGAAAUGAUUAAAGCUUGAAGUUCCCACAUCACUUACCCACUUAUUAAUUAUUAUUACCAAAUAAAGAUAGAUUUUCUCUUUUCUAUUUUCAUUUUCAUUUCUUUCCUUUUCUGUAUCAUUACUUUUUUAUUUUGCUCUAUUUGUUGCUGCUCUCGGACGCUGUUUUGCUUCUCUCAACUCUCAACCACCUUUCAUUUCCAUCUUCCUUCCUUCCAUUUCAAUUCAUACCGACAUUUUCCAUUCCCCAUUCUCCAAGUUUCUCAAGUCUUUCCAUUUCCAAAUUCAAAGGUAAUUUCUUUCUGCCUCUGCAACUUCCAACGCGCACACACACACUCACUCGCUUUUCGAUUUGCUUUUCUUCUUUCGAUUCAAUUCCAAUAAAUGAACAAUCCACAUCCAUUUCUGCAUGUGGGUUUCUUUUUUUUCUUUUUUUUUUUUUGGCUUAUGAAGCUACCCCACUUCCCAUUUUACUCCAUUCCCUUCAAUGCGUAAUCCAACAAUUUGGUUUUUGAGAUCAAUCAUUACAGAGUGGCAAGGGGUUGGUGAUUUUAGGAUUGGAUCGACGCUAGUUUUGAAGCUUUCCUUGAAAAGAUUUGCUGAAUCUUCAACUUCUUCUUGUUUUCUUGCUGGAUUUCUGAUGCCCUUGUGUAAACAUUAGGUGAAAUGGUGAUUGAGACGAUUAGUAAUUUGAGCAAAAGCACAUCUUUCAAUAAAAGUGCUUCGUUUAAUAGAAGGCCUUUAAGUUCUGGAAGCCCGAGGGUGACUCGGGUGAGCUGGAUCUCCCGUUGGUAUCAUGUGUUUGUGGUCGUUGGAUUUCUGGUUUCAUCUCUUGUAGUGAUUAGUGCUGGUUAUAUUCAUGUACUGCCUGGUCUUACUUUGUCUUCUCAUAAUAAUGAUGUUCUGAAAUCAAGUUAUUUGAAUGAAACCUCGAAUGGAAGCUGCAAUGUGUAUGAAGGAAGCUGGAUUCUGGAUGAUGGUUAUCCCCUUUACAAUGCUACAGAAUGCCCUUUUGCUGAGAAGGGAUUUGACUGCUUGGGUAACGGUAGGGUGGAUCAAAACUAUCUGAAGUGGAGGUGGAAACCGACAAAUUGUGAAAUACCAAAACUUGAUGUGCAGAAUGUGUUGGAAAUGCUGCGGAGUAAAAGGGUCGUUUUUGUUGGAGAUUCGAUGAGCAGAUCACAGUGGGAAUCCUUGAUAUGCUUACUUAUGAGCGGGGUUGAGGAUAAAAGGACUGUUUAUGAGAUUAAUGGGAAUAAGAUCACAAAGCGGAUUAAAUACUUAGGUGUUCGGUUUAGUUCUUUCAACCUCACUGUUGAGUUCUAUCGCUCGGUUUUCCUUGUGCAAGAAGCCCAGAUGCCAAGGCACUCACCUAAGAGAGUGAAGUCUGCCCUUAGACUGGAUGAGCUGGAUAGUAUUAGCAGCCAGUGGAUUGAUUCAGAUGUUCUAGUAUUCAACACUGGACACUGGUGGGUACCUGGGAAGUUGUUUGAAACGUAAGUUCUUUUUUCAUAUUCUGGUAUUUGUUUGAAACUUGGUUACCUAGAUUUGCCAAUUUCGAUCUUUUCUUAUCAUAGAAAAAUGUAAUUUGAUAUCACGUCUUGUGUACAUGGUGAAGCUAUUACUUCAUUAAUCUAUUACUUUGUUUACUCUGUCUGCCCAUACGCUUUCAUAUUACUGUUCUCCUUGGAAAGAUUUUUGUAUCACUAUAUGAAGUUAAUAUCUACUUUUUAAUCUGAUUUAUAUAUGUGCCGUUUGAAGGGUGGAAAAUAUCUGUAAGGGGUGUUUGGGGUACUGAAUUAAGUUAUGAAGUUUAGAGAUAAUAUGGAGUUAGAAAACCUGUGUUUGAGGUGCAUAAUUGUAAGAUGAAGUUCCUUGAUAAAUACAUAAAAGAGAGCGCUUACCUACUUAUAAGUUUUGAUAGCUAAGUUUCAACUGGGGAAGAUUUGUUCAGUAGUUGGCUUGACUAUUUGAGAUUGUAGGUCUUCAAGACAAUGCUCCUUCCUGUGACAUGGAUUCAAUAUUUACCGUUAGACUAGAUCUUGUCUUUGGAUACAUAGGUUUAGUAAAGCAUAUGAGAUUUGUUAAGUAUAUCUCCUAACAAGAGAACUCAAGUACACAAAGAUGAAAGAACAAACAAAGAAAACUAAAAGAUAGGUUUAUUUUACAAUAUCAAUGAAGAAACUACAUAUGCCAUAGCCUUUUGAGAGGCUACUCUCUCCCAAUAUUUCCUACUUGAAAUGACUACAAAAUUCUUAACACCUUGCUCCCCAACCUAUUACCUCUAUUUAUUACUGAAAGCUCUAACAAUCUAUCUAUCUAAUUACUAAUAUGCCCCUUCUAAUACACAUAUUAAUAGGAUACUAAUAAUCCUACUAUCUCCAUAACUAGGGGUCUUACAGUUUGUAAAACAUGCAUUCCCGACUGAAGUUGGUGAUUCGACUGAAGCUUCCAUUCACAUGUUAGCGAUGUUAUUGUCCUUUGCGUGAAAGGAAAAUGAUCAAGGGAAGUAGGCAUAUGAGUGCAAAGAAGAUUUAGUUUCCUGAAACGAACUGUAAAGUUCUGUAUUAUUUUUCCUCAAUGCACAAAAUGAUAGUCCCAUGAUUGUCUCAUACUCGAAAACCUUUUAUUUAUUUAUUAUAAUUCUUUUACAAUCACCCAAAUUCAUGAUAUUCAGUUUAAUCACUGCAAAUUUUGCUUCAUUUUGGAGUGGGGAUGCAGUUCUCCUUUUUGUUGUUUUAGUGAUGUAAUGAUACGAUAGCAACAGACUAACAAUCGAGAGAGAGGACUUCAAAACUGCAAAUUUUCUGUUACCUUUUGGUUCAUUUCACAUUAAUAAUCUUGCCAUCUUAAGAACAUUUUGAAGGCUUCUAAAGAUUUGUUGGACAGUGGUUGCUAUUUUCAGGUUGGACAUUCGCUGAAGCUUGGAAUGUCAAUUCCCACAGCUUUUGGAGUAGCACUUCGCAGUUGGGCAUCUUGGAUUGAGGAAAAUAUCAACACAAACAGAACCCAUGUUUUCUUUCGUACUUUUGAGCCGUCACAUUGGAAGUAUGCUUUUUUUGUUGACUUAAUGUCAUUUUAUUUUUUCAAGUUCCUUUGUUUUGGGAUGAAGAACUGGGAAUGGAUUUUCUUGAUGCCUUCAUUAUUUACAUUUAACUCUUUUUAAAUGGUUUUUCCACCAUGCAUUUGAUCUAUGUAUAUAUCAUAAAAUUCUGGUGUAUACAGGUUGGGAACUAUUUAGCAUGGUCAAUUUUAUCUUGAUGUCUUGAUUUUUUUUUUUCUGCUUAUAUCUUUUCUGUCAAACUUAUAGCUUUUUGUGAACUGCAUGAUUAAAACUUACAGCUUUGAUGCAUUGUUGCUGUGUUGUCCUCUACUUAUGACAAACUACAAGUUAAACUUCUCUAUCUAAUUUCUCAAGUACCCUUACAAUACUCUAAUAGCAUUCCUAUCAGUCAUUCCAACAAAAGUUUUUACUCAUGUAAAGAUUCUGCUUUGUAAGCUGGUGGUUGAAUAUUGAUGAUUUCUUGUGAUAAGACAUUAUUUAUUUUUCAACCAGAAAUGAGGCCUUCCAUUUAUUUAAUGAAAAGAAACAAAUGUUCAAAGAUACGCUCUCCUAAAGGAGUGGUAGAGCAUUAUUUUGCAUCAUUAUUGACAUCGGUGCUGUAAGAAUGUACUCUUUAAUCAGUUGUUGGUGUGCUUUGGUCAUGCAUCAGGGACCACACCUUCAAAUAUUGCAGUCUUACCCGUCAACCUGUGACCGAUGCUGGAGACAGGGUCAGAAGCAUUUUUUCGGACACCAUAUUAGAGGUGGCAAAGAAUAUGAAAGUUCCCAUUAACGUUUUGCACAUAACUUCCAUGUCUGCUUAUCGAAGCGAUGCCCAUGUCGGUAAAUGGAGCAACAACCCAUCCGUCCCGGACUGCAGUCAUUGGUGCCUACCCGGAGUGCCUGAUGUGUGGAAUGAAAUUUUGCUCUCUUACCUGCUUACUGAAUAUGAUACUUUCUUCAAAUGACCAAUACACAUUCAAGUAAGUAUUUACCUCUCAACCUCCAAAAUGAAUUCAUAAGAACCCUCAGUUUUUGGUUGUGAAUGUUCAUACUACUGUGUGCUAAAUUACUCUCUCCUCUUAAACUUAUGCAGAAUGGUUUAACACGAAUUUGCUAACAUCUAAGAGAAAUACAUGCCAAGUAUGGAGACAUGUAUUUGCCAAUGUCGAAGACUGCUGUAUUCAUUACUUUGGUGACAUAACGGCAAUAUCAGUCAAGAUCAAUCAUCUCGAGUCUCAAGUCACGCGUGUUGCAUAUACUCUACCACGGUCAUGUUAUUUCUCAAAUUCUUUAAAGGAAGUGCGUAUAUAGAGUUACACAAAUAAAACUAUUUUCAGAACAAGUUCUUUCUAUCUUGCCCUUUAUUUUCCUUCCAUUCUUUAGGAAAGACCAGAUUGAGGUCAUGAGGUGUAUCGGUGUCUAUUUCCCUUGUACUAAUCAUGGUGUUUUUAAAGGACAAACACAAAUGAGGGUGAAAUGUUGGACAUGAAAUAGCAAAAGGUAUUUCUACUUUAUUAUCUUCUCUGAAUUUUCUUCCUUUGGGGAAUAACAAAACACAAGAAAGAAAUCGAUGACAAUUUUAAGUUUACAAACGCAUUCUUGAAUACAAUAGAUGAAUUUUGCUAGUUUAUGUCAACUCAAUGUCAGAACUUCAAAGGAAAUAGAAUUUGCUCUAAUGAGAUUUUGAACUGCAAAAUCACAACUUAGUCUACUCAAAAUGUGCAUCAGUGACUUUGAUAGAUUAUGUUGGCCUUUUUAUGGCAUCUUUUAGUGUUAUAAAGAACUUUUAUGCAACAUUUUCUUUAAAGUUAUAAAAAGCUAUAUUUAUAGAAAAAUAGAGAGUAGUUUUUGUCAAUAUAGCAUUUAUUAUAAACAUUUGAAAAUUAUGAAUUUUGGCAGUAGGCAAAAGCAUUUAUUGAGUGGUUCACUCCCUUUGUUUUUUUUUUUUUUUUUUUCCCAAUAAGGAUUUAUUGAGUUUAUGAAUUCCAUUUCAUUAAAAUUAGUGGGUGAGACUGAAAUUAAUACAAAUUCACCUAAUACACUGUUAUAGCUUUAAACAGAAGCUUAGUUUUUAUUUAAUAUUAAUAUUUAUUCAUUUAUUUUAUGCAUUCCAAGAAGCUUCUCCAGAAUCAACCAAAUGGCAGUAGGCAAUAGCAGCAAGUGAUGAAUCCAAUCCUCUAAAUCAAGCAACUCCAAAUGCCACAUUUGUCAUAGUUCUCUUAGUAACACAACCCUACACAAUAAACAUAAACAAGAAUAUCAUAAAACAAUAAUAACUUAGAUUAUGAGACAUUGCAACUAACAUUCCGAAUAGACUUAGUUUGAUAACGUUUCUCCUUUUUAUUUCCAAGAUUCAUAAGACUUUUAAAUUUGUUGUUCGAUAAUUCUAUAUUUUGUUAAAUUUUUGUCAUAUAUAAAUUUUUCUAUUGUGUUAUCAAACAAAUGGCAGUAGGCAAUAGCAGCAAGUGUACUAACCAACUUAAGUAACAAACACGUUAAGAAUUAGUAAAAACAGACUAUUUGUUCUGAUGAAAAUAGAACUAAAAAGUGGUUGAAAUUAGUCAAACACUAACAAAAUAAAAGAAUACCUUCGAAGCAGAAAAAUCUACAAGAUCCCAAAAGAAUGGCCUUUCCCAAAUGAAAUUGCUGCGGAAAUAGCUCUUUGAAGAACAAACCAAGUAAUGAAUUGAAAUGUGUACUUGGAUUCAACAACUUAGUGGCCUCUAUAUUGAAUCGACCAAUAAAUUUUCAAGAUCAUGUGCCCAUACAACAGAAGCACUUGUGGUCUCGUGGUCUCUAGAAAACUUGUUUGUCGCUGUCGAUUGAUAGAACGACCAAUAGUAUGAUUGAACAACUCGAGUUUCAACUGGUUGCUACUUGAAUAGAAUCUGUUCAAUUGUGCGCUAGAAUGCUAAGUUGUUUCACAGCUUACGGCUGCUUGUCUUACUGAAUUUAAUGGUUCAGAUAUUCUCAAAGCCAAAGGAUGAGAAUUCCCCCCUCCGUAGAAUUUAUGUACAAUUCCAUCAAUGAUUAUGCAGCUGCAACCAGGAACUUUCGUCAAACCCAGGUCUCUCAUCUUCUCUCUAGUCAGCGAAACACCAUGCGUCAUACCAAGAGAUUCAUAUAUACUAAUCAAGGCUAUAAAAUUGCUUGGAUUUGUAGGUUCCAACUUGAAAAGCUGGUUAGCUGCAAUUUCUCCAAACUCAAGGUUCCUGUGGAUCAUACAACCAGAAAGCAGAGCACCCCAAAUGCUUGCAGCAGCUUUGACCUUCAUAUUUCUAAUCAACAGAAACGCUUCCUUCAGAAAGCCAAAGCGACUCAGAAGAUCAACAGCACAAGCAUAAUGUUCUACCGUCGGUUCAACCUUAUUAUCUGAAAUAAUAGACUGGAAAAUUCUCCAACCUUCGUUGAUAUAACCUGCAUGACUGCAGCUAGCCAAAAUGGCUGUCAGUGUUACAGAAUUGGGUUGGAUUCCACAAUCCUUCAUUUUGUUAAACAAGACCAAGGAUUUCUCUCCUUUCCCAUGAGCCCCAUAACAAGAAAUCAUUGUGGUCCAUGUAACAAUGUUCAACCUACUCAUAUUCCAAAAGACCUUUUCAGAAUUAAGCAGGCUUCCACACUUCGAAUACAUAUCAAUCAAUGAGUUCCCAACUGCAACAUCAGCAGCAAAUACCGGACUCUUCAAAACUAAGCAAUGAAUCUCUUUUCCUUUUCUCAAAUCUCCUUCCCCUCCACAAGCAUUCAAAACGCUAGGAAUUGUCAUAAAAUCCAUAUUCGCUCCUUCCAAGAGCAUGCGCUUAAAACAAUCCAACGCAUCCAUAUAAACCCCAGCCCUCCCAUACCCAGAAAUCAUUGAGUUCCAAGAAACUGUAUCUUUGAAGAUCAUAUCAUCAAACACCUUCCUAGCAUCACCCACAAUCCCACAUUUAGCGUAAAAGUCUAAAACCGUACUGCCUACAACAACAUAACCAACAAACCCCAGCUUAAUUGUCCAACAAUGAAGUCUCUUUCCCAAAUAAGCAUCCCCAAUACCAACACUAGCCUUAAACAUCUGAGGCAAAGUAUAGUGGUCAGGCAGAAAACCAAGGUGUCUAAACUCAUUAAACACAUUUAAUGCAUCAAAGUAGAAAGAAUUAUGAACAUAAGAAGCAAUCAAGAUAUUCCAAGAGUGCAUGUUUCUGUGAGCCAUUUUGUCAAACACGUUGCGGGCGUCGUGAAGGAACCCACAUUUGCAAUACACCAAAAGAAGAUCGGUUAGAAGAGUUAAAUGUGGAAGGAAGCCAUGGAUGAGGAUUUGAGCGUGGGCUUGCUUUGCUUGGGCAAUUGCAUAAGAUUGAGCACAGCUUCUGAGAACGAAAGAGAAACGAGAAGUGCUAUGACUAAGAGACAUUAUGAAAUUACCUUUUUUUAAAUUUGACGGCCUAUUAAUUUAGAUCCCAACUUUGUAUACUUAAAUUGUUCCUUUCACAUUCUCUCUCUAACAUUUGUUAGUGGUAUUAUUAUCAUAUUCUUAAUGAAUAAAAAAUUUUGGGUCAUUUUUUUUUGUAGGCUAUAGCAUUCGUCAUUUUUUUUUCUUUCUAAAUUUUGAGUUUCUCCUUGGUCGACCACCGAGGAGCAGCAAUCGCCAUCUCGUAGCUCAUUCUCCUAUGUCAUAGACCUUGCUAUCCCACACUUAUCACCAAGAAUAUGUGAUAUAAAGAGAUCUAUACUAAAAAAAGAAGAAAAGAAAAGAAAAUAAACCGUUAGAAAACUAAUUUGUACACUAAAAUAAAAACCGGGUGUGUGUUUUACUUUUCAACUUUCUUGAAAAAAAAAACUUAGGCAUUCCUCCAAACGAGGCUACCUGCUAGUUAUAUGUCAAUUUUAAGGACUUUUCGACGUGGCUGAAAUUUGGUCCUUUUUGUAGGCUAUAACAUUGACCAUUUUUCGAACCAUUUUAGUCCCCCUUAGUCGACCACUAAGAAGCAGAAAUCGCAACCUGUAGCUCAUUCUCUUUUACUAUGGACCUAGCCAAAUAUAUGAUCCCAAACUUAUCAGCUAAGAAUCCUCGAUCUAAGGAAGUCUAGAGCAAAUAGAAAAAAGAAAAGAAACCUUAGAAAGACUAGAUUUUACACCAAAAUAAAAACGGAGUGGGGACUUCCCUUUUCAACUUUUUUUUGGAUAAAACUUUAAGAUUCCUCGAAAUGAGGUCACUUACUAGUUGGAUGUCAAUUUUCAAGACCUUUUGACAUCACCAAAGUAACGACACUAUACACAAGAAAUGUAAACCACUUUGGGUAACAAGUGAUAGAACUAAUUCAUGCACAGCGGAAAAAGAAUCGAAUUUCUACCCUAAUUGCCACAAUUAACAUGUAACCAUAAACUAAUCAAAUUAGGGAUUUAAGAAAUAUUACCUUUGAAGCUUUCAAAAGGUUUGAUAUCUUCUUACCAAUUCUAACCGAGACCACCCCUAGUACUCAACUGCUAUCCUCUAGACAAAGAACCGGGUUGUGGGACCCAAUUUUGGUGUAGAAAGUAAUGGAGAUAAAAUGAGAUUGGAAGCUUUCUUUUUUCUUUUGUUGAGAUGAUGAAAAUGAUAAAAGAGGCAAAAAUUCUUCAACAUUUGAAAACACCUCUAUUUAUAGCCUAAUUACAUGCAAAAAUGCAUGCAAUUCAUUUGCCAAAUCUCAACACCUAAUGUUCCACUAACAAUUAGUGGAACUUAGUGGGCUAGGUGUCUAUAUCUCAUAUAGCCACAUUUCCCCCUAAGAGUUAGUGGGAUUAUCCAACAAAAUGUUGGAUUUUCCCACUAACUUAGUCCAAGGGUAAAAUGGUCAUUAGAUAUUUCUAGUCAAAAGUCAAACUUUGACUUUUCUUAGUCAAAAGUCAAUAUUUUGACUUUUUACCAUUUUGUCCGUCUUGACUAAUUCCAACCUCCCGAGCAUGAAUCCGCAUUCAUUUUUCCAAAAUUCAAAUCACAUUUGAAUAUAAGGCCGGUCAAAGUUUGACUUUUCAAAGUCAAAAGUCAACAUUUUGACUUUUUACUAUUUUUGACCAAUUCCGAGCUUCUUAGUAUGAAUCCGCAUUCAUACUUAUAGUAUGUAAAACAUAAAGCUCUAUUUCUAAUUAGAAGACCGACGACUAUAUCACUGUAUAUGUCGGUUUCCCUUUCUUCUCCCAAUUCGAACAAUUCGACUUAUUUCAUCACACUGUUCUAAGUUUAAUCCAUAUGAGCUAGCAGAGGAACCUAAUGGACCUAUAGAUCAUGGGCUCCAACGAUUCAAGAUUAACUAGCUAAACUCUUUUAAACCGAGUUAAUCAACAUUCGUUAACUAACGGGUCAUUCCACUAAAGUCCCGUAGUUGCACUCCCCUCACUAUAGAUAUAUUUGUGUCCAUUUGAUAAAACCAUAAUCAGUAAGUUAAUCCUUCACAGGUUGCUCGUAACCUUGGCUGGGUCAAAAUACCGUUUUACCCCCAAGAUUACAUCUUGCUCCUUAAGUCCCACUAAUCCACUAUUGAACAAUUGGUUUAAGGUUCAACCUAUAAACUUAAUCCCUCUCGGGCCAAUGAGAGGGUGGGGCCCCUUGUUCAAGACUUGGAUUCAGUGCUUAAGAGAGCAACCUAUCUACUAACCCUAAAGCGGGUAGGAGUGAAUUCCAUCUUGUACCCUAUGUUCCCAGCUAUCCACCCGAUCUUACCCCUGAAAUGGGAGGCUUAUUGGGCCAACGCUGAUGAGCUGCCCUCACCUAUGCAGAUCUAAGGAUAAUCUCGUGUGAACAGGAGUUCAUAGUUAACUCAGGAUUAAGACUAAGUUACCUAGGUCAUCAAUAAUUGAGAUAGUCAGUUUUAAACAGUAAACGGUGUUAUAACGUAAAAAUGACUAAUUCAUGGUUCAGUCUUAUGUAAACAUUUUACAUAGGAUGCCCCCACUUUCAUGUCUCUACAUGAACGAUUAGGAUCACCUCGUUUGUACUACAAAGUGGGCCGCAUCCAUAGUUUCUCUAAAUAAGGCGCCCAACCUUUAUUUCAUAUACUAUAGACUAUUUAGGCUAUAUACUCGAACUUGAUCCACGUUUAUGUUUACACAUAAAGUUCAAGUUUAUUCAAAAAAUAGCCUUGGAACUUGAUUUAUUGGAUUUAAGAUUAUAAUAUUUAAUUUCUCAAUAACAACUUUAUUGAACAGAAUAUGAUUUACAAACUACGAGUUUUAGGACAAAAAAUUCCAACAACAAGAUAACAUGAAAGACAAAUCUUGUUCAAACAGCACCUUUUAAACACAAAUGAGUUUGUCAAGGAAUUGUUUCCCUUCUGCUCAACAAAGAAUGAUACCUCCAAAAACUUCACUGAAACGUCGUUGAAAAGUUAGACCACUACAAGACAGUCAAAUACCACCAAAAUAAUCACAUUGGAAGACCAAACACAAUUCAAACUCUUCCAAGCAGUCAUAGCUUAAAGAACCUUGACCUCACUUAAAUUUGAAAUGAACUUAAAAUUUUAGGACACUAACAUACUAACAAUUCUUACGAAGGUGAAAUUUAUAGGAUUUACGUAAAUUUAUAGAUGAGUAACAAUCUCACAUUGAAAAGAUUUGAAGAAGUGAUAGCUUGCAACAUUAGUUUCAAAUCAUUCAGUUAAGUAGAUCAUUUAAGAAUGGUGUAGUAACUCUAAUUCAAAAUCUCCUAUAUUCACUAGUUUGAGAAUAAAGAUAGUGAGAAGAAUGCAAAAAACUUCAAGAGACUCGGAAAAAAUUAUAUGUUAUUUCAAUGGUUUUUCACAUUAUUUAAUUCUAGAGUUUUUCACGUAGAUUCUUUAUUAAUUUUCUUAAUUAUUUUCUGUUAUUCCCACUACAUAAGAAUUCAGAUUUAAGAGCCAUUAGAGUUCAUAAAGGAAUGAGUUACAAGUAUAACUAUGAUUUGAUAUAGUGUAAAAAUUGUGGUGGGUUAUUUACAUUAUACCUAAAUGAGUAUGUAAAAUAUUGAAUUAUGCUAAUAUUACAUUGUAAACUAUAGAACAUAAUAAGGCCGGUAAAAGAUUAGCAAUGCAAAUUCCAUCUUGUUCAGCAUGAUCUGAGCUUAAUGAUAUUUACGAGAAGUUGAGACGUUGUGUUCCUCUUCUUUUCAAAUCUAGUAUACCAAAUGAGAUUUCAUUAGGAUUUCACUUGUUCUUCCCACCAGCUAGAAUCCUUUGGAUUUGGAGACCUCUACUGAAUGCUUGGUUGAAAAGAAGCCUGGUUUGGAACUCCGACACGAACGGGAACCAAGCGAGCAUGGCCACGGGUGCGAAAAUUACAACGCCCAUCAUGUACUCGUACCCUCUGGCUAGAGCUUUCACUGAUCCCCACAUCCCCAUUGCUUUCGUAAUAGGUCUACAAGCUUGCGCUAUCUACAACCACCGUAAAACAACACUCUCGAUUAAAAAAAGUGACCUAUACAUAACAUAAUGCAUGCUUUCCCAGGUUACCUGAAUGUAUCGGUUUCAAAAUUUUAAUCCCGAUCUUGAGUAAUAAUCUGGAAUACUCUUUCUUAAAUGAAGAGAAUUAGUGCAUCUUUCCAUAUGUUAUGAUCCAAGAACAAAAUCUAGGAAUUAUCUAGCAGUUGUCAACAACAAAUUCUUGGUUUUGUUUAGAAUUCUGUUUUAGAGAUAAAACACUAAUAAAUUAAUAAUUAUAACGCGUUUAAAGUACCUAAAUGCAUAAAUUUAGUGGCUAAUAGUUAUACUACCCAAAUGAGGGAGAGUAGUUAGAGGGUAACUGAAAAGCAAAGGGCUUUUAGGUGACAUACUUGCAAAAUAGCCCAGCCUGUGGGCAUGAAGGCUAGAAUGCUUGCAAAAAUGUCGCCCACUGUGAGAUGGAGAAGCGUAAACAACAUCGCUACUACGACCACUGAACCAAUAAACAAGGACAGCUUCAGAAGUCUAAACAACAGCUGGAAGUCUGCACUGAACUUCUUUCUACCCAUAGACACAAUCUGCAGUUCAAGCGUUCUUAGUGAGUAAGUAAUUCUGGAAAUAAACAAGGUUUCUUUAAUGCAGGAGAAGUCAUUGGAGUUGAAUCAUUAACCUUCAAUAUAACCAUCACGGCAACAAUGACAAGCCAAGAUAACCCAUACACCUGAAAAUGAUAACCAAAAACAAAGAGGUCGCCAUAAUGGUCAGUCAACAAGUCUCCUGCUAGCGCUAUAUAUGAGAUCAAGACAAUGCCAAAAAGUUAAUUUAAACAAAAAUCAGUUUUUUUGUUCGUUCCCUAGAACCAAAAAGGAAUCGGAGAAUUACCGCAAUGCUUUUGUUAUUUCCAGCCACGUGUAGAUGAUACACUAUUCCAUACUGAUAGAGAAAGAAUCGGAUAGAUAGUACGAUUUCCCAGAAGCGUCCAACAAAUCCAGUGUGCUGAAGGUGCUCUUGUCCCUCAUCCCACCAGGACUCCCAACUUUUGUUUGCAGGCACACCAAUACCACCUCUGCUGUUGAUCCAUUUUGACCAAUCAUCCCAAUCAUCAACUAUCUUUUGCCAUUCAAAACCUGAAGGGUUGAAAAGGAAAGGGGCAAACAACCAAGAAACAACCAGGAACCACAUUGAGAAUGUGACAAAAAUAUAAGCUAUAGCAUCACUAGCAGCUGUCCCAUAUAUCUGGUAAACUACAAGCAAUAUCAGAAGCUCUAGUCCUUUGACAAAGUGACUCCUUGAAUACAUCCUAUAGUUCUCAGCGUAUUUCUCAUGCCGCACAACAAAACCACGACCAGUAGCUCUAUACUUUGCCCCACCAUGAAGGAUUGUGCGCCCAUAAUAAUGCACCUUUGUGCCAAGAGAGAAGGUGAAGAAAACGGAUGCUAGUUGUAAUUGCAUGAUUAUCAAGUCCCCGAUUGCAGUUCUGAAUCCUCUCUCAAGUCCAAUUUCCAUGAUCAUUGGCAAGGCAGUUAGAAGACCUAACUGAACAACCGAUUGUGAUGCCAUGGCCGCCUUUAAAGGGUAAUCUCCUUUUGACCUAGCAUAUCUCAUUAUGGACUUCUCCAAUCCACUCAAUGACAGAUAAAGUCUACCAUAUAAGAAAACAUACACUGUAAUGAUAAUCAUCUGCAUGACAAGAAGAUAAUCAUUGCACGGGAGAAAAUUUCUGAGCUAUGCAAAUCAAACAUACAGAUUAGUUCUAAGAGGUAUAAGAGCACAUUUAAAGGUGAAAACUUACCAUUGUGCUAACAUAAAAUCCAACUGUUGUGAAGUAGAAAGACAACAUGCGAAAAAAGUCAAAACGAUGACCCAAACGAUAGAUGUCUCUGCUAAGAAUUUGCUCUCCAUUACCACAAGCUACUUUUGCCUCAAAAAGAGAGAUUUGAUUAAAACCAACAUCUCUCCCUUUACCAACUUGAAUAUACUCAUGGUGGGUUAUAUUUCCUCGUCUCAACAUUGAGUUGAAGCCUGUGGGGGAUUUUUUUUAAAGAUAAUAAAAACUGAGAAGAAAAAUUCACUUGAUGAGUGGAAGUGAAGUGUAAAGAAUAAUACCAGCAAAGAUAUCCUCACUGAGGUUGAUUCCUCGAGAAGCUUUGCUAAUGCCCCCACGAGUAAUAUGGAAUAAUCGAUCAAAAACAUCUGGAUGACCAUAGUGGAACCUUACCCUAGAACCAGGCAAUACAGGUUUAUCUAUGCGUAAACAAAAUAUGCUGACAUUUAGUUGGGGUGACUGCAAAGCAAUUAAAAAUUCAUGUUCGAUCUAGUAUUACUCUUUCCCAAAUAUUCAACAUUGUGCAACAAAAAAAGAAAAAGAAAAAGAGGUCAAUCUUUUCACGUUAAGUCAUGACAAAGAGAAUUAGAAUUAAAAUUUUGUUCAUUCAAGUACCAACUUAUUCUAAUUCUAUAAAUGUUUUGAAUUAUUCAGUAGUGCUUUGUUUAAACUACUUUCUAAAUGUAAUUUGUUUAUUUUGAAAUAUGUACAUCUCCACCAACAACUUUAAGAAUCUUGGAUACAGUUUUUCCAAAACUCACGCUCAUAUCUGAAUAAUAUCUAUGUUGGGUGAUAAGAUAUGUAAAAUAAAUUAACAGCAAGAAGGAAAGCAUACUUUAGAGGCCUUGCAAGAACCCUCUGACCAAUAGUAACAAAGCUAGUUUCUUGAUUUGACAUAAACCAAGCUAGAGAAGAAACACUGGAAUGGAAGAAAUGAAGUUAGAAAACGAAGGCAUAACAACUUUUCAUAGCUCUUGUUAAGAAAUAACCUAACCUUCCAGUAAAAAUAUGUUCACGCACACCCAAAAUUGUAGGUGGACGAACACCAUGGUCCUCAUUGAACUCUUCUAAAAGGUUUCGCAUUUUGAAUGCUUCUUCCAAGUAAUUAUCCUAGAAGGGAUCCCGAAAGUUGACCACCAUUAUUCAGCAUCUAUGUGAUCAUAACAAAAGGCAAGCAGCAAAAUCUAGCUUUUCAUGGUUUACCUGAUUCAUGUCAAUGGCUUGAAGUGCUUCACCUCUGGUAAAAAUUAUAGCAUGGUUCUGAUUUUCAGGUUUCCCUUCUCCAACCUUAGCUGAACCAGGUAGCUUAAUCCGAUAGAUUUCCUUUAAAAAAACGAGCAGAAAAUAACAAGAUUACUUUAAUUGUAAGGUGAAUUAACAUUUUUAAUCCUUGAGUUCAACUUCUUAUUACUUGGUCAAGAUUAUCGACAGCUUUGACCAAUACAGAAUAGUAUACUUUUUGUGCUUUUCCACCUUCUCUCUCUUCAACUUCAUCAAUAUAUGCCACUCGAAGAGAUGGAUUGCUGUGCCCAAAAAGAAAGUGAAGGAAAAAAUGUUUAUUUGCAAAUUGCACCAAGCAAAAACAAAUCUGAAAAAACCUUUAUCCCAAAGACAUUGAAGAGGUUGGGAACAUACUUAACCAUUAGAUUCAGGAUAUCUGUAGCUCGACGAUUCCCACUUCGUUUCUGAUUUCCAUAAUUCUGGCAAGUAGCAACGUAUGUGAAUUUCAUGUCCGCCACGGCCUCUAAUUGUGCAUAUAAGGAUCUCUGGCUUCUUUUAUCCUCUUCUGAUGGAACUGUGAUCGCUUUGUAGCCUUCAAGUAUCUCUAUCAUUAUCAAAGCAAUCAUUAAGGAAUCCAUAGUUAUUUAACACUCAUCAGAGAGCACAGAAACAAAAUUGAUACGAAAACAAGACAUCCCAACCACACAAAGAGUGUAAGAAUGAUAAACAAGCUUUCUUGAGAAGUAAAUAUGAUUGCAAAUUGUUCGAAGAAGGUUAACAUGCAUAUGCUUACCACUUUCAGAAGCCAUGUCAAGAAAUGCCUGAAGCUUUAGUGCCCUUCGAUAAUACAUCAUACCUCUAACUGCAAUAUUUGUGUUAAUGCCAACAACAUAGAUGUGCAAAUGAUCCCAAAGGUAAAAGUAAUGAGAUUAAGCUACCUGUUCUUGAUAGAGUUUGUCCUCGCAAGGACGCCCAAUGACGGAGGUGUAAUAUGUUUUCUUCAUUUUCCCAGAUCUCACUAUCUUUUUCACAAUUGAGUCGCUCCAUGAAGUUGUUCCAUUCAUCUAGCAAGAAGGCAAAUGUGCAUGAGACAAGUCAAACAGAAGUCACUUAUCAAAGAACCAAGAGAUAUUCGGUCAUUUCCAUAGAUCACUCACCUGGAAAGAUCUUCUGCAAGUAAUAUAUGAUGGAGACACCAUCCUCAUUUUCCAUCUCAAGAUCAGUUUUAGAAUAGACAGUCUCUUCACUAUAGUAUGGAGUCAUAACGCUGUGAACAACCAAAAAAUAUUCAUCCCAGAGCCAUUUAUAGAACAGUCCCAUAUUUUCACUAUGUUUUGGAGUCAUAAUGCAUCGACAACCCAAAAAUAUUACAAGUAAAGGAAUUGAGGUAUAUUCAUAACAUUUAAUUUUUAUAGGAAGUGCAAAAAGGUAGAAAAGAUCUCUAAUUUUUAUAUCAAAGAUUCAAGAAAAAAACUGUUCCGUCUGUGAUAAGAUAUGAAACUUGAAUGUGUGCUUAAUAAAGCUGGCCCAUAACAAUUAUAACUUAUUUUAGUUCGUAACCUUUGAGAUCUUUAAUCUUAGAGCAGCUACAUAGACAACCAUACUCUAGAAAAUGGGUGAUGUAUCCAAUCUCAAAUUCGGAAAGAACUUAACCAAACAGAAGAGACAUAAUAUCUGCUCCUAUAGAGUUAAAGAAAACCAAACCUGAAUGAUAACAUCUUACGGACUCGUGGAGCACGUGGCAUAUCCAUAAAUAAAGAAUUUGUGAAAAAUGCAAUUCUUCUUCGUGCUUCAAGAUUUAUGGGUACCUCAGUGACAGAUUCUUUCACAGUCAAUAGUAGAUAGAGGCGUCUAAUCUGACAUACACACAAAAACAAGAUUGUGUUAUUGCAAUUAACCGGUUAAAAUCAUAGAAUGAUAGGUGAUUUCUCGAAAGUAUGAUUAUUUAUUUUCAGUGUGCCCACCUGCUCUUCCCAUUGAGCUGUAACUGAAGGAGGAAAGUUUAUGGCAGGUCUAGUGUCAGUACCAGCAAAGAGUUGCCUUCCAGAGUCUUUGUUAUGACCCAGUUCUGCCAUUUCACUGAAAGAUAUAACAAAGAAAAGUUACCAUUUUAGCAUAUAACACUAACCAUUUGAAGAAUGGCAGUGGAUAUAAAUAAAUUUAAUUCAAAUUGAACAAAUUAAAUUUCCUAACCGGUCUUCAUUGAGCAUCAUAUCUCUAGUGACAACUUCUAGCAUAUCUUGCAGCAAAAGCACCACUGUAUCUCGCUUGGAUGGGUCUCCAUCUUUCUGAAACAGAAAACAAGAGCAAAGUUUCCAAUCUGAAGUAAUAGAUCAACAGAUACUUCAGAGUUGCAUCAUAACUGACCAAGAUCUCCACGAGUUCCACAAAUUUCUUGCACAAAAUGAGCAAGGGGCUCAUUCUGAAGGUUGUGAGAAGUGUGUUCUUUGAAAUAUUAUCUUCAACUUCUUUAAUAAUGGUUGCAAUAAUCCUGUAAAGUCAAAGUAGAAUUAGAAUUCACAAAAAAAAAUUACAUAGGUACUCAUUCCUCCAUUUAGUAAUCGCAUCUUGAAGAAACGUAAUUGCAGUUUAUGCAUUAUUUCUACCCUGGAUGAUUGGUACCCAAAAAGCAUCUGCAGGUAACCUAUAAACAAUCAUAGAUGAAAUUCGUUGACAUUAUAAAACAUUAAUAGUUUUCUGGAGUGAUGAAAAUUAUUGUUUAUCAAAAUCCCAAGGCUGCAAUUUCCCCCCUUCACAUGCAAUACUUGGUUUUACAAAUGAUAUACAACUGAAGUUUAAGCUUUUUCAUGUCUUUUCUUUGCAUGAAAGAAAAACUUUGAACAGUUGAUGUUUGGUUGAGUAAGUGGAACUGUAGCUUAGAACCUUUUCUCAUUUUCUCCAACCACCAGAACGUUCAGGACAUUUUUGAAAGACUCGUAACACUCUAUCACUGCACAUUUCAUGUACUCAUCUGCACAAAUACGCUUCCAGAGGUCAGAGUCUCUGGAUCGAAAUUCAGCAGCCAUAUCCAAUGCUAUUGGAAUCUGUAACAGUAGAGAGUUGUUAACCAUUGCUACAAGUAUGCCCGAAAAAUGAAAAGGUAAGAUAUACAUAAAAUUAAACAAAAGGGACCGUAUCGACCUUGCUUGCUAGUAAAAAGGGAGGCCAUUGGAUUGUUUUUAAGCUGGGAUCUGAUGAAUAAGGAACUAGCAAUAGAUCCAUCUCCCUGUUUCAUUUGAAAAACAAGUUUAAUUUUAAAAAUAAAAUUAAAAGGAUGCUUGGAAUGAAGAUAUAAAAGAUGAACUUAGUUUAUAUAGCCUUUCCUGUCACUUAUUAAAUCUUCCUCCCGAAAACUACAUAUCACUUCAUUCCACAACUGUGCGAACUUGGCAGCUUCACUUCUCUUGCUGGCUGUAAUCUACACAGAAAAAGUAGAAAUUACUAAAGAAAUAAUGCUUGAACCUCUGAUUUUAUACAUCUUAGAGCAAUGUAAUAAUAAAAAAAACUUUCAAAAAUAAAAGAACAACCUCAGCAAAACGCUUUGACAAAGAGAAUCCCCUUUUCUGAGACUUAUCUGAUGGCACCAAGUUUGUGUUGAAUGCACCUGGUAAGGACUGAAACCUAGACCUAAGCAUACCUAGAGUUCGUAUCUGUAAUUAAAAGAAAAAUCAAAUAAAGUUAAACCAAUCACAUUUAACCUGGUAAUUAAAAUAAGUGAUUUAGAUAAGCAUUGUUAAACAGUUCUCCCAUCAACACGAGAAAUAUUUGUACUAUAAUUGAAUGCACAAUUAUUUGCUAAAUGAAAAAUAGUACAAUCGAAUAGUUUCAACCCAAAAGAUAUGAUUCAAACAACAACUUUCGGCAUAAUCUUUUGGCAGGUCAGUGAUCAGUAAUUUCAAAACCAGUUCGAGACAUUAGAAUAUACCAAAAUAAUUGUGAAUGCUAGGCCAAUAGAAGGUUGGAGAAAAUAUGUGAAGAUGAUGAGUCACUUCAUAAGAUUAAUGAAUAGAAUAAAAUAAAAUAAUAAUAGUUAAACAAGCAAAAUAUCACCUCUCCUAAUCGAUCACAAGCUCCAAUGAAACCACCAUAUAUGGUUGAAAAUAUGGCAUACCAAAUUUGAGUAUCCAUGAAAUAUACCUGCAUUUAAAUUAAAAGGUACAAGAGGCUUUAUUCAAGACAAACUAAGAAAAUGAAAAUUUUUCCAUACAUUGUACAGUUACAAAAUAAAACUAAAACAAAGAAGUGAAUAAGAACACACCAAAAUAAUUGGCAUCCAGAGUACUAUAACGGCCCCGUAGUUGUUCUUGGCUACAUGGAAAAGAUAAUUUCAGCACAAGCAAAAGUAAUCAGGCAUUAAAGUGAACUGAUUGGACAGGAAACAAACACCUUUAGGAAAAAAUGCAUGCCAUUCAUAUUCAACUCGAUGGAUACUCAUUAUAUCUUUUGUUGGCUUCACCAAUGGCCUUAUCUGUAGGGAUAAAAUAUAAAAAGGUUAGAGGAGCUCAUUGACCAAAACCUUAAUAUCCUUGCCAUUUCAAAAAAUUUAUUACCUGAACAAAGUAGCUAAAGGUGAAUUUGCAGCACAAAAGUGACACCCAAAAGAUGGUAUACCUAAAAUCAGAGAAUGUCGUACAAGGAAGCACAUACUGGCUAAUCAAGAAAACAGAAUUUGCAAUUUCAUAAAUAACAAAGAAAAAAUGAGAUCCAUAGUCUGUCAACUCACUUUAUAAGUGCAAAUUGACUUUCAUGCAUUCCUCUUCCGACAUAGAUUCUUGGCUGUAGAAAGAGACACAGUUAUCAAGGACUUCUCCAUGAGACCCAGAAUAUUGCAGACCUCCAACAAGAAGCUUAUGUACACAGUUAAUAACAUAAAUGAACCAACGUCAUGAGACAAGGUUUUUUCCACUUGAAAAAGUCAAAAUGGUCAUACACAAUUCUUAUGGUUGCAUAUUCGUAAAAAAUCAAAAGAAAAGGCAAAAAGGAUAAAUAUGUUACAGACAAUUUACUGGUGUAAGGACACCAUACAUGGGGAUCACGAUUGUUAGUUAGCCACCAAAGUUUUAUCCUAUAGCUAGAUUCAAAAUUAGGAAGAUAGAAGAGUGUAUUCUUUAAUCUGGAAGAAAAGAAGGUUUCAGCAAAAUCAUCACUAAUUUAAUGAGGUGCAUGACAAUAGCAGUUAAGGUAUAAACUUGCAUCAGAAUCGUGAAGUGAUCAAAAUGUAUUUAAUUGAAGGAGCACUUAAGGACAAUAAAAUGGAGGAAGAGAAACAGAGAGAAAGAAAAUUGAGCAGCAUAUCUACCUGAGACCACCAAAGUAGGAAUCUAAUAAUGUGCCAAUUUGAGUUUUCAAUCCAACGUCGAAGCAUUGGAAAUAUGAAGAGAACUGCUGCAAGCAGAUUUGGUAGCAGAUAUAGAACAACUGCCAUUAUAUAUAGAGGAGGAAUGCUCCUCAACGUGUUAAGAUAUGACAGCACGUCUUUGAAUUUCUCAGAAGCCAUCUUGAAAGUGUGAAGAUAGCAUAGGGGAAGAACAAUAGCCCAAGCAAGACUGACAAUAACCUUCAGAAGGUUUCUUAGCACAUCAGUGAACUUCCGGCGGUGAAAUCCCGGGAAGUUUAAAACUAAGUCCAAGAUACCUGCAUUAAAAGAUGCAUGUCAUUUAUUGUAAAUAUAUAAACAAAAAACUACACUAAAAAAUGGAUCCAUAAUCCCCCUCCCCAACAAUUUCGACAGAUACAAUUCAUAUGAACUUUCAAACAUACAAAUAUCGAAUAAAGAUGUAGCCAUAUCAUAUAGGAAGAUUUAGUGAUUUGACCACGUAUUAAAUCAUAGAGAGAUUACAUUAUGCAAAAUUUUGUAUGAAAAUAUGCUAUAUUCCACACAAAAUUCUUCACACCCUCGCUCCCAACUAACUCCCUCUAUUUAUAAUUAAACACUCUAAUCAAUUUACUAGCUAUUUAUUAAUUUGUCCCUUCUAAUAACCGUAUCAAUAUUCUAUUAAUAGCCUACUCUAUCAUAACUAGGGUCUUACAAAUUCUCAACGGGAGUCAGAAGGGGAAAUGAAGAAGAAAUAUCAAAUUCAUUCAGAUAUUUUUUUUAUUACAACAACUCAAACAAUAUAGUAUUCCAAUUGUUGUUGCUAAUUGGGAUAUUAUAUUUGAAACAUAUAAAAGCAUCAAGGCUCUUGAAUGACAAUAUUUUACUUUGAAGAAGACGAAGGACUGCAGCAGUGAUGAAAAUGCUUGAUAAGGAGUACAAGACAUCCUUUUGGAAAAUCUCCAGUGGUGAAACUCCUUUCCAUGCAGCAAUGACCAUCGCCUGUAACAAACAAAUUGAAGAUUAAAUAUAGAGCAAACAAGUCAGGAGAGUAACUUGAAAACAGUCUAAACAUUUGUAUGCAUUGUAAUUGGAUACCUGAAGAGCUAGUACAUAAAAGGUCCAUAAACGAUCAAAACUUCGGAAUGUGUGCCAAAAUGUCCUGGUCUCAACAAAAUAAGAUUUCCCCGUGCUUACAGAUUUUCUUUGUAGUCCCUUUCGUCCCUAAUACAACAAUUUUUCAAGUGUUGACAAACAAACCUGUUUGAACAAAAAGAUUAAUACACAAUUUAACAAAAAGUAUAAAAAGACCUGUGCUACGUCACGUGUUGAUUUGAAAAAUUCACCAUCGUCUCGCAUGGGCCAACCAAGAGAAAAGCAAUCAGAUGACCUACAAUGUAAUCAGUAACAUUCAAAACUCAAUAAAACAUAUAGUAUCUGGAAGGUCGAGUUUUUGUUUCAGGCUAACCAGAAGUACUCAUUCAGAUCAUCAUAGUUGCACCAGGUUGAGUGCGGAGCUUUACCAUUUUGGCUCUUUUUGGCCUCCUGGAAAAUCAAAAGGAGAACCGUUGUUGUGUUGAAAUUAAUGGUAUGUAAUUCAAGUAUUAGGCCAAAAUAAAAUUAUAUGUAGCGUAAGGAUUUGGCUGCUUUACCCUUUCAAUAACCCGGUAAAGGGGAGUGAUAACCUUUCGCAAGAAAGCCUCGUCAUCCCCACCAUAGGAAGGCUUAAUAUCUUCCCCAGUAACAAUGCUUACGUUUCCAGCCAACAAACCAUGAAGUUCAUAUGCCAUCUAGUUACAAAGAAUGUCAAAUACUAUAAUUUAAGGGAAUAUAUUAACAACUUCUAUAGCAUAAUCAGAAGGAGAAGAAAAGCCAUAUGCACGCAAAAAAUAAAAAAUUGCCUCACAUUAUGAAAUAUAUAACUCAAACAUUCUGGCAUGAAGCGAACAUUUGCUGCUUCACCCCAUAUGAGAAGAUACAAACCCAUAUAGAGUAUCUUCCUUUGUUGAAUUUCCAGCUGACCUUGAGGGAACCUAGACAAAUAAUGAUUUUAGUUAUCUAGGUGCUGCGUAAUAAUCAUUUGAUUUUUUGUUUUGUAGUUAUUAAAAAUUAAGCUUAUAAACACUUAAAAACUUCUUGUUUUGUCAUCAACUUGCUAUCAAUGCUUUCAAAUACCAAGCCAAAAUUCAAAACAAAAAAAUGUAAAUUCUGUCUUUAGAACUUGACUAAGAAUACAAAUGUUUUUAUAAGAAAAGUGAAAACCUAGUAAGAAAAUUGGGAGGAAACACACAAGUUUCACAAACAUAAAACUAAAAACAAAUCAUUAUCAGAUGGAGGCAUAGUUUUCACGUCUCCCACCAGUCAUAAUAAUUUGAAUAUAAAAUUGCAAAAGCACAUGGGGAUCGUUAGAAUAAAACAAUGAUGUCUUACCUUAGACUAUGUUUCCGUCCCAAAAACUUGCACCACGUUUUGUAAUUCUUAAACAGUUUGUUCAUUACUGCAUCAACUGCUCGUUCAUCAAGCUGCAUUAAUAGAACCCAAGAAUAAGCUCAAAAAAGAGGGGGGAAAGGAAAAAAAAAAUCCAAAAUUUGAUAAACGAGAAGAUCCACUAUGCACCAGGAAGAAAAUCAUAUAAAUGAACUAAAUAAUUUGUGAACUCCAUGCUUGGAUCAAGUAUAUUUGAUAAACAUAUCCUUAAAAUGGCAUGAUUUGCACGUACAAGUACGUUUUGUACCUUGUUGAGGGGUUCAGGCUUGGGGUGAAGCCUUAUAUGAGAAUUAGCAAGUAGAAGGAUCAAAUGUUCCCGCUGAUUUCUAACGUUAUCUCUCUGUAUCCACAAAAAUGUCAGUUGCAUAUUGAUAUUGUUUACCCCACAAGGCAGUUAGUAGAAUUGAUUGAGCAUUACGAAAAACGUACCUGAAAUCCAAACAUUGCCCUUAACCAAUCCAGUAGGUCCAGAUCACCUGCUUUCUGCCUGCGCUGCUCAAACGUACUUGGCCAGUUCAGGCCACGACUAUUCCACAAGGCACCCACAGCAGCCUUAACCUAAAAGGAACGGACAAAGAACAAAAUUAAGGUUGAAUUUGGUAUGAUAACAUGAUGCACAUUAUCAAUGGCGGGAGGCAAACCUCUUCGAGCUGCAUUAUAGACUGGGAAGCGCCAGCAGAAUCAAGAGGUAGAAUGUUAUAGGGUGCAUAAAUUUCAGUCUUUUCUUGGACAUCCCUAGCUGCAGCGAUAAUCUAUUGAUGUAGAACAUUAGUUUAGACGACCUUCGUGGCAACCAAUUGAACAGUAAGAUCAAUUAGACAGCUGAGACUAACUGUAACGAACCUCGGGAGCAACUUCUUCAACUUUCUCGCUCUUAUUAACGGCACAAAGCACUUCGAAAAGCACACCGGCUGUCAGGUAAGCCUUACCUACCUGGGCUCUGCCAAAAGUUUAGAAGGAAAAAAGUGGCAUUCAGACAGAGGAUAUAUACAAUAUAAACAUCAAAACAAAUUAUGAAUGAAAGUUGGGAAAUUUCACGAGUACCUGUCACCUUGCUCUCCUUGUUCAAGAGCAGUGAGAUAAUUGUUAUAAUAUUGCUGAUAGAAAGCCUCGAUUUCCGUAGCAUCUGUUUCUUUCACUCGAGAUGCAAGACUCGAUGCGUUGUCCUGGAUCAAAAGAGAAAUGUCAAAUCAAAUCUUCCGUUGGUAAUUGGAGUUAUUUUACAGCCUUCUGACUCCAUGGCAGGAAAACACAGCAGAAUCCAUCUUUUGUCUCAUAUCGUGACUGCAUGAUACUAUUCACACGUAACCUUGUUUAAGUUGUCCAGGUUCAAAAUGAAUCUGUAUGCCUUCAGAAAUUAUUGGAGAUGGCCGCAGCAAUGUGGUUCGUAAUUUAUACGUUGGAGAGGAUUUGUAAAUGUAGGGAGAUUUGGAAUCCACAUAUCGCUAUUGUCAUUAUUAAAGACAGUUUUUUCUAAAGUAGAACAAGAGUUGGAUCACAAAUCUUGUGGUCGCAAAUACAGUCCUUUAAUUGAGCUAUAACUAAAGAGAGCUACAUUCUACUGUUAGUCUCAUGUUAGAAAUUUGAUUUAUUCACCCAUAUAAUAUUGUGAGGGGAAAAAACAGAGCAUGAUGCUAGUGAGAGUUCAAUAAUUCUUUUGCCUUACGUGAUUAUUGAUAAGUUUAUAAUUGUAUUUUCCUAAUUCUUCCAUGUCAAAGUCAAACACAUUCUUUUAAUCCAUCCAAUAAUUUUCUUUAUAUAGAUGAUUUGAGGAGGUCGUCGCAAUGUUGAUUUCCUCAGAAAAAACAAAAGGCCACAAUGUUAGUUUUCAACUAUUAGAUAACAGGGGAAGGAAACUACAAAAGUACUCUAAAUUUCUAUUCAAUAAUUAUUAAAAAUAUAUAGAUUUUUCAUCUACAUCCUAACAAAAAGAGGCAACCACACUGUGGUGGCCUCAUUCUGUUAAAAAAAAUCCUAUACUUCUAGUUUUUUUAAACUACUUUAUAAUAUUUCGAUUUUUUAUUCAUCAUGGGUUACAAAAGUGUGUUAAGAAACUGUCAAAUUUAAAAUAUAUUAAUUUUUGUAUACUUUAAUAAAAUUUUAGAAGCCAAGAGAAUAUUCAUGGUAAUGCAAGAAACAUGUUAUUCAUAUACCCUUAAAAAAGGGGAGAGAAAUAGGGGAAAGAAAUUCAUGGUAAUGCAAGUAAAGAAAAUUAAUGGAGCAAUUAAUAAUUAAAAAGUAAGAGAGUCCUACGUAUGUACCCUUUCUAAUCGUUGUGAAAGUGCUGUUUUAAAUUGCCUAACACCACGUCCACGGGAGCUGGGAUCUAACCUGUUGGCCUUGUCAAACGCAUAAGAUCGACCUAAUGUUGGCAUGCAAGAAAAUGAAAAGGGCACGAUUGAUUUUAUUAAUAAUGAUCCGAUCAAAUCAAGCUUAACUAAUUUUAUAUAGAUUGAACCUACAGAGAUAGGCAACACGUGGGCGUUCUGCUUCAAUCUCUGUAGCAGCGCGAAGAAUGAGAGCAAUGGAAGCAAGAGAGGAUGGAACCACCUCAUUGUCAAAAACCUCUGUUGAGAACAUUGUGGUAGCGGCGCUACGAGAUGGCCACCGCAUCAGCCCUUGCGGACCAGAUUCUAGUGUCGACAUCACUCUUACGUACACCUUUGCUCUAUAUCCCUCUUCAAAUCAUGCCCUGCGCCAUAAUUACAUUUUUACAAAUGAAAUCGAUUGAUCAAUCUAUACGCAAGAACAACCUUAACAAACACAAGAUAAUACUUGAACUAUGCAUUUGGCAACACACCAUUGAAACUAUAGAACAUUAACAACAAUGGCCAAAAGAAGAAAAAGAUGUGGUUCAAUGUUAAUCAGCAAACCAAACCAUAAACAACUUUAUUGAUCCAAUCAACUAAAGCUUAUCAAACCGAAGAUAAAAGACUAAUGCAAUUGAAAAAAUUGGGCAAAAUGCAUAAAAAUAAACAAGAACUUACAAACUUUCAAACACAAACAACUAAACAAAUUUAUAAAACUCAAUCAACUAAAGCUAAAAUAUGUAACGAAACGCAUGGACAGAAGGCAGUAAGGAAGAACAAGUUGUGACCAGGGAAUGACCUUGUUUAUACUGCAUAUUGAAUUGAAAAUCUCACAAACGCUAAAUUAUUAUUUCAUUUGUUUGCAGAAAUGCAAACAGAAAUGUCGUUAAAUCAGUACACAAUUGAAGCAAAGGGAAAAAGAGUUCAAUAAAGCAAUAAUGUGCAUAGAGAAGCCAUUAUCUACUGAAGUAUUCAGCUCCGAUGAGCUGAAGAGGAAUGCUACUAGAAGAGGAAGAAAUUACUCAACCAGUAGCCAGAGUAUUCAUCUUCGAUCAUCCAUUAUGAAGCACUAUCACUCUAAAACAAAAUCAAAACAUUAUACUCACUUAGUCAUUCCAAAAACAACAACGAGGCCAAUAUUUCCGUCGAAUGCAAGUUCCAUCGUUGUUGAAGUUGUCGAAAGUAAGGGAGAGUCGUGAGUUCUUGAGUAAGACCAUCAAUGCGGUCACAUAAACAUUGGUGGCCGAAGUCCGUACGCCGUUGUCGGAGGUCGACGUGGGGUGGUCGCCGGAAAACUGCUGCGGAAGAAGAGAUCAGUUAUUUUGUGGACACGUGGCCUAAAGAAUAGAAAACUCAACCCCCGAGUUUUGUGAUUUCUUCUUUUGGCUUUCACCGUUCCAUUUCCAUUCCAUUUCCAUUCCAUUUUCCUUCUUUAUAUAUUAUGCUAAUAAUGAAUUGUUUAUUAUUAUUAUUAUUAGGUACCUUAUUACUACGUCUACGUGCAUGUUAAUUGCUUUUUAAAACUAAUGAAAUUAUCUCUAAGGAUGAAUUAAUUUAGCAUCUCCCCAAACUUUUAAGAACACCAACCAUAGCUUAAUUGUCAAUAGAUUGUGUUAUUCACGGGAUAAGUCAUUGAAAACAUUGAAGAAAUGAAGAAAGUAUCGAGUUGGAGUUAGAGAUUUGGUAAAAAUAACAACUUAACUCAAUUCCAUCAAUCUUUUAUUAUUGCUUAGCUAAAUAUUGUCUAAUUUUCUUUUAAUAAAUUUAUGAGACGUGUACUUGAGUGAUUGUUGAUAAAUUAUUUAUAAUUGUCUUUUCUCAACUCUUUCGCGUCAAAGAUUGAUAAAUGAUUUCAGGAAACAUGUGUACAUAUAAGAUGAAAACUAAAAAAACAUAAUUCCAAAAUUGUAUUCAAUGAUCAUUGAGAAUAUAAAGAUUUAUGAAUCUACACUUCUUAAUAAGAGUAACCACGUCCUAUUGGUCUCAACAAAUAUUUUCCCUAUACUUUUGGAUUUUUUUUAAAAAAUAUUAAAAUUAUUUUAAAAUAUUUAGAUUUUCUUUCCAAAAAUUAUUAUAAAUUACAAACCUGUUGAACAUAAAUAACAAGAAAUAAGAAAAUUAGAGAGAUUCUAUAUCAUUGAAUAAACACAAACAGAAGUCUACUAUUAGUUUCUACUAGAAAUCUAUUAUAUAUAUAUAUAUAUAUAUAUAUUGGUUAAUUAUUUUGCUAUAUUUGAAAAUAUUCUCCUCGUUAUUUUCUUAUAUCAUAUUAAUUCACUAAUUUAACCUAUACCUAUCGAGUAUCCUUUUCUACCUACCUUUUCGGUCCCUUUCUAAACAAAAUUAAAAAAUUCAUUAAUUUAACCUAUAUCAUAAAUGAUUUAUUGAUUUAUUUAAGAAUAAUGAAAAUAAAUAUAUAUGCCAACACCAGAAACAACUCAUCUAAUUAACAUAAAAUUUAUACAUAACUAUCAUAAUUAACAAUAGAAUUUUGAUUCUCAUAUAUGUCAAAAAAGAAAAAAGAAAAAAGAAAAAAAGAACACUAUGAAAAAUGUUAUAAUGGUGUAAAAGCUACAAUUUUAAUUUUCUUUUUUUCAAAGGUAGGGUUGGUCUUUUCCAACCUUAUAAAUUACAUCAAACUAGUGGGUUGUUGGUAUAUAUAAAGACUAUUAAGCUACGAUUCAAUUAAACCUCAAAAAUACAUUUUCCUAUUCACAACUCUAAAAUUUAUCUUAAACUAAGAAAUUCAUAUUUUAUUUUUCUUAUACUAAUUUACUCCAUAAAUUCUUCAUUUUUUUUUUCAACUUCUCACUAAUUAUUAUUAUUAUUUGAUCAAGUUUCAUACAAUCAUAUUUUGUUAUUAAUAUAUAUGGUGGAUUAUCUUCUCCCAUGUGAGCUGGUUUUUAGGAUAUCGUUUCUUCAAGUAAAGAUUAAUAUGAAAAUAAUGAUGUCAUGUGGUGAUAUCAUAUGUAGCCACCGUCGCAAUCAGUCGAUAAAAAAAAAAUGAUCAUGUAUCAAUUAUACGUGUCUAUAAAAAAAUAUUUUUUUACUAAUUUUCUAUGUAUAAUCAAAGUAUGAAAUUAAAUACAAUCUCUAGUUGCAUUCAAUCAUUACUUAAUAUAUUGUAAAGAACUAAUGAAAUCACACAUUUGAACCAAAUAAUAAUUUAAAAAAAAUCUUCCUUUUUUGCAUUCUAAGAAACAUUUCAAAAAUAUAUUAAUUUAUAGAAUAAAUAUUAUAUGAAAUAUAGUUCAAUUCGUUAGAGAUACUAUGACCUAAACAAAAAAUAUUUAAGAGUUGAUUCUUUUUCAUUCUAGAAAGAAAAAAAUAAUAAAUAUUAUUUUAAAUAACAAAAUAAUAAUUUAUCUACAAAUAUAAUAUAAUAUAAAGCAAAAUUAAAAUAAUUUGCUAUAUACAAAAAACAACUAAGAAAAAAAAUCAUAUUAUUGUGAGACAGUAUGAUAAUAAUAAAAAUAAGGAUUAAACAUCUAGUGGAAUGUGAUAUAUGAAAAUAUUUAAAUGCAUUUUGAGCGGUUCAAUCUUUAUACUGUUCUUUUAGUUGUCUUGACUAAAAUUUACUACGUGGUAAACAUUUUUUCAAUAUUAAACUUUUUUUUUUCAACUACGUAACAAAUGAGGAUUGAAUAAUGGGAACAUACCAUUUUUUAUCAACUAAUAUUCAUUUUUGUAUAUCAUAUUACUCCCCACUAAUUUAAUAUAAUGUACUUAAUGUAAAUGAUUGAUUUGUUUAAUAACAAUUAUAAUAUUGUGUAAACCAAAGUUUAUACAAUUGUCUUAGGGAUAGAGGUUUGAUUAUGUCACCAUGUAUGUAAACAAAAAAUGGCUUGAUGGGAAAUUUUAUAAUGGUGUACAUUAAUUGCUAUUUAAUUUUCUUCUUCUUCUUCUUUUUUACAAACCUAGGUUGAAAUUUUCCAACCUCAUACAUUACAUCCUAGAUGGUGUUGUUGGUAUAUAAUGCUAUAAGGCUAGCAUUUCCAAUAAAACGAGAUUAUAGUUAAUUUAAUAGACAGAACGAGGUUUCUUCUGAAAAUCAAUUGACGAUUUAAAAAAGUGUAGUUCAUGCAUCCAUCAUAUAAAGAGUGUAAGGUUUUUCGAUUUUUUUCAAUGUGUGAUUUUCUCAACACGUCCUCUCAACAAAAUGAUAUCCCUUUUAGGUUCACAAACUCAAAUAUUAUUGAGUGGAUUUCAUGUAUUUCAACUUAGAGUAAAUCAUAUAUCCUAACGUUAAACAUUAUAUUGAAUCUAUCAUCUUUUACUAACUUACGUUUUUUUGGACAAUCAAUGAUUUAAAAUAGUAUAAGAGCAUAUGGGGUAGAAAGGUCAUCAUGUGUUCACAAACCCUUGCAAUGUUGUUUCCUUUUUAUUUAAUAUAGAUUUCCAAUACUUGUUUGAUCGUUCUCAUAUUUCAAGUCUACAAACAAGAAGAGACAGGGUUAAAUAUAUACUAUAUUAAAUUUAUCAAACUCGAAACACUCCUAAUAAUCAAAUCAAACUCGAUAUUGGAAACUAGUUAAAAAAGAGAAUAACACCAAACUAUAUAUCUAUAUAUACACGCACAAUUUUGUAAGUAGAAAGAGUCAAGAAAAAAUCAUUGUUGAAAGAGGGGUUAUCUUUUUUUUGUAUUAUUUGACGCCGGCUUUGAUCAAAAUUAGGGUUUGGCCGGCAAGUUCAAGAAAAUCAUGAUGCUAUUAAAUCCUCCCUCAAUAACUUCAUCAUUCAUCAUCUUCUUCAUCAUAAACAUAUAAUAUAUAUAUUAAACUAAAUAACUCAUCGUACAUACUUAUGAAAAUGAUCAGAUCACCAAAUCAGCUGCCUCAAUUUCUCCUCUUCAUCUUUGCAACUUCCCUUCUUUGCUUCAAUAAUUUCUGCUGUAAGUAGUAGAGGCUUAAUUUUUAUCAAUAUUUGUGUACAUCUAAUCGACCUGCAACGAUCGACACCCCCAUCUUUUUGUAGUUUAUUUAAUAGUUGGAUUGUAAAAAGAUAGAUGGAUGUUAUUCUUAAUGCAUGAAAAGUAGUUUUCAAUUUAGAUGCUUUACUUUUUGCAAAUUUUUUAAAAUGUUUCUUAUACUUUAGUAUUAUUCGUAAAAUUCCUAUAAGUUAUAAUUACCUUAUUACAUGUUCUAUUUAUAAGUUUGAUUUUAAUUAUAUUUUAGUGAAAAUUUAGUUUGGGCUGUGAUUCUACGAAUGCAAAAUUAUUUUUUUACUAAAAAAGGUAAUUCAUAGAAUCAUUUUGCAAUCACAUUUUGAAGAAUCAACUUUAAUUAAAAUGGUUUUUCCACAAAAUAUUUUUGACUAAUUUGAUUAUCUAUUCCAAGAGUGUGACUUUAAUUUGGUUCAAAAAUUCAAACAAAGAAAAAAACUUUUCAACGUAUGAAGAAAGUUAAUCCAACAUGUUCUAUCUUAAAUACAGAUGCAAAAAAAGUGAUGAUGGAGUACAUCGGAGCGACCGGCAUUCCGAUCACCUUCGACAAUGUCCCAAUCUUUGAUGAUAUCGACUUCCAUUUCAUCCUCAGCUUCGCCAUUGAUGCAGAUCCCUCUGCCAAUCCUCAAAAUGGGAAAUUCUCUCCAUAUUGGCAGCCCUCCCUUACCCCAGAAUCAGUUGCAGCCAUUAAAGCCCAACACCCCAACGUCAAAGCCCUAGCCAGCCUCUCUGGUUGGAGCCUUGACAACAUCGUCCUCCGGUGGCGCAACCCUCCAGACCCUAACCUUUGGAUCUCCAAUGCCUUCUCCACUCUCCAAGACCUUGUCAACGAAUACCACCUGGAUGGCAUCGACGUGGACUACGAGAACUUCCCGAGACAUGGCUCCAACUUUGCUUUUUGCAUUGGCGAGCUCAUAACCCUAUUGAAGAACCAAAGCGUGAUCUCAGUAGCCACAAUUGCACCAUAUUACUCAACAGUUUUGCCGUACUUGGAGCUCUUCCAUGGCUAUGGGAAGGUGAUUGAUUUUGUGAACUACCAAUUUUAUACUGAUAAGGUGACAACUGCGGAGGCAUAUUUGAAGAGAUUUAAGACUCGAGCUAAGGAGUUUGGAAGUGCAAAGUUGUUACCCAGCUAUGAGGUGAAUGGAAGAGGGAUUCAAGGGGAUGCUUUUUUUGAAGCUUUGAGUUUGUUGGAUGAAAAUGGAUUUGAUAUUAAUGGAGUCAUGAUCUUCUCUGCAGAUGCUUCCUUGUCCAAUGAUUUCCUUUUUGAGACUAAAUCUCAACAAUUUUUACUUAAUACCGCAUAAAUUCGACAAAUUCAAACUUAAAAACGAUGAGAUGUCUUAUCUAUUCAAUUAUAUGUUAUUCGAAUUAUAUAUUUAAAUGUGAAUAAAACUAUUUGUGUAAUUCAUAAUCUAUAUAUAUGAGAGCGUUGAGGAGUACUCGAAGACUUUUUUAUUUUUACUAAUUAGGCCUUGCAACCCUCAUAAUGUUAAUGUUCGUGAAAAGAGGAUAUAAUUGAUGAGAUUAAUUGGUAUUAUAAAAUACUUUUUCAUAUAUUAAGGUAUAGUUUUUUCAUUUAUAUAUUUAAUUUUAACCCGAACAUUAGGUUGUAACCUUUUGGAAAUCGAUGUUUGAGUUGGGAUAUUUUGCUCCAAAUUGGCUUGCUCCUCAUACUUCAAGAAAGAUCACGGAUUGUAACGUUUUGUAUUAGUCGUACGAAUAACAAUAUAACUAGCAUCAUAGCCAAAAACUUGAAAUGAGCAAUAAGAUGCGAUCUUUCUGUACAUCUCCUAAAAGGAAGAAUAGCUACUCUUAUUUAUGAACUUCCAUAUGGCAAGGUGGGAAUGGACUUCAACUUAGACAACGACGACCCUCGGUCUCAAUCAAGUGGAUUAUUUUUAGGGUGGUAAUUAUUUGGGUCAAAAGAAGUAACUAUCUUGGACUAUAUCAUGACCUAAUUAGAUCCAACCAAAAACCUAUUCAAUUCAAUAGUCAUAAUGGACGACCUUGUGAGUAUGUGACGUUAUGAUUUCAAGCAACAUAAGUAUAAUCAAAGCAUCAUCAUAUAAUCUAAUAAAAAGAGAGAGAAAAAGAUUAUAUAAAAUUAAGAAUAAUAUUAAAAGUAAAAUAUAUAAAACCAGUUUGCAGAGACCCAAAUGAAAGGAUUUAGGUUUACAAAUGGAAGUAGGGUAGGGUAAUUUAAUUUAGGGAGAGAGGGGUAGCUAGUGAUAACUAAGAUCAUAUGGGUAAUAAUUAUAUUAUGUAAACUUGUUAGAGAUAUUGUUGCUAAUGUCUUGAGCCACAGCCUUUGCAUCAAAAGAAACUCCAGCCAGCCCUUGCCUUGACAGUCCAACACAAUACACAUUCUUCUUUCCCUUCCAAUGAUUUGGAAUCCCACUUUUUGGCAUUCCCUUUUCAUUUAGCACCAAUUCAUAAUCCUACAAUUAUUCACAUCAUUAACAUUUUUGUCAAAUACUCAAUUUGUAUUCUCGGUUUGUAAGAAGUAAAAUUAGCAAAUUUACCAAAGUAAUACCUGCAGCCAGUUGUUAGCAGAGCUUCUGUAGCCAGUGGCAAAGACAAUGGCAUCAAACUUCUUCCUCACUCCAUUUUCAAACUCAAUGGUUUCUCCAUCAAUGUUGGAUAUUUGUGGAACAACCUAUAUUAUUCAUCACAACCCAAGAAUGGUAUACUAUAUUUUGGAAAUUAGAACACCAAACACAUAUAUUCUUGGCCAAUUAAAAAUGAUUCACUAAUUACAAUUAAUUUUAGUAACUAGUAAAUUGCAAUCUUUUAAAACAAUAAUUAAUUUUAAAAAGAAAAAAAGAAAAAAAACCUUAAUUUGACCAUCCUGGAUCUUGGAAAUGGUUCCGACGUCAAUGACGGGGGUCUUGCCGGUAGCGUAUUUGAGCUGCAUAGGACCCAACUUGGGACGACAUAUCCCAUAAGCCGACAUGUCGCCAAAUUUGAGCUUAGAGAGGCCUACAAGAAUUCCAUCCACAACACUAACUGGCAAAUACUUCAUCAAUACCAUUCCCACGCACACCACUUCCCUCUUCAGCACGUGCAACUUCAAAAUACCAUUUUCAUUUCCAACCCUUAGAUUUUAUCCACCAUAUAAAUUCUUAUAAUAAAAAAUCAGAUCACAAUACAAACUUCCAUCAAAUGAGAUUUUUUUUAAAAAAAAAGGUGCAUUUAGAUGGAUGGAUGGAUGCAAAUUCAUAAAAAAUUCCAUUCCCAUCUAUAAGAACUAAAAUAAAAUCUAAAUUAUUGUUAAAGAAAAUAACCGAAUAGAAAAAUUGUAUUGAGUAGCUAAAGUUUCACUUAAACGGUCUAUAAAUAUACUAAAUCCUUCGGUAAACAUAAACAUAUAUAUAUAUAUAUCCAUUUAAUUGUUAGUUCAAUACGUGUUGUUAAGUCAUGAUUUAGAGGAGUAAUAAUGGAUAAUAUUAAAAAAGUGAAUUAUGUCAUCCAUUGCAUGGUGAUGGAUGAGUCAACUCUAAGAUCAAUAUAACCUUAGACAACAUACCAUUUUAACUUACAAGUCUUUAAGGAAGAAAGGAUAAUGUUAGGAUAUGGGCAAGAUUAUUAUUACACCUAAUUUCAUGCAUCCUUUUAGAUAGUAGAAAAAUAAUACGAUUUAAAAAAAAAAAUCUGUCAUUGAAUCUUUUAACUUUAUAUGAAAUUUUAAAAUUUUGCAACGUAGAUUAUAUAUACAUAUAGCUUAGUUGGCUAUAAACAUGUACUUAGAAAGAAAGAGUAUCAAAUUUUAUAUAUGGAUAUGGAAGAAAUGAAGUUGCUUCAAAUUUUAUGGGAAUUUGAAAUAUUGUUGCAUGUACAUACAAACAGUUUCAACUUUAUUACUUUCCUAUUAUGAAUGAAUGUUAAUUAAACUAUAGUUUGAAAAUCUAAUAUUUAUUGAACUUAAAUAUAGAAAUAAGUACUUACAGGGUUUCUAAUAAUAAUUGAAGGAUGAGCUCCAUAAUUAGAGAGGUCAAGAGCAAUUUCCAUGCCGGAAUUCCCACAUCCAACCACCAAUACAUCUUUCCCUUCAAAUGCUUUUCCACUCUUAUACUUACUGGAAUGAACAAUCUCUCCCUCGAACGUGUCCAACCCCGUCACCUCCGGCACGUGCCCUACGCUGUUCUCUCCGCUUGCAACCACCAGGAACUCUGCUUUGUAAGCCUCCAUCUCCCCCGUCUCAAUGUGCCUCGCCUCCACCCUCCACUUCUUCAUCUCCCCGUCUUCUUCAUCCUCCAACCAUGCCCUCUCCACGUUCCUGCGUAUCAACAACAACUCUGUUGAACUUCUGUCUACGAGUUGAUAUUUUCGUUUAAUAUGGACGAUAUUAAAGGUUAAUCAAAACGCUAUUCUUUGUGAAUAUUUCAUUAACAAUAAGAAAAAAACCUUAACCCCCUAAGUCCGUUAACGUAUGUUUUCUAAUAUUUACAGAAGUUUUAUACUCUAUUACAUGAACUUAAAUCAAAAAGAUCAACCAAUAUGAUUAAAGCUAAAUAUCUGAGUGUAAAAACAAUUCAAGAGUUUAUUUCAAAAAAAUUAUUUUAAUGGUUGAGUACGAUUUCUUAUUUUAGUGAUGUAUUUGUGAAACAAUGAGACCAUAACAUUUAUAAUAUAAACAUCAUAUAUAUUACCUGCUAUAUCGAGGCUUGAUGUUGAACUUGGAAACGUACUCAUCGAGGUACUUGAGAAAUGUAGCUCGGGACAUGAACGUUGGGGUGGAGGAGGAGUGGGGCAUCAAGGGAAGAGAGCAAAACUCUUUGGCUAAGUGAAGGCAUAAACGAUCAUAAGCUCUUUUCUUCCAAAGAGAAGCAUAACAGUCUUCUUUCUCUAAAACAAUGUUUGGAAUUGAGAGGUGAUUUAGGUAAGCUGAGGUAGCCAAGCCAGAAGGACCAGCACCAACUAUCAAGACUCUCACUUCUUCCAUUUUUACUAUAAUAUGAACAGCUCUUUAGUAGUUUUUUCUUUAAUUGUUUACUGUGUGAUUUGUCUUUGAAGAUUCAUUUUGCUUUUAUAGUGAGAGGGAGAAGGUAGCUGCCAAAGUUGUGAGGUUAAUAUAAUUAUCUUUGUAACGACGGUUUCAUUAUUUCUUGGUGUUUGUUUCCAGCAAAAAGCACUUUUUCCCCAUGAAUAUAUCGCGUUUAGGUUUGGUAUCACCAUUUUAUUUGAAAAUUGCAAAAGCAGUACCACUUUUUAUCCCUUCUUCUAAGGGUUCAAUGACAUAUUGGGAUAGAGAUUAAUCCAUACUUUCUUUUAGUUGAUGACAAAUGUCUUAACCAGUUAAAGGUAUAUGCAUGAUGCAAUUAACGUUACUAAAGUCUUGUUUGAUAACUAUUUUUAUGACUUUAGAAAAUAUGAUCGACAUGAUCACCUUGUUUGAACAAAAAUAUUUUGAUUCAAAGAAAAAAAUUUAAAAUGAAAGGAAAGUUCGGUUUGGUUUUUAAAAAUAUGGUAAAAAUAAAAGAAGUAUAGGUAGAAUUAGUGAGAGUGUCGAGUCUUUUUAAUCAAAUCAAAUAUAUAUUCACGAUCCAAAACUUCAACUAACAAAUAGGAAUCAGUAGCAAGACCAAGUUGAAUUAAUUAUAGGAAGGUGCAAAGAUUAGUUCCUCGAAGUCCAUUUUCCAGUUACAAUGAUCAACACGAGAAAUGAGUGUUCAAGAUUUGAAUAUGCAUGAAAAAUAAAGUGCAAGCUAAGGAAGGUAAAGAAUAGAAAUGCGACCAACGUUCUACAACAGUCAUUGGAGGAAUAGCGAAUUGACCAAUGAAAUUUUGAUCAUUGAAUUAUCGGGUAUGAUAUUUUAGCUUCUUGUCUAUGCAUAACUCAAUUGAUUAAAAUCCUAGUCAACAUUCAAUUAUCUAAUUAUCCAAUAUGAGUAUAGAAUCCGUUCUACACAACACUUCCAAACGAAUUAAGUUAUGAACACUUCCUAACCCUAAAUUUUUCUACAUACCGCCGUUAUUUUUUAAAACUAAACCAAAUUGUGAAACUUGGCUUAAUGCAACAAAAAAAAUUCAAAACUUGUUUUUGUUUUCAAAUCUUGAGUGAAGAUUCAAAUGUUUAUACAAUGUCCUAGCCUGGAUUAAGAUCCACGUAGGGAUUAAGCUAAAUCUGAAUUUGACACCCGGUAGCUCUAAUAUUGAUCUUGCAACUUGUCAAAUGUUAUCACUAUUCGUCUCAAAAUGCUUAAUAUUAUUUUCAUAAAUCAAAAUGAUUUUUUUUUUUUUUUAGCAAUUGUUACUUUCUCACUUACUCACAUAUUUUAAAAGUGUAAGAGAGUUACAUGCAUAAAUGAAUUUACCACAAAAUUUACAAGUAUCAAAGUCCCAUGAUGCCACAUUGAUGUCUAUAAUUAUAGGAAUUAUAAACUCUCUCUUUCCAAAGUAAAAUAGCCCACCCUAAUCUAAAUUCUAAAUUAAAUAUAUUUUGCUAACACACAAAUGAUAUAUAUAGAUAGAGUUGCGUGUGUAUUUAUAAAAUGUUUUAGUUCGUUUUUUUAUAUUUAAAAACAACUAUUACCUCUUUAAUUUUUCUACAUUGUACUAAUUAUUAUUAUAUUAUUGGAACACAAUUAAUAUGUUUAUGAUUAAUGUCACUUAUAGCCAUUUUUAUACUAAUUAAACAAUGUAAAUGAUGAUAGGUUUGAAGUAUUUUAAAAAGAUGUCAUCUACACUUGAUAUAAGUAUGAAUCGAGAUUUAACGUAAUUGGUUACUUGUAAAGGACGAAAUCGCAAAAGGUACAUAUUGGACUAUACUUAUAAAAAACGUUUACGUCGAUAUAAUAUGUUAUUAUUGACGUUAUUUCGUUAUGUCGAUAUAAUAUUUGUCAUGAUAAAUAUAGUUGAUGAGUAUUUAAUUAUUGUCGAUCAAUUACAAAUGUUUCCAUUCCAUUAUUGAAAAUCUAUUUUGAGAAAUUAGGAUAUGAUUAAGACCAUUGGUUUAACUUUUUUCCAAAUAUAUUAAGAGUGAGAGGAAGAGAAGAAAAAUAAAUGAGAGUUGGCUUCAUUGCUACAUAAAUAGGCUUUUGAUGACAUUUAGAAAGUGUCAUAAUUAACAUUUGUGAUACUUUGUUUUGUGUGUCGUUGUAUUGUCCGUAAAGAUAUGAACAUUGCAAAUAAGUUUUUUUUUCGUAAUUAUGAACUAUACAAAUAUUUUUUCUUAUGUUAUAAAAAGUAAUACUUACUGGAAAUUCAUAGUUAGUAAGAUUGUCUCUCAUUUUACCACUAGGUCAAACUAUGAUGGUUGGAAAAAGAGCAAUUUGUAAAAAAUUUAUUUUGUUUUUAAAAUUUAGCUGCGAAUUCAACUCUUUUACUAAAAAAAAGAUGAGGAGACCAUUGUAGAAAUCGAGAGUAAAUAAGUAUUGAGAAUUUUGGGAAAAUGUCAUUUUUAUUAAAUUUGCAAUAUCGGGCCAUUACUCAAAAUAUUUUUGAGAAAUGAAUUUGGAAAAUAUAGUAGUUGGAGGGAAAAAUUGAAUCCAAACUCUAACUUUCUUUUCCUAUUUAAUUCGAAAUGUCUUUCUAUAUUGUUUUGUUUGAUCAUUAAUGAAGCGAGAAUGAUAAAAGUGUUAAAGAGGUAUUCACCUAAUGAAAAUGUCUAGAUGCUAUCGAUCCAAAGUGUCCUUUUUCUUCAAAGAAUCCCUUCCAAAUUUUCAUGAUAUAUGAAAAUGACAAAAAUAUUCUCAAACUACUUCACUUCUCUUAGUUGUUAUCAUCGACAACUACCAUCGAUCACACAUCAACUUCAAUUAUUACAUAAAAACCAUAUCAACAAUUGUCACCACUUAUCUACUAGUGAUUGUACCAGUUGAACACAACCAACUUUGUUCGUCGGGGUUUGCCAACGACGACUAUCACGAAAGGUCCCUUUGCAAGUAACACUAGUCACAAUUACUAUUUACCACUAAUUGUCACCCAGUUAUGCGUCAACUGAUAAUUGAAUUGUAGAGUAAGUUACAAAAUAAAUUUGUGCAUAAUUUUUCCUCUUUUCUAAUAAAAUUGUAAUCAAACACAUAUGAGUGUUAAAUUCCAAUCUCUUUUUCUUUUUAUAUUAAAAAUGCUUAAAAUAAAAUGUAUUUCUUAAAGAAGCUAUACACAAAGUAAAAGUACUUAAUGGAAGAAAAAAACUAAUUAAACAAAGAAACAUUCCCACCCAUUAAAGAAAAAUUUCCAACUAUAAAUAUUUUCAAAUUAGAAAAUGGAUAAAUACCAAUUAAAUGGGAAUAAUAUAUUAUUGUACCAAAAAUAAAUAUGGAUCAUAUAGUGUGAAAACUCUUCUAUAAAAUUAGGGUUUAUAUAGGAUUGCUCUUCACAUAUAAUUGAAUCAUAAAAUUUGUGAGUGUGACAAGUCAAAAGUGUCAAUGUGAAUAUAUAAUUUGAAUUAAUGAUAUAAAUAAACACGUAUAUGAUCUUCAAUAAUUAUAUUUCACAUGCUAUGUUGAACUAAUAACUAAAGAGAAUACAAGUCAAAACUUACUAGAUUUUUACCAUUUAUUAAAGUGAAACUUAAUUUUGUUACAUGUGGCAAAAUAUUAUGCCAUGUGGAUUCAACUCUAUUUACUAUCUAAUUUAAUGCACAAUAUCUUACCUCUUUUCAAGUUAUUAUGGAUUUUAGGUAGAGAACACAAUUUCUAAUUCAUCUAAUUUUUUAGGUAGAGAACACAAUUUCUAAUUCAUCUAAUUUUAAAUGCAUUCGUAUGAAAUUUUAAAAUCAUAUAGUAUAUGCUAGAGUGAACCUAACUAGUUCAAUGGUAUAAGUGAGAAUAAUUAGUUGACAUACGAAUAGUGGCCGAGACCUAUAAUUUUAUGUUAGGGACGUAACUUUAAUUUAUAUAAAUUUAAAAGUUGAGUUCAUUAGAUUUUAAAUUUGUAUAGUGAUAUAGUAGAUCAAUAACAUCUUGAUUUUUUUUUUUGUAUGUAAUACGUCUUUUUUAUUAUAAAAGUGAAAUGAUUAGUUACAAAUUAUUUGAAAUUUUAAGAUUUAAUUAGAAAUAUAUAUAUAUAUAUAUAUAUAUAUAUAUAUAUAUAUAUAUAUAUAUAUAUAUAUAUAUAUAUAUUUAUUUAUUUAUUUAUUUAUUUUGCCUUUACCAGUAAUUUAUAAACAUUAUUUAUAAUUUUAAAUUUUAAAUUAAAAGUUUAGAUAUCUAAACCCUAAAUCUAUUAGAUAGUUAUACGCAGAUAAGAGACUUAUUAGAGUCAAAAUUGAAACUUUAGAUACAUAUUAGUUAUAAUUUUAAAACUAGGGACGAUUAAACUUGUACUAAAAUGAAUGUAAUUUUAAACUACGAACAAAAAAAUUCACCUUUUAUACUUUUUAAUUUUCAAAAACUAAAAACCAGUUUAAAAAAUAUUUGUAUAUAUAAACCGCUUGGAUCUAGAUGUAAAAAUUAAAUUAAGUUUUUAACCCAUUACAAAUGUAUCUAUUGUACAUAUGCAUAUACACACGUACAUGUACGUAUGUAUAUAAAUAAAGCAACGAAAAUUAGUUAAUAUGUCACUACUUAACCAAUGUAGCAAAGUGCCAAGUUUUGAUCUAAUGGAGGCAUGGGUUAGGUAUAUACAAAUGUAUAACAUCAUGAUGGGGAGGUAUCUGCCUCCCUUCACUCAUUCAUUAAUUUAUUCACUCGUCAUGUUGAUCAUAUGGAAUCUAUGAAAAUGUGAAAACAAAUUGAUAAAAAUUUAAUAUUGUGUUCAUGUUGCACAUAAAUAUCAACUAUAAUAUGACAUAAUAAAUAUAAAUAAUUCAAAAAUAUAUAUUGAAAGAUUAAACAUGUGUCAUUUCAGGCAAGUUUCAUCCUCAUCUAAACUACUAAGGAGUAAAUAUCAUAUAACUCAAUCGAUACGUUGUUUCGUUCUAAACUUUAAACUAAUAACAAGUCACUAGUUUUACUUGAAAUUUCAUUUGAUAUCCAUUCAAAAUUACUCGUAAUUUUAUCAACGGUUCAAACAUUGAUUAAUACAUAGUUUGAGUUUAUAAUUGGAUACAAAAAUGGUGGUUAGGUUUUAAGGGUUUUGAGCAAUACAGACUUUUAAAGUCUGUGGGUAUGAAGAUAUAGAUGAAUAUUAUGGAAAAAAGUAAAAAGAGGAAAAACCAAAGAUAAUUAUAACAAUUGUAUUUUUUUGACAGGCAGACCCUUAGAAGGUGUGAAUUAUGAAACUUGUUGAAUAACUUUCAUAUGACUUUUUUCACUAACAAAAUGUAACGUAACUGACCAUUCCAUAUUGUAAUUCCCAAUUCAUAAAUUGGCAUUUGCUUACCAUUCCAUAUUGUAAUUCCCAAUUCAUAAAUUGACAUUUGCUUAGUUGUGUUCACAAAUAAUAAUAAUAAUAAUCCAAAAAUCAUGCACUGGAUUUUCUCAAAGUCAUGUGAAAGCUAACUUUUACUCUUUUUGUUUUGGUAAGAUGGUUUAAUAUUUUGGUGGUAUCUAUCAUUAAAACUAUACCAAAAGGAGAAAAUUUGAAUUUGCAUAGUUGGAGAGUUUUGUACUCUUUUCAAAUUUUGAAAUCACUUUCAUACAGCUUCCAUAUUUGGUAUGGCUAUGAAGAAUAUAUUCCACAAAACAAUUUAAUAAGAAAAUGUCUUUUUUUUUUACACUUUAAGUGUUUAAAUUAUAUACUUAUUUAUAUUAGAACCAUGCGGUGAUACGCUCUUGUUUUCAUAGUACGGUUUAAGGAGUCAAUCGACUAAAAUCUUGAAAAUAUUUAUAGAUAUAGUAAAGUUUCAUAAUGUAUCAAUGAUAGAUACUGGUAAGCUUCUACCAAUGUUACCUGUCAACACUGAUAAAUGACUUUUAUUUGAUUGUCACUGAUAGACUUGUUUAUCAGUGUACAUCAUUGAUAGAAUCUGAAAUUUUGUUAUAUUUUAUAAUUAGUUUGGUUCAUUUUAUUAUACUUGAGAAUAACUCAUAUAUAUAUGUAUGAACAAAAACAUCAAGUUUAUGUAUAACCAUUAAAUGAAUUAGGACAUACUCUUCGUCGCAAAUGAAUAAUUAAGACACACUUAUUUUAUAUUUGGUAAGGUAGCCAAAUUUAUUAGUUAAACACACAAGUUCAUGUCGUUGCUACUAUGCGUAGACUUAGUUUGAAUCUUUAAUCAUUUACGUUUAUUAGUAUGUCUUAUAAGUACAUUAUCAUCCAUUUAUGAUGGUUAAAUUUAUCAUGUUACCUAACGUUGAUAAACUAUUGAUACGUGUGUACAUUUCGAAUUUUAAGAAGGAGAUAUGAAUGAACUGAAAUAUCACUGUUCAAUGAAACAACUCUUGAUGACAUUAAAGUAAGGUUAAAGAAAAGCUUAUAAGAAUUGAAAUUAAAGUCACUGCUUAUAUCAAUAAUGUACACAUUCAUGUCCAAUGACUCAAACUAAAAGCUUCAAAGUUAAAACGUGUUUAGCUUGGAACAAUCCUAUAUUCCUAUAUUGGAUAACUUUCUAAAAAAUUUUUAAAAAAACAUGUGAGUGAAAACAAAGCAUGCUUAAAAAAUUUGUGUAUUGGUUUAUGAAAACAACUUUCACACUUAUAAACCUUCAAGACAAACAAAAAUGACGCAGGUGAAGUCGUAGGAGAUAGAAAGAAAUUUUAAAGUCUCGUUAUUGGAUCAGAAUUCUAAGUCCUAUAUGAUUUACACAUUUUGGAUUACGCAAAUAUUUUAGAUCGUCUCCUCCUUUCAACUAUACAUAUUUAAGAGAAUACGUUUGAGCACCUAUAACAAAGAAUGUGUUGUUGAGCACGUAUAGAUGUUAAUUUAACAAAGUUCUUGUUAGCAUAGAGGUACAUAGUGGAGUCAAGAACGAUAACCUAAACUUUUUGAAGUUAAAAAUAAAGGAAAAGUUUAUAACUAUCAACAACACUAACCUAAAAUUUUUUAAGUUAAAAAUAAAGGAAAAGUUUAUAACUAUUCAAACGUGAAUUAUGAAGUCUAAACAAGUGACAAAAAGGUUAAAAGUGAGGGUAGAAUCUCGAAGUUUGCUAAGAUGGUAAAUUAUGUUAUAAACUUACCGUGAAAGAUUUAUGUAUAGACUAAUUGAGGUUUGAAAUACUACUCAAAAUCAAAAUAUUGAAAUCUCAAUUCCGUACUAAAUAGUCUUUUUUCUUCUUAUGAUCUUUUUUUUUUAAUAUUUAUUAGUCUACUACAUAGUUUUUUUUUUCUUUUUAUAAUCUUCUUUUUCUAAUAUUUAUUAGUCGUAAAUUCAAAUAUCAGAUUAAAUAGUAUUUUUUCUUUGAAAUCUCAUUUUUGUACUAAAUAGUCUUUUUUUUUCUUUUUAUAGUCUUCUUUUUUUAAUAUUUAUUAAUCCUAAAUUCAAAUAAAUUCUCUUUUCUAAUAUUUAUUAAUCCUAAAUUCAAAUAUUAGAUUUAUUAGAUCCAAAGUAAUCGAGUACGUAACUAAAAUUUUAAAAAAUUUACAAAUAUAACAAAAUUUAUAUAAAAAAUUUACAAAUAUAACAAAAUUUAUGAUAUAAGUCUUAACAAAAGACCACACGAAGUAAAACUCUACGUAGUCUAUCAACGAGAAAAAACUACACAAAGUCUAUCAAUAAUAAAAUAAUAGACACAAAGUAAAAACUACACAAAGUCUAUCAAUAAUAAAAUAACAGACACAGAGUAGGUAGUCUAUCAACAAUAGAAUGAAAAAAUCCUAUCAAUAAUAAAAUAAUAGAACAAUAGAAUAAUAGAGAUGGUCUAUUAACAAUAGAAUAAUAGAACUAUCCGUAACAAAUAGAAUAAUAGAACUAUUUUUGUUAUAAAAUAUUGUUAUAUCCUUCCUUAUUAAAAUAUGGUCAUCAAUUUGAAUUGCAAUUUUCCUAUAUAAUUCGUUUAGGGUAAUAUUUUCUUUUGGGCCUAGGCCCCUAUUUUCUAUAUUUGCUAGAUCUUUUAUUUUGGGCUUUAGCCCAUUUAUUAAUUUUUUAUUUUGGGCUUUAGCCCAUUUAUUAAUUUUAGGUCAUUUGAAUGAGAACUUUUCAUUUAUAUUUGAUGAUUCAACAACCAAAAACCAAGAAUAUAAUUACAAAAGAAAGAAAUAACAAAAAACUACAAUUCUCAACAUCAACCUUUCAAGUUACAUGAAAAAGUAAAAUUCAUACCAUGUAAAGCUAACAGUCAUCCGAAAACUUAAAACAAAUAUUUCCAUAACUUAACCUUGGUAUCAAAAAGUCCAAAUGAAAAAAUUAGAAUAAGGUAAUAAAUUUCUAUCCAUCUUCCAAUAUUCUCAUAAAAAUUGAUAUUUUUAUUCAUAAAACAUGAAAGAAAAAAAAAACCAUAAAAAUAAAUGAUAAACGUUUUACCAUAUUCAAAUUGUGUAAACUAUUUAUUAAUUUAAAAUUUCCACCAAUAACAACAAUUGAAAGCUCCUUAAUUAUUUACAUUACUAUUAAAACAUUACAAAAAGUUGAACCAUUGUUCUUUCUUUCUUUUUUUUUUAAAAAAGGAUGAAUGGAUGGAAAUUAAGACUUGCUCCUUUCAACUAAAAGAAUGAAGACAGAAACCUUUACAUGUGUGUGUAUUUUCAUCAAAAGAAAAAGAAAAAUUAAAAAGGGGCAGAGACAAUGUCUCUAAGUUGAUAAAAAGGUUGUAACGACUCAUCAAUCUCUUCAUCAUGGUACCAAUUUUUCACUAUUGAAUCUUUAUCUUCCAUAAUUGCUUUACAUUCCACUGGUUGUAAUCCCUGCACCCAUUAUUUUCCACCCAAUUUAUUCACACCUCAAUUAUAUAUAUUGGGUAAUACCAAAAAGAAUUUGUAUAUAUAUUUGUAUCUAAUUAAUAAUAAUUACCUCUGUGAAAAUCUUCAUCGCUUCUUCUAUUGUUGCUGUGUUCAUUACAUAAAGUGCUGCUUCCUGAAAUAUAUAUCAAUCCAAAUUGGUCAUAAUUAAGAAAAAAUAAAUGAUGAGCUAUAUAUAUAACACCAAAUUCAAUCACCCAAUCUAAAAAAUAAAGCAAAAAAAUAUAAAAUAGUGAAAAUAAUUUUGAAAAAGAGAGAGAGAGAGAGAGAGACUUACUCUUGCAAAUUGGAUUUGAUGCAUUUUGAGAGUUCUUGGCUCAUUUUCAAUGGACGAUUUUCUAUCAAUACUUCCCAUUAUUGUUAUUAUUACUACUACAAUUCCUUCUUAGCUUUUCUUCAAUCUUCUUUAACGACAGCAAGUCGUCCCAAACACACAGCUCUAGAAAGAGAAACGAAGGAUUAUAUGAUCGAAAAUGGCUUCCAACUGUUUUCACUUUUGAAAGAGAAAGAGAAUGAAAUGUUCCUCUUUGGUUGUAUGAUGUCUAUAUAUACUGGAAGAGGAGGAGGAGGAGGAGGAGGAGAGUACUUGAUUGAAUCUGCCACGUGGAGUCUCUCAACCAUUAGAUUCGGGUACAACGUGGCAAGAGAAGGACGGGGAUCUCCGACCACGUGGCCUUCUCAUGUGCCUGUCAGCGUCACCUCCAAAUCUCUUGUCUUGAUCGGGUCUUUGCGUGACGGACCAAUGGGCAGCUGCCAUGGCGACACCACGCUGGGGUCGUGGCGUUGUGGAGAAUCGCGUCCCAAGUGGACACGUGUGUGGUUGGAGAGAAGGGUGCAUGGGACAUCAUGCACGUGAGUAGUCGUAGAUUGAAUUUCUAUUACAUCAACAGAACUAAACGAAAAGUCUAAUUAUAAUAUUUUUAUAUUUUUUAUUAUUUUUUCUUUUAAAAAAUGGAUUUAAUGAAUUCCAUAAUAUUAAUUAAAAAUAAUGUAUGAGUUUUGAUUAAUUAAUUAAUAUUUAAGUGUUCCGUAAUCAUCUUUUCUUAACAAUAAUAAUAUCUAAACACCAAGUUAUUGAUUAGGUUAGGUGGUAGUAUAUGUUGGAUAUAUACCUAAUCAUUUUCUCACUACCCAAACAAAUUAAUCUUCAAUAAUAGCAUCCUUCCAUUUAUAUUUUAUAUUUUUUUAUCGUUUCUAUUUAAACGGACUAAAAUGAACUAAAAUUUUUGUAGUUUGUAUCAAUGAUAGAUAUUGAUAGCUAGACAUAGAUAAAUUUCUAUCACUAUGAAGUUUCAGGGGAGUCUUUUAGCAAAUUAGGUUAAUCAUUAGACAUUGUUUGCUAAUAUUUUGCACGAUUAACUCCUUCGUUAAUUAAUUAUAACAUGUCUAUAAAGUCAUUUUGGAAAAGUGGUCCAUACCUGAGAGUGAAAGAGGAAAGCAAAAUUAAAAAUGGUGAAGAAUAUAAGAUUUCAAAUAGGAUUUGAGAAUUACUUUGUUAGGAAGAGAAAGAUGAAUGUACAAGUGUAACGUGUAACAUUGGAGUUGUAUAAAUAUAGAAAAAACCACACCACAUGCAACAUGCGACAUUCUUUUGCCCAUUUAGGUUUGAGAAAUCAUGAGAUAAUUAAUCUUUCUCUAUGUUAAAUUCAUGUAUUUUUAAAAUUGAUAUUUACUAUUUACACUCAUGGAACAAUAUUUUACAAUUCAAACCGAGUAUCGAUUGUACACGUGUAUAGCUAGGGUUUGGGGAAAUUUCAACAAAGAAAAAAAAGGUGCAUUUGACAUUAUAUGCACGUGGAAUUUUGUUAUAACCAAACCUUAAGGAAACUCUUUUGGUACUUAAACAUUUUCUCUUCAACUUUUUCUUUUUCUUUAAUCAAUAAAUCAAUUCCGUAAUCCUUAAGCAUGAGUGUGAUUAAUUAAUAUUUAAUAAUUAUCUGAAUUCCAAACAAAAAUCUCACACAACUUUCCACAAAUGUCUUAUUCAUUUUUAUUUUUAUUAUUUUUAGAAUUAGUUACAUGACUUAAUAAAGUUUUCAAAAAAAUUUAGAUUAUAAUCUAAACUAAAAUAAUUUACGCUACAAAUCCAAACUAUUCUAAUCAAACUAUAAUAACUCACUUUUUUCUUUGAACACUCCUUAAGUGAUUUGACACAAAAGUAAAAACUCUGCAACCCUAUUCAAUUGGUGAAGACAUAAGACAUAUAUACACCUUGAUCAAGAGGUAGAAUAGAAGUUUAAUUUUCUCUGUUUUUACAAACAAGAAAAAUAAGUAAACCUCCCAAUAAAUCAAUAGUCUCCUCUUGGGAAAUUGGUAGAAAAAUUAAGGUUAAAAAAAAGUGAUGUUAAUUCAAACAAAAAUAUAAAAUUAAAAUUUGUCCUCCAUGCUAUGCCUCGCUUUACCAUGACUAAGGGACGUGAUGUGUUUGUGGUUCAGUGUGACAUACAAUAACACUCUCGACUUGAGCCCAAAACUAAGUUGUGUGCAUAGGUUGAUCUCGAUUUUAUUAUUUAGGAUGCUUUAAAUAAAGUUCUUUUGUACAUGAUUGUUAUACAUACAUCAAUGUAUGUAGUGGAAGUUAUGUUAGCGAUUGUUGAUGAAUUUUGAAGUGAGCCAAAUAUAAAUUGUAGGGUUAAAAAUUAAGACUAAUUUUGGAGUAAAUUAUAGUUCUUGUAGUUGUAAAUUAUGAUUACCAAUGAAGACAAUAUAUGCAAUAAGAGCUAUGAAUUCUUCACCAAUAAGAGCUACGAAUUCUUCACUUGCUAUCACGAAUUCUUCACUUGCUAUCUUUGCUAAGAUGGAAUUUGUAACGCAUUUUGCAAACUAUUAGAACAGUAACAAUUCCACAUAAAAAAAUGUUAAGAAAAGAACGAGGGCUCUAAACACUAAAAUUAACUUUGUAAGAAAAACUUCUAAAUUUGGUGUUCAUCAGUUAAAUUCUCCUUUUGUAUUCUCUAGUUUGAAAAUGAGGAAGAUAGUGUAAAUAAUUUAAGAUGAAGGAGAAAUAUUGAAAUUAAUGUAUCAAAAUAAUUUUUCAUAAAGUGAAUUUCAAUCUCGUGGAUUGUUAAUUCUUCGGUGACAUCGAACUAACAAUUCAUCAUAAGACUUUUAUGUUCGAGUAAACAUAGAGAAGAGUUAAGCACUCUCGAAAUGAAUAGCAAAGUUUUACGUCAGCGAUUGAAAGCAAGUGAAAUACAUAGUGAACUAUAAUCUAUAUUAAAGCUCGAACACUAGACUAAUUAAUGAGAUAGAUGAAAUGAAUGUCUAAGAAGAUUGAAAGUAGUUCUUAAUUAUUCACUUUUAUUACCACUACAAAAGAAUAGAGAUUUAGGAGUGAUUGAAUUGAAUUCAUGAAGAAAUGAGUACAAUUACAACUAUGAUUUAAUAUAAGGUAAAAAUUGUGGUGAGUUAUUUAUAUUAUACGUAAAAUAAAUGUGUAACAAUAUCGAAUUACGCUAAUAUUACAAUGGAAACUAUAAUACAUAAUAAGGCUUCUUCUUCUCAUAAAGGCGUAGUGAAGUUGGCUUGUAGAAGAGGAAAGCAAUGCAAAUUCCAACUUAUUCAACUCGAGCUUAGUGGUCUUUACGAUGUUGUGUUCUUCCUCUUCUUUUCAAAUCUAAUAUACCAAUCAGCUUUCAUUUGGGUUUCACUUGUUCUUCUUCCCACCAGCCAAAAUCCUUUGAAUUUGGAGACCUCUGCUGAAUGCUUGGUUGAAGAGGAGCCUGGUCUGGAAUUCUGACACAAACGGGAACCAAGCGAGCACGGCCACGGGUGCAAAAAUGACAACGCCCAUCACGUACUCGUACCCUCUGGCUAGAGCUUUAACUGAUCCCCACAUCCCUAUUGCUUUCAUAAUAGGUCUACAUGCCUGUGCUAUCUACAACCACAAAAACAAUACUACAUUAAUUUUUUUUAAAAAAAAAACGUGACUUAAUUAGAUAACAUUACCUCAAAACAAAUUGACAAUGAAAAGAGUAUUCAAUCUAUCUUAUAAAGAGUGUGUUGUUACAUAAUAUGUCUUUUUUUUUUCUUUUUUUUAAAACAAAUAAUUUAAAUUACUCUUUAUUAGGUGAAGAGAAAUUGAAUCACUUCUUACAUGUUUUGAUUGAAGAAUAAAAUCUAGGAAUUGUCUACCAGUUGUUAAAAACAGAUUCUAGUUUAUGUUUAGAAUUCUGUUCCCAGAUACAACAUGGAAUGAAAUAUUAGUUUUGUGAAAUACCUAAAUGCCUAAAUCUAGUAGCAAGCCUUUUUUUUUUUUCUUUUGCAAUAUGUAAGGCGGAAGAACCAAGCAUCUAAUUUCAAAAUUGAUAAUACAAAUACUACCUAAGUUGUGCAAUUAUUUCAGAUGUGCAUAUGCAGUAAUGGAAGAGGGAAAGUUAUAGUCAAAAUCAAAGCCUAAUAUUUACUACCCUGAUGAGGGACAGGCGUAGUUAGGAAAGUGAACGAAAAAAAUAGGGCUUUAAGAUGACAUACUUGCAAAAUAGCCCAGCCUGUGGGCAUGAAGGCUAGAAUGCUUGCAAAAAUGUCGCCGACCGUGAGAUGGAGAAGCAUAAACAGCAUUGUUACUACGACCACUGAACCAAUAAACAGGAACAACUUCAGAAGUCUGAACAACAGCUGGAAGUCUGCACUGAAUUUCUUUCUACCCAUGGACACAAUCUGCAGUUCAAACGAUCAUUAGUGAGUCAGAGAUUCUGGAAAUAAAUAAGGUUUCUUCAAUGCAGGAGAAGUUAUUGGAGUUCAAUUAUUAACCUUCAGUAUAACCAUAACAGCAACAAUGACAAGCCAGGAUAAGCCAUAUACCUGAAAAUGACAACAGAAAACAAAGAUCAGAGGCUUUCUGCUCAUUUGUUUGUUCCUUAAAACCAAAUAGGAAUCAUAGGCUUACCGUGAUGCUUUUAUUAUUUCCAGCCACAUGUAGAUGAUACACUAUUCCAUACUGAUAGAGAAAGAAUCGGAUAGAUAGUACAAUUUCCCAGAAGCGUCCAACGAAUCCAGUGUGUUGAAGGUGUUCCUGUUCCUCAUCCCACCAGGACUCCCAACUUUUGGUUGCAGGCACACCAAUACCACCUCUGCUAUUGAUCCAUUUUGACCAAUCAUCCCAAUCAUCAACUAUCUUUUGCCAUUCAAAACCUGAAGGGUUGAAAAGGAAAGGGGCAAACAACCAAGAAACAACCAGGAACCACAUUGAGGAUGUGACGAAAAUGUAAGCUAUAGCAUCAGCAGGAGCUGUUCCAUAUAUCUGGUAUACUACAAGCAAUAUCAUAAGCUCUAGUCCUUUGACAAAGUGACUCCUUGAAUACAUCCUAUAGUUCUCAGCGUAUUUCUCAUGCCGCACGACAAAACCACGACCGGUAGCUCUAUACUUUGCUCCACCAUGAAGAACUGUGCGCCCAUAAUAAUGCACCUUUGUGCCAAGAGAGAAGGUGAAGAAAACGGAUGCUAGUUGUAGUUGCAUGAUUAUCAAGUCACCUAUUGCAGUUCUGAACCCUCUCUCAAGCCCUAUUUCCAUGAUCAUUGGCAAGGCAGUUAAAAGACCUAACUGAACAACUGAUUGCGAAGCCAUAGCGGCCUUUAAAGGAUCAUCUCCUUUUGCCCUAGCAUAUUUCAUUAUGGACUUCUCCAAUCCACUCAAUGACAGAUAAAGUCUACCAUAUAAGAAAGCAUAUACUGUAAUGACAAUCAUCUGCAUGACAAAAAGAACAAAUAAUCAUUGCAUGAGAAAAUUUCAGAGCUCAUAAAGCAAAUUAAAUAUACAAGUUAGUUCUGGAGGUAAAAGAAAAGAUUUAAAUGUGAAAACUCACCAUUGCACUGACGUAAAAUCCUACUGUUGUGAAGUAGAAAGACAACAUGCGAAAAAAGUCAAAACGAUGACCCAAACGAUAGAUGUCUCUGCUAAGAAUUUGCUCUCCAUUACCACAAGCUACCUUUGCCUCAAAAAGAGAGAUUUGAUUAAGACCAACAUCUCUGCCUUUCCCAACUUGAAUAUACUCGUGGUGAGUUACAUUUCCUCGUCUCAACGUCGAGUUGAAGCCUAUGGGGGAAAUUUUUUUUUAAAAAAAGAUAACAAUAAUUGAGAAGAAAAUAUCACUUGACUAGUGGAAGUGAAGUGUAAAGAAAAAUACCAGCAAAGAUAUCCUCACUAAGGUUGAUGCCUAGAGAAGCUUUGCUCAUGCCCCCACGAGUAAUAUGGAAAAUUCGAUCGAAAACAUCUGGAUGACCAUAGUGAAACCUCACCCUAGAACCAGUCAAUUCAGAGUUAAAUUUAUGAAUAAUAUCUAUGUUAGGUAAUAAGAUAUGUAAAAUAAGUUAAGUCCAAGAAGGAAACCUUACUUUAGAGGCCUUGCAAGAACCCGCUGACCAAUAGUAACAAAACUAGUUUCUUGAUUUGACAUAAACCAAGCCAAAGAAGAAACACUGCAGCGGAAGAAUUGAUGUUAGAAAAAGAAGUCGUAACAACUUUUCAUAGAUCUUGUUAAGAGAGAAACCUAACCUUCCAGUAAAAAUAUGUUCACGCACACCCAAAAUUGUAGGUGGACGAACACCAUGGUCCUCAUUGAACUCUUCUAAAAGGUUCCGCAUUUUGAAAGCUUCUUCCAAGUAAUUGUCCUAGGAGGGAUCCAGAAAGUUAACCAUCAUUAUUCAGCAUCUAUGUCAUAACCAAAAUCAAGCAGCAAUAUCUAGGUUUUGGUGGUUUACCUGAUUCAUGUCAAUGGCUUGAAGUGCUUCACCUCUCGUAAAAAUGAUGGCAUGGUUUUGAUUUUCAGGCUUCCCUUCUCCAAUCUUAGCUGAACCAGGUAGCUUAAUCCGAUAGAUUUCCUUUUAAAAAGAAAAAAAAAACAAGAUUACUCUAAUGGUAAGAGGAAUGAAUAUUUUUAAUCCUUGAGUUUAACUUAUUAUUACCUGGUCAAGAUUAUCAACACCUUUGACCAAAACAGAAUAGUAAACUUUUUGUGCUUUUCCACCUUCCCUCUCUUCAACUUCAUCAAUAUAUGCCACUCGAAGAGAUGGAUUACUGUGCCCAAAAAGAAAGUGAAAGGGAAAAAAGUUUAUAUAGAAAUCGCUCCAAGCAAAAACAAGUCUUGAAAAAAUCAUUAAUUCAAUUGCACUGAAGAGGUUGGGAACAUACUUAACCAUCAAAUUCAGAAUAUCUGUGGCUCGACGUUCCCCACUCCGUUUCUGAUUUCCAUAGUUCUGGCAAGUAGCAACGUACGUGAAUUUCAUGUCAGCCACGGCCUCUAAUUGAGCAUAUAGGGAUCUUUGGCUUCUUUUAUCCUCUUCUGACGGAACUGUGAUUGCUUUGUAGCCUUCAAGUAUCUCUAUCAUUAUCAAAAGCAAUAAUUAAGGAAACCAUAGUUAGUUAAUACUCAUUAGAGAGUGCGCACAAACAGUACCGAUAAGAAAACAAGACAUCUCAAUCACACAAAAAGAGAGAAUAGAAAACAAGCAUUCUUGACAGGUAAAUAUUGCACAUUACUAUAAAAGGUUAACAUCCACAUCUUACCACUUUCAGAAGCCAUGUCAAGAAAUGCUUGAAGCUUCAGAGCCCUUCGAUAAUACAUCAUACCCCUAACUGCAAUAAUUGUGUUAAUGCCAGCAAUGGAGAUGCAUAAAUGAACUCGAAAGUAAAUGUAGUGCAUUUAAGCUACCUGUUCUUGAUAGAGUUUGUCCUCGUAAGGACGCCCAAUGACGAAGGUGUAAUAUGUUUUCUUCAUUUUCCCAUAUCUCACUGUCUUUUUUACAAUUGAGUCGCUCCAUAAAGUUGUUCCAUUCAUCUAGCAAGAAGGCAAAUGUUCAUGAGAUAAGUCACUUAGAAAUCACUUAUCAAAGAACCAAGAGAUAUUUUGUGUCAUUUCCAUAUAUCACUCACCUGGAUAGAUUUUCUGCAAAUAAUAUAUGAUGGAGACACCAUCCUCAUUUUCCAUCUCAAGAUCAGUUUUAGAAUAUACAGUCUCCUCACCAUAGUAUGGGGUCAUAACACUGUGAACAACCCAAAAAUAUUCAUCUCAAGGUCAAUUUUAGAACAGACACGCCAGUUCACUAUGUUUUGAAGACAUAAUGCUGUAGACAACCAAAAAACAUUACCAAAUACAGGAACUGGGGUAUAUUAAUAACAUUAGUUUUAACUAAAGAUUUUUCUUAAGAAAAACCGAAAAGUAAUUUUUUACUUGAAAUGCCAAGAGGUCGAAUAAAAUCUCUAAUUUCUACAUGAAAGAUUAAAAGAAAAAUUCAUUCCUGCAGUGGUAAGACAUGAAACAUGAAUGUGUGCUUAAUAAAGCCACCGGCACAUUUAUAACUUCUUUUAGUUCGUAACCAUUCAGAUAUUUAAUUUUAGAUCAGCCACAGGAAUAAGCAUAGAAAGGGCGAUGCAUCCAAACUCAAAUUUGGAAGAAAGUUCAUAUAGAGUCAAAGAAAACCAGACCUGAAUGAUAACAUCUUACGGACUCGUGGGGCACGAGGCAUAUCCAUAAAUAAUGAAUUUGUAAAAAAUGCAAUUCUUCGCCGUGCUUCAAGAUUUAUAGGAACCUCAGUAGCAGAUUCUUUCACAGUCAAUAGUAGAUAGAGGCGUCUAAUCUGACAACACCCACAAAAACAAAAUUGUAUUAUUUCAAUUAAUCAGUUGAAAUCUUAGAAUGAUAGAUAAUUUCUUGAAAGUAAUAUUAUUUUCUUUUUCAAUAUACCCACCUGCUCUUCCCAUUGAGCAGUAACUGAAGGAGGAAAGUUUAUGGCAGGUUUAGUGUCAGUACCAGCAAAGAGUUGCCUUCCUGAGUCCUUGUUAUGACCCAGUUCUGCCAAUUCACUGAAAGAUAUAUUAAGUUACCAGUUUAGCAUAUAGCAGUAACCAUUGGAAGAUGCUAGUAGACAUAAAUAAAUUUACUUCAAAUUGCACAAAUUAUAUUUACUAACCGGACUUCAUUGAGCAUCAUAUCUCGAGUGACAACUUCUAACAUAUCUUGCAGCAAAAGCACCACUAUAUCUCGCUUGGACGGAUCUCCAUCUUUCUGAAACAGAAAACAAGAGCAAAGUUUCCAAUCUGAAGUAAUAGAUCAAUAAAUACUUCAGAAUUGCAUCAUAACUUACCAAGAUCUCCACGAGUUCCACAAAUUUCUUGCACAAAAUGAGUAAUGGACCCAUUUUGAAGUUUGUAAGAAGUGUGUUCUUCCCAAUAUUAUUUUCAACUUCUUUAAUAAUGGUCCCAAUAAUCCUGUAAAAUUCAAAGUGGAAUAAGAAUUCAUGAAAACAGUUGACAUAGGUUCUUGGUUUUACAAAUGAUAUAGAACAAAAGGUUAAGAUUUUUCGUGUUUUCUAUGGGCAGGAAAGGAAAACUAUGAUUAUUUGAUGAUGUUUGGUUCAAUAAGUAGGACUGUAGCUUGGAACCUUUUCUCAUUUUCUCCAACCACCAGAACAUUCAGGACAUUUUUGAAAGAUUCAUAACACUCUAUCACUGCACAUUUCAUGUACUCAUCGGCACAAAUGCGCUUCCAGAGGUCAGAAUCUCUGGAUCGAAAUUCAGCAGCCAUAUCCAAUGCUAUUGGAAUCUGUAGCAGUAGAAAAACUGUUAACAGUUGCUACAGGUAUGCCUAAAAAUUAAAAGAAAACAUAAAGGGACCGUAUUGACCUUGCUCGCUAGUAAAAAGGGAGGCCAUUGGAUUAUUUUUAGACUGGGAUCUGAGGAAUAAGGAACUAGCAAGAGAUCCACCUCCCUGUUUCAUUUGAAAAUCCAGUUUAGUUUUAAAAUUAUAAUUAGAAGGGUGCUUGGAAUGAAGAAACAAAAUAUAACUUAGUUUACACAGCCUUUCCUGUCACUUAUUAGAUCUUCCUCUCGGAAACUACAUAUCACUUCAUUCCACAACUGUGCAAACUUGGCAGCUUCACUUCUCCUGUUGGUGGUAAUCUACUCAGAAAUAAAAAGAAAUUACUACAGAUAUAAUGCUUGAACCACUUAUUUUAUACAUCUUAGAGAAAGGUAAUUUAAAAAAUUCAAAAAUAAAAGAGCAACCUCAUCAAAACGCUUUGAGAAGGAGAAUCCCCUUUUCUUAGACUUAUCUGAUGGCACCAAGUAUGUGUUGAAUGCACCUGGUAAGGACUGAAACCUAGAUCUAAGCAUACCUAGAGUUCGUAUCUGUUAUGAAAAGUAAAAUCAAAUCAAGUCAAACCAAUCACAUUUAACCUUGUAAUUAAAAAUAAGAAAUUCAAAUAAACAUUGUUAAACACUUGGCUAUAUUAACACAAGAAACUUUCGUAAUUUAAUUGAAUGCACAAUUAUUUGCUGAAUGAAAAAUAGUCAGUACAGUGUAAUAGUUUCAACCUAAAGUAUAUGCUCAAACAAUUACUUUCGCCAUAUUCUUCUGAAAGAUCAAAGUGUAACAAUUUCUAAGCCAGUUCGAGACAUCAGAAUAUACCAACUUAUUGUGCAUGCUAGGCUAAAAAGAGGUUGAAGAAAAAUAGGUGAAUGGAUAGUCCAUUAAGGAUGAGGAGUUACUUCAUAAGGUUAAUAAAUAAAAUUAAAUAAUAAUGGUUAAACAAGCAGAAUAUCACCUCUCCCAAUCGAUCACAAGCUCCAAUGAAACCACCAUAUAUAGUCGAAAAUAUAGCAUACCAAAUUUGAGUAUCCAUGAAAUAAACCUGCAUUCAAAUUAAAAAGUACAAGAGGUUGUAUCCAAGACAAUACAAAAAUUCUUCAAUACAUUGUACAGCUAUGGCAUAAAACAAAAACAAAGAAGUGAACAGAGAACAUACCAAAAUUACUGGCAUCCACAGUGACACAACUGCCCCAUAGUUGUGCUUGGCUGCAUGGAAAAGAUAAUUUCAGCACAAGCAAAAGUAAUCAAAGCAUUAAAGUGAAGUGAUCAGACAUGAAACAAACACCUUUAGGAAAAAAUUCAUGCCAUUCGUAUUCAACUCGAUGAAUAUUCAUUAUAUCUUUUGUUGGCUUCACCAAUGGCUUUAUCUGAAGGGAUUAAAUACAGUGGUUAGAGGACCUUAUUGACCAAAACCUCAAUAUAUUUAACUACUGAAAUUGUUGUCCUUGCUAUUUUAAAAUUUUAUUACCUGAACAAAAUAGCUAAAGGCAAAUUUGCAGCAUAAGAGUGACACCCAAAAGAUGGUAUACCUGAAAUCAGAUAAUGUCUUAGCAUGAAGUACACACUAACUAAUAAAAAAAAAUAGAAUUUGCAAUUUCAUAAAUAACAAGGAAAAAUUGAGAUCCAUAGCCUGUCACUCACUUAAUAAGUGAAAAUUGACUUUCAUGCAUUCCUCUUCCGACAUAUAUUCUUGGCUGCAGAAAGCGACACAGUUAUCAAGGACCUUACCAUGAGACCUAGAAUAUUCAAGGCCUCCAACGAGAAGCUUAUAAACACACAGUUAAGAACACAAGUGAACCAGAGGCAUGAGACCAGAUUUUUCCCACUUGAAAAAAGCCAAAAUAGUCUACCACAAAUAUUUGUAGAGAAUCAAAGGAAAAGAGAAAAAUGAUAAACAUGUUGCAGACAAAUUACUGGUGUAAGCACACCAUGUACAGGAAUCAUGAUUGUUAGUUAGGCACCAAAGUUUUACCUUCUACAGCUGGAUUGAAAUUAGGAAGAUCGAUAAGUGUAUUACUAAAUCUGGGAGAAAAGAUGGUCUCGGAAGAAUCAUCACUAAUUUAGUGGGGUGCAUGACAAUAGCAGUAAGGUAUAUAAUUGCAUCAAAACUGUGAAGUGGUCAAAAUGUAUUUAUUUGAUGGAACACUUACGGACUAUAAAGGGGAGGAAUAGAAACAGAGGAGAGAGAGAGAAUUGAGCAGCAUAUCUACCUGAGACCACCAAAGUAGAAAUCUGAUAAUGUGCCAAUCCGAGUUUUCAAUCCAACGUCGAAGCAUUGGAAAUAUGAAUAAAACUGCUGCAAGUAGAUUUGGUAGCAGAUAUAGAGCAACUGCCAUUAUAUAUAGAGGAGGAAUGCCCCUCAACGGGUUAAGAAAUGACAGCACGUCUCUGAAUUUCUCAGAAGCCAUCUUGAAAGUGUGAAGAUAGCAUAGGGGAAGAGCAACAGCCCAACCAAGACUGACAAUAACCUUUAGAAUGUUUCUAAGAACAUCAGUGAACUUCCAUCGGUGAAACCCUGGAAAAUUUAAAGCUAAGUCCAAGAUACCUGCAUUAAAAGAUGCACGUCAUUUAUGAUAAACAUAUAAACGAAGGACUGCACUAAAAGGAGAUGGAUUCAUAAUUCCUCUCCCCGUCCAUUUCAAUGGAUAAUUCAUAUAAACUUUCAAAAAUACAAAUACCGAAUAAAGAUAUAGUAAUAUCUUAAAGAAAGAUUUCUCCAAGUUUGACCAGUGAUUUAACCAGAAAUUAAAUCAUGAAGAAAUUAUGUAAGAUUUCAAUCACUAUAGCAUUCUCAACAACUUCUAAGCAUUAAGGCUCCUGAAUGAGAAUAUUUUACUUUGAAGAAGACGAAGGACUGCAGCAGUGAUGAAAAUGCUUGAUAAGGCGUACAAGACAUCCUUUUGGAAAAUCUCCAAUGGUGAAACUCCUUUCCAUGCACCAAUGGCCAUUGCCUAUAACAAACAAAUUGAAGAGUAGAUAAAGUAAGGAACCCAAAAUUAGGAGUAACAUGAAAAACCAUCAAAGAAUUUGUGUGUUCUAUAAUUGGAUACCUGAAGAGCUAGAACAUAAAAGGUCCAUAAUCGAUCAAAACUUCGGAAUGUGUGCCAAAAUGUUCUUGUCUCAACAAAAUAAGAUUUUCCUGUACUUCCAGAUUUUCUUUGCGGUCCCUUUCUUCCCUGGUACAACAAAAUUUUUCAUCAAAGUGUUGGCAACAAAACUGCUUGAACAAAGGGAUCAACACAGAGUUCUUAAAAUAAAAUUGUAAAAAAACCUGUGCUAGGUCACGCGUUGAUUUGAAAAAUUCACCAUCAUCUCGCAUGGGCCAACCAAGAGAAAAGCAAUCAGAUGACCUACAAAGCAAUCAGAUAACAUUCAAAACCAAAUAAAGACCAACAGUAUUUGGAAGGUCAAGUCUUUGUUUCAAGCUAACCAGAAGUACUCAUUCAGAUCAUCAUAGUUGCACCAGACUGAGUGUGGAGCUUUUCCAUUUUGGCUCUUCUUGGCCUCCUGAAGAACAAAAGUAAAUCCAUUGUUGUUGAAACAAAAUGGUAGGCGGUUGAUAUAAUAUUAAAUUUGUCUUCACUCUUCAUCUAUUAGCUUAACUUUUUUAAUUAAUUAUUUAAAAAUGUCAUUUCGACUUGUUGGGUUUCAUUAUAUUUCAAGUACACACAUGAAGGGGAGUAUUAAAUGAUAUGAUACUAAAUUUGUCUUCACCCAUUAGUUUAAGUUUUUUGGAUAAUUGAUAAUUUAAGAAUUUGAAAUAAAAUGAUAUGCAGCUUAAGGAUUUGGCUGACUGACCUUUUCAAUGACUCGGUAAAGGGGAGUUAUAACCUUCCGCAAGAAAGCUUCAUCGUCCCCACCAUAAGAAGGCUUAAUAUUUUCACCAGUAACAAUGCUCACGUUUCCAGCCAACAAGCCAUGAAGUUCAUAUGCCAUCUAGUUAUGAACAAUUCCAAAGACUAUAAUGUUAAGGGAAUAUAUUAACAAAUUCUUUAGUACAGUGAUCAAAAGGAGAAAAAAUCCUUACAUUAUGAAAUAUGUAACUCAAACAUUCUGGCAUGAACCGAACAUUUGCUGCUUCACCCCAGAUGAGAAGAUACAAACCCAUGUAGAGUAUCUUCCUUUGCUGAAUUUCUAGCUCACCUUGAGGGAGCCUAGACAAAUUAAGAUUUUAGUCAUUUAGGUGCAGUGUUAAUCAUUUGAUUUUUUGUUUUUAGUUAUUAAAAAUUAAGCUUAUAAACACAACUUGCACUUAUAAAUUUCUUUAUUUUGUUAUCCACUUUCUAUCAAUGAUUUAAAAAACAAAGCCAAAUUUUGAAACCAAAAAAAAAAGUAAUUUUUGUUUUAAGAAUUUUACUAUGAAUUCAAAAGUUUUUAUAAGAGAGGCGAAAAACCUAGUAAGAAAAUAGGGAGACAACAUGCAUAAAUUUCACAAAUGUAAAACCAAAAAUAAAUCGCUAUCAAACAGAGUGGUAAUUUUCACAUCUUCCGAUCAGCCAUAAUAAUUCAAUUAUAAAAUUCCAAAAGCACAAUGGACAUUUUAAAAUUUGAUAAAAAAAAAAUGAUUUCUCACCUUAGACUAUGUUUUCGUCCCAAAAACUUGCACCACGUUUUGUAAUUCUUAAACAAUUUGUUCAUUACUGCAUCAACUGCUCGUUCAUCAAGCUGCAUUUAAAGAACACUUGAAUAUGCCACGGAGCAGAGAGGGGAAAGAAAAGCAAUCUCAUAGUUUGAUAAACAAUGGGAUUCUCUAACCACCAGAAGAAAAUCAUAUAAAUGAACUUGAUAAUUUGUUUGAAUCAACGUACAUUGGAUAGACAUAUCUUUAAAAUGACAUGAUUUGCAUGUAAGAGUACGUAUUGUACCUUGUUUAGAGGUUCAGGCUUGGGGUGAAGCCUUAUAUGAGAAUUAGCAAGCAGAAGGAUCAAAUGUUCUCGCUGAUUUCUAACAUUAUCUCUCUGUAGCCACAAAUAUGUCAGUUGCAUAUCGUUUAUCUCUUAAGGCAGUUAGUAGAAUUCUUGAGUAUUACGAAAAACGUACCUGAAAUCCAAACAUUGCCCUUAACCAAUCCAGUAGGUCCAGAUCACCAGCUUUCUGCCUGCGUUGCUCAAACGCACUUGGCCAGUUCAAGCCACGAGUAUUCCACAAGGCACCCACAGCAGCCUUAACCUAAAAGUAAUGGAAAAAAGGACAAAGAUAAGGUUGAAUUUGGUUAUGAUAACAUGAAGACCCUUAUUAGCCAAGAAGCACAGACCCUUUAGUUUGACUAGUGACACUUGUUGGACACGUAUUCAACACUUGUUGGACACAAUGGAUAUGUUAGAGAUUAGUUUUACAAAGUUAAAAUAGGACCAACAUUUGUUAGACAUUUGUUAGGCGAGCAAACAAACACUUGUAACGUAAACUCAAACAGAAACAUAUAUGACAAAAAUAAUAAAAGAAAAAAUAAGAAUAGAAUACAUCAAACUAACUUAACUUUGAAUUUCCCUUAUUGUAUAAAAAUGAUAUAUAUUCUAAUCAAGGUGUCCAAGUCGAGUCUGCGUUCUAGAUUUUGAAAAAAAAUGGUGUCAUCACAGCUAUGCCUAUGUUGUAUUUUGUCUCGUAUUUGUAUCCAUGCUUCUUAGCUUAUCAGUUGCAAGACACAAACCUCUUCAAGCUGCAUUAUAGACUGGGAAGCACCAGCAGAAUCAAGAGGUAGAAUGUUAUAGGGUGCAUAGAUUUCAGUCUUUUCUUGGACAUCCCUCGCAGCAGCAAUAAUCUGUAGAUGUAGAACAUUACUAUAGACAUCUUCAUAGCAACCAAUUAGGCGAAAUGGUAAGUAAGAUGAAUUAGACAAUUGACACUAAAUGGAACAAACCUCCGGAGCAACUUCUUCAACUUUCUCGGUCUUAUUAACGGCACAAAGCACUUCGAAAAGCACACCGGCUGUUUGGUAAGCUUUACCGAGCUGGGCUCUGCCAAAAGAUCAGAAGGGGAAAGAAUUUCGCGAUGAGACACAUUGAAACAGAGUGUAAAUGAAACUUGAGAAAUUUACGAGAGUACCUGUCUGCUUGCUCUCCUUGAUCAAGAGCACUGACAUAAUGCUUGUAAUAUUGUUGAUAGAAGGCUUCGAUUUCCCUAGCAUCUGUUUUCUUCACUCGAGAUGCAAGACUCGAUGCAUUAUCCUGGACCAAAGACGACACGCUUCAAAUUAGUUCUAUUCAAAGUUCUUCCGUCGAUAAUCGGAGGACUUUACAGGCCACCGCCAAAUUCAUGGCGGGGAAACAGAGCAAAGCAAAAUAUUGGAGACGGGGCGCGCCACAAUAUGGCUUUUGUAACUUUAUGCGUAAGAGAGAACAUUUGUGAAUGUAACCAUAUUUUUAAAUUUGAAAUUUCACUAAUUAUUAUUUAAAUGAUAUAUUAGCAUUUACAUUAUAGGACCAUAUAUUAUAAAUUGUAACAGAAACAAAAUUUACAUUUCCACUGCUAUAGAUAGUAAUAUGUUAGAAAAUAUUUUUAGUGGCAUCCUUCUUACAUAUUACUUUUAUUGAUUAUUUAAAUUUAAAAGAAAAUAGAUCACAAGCAAUAAAUUAAAAUAGUAUAAAGAAUUAUAGUAUUAGAAAAUUUAAUUUAUUGUAUGUCACUUUAACACCCUUUUAAAAAUAGAAUAGAGUUUACAUACACUAAUGUUUGGUUCAUUAUUAAUAUGAAACUAAAUUUAUGAUAAUCGUAUACUAUAAAUUUGAGUGCAGUAACAAUAUCAUUAAAUAAAUUUUACAAGUUAAGACACAUAAUUGCAUGUGCAAUAAUUUUGAAUGGAUAAAUGAUUUGAGUAGGUGUUGGGUAUAGUUUAAAUAAUUUGUAUUGGGUGACACGGUUUUGAUUUAUUUGUGUGUUUCUUGAUAUGAAUAAUGACAUCACUUAAUGACAGUCAUGCAGUUAAGAUUGCAAAAGCACAUGGACGGAUCCUUUAUGAAACUGCAUGGAAUUAGCCAUGCAAUAUUAUAUAUACGUACCCUCUCUAAUCGUUGUAAAAGUGCUGUUUUAAACUGCCUGACACCACGACCACUGGAGCUGGGAUCCAACCUAUGGGCCUUCUCAAACGCAUAAAAUCGACCUAAUUAUUUCAUUGGAUCACAAUUACGGUGAGAUAGAGAUCAAAUACGAAUUAAGCAUAUAUAUAACCAACAAAACCAAUAUGAAUAUUAACGUACAGAGAUAUGCAACACGAGGGCGUUCUGCUUCGAUCUCUGUAGCGACACGAAGAAUAGGAGCAAUGGAAGCCAAAGACGAGGGAACCACCUCAUUGUCAAACACCUCUGUUGAGAAGACAGUGGUAGCAGCGCUACGAGAUGGCCGCCUUGUCAGCCCUUGAGGGCCAGACUCCAGCGUCGACAUAACUCACACGUCCACCACCACCACCACAGCAGUAGUAUAUAUAUAAAUAUAUAUCCUCUUUAAAUAUUCACGCCCCAAACAAUGAUCAUAAACGCACAUGUGAGAUCCAGAUCAAAAGGCUAUAGCAUUACAAUCCGAAGAUGUAUAAAUAGUGAUGCCAUGGAAGAAGAAAACUUACGUAGUUAAAAGGAGAUGGAAGAGGGAAAUGGGAGGCGCCUUCUCCUAAUGGAAGGUGGAGGAGAGGCAAAAAUAGAAGGGGAAGCUGAAGAAUGAAUAAUAAUAAUAAAACGAAAGGGGAGAGAGAGAGAGAUUGUGUGAUUAUGUUCCUUACAGUUAUUUUUUUAUGGGACACGUGGCAAUUGGAGAUUGAUGGGAUUCUUAAACAAAGACUGUGGUUCAACGUCCUUCUCGGAUGUUUGUUUUGUUCUGAAUUCUAAUCCUCUCUGUUGUCUUUCUAUUCUUAUGUUUCUUUUCUUUCCUAACAAUCCAUUCUUCUAACAACAAAAAUAAUUAGUAGAAAAACGUUUUAGGAACUAUAUCACAUCUAAACGAUAGAAAUUUUAAUAUCAUAUAAAAAUAUAGUUAAUAAAAACUUACAACGACAGAAAGUUAAUUACUAUUUUACCAAAAUAUGAGUGCACGUUCAUUUUUUAUAUGACUCAAUCAUAUAUUGUGUCAAAAGUUAAGGAUUACAUUUAUUUCAUUAAUCUCCCUCAUCGCAUGACCUUCGGGUCUAAAUUGUCUUAUCGACUUUAUGCCUUUGACAUGAAUCUUACGAUGACUUUUAACAAAUUUACUCUCUUUUAGAAGAAAGCUUAGGGCAUAAAGAUACCAGAGACUCGAGUUGGCUCAAACCCUAGAAGGCAUGGGAGCAUAUCUACCAUUAAAAAAUAUUUUUUUUGGUACACCAUUGAUCUUUUUAAAUCGGAUGAUAUCUAUAACCAAAAGGGCUAGCUCUAUAACGACAUUGAUUAGGAGUCCCUUACGUGCUAUAUUUACUCUUUUAGUCCAACUGUGGCCACUUUGCUUUAUAGCUUAGAGCAAUUUUUUUUGUUGAGGUCAUCGAAUCGCAAGACGAUAUCGGAGUUAUCAGUUGUUGAAUCUUGAAACAGAGAUGUUAUAUUUAAACAAGUUAACGUGUUUAUUAUUGCUUCAUAUUGAUGACUUUUUUUUUUUGGAUUUUUUUAUAAUUUAAACAAAAAAAAUUAAUAUCAAUAAUAUUACUGCUGCAAAGCCUUAAUUAUUCCCUGUUUUCUAGUCUGUUGGAGGUCAAGAAGAUUCAAGAUCCCACAUAACUUCCUUUAAAUUCGUGCUCUUAAUAAAACUUCUUGUAUUUAUUUAUUGUGUAAUAUAAUUAUUUAAUUAUUACAUUCACAUUAUCCAUUAUCAGUCAUGUAAAUAAAAGUAUUAGAUACAAUGAAUUUAUAUAAGACUAAACCUUAAAAUAUUUAAUCUCUAAUUUAUAAAUCGAUUAAUGUAAUUUAUAAAAUUUUUAAAAUGUAAUUAAGAGUUUAAUUAUUAUUUAUAAAAUUGCCGAAUGAAAGAUUUGCUUCUAAAAUAUCUUUGAGUUGGCGUUAAUGGCGGGUAGUGUUAGUAGUUGUUUUUUUUCUUUUUUUUUUUCUUUUUUGUGCUAUCCAAAGACAAUGAAAUUGAAAGGAGAAAACAAAUUGUUGAGAAGAGUCGAAACUAAAAAAAAGAAAAAGAAGAAGAGGUGUUUAUGUAUAUUUUGUGAUUAUGGAUCAUGAACGAACUAUGAAGUUAAAAAAUGGAAAUUAAUCUAAUUUCUGUAAUACAAUGAUCAUGUAUCAUAAAUUAUUUGAGUUCUCGAUGGAGUAUGUUGCCUCAAAUUCGUGGAUCUCAAGCUUUGGUAAGGAUCAUUUGGAUCAAGAUUACGUGGUGUAACUUCUUCUUCUUCUCCAUGCUCACCCGCCAUUGUUGUUCCGAACUGUUGCACUACCAAAACUGAAGUUGUUGCCGCAAAAUCCGAUGAGGCUAGCAAAUCGCCUAUUGCUCCCAGCUCUGGACAUUCACUCCAGUCCGUUAGUCCGGCAGUGAGGGGUGAUAUGUGAGAUUCACCUCUACCAACGAUGAACAGGUCGUGAGCAUCGUUCAUUGAUCUUAUGGCCGCCACUGUCUCUUCGCCGUUGUUCAACACUUUUUCUGUGUAAGUAAUUGACUCACUGUUUGGGUUCCUUGCCCUAAAUUCGCUUAUAUGAUCUUCGUCCAGUUUCCUAUCUCUGUUCAUUUCUGUUUCCAUUGUUGAAAUUCUUGAUGUGUUUUCUUCUAGUUUUGGUUCCAUUAUUUCUUGUGCGGCGAUGAAUCUCAUUACGGUUAAAUUCACUCCUGGAUGUUCUGACAUUCUCCAUGCAUAUGAUAGGGCUUCUCUAUCAUCUUGCCCACCAAAGAACAACACGAUUAUGUUAUAAUGAGUUCCUUUGUUUGAUGUGGCUCGAUUCGCGCCGUUUAAGCCUCGAUCGACUAGGAUUCCGACGGAGCAAGGGGCAUUAGCUAAUACAUUUUGGUUUACCAAUCUAAAUGCUGGAUUUGAGGCUUCCAUUCCUCCAUCCACUGUUUGUUGUUUAUGGAAUGGGAUGAUUAUGAACGCAACUCGUUUAUCUUCAGCUAAAUUGCAGAUGUCUUCGUGCAUUGUGGAGUAAGGGGAAAUGGCGGUGAGAGGUUGAACAGAGACGCAAUCGACGUGUUGUUCAUAGUUCUCGAAUGCAUUAAUGAUGUGAUCUGAUUGAGCUUGUGUUCGAUUUAAUGCAGGGCGGCCUGAUUUUCUGGUGUUGUGGACAAUGAGCAUGGCGGAGGCUCGACCUGUGAGUUCAACCAAGUGUAGCACGUAAAUGCAAAUUGGGGAUCUUUUAGUUGGAUGGGAAGCAUCAAGGAGGUUGAUGAUAGUUGGCACAUUUCGAGGUGUGUGUAUACAAACUAAUACUCUAAAUUCUGAAUCUGGUUUUGAUGCUUGGAUUGUUCGUUUCUUAUAGGGUAGAAACCUUCUUGUUGGCCUAUAGAUUAUGGUAACUACUGGUGUUAUUAUCCCUGUCAUAAUGAGAGCUACAAUCACCAUGACUGUGAAUGUUUGAUCAUCUAACACCUGCAUAUUUAGUUUAAAUUGAUUAUUUGAUAAGAAUGGUACGAAAAAAUAAUGGUAAAGAAAGAGAUAACACGUUGAAAAUGAUCAUUAUUUAUUGAGUGUUUACCUUCUGAUCCUUUCCGACAUUGAGGAUGAUCAUUUCAAUAAGGCCUUUGGUGUUCAUAAGCAAACCUAACGUGACGCCUUCACGAUAGGACAUUUGAUAACAAAUGGAGGCAAGAAGAGUUCCUAUGACUUUGCCAAGGAAAGCAAGGAGAGUGAUACAUAGAAUAGAUAUCCAAGCGAAUAUUCCUUCUAUGCUUGAAAUAUUAGUCUUAAGCCCACUUAUUGCGAAGAAAAGAGGAAGCAAGAGGCCUGAAACAAAAUCCUCAAGUUUCUCAAUUAAAGCCACCCCAAGUGAACCAUUUGGGAUAACUAAACCAAACACAAAAGCCCCAAAAACGGAGUGUGUUCCUAUGGCAUCUGUAACAAAUCCUGAGAUCAUAACUCCUGUCAGAAUCAAACAUAUGUAGAACUCACUCACACUUUCCCCUUCUGGAGUUUUUCGAAUCAUCCAUGAAAUCAUUGGUCUAACGAUGAAAAUGCAAAACAAAACGAAGGCUGCACUUGACAGUACAACCCAUAAUGAAGCAAAAGAUGAGGAAUCAUUCUCCGAUAAGGCUAUGGCUAAAGCUAAGAGAACCCAAGCACACAUAUCGUUGAAAAGUGCAGAUGCCAUAGCCAUCCUUCCCAGCUCUGAAUUUAUAAGUUUAAGCUCUGCAAGAAUUCUAGCUAGCACUGGGAAAGCAGUCACAGAGAGCGCAAUACCAAGAAACAUAAUGUAAGUGUUGUAGUUCAAUUUUUGGCUUUCUUUGUGCAAUUGGAAUGAAAAGGCAGCUCCUAUUCCGAACGGAAGAAUCAUUCCUGCUACAGCUAUUGCCAUUGCCUUCUUCCCUGUUCGACGAAUCACUGAGAGAUCCAUUUCAACACCAACCAAGAACAGAAAGUAGAGAAGCCCCACAUUGGCCAUUGUCUCAAGCACCAUUACACUUCUUAGAGGAAAUACCGUGUUGGCAAAUUUAGAACUCCUCCCUAGUACCGAAGGCCCCAAAAUCACUCCACCCUAUUACAUAAAGAAACCAAAUUCAAGGCUCGAUUAGUGAUAUAAAAUUAAACUUGCCUUCACUAAUUGGUGAUAUAAGACUCCAAAUGUCAUCACCAAUGCCAAUAAGUUAGUUGCAAGAAAGAACCUAACUAGAGAAUCUCAAAACUCACCAAAAUUUCAGAGAUGACUCGAGGUUGACGAAAGGGUUUUAAGAGGAAAACCAAAAUGCGAGUCAUCACAACCACCAUUGUUAACUGCAAGAUGAAAAGGGGGAGAGAAUAAUCCAAAGGGUUGUCACCUUGCCACACCCCAUUUGUCGUAAUCAUCGUCGGCGCAUAGCAGACAAUGGUAUCAUCUGUGCCAUUGGAUAUCGAAGCUUGUCCAUCCAUUUCUUCUUCUAUUUACUUAAUCACCUCUUUCUUACAAUACAAGCAAAGCCACCAUUAACAAAGAACUUCGAAUGAAACUUGUGGAAUCUAAGCUAAAGGAAGUAUUCAUAUUGAGGAUUUGGUUUGGUUAGCAUUUUGUGUGUUGUACCAGCGAGGACCAGCUUGCUUGGAAUGGGGAAACGAAAACAGAAAGAGAAAUUUUGAAGUAAUAUUUGUAUUUGAGAAAAGUUGGUUGGAGAUGUGUGGUCAAAGAUAGAUUGACUAUUUCUAGACCCCAAAUUAUUCUUGGUGGGUUGAUCAGAGGCUUGUAAAUAGGCUUUUCUUAGGCAAUGAACAAUAUUAACCUACGUUUAGGGAAUAAUAUAGAUAGACAGUCAAUUUUUGUUGGGGAGAAUUUGCGUUAGAGUUGCAAUGGCAUGAGUAUUUUAAAUUAUUUAUUUAGAAACAUGGAACUUUAUGUUGGUUAUGUUUUCUUAAAUUAUUUCUCAAAUUUUGAAACAUGGAACUUUCUCAAAUUUUGAUUUAAAUUCAUUGCUAUCUUCUAUGUACCAAUAGUUUAGAUUUAAAUAUAUUUUUAAAAAUAACAAAAUAAAUUAAAAUAUUUACGAGCUAUAACAAAACUUGUCAUAUAAGUUGUAAAUAUUUUUGUAAAAUUUUCUAUUUUCAAAAUUUUUCCUUAGAUUUAUCGGAUUCAAGACCUUUAUUAGAAGGCUUAUCCUAUUUUGGCCUAUAAAUGUUUAAAAUUUAUUCUAGAUAAAAUUUGUACACAUAACUAUUUUUAUCCUUGCCAUUAAUUUUUCUUCUAAAAUAAAUCAUGUACAAAAAACUUGAUAUAGGUAUAUGUUUUAUUCAUUUACUUCAUCCUUAUAUUCUCUGAGGUCGUAUGUAAAAUCAAAGUUUUCAAAUAAAUUUAAAUUAUUGUUGUAAAGAGAAACCAAUCACAAGGAGAGCGACUAAAAUAAACAUAGCUCAAUAUUGUUAUAGUGUUUGUAUUAUAAAACUCGAGAUCAUAGAUUUUAUUUUCCUAUCCAUACAUCUAUUUAAAAUAGUAAGAACUAAUAUAGAUUUACUUUUAACUUUUCUUUCUCUUACAUAAUAUACUAUUAAAAAUAAAUUUGUAUAUAGUAUCAAGUUUCUAUUUAAAAAUAAGAUUUAAACAAACCCAUUUACAAUUAUCAUCCAUCAUCUUAUUUCAUUCUCCAGUAUCAACAUUUUUCUUUUCUAAAUUGUACUUUAUGCGGAAUACUUGCUCCUGUCUAUUCGAUAACCAUGCUAGAAAAGAACUUUUAGAUAAAGCAAAAUUUUAUUGCAAUUUUUGGAGCUUAUGAAUGAUAAUUGAUAUAAGAGUCUUAUAAAGGAGUCUAUCAAUAAAAUAUAAUUUAUUACUUGAUAAAAUUUUCUGUAAUUUUUUGAAACGAUGUUAUACAUUUAAUUAUUAGUUUUAAAAAUAUUAUCCGUUAUAAUUAGUUUGUUACAGUUAGCUCAAUUUUUACCAUCGAGAAUUUAAAGAUAUAAUUGUAAUUACUAUAUCUUAUAAGUGAUUUUUGCAAUUGUCCAAAUUUUUUUUAGAUUUAAUCUUCUCUUAUUUUAAUCAUCUUCUCAACAUAGAUUCCUAAUCUAAUGAAUGAUUGAUUAUUAAUGAUCCAUCCAAUUGUACAUGAAUAACAAAUUAUGUCUUGAUUUAUCAAAAGGGAAACUCAAGAUUUAAAAAUCUCUUGAAAGUGCUAACAUUUGGAAUUGUGACUCAAAUUUGAUGGCUUUAUGCAUCAUCUUUUAUGAAUGAUGAAAAGCAUAAAUAAAUAAUGUUACCUUUUUUAUGCUUUGAUUUGUUUUUCUUUCUUUGUUUGUUCAAAUGCCAUAUGACAUUAUAUUUUUAAUUCAACAAUGGGAUGCAGCUAAAGCAGUGGAGUUGUCACCAAAUCUCAACUUGAGAGAUUGCCACAUGGUUCACCACUUUCUUAUUAAAGCCACCAAGUUCUCUAUAUUUGAUUUUCAUUUUGUUCCUAGAUGUUACAUUAUAUUUUGCCACCUAAUUUCAAAUCUAGUUUAUUUUCAAAACUUUUUCUACUUCGUUGUGUUAUUCUUGAAGAGCAACUCGUGUGAGAUGCUUACUAUUGAAAUUGUGUCACAAUUACUUUCAAGGCAGUGAUCAUUCCACGACACAACAAUUGAUUUGUUCGACACUCCAAUCUACACACAAAAAACUUGAGUUACGAAAUUCAUGUUGACAUCAUUAUUGUUAAUAUUAAUCGUGAACAUGAUCUUUAACUUUUCAAUAAUUUGUCAAUUAAUAGAUCGUUCCUCAACAUCCAUAUCCCUUAAACUCUCGCUAAAAUGUAAAAGUUUAUUGGUUUCAAUUGAAAGAUUGGUGGUGUGUUUUAAAGAUAAAUUCACUUUUGUUAAUAAAUAGUUAGUUAAGUCGAUUCGAAACCUCUAUUGUAGGUUUGGUGAGGCACCAUUAUAACUAUAAGUGUACGAAACGAAAAUCCACUGGUGAGUGAGAUUAUUCCUUUCUUUUUCUUUUUUCUUUUUUCAAUAUAGUUUAAACAUUAUUAGUCCAUGUGAAGGAAAUGAAAAUAUAAUUUUAAAAGAGAAAAAGUUAGUGGCAAAUUUUUGUAACCUUUAAUUCUUUCAAUUGUUUUAAAUUCAACGAUUGAAUUUUGAUAAAAUAAAAACACAUUUAUAAUGAUAAAUAUUUCACUCCAUUUGAGUAAGAAAUGGUUUGAGAUACAUCUUAGUCCCUGCUUAUCUUUAUAUGAUCUAUCUAAAAAUUCAAUUAUGAUUUAACAAUAAAUCGAACAUAUAAGCUCAAUUUACAAAUAUGUUAGUAAUACAUUGUGGUUUAAAUUUUUGUACCUCAAUUAUAUUAAAAUUGAUAAAUUUUUGUUACGUAACUAAAUGAGGUUAAAAAAUGUAUUCGAAUUUGAUUAAGUUAAAAUAGUUAAAGUUUUGAAAAAAUAUAUAUUUUUUUUUGUAGAAAAAAAUGUUUCUUAAUAGACAUGGUUGACUAGGUAUUUUCCAAAAAUUAGAGAAAAUUUUAAAAAAUAAAAUUGGUUUGCAAAACUAAGAUGGAGAUUAGAGCAUGAAAAGAAAAAUGAUAAUAUGAUAAUUUACAUGUAUAUAUAUAUAUAUUCAUAAGUAAUUAUGGAUAUUUUAAUUGUUAAUCCAAUAUUGUAGUAUUGAAGAUUUUUUGACCAUAUUUAUUUGUUAUUCUUUUAAAGACUUAUCUCUAAAUUGUAUAUAAGAAAAAUUCUCAAUAAUACGACAAACCAAUUUUUUUGACUAUUUGAUUUCUUCUGUCCGUUACAAAAACUACAAUUUUUCCUUUUCAAAUAACAAUAUUCUUUUUACACCUUCAUUUCAUGAAUUGUGAUCUCAAUUAAUUAUCAAACAUACCCAAAAAAAAUAGAAAAGAAAAAAAAUCAUAAUUAAUGUUUUAUAUUAUCAAACUAUAAUCAAUCCUAAUCAAAUUGGUGAGACUCGAUAUUUAUAUUAUAACGUAGUGUUACAAUGGUGAGCUAAUAUUUCAAAAUAUGUAAGACAAGAAAAUUAUUGAUUGAAAUAUAGAUGGAUAUUUUUCUAUUUAUUAUGCAACUUUAUUAUAAGUUUGGAUGAAAAUAAACUUUACUAUUGUUAUUGACAGAAAAUGUUGCUCAAAAUGUGAUUAGCUAAACAUAUGAUUGUUGUUUGUUGAGGAAAUUUUAGGUUUUAGAAGGCAGUCGAUGCAGUAUGAUUAUUAAUGCAAAAUUGAGAAAUGAAAGAAGUAUUCAAACUUAUAAAUAAUUGUAGACAAUUUUUAGUUGAAGGUUUAGAGAUUCCUAAAAGGCAGCGUUACAAUAAACAAACAACAAAUUAAGAGAAAAACAGAGUGGAAAAUGAUAAGAAGAGAUGAUUCUGUUUGAGUGGAUUGAAGUUUGGAUUUGAAUAAAUUAGGCAAAGGAUAGAGGCAAGUGCGCAUUAACCCACCUCUCAAAUGCGUUACUUUACAAGAGUUUCAACCAAUAUUCUGACCAAAAUUCCCCAUUUCAUAGUAUGAAAUUUCCAAGUUCUCACAUUUUUCUUCUGGGUAUUAAAAUAGCAACAAAAAUCUCUUCCCUUUUCCUCUAUAAGCUUCAUUUGAUUCAUUCCCCAUGUUGUACACCUUUUGAUUUCUCCCUGCUCCCGCUUUCAACUUCACCCGCCCUCAAUUCUUUCCUUCUUCAACUUUCCUGUUUCAUUCGUGGGGAAGACGAGUCAACCGAUUUCUGUGAGUUUGUUUCGAUUUUCAAGUUCUGGGUUCUUUGUAUUUCGCCUAUUUUUGCUGAUGCUUACGACUUUUCUUUCGCAUUCUUCAUAACUUCCCGCCAUGCCACAGUUUAUCGUCUAUGAGUUUUCUGUAAUCGAGAAGUCGAUUGUCUUUCUUCUGUGUAAUUACUGAGUUUCUGAGUCUGAUGAUUCACAGGUGAUUUUGUUUAUUAUUUCUUCUCCAGUAUGGUUUCUUUUCCAGCCUUAAUUUGGAAUCAUGAAUGCCUCUAUAUCCUUUUGGGUCUUCAGAUAUUUUGAUGUCUUAGAAGGAAAGAAGGAUAUUAGGAAAUUUAGGAAUCUUUACUUUUAAAUAAUGGGGACUUCUGGAGCUCAUGUUACUCUUUCUUGCAAUAAGACGUGGAAUAUUGGAAGUUGGAGUACCUUUAUAGGGAAAGGAACAAAUUGGGGCAUUGGAUUUGUAGCCAAAACGUAGUAUCUGAAGUUAUUGGUAUGCCGCAUAUAUAAAUUCAUUAGUUUGCACCAUGCACAAGGGGGACAAAUAUAAUUUUUUUUUCUAAGUUAAUUCUUAAAUUUGAAUGAUUAGUAGAAGAAUUAGAGGGAGAACACCAUGAAAAAAAGUUUGGGAUUUCACAAGGUUGGCCGCUUCUUUCCAUUCUUUUUUCUUGCCAGUGGAUAUUUGGGAGGUCCUCUAGUUUUAAUCCAAUCAUUGGAAUGCUUUUAUUGCAUUUAUCCAAAGACUCUUCCUGUUCCUUCUUAAACUAUGGCCACACAAAAUUUGGGACUUAUGUUCUUUUGCCUUUCUGUUCAUAAAUUCAACAUAUAUGAACAUUCUUCAGAAGGAAUUUCCAUCAUCACCUACUAAAAUCACUAUGAUAGAACAAAUGUUUCAUGUUUUACUCUGCUUCUCUACAAUGGUAAGAGCAACUUGAUUGGAGAAGAGAACUGGGGCACCCCUUCUGAAUUAUUUCUUCUGUAUUCAAACCUUAAUACUGGAUGGACAUGGACCUCAUAUAUCUGUUUUUUAUAUUUUUUUAUUAUUCAGGCCCUUCCACAUUGCGAACUGCACUCUUUUGAUCACUGUAAUAAUACGUCAGAGAUGGUGUUUGUACUUCUGUUAUGGAUUUAUUUAUUUGUUUUCUUUUUCUCCCUUUCAUUAUUGUCCAUACUUGUAGUUAACCACAACGAAUUAUAAACUAUUAAACUGUAUUACGAUCUUCUCAUUUAUUACUUUGUUAUUGCAUCUCAAGAUAUUCUUGCAAAAUGUUGUACUUCUAUAUCUUACAUGAUUCUUGGCAGUUUGUGAGAAUGAGAGUUAAUUGUCAAGCUAUGGCAUGUUGCUUUCUUUUGUUUUAUACCGCUGGUGUUCCUAAUUCCUAUUUGAUGCUCAGGUUAUUGAGCAGUAAAAUUGACAGGUAACUCCAGUGUGGAUUUACGUGGAUGCAUUUGUAAUACAUAUUCAUCAGUUAGCAUUUUUCAUGGAAUUGAUUCCUGUAUCUACUUGGUGUUCAGUGUUCUGUUCUUUAGGCUUCUGCCUUUAGGAUUGCCUUGAGUCUUUAAAAUCUCUAUUAACAAAACCAUCGUCUAUCUAAAAUAAAGUUGAAGUCAAUUUAUGCCUAAUUUAUCUAAUUGGCUUCCAUGUAUGUAAUAGUUGGAGAUGAAGCAUUUUGGAAAGAAACCAUUUUCAGUCUGAAUGACACUGCUACAACUCUAGCGGUGGGGUAAAGUGUGUUGGAAUUGUAUAUUGAACAGCAGAUCAGAGAUUGACUGCAGCAAAAGAGAAGAAAUUAACAGGUUUUUUUUUUUUUUUUUUUUUUCACAAUAGUUACUUGUAUUCAAUAUUGCAUUUUCUUCUAUUCUUCAUAUUCAGCAUUUCUUUGGAUUUGACAUUCAUUCAUUCUUUCUGUCUCAAGUAGUUUUAUUAUUUUUCCCCUUUAAAUAUAUGGUAAUGUAUAAAACUCAAGGUAGAUCCACAUUUGUCAUUAUUUUUUUAUUGUUGGUUCUCAUGUAGGUAAUAAGUAGGGAUGAAACAUUUUGAGAAUGGUGAAUCUGACUUGGAAGAGGGUAAAAUGGGAAAGGACAGAGACAAAGCAUUACGCAAUAACAGGGCAUUCAGAUUACAUAACCAGGCCUUAUUGUCUGGCCUUGCAUACUGCAUUUCUUCGUGCAGCAUGAUACUAGUAAACAAGCUUGUGCUUUCCAGUUAUGAUUUCAAUGCUGGGAUAUCAUUGAUGGUCUAUCAGGUUAUUUCUCAUUGUUGAAAAUAUGUUGAGAAGUUAACAUCUAUUUUUCCGUUAUAGCAGCUCUCAUGUUUAACAUAACUUCUGAGUUAAUUGGAAGACUAACAAGUUGUUGCUCUGUUUAUUGAUGCAGAAUUUUAUAUCAGUGAGUAUUGUGACAAUAUUGAGUGUUAUGGGCAUUAUAUCCACGGAACCACUCACUUGGAGGCUGGUUAAAGUGUGGAUGCCUGUUAAUGUUAUCUUUGUUGGGAUGCUCAUUACUAGUAUCUUCAGGUAGGAUCUUUCUUUUCCUUAUUCCUUAAUUACAGAAUGUAAAUAUGUAAUUUACUGAAAGGAAGUUAUGAAGAUUUCUGACUUGACAUUUUUCACUGGUUUUUCUUGAAAAUGUAUGUGUAAUUCUUGAUCAAUCAACACAUGCAUAAUUAUUAUUUUUUUAAUGUUGAUCGCAGAACAUAGUAAAUAAUUUGACUUCUACCUAAGCUUCUUGAUGAAUAUUGUUGCACAAAACCAUCUUGGGUAUCCCAAAUCUUUAAAAAUGGAUUCGUACGCAGGAUUUCUCAGUCGGCAUCAGUUUAGCCAAACUUUUCUGAGUUUUUUGUACCACAUCUUAGUGGAGAAAAUAGUUUUCUGCCUUUGGGUCAAGUCCAAGAUCUUAACAAGAUGGUAUAUUCUUUUAUUACUAAUUUGCCUGGUGAAGUUUAAACUGAAUUGUCUUCUACUACCCAAACCAAUUUUUCUAAAAUGAAUCAAUCCUUUUGGGUUUGGAUCAGUUAUAUUUCUGUCUGUAACUUAUCUGUAGGUUUGUGUUUCAUGUACUUUCUUAAGCAGUGUUUACUUCUCCUGCAGUUUGAAAUACAUUAAUGUUGCUAUGGUCACAGUUCUGAAGAAUGUUACCAAUGUAAUAACGGCAGUUGGUGAAAUGUAUCUUUUUGGCAAGCAUCAUGACAACAGGGUCUGGGCUGCACUUUUUCUCAUGGUAUAUAGCAUAUUUGAGUACUAUUAUAAGAACUAGUUGCAAAAGGCACAGUUUAUGUUAUUUUGUUGCAUCCUUGGUGAUCAUGAAUUAAAAUGGCCAUUUGAAAUUCAAAUGCAUUCUGCAGAUAAUCUCAGCAAUUACUGGGGGGCUUACUGAUCUAUCUUUUCAUGCGGUUGGAUAUGCGUGGCAAAUUAUCAACUGCUUCUUGACUGCAUCGUAUUCCGUAUGUACAUAUCUUUAAGGCUUUUAUAUUUUGUUCAUUCUUAUGGUUCCAUUUCAAUUGUUUUAUUUGUUUCAUACCAUUUCCACCACCUGAACGAUUCUUACAUUUUCUAUUGCUUCCUUUUAGUUCUACUUCUGCAUCUUUUCUAAUUACUUUAGUGGUUCCAGGAGUUACCGACGUUUGUUGCUUUCUCAAAAAUGAAUUGGUUCUGUUUGUUUGAAAAUAAUUCAAUGUUCAAAUUGUGAAAAUGAUAGCUAAGAGUUAGAGGGAGUUCAAUGUGGAUGUAUCAAUCUAAAUUUAUUCAUUACUCCAUUUCGGGCAGUUGAUCUUAGCUGUCUUAAAUAUGCAGUUAUAUUAGCUUCCACAAUACAGCUGAUGUUCAAUUUUUAUGCAGCUAACUCUACGGAGGGUUAUGGAUACAGCAAAGCAGCUAACCAAAUCUGGAAACUUGAAUGAGUUCUCAAUGGUCCUCCUAAAUAACACUCUUUCUCUUCCUCUUGGGAUAUUUCUUGUUUUUGUGUUUAAUGAGAUUGAUUAUCUCUCAAGAACGUAAGUAUCUUUCAUCUGCCUUUUCUCUUUCUGCUAGUUUAUUAAAUGAUUCUCUUUGUUUCCAUAUAACGUUACCACAUUUCUAGCAUCUACUUUAUCUCCUUUUUUGAGAUUUGUUUCUCUUUAGUCAAAUGAUUUUCAUAGGAAAAAUUAAUCAAAGCCUCCAAUCAUCAACUUUGGUUUUUCCAUUUUUGCUGUUUAUUUUAUAAUAACUAAAAUAUUGGGUCCUGUGAUUGAAUUAUGCUCUAGGCUCAUCUCACUAAUUCUUACCGCCUACUCCAAGGCUUGAUCCAAUAGACCUUAACAUUAUUAAGUUUCUACUUAGAGAUUGACCAUGAGCUUGGACUUCAGAGAGAAAUUAUUAGUUUCCAUGGAGGAAAGUUGUAACAUAAAAUUAUGUACUAUUGACUUGGAAAGCCUUUUUCUUGCCAUUCAUGUGCAUUUUGAGUCUUCGACCUGCAUAAAUUUGAACUUUAUAAGUGUUGAAUUCUUGGCAGACCGCUUUUGAGAUUGCCGAUGUUCUGGUUGGUGAUUACGUUCAGUGGUGUUUUGGGUCUAGGAAUUAGUUUCACGUCCAUGUGGUUUCUCCAUCAAACUGGGGCAACAACGUACAGGUAAAAUGAGGAAAAAGAGAAUCUAAUGCUGAUGCUAUUUUUAAGACUCGUAUGAAUGACAAGGCACAGUACAUAUGGUUUAUUUGUGCAGCAUUUUUAACUAAGAAUCUCAUGCAUUGUGCUUUGAUACCAUACUAAAUCACCAUCUUAGAAAAAGCUGAUAAUUAGUGGAUUUCAAGCUUGGCUUCUGACUUCUCUACACCAUGACAUGUGCAGCAGGUGGUGAAGCAUCCUUUGUGAUGAAUGCCUGUUUUAAAAUCUGUUUAUAUGUAGAAAGAUGGUGAAACAAAUAUUUGCAAAUAUACUAGUAUAGUCUCUCCUUAAUUCUUACUUCGUUUUGUGUGUCAAAGACUUCAUUGCUGAUUAUCCACUAUUAGUUACUUGUUCACUGACUAAAUUUUCUCUUUUUCAACUUGCAUUUCCAUAAAUAGUAUGCCUCUACUUGCUAGAUUUAAAAAUAUGUUAAAAAAAGACUCCCAGUUCAGGUUGAGCUAACUAAAUAAUAUUCUCAUCUGAUCUUCUGCAAUAUAACUUGCAGCCUAGUGGGUUCACUAAACAAGAUCCCUCUCUCUAUUGCUGGUAUCUUCCUUUUCAAGGUCCCUACAAGUGUGGAGAACUCGGCGAGUAUAUUUUUCGGUGAGCUUUCCUCAUGAAUUGCCUGAUCCUAAUAUUACAGUUCCUUGGCAGCUAUAUGUCUGAAAAUCAAAUGCUUGAUUCGCAUUUGCCAAACAACUAAAGGAAAUGGUAAUUUGCAGGGCUUUUGGCUGGUGUGUUUUUUGCGAGAGCCAAAAUUCGAGAGAGAAGUUAAUCCUUGGAAGUCAAAAGUGAUAUCUGAAAAAGAACUUAUCGUCGACCUCGUUCUUAUUGAACUACUGCUUGCUGAAGCUGGUUUGCAGUUGACUAUGAUUUGGAAUAGAAAAUGGAACCAUCUCUCAUUGCUGCGGUUCCUUUUUUUUCACUGAGGUGGUUUUCAGCUUUGUAAUUGGGAUGAAGCUGGAAAAAAUUCUGUUGAAAUCCAAUUUUGACUUUGCUUUGUUUGCUGUAUGGAAAGGAAAGACAAUGCAGAUCAUUGAUUGUUGUAGUUUCAUCUGUAAGUUGGAUGUUCUUUGUUGUUUUUCUGUCAUUUUUAAUGGUUGUAAUUACGGGACAUUCUCUAUUUGUAAAUGGGUUUGUCUAAUUAAAAAAAAAUUAAUUUUAUUCGUGCGUGAGUAUUCGAACUUUUCCCGAGAAAUCAUAGAACUCAGUUUUAAAGCUGGAAUUCAUUUUUGGCUCAAUUAUGGUUAACUUUUUUAACUUUUAAUUUUAAGGAGUGAACUUAGUUCAUAAAUAAUUGAUAUGAUUUUCCAUUCUAAAGAUGGAUGGAUCCAUCUUUCAUAUCUACAAUUAUUGUACUAAAAAACCUUUAAUCUUAUUUAAGUUGGAUUAAUUAUAUAUAUUCUUCCAAACUUCAAUUAUAAAUUUGCCUAUAAAUUAACAAAAAAAAAAUCAAGUCAAAUAGAAAAUGUUUGAACUUAAUUAUGAAAAGACAUGAAACUAGCAGGUGUGUUAAAAAGAACAAAUAACCCGGCCAACUUGGAUUACCCAACUCUAACCGCCAUGAGGGAGAAAAAACAAGUUGAGUCGUAUUGUCGGGUUGUGCAAGUAAAGGGUGGGUUGACUUUUGUACAUCCGUAGAAACGAAUUCCAAAUUGAGACAAAUUGGUAUUGAGAAAAACAUCAACACAUGAAGGAAAGAGUGUUUGAUAGCUUGUUUGUUUCAAGAAUUAGUGACAUUAUUAUAACAAAACUCAUUCAUCUAUUUGGUUUGGCUACUAUGAUAUGAGAAGAGAUUUUGAUUGUUGAUGUGUUUGAAGUAAAAAGUGAAAAAUACCCUUGAUUUUUCAAACAAAUACAGUAAUUUGAUUACGUCUAAUUGUCAUAUGAUUACCACAUCUAACUCUCAUCGGAUUACCAUUAGAUAGUCCUCAUUUUGAAACAAUCAUUUGAUUACUUUUGGAUUGUCUUAUACUAAUUGCUAACGAUAUUAAUUUGUCAUCUGAUUGUUAUUUAAUUGCAAAUAAAAUCUUUUUUUUUUAUAAUUAUUAAGAAUUUGAGUAUUUUAUAUGAUUGUUAUAUAAUUUCUAGUGGUAACAACUGUGUAUGAUUACUAUGUGAUAAUAAGUCAUGUAAUACUGAUUGUUAUCUAAUUACAAAUCAAUAAAGUGAUAAUGAUUUAUAGUUGUAUUGUUAUUAGAUUGAUUGAUUAGUUACUAAUUGUUGUAUAAUAAUUAUUUUAUAGAUGAUUGAUUAAAUAUGUAAAGAAAAAAAAGUUUGUUUUAAGUUAAAUGAAAUUAAAGAAAGAAAAAUGAAAGAAAUACAAAUUAUUUUUGAAAAAGAAAGAGAGAAAAAAAAUACAAUUUUAAUAAAGAAUGGUAGUUUUUAUUUUUUAAAUCAUGGUUGCAAAUAUAUAAAUAUAUUUUGCUUUCUCAUGCAAUUUCUUUACUUAAAUAAUGAAAAAAUAAAUUUUGAAGCGAAGUAAAAUUGAGUAAAAGAGAAAACGAGGAAGGAACGAUUUCUCAUUCGAACUCCUCUCGCAAUGGAGACCUUGCAGAAUCCAAACGCAAACACCAAUUCCAAUCCAAAUACCAUAUCUUCCCCAAUUCGUGUGUUAUGGCCUACCAUCGAUGGCUCUCUGGGUUUGUCGGAGGAAGAAUCGGUGAGCUAUGCUCGUAGGUUCUACAAAUUUGGAUUUGCAUUGCUUCCAUUUCUUUGGGCGGUUAAUUGCUUCUACUUCUGGCCUGUUCUUCGAUCCCGCUCGUUUCCUCGCAUCCGACCCUGUGAGUUUUCCUCUCUUAACUUCUACUUUCAAUUAUUUCUGAAAUUUUCACACUCAUUGCUGUUCAAAGAAAAAUAUGAUUAGGAUCCUAUUGUUGGAUUUAUCAUACCUCAAUAUUCAUGAGCAUCAACAAUUAUAUUUUAACUUCAUUUUGCUUCACUGGUUAUGUUUUAAUGUGUGGUAGGCAAUAACUCAAAUUAUUUUGUACAGAAAUACAUGACGCUAUUGUAAUGUAGAUAUUUGUGUUAGAAAACCCGACGCCCAUCGGUCAAUCCUUGUUCAUCUGUUGUUUUUUCCGUAGGCUUGGUUUGUAAAUACUAAGCCUGUUUGUUUGUGCAAAUAUCCUACCUUUUUAAUUAUUCCUUCUCAUUGUUGUUUGCUUGGUCGUGGCGACUACAUUAUUGUUUUGAGUUUGAUAGCUUUUAUAAUAAUACUUUAAGGAUGAUACCUUGGUACUUCUCAUAAUUUGAUGAAUUAAAUGGAUAGAAGAUCAGUAAUCGUGUUCAAAUUCAAUAAAUUGAGCCUUAAGAAUUUGUUGUUCUUUUCCUUAUGCUUGGUCGGUAGAUACUAGAAGUUCUAACCUGUUUAUUUGUGCAAAUACCCUGACUGUUUUAUGUUCUACAAAGGACAGACAUAUAUAGAUUGGGUACAUCAAAUGGGGAUUGGAGGAAUUUGAACCUUUGAUCCCAAGUAAGGUAGCACACUCUAAUUACUAUUGGUCUAGGCUCACUUUAGUCAAAGUGCUAAUGCUUUUGAAGGAAGGUAAAAUUUAUUGGCUCUUACGCUCCAAGUAUCACAUUUGUAAAUAAGCUUUUGAUUGUUUGUUGAAGUUGUAGUUCAAUUGAGCUUUAUUAUGCAUAUCCCGUCUUCUUAUGAUUCUUUUUGUGAAAAUUUUGGUCAAGAUUCUUGCAUGUUGUCUGCCAAGUAUGCAGCAAUUUAAACUUUUGGCCUCAGAUUAUUUGUCAUAGUAGUUGGUCCUUUCAACUUCAUUUGGCAUAUCCUCUUUUUGGGAAUUAUGCGUGUGAACUUUGUUAUGCAUUUAUUUUAUGCACCUCGAGCUGUGUAUACACGUCUAUAUGUACAAAUUUAAUCAUAAACCAACUAGGAAAAUUAGGAUGGUUAUGUAUAUAAGAAGGUUGGGUCUUGUGUGUUUGCAUGCAUAUGGACGAGAAAUGCUCAAAGGGGGACAUUCCAUGGUUGUUUACUAUACAUUGAAUGCAUUAUCUCUAUCUUUACGUAUCUUCUUCGUCGUAUGAGUAUUGAUUGUUUGGAGUGGAGAUACUCUCCAAAACCCGUGGUUCAAGCCCACGGAAAAUAGGAGUGGCUUGGUUUUGUGUGUUGUUGCUAAUUUAGUUAAUAAGGGUGGCCUAUCUUGAAUUGCAUGCGUAUAUAUCAAUGAAUUUGAUUCAAAAAUGAAGGUUGGUCGGUUGUCUUUUUUUGAUAAGUGUAUAAUAGGGGUGAUUAAACUUAGUUAUUAUGUACUUGUUCUUACCAUUCAAUUGAAACAUCCAUGCUAGCUACACAGAACCUUGUUAGUAAUAAUUAAUAAGUAAAAUUGUUUUAUAGUUUUAUUUAUAGUUUACUUUAACAACGACUACUAUAAUUUUAAUAUAACAAUGAAUUUAUUUGAGAUGAAUAGUGUGUAUGCUUCAAAGCUUUUCAGUCGGUCAUUCUGAUAAGAUCAAUAAUUCUGAGGAUACUCCUUUUCCAAGACCAUUAAUCAUUGGUAACACAAAUAGAAUUCUAUAUUUAUUUGCAAAAAAAUCGUAGAAGUUCCACAUGUUUUAUAAAGAUGAGUUGUUUCUUUGGGUUUGUUUAUUAUGAAAAGUUUGACACUAGAUAAAAUCCAGAAUUUUGUAUCAUCUCUCUCUGAAUGGCUAUCCCAUGAAAUUUUUAGGAUGAGAUCGCGUCCAUAGUAUCAAUGAGGAGACGGUACUGAGGACUCGUUCGUUCAAAUGCUAUAAUAGGUUACAACUUCUGAAGGAAGUCAGUCAACAUAUUUUCAGUCAUAACUUCUCGAUCUUUAGUCAAGAGUACCGAAGAAUUAAUGAGGGUAUAACUGGGCCCAGGAGUGAAGUUGAGGACUUACGAGUUUCUGUCUUCCUACCUUUUAUGGAUGGUGUUCCUUACAUACAGAUAUUAUGAUUGAUUCUCAUCUUUUAUUCAAAUAACUUAUGGUCUUUUCAUUUUUUUUGUAAUCUCCUUGAUUUUUUUGGGAGAUGGUCAGAUAUCUUGUCAAGUUCCCAUAACUUUAGGCUAUCAUAAUUCUUUCCUGGAAAUUUUGGGUAUGUAUUUCUGUUUAUAGUUAUUCCUAGAACCAGGUGUGGUAGAAUAUUAAUUUUUAUUUAAUAGACAUUUACUUGAGCUGUUUUUCACAUUAACUACUUUUAGGGUCAGUCCAAUUACCUAACAAUUUGAAAUUGUUGUUUCUUUAGAUAUUGUUGGCUCAGCUAUCGGCUUUGGUGUUUUCAUGGCCAUUAUUUCGUCUUGGGCAUUAACAUUUUCCAUUGGAGGAGAACGCCUGUUUGGACCUGUUUGGGAUAAACUAGUGAUGUACAAUCUUGCUGACAAAGUAGGAUUAACAGGUUGGAGCUAGUCUGGUUCCCUCCCUUCGGCAACCAACUUCAACCUUCUUCUAUAUUUCAAAAUUUGUAACUCUUGACGGUCAUUGUUUUCUUGAAAGAUCAAAGUUGAAGCUUUUGGUUUCCCUUCUUCAAGUGCUCCAAUUGUCGAACAUGAACAUUUGCAUUACCCAUGUUGAUUCAUGUUAAUAGUUGAUGCACAAGUUUGAACCGGGUCUCCCUUCAACUGCGAACUAAGAUUUGUGGAUAAAAAUCUAAACCGGUUCUCUUGAAUUCUUCUUUGCUUUCUUUUUGUCCCACUUUCAAUACUAUAAGUCGUGCUCUUUUCUGGUUCCCCUACUUCAGAACAUCCAUUUUGAAGGUGGAAUACAUCUGGAAGCAAGUUAGAAACUCCCUUAAAAUUCUUAGGGGAUGGUAGUGUACAGUGAUCAACAAUCCCCAAAAGAAAGGUAUGAUUAUUGUAUACUGUAGCACUCCUUGUUAUGGAUAUAUUAGGAUAACUAGUACGGUUGGUAAAAGCGUAUUUUAGUAAAUAUAGUUUUCUUUAGAACUUUUAGUUAUAAAUUAGAGGGAGUGUGGUUGAGAGAAUUUUUCUGUGGGAUUUUCUAUCGAGAGGGCUAUUAGGGAGAGGCUGGCUCUCUUGAAAGGCUAGAUUAUCUUGUUACUCUUCCUAUUGAUAUUACAACAAAUUUUCAUAUAUUUCUAUCAUAGUGUUCAUGGUUGGUUUAGUUGUUCUUGAGUAUUCUUGUUAAGGAGUAUCUUAAAAAAUACCUCUACGAUGGGACAGUUGGGAGAUUAUGUGUAUAUAUAUAGUUCUUAAGGAUAUUAUUGUAUUCCCAAUUUGAGACAUGUGCCAUAGUUGAUGGAUUGGAUCAGAUAGCAUUGAAACAAGUUUGUUUUCAAAUGCUAGUUUUGGAUAAUUGCCUCCAUCAGAUUAAUCUGGGAUUCACUUAAUUAACUUCGGUUAGUAGAAAUGCUAACCUCUUGACAUUUUUGUGGUGUUAUCAAUAUCCAAAUGGGAAAGCUAAUCCCUAAAAUAGAAAAAGAGGGAACCAAAAAACUUGCCAGAAAUAGGGAAGGAUGGUGGAUGGGUAGGGUUGGUGGGGAUUUGCUUCUUGAAUGAUGUUUGUUUGGUUAGGUUUUCUUUAUUACUAUUCUUCUUUUCAUGAAUCUCAUCUCAGCACAUAGGGGUUAGGAUUGGCCUGGAUUCCCCACCGAGUCGAGUUUUGAAAGUAAAAGAUUUGUUGCCUCCAUGGAGCACCAAACUAUUUUUUUUUUCUUCUUAAUCAAUCCUUAUUUAUUUGAACAACAAAAUCAUUGAUUUUGUUACUGUGAGGUUAGUUUUGUUAUUGACUUUUUCAACUAAAAGAACAUAGUGUUGGACGUUUGUCGCAUAAUGAUGAUGAUUUCUGAUUUUAAUCACAUUAGAUAUGAAUGGAUAUUAACAGUUGGCACAUAGGGUUCUGCCUAGUUCAAAAUUGAUAGUUGUUGCUGAAUUUAGAAAAAAAAUGUUCAAUGUUGAUAAUAAAUAAAAUGAUUUGGUUAAUUUCUGAAUCUUUUCUCUUGUGGAUUAAGUUAUUGGAUAUGGAAAAAAGUGCUUUUUUUUAUAAAUGUGGAAAGAUGAGGAUUGCUGAAUCAGUCCGUACAAAACCAACUUCUAUCAUUAAAAUGAUUCUGAUUCUGAGUGAUUUUGUCAAGGGAGCAGUAGGUUUUAUAUAUAUCUUUUUAUUUUGUUAAAGGAAAACAAUUAUAUUGGAGAAAACACUGUUGAUUGAAAUUGUUAUUUUUAUCUCUCUACAUUAAACUUAUUGAUAUAUCAAUAGUUCUGGAGAUCAUUUUAUGCCCUAUUAAUCUCUAUAGUUAUAUGUCUACUGAUUUUUACUUGAUUAUUAUUCAUCGGAUCACAUCGCAUAGGGAGAAAUCAAAUCUCUAUAUCAUUUCCAAGCUGCCAAAGUAGAUUUGAAAUUUGAUUGGCUCAUAUAUCUAUCAACUUCCCUUGUGAUUUGAAUGCUUUUAAUCAAAUUCUAUUGUUUCUGAUUAUUUAUUUAUUUUUGGUUUGUGUAAAAACUAAGAUUUAAAAAGAAAAGUAAAAGAUAAGAAGAGUUAUCAAAUGAAUAAGACAUUGUCACAGAUUUUAUUGAAUAUAAUCUGUGGGUACUUUGGAUAAUUACUUAUUUUUAUCUUGUUGUGUAACAAAAACUUCUCAACAAAACCAAAAGGUUGUUGUUGUUGUUAUUUAUUAUUAUUAGUAUUUAAAGGAAAUACUUGAAAGAAAAAAAAAGAAAAAGAAAAGAAAAAAGAAAUUCUUUUGAUGGCAUAUGACAAGCUGUGUGUAACUGCACAGCCAGAAAUGUAUUAAGAGGGCAUUUGGAUUGUUUCUCAAAAUCUCUAAUGAACCAACAAAUCAAUUGCCUUUCCCCUGCAUAGGUUGGUGAGAUCACAAUAACAAAUAAAAUUUUUUAACUGUCCACAAUUAAGACAUUACCCCAUUUUGUUAUUUCUGAUGUAAUAAGUUGUUCUGUUUUGGCGCUAACUUCACUAAAUUAAGGUUCCAAAUUUCAUUAUGCUGAUUAAGCUAUAGGUGGGGCUUCUUUUUGGGUUUUGUGCACUUUAUUGCCAGCUUCAAUUGGAAACAUACACACAGAUGUAUGGUUGAAAUGACAAGUUUUAAGAAAAACUUAGACUUUACUCUCCAAUUUAGUUUAUAUGAUUUGAUAAAAAAAAAAAUUCUAUAAUAUGAACUAUUUAUGAGAAUUUUGUCAAAUCACAAACACUAAAUUACACACUUAUAAUUUAACCUAUAUUUAUCUAUACAAGAUAGCCUUCCUGUGGUCUUAAAGACAAACAUAAUUUGUAAUUUUGGAGAAGAGAUCAAAUUAUUAAUUUGUGUCAAACUAUGAUAUGUAUUUAUAAGAGCAGGGGAGGUGGGCAAUUGGAUUGCAUGACCAAGUUGUCCCUUUCCAUUUGUUUUCUUGGAUUUUGUUAGGGUCUUUUUUAACACAUUUUGAGUUUGAUUAUCUUUGUCUAGUUUAAACCUCGAAAGUUACUUUUCUCUAGGUUAAAUUAUAAAUUAAUACUACCUCAAUUCUCAAGAUUGUGUUAAGUAGGGGAGGAAGCAAGAAGCAAGAAGCAAGAAGCAAGCUUUUUAAGAGAAGAAAGAUAGAAUGUACCAACAUGAGAGUUUAGAGAUAUAGAGAAUAUAAUUCUAGAUGUAAUAAUCUCUUCCUCAUUGUAUAAUAGUUGUUAAUUAAAUUAAUUAAAGUCUUGAGUUUGACCCAAAUUUGAAUUUCAAUUGACAGUUCAAUGUGAUCCAUUUUUGGCAAAUUAAGAUGUCAUCAGAAUCUCUUUACUGAGAUUUAGUUAACUUCAAUGGGAAAAGAAAUUAUGAAAACAAAGAAAAAUAUUAAAUAUUGUUGCUUACCCAAAAAGGGAGAAAAGGGUUUGACUCUUGGGUUAAAUUUUAUUUUACCCCAACGUUAAAAAACUUAUGUUUUAUUAUUAUUAUUAUUUAUUAUUAUUAUUAUUAAUUAGAUAAGAUAAUUUUUUAUUUUUACAAAAUUUAUGAGUGUGAAUAGUGAAAUCUUUAAUUCUUCAAAUCAUCACAUAAUGCCAAUUGAAUUAAUUUGCAAAUUGACGAUGUAUAAUUUUAUUUUGAAACAUUGAAAAUUAUAUUUAUUGAAAGUUGUGAGCUAAACAUUUGGUGACAAUUUUACACUAAAGACAAAGUUUAGCUAUUAUUUCAUCUUCGUUGUCUUUUUUUCCCCAUAUAUUUUACUUUUGAUUUCUUUAAAGAAUAAUUUCUUUUAUAAAUGAAAUUGGUAAUUAAAAAAAAUAUAUAGUUGGAAAUCUAAAUUAAAUUUCAAACUUUUAAAUGACAUUGAUCAUUAUUGCUUAUAAAAACUGCUAAAAACGAGUUUUAAAAAGGACAAUAACACUUCUAAAUAAUAUUAAAAAGAAGGUCGUUUAAUAUAUAUAUGCCUUCAAAUUUUGUUUUGUUUUGUUUUGAAUCUCUCAUCUCAUUUGACUUUUAUCCUUUUUUUUUUUUUUUGGAUCAUUUUAAAUUCCAUUUUUCUUUUAUGAAGUGCUUUUUUUCUUUUAGAAAUAUAUAACUUUGUGAAACAACACUGUGUAAAUCAACAAAAACAUACACACGUCUUCCAAAUUAUAUAAUUUUCAUUGAAAAUAUAUACACACACACACACACAUAGUCUCAUUUUUUCUUCAUGAGCUGAACACAAGGAGAUUUUAAAGCUUAGAUCUACCUAUGUACCUUAACCAAUUAAAAUAAUGAACAACUAAUGAAAGAAAUUAAAUGAUGUUUAUAUUACACUUUAGUGUGUAUAUACACUACUAAUUAAAAAUAAAUUAAUGAUUGAGAACUUACUCUUUGAUCUCAAAGUGCAAAGGGGUAAUCCGAUCCCAAUAAAUAAUUUUAGUUUAAGAAAAUGAGUUAAUUAAGAGAUAGUAAAGAGAGUUUUACCAACUUCUUCCAACUGAUAUUAAUGAGCUUUCCCCUAAGAUAAUUUAUAACAAAAAAAAAUAUAUUUUGGAAGAGGAUGAUAUAAAAGAGAAGGGGAAGAAUUAAUUGUAGUGAAGAGAUUAUCCCAAAUAAGGUACUAUUACAAAGCCAGCCCAUUUACCUAAUUAGAUCACAAAAUGCCUUAUAAUAGGAUGUGUUAUAUGUUCUAAUUAUACAAACAAAAUAAAUAAUACAAUGCCUCCUUCUCAAAAAUUUACUUGAACAACCAAAAUAAAAUAUGAAAUAAGUUAAAGCUGUUUGUUUUCUUUGUGUUUUUCAAAUCUCUCAAAACCCCAUUUCACAAUAUUUUCAUCUUCCUCAAUAAUAAACUUUUUCUUUUUUAAUCUCUCUUUUCCUCUUGAGCUAGGGUUUCUAAGUGUGUUUUUGGAUUUUUGAGAAUGAUGAGAUCAAAAAGUAGUAGUAGCAGUGGCGGCAGUAGCGGCGGUGGCGGUGGAAGCAGCGGUGUCAGCUGCUACCGAGGCCACUGGCGACCGGCGGAGGACAAUAAACUCCGGCAGCUUGUUGAACAGUUUGGCCCUCAAAACUGGAAUUACAUUGCUGAACACUUUGAGGGCAGAUCUGGUAAUUUCCAUUUAACAUCUAUUUCCCUUUGUAGGGUUCUUUUAAAAAGAAAAUAGUUUUGUUUCUGUAGUUUAAAUUUUUUUAUGAUUUAGUUGAUAAUUUUCAACAUGAAGAUGAAAUUUGAUGUCAAUUAUAUUAAUAAUAGUUGACAAAGAGGAAACAGAAUUAAAACUUCACUUGGAAAGGCAAAGUUUAUCACAUUCUAAACCCAUUUUACAUAUCAUAUGUUUCAAUAAUAGUGAAAUGUUAAAUAACAAAACAAAAACUUUAAUAAUAUAUUUAUAUACCAUAUUUUAUAAAUAUAAAAGUGAUCUUCGUCUAUUAAAUUUAUAAACUAAUCAAUGAUCUAACAUUAUAUCAAGUCAUCUUCUCCGUUCUUUACAUUUUUGUUAAGAGUCCAAAUAAUGUAAAUCAAUGAUAAUAGUUAUUAUUAACUUUUAAAUGAUAGGGAAUAAUAAUGGUUAAUUUUCUCCGACUAAAUUAAUUUUCUUUGGUGUAGGAAAAAGUUGUAGAUUGAGAUGGUACAAUCAAUUAGAUCCAAAUAUAAACAAGAACCCAUUCAGUGAAGAAGAAGAAGAGAGACUUCUAAUGUUUCAACAGCUUCAUGGGAACAAAUGGGCAUUAAUAGCAAGACAUUUCAAAGGAAGAACAGAUAAUGCAGUGAAGAAUCAUUACCAUGUAAUAAUGGCUAGAAGAAGAAGAGAACGUUUCACAAUAUUCACUAACCACAACAAAAAUAAUAACACUAUUCGACAUAGCUUACUAUCCUUUUCCAAGACGACGGCAGCCGUCAAAUGGACUCCUCUUACAGCUGGGGCUCCGGUGCUGCUCGGAAAUGGUCGUGGAAAGUCGUCUUUGCCAGCCGUAGUGGCAUCGGGAUCCGGUGAGGGUGAGGAUCACAAGAGAAGGAUUCCAUUCAUAGACUUUCUUGGUAUGGGAAGCUCUUAGUUUAGCAAAGUUUGAAAUUUUUUUUUCUUAUGGUGUGUGAGUUUCUUCUUGGUUGUCAAAUGUUUUGAUAUGUUAAGAGAAAUUAUGAAUUGCCAACUAUUAUAAGAGAGAAAUCAUGGUCCAUUCACUUUUUUUUUUUUUUUUAAUAUAACUUUUGUUUGUUUAGUUUUUUUUUUUUUUUUUUUUUUAAACUUAGAAUCUCUGAAAGAUAUAAGUAAACCUAUUAAAUUAUAUGCACGAACAUGUUAAAGUUUUUAAGUUGAGAAAAUAUACUUAAAAGGUCUAUUUGGAUUUACUAGAGAAAUUGGUUUAAAUUAGAUAUCAAACACUUGAAUAAUAAUUUUAAAAAUGAUUCAUAUUUCAAAUUAAGCGAAAUACAUCCAUUUUAACAAUUUACAAGAGACAAUAGAAUUGGUAGGCUCACCACGUUGAAAUAUCAUAGUUAGAGAAGGAAAAAUGAGUAAUUGAUGAAUUACAUAUAAAAUGUUUAAUAAUGUUAUUAUAGAAAUUGCAAAUUAUUUAGGGUAGAUUAAUUAAUUUAUAAUUGAUGUUUUAGAAAAUAAGAAGUGUGUUUGGUAAAGCCUAUUUGAAAAUAAUUAUAAAAAAAAAAAACAAUAACUCAAAAGGUCAAAACAACACUUAAAAUCUCAUUCUUUUCCAUUUUCAAUACUGCUUUCGAGGUGAUAUAUCUUGGUACCAUUAUCGUUAGACCAACUUCAUGUUCUUUUUUCUUUUCUUUAUUACUGUUAUCCCUUUAAGAAAUCUUCACCUCUUUACAACGAGAGGGAUGAACUUGAAGACAAGAGGAGGAAGACGACCCAACGUGGCCUCCAAACACCUAUAAUCUACUCUGCCUGAAAUGGAGAGAUACAGCUCCCAAACAGAUGCUUCUUAGUUCUUUCUCUUAAUUUCUUUCUUUUUUUUCUUUUUCCAUUUUCCAUAUUCCACGUUGCUUCCUAGUGAUUGGAGUAAAUUAGUUUAAGAAAAAUAAAAUAUGAAUUUCUUGAGUGUAUGAUAAAUUUAAGGGAACAAUUAUUCUAUUUGUUUGUGAAUCGAAAAAAAAUGUUUUGAGAUUUAAUUACAAUUGUAGUUUAAUAGCUUUUAUAUACCAACAACUAACUAUAGGUAGAUGUAAUAAUGUAUAAGGUUGGAAAACACCAACCCUAGCUCUGGAAAAAAGAAAAUAGUGUAGCGCUUGCACACCAUUAUAAAAUAAUCUUUUUUGACGUUUUAUUUUUAACACACAUAUAUGUUAGUGGGAGAAUCAACCCUCUUUACCUUUAAUCUUUAGACAAUUAGUAUAUCAACUUUUACGUUAAUUACAUAUAUAUAUAUAUAUAUAUAUAUUUAUUUAUUUAUUUCUCUCUCUUUACCUAAUUCGAAUAAUUGAAAUUAUUCUAACAUAUUGUUUUAAGCAAUUAAUUUCAUAUGAACUAACAGGGAAACCCAAUAGACCUAGAUUUUAAAAUCUUUUAGAUUGAGCUAAUCAACCUUCGUUAUCAUUUCACAAGGUGGGCCUUGGUGCUGAAAUACAUCUUGCCAAUGAGAGGGUGGAGUCCCUUGUUCAAGACGUGGAUUCAGUCCUUAAGAGAAAACCUAUCGAAUUCCAUCUUGCCAACUAUUCACUCAGUCUUACCCUCUGAAAUGGAAGACUUAUUGGGUCAACGCUUAUGAGCUAUCCUCACCUAUGCAGAUCUAAAGAUAACUUAAUCUCUUAAUCAUAAUCUAACUAUAUAUAAACUCUUGUUCACACGAGAUUAUCAAUAUAAACGAAAUAGUCAAUUUUAAAUAGUAUAUAAAGUUAUGUAAAAUCUUUACAUAGAAUGCCCCCACUUUCAUGUAUUUAUAUAUAUAAACGAUUCAAGAUCACAUGCAUCAUUUGUACCCAAUUAACUACAAAACGGUCGCAUCCAUAGUGUUCCAAAAAAAAAACCAACCUUAUCCAUAUACUAUACUCAACUUGAUCCACGUUUAUGUAAAGUUCAAGGCUAUAUACUCGAACUUGAUCCACGUUUAUGUCUUACCUAAAGUUCAAGUUUACUCAAAAUAUAUAGUCUUGAAACUUUAGUAUCGAAACCUUAGUUUAUUGAAUUUAAGAUUAUAGUAUUCAAUUUCAUUAAUAAUUUCUCAACCAAGUCAGUCCAAUUUGAAAAUUUUAUAAUAUUAUAAUGUUUAACAAUAGACGGUUCUUUCGAUGUUUCUUGAAACUUAUUUUGUUUGUCCCUGUAAACAUAUUUUCAUUCUCCAUGUAAACAUAUUUUCUUGGGUAUACUUCAAUACUAUGUGAAACUCUCUACAUAACAUGUAGAGACGUAGCUGGUGAGAGUUGGGUUGAGUGUGCAUGUGAAAUGGUAAGUUACUUCUCUUAAAUCACCAACAAAUCCAAAAAGUUAAAUGGAUGGUUUAUGAGUUGGGUUGAGUGUGCAUGGGAAAUGGUAAGUUACUUCUCUUCAAUCACCAACAAAUCCAAAAGUUAAAUGGAUGGUUUAUUAUGGGUUAAUCAGGGAGAGUUGAAAAGUUUGUCUAACAGGGUUAAAAGAAAGCAAAAAAAAAAAAGAGUCUAAUAUGAGGUUUAGCUUAUGUUUUGGACUUUUUAUUACUUCGGUGGUGAAUGAGUUUUGUUAUGAUUGUUGGAAUUUCAGGAAAUUGAUUAGCUUAUGAUUCGAAGCAUGAACGUCGGUAGUGCUGUGAGUACUUUAUUUUACUAUAUGUUUUAUUAUUUAGCUAAUCUUAUAUAUGGAUUUUUCACGAAACCAAUAAUUAUGCAUGAUUUAGAGAGAAGUUAUGAAAGUUUUUGAAAUUGCCAUGAUUUUUUUAAAAAAAUACAGAACUCUCAAUUGCAAGCACCGUAGCUAUGCUGGAACCUGGAGUCACCAACCACAUGAUUUGAGUCGAUUAAUCGAUGAAAAAUGGAUUGAAAGUUGUGUUACCUGAUCUGCAUUUGCAUUAUUGAAGGCGAUUUAUGUUUCCAGGAGGCCACGAGCUCUUUCAAGUACCCAUUUAACAAUUGUUUGAAUUCAGCAAGCAAUGUUGCAGCUGCUUCUUCAGUUGCUGUUACGUUUAAGAUGAUAUCUAUAUUUGCUAUCUAUAGAUCAUCUAUCAGAAUAGCACCACCUUGCCUUCAAUUUCAUUUUUCCCCACUUUCUUGGCAACUUCUCUCUCUCUAUCUCUCUUCUUUGACUAUGUAAACUCUGCUGCAUGCAAAGAAAGAUGGUUACAUAUGAUAUCACCACAUGACAUCAUAUCAAUCUUUACUCGAAGAAACAUCCUAAAAACCAUCUCAUAUGGACAUGGGGGAAGAGAAUCCACCAUAUUAAUAUAUAACCAACACAAAUGAAUGAAAUUUGAUCAAAUAGUAAUAAUAAUACUUAUCAUUAACUAGUGUUUUUAAUUAGAACAAUUUAUUGCGUUCAACAAAUAUGAAGAAUUUACAGAGGGGACAAUUUAUUUAUUCUCUAGAGCUUAACAAUAACAAUAACAAAUAACAAAUGGGGAUUAAGACUGGUCUGGAUUCGCUGAGUUUUGAAGGCUUUGUUGUCUCCAUGGAGCACCAAACUCUUUUUUUUCUCUUAAUCAAUCCUUGCUUAUUUGAACAACAAAAUCAUUGUGUUACUGUGAGGUUAGUUUUAUUGUUGCCUUUUUCAAUUAAAAGAAAAUAGUGUUAAGGCACAUAAUGAUAAUAUGAUAGAUUUCUGAUUUUAAUUACAAUUGAUAUGAAUGGAUAUCAACACAGUUGGCACAUUCUCUAUUUGUCAUCUUUUAUUUAUAACAGCCUUAACAUUAAUAUUCUCACAGUUAUCUCAAGAAGGAAUCUAAAAGCCAUUUCAUAAAGUUUUCCUUUCUUUCUUGUUGUUGUUAUUUUAAAAAACAAACUUAUUUUAAACAACCAUCUCAGAAGUAGAGGAAAAGUUGACAUCAAGGGAGAAAUAAACAGCAUAAGUGAAAGAAGAGUUGAAAACUCCAUAAUCAACUUCACAUCGGAACAAAUGAGAUAAGCAAAGUGGAAUGAAACACAAACUUAUGAAGUUGGUGUUGUGAAGAAGACGAGAUAAGACCCAAAAAGAGAGUGACUUAAGCAAUUGAAUAACAAAUUUAAUAUGUCCAUUCCUCUUCUUCCCCAUCUGCACCAUUUUCUUCUUCUCCUCCUCCAUUUGCACUUACGAUCAUAAUCUCACACACUUCAUCGUCCUUUGUUUAUACAUCUAACUAUUUGUUGCUACUAUAUUCUUUGACCUUAAUACAUAUAAUUUGUUGCCAUUUUUAUACUAACACACAGCAAAUCCCCAAAAUUCUAGAUUAAGUAAACAAUAUGUAACAACAAAAUCAAAUCCCACCUCCCAAAAUAGAAUAGACCAUAAUUCUAUCCCAAAUCUUGGCUCAAUCAAUUUCAAAUUUAUAAAUUUUAAAAUAAAAAAAAAAUCUAUCAUCAAAACAAAAUUAUUCUUAUUAUUAUUAUGCAUAUGAAAUAUCAAAUAAAUAAAUACGAAUAGAUCAAAGUUUGAUUCUCUUUCACUAAUAUAUAUAUAUAUAUAUAUAUAUUUGUUUUUUUUUUAAAAGGUAAUAAAUUUUCCUUCCAAAUUUUACUAACUUUCGAAUAAUAAAUGAGAUGACAUUUCAAAAGUAUUAAGAAAAAUAUUUAUUUUAUUUGUUGAGAUCUUGAAUUAAUACUUUUAUAACUUGAGAUGUCCUGGUGAGGAAGUUGUCAGUAUAGUUGAGAUCUUGGUGCACACUCAUAUCUCCUCACAAAUUUGUAUGUAUACACAAAUUCAUUGUGCUUGUUUAUAGAGUACAUUAUUUUGUAUUCUUCAUAUCUCAAUGUGGUGGAAUACUAAUUAGUGGGCGAUUAGAGGUUGGGGAUUCUUCGGUUUUCUCUUGCUUUGUCUCGUGAUUUUCUUGUGUACGUGUUGGUGAGUGUUUUGUGAAAAAAAACAAUUCACAUCCAUGCAUUGCUAUCAAUAAAAUACUAAAACUAGACUGAACAAUAAUCAACAAAGCCGCUUACGUACGAUUCUCCCCUAAUACUCGAUGAAACCUCAUGGUAUAUUUUUUCCCCAUUUUAACAAAUAUUUAAUUAUUUGUUUGCGUAAUCAACAAUUGCAACCUUAAAAUUUGGACUUAGAAAAUGGAUGGUUAUAACUAAGCAUCCUUUGGUUUAGGGAUUUGACGAAAAGGUGAAAUUAGGGUUGAAUAAGAAAAUUGUAUAUAUAUUGAUGAGUUAAUUCUGUUAGUUUGCAUAAUAUGACAAAUCAAGAGGAAGCAAAUGUGGAAGUGAAGGAGAUGAGAACUUUGGGGAGGCCUCUUAUUAUUUGCAUGUCUUUGUUCUGUAUUGGAUUCAAUCUUGCAUUGUCAUUUUACUUAUUACAACAAUAUAAACACAAGCUAUGGAGGUGGAUAAUAGAGCAGUGGAGUGGUGUAGGAGCUUUGGAACUCCAUUUUUCUGAGGAAUGUCUUCUCUGGAGUAUUAUCCACUUAUCAGCAUGGUUAUUACUUAGAGAUAGAUUGACUGUUUAUCUUGACAAUCCGAUCAAAAGGGAGAAUAAUAAUACUAAUUAUAAAGCUCGGUUUCUUGAACUUUUUCCACACCUUUUAGUUUCUCUCCUCCAUGGGGCAUCAAAUUAUAAGUACUUGAGCAUCAACAUCUACUCUCUUCAGUGGCUUUGCUUCACAGCAGUUUGCAUAUCUCAACUAUAUCGACGUAGAGUUGAAUACAUUACUAUAAACUCUUUAAUGGGUAUCACCAUAGCUUUUGCUGUCAAUGCUGACUACGCACUUGUGGGUUACCUACUUCUCUUUUGGGGAAUACCCAUUUCACUUGUAUACAUCAACAUUUUUUCUGGGUUACGGGCCAUUUUAUAACAACACCCAUUCGGUAUUUCCCUUCUCUAUCCCUCCUAUCUUUUCUUUUUCUUUUUAAUUAAUUUCAUUCAUCAAAACACAUUCAUAUGGGAGAGUUUCUUUUUAUUCUUUUUUCAUAUUAAGUUCAAUGGUUAUAAACGAUAGCAGUUUUGUUUAGAUUGUGAUUUGAUUGCAUAUCUUUUAUUGGCAUGAAAAAAAAAAUGGUGUGAAUCAUUUAAAUAUUUGUUAAUAAUUAUUAUAUUUUAAACUGAUGAAUCUGUCAUUAAUCUUCCAAAUUUAAAAAUUCAAGGAAUAUAUGCAAAUGCUAUAAUAACUUUGGAGUGGGCGAGUGAAAAUUGGAACACAUUUGAUCUCUCCAUGUAUUUGGCCACACAAACACAUCCAACUCAAGUCUUAUCAUCAAAUCCCAAAUACACAUAUCUUUGUACACAUAAAAUACUCUGUCACAUAAAAGAGAUAUAGUUGAUUUGAGAGGUCAUCUAAUUAGUUAUGAGGACAAAGAAGAAAUUACUACAAUAAAAAAUUUCAGGAACUAAGAUUAUCUGAUGUUUCAAGGAAGUAGGAAGUUGUUCCACAUUUGUCACAUAAAAGAAAUAGUUACUGAUAGAAGAAAACACACCUUAAAUGAUUUGCUAGAUUUUUUAAAAAUUAUAUGGAUUCAUCUCACGUUUAAAUAAAUAUAAAUUAAAAUGUUUAGUUAUGUGCUUUUAAUUUUAAAUGUAGUCCUAACUAUUUAUAUUUUGAGUAUGACAUUUUUGGUUUUUUAUGUUCAAAUGAAACUAAUAAUUAAACAUUCUGGUAUUUAUGUAUUAUUUUAACAUUUGAUAAUUGUUUUUAUUUAUUUGGAAAUAGAAAGAAAGUUAGGUCCCAUUUGGGUAUGGUAUCAAUUGUGUAUAUUGUAUAGUAAGUUUAAAAACAAUUAUAAAAUUAAAUGGGCAAUAUUAUAUACAUGCACGGUGUUUUACAGUUUUGAUCAUCCUUCCUCCAACACAUAUAUGGAAUGAAUUAAAACAAAAAUGGAGUUUUUUAAUAGUAUGAUAUAAAGAAAUUAAACUAAACUCAUUAAAUUAUUGAUAGCUAAUUGGAAUGAAUUAGAAAUAAUUUAACAUAGACCAUUCAAACAUGAAUGGAAACGCUAACCAUUAUGUCACUCAUUAUCUCACGAAGGGAGUAGUAGGAGAGUCCAAUUUGUAGAGAUAGUGAACAAUCCAAUACCAAAAUGGCAUCAUAAGCAACCUACCUGAUCAUAAUAAAAUCCUUAAAUGAACAAAGUAGAAUAUAUAAUAAAUGAAACAGUGUAUAACUAUUUUAGAAAGUUGAUGGUAAGGAAUAUUGAAGAGAAUAGAAACACCAAAAGUGACAAGAUUGCCGAAAACUCCAUAGUCAAUGUUGCAUUCCAUGUACUGAGAUAAAGGGAAUAAAGGGAGUGGAAGGAGAGUCCUCCAACUUGUAAAGAAGUGAACAAUCCAAUACCAAAAUGCAGCCUACCAACAAAUAUCGUACUUUUACCAACAAAUACCAUAUUUCUAUACCAAGUCUCCAACAUAGUCGUCUUCUUCUUCCUCUCCCCCAUUUGCACAUGAGGAUGAUAAUAGGCUUCUUCGACUUUCACACCCAUCGUCCUUUGUUCAUCUAAUUAUUUGUUGCUGACCUUAAUUCAUAAUCUGUUGCCAUUUUUAUACUAACACACAACAAAUCCCCCGAAAUUCUAAAUUAAGUAAACAAUGUAACAACAAAAUUAAAUCCCAACAAAUGAAUUUGGAGAUAAUAUAGUUAUAAAAUACCACAUCCCACACUAGUACAAAAGUGGCCUACGACGACAGUUAUUUACUGUCGUAAACGAAAUUCACGACAAUUAUUUUCAGUCAUAGAAGCGGGAGUCAUGGAAAGUCCUUCGAUGACAGAUUUUAAAAAAUGUUGCAAUAAGUUAUUUUAUGACAUGAAAUAAAUGUCGUUAAUCAGAAUUCAAUGAUGUCAAAUAACUGUCAUAUUUUAUUUUAUGACAACAAAUAACUAUCAUCAUUUGUGUAUUAACGACGGUUAAAUAAAUGUCGCGAAUUCAUUUAUUGUGACAAUUUUUUAAUUGUAAUGAAUAUGUUAAUCGCCGAUAGUUUUUUUUGUAUAAAAAUGUCAUUGUUUUGCUAUUGACGACAUUUUUUUCCUGUCACAUAUUAGGGCAAUCGUGACAAUUUAUUUUAUUAAACAACUGUCAUCGUUUUCGGAUUGACAACAAUUAAUAACUGUCACAAAUUCAUUUAUUACGUCAUUUAUUUUCUGUUGCAAAUUUCUCAAUUUACUACAGUUUUUUCCUGUUCUCCUUGCCGCUCCACCAUUACACGAACCAUUUGAAUGACAAUAAUGUAGCUGAGAAUGACAAUUUUGAAUUUAUAAUAUUGACACCCAUAUAGAAAAAAGUAGCCAACACUUCAAUAUAUAUACGAUAUAAUACAAUUUAUAAUAUUCGUACAUUUCCAAUCAAGUGUCAACAAUUUACAAGUACGGAAUCCCAACCCUUAAUCAAAAAAUAUUUUAAAUAACAUUAGAAUACAUCUAACAAGAUUUUCUGCAGAAGCAUAAACGACCAACCGAGAAUGUUCGUCUCUGAAAAUGUUCUUUGAAAGAAAACUCAUGAAGUUGUCGACUCCGGUUGAACCUACAAAGACAACAUGAAUAUAAGCAUCCAUAACACAUACAUUUGUGAACCAACAUUACCACAACAAAGAAGAAAAUGGAGGACUACCAUGUAGUAAUGUGAAUGUAAAAGAAACAUUAUAUAUAUUAUGAAUCUUGUUUCUAAUCAAGAACUUAUUUCCUAACCAUGUACUUGAUGAGCGUUUGUAGAAUUUAAUAUCAGCAACCAAAAUCUAUAAACUAAUUCAAGAUAGAGCGAGCUUAUGUUGUAAAAGAACACCUUAGAAUAAAUAUAAUAGAGGAACGCAUGAAUUUCAGCACACAUGACAAAGUAAACUUUUUGAAGGUAAGAAUCCUAUAUAAAAUUCCCUAAACCUUGGAGUCGUCUCCCAAUUUCUUUUUUAAGUUUCCGAAGCCAAAACAAUGCAGUUUAAAAUGUUUGAAGAGAAUUAUUGGUGACGUAAACGAAUAAAUAUAAUUGAUAUAAGCAUUUAAGAAUAGCUUCAUCUCCAUUUUUUAUGAAGUUAAUUUUGCCACAACAAUUGCAGCAGCCUCUUGAUCCAAACCCUUGCACCAAUUCCUGAAAUCAAUGCCUCAAAUAUUUAGCUUUUCCCCAACUUCGAGAUAGAGAAAGAGAACCAAACAGAGAAUUCAUCUGUUUGUAUUGGCUUCUCAUUAUUCAUGGAGACAAAAAGAGACAAAUACAGAGAGCAAAUGCUUUGCGUGUUCAUCUAUAUCCGCACUAUAAACCAGUAUAUCAUCAAAGAACACCAAAACACAGCGCCGAAGGAAAGGUUUAAAUACCUGGUUCAUCAAAGAUUGGAAGGUUGCCAGAGCAUUCGUGAGACCAAACGACAUUACUAGAAACUCAUAGUGCCCUUCAUGUGUGCGGAACGCAGUUUUCUCCACAUCUUCCUCUUUCAUUCUAAUCUGGUGAUAACCAGAUUUCAGAUCUAAUUUCGAGAAAACCGUUGCCCCAUUCAGCUCAUCUAAUAAUUCCUCUAUCACAGGAAUUGGGAACUUAUCCGAUACUGUCGCCUGAUUUAACUUGCGGUAAUCGACACAAAAUCUCCAUCCACCAUCUUUUUUCUUCACUAACAACACCGGGCUGGAGUAAGGGCUAUGACUAGGGCGAAUAACCCCUGCUUGAAGCAUCUCGACCACCAGUUUUUCUAUUUCUUCUUUCUGCACAUGACCGUAUUUGUAAGGUCUUACGUUGAUAGGUUUAUGGUCAGGUAGGGUUAAUAUUCGGUGAUCAAUAGCUCUUUUUGGAGGUAAUUUCUUCGGUGUCUCAAAUAUCUCCGCAUAAUACUUGAGCAGGGAUCGGAUCAUAGAUAUUUCCUCCUCAUCUCCUUUUAAUCUUGUCCCCAGUUCAUAUUCAUUCUCUACUUCCAUCUCAUAAUUCUGGAAUUCUAAGAGGAAGCCUUGAUCUUCUAUAUGUAAGGAUUCAACUUGCUUACUUCACUAUUUCUCCCUUACAAUGGCCAAAAACAGAGGUAGCCCUCUGCUAUCUUUAUUUAUAUAUAGCCAAAAUGAGUACAGAAAAACAUAAAGAUUCAAGAAAAACAAGGAAUAAUAAAGACAAACCCAGCUUCCUCUAGGAAAAGACUGGAUAUUCCUCUAGGCUAAGCAGCCGCCAACUUCAGGAUAAAAAUAAAACCUACCUCCCCUAGACCUAAAAAACCUAUUUAUAUUCCUUCUCUCAUCUUUCUCUUAUUUCUGUGCCUGGGCCCCACCUGCACGAUCUCCUCCUCUUUUUCCUUCCUCAUUAUUAAUUUGUCCAGUUACUUUUCUGCCCCUCCUUUGAUAUGUAUGAAUAAUUGGAGGUCUUACAAUACCCCGGGGCUCCAAGUUCACCUUGUCCUCAAGGUGAAACUGAGGGAACUGCUGAUUCAAUAGGUAAACUGAUUCCCACGUUGCUUCACUGUCUGGUAAGUUCUUCCAUUUGAUCAGCCACUCAUUGCCUCCUAGCUCCUUGUUCCACCUUUUUCCCAGCACGUUUUCCGGCCACAAUUGUAGUUCAAAAUCCUCAGUUAGUAUAGGCUGUUGUUGCUGGACUACAUGUUGUUUUCCCAACUUCAGUUUCAGUUGAGACACGUUGUUUUCCCAACUUCAGUUUCAGUUGAGACACGUGAAAGACAUUGUGAAUGGCGGCCUCGGGCGGUAGUUGCAAUCGAUAAGCGACCUCUCCUAUCUCUUCAAUAACCUCAUACGGCCCAUAAAAUUUUGGGGAUAGCUUUUCACAUUUCUUCCGAGCUAGUGAUCUUUGUCGAUAGGGUCGUAGUUUCAAAUACACUUCAUCCCCAAUUUUGAAUUUGAGCUCCCUGCGGUUUCGGUCUGCCAUUUUCUUCAUUCUAUUUUGAGCUAUGCAUAGGUUUUCCUUCAGUGCAUUGAGUGCUAAAUCUCUCUCCUUCAACAUGACUUCUACGUCAUUGUUAGGAGAUUGCUUCCAUCCAUAUGACAGCAGUGGCGGGGGAGUUCUUCCAAAAACAGAUUGGUAAGGAGUAGUUUUGGUGGAUGCGUGGAAGGUUGUGUUAUACCAUAAUUCCGCCCAAGGGAUCAGUUUAUCCCAUUUCUUCGGUUGUUCAUUGCAAAAGCAUCUCAAAUAGGUCUCUAGGCAUCUGUUUACACUCUCGGUUUGUCCAUCGGUUUGGGGAUGGAAUGCCGUGCUUCUCUUCAAAAUGGUGUCCAUGGUAGUGAACAACUCCUUCCAGAAAUUGCUAAGGAAGAUCUUAUCACGGUCGGUAAUAAUGGACUUGGGUAUUCCAUGUUUGCUGACCACUUUUUCCAAAAAAAUUGAAGCCACUUGCUUGGCUGUGUACGGGUGUUUCAGAGGCAAGAAGUAGGAGUACUUACUUAGGCGGUCGACGACUACCAUAAUCACGUUGUAACCUCCUGCUAUUGGCAGCCCUUCAAUAAAAUCCAUGGUCCAAUCCUCCAAUAUCUUGUCGGGGAUAGGAAUGGGUUGCAGAACUCCCGCAGGCUUAGUAGCUUCGAACUUAUUACGUUGACAAGUGUCACAUUCUUCUACAUAUCUCUUGAUAUCAGCCUUCAUUCCUUUCCAAAAUAGUUCCCCACUCAUUCUUUUAUAGGUUCUCAAGAAUCCCGAGUGCCCUCCUAAUAUGGAAUCAUGGAACGUGUGUAGAAGACUCGGAAUGAGGGAGGAAUUUCGCGGCAGCACCAUCCUUCCUUUAUAUAGCAGCCUGCCAUUGUUCCACUGGUAUUUCCCACCUUGAUCCACCUCUCCCUUAAGUUCGGCAAUAAUUUUCUGAAGUUCUUGAUCCAUUUCAACUUCCUUCUCUAUUAUCUCUAUAUCAACUAUGCCUGUGGUUGUCAUUGUAUUUAACUCCACCGAAUGGUCCUUCCUUGAGAGAGCAUCCGCCACCUUAUUCUGCAGACCCGGCUGGUAUAAGAUCUCAAAGUCAUACCCCAAAAGUUUUGUGAGCCACUUUUGGAAUUGAGGCUGAACUUCCCUCUGUUCUAACAGAAAUUUCAGAGCCUUCUGAUCUGAAACAAUUGUGAACUUUCUGCCCAGGAGAUAAUGUCUCCAUUUUUGCACCGAAAGGACAACCGCCAUCAAUUCCCUUUCAUAGAUCGACUUACCCUGGGCUCUUGGGGACAGUUUCUGGCUGAAGAAUGCGAUGGGAUGACCAUCCUGUGAUAAAACUGCACCUAAACCUACUCCUGAAGCAUCAGUUUCGAUUGUGAAGGGCUGAGACCAAUCCGGCAAUGCUAAUACCGGUAAGGUUGUCAUUGCUAGCUUCAGCUGGUCAAACGCUAUUGUAGCUUCCUCAUUCCAAUGGAAUGCAUUUUUCUGAAGUAAUUUGGUUAAGGGUGCAGCUAUUUCUCCAUAGCUUUUCACAAAUCUUCUAUAAUACCCAGUCAGUCCAAGGAAUCCCCUCAGCCCAGUUAUAUCUUUCGGCCGUGGCCAAUUUACCAUACUGCGAAUCUUGUCCUCAUCAGCCUCCACUCCUCUGCUGGAAAUCAGAUGACCCAAAUAUUGAACUUGGGAAUGAGCAAUGACACAUUUAGACCUAUUUGCAAACAAUUCAUGGUCCCUCAAGAUAGCAAAAACCAUUCCUAAAUGUUUCAUGUGCUCAUCUAUGUCCACACUAUAAACUAGAAUGUCAUAAAAAAAAACCAGGACACACCUUCGAAGGAAUGGUUUGAACACCUCGUUCAUGAGAGAUUGGAAGGUGGCAGGAGCAUUCGUAAGGCCGAAAGGCAUCACCAAGAACUCAUAAUGUCCUUCAUGCGUGCGGAAAGCUGUUUUCUCCACAUCUUCCUCCCUCAUCCUAAUCUGGUGGUAUCCAGAUUUAAGGUCUAACUUUGAGAAAGCUGUCGCACCAUGAAGUUCAUCUAAGAGUUCUUCGAUCACGGGAAUUGGAAAUUUAUCAGCCACCGUUACUUGAUUGAGUUUCCUGUAAUCUACACAAAAUCUCCACCCUCCAUCUUUUUUCUUCACUAAGAGGACCGGGCUCGAAUAUGGGCUGCGGCUUGGACGAAUCACCCCAGCUUGUAACAUUUCUAACACCAAUUUUUCAAUCUCUUCCUUUUGUACAUGGCCAUACUUAUAUGGUCUUACAUUAAUUGGUUUCUGAUCGGCCACGGUCAGAAUGCGAUGGUCUAUGGCUCUCCUUGGCGGUAAACCCGUGGGCAACCUAAAGACAUCUGCAUAUUGCUCGAGCAAUCGCUGAACCAUGGGUAAUCCUUCUUCCUUUCCCUUCAAUUCAGCUUCUGUUUCCGAUUCUCCUUCAUAGUUUACUUCAUAGUUUUGGAAUUCCAAGAGGAAUCCUUGGUCCCCGGAUUGCCACGUUUUCUCUAAGGUUCUCAAUGAACAUUCUGACUUCGUUAGAGAAGGGUCACCUUUUAGGAUUAUUCUUCUACCCUUCAUCCAAAACGUCAUGGUUAGGGAUGGCCAGUGAACCUUCAUGGUUCCUGUCGAAUCUAGCCAUUGCAUCCCAAGCACCAAGUCUACCGUUCCUAACUCUACCGCUAGGAAAUCUGCUACGAUUGUUAACUCUUUUAACUUCACCUUCACCCUCUUGCAAAUCCCACUUCCUUCACAUUGGUUGCCAUUCCCAAUGGUAACUCCAAAACGAGUUCCCGGAUCGAUGCUCAGCUGUAGUUCAUCUACCAACACUUAGCUGAUGAAGUUAUUGGUCGCCCCGCUGUCAAUCAGAAUAACUACUUCCCUUCCGUUCACAUGUCCUUUUAAUUUCAUCGUCCCCUUUGAUGUAACUCCCGUGAUCAACCUCAAUUCAAUAGGGUUAUCCAUAUUCAAUUCCAGAUGAUUCAGUUCUAUUACUUCGCUUGCCUCAUCCUCUGUAUCCUCUUCCCUUUUGUGGUCUUCUUCCUCAUUUAGUAUAAGGAGCAUCAACUCUCUUUUUUCUCUCCCUUUACAUCGAUGGCCUGGGGCGUACUUUUCAUUACAUCUGAAACAAAGCCCCUUAUCCAGCCUUGCUCUAAAUUCCGUAUCCGACAGCCGUUUAAUUGGGAGAUCUUUUUUCUGGUAAUCAUUUUUCAAUGGAAUAGUUACCUGCUUCAUCACAAACUCUGUCUUUUUACUUUCUGUCUUCUCAUUUUUUCCUUGAAAUUUGCUGCUGUUCUCAUUCCUUUUGGGCUCAACUAUAUCCAACUCUUCCAUCGCCAGUUUUAAUGCUAUAUUCCUAUCAUUCGCCAGCUGAGCUUCCUUCAUACAUUCCUCUAAAGUUUGAGGGUGUCUGCUGAUUACUUCCGCUUGCAGUGAGGGUUCCAGACCCGUUAAAAACGCAUCCAGCAGAACACUUUCUGCCAUGUCCGGGAGGGGGCUGAGUAUGUAACAAACUUCUUAACGUACUCGCUGUAUGAGCCUUCUUGCUUAAUACGGAUUAAUCUUGCCCCCAAGCUCUGCUGUCCUGUAUCAUUAAAGAAAUCAAACAUCCUUUCCUUCAAGUCCUCCCAAGAUUCCACCCUCUUUCUACGAUUACUCCAUCUAAACCAGUCUACCUCUUCCUGUCCAAAACUCACGACUGCUACUUUGACCUUCUCAGCUUCCGGUAAGUCAUUUAUAUCAAAAAAAUGUUCUGCUCGGUACGCCCAGGAUUCAGGGUUCACCCCUGUAAACAGUGGCAUUUCUAAUUUUUUGUACUUACUUCGGUCUGCGCUGCUUCCACCCGACUCGACUGUGGUUCCGGCCUCUUCCAGUUUUCCCUUCAGUUUCAACCUGAUGUCGUCCGUAGUCCCUGCUUCUUCUUUUUUCUUAGCACCAUGGUUUUCUCUUAGCUCGCCUGUCAUUCGAUCCAUCGAUUUCUUCAUUUCCAGCAUCAUCUCCUUCAGACUCAUAAUUUCCUUUUCAGUACCUUCUACCCGUUCUUCUAUCUGUCUUUGAGCCAUCAGACGCGUGAUCACCCCCAGUGUGGAGGCUCUGAUACCAAUAUAUAAGGAUUCAACUUGCUUACUUCACUAUUUCUCCCUUACAAUGGCCAAAAACAGAGGUAGCCCUCUGCUAUCUUUAUUUAUAUAUAGCCAAAAUGAGUACAGAAAAACAUAAAGAUUCAAGAAAAACAAGGAAUAAUGAAGACAAACCCAGCUUCCUCUAGGGAAAGACUGGAUAUUCCUCUAGGCUAAGCAGCCGCCAACUUCAGGAUAAAAAUAAAACCUACCUCCCCUAGACCUAAAAAACCUAUUUAUAUUCCUUCUCUCAUCUUUCUCUUAUUUCUGUGCCUGGGCCCCACCUGCACGAUCUCCUCCUCUUUUUCCUUCCUCAUUAUUAAUUUGUCCAAUUACUUUUCUGCCCCUCCUUUGAUAUGUAUGAAUAAUUGGAGGUCUUACACUAUAUCCCACGUUUUUUCCAAUGUCUUCAAAGAACAUUCAGCUUUCACUAAGGAUGGAUCUCCUCUUAACACGAUUUGCUUGUCUUUUGCCCAAAAGGUCAUGGUUAAUGAUGGCCAAUGUACCUUCAUUGUGCCGGUGGUAUCUAGCCAUUGCAUCCCUAAAAUCACGUCAAUAUUUCCUAGUUCCACCACUAGAAAAUCAGUUAUAACUGUCAUUUCUUUCAAUCUCAGUUCCACCUUUCUGCAAAUACCUUUCCCUUUACAGCGGGUCCCGUCUCCAAUAGUCACUCCAAAUUGUGUACCGGGUUCAAUGUUCAACCCUCCUUCCAUUGCCACUGCUUCAUGGAUGAAGUUGUUCGUAGCUCCACUGUCGAUGAGAAUCACCACCUCCCUUCCUUUUACAUGCCCCUUCAGUUUCAUUGUCCCUUUGGAUGUUAACCCCGUGAGUGUCUUCAAUUCAAUUUCGGUGGUUUCAGCAACAACUAACUGGUUCAGCUCCAUUACUUCUUCGGUCUCUUCCAUUUUGACUUCCUCCCCGCCACUCUCUUCUUCGUUAAGUAUAAAUAACAUUAAUUCCCUUUUCUCUCUCAUCUUGCAUCGGUGUCCCGGUGAGUACUUCUCAUUGCAUCUAAAACACAAACCCUUGUCCAAUCUUGCUCUGAAUUCCGUGUCCAAGAGUCUUUUAACUGGAGGUUCAUUUUUCUGGUAGUUUCCUUUAAUGGGAAUAGUGACUUGCUUCAUGGGGAACUCAGUCUUCUUUGGUGAACUUUUAUCUUGACUGCUUUGUCCCUUGCUUGAGCCUCCUCCUUCCCUAGUCACACUGUUUACCCAUUCUGCCUUGGCUAAUUUCAAGGCUAGGUUUCUGCCACUUACCAGUUGUGCCUCCUUCAUACAUUCCUCUAAGGUUUGAGGAUGUCUACUAAUAACUUCUGCUUGAAGAGCCGGUUCUAGACCAGUCACGAAUGCAUCUAAGAGCACGCUUUCAGCCAUGUGCAGUAGUGGUGCAGAAUAUUGUACGAAUUUCUUGACAUAAUCAUUAUAGGAUCCAUCUUGUUCUAUUCGAAUCAGCCUUGCACCUAAGCUCUUCUGCCCAGAAUCUCGAAAAAAUUCAAACAUCCUUACCUUCAAAUCUUCCCAUCCUUCCACCUUCUUUCUAUGGUUACUCCAACGGUACCAAUCGAUUUCAUCUUGUCCGAAACUAACCACUGCUACUUUCACUUUUUCUGCUUCCGGUAGGCUAUUAAUUUCGAAAAAAUGCUCAGCUCUAAACACCCAUGACUCAGGAUUUUCCCCGGUGAAAAUCGGCAUUUCCAGUUUCUUAUAUUUGCUUCGGUCGACAGUUACUACAUUGUUUUCCCCUGGAUUGUCGGCUUCUUCCCAUUUUCCUUUUAACUUCAUGACUGAUCCAUCAGAAGUUCCGGAUUCAUCUCGCCUUUUGUAGCUGCUGUUUUCUUUCAUUUCAUCAGCCAGUCUAUCCAUGGAUUUCUUCAUUUCCAGAAUCAUUUCCUUCAAGCCCAGUAUUUCUUUCUCUGUUCCAUCUAUUCUUUCUUCUAUUUGCCUUUGCGCCAUCAGUCGCGUCACCACCCCAGCGUUUGGGCUCUGAUACCAGUUGUAGAGACUCCACAAAUAAAAUACUAAAUUACCCAAACAGUUGGCAAACAGAGACAGCACUCUGUAGAUCUUUAUUUAUAUAUAAAUGCCAAGAGAUACAGUAGAAGGAAAUAUAAAAGAAAGCAAUAAAGAUGAUAAUAUCAUGUCAAACCUCCCCAGGAAAAGAUAGUAGUCCUUCCUAGACCUAGCAGCCUCUACAGACCAAAUGAAGACAAAAAGUUAACCUAGCCCCCAAUCCCGAUAAGGCCUUAUUUAUAGCUCUUUUCUCAUUCUUCCCCGUGGGCCCCACUCUCAUGUUCUUUUCCUAAUAUUCUCCCCUUUUCUGCUGCGUGAGCUUUUACGUUUUUACCCCUCCUUUUGUAUGUAUGGAUAAUAGGGGGCCUUACAAAUUUCUUCCAACACUAUGAAACAUUUAUGUUAUAGUUUUAUUAUUGUAAACAUUUUUGCUAAACAUCAUUGUAAUUUCCAAACACAACUCUGCCAAAGUUCCCAAGAUAGUUCUAUAGCAAUGUUCCACAGGCUAUCUUGCAAGUGAUGUGGAACUCCUUUGCUUUUUUGAAUAGUAAGCUGGCCUUCCUCUUUUGUUAUGCUUUGUUUUGUUCUUAAUACUUGCUUUUAUCUUCGCCUAUUUCAUUCCUAGUUGAUAUAUUACAUAGUCCUCUUAAAUCUACAUUCUUUUUCUGUUUUAUGAUUCGCUUGAGUUUAAUGACUAACUUUGGCAAAAUAAUGUUGAACUAUAUUACAUGUUUUGCAUCUAAACCUCAAUUGAAAAGGUUUGUUACCUGUAUCAUUAUAAGGUUUCCAUCCAUCUUUCUUAGGCCAUCAAUGAAGUUUUUGCUUAGAUCUAUCUUAGUUCGGCCUCUUUAAAAUGUUACUCCAUACAAGGAAGAUCGAAAGUUGUGAUUACAAAGUGUAGAUUUGUAUUGUAUAGUUGCCUUAGUUAUUUUUUUAAUUAUUCUUUUUAGACGUUAUUUCCUUUUAUAAUUAGUUCUCUUUAGUUAGAAUUUCUAUUAAAUUAUACUUACCUAUUAUCAAGUCCUUUUUCAUUAAUAAGAGAAAAUGGAGUUUUUCUCAAAUAACAAAAAGUGAUUAUUUAAGAUACUAUGCUAAAGGGAACACAUCCAAUUACCAUGUUGAGAAUAUUAUCUUUGCCUAUUGAAGGUCUUGGAUUCUUGGUCAACUUUGAAUGCGAAUUUUUCUUAGUUGAUUAUUAAAUAUCAGGGUAAAAAGAUCUUAUAUUGUAAUGUUGUUUUGCUUCACUUGCAUCAUACACUAAAACACAAGAUUAAAAAAAAAGUUAUAUUUAGACUUUUGUAUGGUAGAUUAGGUGUUCUCUUUGAAUUGGUGUUGGUAUUGGCUUUCUAAUUAUGAUAUGAUUUUGGGAACCUUUGAAUUAUGUUCUUCAAACCUUCUCUCUUCGAUUGAAGCUUAUUAUAUUUUAUCGUUGUUAGUAUGUUUUUUUUCUUCCAUUUUUUCCCUUCUAAUAUUUUUAUUUGAUAUAUAAUGUGCAUAAAAGAGAAAGUAGUUAAUGUGUUUUACAUUGUUGUGUUGUGCAAAGUUGGUGCUGUUGGUUCAAAUAUUUAAGAUUUGGUGAAGCACUUGGAAUAAGUUCAAACUUUUAAUCUGUAGGAUAAUUUACUUUAUAAGAAUCACACAUUUACCUUUUUUUUCUUUUUUGAAGUAGGAAAGGAGCCUCUUCAUUAAGCUGAAAAUGAAUAGACAAGACAAAAGGUAAUACAAAGAAGCCCUAGGAUCAGUGAGUGCACUAGGACAUCUCAUCUAUGUUGACACCUACUUAGCAUUCUCACCAUAUCGAGACUUAAACCAAAAGACUAAACCAACGACAAGGUUUAGAAUAGAUCAUACAAACUGCCCAAUAACUAUACAACAUAGAUUUAAGACCACUAGAAAUCCAAAAGAAAUAAAAUAAGAGUACAGUAGUGGACUAAGAAUUAAAAAUGAAAGUCGGCCAAUUAUGACUUAUAUCUUGUAUGGAGAAAUCUUUGAAGUCUUUUGAAAGAGAGCAUCAAGAAGAAGCAUUGAUUCUAGCCAUUUCGACUCGAGUUGUCCAAGAGGAAGCUUUAUUUUGAAAUGUUAGUUGAUUAUGUUCAAACCAAAUUUCUGGUAAAAUGGCCUUUACUGCAUCUAACCAAAUCAAUCUUGGUUUCUUCUUGAGAAUGGGACAUGAAAUAAGCUGGACCGUGUUCUCCUAAAUCUAUAGUCGAAAACCCAAUUCAAAUGAAGAUAGCCAAGUAAGUCAAACCAACACUUCUUUUCAUGUAAGCAGGAGAAGAAAAUAUGAUGUAAAUCUUCUAAAGCAUGCAAACACAAGGGACAAAUAUGAGGAGAUAAACUGUGAGAGGAAAGUUUCAUUUGCAAAACUUCUGCACAGUUCAUAGUCCAUUUCGCUUUCUCCAAAGCGUGAUAUUCACUCUUCUAGGGCUUUUUGUCUUCCAAAUUGUCGAGUAUAAAUGUUUUUCAAUUGGGGAGGCAAUGGAGAGAUGGUUGACUAAUGAAUGAACCAAAAACAUCCCAUUUGAUUCUGAUUUCUAGGUUCUUUUAUUUUGGGAGACUUGAAAUUCAUCUAUUUCUUCAACUUUUAGAAGUCUCCUGAAAUUUAGAGCCCAUGAAGUAGUGGAAGAGUCCCAAAACUCCUUUACAUCUCCAUUAUUAGAGUUCAAAGACAAUCUAAACGAUCUUGAAAAGAAACAACAUCUGCCCAAAAAUCAUUCCAAAAUGCUAUUCUUCAACCAUCACCGAACUUGAACAAUGCCUAGGAAUCCACUUGAAGCUAGCAUCUCGAAAUGCUAAUCCAGGGACUAUGGAAACUGCAAGUGACAAUUCCUUUAGUAUGCCAUCCAAAUUAACUUUCUCCAUGGAUACUCUUCACCACUUUAGCCCAAAGGGAAUUCUUUUCAUUUAUAAAUCUCCAUCCCCAUUUGAACUUUUUUCGUAGGUUAUGAGUUACGAUCCUACACGUAAGCUAUUUUAGGACAUUUUGAAAGUUCAAGUGAUACUUAGACAGGUUUUUAACUCGGUUUAGGUUAGUUUGAAACUAAGUUUGUUGACCUUAUCCAAUUGGUUGCCAUUUUCGGUCUUGAAGUGCCCUUUUCACACUUUUUGAACUUUUUGGUAGGCUAUGGGUUACCAACUUACACUUAAACUUUGUUAGGUUGUUUUGAAAGUCCAAGUGAUACUUGGACACGCCUUGACCACUUUUUAGGUUGGUUUGGAACUAAGUUUGUUGCACUUGCGCACUUGGUUGCCAUUUUGGGUCGUGUAGUGUUUCCUUUUUUUCCAUACUUCUUGAACUUUUUGGUAGGUUAUGAGUGAUGAAUUUACAAAUAAACAUUCUUAGGUCGUUCUGAAAGUUCAAGUGAUACUUAAACACGGUUUUGAAAUUUUUUUAGAUUUGUUUAAGACUAAGUUUGUUUCACUUGCAUACUUGGUUGCCAUUUUAGGUCUCAAAGUGCAUUUUUCACGCAUUUUGAUUUUUUUGUUAGUUUGUGAGUUACGAACUUACACUUAACGAUUGUUAGGUCGUUUUAAACACAUUUUGCGUUGGUUUGAAACUAAGUUUGUUGCACUUACACAUUGGAUUGAAAUGUUGGGUCUUGAAGUACUUUUUUUUCACACUUUUUUGAAAUUUUUUUAGGUUGUGAGUUACGAACUUACGCUUGAGUAUUGUUUGGUCGGUUUGAAAUCUUAGACACGUUUUGCACUCUUUUUAGGAUGGCUUGAAACUAAGUCCGUUGCACUUACAUACUUCGUUGCCAUUUUGGGUCUUCAAGUGCUUUUUUUACACUUUUUGAAAUUUUGGUAGGUUGUGAGUUACAAACUUACACUUAAGCAUUGUUUGGUGGUUUUGAAAGUUUAAGUGAUACGUACACAUGUUUUGAAUACAUUUUAGGUUAGAUUGAUUUUGUUGCACUUGGUUGUCAUUUUUGGUCUUGAAAUGCUUUUUUCAACCUUUUUGGUAGAUCAUUACGAACCUACAUUUAGGAUUUGCUAGGUCGUUUUGAAAACUCAAGUAAUACCUAGACACGUUUUGAGCACGUUCUAGGUUGAUUUGAACUAAGUUUGUUACAAUUACACACUUGGUAGCCAUUUUGGGUCUUGUAGUGCUUUUUUCAUACUAUUUGAACUUUUUUCGUAGGUUAUGAGUUACGAAUCUACACGUAAGCUGUUUUAGGUCGUUUUGAAAGUUCAAGUGAUACUUAGACACAUUUUGUUCAAGUGAUACUGUAUUAGGUCGUUUUGAAGUGAACUUUUUUCUUCUUGUAUUGACUGUUUUCAUAUUUCUUCAUGGUUUGUAUUCAUGGUAUUUAUUUUCGUAAUGAAUCUUUCAUGUUCUGGUAAACAUUGCAGAAACACAUAAUUUCAGCAAUCUGUCAAAGAGUUGAAGGAGAAGACAGAAGAACUUAAAGGUCACAUGAAGACCUAAAAGUUAGGUAAUUUUUUGAAAACUUUUUUCUUUGUCUUGCUUAGUUUUAGUGGUAUUUGUUAACAGGCUGAGACAUACUCUUGUAUGCCAAGGCUGGGUGGCCAAUUCAAUGGAUGGCCUGAGACGGUGAAAUGACGAGUGUAGAACAAAGUAGACAAUCGAGCAGAUUUACAAGUAGGAGGAUGGUGUUUGGUCUUACUCAAAAGCUACUGCUAGAAAGGUGAUUCUCCCUUUAUUUACACAUGUUAUCUAUAUUUAAUUACUGUUUUUAUGUGAUGGUGAAUAAAUAUUUAAGUUGUUUCAAGUUUGUACAUCAUGCUUGAGUUAAUACAUUUCCCAACUCGCACUAAUUUUAAAGUUGAGACUAAGUUUGUUGCACUUACACACUUGGUUGCCAUUUUGGAUUUUGGAGUGCUUUUUCUACAUUUUUUGAACAUUUUGGUAGGUUAUGAUUUAUGAAGUAAGACUAAAGCAUUAUUAGGUCGUUUUUAAAGUUCGAGUGAUACUUAAACAUUUUUUGAACACCUGUUAGGUUGUUACAAACUAAGUUAGUUUUUACAUACAGCCAUGGUUGCCAUUUUGAGUCUUGAAAGAUUUUUUUUCACACUUUUUGAAAUUUUUGGUAAGUCAUGAGUUAUAAACUUACACUUAAGCGUUGUUAGGUUGUUUGAAAACUUAUACGUGUUUUGAAUACUUGUUAGGUUUGUAUAGAACUAAGUUCGUUGCACUUACACACUUGACAUUUUGGGUUUUGGAGUGUCUUUUUAAAAAAUUUUGAACUUUUUGCUAGUUUAUGACUUAUGAACUUGUAUUGAAUAUUUGUUAGGUCGUUUUGAUAAUUCAAGUGAUACUUAGAAAAUGCAACCGAGCUUAAACAAUUCCGCUCAUUUUUCUAAAAUUUUUUAGUUUAACCUAUUGAAUAAAAUUCGAUGGAAAUUCUUGUUUUCUUUUUGUAGGAAUAAAAGGAAAUGAAAUAUAACCAAACUUGGGAUCUUUGCAAACAAUCUUCCAUGAAGAAACUAGGCUACAAGUGGUUUGGGGUUUGGGUUUUUAGGGCUUAGGGCUUUUUGGGCUUAUGGCUUAGGGCUUUUAGCGCUUUUAGGGCUUUUAGGACGCUUAGGGCUUUUAGGUUUUAGGGCUUAGGGCUUUUAGGGCUUAGGGCUUUUAGGGCUUAUGGCUUUAGGGUUUAGGGUUUAGGGGUUUAGGGUUUAGGGCGCUUAGGGCUUUUAGGGAUUUUAGGGCGCUUAGGGAUUUUAGGUUUUAGGGCUUAGGGCUUUUAGGGAUUAUGGCUUAAAGCUUAGCGCUUUUAGGGCUUAGGGCUUAGGGCUUAGGGCUUUAAGGGCUUUAAGGGUAUUUAGGGAUAAGGGAUUUUAGGGCUUUUAGGGCUUUUAGGGCUUUUGGGGCUUUAAGGGCUUUUAGGGCUUAGGGCGUUUGGCUUAGGGCUUAGGGAUUAGGGCUUGGGCUUUUAGGGCUCGGGCUUUGGGCUUUUAGGACUUUUAGUGCUCUUAGGGCUUUUUGGGCGCUUAGGGCUUAUGACUUUUAAGACUUAGGGCUUUGGGCUUUUAGGGCUUUUAGGACUUUUAGGGCUUUUAGGGCGCUUAUGGCUUUUAGCUUUUAGGGCUUAGGGCUUUUUGGGCUUUUAGGGCUUAGGGCUUAGGGCUUAGGCUUUUAGGGCUUUUAGGGCUUGGGCUUUGGGCGUUUAGGGCUUUUAGGGCUUUUAGGACGCUUAGGGCUUUUAGGUUGUAGGGCUUAGGGCUUUUAGCGCUUAUGGCUUUUAGGGCUUAGCGCUUAGGGCUUAGGGCUUUUACGGCUUUUAGGGCUUUUACGACUUUUAGAGCUUUUAGGGCUGAGGUAUUAGGGCUUAGGCCUUAGGGCUGAGGGCUCAGGGCUUAGGGCUUAGGGUUUAGGGUUUAGGGUUUAGGGUUUAGGGUUUAGGGCUUAGUUCUUGUGCUUUUAUUGCUUAGGGCUUAGGGCUUGUAGGGCUUAGGGCUUAUGGCUUAGGGCUUGGGCUUUUAGGGCUUGGGCUUUGGGCUUUUAGGGUGUUUAGGGCUUUUAGGUCGCUUAAGUCGUUUAUGGCUUUUAAGGCGUUUAGGGCUUAGGGCUUUUAGGGCUUAGGGGUUUUGACUUACAACUUAGGGCUUGGGAUUUUAGGGCUUAGGGCUUGGGCUUUGGCCUUUUAGGGCUUUUAGGACUCUUAGGGCUUUUACGGCGCUUAGGGCUUUUAGGUUUUAGGGCUUAGGGCUUAGGGCUUUUAGGGCUUAUAGCUUUUUAGGGUUUAGGGUUUUUAGGGUUUUUUAGGGCUUUUAGGGCGCUUAGGGCUUAAGGCUUAUGGCUUGGGCUUUUAUGGCUUGGGCUUUGGGUUAUAGGGCUUAGGGAUUUUAGGGCUUAUGGUUUUUAGGGCUUAGGGCUUAGGGCUUAGGGCUUUUAGGGCUUAGGGGUUUUGGCUUACGGCUUAGGGCUUGGGAUUUUAGGGUUUAGGGCUUUUAGGGCUUACCGCUUAGGGCUUAGGGCUUUAGGCUUUUAGGGCGCUUGAGGAUUUUAGGGCGCUUAGGGCUUUUAGGGCUUAUAGCUUUUAGGGUUUAGGGUUUUUAGGGCUUUUAGGGUGCUUAGGGCUUGGGCUUUUAGGGCUUGGGCUUAGGGUUUUAGGGCUUGGGGAUUUUAGGGCUUAUGGCUUUAGUGUUUAGGGUUUAGGGUUUAGGGUUUAGGGCGCUUAGGACUUUUAGGGAUUUUAGGGCUCUUAGGGCUUUUAGGUUUUAAGGCUUAGGGCUUUUAGGGAUUAUGGCUUAGUGCUUUUAGGGCUUAGGGCUUUUAGGGCUUUUUGGGCUUAUGGCUUAGGGCUUUUAGCGCUUUUAGGGCUUUUAGCGUUUUUAGGGUUUUUAGGGCUCUUAGGGCUUUUAGGUUUUAGGGCUUAGGGCUUUUAGGGCUUUAGGGUUUAGGGUUUAGGGGUAUAGGGUUUAGGGCGCUUAGGGCUUUUAGGGAUUUUAGGGCGUUUAGGGAUUUUAGGUUUUAGGGCUUAGGGCUUUUAGGGAUUAUGGCUUAAAGCUUAGCGCUUUUAGGGCUUAGGGCUUAGGGCUUAGGGCUUUAAGGGCUUUAAGGGUAUUUAGGGAUAAGGGAUUUUAAGGCUUUUAGGGCAUUUAGGGCUUUUGGGGCUUUUAGGGCUUUUAGGGCUUAGGGCGUUUGGCUUAGGGCUUAGGGAUUAGGGCUUGGGCUUUUAGGGCUCGGGCUUUGGGCUUUUAGGACUUUUAGUGCUCUUAGGGCUUUUUGGGCGCUUAGGGCUUAUGACUUUUAAGACUUAGGGCUUUGGGCUUUUAGGGCUUUUAGGACUUUUAGAGCUUUUUAGGGCGCUUAUGGCUUUUAGCUUUUAGGGCUUAGGGCUUUUUUGGGCUUUUAGGGCUUAGGGCUUAGGGCUUAGGCUUUUUAGGGCUUUUAGGGGCUUGGGCUUUGGGCGUUUAGGGCUUUUAGGGCUUUUAGGACGCUUAGGGCUUUUUAGGUUGUAGGGCUUAGGGCUUUUAGCGCUUUAUGGCUUUUAGGGCUUAGCGCUUAGGUCUUAGGGCUUUUACGGCUUUUAGGGCUUUUACGACUUUUAGAGCUUUUAGGGCUGAGGUAUUAGGGCUUAGGCCUUAGGGCUUAGGCCUUAGGGCUGAGGGGUCAGGGCUUAGGGCUUAGGGUUUAGGGUUUAGGGUUUAGGGUUUAGGGUUUAGGGCUUAGUUCUUGUGCUUUUAUUGCUUAGGGCUUAGGGCUUGUAGGGCUUAGGGCUUAUGGCUUAGGGCUUGGGCUUUUAGGGCUUGGGCUUUUAGGGCUUGGGCUUUUAGGGCUUUGGGCUUUGGGCUUUUAGGGUGUUUAGGGCUUUUUAGGUCGCUUAAGUCGUUUAUGGCUUUUAAGGCGUUUAGGGCUUAGGGCUUUUAGGGCUUAGGGGUUUUGGCUUACAACUUAGGGCUUGGGAUUUUAGGGCUUAGGGCUUGGGCUUUGGCCUUUUAGGGCUUUUAGGACUCUUAGGGCUUUUACGGCGCUUAGGGCUUUUAGGUUUUAGGGCUUAGGGCUUAGGGCUUUUAGGGCUUAUAGCUUUUAGGGUUUAGGGUUUUUAGGGUUUUUAGGGCUUUUAGGGCGCUUAGGGCUUAAGGCUUAUGGCUUGGGCUUUUAUGGCUUGGGCUUUGGGUUUUAGGGCUUAGGGAUUUUAGGGCUUAUGGUUUUUAGGGCUUAGGGCUUAGGGCUUAGGGCUUUUAGGGCUUAGGGGUUUUGGCUUACGACUUAGGGCUUGGGAUUUUAGGGCUUAGGGCUUUUAGGGCUUACCGCUUAGGGCUUAGGGCUUUAGGCUUUUAGGGCGCUUGAGGGUUUUAGGGCGCUUAGGGCUUUUAGGGCUUAUAGCUUUUAGGGUUUAGGGUUUUUAGGGCUUUUAGGGUGUUUAGGGCUUGGGCUUUUAUGGCUUGGGCUUUUAGGGCUUGGGCUUAGGGUUUUAGGGCUUGGGGAUUUUAGGGCUUAUGGCUUUAGUGUUUAGGGUUUAAGGUUUAGGGUUUAGGGCGCUUAGGACUUUUAGGGAUUUUAGGGCUCUUAGGGCUUUUAGGUUUUAAGGCUUAGGGCUUUUAGGGAUUAUGGCUUACUGCUUUUAGGGCUUAGGGCUUUUAGGGCUUUUUGGGCUUAUGGCUUAGGGCUUUUAGCGCUUUUAGGGCUUUUAGGGCUCUUAGGGCUUUUAGGUUUUAGGGCUUAGGGCUUUUAGGGCUUUAGGGUUUAGGGUUUAGGGGUUUAGGGUUUAGGGUUUAGGGCGCUUAGGGCUUUUAGGGAUUUUAGGGCGCUUAGGGAUUUUAGGUUUUAGGGCUUAGGGCUUUUAGGGAUUAUGGCUUAAAGCUUAGCGCUUUUAGGGCUUAGAGCUUAGGGCUUAGGGCUUUAAGGGCUCUAAGGGUAUUUAGGGAUAAGGGAUUUUAGGGCUUUUAGGGCAUUUAGGGCUUUGGGCGUUUAGGGCUUUUAGGGCUUUUAGGACGCUUAGGGCUUUUAGGUUGUAGGGCUUAGGGCUUUUAGCGCUUAUGGCUUUUAGGGCUUAGCGCUUAGGGCUUAGGGCUUUUACGGCUUUUAGGGCUUUUAAGAAUUUUAGAGCUUUUAGGGCUGAGGUAUUAGGGCUUAGGCCUUAGGGCUUAAGCCUUAGGGCUGAGGGGUCAGGGCUUAGGGCUUAGGGUUUAGGGUUUAGGGUUUAGGGUUUAGGGUUUAGGGUUUAGGGCUUAGUUCUUGUGCUUUUAUUGCUUAGGGCUUAGGGCUUGUAGGGCUUAGGGCUUAUGGCUUAGGGCUUGGGCUUUUAGGGCUUGGGCUUUGGGCUUUUAGGGUGUUUAGGGCUUUUAGGUCGCUUAAGUCGUUUAUGGCUUUUAAGGCGUUUAGGGCUUAAGGCUUUUAGGGCUUAGGGGUUUUGGCUUACGACUUAGGGCUUGGGAUUUUAGGGCUUAGGGCUUGGGCUUUGGCCUUUUAGGGCUUUUAGGACUGUUAGGGCUUUUACGGCGCUUAGGGCUUUUAGGUUUUAGGGCUUAGACUUAGGGCUUUUAGGGCUUAUAGCUUUUAGGGUUUAGGGUUUUUAGGGUUUUUAGGGCUUUUAGGGCGCUUAGGGCUUAAGGCUUAUGGCUUGGGCUUUUAUGGCUUGGGCUUUGGGUUUUAGGGCUUAGGGAUUUUAGGGCUUAUGGUUUUUAGGGCUUAGGGCUUAGGGCUUAGGGCUUUUAGGGCUUAGGGGUUUUGGCUUACGGCUUAGGGCUUGGGAUUUUAGGGCUUAGGGCUUUUAGGGCUCACCGCAUAGGGCUUAGGGCUUUAGGCUUUUAGGGCGCUUGAGGGUUUUAGGGCGCUUAGGGCUUUUAGGGCUUAUAGCUUUUAGGGUUUAGGGUUUUUAGGGCUUUUAGGGUGCUUAGGGCUUGGGCUUUUAUGGCUUGGGCUUUGGGUUUUAGGGCUUAGGGAUUUUAGGGCUUUUAGGGCAUUUAGGGCUUUUGGGGCUUUUAGGGCUUAGGGCGUUUGGCUUAGGGCUUAGGGAUUAGGGCUUGGGCUUUUAGGGCUCGGGCUUUGGGCUUUUUAGGACUUUUAGUGCUCUUAGGGCUUUUUGGGCGCUUAGGGCUUAUGACUUUUAAGACUUAGGGCUUUGGGCUUUUUGGGCUUUUAGGGCUUUUAGGACUUUUAGGGCUUUUAGGGCGCUUAUGGCUUUUAGCUUUUAGGGCUUAGGGCUUUUUGGGCUUUUAGGGCUUAGGGCUUAGGGCUUAGGCUUUUAGGGCUUUUAGGGCUUGGGCUUUGGGCGUUUAGGGCUUUUAGGGUUUUUAGAACGCUUAGGGCUUUUAGGUUGUAGGGCUUAGGGCUUUAGCGCUUAUGGCUUUUAGGGCUUAGGGCUUAGGGCUUAGGGCUUAGGGUUUAGGGUUUAGGGUUUAGGGUUUAGGGCUUAGUUCUUGUGCUUUUAUUGCUUAGGGCUUAGUUCUUGUGCUUUUAUUGCUUAGGGCUUAGGGCUUGUAGGGCUUAGGGCUUAUGGCUUAGGGCUUGGGCUUUUAGGGCUUGGGUUUUUAGGGCUUGGGCUUUGGGCUUUUAGGGCGUUUAGGGCUUUUAGGUCGCUUAAGUCGUUUAUGGCUUUUAAGGCGUUUAGGGCUUAGGGCUUUUAGGGCUUAGGGGUUUUGGCUUACGACUUAGGGCUUGGGAUUUUAGGGCUUAGGGCUUGGGCUUUGGCCUUUUAGGGCUUUUAGGAAUUUUAGGGCUUUUACGGCGCUUAGGGCUUUUAGGUUUUAGGGCUUAGGGCUUAGGGCUUUUAGGGCUUAUAGCUUUUAGGGUUUAGGGUUUUUAGGGUUUUUAGGGUUUUUAGGGCGCUUAGGGCUUAGGGCUUAUGGCUUGGGCUUUUAUGGCUUGGGCUUUGGGUUUUAGGGCUUAGGGAUUUUAGGGCUUUUAGGGCAUUUAGGGCUUUUGGGGCUUUUAGGGCUUAGGGGCGUUUGGCUUAGGGCUUAGGGAUUAGGGCUUGGGCUUUUAGGGCUCGGGCUUUGGGCUUUUAGGACUUUUAGUGCUCUUAGGGCUUUUUGGGCGCUUAGGGCUUAUGACUUUUAAGACUUAGGGCUUUAGGCUUUUUGGGCUUUUAGGGCUUUUAGGACUUUUAGGGCUUUUAGGGCGCUUAUGGCUUUUAGCUUUUAGGGCUUAGGGCUUUUUGGGCUUUUAGGGCUUAGGGCUUAGGGCUUAGGCUUUUAGGGCUUUUAGGGCUUGGGCUUUGGGCGUUUAGGGCUUUUAGGGCUUUUAGGACGCUUAGGGCUUUUAGGUUGUAGGGCUUAGGGCUUUUAGCGCUUAUGGCUUUUAGGGCUUAGCGCUUAGGGCUUAGGGCUUUUACGGCUUUUUAGGGCUUUUACGACUUUUAGAGCUUUUAGGGCUGAGGUAUUAGGGCUUAGGCCUUAGGGCUUAGGCCUUAGGGCUGAGGGUGUCAGGGCUUAGGGCUUAGGGUUUAGGGUUUAGGGUUUAGGGUUUAGGGUUUAGGGCUUAGUUCUUGUGCUUUUAUUGCUUAGGGCUUAGGGCUUGUAGGGCUUAGGGCUUAUGGCUUAGGGCUUGGGCUUUUAGGGCUUGGGCUUUUAGGGCUUGGGCUUUGGGCUUUUAGGGUGUUUAGGGCUUUUAGGUCGCUUAAGUCGUUUAUGGCUUUUAAGGCGUUUAGGGCUUAGGGCUUUUAGGGCUUAGGGGGUUUUGGCUUACGACUUAGGGCUUGGGAUUUUAGGGCUUAGGGCUUGGGCUUUGGCCUUUUAGGGCUUUUAGGACUGUUAGGGCUUUUACGGCGCUUAGGGCUUUUAGGUUUUAGGGCUUAGACUUAGGGCUUUUAGGGCUUAUAGCUUUUAGGGUUUAGGGUUUUUAGGGUUUUUAGGGCUUUUAGGGCGCUUAGGGCUUAAGGCUUAUGGCUUGGGCUUUUAUGGCUUGGGCUUUGGGUUUUAAGGCUUAGGGAUUUUAGGGCUUAUGGUUUUUAGGGCUUAGGGCUUAGGGCUUAGGGCUUUUAGGGCUUAGGGGUUUUGGCUUACGGCUUAGGGCUUGGGAUUUUAGGGCUUAGGGCUUUUAGGGCUCACCGCUUGGCGCUUAGGGCUUUAGGCUUUUAGGGCGCUUGAGGGUUUUAGGGCGCUUAGGGCGCUUAGGGCUUUUAGGGCUUAUAGCUUUUAGGGUUUAGGGUUUUUUAGGGCUUUUAGGGUGCUUAGGGCUUGGGCUUUUAUGGCUUGGGCUUUGGGUUUUAGGGCUUAGGGAUUUUAGGGCUUUUAGGGCAUUUAGGGCUUUUGGGGCUUUUAGGGCUUAGGGCGUUUGGCUUAGGGCUUAGGGAUUAGGGCUUGGGCUUUUAGGGCUCGGGCUUUGGGCUUUUAGGACUUUUAGUGCUCUUAGGGCUUUUUGGGCGCUUAGGGCUUAUGACUUUUAAGACUUAGGGCUUUGGGCUUUUUUGGCUUUUAGGACUUUUAGGGCUUUUAGGGCGCUUAUGGCUUUUAGCUUUUAGGGCUUAGGGCUUUUUGGGCUUUUAGGGCUUAGGGCUUAGGGCUUAGGCUUUUUAGGGCUUUUAGGGCUUGGGCUUUGGGCGUUUUAGGGCUUUUAGGGCUUUUAGAACGCUUAGGGCUUUUAGGUUGUAGGGCUUAGGGCUUUUAGCGCUUAUGGCUUUUAGGGCUUAGGGCUUAGGGCUUAGGGCUUAGGGUUUAGGGUUUAGGGUUUAGGGUUUAGGGCUUAGUUUCUUGUGCUUUUAUUGCUUAGGGCUUAGUUCUUGUGCUUUUAUUGCUUAGGGCUUAGGGCUUGUAGGGCUUAGGGCUUAUGGCUUAGGGCUUGGGCUUUUAGGGCUUGGGUUUUUAGGGCUUGGGCUUUGGGCUUUUAGGGCGUUUAGGGCUUUUAGGUCGCUUAAGUCGUUUAUGGCUUUUAAGGCGUUUAGGGCUUAGGGCUUUUAGGGCUUAGGGGUUUUGGCUUACGACUUAGGGCUUGGGAUUUUAGGGCUUAGGGCUUGGGCUUUGGUCUUUUAGGGCUUUUAGGAUUUUUAGGGCUUUUACGACGCUUAGGGCUUUUAGGUUUUAGGGCUUAGGGCUUAGGGCUUUUAGGGCUUAUAGCUUUUAGGGUUUAGGGUUUUUAGGGUUUUUAGGGCUUUUAGGGCGCUUAGGGCUUAGGACUUAUGGCUUGGGCUUUUAUGGCUUGGGCUUUGGGUUUUAGGGCUUAGGGAUUUUAGGGCUUUUAGGGCAUUUAGGGCUUUUGGGGCUUUUAGGGCUUAGGGCGUUUGGCUUAGGGCUUAGGGAUUAGGGCUUGGGCUUUUAGGGCUCGGGCUUUGGGCUUUUAGGACUUUUAGUGCUCUUAGGGCUUUUUGGGCGCUUAGGGCUUAUGACUUUUAAGACUUAGGGCUUUAGGCUUUUAGGGCUUUUAGGACUUUUAGGGCUUUUAGGGCGCUUAUGGCUUUUAGCUUUUAGGGCUUAGGGCUUUUUGGGCUUUUAGGGCUUAGGGCUUAGGGCUUAGGCUUUUAGGGCUUUUAGGGCUUGGGCUUUGGGCGUUUAGGGCUUUUAGGGCUUUUAGGACGCUUAGGGCUUUUAGGUUCGUAGGGCUUAGGGCUUUUAGCGCUUAUGGCUUUUAGGGCUUAGCGCUUAGGGCUUAGGGCUUUUACGGCUUUUAGGGCUUUUACGACUUUUAGGGCUUUUAGGGCUGAGGUCUUAGGGCUUAGGCCUUAGGGCUUAGGCCUUAGGGCUGAGGGCUCAGGGCUUAGGGCUUAGGGCUUAGGGUUUAGGGCUUAGGGCUUAGUUCUUGUGCUUUUAUUGCUUAGGGCUUAGGGCUUGUAGGGCUUAGGGCUUAUGGCUUAGGGCUUGGGCUUUUAGGGCUUGGGUUUUUAGGGCUUGGGCUUUGGGCUUUUAGGGCGUUUAGGGCUUUUAGGUCGCUUAAGUCGUUGAUUGCUUUUAAGGCGUUUAGGGCUUAGGGCUUUUAGGGCUUAGAGGUUUUGGCUUACGACUUAGGGCUUGGGAUUUUAGGGCUUAGGGCUUGGGUUUUGGCCUUUUAGGGCUUUUAGGAUUUUUAGGGCUUUUACCGGCGCUUAGGGCUUUUAGGUUUUAGGGCUUAGGGCUUAGGCGCUUUUAGGGCUUAUAGCUUUUAGAGGGUUUAGGGUUUUUAGGGUUUUUAGGGCUUUUAGGGCGCUUAGGGCUUAGGACUUAUGGCUUGGGCUUUGGGUUUUAGGGCUUAGGGAUUUUAGGGCUUAUGGUUUUUAGGGCUUAGGGCUUAGGGCUUAGGGGUUUUGGCUUACGGCUUAGGGCUUAGGGCUUGGGCUUUGGCCUUUUAAGGCUUUUAGGACUUUUAGGGCUUUUACGGCGCUUAGGGCGCUUAGGGCUUUCAGGUUUUAGGGCUUAGGGCUUUAGGCUUUUAGGGCGCUUGAGGGUUUUAGGGCGCUUAGGGCUUUUAGGGCUUAUAGCUUUUAGGGUUUAGGGUUUUUAGGGCUUUUAGGGCGCUUAGGGCUUAGGGCUUAGGGCUUGGGCUUUUAUGGCUUGGGCUUUUAGGGCUUGGGCUUAGGGUUUUAGGGCUUGGGGAUUUUAGGGCUUAUGGCUUUAGAGUUUAGGGGUUUUGGGUUUAGGGCGCUUAGGACUUUUAGGGACUUUAGGGCUCUUAGGGCUUUUAGGUUUUAAGGCUUAUGGCUUUUAGGGAUUAUGGCUAAGUGCUUUUAGGGCUUAACGCUUUUAGGAGGACUUAGGGCUUUUAGGGCUUUUAGGGCUUAGGGCUUUUGGUGCUUUUGGGGCUUUUAGGGCUUAGGGCCUUUGGCUUAGUGCUUGGGGAUUAUAGCUUGGGCUUUUAGGGCUCGGGCUUUGGGCUCUUAGGGCUUUUAGGGCGCUUAGGGCUUUUAGGUCUUUUAGGGAUUAGGGUUUGGGCUUUUAGGGCUUGUGCUUUGGGCUUUUGGGAUUUUAGGGUUUAGGGCUUGUGCUUUUAGGGCUUGGGCUUUGCGCUUUUAGGACUUUUAGGGCUUUUACAGCGCUUAGGGCGCUUAGGACUUAGGGCUUAGGGCUUUUAGGGCUUAGGGCUCAUUGAGGAACUGGAUUUAUCUAAUGAGUAUAGGUAAAAUGGUUUUUUAUAUUGGAUUUGAUCAAUGCAAUGAAUUGUUUUAUCAUAAGACCGAUCCCUAAUUAAAUUGAUGAUCCCCAUCCUAACGAAAUGAAUUUGAUUCAUACAUGUACACACACGAACUGAACAUAGAUACAUUCACCGAAUCAUUGAUAAAGCAAUUCUACUUGGCGAGGAAAAAAUUUUCAAUAACUUGUUGAUCCCUAUCUCCAAAUUUUAAAAUUUAUCGUUCUUGAAUUUCUUGGCUUAGUGUGAAAUCGAAAUAUACCUAACCUAAUCUUAACAAUGAGUUAAUCAAUGAGUGAAAGUAUGAGAAAUGGAGUUUAAUCCCGUUUAUAGCAUAUUACAGACCAAUCACUUCCCGAAGGGUACUAGCCUUCGCAUUAUUUAAAUAAAAAAAGAAUAUUUUUUUUUGAAUAUUUAUUAUUUUUGUUUAUUUUAGACGUUUCUUCUAAUCACUACUAAUCACUAUUUUCAUUUUAUAUUCUAUAAUAAGUAAUAUAACUAUAUAUUCCAAUUUGCAAAUUUAUGUAUAUUAUUUAAAUUAAAUAAAUAAAUAAAAGAAAUUAAAUAAAUAAAUAAAUAAUGCAAUUGAAUUUUAAAUAAAAGAAUUUCUUCCCCUACUUCUUCUCUAACGGCUCUCUCUCUACUUUCUCGUCCUCUCCCCUUCUCUUAUCUUCUUCGUCUUCCUCAAAAUCGCGAUUCACGACCAUCUUCUUCUCCUGGCCCUAACAGCGCUGGAUUUCUCAACUGUCGAUCGAGUGACAAUCAUGCCUGCCUGCUUGACAAAGCCUUUUCGGUCUACCAAUAAAGGAAAAACGAUUGCUGGUGACACGAAGGCUGUGCUCGACGCUCUUUUUCUUAUUCCACUGCGCGUCGUGGUCUUUCCCUUGCUGGUUGGAUGACUACUAUGGACGAAGAGCACAAUUACUUCCAGUCUCUGGUCGAUAAGUACCCAAGGAAGGUAAAUUCCAGCGAAGAAAGUCGAGAGCUCCUUAGUUGAUCACAAAUCCUUCCAAAUUCUUUGUUCGUAGACUAAUUUGAAAUCCUUCCAAUAUGGAUCCAUGCUGUCUUUUAUAUCCAUAAGAUACCAAUUAGAUUGUGUUAAUUAUUGUUUAUAAGAAAAUAUUUGUGUGCAGAGUUGCCGUGGGUAAAUCUUAAUGGCUGGCAGAAAAUUGGUUCGGGAUAUAUUACUCUCAAGACAAAGUAUUUUUUAUCAGUUUACUUCCCAUGGGGUAUUUGCUCUUCCUAUGCUUUAUCCUUAUCCCGUCUUUCUCCGCUGUAGUCUUUAUAGGAUCGAUUUCUGUGGUGUAAAUUUAUUCAUCUAGUUUGUUUAAUUUAUGGUUUCAUUUAGGGAGAAGGUAAAUUACAUAAGCCAACGUAGUUAUGGAAAACAUCUCCAAUUUACAGCAAGUUAAAGAAAAAAAAAAAGAAGAGAAAAACAGCAGUUAAAAAAACUGGGCAUCUUGCUUUUUUCUUAUUGAAAGUUUGGCCGUUUCUUUCAAGUCAAAUUGACCACAAAAUGCUCAAAUGAGAUUCUUCAAUAGGAAUAUGUAAAAAAAAUAUAAUAUGUAAAAGAAUUUUUGUGAAACGUGGGAGAGAAGCGGUAACAUUAUCCUUCAAAAAAUUCAGGAGUAAAUAUUUAUGUGAAAGGACAUAUUAUUUGGCCAUUUGACCUUAUUUGUUAUUGAAUUAUUUGGUUGGAAAUGAUAAACUACACAUUAUUGUUUGCUUCAGUUGUGAUCUUGAUUAUGGGCUAUUUGGUAUUUUGCUUACAAACUGUAUAGUUAAUUAUCUGUUAGCUUUUGUUUUCCUGUCACAGCUUUAUGUUUAUGUGGCUCAUUGUAGCCGAAAGUUUUAUUUAUCAAUCUUAUUUUUCAUAGCAUAAAUGAAACUGUGUUUGAAGAAUCAGGUGCUGCUACAUCAUUCAAGGAAAUUCGUCGUAGAGGUUCGUAAGUUUUUUCCUUUGGAGAUGUGAUACUAACCUGUUUGAAUAAAGGAAUCUGACUUGGUCUUUUCCUCUUUAACAUUAUGGAUUAGGUCUUUCUCUUUACCAGAUUUCGUAGCUGAACUUUAAGAAGCAAUCAAACCGGUGUUAACUUCUUAUAUAAAGGUUAGUGCUAACUGCUAAGCUUAUUUCUAAGAUGAAAGAUGCUUUUAUCCCCUCCCCAAAGAAUAUCAUUACUAUUUAUGUUGUAUUUCUGCUAACUAAUUCUUGCAUAGCAUCUGGUUUGAUAAAUAAAGUAAAGUUUCUGACAUGGAGGUUUUCAAGUUGGAAUAUAUAUUUAUGUUUUAGGUAGAUUCCCAAACUUUGAAGAAACGCUGCAGUACUGAGGUAAUUGAACGUUGUAAGGCAGAGCAUUGGGCUUACCAGAGCCAAGGUAUCUUCUUCGAUAACAAGUAAGGAUAGUCCUGAUACUACCUUUCUUUUGUUAUUGAAAUUUAUUGUUCCUUUUGUUGGGGGCUUGGUGGUUGUGCACCUAUAUUGAUUUGUACUUCUGUUAAUUAAUUAUAGUCAUUCUCUCUUGUCUGAGUAAUUAUUGUCAACCAUUUUGUUAGCAAAGGCUUCCCAUGGAAAUUCAGUUUGUUGUGCUGCAUGUCCACGAUGAUUUUCGUGAUUUUAGUUUUAGAUACAUAAAAAGGGCCUUUGCAUCACGACAUGAAUGACUACUUUUUAAUAUGAACCUACAAUACCCCAAAUGAAUGCUGAAGUAAGUUUAUUGAUGUAUGUAAUUUACAACAAUCUUUUUGAACUUUUUGGUAGGUUAUGAAUUACGAACUUGUAUUGAAUAUUUGUUAGGUCGUUUUAAUAAUUCAAGUGAUGCUUAGAAAAUGCAACCGAGCUUAAACAAUUCUGCACAUUUUUCUAAAAUUUUUAGUUUAACCUCUUUAAUAAAAUUCGAUGGAAAUUCUUGUUUUCUUUUUGUAGGAAUAAAGGAAAAUGAAAUAUAACCAAACUUGGGAUCUUUGCAAGCAAGCUUCCAUGAAGAAACUAGGUUACAAGGGGAGGUCUUCUGUUCUCCUUUUUUUUCUUUCCAUCCGUAGAAUCUUGCUUAAAAUGCUUUGAGGACAAUGCAAAUUUUUAAGUGGGGGGUGGGGUUGUAGCCUUGCACAUUCCAUGUCCUUUGGGAAAUUUUCAUUUUGCAAAUUUUGCUAAAAAUGUCAAAAUUUAGAAACUUUUGCAAUGCUCUAUGCUUAGAAUAAGUACCAUGUCUACUUCGCUUUUUAGCAUAAAAAAGCAUAUAUGCCUAACCCAUGAGAACGGAGCUCGGAUUUGUGAUUGUAUUUGUUAUUUGAAUAUGUUACAUAUGUUGAAAAUGCAUAUAUUGAUAGCUUAGAAAUGAGUAGAACACUUGGUUCAUUUUCUGAAUAUUGUGAAUUAUGUACAUAAUAAUAUGUGCGGUUGCCUUUUUUAUCUCAAUUUUAAUCCCCUUUUUUGCCAUAUUCUACUGCCUUUUUUAUAUUAAUUUUAAAUCCCUCUUUUGGCCAUACACAUUUGUAUAAGAUUGUUUGAAAGCAAAAUAUGAUUGUUAGGUCAAGUAGAAAGCAAAGUCGGCAAGUUCUUAGAGUUCUUCACCCAACAUAACAGCCGAUAAAAACAAAACAAUACGACCAAGCUGCUUAGAGUUGCAAAACCCGACCCCCGCCUAGUGGGUCACUAGAGUUCUUCACCCAGCAUGGCAGCCGGUAGAGAGGGAGAGAGAAAAAAAAGAGGGAGCCAAGCCAGCCGCUUAGGUCAAGUAAAAUGCGCGCGAGAUCCCCGGUUUCAGAAUUUUCGUGGGGAUCCUCUCCGCUUUUCUUGCCUAAGCAAAACCGACCCCGCCUAGUAGGUUCUUAGAGUUCUUCACCCAUCAUGGCAGCCGGUAGAGAGGGAGAGAAAAAAAAAAGGGAGCCAAGCCAGCCGCUUAGGUCAAGUAAAAUGCGCGCCGAGAUCCCCGGUUUCAGAAUUUUCGUGGGGAUCCUCUCCGCUUUUCUUGCCUAAGCAAAACCCGACCCGCCUAGUAGGUCUUAGAGUUUUCACCCAGCAUGGCAGCCGUAGAGAGGGAGAGAGAAAAAAAGAGGGAGCCAAGCCAGCCGCUUAGGUCAAGUAAAAUGCGCGCCGAGAUCCCCCGUUUCAGAAUUUUCGUGGGGAUCCUCUCCGCUUUUCUUGCCUAAGCAAAACCCGACCCGCCUAGUAGGUCCUUAGAGUUUUUCACCCAGCAUGGCAGCCGGUAGAGAGGGAGAGAAAAAAAAGAGGGAGCCAAGCCAGCCGCUUAGGUCAAGUAAAAUGCGCGCCGAGAUCCCCCGGUUUCAGAAUUUUCGUGGGAUCCUCUCCGCUUUUCUUGCCUAAGCAAAACCCGACCCCCCUAGUAGGUCUUAGAGUUUUUCACCCAGCAUGGCAGCCGGUAGAGAGGGAGAGAGAAAAAAAGAGGGAGCCAAGCCAGCCGCUUAGGUCAAGUAAAAUGCGCGCCGAGAUCCCCCGGUUUCAGAAUUUUCGUGGGGAUCCUCUCCGCUUUUCUUGCCUAAGCAAAACCCGACCCGCCUAGUAGGUCCUUAGAGUUUUUCACCCAGCAUGGCAGCCGGUAGAGAGGGAGAGAGAAAAAAAAGAGGGAGCCAAGCCAGCCGCUUAGGUCAAGUAAAAUGCGCGCCGAGAUCCCCCGGUUUCAGAAUUUUCGUGGGGAUCCUCUCCGCUUUUCUUGCCUAAGCAAAACCCGACCCCGCCUAGUAGGUCCUUAGAGUUUUCACCCAGCAUGGCAGCCGGUAGAGAGGGAGAGAAAAAAAAGAGGGAGCCAAGCCAGCCGCUUAGGUCAAGUAAAAUGCGCGCCGAGAUCCCCGGUUUCAGAAUUUUCGUGGGGAUCCUCUCCGCUUUUCUUGCCUAAGCAAAACCCGACCCGCCUAGUAGGUCCUUAGAGUUUUUCACCCAGCAUGGCAGCCGGUAGAGAGGGAGAGAGAAAAAAAAGAGGGAGCCAAGCCAGCCGCUUAGGUCAAGUAAAAUGCGCGCCGAGAUCCCCGGUUUCAGAAUUUUCGUGGGGAUCCUCUCCGCUUUUCUUGCCUAAGCAAAACCCGACCCGCCUAGUAGGUCCUUAGAGUUUUUCACCCAGCAUGGCAGCCGGUAGAGAGGGAGAGAAAAAAAAAGAGGGAGCCAAGCCAGCCGCUUAGGUCAAGUAAAAUGCGCGCCGAGAUCCCCCGGUUUCAGAAUUUUCGUGGGGAUCCUCUCCGCUUUUCUUGCCUAAGCAAAACCCGACCCGCCUAGUAGGUCCUUAGAGUUUUCACCCAUCAUGGCAGCCGGUAGAGAGGGAGAGAGAAAAAAAAGAGGGAGCCAAGCCAGCCGCUUAGGUCAAGUAAAAUGCGCGCGCGAGAUCCCCGGUUUCAGAAUUUUCGUGGGGAUCCUCUCCGCUUUUCUUGCCUAAGCAAAACCCGACCCGCCUAGUAGGUCCUUAGAGUUUUUCACCCAGCAUGGCAGCCGGUAGAGAGGGAGAGAAAAAAAAGAGGGAGCCAAGCCAGCCGCUUAGGUCAAGUAAAAUGCGCGCCGAGAUCCCCCGGUUUCAGAAUUUUCGUGGGGAUCCUCUCCGCUUUUCUUGCCUAAGCAAAACCCGACCUAGUAGGUCCUUAGAGUUUUUCACCCAGCAUGGCAGCCGGUAGAGAGGGAGAGAGAAAAAAAAGAGGGAGCCAAGCCAGCCGCUUAGGUCAAGUAAAAUGCGCGCCGAGAUCCCCGGUUUCAGAAUUUUCGUGGGGAUCCUCUCCGCUUUUCUUGCCUAAGCAAAACCCGACCCGCCUAGUAGGUCCUUAGAGUUUUUCACCCAGCAUGGCAGCCGGUAGAGAGGGAGAGAAAAAAAAGAGGGAGCCAAGCCAGCCGCUUAGGUCAAGUAAAAUGCGCGCCGAGAUCCCCCGUUUCAGAAUUUUCGUGGGGAUCCUCUCCGCUUUUCUUGCCUAAGCAAAACCCGACCCGCCUAGUAGGUCCUUAGAGUUUUCACCCAUCAUGGCAGCCGGUAGAGAGGGAGAGAAAAAAAAAGAGGGAGCCAAGCCAGCCGCUUAGGUCAAGUAAAAUGCGCGCCGAGAUCCCCGGUUUCAGAAUUUUCGUGGGGAUCCUCUCCGCUUUUCUUGCCUAAGCAAAACCCGACCCGCCUAGUAGGUCCUUAGAGUUUUCACCCAGCAUGGCAGCCGGUAGAGAGGGAGAGAGAAAAAAAAGAGGGAGCCAAGCCAGCCGCUUAGGUCAAGUAAAAUGCGCGCCGAGAUCCCCCGGUUUCAGAAUUUUCGUGGGGAUCCUCUCCGCUUUUCUUGCCUAAGCAAAACCCGACCCGCCUAGUAGGUUCUUAGAGUUCUUCACCCAUCAUGGCAGCCGGUAGAGAGGGAGAGAGAAAAAAAAGAGGGAGCCAAGCCAGCCGCUUAGGUCAAGUAAAAUGCGCGCCGAGAUCCCCCGGUUUCAGAAUUUUCGUGGGAUCCUCUCCGCUUUUCUUGCCUAAGCAAAACCCGACCCGCCUAGUAGGUCCUUAGAGUUUUCACCCAGCAUGGCAGCCGGUAGAGAGGGAGAGAAAAAAAAGAGGGAGCCAAGCCAGCCGCUUAGGUCAAGUAAAAUGCGCGCCGAGAUCCCCGGUUUCAGAAUUUUCGUGGGGAUCCUCUCCGCUUUUCUUGCCUAAGCAAAACCCGACCCGCCUAGUAGGUCUUAGAGUUUUUCACCCAGCAUGGCAGCCGGUAGAGAGGGAGAGAGAAAAAAAGAGGGAGCCAAGCCAGCCGCUUAGGUCAAGUAAAAUGCGCGCCGAGAUCCCCCGGUUUCAGAAUUUUCGUGGGGAUCCUCUCCGCUUUUCUUGCCUAAGCAAAACCCGACCCCGCCUAGUAGGUUCUUAGAGUUCUUCACCCAUCAUGGCAGCCGGUAGAGAGGAGAGAGAAAAAAAAGAGGGAGCCAAGCCAGCCGCUUAGGUCAAGUAAAAUGCGCGCCGAGAUCCCCGGUUUCAGAAUUUUCGUGGGGAUCCUCUCCGCUUUUCUUGCCUAAGCAAAACCCGACCCCGCCUAGUAGGUCUUAGAGUUCUUCACCCAUCAUGGCAGCCGUAGAGAGGGAGAGAAAAAAAAAGAGGGAGCCAAGCCAGCCGCUUAGGUCAAGUAAAAUGCGCGCCGAGAUCCCCCGGUUUCAGAAUUUCGUGGGGAUCCUCUCCGCUUUUCUUGCCUAAGCAAAACCCGACCCGCCUAGUAGGUCCUUAGAGUUUUCACCCAGCAUGGCAGCCGUAGAGAGGGAGAGAGAAAAAAAGAGGGAGCCAAGCCAGCCGCUUAGGUCAAGUAAAAUGCGCGCCGAGAUCCCCCGGUUUCAGAAUUUUCGUGGGGAUCCUCUCCGCUUUUCUUGCCUAAGCAAAACCCGACCCGCCUAGUAGGUCCUUAGAGUUUUCACCCAGCAUGGCAGCCGGUAGAGAGGGAGAGAGAAAAAAAAGAGGGAGCCAAGCCAGCCGCUUAGGUCAAGUAAAAUGCGCGCCGAGAUCCCCCGGUUUCAGAAUUUUCGUGGGGAUCCUCUCCGCUUUUCUUGCCUAAGCAAAACCCGACCCGCCUAGUAGGUCCUUAGAGUUUUUCACCCAGCAUGGCAGCCGGUAGAGAGGGAGAGAGAAAAAAAGAGGGAGCCAAGCCAGCCGCUUAGGUCAAGUAAAAUGCGCGCCGAGAUCCCCCGGUUUCAGAAUUUUCGUGGGAUCCUCUCCGCUUUUCUUGCCUAAGCAAAACCCGACCCCCUAGUAGGUCCUUAGAGUUUUCACCCAGCAUGGCAGCCGGUAGAGAGGGAGAGAGAAAAAAAAGAGGGAGCCAAGCCAGCCGCUUAGGUCAAGUAAAAUGCGCGCCGAGAUCCCCCGGUUUCAGAAUUUUCGUGGGGAUCCUCUCCGCUUUUCUUGCCUAAGCAAAACCCGACCCCGCCUAGUAGGUCUUAGAGUUCUUCACCCAGCAUGGCAGCCGGUAGAGAGGGAGAGAAAAAAAAAAGAGGGAGCCAAGCCAGCCGCUUAGGUCAAGUAAAAUGCGCGCCGAGAUCCCCCGUUUCAGAAUUUUCGUGGGAUCCUCUCCGCUUUUCUUGCCUAAGCAAAACCCGACCCGCCUAGUAGGUCCUUAGAGUUUUUCACCCAGCAUGGCAGCCGGUAGAGAGGGAGAGAGAAAAAAAAGAGGGAGCCAAGCCAGCCGCUUAGGUCAAGUAAAAUGCGCGCCGAGAUCCCCGGUUUCAGAAUUUUCGUGGGAUCCUCUCCGCUUUUCUUGCCUAAGCAAAACCCGACCCGCCUAGUAGGUUCUUAGAGUUCUUCACCCAUCAUGGCAGCCGGUAGAGAGGGAGAGAGAAAAAAAAGAGGGAGCCAAGCCAGCCGCUUAGGUCAAGUAAAAUGCGCGCCGAGAUCCCCGGUUUCAGAAUUUUCGUGGGGAUCCUCUCCGCUUUUCUUGCCUAAGCAAAACCCGACCCGCCUAGUAGGUCCUUAGAGUUUUCACCCAGCAUGGCAGCCGGUAGAGAGGGAGAGAAAAAAAAGAGGGAGCCAAGCCAGCCGCUUAGGUCAAGUAAAAUGCGCGCCGAGAUCCCCCGGUUUCAGAAUUUUCGUGGGGAUCCUCUCCGCUUUUCUUGCCUAAGCAAAACCCGACCCGCCUAGUAGGUCCUUAGAGUUUUCACCCAGCAUGGCAGCCGGUAGAGAGGGAGAGAGAAAAAAAGAGGGAGCCAAGCCAGCCGCUUAGGUCAAGUAAAAUGCGCGCCGAGAUCCCCCGGUUUCAGAAUUUUCGUGGGGAUCCUCUCCGCUUUUCUUGCCUAAGCAAAACCCGACCCGCCUAGUAGGUCCUUAGAGUUUUCACCCAGCAUGGCAGCCGGUAGAGAGGGAGAGAGAAAAAAAAGAGGGAGCCAAGCCAGCCGCUUAGGUCAAGUAAAAUGCGCGCCGAGAUCCCCCGGUUUCAGAAUUUUCGUGGGGAUCCUCUCCGCUUUUCUUGCCUAAGCAAAACCCGACCCGCCUAGUAGGUCCUUAGAGUUUUCACCCAGCCAUGGCAGCCGGUAGAGAGGGAGAGAGAAAAAAAAGAGGGAGCCAAGCCAGCCGCUUAGGUCAAGUAAAAUGCGCGCCGAGAUCCCCCGGUUUCAGAAUUUUCGUGGGAUCCUCUCCGCUUUUCUUGCCUAAGCAAAACCCGACCCGCCUAGUAGGUCCUUAGAGUUUUCACCCAUGGCAGCCGGUAGAGAGGGAGAGAAAAAAAAGAGGGAGCCAAGCCAGCCGCUUAGGUCAAGUAAAAUGCGCGCCGAGAUCCCCCGGUUUCAGAAUUUUCGUGGGGAUCCUCUCCGCUUUUCUUGCCUAAGCAAAACCCGACCCCGCCUAGUAGGUCUUAGAGUUCUUCACCCAGCAUGGCAGCCGGUAGAGAGGGAGAGAAAAAAAAAGAGGGAGCCAAGCCAGCCGCUUAGGUCAAGUAAAAUGCGCGCCGAGAUCCCCGGUUUCAGAAUUUUCGUGGGGAUCCUCUCCGCUUUUCUUGCCUAAGCAAAACCCGACCCGCCUAGUAGGUCCUUAGAGUUUUCACCCAGCAUGGCAGCCGGUAGAGAGGGAGAGAAAAAAAAGAGGGAGCCAAGCCAGCCGCUUAGGUCAAGUAAAAUGCGCGCCGAGAUCCCCCGGUUUCAGAAUUUUCGUGGGGAUCCUCUCCGCUUUUCUUGCCUAAGCAAAACCCGACCCGCCUAGUAGGUCCUUAGAGUUUUUCACCCAGCAUGGCAGCCGGUAGAGAGGGAGAGAGAAAAAAAAGAGGGAGCCAAGCCAGCCGCUUAGGUCAAGUAAAAUGCGCGCCGAGAUCCCCGGUUUCAGAAUUUUCGUGGGGAUCCUCUCCGCUUUUCUUGCCUAAGCAAAACCCGACCCGCCUAGUAGGUCCUUAGAGUUUUCACCCAGCAUGGCAGCCGUAGAGAGGGAGAGAGAAAAAAAAGAGGGAGCCAAGCCAGCCGCUUAGGUCAAGUAAAAUGCGCGCCGAGAUCCCCCGGUUUCAGAAUUUUCGUGGGGAUCCUCUCCGCUUUUCUUGCCUAAGCAAAACCCGACCCGCCUAGUAGGUCCUUAGAGUUUUCACCCAGCAUGGCAGCCGGUAGAGAGGGAGAGAGAAAAAAAAGAGGGAGCCAAGCCAGCCGCUUAGGUCAAGUAAAAUGCGCGCCGAGAUCCCCCGGUUUCAGAAUUUUCGUGGGAUCCUCUCCGCUUUUCUUGCCUAAGCAAAACCCGACCCGCCUAGUAGGUCCUUAGAGUUUUUCACCCAGCAUGGCAGCCGGUAGAGAGGGAGAGAGAAAAAAAAGAGGGAGCCAAGCCAGCCGCUUAGGUCAAGUAAAAUGCGCGCCGAGAUCCCCGGUUUCAGAAUUUUCGUGGGAUCCUCUCCGCUUUUCUUGCCUAAGCAAAACCCGACCCGCCUAGUAGGUCCUUAGAGUUUUCACCCAGCAUGGCAGCCGGUAGAGAGGGAGAGAAAAAAAAAGAGGGAGCCAAGCCAGCCGCUUAGGUCAAGUAAAAUGCGCGCCGAGAUCCCCCGGUUUCAGAAUUUUCGUGGGGAUCCUCUCCGCUUUUCUUGCCUAAGCAAAACCCGACCCCGCCUAGUAGGUUCUUAGAGUUCUUCACCCAUCAUGGCAGCCGGUAGAGAGGGAGAGAAAAAAAAAGAGGGAGCCAAGCCAGCCGCUUAGGUCAAGUAAAAUGCGCGCGCGAGAUCCCCGGUUUCAGAAUUUUCGUGGGGAUCCUCUCCGCUUUUCUUGCCUAAGCAAAACCCGACCCCCUAGUAGGUCUUAGAGUUCUUCACCAGCAUGGCAGCCGGUAGAGAGGGAGAAGAAAAAAAAGAGGGAGCCAAGCCAGCCGCUUAGGUCAAGUAAAAUGCGGCCGAGAUCCCCGGUUUCAGAAUUUUCGUGGGAUCCUCUCCGCUUUUCUUGCCUAAGCAAAACCCGACCCGCCUAGUAGGUCCUUAUAGUUCUUCACCUAGCACGGCAGCCGGUAGAGAGGGAGGGAGAAAAAAAAGAGGGAGUCAAGCCAGCUGCUUAGGUCAAAUAAAAUGCGCGUCGAGAUUGCCUGGUAUCAGAGCUUGCAUGGGCAACCUCUCCGCUUUAGAUGGAAUUUGAUGAAAUGCUUAUGUCGAAAGUAGGCAUUUCUCUACAGAGUCCUAAUGGUCAUAGAAAUUUAUUAUGUUUGUAUUUAUUUUACUUUGUUGUCAAGAAUCAACUUCUUUUCUGAUUUGUAUGUUUAUGUAUAUGUUGCAUCUCUGUCUUGUUAUCAUGUUGUAUUUCAUUGUACUCAAUAGUCUGAUUUGCAUUUUUUAUUUGUGUUAAUAAGUGUUCGUGUAAUUGCAAUUUUGUUCUUGAAGAUAUUUUGCUUGAAUCAAGUUAGUUCUUUCUAUAAGGAUCAUUUUCUUGUAAGGUUAUAACUUCUUGUCCAAUUUUUCCAACUCACAUUUCAACUUGUAACAGGUGAAUCCCUUCUAAAUAAGAGCUUAAAAAGAAAAAACAAUUGGAACCUUUAACCAUAAAAUCAAGGUACUGCAUCUUAUUUGCAAUGAAUUGCUAUAAUUUUGUAGAGACUCCACAAAUAAAAUACUAAAUUACCCAAACAGUUGGCAAACAGAGACAACACUCUGUAGAUCUUUAUUUAUAUAUAAAUGCAAAGAUACAGUAGAAGGAAAUAUAAAAGAACAAUAAAGAUGAUAAUAUCAUGUCAAACCUCCCCAGGAAAAGAUAGUAGUCCUUCCUAGACCUAGCAGCCUCUACAGACCAAAUGAAGACAAAAAGUUAACCUAGCCCCCAAUCCCGAUAAGGCCUUAUUUAUAGCUCUUUUCUCAUUCUUCCCGUGGGCCCCACUCUCAUGUUCUUUUCCUAAUAUUCUCCCCUUUUCUGCUGCGUGAGCUUUUACGUUUUUACCCCUCCUUUUGUAUGUAUGGAUAAUAGGGGGCCUUACAAUACCCUCGGUUCCAGGUUCACCUUGUCCUCAAGGUGAAAGUCAGGGAAUUGUUGGUUCAUUUGGAAAACAGAUUCCCAAGUUGUUUCACUGUCCGCAGCCCUUUCCACUUAAUUAACCAUUCAUUUCCUCCAAUUCCCGAUUCCAACGGACUCCCAACACUGUUUCCGGCCAUAAUUGUAACUCAAACUCUUCCGUUAGCCUAGGUUGCUGGUGUUGAACAGCUUGUUGACUACCAGUUUCAGUUUUAACUGAGAAAUAUGGAACACAUUGUGGAUACUGGCUUCCGGCGGUAACAUCAAUCUGUACGCAACUGCUCCUAUUUCUUCAGUAAUUUUGUAGGGUCCGUAAUAUUAGGUGCUAACUUUUCACACUUCUUCCGAGCCAAGGAGCGUUGCCGGUAAGGUCUCAAUUUCAAGUAGACUUCAUCUCCUACCUUAAAUUUUAACUCUCUUCUAUUUCGAUCAGCCAUUUUCUUCAUCCUGUUCUAGGCUACACACAGGUGUUCUUUUAAGGCAUUGAUGGCUAAGUCACGUUCCUUCAGCAGCGUGUCAACCUCAUUAUUAGGAGUUUUCUUGUAACCAUAGGAUAACAGGGGAGGAGGCGGUCUGCGGUAUACCGUCUGAAAGGGGUCAUUUUGGUGGAUGCAUGGAAGGUGGUAUUAUACCACAAUUCUGCCCAUGGAAUCAGUCUAUCCCAUUUUUUUGGUUGUUCAUUACAGAAGCAUCGCAGAUAAGUUUCGAGACAUCUAUUUACCCUUUCUGUCUGCCCAUCAGUUUGUGGGUGAAACGCGGUACUCCUCUUUAGAAUAGUUCCCAUGGUUGCAAACAGUUCCUUCCAAAAAUUACUAAGAAAGAUUUUUAUCCCGAUCUGUGAUAAUCGACUUAGGAAUGCCGUGCUUGCUUACUAUUCUGUCGAUGAAUAUGGAAGCAACUUGCUUGGCUGAAAACGGAUGUCUCAAUGAUAUAAAGUAAGAAUACUUACUCAGCCGAUCAACUACCACCAUGAUCACAUUAACCCCCAGCUAGUGGCAACCCCUCAAUAAAGUCCAUGGUCCAAUCUUCUAAGAUUCUGUCAGGAAUUGGAAUUGGUUGAAGUACCCCAGCUGGUUUGGUUGCUUCGUAUUUGUUUCUCUGGCAGAUCUCGCAUUGUUCCACAUAUUUCUUUAUUUCAGCCUUCAUACCCUCCAAUAUAGUUCUCACUGAUCCUCUCGUAAGUUCUUAAAAAUCCAGAAUGUCCCCCGAGGAUAGAAUCGUGGAAAGUAUGUAGGAUCUUGGGUAUAAGUGUAGAAGUUUGAGAUACUACCAUUCUCCCUUAUAGAGCAAUCUUCCUUUUUCCACUUGAAACUUGCUUCCUUCUUCUGCAUUUUCUUCAGAUUUUCCAUAAUUUUCUUAAGUUCAGCAUCAUUCUCAACUUCCUGCUCGAUUAGUUUCACAUCAAUGAUUCCAGUAGUUGUCAAGCUGUGCAGCUCCACCGGUUGCUCCAUUCUAGAUAGGGCGUCCGCUGCCUUGUUCUGAUGUCCGGGUUGAUAUAAAUCUCGAAAUCAUAUCCAAGGAGCUUUGUCAACCAUUUCUGGAAUUGGGGCUGUACCUCUCUCUGUUCAAGCAAGAAUUUAAGAGCCUUUUGAUCUGAAAGUAUGGUGAACUUCCUGCCCAGCAAAUAAUGCCUCCAUUUUUGAACUGAUAGAACUACAGCCAUCAACUCUCUUUCAUAGAUGGAUUUGUUUUGAGCCUUGUGGAUAACUUCUGACUGAAAAAGGCAAUCGGGUGGCCAUUUUGAGAGAUCACCGCUCCUAACCCUACGCCAGAUGCAUCAGUUUCGAUAAUAAAGGGAAUGUUCCAAUCUGGUAAUGCCAACACUGGUAGAGUAGUCAUUGCUAGCUUCAAAUUUUCGAAGGCAGUAUUUGCUUCUUCAUUCCACUUAAAAGCAUUCUUCUGUAAUAACUUGGUUAGCGGUGCAGCGAUCUCUCCAUAACCCUUGACAAACCUCCUAUAAUAUCCUGUCAGUCCUAAGAAGCCCCGCAGACCAGAUAUAUUCGUUGGUGGUGGCCAAUUAAUCAUCUUCUUGAUCUUAUCCUCAUCUGCCUCAACUCCUCUUUUGGAUAUCAUAUGUCCCAAGUACUGUAUUUGAGAAUGGGCUAUAACGCAUUUUUUUUUGUUAGCAAACAGCUGGUUAUCCUUCAAAACAUUGAAUACCAUGCCCAAAUGCUUUGCGUGUUCAUCUAUAUCCGCACUAUAAACCAGUAUAUCAUCAAAGAACACCAAAACACAGCGCCGAAGGAAAGGUUUAAAUACCUGGUUCAUCAAAGAUUGGAAGGUUGCCAGAGCAUUCGUGAGACCAAACGGCAUUACUAGAAACUCAUAGUGCCCUUCAUGUGUGCGGAACACAGUUUUCUCCACAUCUUCCUCUUUCAUUCUAAUCUGGUGAUAACCAGAUUUCAGAUCUAAUUUCGAGAAAACCGUUGCCCUAUUCAGCUCAUCUAAUAAUUCCUCUAUCACAGGAAUUGGGAACUUAUCCGAUACUGUCGCCUGAUUUAACUUGCGGUAAUCGACACAAAAUCUCCAUCCACCAUCUUUUUUCUUCACUAACAACACCGGGCUGGAGUAAGGGCUAUGACUAGGGCGAAUAACCCCUGCUUGAAGCAUCUCGACCACCAGUUUUUCUAUUUCUUCUUUCUGCACAUGACCGUAUUUGUAAGGUCUUACGUUGAUAGGUUUAUGGUCAGGUAGGGUUAAUAUUCGGUGAUCAAUAGCUCUUUUUGGAGGUAAUUUCUUCGGUGUCUCAAAUAUCUCCGCAUAAUACUUGAGCAGGGAUCGGAUCAUAGAUAUUUCCUCCUCAUCUCCUUUUAAUCUUGUCCCCAGUUCAUAUUCAUUCUCUACUUCCAUCUCAUAAUUCUGGAAUUCUAAAGGAAGCCUUGAUCUUCUAUAUCCCACGUUUUUUCCAAUGUCUUCAAAGAACAUUCAGCUUUCACUAAGGAUGGAUCUCCUCUUAACACGAUUUGCUUGUCUUUUGCCCAAAAGGUCAUGGUUAAUGAUGGCCAAUGUACCUUCAUUGUGCCGGUGGUAUCUAGCCAUUGCAUCCCUAAAAUCACGUCAAUAUUUCCUAGUUCCACCACUAGAAAAUCAGUUAUAACUGUCAUUUCUUUCAAUCUCAGUUCCACCUUUCUGCAAAUACCUUUCCCUUUACAGCGGGUCCCGUCUCCAAUAGUCACUCCAAAUUGUGUACCGGGUUCAAUGUUCAACCCUCCUUCCAUUGCCACUGCUUCAUGGAUGAAGUUGUUCGUAGCUCCACUGUCGAUGAGAAUCACCACCUCCCUUCCUUUUACAUGCCCCUUCAGUUUCAUUGUCCCUUUGGAUGUUAACCCCGUGAGUGUCUUCAAUUCAAUUUCGGUGGUUUCAGCAACAACUAACUGGUUCAGCUCCAUUACUUCUUCGGUCUCUUCCAUUUUGACUUCCUCCCCACCACUCUCUUCUUCGUUAAGUAUAAAUAACAUUAAUUCCCUUUUCUCUCUCAUCUUGCAUCGGUGUCCCGGUGAGUACUUCUCAUUGCAUCUAAAACACAAACCCUUGUCCAAUCUUGCUCUGAAUUCCGUGUCCAAGAGUCUUUUAACUGGAGGUUCAUUUUUCUGGUAGUUUCCUUUAAUGGGAAUAGUGACUUGCUUCAUGGGGAACUCAGUCUUCUUUGGUGAACUUUUAUCUUGACUGCUUUGUCCCUUGCUUGAGCCUCCUCCUUCCCUAGUCACACUGUUUACCCAUUCUGCCUUGGCUAAUUUCAAGGCUAGGUUUCUGCCACUUACCAGUUGUGCCUCCUUCAUACAUUCCUCUAAGGUUUGAGGAUGUCUACUAAUAACUUCUGCUUGAAGAGCCGGUUCUAGACCUGUCACGAAUGCAUCUAAGAGCACGCUUUCAGCCAUGUGCGGUAGUGGUGCAGAAUAUUGUACGAAUUUCUUGACAUAAUCAUUAUAGGAUCCAUCUUGUUCUAUUCGAAUCAGCCUUGCACCUAAGCUCUUCUGCCCAGAAUCUUGAAAAAAUUCAAACAUCCUUACCUUCAAAUCUUCCCAUCCUUCCACCUUCUUUCUAUGGUUACUCCAACGGUACCAAUCGAUUUCAUCUUGUCCGAAACUAACCACUGCUACUUUCACUUUUUCUGCUUCCGGUAGGCUAUUAAUUUCGAAAAAAUGCUCAGCUCUAAACACCCAUGACUCAGGAUUUUCCCCGGUGAAAAUCGGCAUUUCCAGUUUCUUAUAUUUGCUUCGGUCGACAGUUACUACAUUGUUUUCCCCUGGAUUGUCGGCUUCUUCCCAUUUUCCUUUUAACUUCAUGACUGAUCCAUCAGAAGUUCCGGAUUCAUCUCGCCUUUUGUAGCUGCUGUUUUCUUUCAUUUCAUCAGCCAGUCUAUCCAUGGAUUUCUUCGUUUCCAGAAUCAUUUCCUUCAAGCUCAGUAUUUCUUUCUCUGUUCCAUCUAUUCUUUCUUCUAUUUGCCUUUGCGCCAUCAGCCGCGUCACCACCCCCAGCGUUUGGGCUCUGAUACCAGUUGUAGAGACUCCACAAAUAAAAUACUAAAUUACCCAAACAGUUGGCAAACAGAGACAGCACUCUGUAGAUCUUUAUUUAUAUAUAAAUGCCAAAGAGAUACAGUAGAAGGAAAUAUAAAAGAAAGCAAUAAAGAUGAUAAUAUCAUGUCAAACCUCCCCAGGAAAAGAUAGUAGUCCUUCCUAGACCUAGCAGCCUCUACAGACCAAAUGAAGACAAAAAGUUAACCUAGCCCCCAAUCCCGAUAAGGCCUUAUUUAUAGCUCUUUUCUCAUUCUUCCCCGUGGGCCCCACUCUCAUGUUCUUUUCCUAAUAUUCUCCCCUUUUCUGCUGCGUGAGCUUUUACGUUUUUACCCCUCCUUUUGUAUGUAUGGAUAAUAGGGGGCCUUACAAUACCCCUCGGUUCCAGGUUCACCUUGUCCUCAAGGUGCAAGUCAGGGAAUUGUUGGUUCAUUUGGAAAACAGAUUCCCAAGUUGUUUCACUGUCCGGCAGCCCUUUCCACUUAAUUAACCAUUCAUUUCCUCCCAAUUCCCGAUUCCAACGGACUCCCAACACUGUUUCCGGCCAUAAUUGUAACUCAAACUCUUCCGUUAGCCAAGGUUGCUGGUGUUGAACAGCUUUGUUAGGUUGUUUUAAAGUCCAAGUGAUACUUAGACACGCCUUGACCACUUUUUAGGUUGGUUUGGAACUAAGUUUGUUGCACUUGCGCACUUGGUUGCCAUUUUGGGUCGUGUAGUGUUUCCUUUUUUUUCCAUACUUCUUGAACUUUUUGGUAGGUUAUGAGUGAUGAAUUUACAAAUAAACAUUCUUAGGUCGUUCUGAAAGUUCAAGUGAUACUUAAACACGGUUUGAAAUUUUUUUAGAUUUGUUUAAGACUAAGUUUGUUUCACUUGCAUACUUGGUUGCCAUUUUAGGUCUCAAAGUGCAUUUUUCACGCAUUUUGAUUUUUUUGUUAGUUUGUGAGUUACGAACUUACACUUAAGGAUUGUUAGGUCGUUUUAAACACAUUUUGCGUUGGUUUGAAACUAAGUUUGUUGCACUUACACAUUGGAUUGAAAUGUUGGGUCUUGAAGUACUUUUUUUCACACUUUUUGAAAUUUUUUUAGGUUGUGAGUUACGAACUUACGCUUGAGUAUUGUUUGGUCGGUUUGAAAUCUUAGACACGUUUUGCACUCUUUUUAGGAUGGCUUGAAACUAAGUCCGUUGCACUUACGUACUUCGUUGCCGUUUUCGGCCUUGAAGUGCUUUUUUUACACUUUUUGAAAUUUUGGUAGAUUGUGAGUUACAAACUUACACUUAAGCAUUGUUUGGUCGUUUUGAAAGUUUAAGUGAUACGUACACACGUUUUGAAUACAUUUUAGGUUAGAUUGAGUUUGUUGCACUUGGUUGUCAUUUUUGGUCUUGAAAUGCUUUUUUCAACCUUUUUGGUAGAUUAUGAGUUACGAACCUACAUUUAGGAUUUGCUAGGUCGUUUUGAAAACUCAAGUAAUACCUAGACACGUUUUGAGCACGUUCUAGGUUGGUUUGAACUAAGUUUGUUACACUUACACACUUGGUAGCCAUUUUGGGUCUUGUAGUGCUUUUUUCACACUAUUUGAACUUUUUUCGUAGGUUAUGAGUUACGAACCUAAACGUAAGCUGUUUUAGGUCGUUUUGAAAGUUCAAGUGAUACUUAGACACAUUUUGUUCAAGUGAUACUGUUUUAGGUUGUUUUCAAGUGAACUUUUUUCUUCUUGUAUUGACUGUUUUACUAUUUCUUCAUGGUUUGUAUUCAUGGUAUUUAUUUUCGUAAUGAAUCUUUCAUGAUUGGUAAACAUUGCAGAAACACAUAAUUUCAGCAAUCUGUCAAAGAGUUGAAGGAGAAGACAGAAGAACUAAAGGUCACAUGAAGACCUAAAAGUUAGGUAAUUUUUGAAAACUUUUUUCUUUGUCUUGCUUAGUUUUAGUGGUAUUUGUUAACAGGCUGAGACAUACUCUUGUAUGCCAAGGCUGGGUGGCCAAUUCAAUGGAUGGCCUGAGACGGUGAAAUGACGAAUGUAGAACAAAGUAGACAAUCGAGCAGAUUUACAAGUAGGAGGAUGAUGUUUGGUCUUACUCUAAAGCUACUGCUAGAAAGGUGAUUCUCCCUUUAUUUACACAUGUUAUCUAUAUUUAAUUACUGUUUUUAUGUGAUGGUGAAUAAAUAUUUAAGUCGUUUCAAGUUUGUACAUCAUGCUUGAGUUAAUACAUUUCCCAACUCGCACUAAUUUUAAAGUUGAGACUAAGUUUGUUGCACUUACACACUUGGUUGCCAUUUUGGAUUUUGGAGUGCUUUUUCUACAUUUUUUAAACAUUUUGGUAGGUUAUGAGUAAUGAAGUAAGACUAAAGCAUUAUUAGGUCGUUUUUAAGUUCGAGUGAUACUUAAACAUUUUUUGAACACCUUUUAGGUUGUUACAAACUAAGUUAGUUUUACAUACAGCCAUGGUUGCCAUUUUGAGUCUUGAAAGAUUUUUUUUCACACUUUUUGAAAUUUUUGGUAAGUUAAUAAAUUUACACUUAAGCGUUGUUAGGUUGUUUGAAAACUUAUACGUGUUUUGAAUACUUAGGUUUGUAUAGAACUAAGUUCGUUGCACUUACACACUCGACAUUUUGGGUUUUGGAGUGUCUUUUUAAAAAAAUUUGAACUUUUUGCUAGGUUAUGACUUAUGAACUUGUAUUGAAUAUUUGUUAGGUCGUUUUGAUAAAAAUAUUAAACCAAGCUUAAACAAUUCCGCUCAUUUUUCUAAAAUUUUUAGUUUAACCUAUUGAAUAAAAUUCGAAAAUUCUUGUUUUCUUUUUGUAGGAAUAAAAGGAAAUGAAAUAUAACCAAACUUGGGAUCUUUGCAAGCAAUCUUCCAUGAAGAAACUAGGCUACAAGUGGUUUUUUGGGUUUUUAGGGGGGCUUUUAGGGCUUUUUGGGCUUAUGGCUUAGGGCUUUUAGCGCUUUUAGGGCUUUUAGGGCGCUUAGGGCUUUUAGGUUUUAGGGCUUAUGGCUUAGGGCUUUUAGGUUUUAGGGCUUAGGGCUUUUAGGGAUUAUGGCUUAGGGCUUAGCGCUUUUAGGGCUUAGGGCUUAGGGCUUAGGGCUUUAAGGGUUUUAAGGGUAUUUAGGGAUAAGGGAUUUUAGGGCUUUUAGGGCAUUUAGGGCUUUUGGGGCUUUUAGGGCUUUUAGGGCUUAGGGUGUUUGGCUUAGGGCUUAGGGAUUAGGCUUGGCUUUUAGGGCUCGGGCUUUGGGCUCGUUGGGCUUUUAGGACUUUUAGUGCUCUUAGGCUUUUUGGGCGCUUAGGGAUUUUAGGGAUUAGGGCUUAGGGCUUAGGGCUUAGGGUUUGGGCUUUUAAGGCUUGGGCUUUGGGCUUUUAGGGCUUAGGGCUUUUAGGCCUAGGGCUUGGGCUUUGGGCUUUUAGUGCGCCUAGGGUGCUUAAGACGUUUAGGGCUUUUGGGGCACUUAGGGCACUUAGGGCUUAUGACUUUUAGGGUUUAGGGUUUAGGGGUUUAGGGUUAGGGUUUAGGGGUUUAGGAUGUAGGGCGCUUAGGGCUUUUAGGGCGCUUAGGGCUUUUAGGUUUUAGGGCUUAGGGCUUUUAGGGAUUAUGUUAGGGCUUUUAGGUUUUAGGGCUUAGGGCUUUUAGGGAUUAUGGCUUAGGGCUUAGCGCUUUUAGGGCUUAGGGCUUAGGGCUUUAAGGGUUUUAAGGGUAUUUAGGGAUAUGGGAUUUUAGGGCUUUUAGGGCAUUUAGGGCUUUUGGGGCUUUUAGGGCUUUUAGGGCUUAGGGUGUUUGGCUUAGGGCUUGGGCUUUUAGAGGUCGGGCUUUGGGCUCGUUGGGCUUUAAGGACUUUUAGUGCUCUUAGGGUUUUUUGGGCGCUUAGGGAUUAGGGCUUAGGGCUUAGGGCUUAGGGCUUGGGCUUUUAAGGCUUGGGCUUUGGGCUUUUAGGGCUUAGGGCUUUUAGGCCUAGGGCUUGGGCUUUGGGCUUUUAGUGCGCCUAGGGUGCUUAAGACGUUUAGGGCUUUUAGGGCACUUAGGGCACUUAGGGCUUAUGACUUUUAGUGUUUAGGGUUUAGGGGUUUAGGGUUUAGGGUUUAGGGGUUUAGGGUGUAGGGCGCUUAGGGCUUUUAGGGCUUUUAGGGCUUUUAGGGCGCAUAGGGCUUUUAGGUUUUAGGGCUUAGGGCUUUUAGGGAUUAUGGCUUAGGGCUUUUAGGUUUUAGGGCUUAGGGCUUUUAGGGAUUAUGGCUUAGGGCUUAGCGCUUUUAGGGCUUAGGGCUUUAAGGGUUUUAAGGGUAUUUAGGGAUAUGGGAUUUUAGGGCUUUUAGGGCAUUUAGGGCUUUUGGGGCUUUUAGGGCUUUUAGGGCUUAGGGUGUUUGGCUUAGGGCUUGGGCUUUUAGGGCUCGGGCUUUGGGCUCGUUGGGCUUUUAGGACUUUUAGUGCUCUUAGGGCUUUUUGGGCGCUUAGGGAUUUUAGGGAUUAGGGCUUAGGGCUUAGGGCUUAGGGUUUGGGCUUUUAAGGCUUGGGCUUUGGGCUUUUAUGGCUUAGGGCUUUUAGGCCUAGGGCUUGGGCUUUGGGCUUUUAGUGCGCCUAGGAUGCUUAAGACGUUUAGGGCUUUUAGGGCACUUAGGGCACUUAGGGCUUAUGACUUUUAGUGUUUAGGGUUCAGGGGUUUAGGGUUUAGGGUUUAGGGGUUUAGGGUGUAGGGCUUUUAGGGCUUUUAGGGCGCUUCGGGCUUUUAGGUUUUAGGGCUUAGGGCUUUUAGGGAUUAUGGCUUAGGGCUUUUAGGGUUUAGGGCUUAGGGCUUUUAGGGAUUAUGGCUUAGGGCUUAGUGCUUUUAGGGCUUAGGGCUUAGGGCUUUAAGGGUAUUUAGGGAUAUGGGAUUUUAUUGCUUUUAGGGCAUUUAGGGCUUUUGGGGCUUUUAGGGCUUUUAGGGCUUCGGGCUUAGGGCUUUAAGGGUUUUAAGGGUAUUUAGGGAUAUGGGAUUUUAGGGCUUUUAAGGCAUUUAGGGAUUUUGGGGCUUUUAGGGCUUUUAGGGCUUAGGGUGUUUGGCUUAGGGCUAGGGAUUAGGGCUUGGGCUUUUAGGGCUCGGGCUUUGGGCGUUGGGCUUUUAGGACUUUUAGUGCUCUUAGGGCUUUUUGGGCGCUUAGGGAUUUUAGGGAUUAGGGCUUAGGGCUUAGGGCUAAGGGUUUGGGCUUUUAAGGCUUGGGCUUUGGGCUUUUAGGGCUUAGGGCUUUUAGGCCUAGGGCUUGGGCUUUGGGCUUUUAGUGCGCCUAGGGUCCUUAAUACGUUUAGGGCUUUUAGGGCACUUAGGGCACUUAGGGCUUAUGACUUUUAGUGUUUAGGGUUUAGGGGUUUAGGGUUUAGGGUUUAGGGGUUUAGGGUGUAGGGCGCUUAGGGCUUUUAGGGCUUUUAGGGCGCUUAGGGCUUUUAGGUUUUAGGGCUUAGGGCUUUUAGGGAUUAUGGCUUAGGGCUUUUAGGUUUUAGGGCUUAGGGCUUUUAGGGAUUAUGGCUUAGGGCUUAGCGCUUUUAGGGCUUAGGGCUUUAAGGGUUUUAAGGGUAUUUAGGGAUAUGGGAUUUUAGGGCUUUUAGGGCAUUUAGGGUUUUGGGGCUUUUAGGGCUUUUAGGCUUAGGGUGUUUGGCUUAGGGCUUGGGCUUUUAGGGCUUGGGCUUUUAGGGCUCGGGCUUUGGGCUCGUUGGUCUUUUAGGACUUUUAGUGCUCUUAGGGCUUUUUGGGCGCUUAGGGAUUUUAGGGAUUAGACUUAGGCUUAGGGCUUAGGGUUUGGGCUUUUAAGGCUUGGGCUUUGGGCUUUUAGGGCUUAGGGCUUUUAGGCCUAGGGCUUGGGCUUUGGGCUUUUAGUGCGCCUAGGGUCUUAACGUUUAGGGCUUUUAGGGCACUGAGGGCACUUAGGGCUUAUGACUUUUAGGUUUAGGGUUUAGGGGUUAGGGUUAGGGUUUAGGGGCUUAGGGUGUAGGGCGCUUAGGGCUUUUAGGUUUUAGGCGCUUAGGGCUUUUAGGUUUUAGGCUUAGGGCUUUUAGGUUAUGGGCUUAGGGCUUUUAGGUUUAGGCUUAGGGCUUUUAGGGAUUAUGGCUUAGGGCUUAGCGCUUUUAGGGCUUAGGGCUUUAAGGGUUUUAAGGGUAUUUAGGGAUAUGGGAUUUUAGGGCUUUUAGGGCAUUUAGGGUUUUUGGGGCUUUUAGGGCUUUUAGGGCUUAGGGUGUUUGGCUUAGGGCUAGGGAUUAGGGCUUGGGCUUUUAGGGCUCGGGCUUUGGGCUCGUUGGGCUUUUAGGACUUUUAGUGCUUUUAGGGCUUUUUGGGCGCUUAGGGAUUUUAGGGAUUAGGGCUUAGGUCUUAGGGCUUAGGGUUUGGGCUUUUAAGGCUUGGGCUUUGGGCUUUUAGGGCUUAGGGCUUUUAGGCCUAGGGCUUGGGCUUUGGGCUUUUAGUGCGCCUAGGGUGCUUAAGACGCUUAGGGCUUUUAGGGCACUUAGGGCACUUAGGGCUUAUGACUUUUAGGCUUUAGGGUUUAGGGUGUAGGGCGCUUAGGGCUUUUAGGGCUUUUAGGGCGCUUAGGGCUUUUAGGUUUUAGGGCUUAGGGCUUUUAGGGAUUAUGGCUUAGGGCUUUUAGGUUUUAUGGCUUAGGGCUUUUAGGGAUUAUCUUAGGGCUUAGCGCUUUUAGGGCUUAGGGCUUAGGGCUUUAAGGGUUUUAAGGGUAUAUAGGGAUAUGGGAUUUUAUGGCUUUUAGGGCAUUUAGGGCUUUUGGGCUUUUAGGCUUUUAGGGCUUAGGGUUUAGGUGGCUUAGGCUUACGGAUUAGGGCUUGGGCUUUUAGGGCUCGGCUUUGGGUCGUUGGGCUUUUAGGACUUUUACUCUUGGCUUUUUGGGCGCUUAGGAUUUAGGGAUUAGGCUUAGGCUUAGGGUUUGGGCUUUUAAGGCUUGGGCUUAGGGCUUUUAGGCCUAGGGCUUGGGCUUUGGGCUUUUAGUGCGCCUAGGGUGCUUAAGACGUUUAGGGCUUUUAGGGCACUUAUGGCACUUAGGGCUUAUGACUUUUAGGGUUUAGGGUUUAGGGGUUUAGGGUGUAGGGCGCUUGGGCUUUUAGGGCGCUUAGGGCUUUUACGUUUUAGGGCUUAGGGCUUUUAGGGAUUAUGGCUUAGGGCUUUUAGGUUUUAGGGCUUAGGGCUUUUAGGGAUUAUGGCUUAGGGCUUUUAGGGAUUAUGGCUUAGGGCUUAGCGCUUUUAGGGCUUACGGCUUUUAGGCCUAGGGCUUAGCGCUUUUAGGGCUUAGGGCUUAGUGCUUUUAGGGCUUAGGGCUUUUAGGCCUAGGCUUGGGCUUUGGGCUUUAGUGCGCCUAGGAUGAUUAAGACGUUUAGGGCUUUUAGGCACUUAGGGCACUUAGGCUUAUGACUUUUAGGGUUUAGGGUUUAGGGUUUAGGGGUUUAGGGUGUAGGGCGCUUAGGGCUUUUAGGGCGCUUAGGGCUUUUAGGUUUUAGGGCUUAGGGCUUUUAGGGAUUAUGGCUUAGGGCUUAGCGCUUUUAGGGCUUAGGGCUUUAAGGGUUUUAAGGGUAUUUAGGGAUAUGGGAUUUUAGGGCUUUUAGGGCAUUUAGGGCUUUUGGGCUUUUAGGGCUUUUAGGGCUUAGGGUGUUUGGCUUAGGGCUUGGGCUUUUAGGGCUCGGUUUGGGCUCGUUGGCUUUUAGACUUUUAGUGCUCUUAGGGCUUUUUGGGCGCUUAGGAUUUAAGGGAUUAGGCUUAGGGCUUAGGGUUAGGGUUUGGGCUUUUAAGGCUUGGGCUUUGGGCUUUAGGGCUUAGGCUUUUAGGCCUAGGGCUUGGGCUUUGGGCUUUUAGUGCGCCUAGAGUGCUUAAGACGUUUAAGGCUAUUAGGGCACUUAGGGCUUAUGACUUUUAGGGUUUAGGGUUUAGGGGUUUAGGGUUUAGGGUUUAGGGGUUUAGGGUGUAGGGCGCUUAGGGCUUUUAGGGCUUUUAGGGCGCUUAGGCUUUUAGGUUUUAGGGCUUAGGGCUUUUAGGGAUUAUGGCUUAGGGCUUUUAGGUUUUAGGGCUUAGGGCUUUUAGGAAUUAUGGCUUAGGGUUUAGCGCUUUUAGGGCUUAGGGCUUUAAGGGUUUUAAAGGUAUUUAGGGAUAUGGGAUUUUAGGGCUUUUAGGGCAUUUAGGGCUUUUGGGGCUUUUAGGGCUAUUAGGGCUUAGGGUGUUUGGCUUAGGGCUUAGGGAUUAGGGCUUGGGCUUUUAGGGUCGGGCUUUGGGCUCGUUGGGCUUUUAGGACUUUUAGUGUCUUAGGGCUUUUUGGCGCUUAGGGAUUUUAGGGAUUAGGGCUUAGGGCUUAGGGCUUAGGGUUUGGGCUUUUAAGGCUUGGGCUUUGGGCUUUUAGGGCUUAGGGUUUAGGGUUUAGGGUUUAGGGUUUAGGGUUUAGGGUUUAGGGUUUGGGGUUUAGGGUUUUAGGGUGUAGGGCGCUUGGGGCUUUUAGGGCGCUUAGGGCUUUUAGGUUUUAGGCUUAGGGCUUUUAGGGAUUAUGGUUAGGGCUUUUAGGUUUUAGGGCUUAGGGCUUUUAGGGAUUAUGGCUUAGGGCUUAGCGCUUUUAGGGCUUAGGGCUUUUAGGGAUUAUUGCUUAGGGCUCACCGCUUUGGCUUUGGGCUUUUAGUGCGCCUAGGGUGCUUAAGACGUUUAGGGCUUUUAGGGCACUUAGGGCACUUAGGGCUUAUGACUUUUAGGGGGUUUAGGGUUUAGGGUUUAGGGGUUUAGGGUGUAGGGCGCUUAGGGCUUUUAGGGCGCUUAGGGCUUUUAGGUUUUAGGGCUUAGGGCUUUUAGGGAUUAUGGCUUAGGGCUUUUAGGUUUGAGGGUUUAGGGCUUUUAGGGAUUAUGGCUUAGGGCUUAGCGCUUUUAGGGCUUAGGGCUUAGGGCUUUAAGGGAUUUAAGGGUAUUUAGGGAUAUGAGAUUUUAGUGCUUUUAGGGCAUUUAGGGCUUUUGGGGCUUUUAGGGCUUUUAGGGCUUAGGGUGUUUGGCUUAGGGCUUAGGGAUUAGGGCUUGGGCUUUUAGGGCUCGGGCUUUGGGCUCGUUGGGACUUUUAGGACUUUUAGUGCUCUUUAGGGCUUUUUGGGCGCUUAGGGAUUUUAGGGAUUAGGGCUUAGGGCUUAGGGUUUGGCUUUUAAGGCUUGGGCUUUGGGCUUUUAGGGCUUAGGGCUUUUUAGGCCUAGGGCUUGGGCUUUGGGCUUUUAGUGCACCUAGGGUGCUUAAGACGUUUUAGGGCUUUUAGGGCACUUAGGGCACUUAGGGCUUAUGACUUUUAGUGUUUUAGGGUUUAGGGUUUAGGGUUUAGGGUUUAGGGUUUAGGGUUUACGGUGUAGGGCGCUUAGGGCUUUUAGGGCUUUUAGGGCGCUUAGGGCUUUUAGGUUUUAGGGCUUAGGGCUUUUAGGGAUUAUGGCUUAGGGCUUUUAGGUUUUAGGGCUUAGGGCUUUUAGGGAUUAUGGCUUAGGGCUUUUAGGGAUUAUGGCUUAGGGCUUAGCGCUUUUAGGGAUUAGGGCUUAGCGCUUUUAGGGAUUAUGGCUUAGGGCUUAGCGCUUUUAGGGCUUAGGGCUUAGGGCUUUAAGGGUUUUAAGGGUAUUUAGGGAUAUGGGAUUUUAGGGCUUUUAGGGCAUUUAGGGUUUUGGGGCUUUUAGGGCUUUUAGGGCUUAGGGUGUUUGGCUUAGGGCUUACGGAUUAGGGCUUGGGCUUUUAGGGCUCGGGCUUUGGGCUCGUUGGCUUUUAGGACUUUUAGUGCUCUUAGGACUUUUUGGGCGCUUAGGGAUUUUUAAGGAUUAGGGCUUAGGGCUUAGGGCUUAGGGUUUGGGCUUUUAAGGCUUGGGCUUUGGGCUUUUAGGGCUUAGGGCUUUUAGGCCUAGGGCUUGGGCUUUGGGCUUUUAGUGCGCCUAGGGUGCUUAAGACGUUUAGUGCUUUUAGGGCACUUAGGGCUUAUGACUUUUAAUGCUUGGGGCUUUGGGCUUAGGGCUUGGGCUUAGGGCUUUUAGGGCUUUUAGGGCUUUUAGGGCUUUUAGGGCGCUUAGGGCUUUUAGGUUUUAGGGCUUAGGGAUUUUUGGGCUUUUAGGUUUUAGGGCUUAGGGAUUUUUGGGCUUUUAGGGCUUAGGGCUUAGGCUUUUAGGGCUUAGGCUUUUAGGGCUUGGGCUUUGGACUUUUAGGACUUUUAAGGCGCUUAGGGCUUUUAGGUUUUAGGACUUAGGGCUUUUAGCGCUUAGCGCUUUUAGGGCUUAGGGAUUUUAGGGCUUUUAGGCCUUUUAGGGCUUAGGGAUUUUAGGGAUUUUAAGGCUUUUAGGGCAUUUAGGGCAUUUAGGGCUUUUAGGUCUUUUAGGGCUUAGGGCUUUUAGGGUUUGGACUUUUAGGGCUUGGGCUUUGGGCUUUUAGGGCGCUUAAGGCGUUUAGGGCGCUUAGGGCUUGUGACUUUUAGGUCUUAUGGCUUUUAGGGCUUAGGGCUUACUUAUUUUCGGGCUUAUCGUUUAGGGUUGAGGGUUUAGGGUUUAGGGCUUUUAGGGCUUUUAGGGCUUAGGGCUUAGGGCUUAGGGUUUGGGCUUUUAGGGCUUGGGCUUUGGGCGUUUAGGGCUUUUGGGCUUUUACGACGCUUAGGGCUUUUAGGUUGUAGGGCUUAGGGCUUUUACGGCUUUUACGACUUUUACGACUUUUAGGGCUUUUAGGGCUGAGGUCUUAGGGCUUAGGCCUUAGGGUUGAGGGCUUAGGGCUUAGGGCUUAGGGCUUAGGGUUUAGGGUUUAGGGUUUAGGGUUUAGGGCUUAGUUCUUGUGCUUUUAUUGCUUAGGGCUUAGGGCUUGUAGGGCUUAGGGCUUAUGGCUUAGGGUUNNNNNNNNNNNNNNNNNNNNNNNNNNNNNNNNNNNNNNNNNNNNNNNNNNNNNNNNNNNNNNNNNNNNNNNNNNNNNNNNNNNNNNNNNNNNNNNNNNNNNNNNNNNNNNNNNNNNNNNNNNNNNNNNNNNNNNNNNNNNNNNNNNNNNNNNNNNNNNNNNNNNNNNNNNNNNNNNNNNNNNNNNNNNNNNNNNNNNNNNNNNNNNNNNNNNNNNNNNNNNNNNNNNNNNNNNNNNNNNNNNNNNNNNNNNNNNNNNNNNNNNNNNNNNNNNNNNNNNNNNNNNNNNNNNNNNNNNNNNNNNNNNNNNNNNNNNNNNNNNNNNNNNNNNNNNNNNNNNNNNNNNNNNNNNNNNNNNNNNNNNNNNNNNNNNNNNNNNNNNNNNNNNNNNNNNNNNNNNNNNNNNNNNNNNNNNNNNNNNNNNNNNNNNNNNNNNNNNNNNNNNNNNNNNNNNNNNNNNNNNNNNNNNNNNNNNNNNNNNNNNNNNNNNNNNNNNNNNNNNUGUACAUAAUAAUAUGUGCGGUUGCCUUUUUUAUCUCAAUUUUAAUCCCCUUUUUUGCCAUCUUCUACUGCCUUUUUUAUAUUAAUUUUAAAUCCCUCUUUUGGCCAUACACAUUUGUAUAAGAUUGUUUGAAAGCAAAAUAUGAUUGUUAGGUCAAGUAGAAAGCAAAGUCGGCAAGUUCUUAGAAUUCUUCACCCAACAUAACAGCCGAUAAAAACAAAACAAUACGACCAAGCUGCUUAGAGUUGCAGAACCGACCCCCGCCUAGUGGGUCACUAGAGUUCUUCACCCAGCAUGGCAGCCGGUAGAGAGGGAGAGAGAAAAAAAGGGAGCCAAGCCAGCCGCUUAGGUCAAGUAAAAUGCGCGAGAUCCCCGGUUUCAGAAUUUUCGUGGGAUCCUCUCCGCUUUUCUUGCCUAAGCAAAACCCGACCCGCCUAGUAGGUCCUUAGAGUUUUUCACCCAGCAUGGCAGCCGGUAGAGAGGGAGAGAGAAAAAAAAGAGGGAGCCAAGCCAGCCGCUUAGGUCAAGUAAAAUGCGCGCCGAGAUCCCCGGUUUCAGAAUUUUCGUGGGAUCCUCUCCGCUUUUCUUGCCUAAGCAAAACCCGACCCGCCUAGUAGGUCCUUAGAGUUUUUCACCCAGCAUGGCAGCCGGUAGAGAGGGAGAGAGAAAAAAAAGAGGGAGCCAAGCCAGCCGCUUAGGUCAAGUAAAAUGCGCGCCGAGAUCCCCCGGUUUCAGAAUUUUCGUGGGGAUCCUCUCCGCUUUUCUUGCCUAAGCAAAACCCGACCCGCCUAGUAGGUCCUUAGAGUUUUUCACCCAGCAUGGCAGCCGGUAGAGAGGGAGAGAGAAAAAAAAGAGGGAGCCAAGCCAGCCGCUUAGGUCAAGUAAAAUGCGCGCCGAGAUCCCCCGGUUUCAGAAUUUUCGUGGGGAUCCUCUCCGCUUUUCUUGCCUAAGCAAAACCGACCCGCCUAGUAGGUCUUAGAGUUUUCACCCAUCAUGGCAGCCGGUAGAGAGGGAGAGAGAAAAAAAAGAGGGAGCCAAGCCAGCCGCUUAGGUCAAGUAAAAUGCGGCCGAGAUCCCCCGGUUUCAGAAUUUUCGUGGGGAUCCUCUCCGCUUUUCUUGCCUAAGCAAAACCCGACCCGCUAGUAGGUUCUUAGAGUUCUUCACCCAUCAUGGCAGCCGGUAGAGAGGGGAGAGAAAAAAAGAGGGAGCCAAGCCAGCCGCUUAGGUCAAGUAAAAUGCGCGCGAGAUCCCCCGGUUUCAGAAUUUUCGUGGGGAUCCUCUCCGCUUUUCUUGCCUAAGCAAAACCCGACCCCGCCUAGUAGGUCUUAGAGUUCUUCACUCAGCAUGGCAGCCUGUAGAGAGGGAGAGAGAAAAAAAAGAGGAGCCAAGCCAGCCGCUUAGGUCAAGUAAAAUGCGUGCCGAGAUCCCCGGUUUCAGAGUUUUCGUGGGGAUCCUCUCCGCUUUUCUUGCCUAAGCAAAACCCGACCCCCUAGUAGGUCCUUAUAGUUCUUCACCUAGCACGGCACGGUAGAGAGGGAGGGAGAAAAAAAAGAGGGAGUCAAGCCAGCUGCUUAGGUCAAGUAAAAUGCCGUCGAGAUUGCCUGGUAUCAGAGCUUGCAUGGGCAACCUCUCCGCUUUAGAUGGAAUUUGAUGAAAUGCUUAUGUCGAAAGUAGGCAUUUCUCUACAGAGUCCUAAUGGUCAUAGAAAUUUAUUAUGUUUUGUAUUUAUUUUACUUUGUUGUCAAGAAUCAACUUCUUUUCUGAUUUGUAUGUUUAUGUAUAUGUUGCAUCUCUGUCUUGUUAUCAUGUUGUAUUUCAUUGUACUCAAUAGUCUGAUUUGCAUUUUUUAUUUGUGUUAAUAAGUGUUCGUGUAAUUGCAAUUUUGUUCUUGAAGAUAUUUUGCUUGAAUCAAGUUAGUUCUUUCUAUAAGGAUCAUUUUCUUGUAAGGUUAUAACUUCUUGUCCAAUUUUUCCAACUCACAUUUCAACUUGUAGCAGGUGAAUCCCUUCAAAUAAGAGCUUAAAAAGAAAAAACAAUUGGAACCUUUAACCAUAAAAUCAAGGUACUGCAUCUUAUUUGCAAUGAAUUGCUAUAAUUUUGUAGAGACUCCACAAAUAAAAUACUAAAUUACCCAAACAGUUGGCAAACAGAGACACACUCUGUAGAUCUUUAUUUAUAUAUAAAUGCCAAAAGAUACAGUAGAAGGAAAUAUAAAAGAAAGCAAUAAAGAUGAUAAUAUCAUGUCAAACCUCCCCAGGAAAAGAUAGUAGUCCUUCCUAGACCUAGCAGCCUCUACAGACCAAAUGAAGACAAAAAGUUAACCUAGCCCCCAAUCCCGAUAAGGCCUUAUUUAUAGCUCUUUUCUCAUUCUUCCCCGUGGGCCCCACUCUCAUGUUCUUUUCCUAAUAUUCUCCCCUUUUCUGCUGCGUGAGCUUUUACGUUUUUACCCUCCUUUUGUAUGUAUGGAUAAUAGGGGGCCUUACAAUACCCCUCGGUUCCAGGUUCACCUUGUCCUCAAGGUGAAAGUCAGGGAAUUGUUGGUUCAUUUGGAAAACAGAUUCCCAAGUUGUUUCACUGUCCGGCAGCCCUUUCCACUUAAUUAACCAUUCAUUUCCUCCCAAUUCCCGAUUCCAACGGACUCCCAACACUGUUUCCGGCCAUAAUUGUAACUCAAACUCUUCCGUUAGCCUAGGUUGCUGGUGUUGAACAGCUUGUUGACUACCCAGUUUCAGUUUUAACUGAGAAAUAUGGAACACAUUGUGGAUACUGGCUUCCGGCGGUAACAUCAAUCUGUACGCAACUGCUCCUAUUUCUUCAGUAAUUUUGUAGGGUCCGUAAUAUUUAGGUGCUAACUUUUCACACUUCUUCCGAGCCAAGGAGCGUUGCCGGUAAGGUCUCAAUUUCAAGUAGACUUCAUCUCCUACCUUAAAUUUUAACUCUCUUCUAUUUCGAUCAGCCAUUUUCUUCAUCCUGUUCUAGGCUACACACAGGUGUUCUUUUAAGGCAUUGAUGGCUAAGUCACGUUCCUUCAGCAGCGUGUCAACCUCAUUAUUAGGAGUUUUCUUGUAACCAUAGAUAACAGGGGAGGAGGCGGUCUGCGGUAUACCGUCUGAAAAGGGGUUAUUUUGGUGGAUGCAUGGAAGGUGGUAUUAUACCACAAUUCUGCCCAUGGAAUCAGUCUAUCCCAUUUUUUUGGUUGUUCAUUACAGAAGCAUCGCAGAUAAGUUUCGAGACAUCUAUUUACCCUUUCUGUCUGCCCAUCAGUUUGUGGGUGAAACGGCGGUACUCCUCUUUAGAAUAGUUCCAUGGUUGCAAACAGUUCCUUCCAAAAAUUACUAAGAAAGAUUUUAUCCCGAUCUGUGAUAAUCGACUUAGGAAUGCCGUGCUUGCUUACUAUUCUGUCGAUGAAUAUGGAAGCAACUUGCUUGGCUGAAAACGGAUGUCUCAAUGAUAUAAAGUAAGAAUACUUACUCAGCCGAUCAACUACCACCAUGAUCACAUUAACCCCUCCAGCUAGUGGCAACCCCUCAAUAAAAGUCCAUGGUCCAAUCUUCUAAGAUUCUGUCAGGAAUUGGAAUUGGUUGAAGUACCCCAGCUGGUUUGGUUGCUUCGUAUUUGUUUCUCUGGCAGAUCUCGCAUUGUUCCACAUAUUUCUUUAUUUCAGCCUUCAUACCCUCCAAUAUAGUUCUCCACUGAUCCUCUUGUAAGUUCUUAAAAAUCCAGAAUGUCCCCCGAGGAUAGAAUCGUGGAAAGUAUGUAGGAUCUUGGGUAUAAAAGAAGUUUGAGAUACUACCAUUCUCCCUUAUAGAAAACUUGAAACUUGCUUCCUUCUUCUGCAUUUUUCUUCAGAUUUUCCAUAAUUUUCUUAAGUUCAGCAUCAUUCUCAACUUCCUGCUCGAUUAGUUUCACAUCAAUGAUUCCAGUAGUUGUCAAGCUGUGCAGCUCCACCGGUUCUCCAUUCUAGAUAUCCGCUGCCUUGUUCUGAUGUCCGGUUGAUAUAAAAUCUCGAAAUCAUAUCCAAGGAGCUUUGUCAACCAUUUCUGGAAUUGGGGCUUACCUCUCUCUGUUCAAGCAAGAAUUUAAGAGCCUUUUGAUCUGAAAGUAUGGUGAACUUCCUGCCCAGCAAAUAAUGCCUCCAUUUUUGAACUGAUAGAACUACAGCCAUCAACUCUCUUUCAUAGAUGGAUUUGUUUUGAGCCCUUGUGGAUAACUUCUGACUGAAAAAGGCAAUCGGGUGGCCAUUUUGAGAGAUCACCGCUCCUAACCCUACGCCAGAUGCAUCAGUUUCGAUAAUAAAGGGAAUGUUCCAAUCUGGUAAUGCCAACACUGGUAGAGUAGUCAUUGCUAGCUUCAAAUUUUCGAAGGCAGUAUUUGCUUCUUCAUUCCACUUAAAAGCAUUCUUCUAUAAUAACUUGGUUAGCGGUGCAGCGAUCUCUCCAUAACCCUUGACAAACCUCCUAUAAUAUCCUGUCAGUCCUAAGAAGCCCCGCAGACCAGAUAUAUUCGUUGGUGGUGGCCAAUUAAUCAUCUUCUUGAUCUUAUCCUCAUCUGCCUCAACUCCUCUUUUGGAUAUCAUAUGUCCCAAGUACUGUACUGGAAUGGGCUAUAACGCAUUUUUUUUUGUUAGCAAAACAGCUGGUUAUACUUCAAAACAUUGAAUACCAUGCCCAAAUGCUUUGCGUGUUCAUCUAUAUCCGCACUAUAAACCAGUAUAUCAUCAAAGAACACCAAAACACAGCGCCGAAGGAAAGGUUUAAAUACCUUGGUUCAUCAAAGAUUGGAAGGUUGCCAGAGCAUUCGUGGAGACCAAACGGCAUUACUAGAAACUCAUAGUGCCCUUCAUGUGUGCGGAACACAGUUUUCUCCACAUCUUCCUCUUUCAUUCUAAUCUGGUGAUAACCAGAUUUCAGAUCUAAUUUCGAGAAAACCGUUGCCCUAUUCAGCUCAUCUAAUAAUUCCUCUAUCACAGGAAUUGGGAACUUAUCCGAUACUGUCGUCUGAUUUAACUUGCGGUAAUCGACACAAAAUCUCCAUCCACCAUCUUUUUUUCUUCACUAACAACACCGGGCUGGAGUAAGGGCUAUGACUAGGCGAAUACCCCUGCUUGAAGCAUCUCGACCACCAGUUUUUUUUUAUUCUUCUUUCUGCACAUGACCGUAUUUGUAAGGUCUUACGUUGAUAGGUUUAUGGUCAGGUAGGGUUAAUAUUCGGUGAUCAAUAGCUCUUUUUGGAGGUAAUUUUUCGGUGUCUCAAAUAUCUCCGCAUAAUACUUGAGCAGGGAUCGGAUCAUAGAUAUUUCCUCCUCAUCUCCUUUUAAUCUUGUCCCCAGUUCAUAUUCAUUCUCUACUUCCAUCUCAUAAUUCUGGAAUUCUAAGAGGAAGCCUUGGUCUUCUAUAUGUAAGGAUUCAACUUGCUUACUUCACUAUUUCUCCCUUACAAUGGCCAAAAACAGAGGUAGCCCUCUGCUAUCUUUAUUUAUAUAUAGCCAAAAUGAGUACAGAAAAACAUAAAGAUUCAAGAAAAACAAGGAAUAAUAAGACAAACCCAGCUUCCUCUAGGGAAAGACUGGAUAUUCCUCUAGGCUAAGCAGCCGCCAACUUCAGGAUAAAAAUAAAACCUACCUCCCCUAGACCUAAAAAACCUAUUUAUAUUCCUUCUCUCAUCUUUCUCUUAUUUCUGUGCCUGGGCCCCACCUGCACGAUCUCCUCCUCUUUUUCCUUCCUCAUUAUUAAUUUGUCCAAUUACUUUUCUGCCCCUCCUUUGAUAUGUAUGAAUAAUUGGAGGUCUUACACUAUAUCCCACGUUUUUUCCAAUGUCUUCAAAGAACAUUCAGGUUUCACUAAGGAUGGAUCUCCUCUUAACACGAUUUGCUUGUCUUUUGCCCAAAAGGUCAUGGUUAAUGAUGGCCAAUGUACCUUCAUUGUGCCGGUGGUAUCUAGCCAUUGCAUCCCUAAAAUCACGUCAAUAUUUCCUAGUUCCACCACUAGAAAAUCAGUUAUAACUGUCAUUUCUUUCAAUCUCAGUUCCACCUUUCUGCAAAUACCUUUCCCUUUACAGCGGGUCCCGUCUCCAAUAGUCACUCCAAAUUGUGUACCGGGUUCAAUGUUCAACCCUCCUUCCAUUGCCACUGCUUCAUGGAUGAAGUUGUUCGUAGCUCCACUGUCGAUGAGAAUCACCACCUCCCUUCCUUUUACAUGCCCCUUCAGUUUCAUUGUCCCUUUGGAUGUUAACCCCGUGAGUGUCUUCAAUUCAAUUUCGGUGGUUUCAGCAACAACUAACUGGUUCAGCUCCAUUACUUCUUCGGUCUCUUCCAUUUUGACUUCCUCCCCGCCACUCUCUUCUUCGUUAAGUAUAAAUAACAUUAAUUCCCUUUUCUCUCUCAUCUUGCAUCGGUGUCCCGGUGAGUACUUCUCAUUGCAUCUAAAACACAAACCCUUGUCCAAUCUUGCUCUGAAUUCCGUGUCCAAGAGUCUUUUAACUGGAGGUUCAUUUUUCUGGUAGUUUCCUUUAAUGGGAAUAGUGACUUGCUUCAUGGGGAACUCAGUCUUCUUUGGUGAACUUUUAUCUUGACUGCUUUGUCCCUUGCUUGAGCCUCCUCCUUCCCUAGUCACACUGUUUACCCAUUCUGCCUUGGCUAAUUUCAAGGCUAGGUUUCUGCCACUUACCAGUUGUGCCUCCUUCAUACAUUCCUCUAAGGUUUGAGGAUGUCUACUAAUAACUUCUGCUUGAAGAGCCGGUUCUAGACCAGUCACGAAUGCAUCUAAGAGCACGCUUUCAGCCAUGUGCAGUAGUGGUGCAGAAUAUUGUACGAAUUUCUUGACAUAUCAUUAUAGGAUCCAUCUUGUUCUAUUCGAAUCAGCCUUGCACCUAAGCUCUUCUGCCCAGAAUCUCGAAAAAAUUCAAACAUCCUUACCUUCAAAUCUUCCCAUCCUUCCACCUUCUUUCUAUGGUUACUCCAACGGUACCAAUCGAUUUCAUCUUGUCCGAAACUAACCACCUACUUUCACUUUUUCUGCUUCCGGUAGGCUAUUAAUUUCGAAAAAAUGCUCAGCUCUAAACACCCAUGACUCAGGAUUUUCCCCGGUGAAAAUCGGCAUUUCCAGUUUCUUAUAUUUGCUUCGGUCGACAGUUACUACAUUGUUUUCCCCUGGAUUGUCGGCUUCUUCCCAUUUUCCUUUUAACUUCAUGACUGAUCCAUCAGAAGUUCCGGAUUCAUCUCGCCUUUUGUAGCUGCUGUUUUCUUUCAUUUCAUCAGCCAGUCUAUCCAUGGAUUUCUUCAUUUCCAGAAUCAUUUCCUUCAAGCCCAGUAUUUCUUUCUCGUUCCAUCUAUUCUUUCUUCUAUUUGCCUUUGCGCCAUCAGUCGCGUCACCACCCCAGCGUUUGGGCUCUGAUACCAGUUGUAGAGACUCCACAAAUAAAAUACUAAAUUACCCAAACAGUUGGCAAACAGAGACAGCACUCUGUAGAUCUUUAUUUAUAUAUAAAUGCCAAGAGAUACAGUAGAAGGAAAUAUAAAAGAAAGCAAUAAAGAUGAUAAUAUCAUGUCAAACCUCCCCAGGAAAAGAUAGUAGUCCUUCCUAGACCUAGCAGCCUCUACAGACCAAAUGAAGACAAAAAGUUAACCUAGCCCCCAAUCCCGAUAAGGCCUUAUUUAUAGCUCUUUUCUCAUUCUUCCCCGUGGGCCCCACUCUCAUGUUCUUUUCCUAAUAUUCUCCCCUUUUCUGCUGCGUGAGCUUUUACGUUUUUACCCCUCCUUUUGUAUGUAUGGAUAAUAGGGGGCCUUACAAAUUUCUUCCAACACUAUGAAACAUUUAUGUUAUAGUUUUAUUAUUGUAAACAUUUUUGCUAAACAUCAUUGUAAUUUCCAAACACAACUCUGCCAAAGUUCCCAAGAUAGUUCUAUAGCAAUGUUCCACAGGCUAUCUUGCAAGUGAUGUGGAACUCCUUUGCUUUUUUGAAUAGUAAGCUGGCCUUCCUCUUUUGUUAUGCUUUGUUUUGUUCUUAAUACUUGCUUUUAUCUUCGCCUAUUUCAUUCCUAGUUGAUAUAUUACAUAGUCCUCUUAAAUCUACAUUCUUUUUCUGUUUUAUGAUUCGCUUGAGUUUAAUGACUAACUUUGGCAAAAUAAUGUUGAACUAUAUUACAUGUUUUGCAUCUAAACCUCAAUUGAAAAGGUUUGUUACCUGUAUCAUUAUAAGGUUUCCAUCCAUCUUUCUUAGGCCAUCAAUGAAGUUUUUGCUUAGAUCUAUCUUAGUUCGGCCUCUUUAAAAUGUUACUCCAUACAAGGAAGAUCGAAAGUUGUGAUUACAAAGUGUAGAUUUGUAUUGUAUAGUUGCCUUAGUUAUUUUUUUAAUUAUUCUUUUUAGACGUUAUUUCCUUUUAUAAUUAGUUCUCUUUAGUUAGAAUUUCUAUUAAAUUAUACUUGCCUAUUAUCAAGUCCUUUUUCAUUAAUAAGAGAAAAUGGAGUUUUUCUCAAAUAACAAAAAGUGAUUAUUUAAGAUACUAUGCUAAAGGGAACACAUCCAAUUACCAUGUUGAGAAUAUUAUCUUUGCCUAUUGAAGGUCUUGGAUUCUUGGUCAACUUUGAAUGCGAAUUUUUCUUAGUUGAUUAUUAAAUAUCAGGGUAAAAAGAUCUUAUAUUGUAAUGUUGUUUUGCUUCACUUGCAUCAUACACUAAAACACAAGAUUAAAAAAAAAGUUAUAUUUAGACUUUUGUAUGGUAGAUUAGGUGUUCUCUUUGAAUUGGUGUUGGUAUUGGCUUUCUAAUUAUGAUAUGAUUUUGGGAACCUUUGAAUUAUGUUCUUCAAACCUUCUCUCUUCGAUUGAAGCUUAUUAUAUUUUAUCGUUGUUAGUAUGUUUUUUUUUUUCCAUUUUUUCCCUUCUAAUAUUUUUAUUUGAUAUAUAAUGUGCAUAAAAGAGAAAGUAGUUAAUGUGUUUUACAUUGUUGUGUUGUGCAAAGUUGGUGCUGUUGGUUCAAAUAUUUAAGAUUUGGUGAAGCACUUGGAAUAAGUUCAAACUUUUAAUCUGUAGGAUAAUUUACUUUAUAAGAAUCACACAUUUACCUUUUUUUUCUUUUUUGAAGUAGGAAAGGAGCCUCUUCAUUAAGCUGAAAAUGAAUAGACAAGACAAAAGGUAAUACAAAGAAGCCCUAGGAUCAGUGAGUGCACUAGGACAUCUCAUCUAUGUUGACACCUACUUAGCAUUCUCACCAUAUCGAGACUUAAACCAAAAGACUAAACCAACGACAAGGUUUGGAAUAGAUCAUACAAACUGCCCAAUAACUAUACAACAUAGAUUUAAGACCACUAGAAAUCCAAAAGAAAUAAAAUAAGAGUACAGUAGUGGACUAAGAAUUAAAAAUGAAAGUCGGCCAAUUAUGACUUAUAUCUUGUAUGGAGAAAUCUUUGAAGUCUUUUGAAAGAGAGCAUCAAGAAGAAGCAUUGAUUCUAGCCAUUUCGACUCGAGUUGUCCAAGAGGAAGCUUUAUUUUAAAAUGUUAGCUGAUUAUGUUCAAACCAAAUUUCUGGUAAAAUGGCCUUCACUGCAUUUAACCAAAUCAAUCUUGGUUUCUUCUUGAGAAUGGGACAUGAAAUAAGCUGGACCGCGUUCUCCUAAAUCUAUAGUCGAAAACCCAAUUCAAAUGAAGAUAGCCAAGUAAGUCAAACCAACACUUCUUUUCAUGUAAGCAGGAGAAGAAAAUAUGAUGUAAAUCUUCUAAAGCAUGCAAACACAAGGGACAAAUAUUAGGAGAUAAACUGUGAGAGGAAGGUUUCAUUUGCAAAACUUCUGCACAGUUCAUAGUCCAUUUCGCUUUCUCCAAAGCGUGAUAUUCACUCUUCUAGGGCUUUUUGUCUUCCAAAUUGUCGAGUAUAAAUGUUUUUCAAUUGGGGAGGCAAUGGAGAGAUGCUUGACCAAUGAAUGAACCAAAAACCUCCCAUUUGAUUCUGAUUUCUAGGUUCUUUUAUUUUGGGAGGCUUGAAAUUCAUCUAUUUCUUCAACUUUUAGAAGUCUCCUGAAAUUUAGAGCCCAUGAAGUAGUGGAAGAGUCCCAAAACUCCUUUACAUCUCCAUUAUUAGAGUUCAAAGACAAUCUAAACGAUCUUGAAAAGAAACAACAUCUGCCCAAAAAUCAUUCCAAAAUGCUAUUCUUCAACCAUCACCGAACUUGAACAAUGCCUAGGAAUCCACUUGAAGCUAGCAUCUCGAAAUGCUAAUCCAGGGACUAUGGAGACUGCAAGUGACAAUUCCUUUAGUAUGCCAUCCAAAUUAACUUUCUCCAUGGAUACUCUUCACCACUUUAGCCCAAAGGGAAUUCUUUUCAUUUAUAAAUCUCCAUCCCCAUUUAGCAAGAAGGUUGCAUUUUUUUAACGUUGCACCAUCGACGCCGAUUCCACCAUCCUCUUGCGAACAAGACACCACCUUCCAAUUAAUCACUUUAUGAAUCAUCUUUUCUGGCAUUAAGAAUAUAGACAUAUAGUGUGUAGGUAUAUGUGAAAAAACCGACUUACAAAGUGUGUCCCAACCUCCACUAAAGAGACAAUAUCUUUUCCACUUAUCUAGUUUAACUUGGAUUUUAUCUAUUUCUUGAAAUUACAUAAGGAGUAGAGAGAGGGCUCCAAGCCGAAGCAGUUAUGGAAAACAUCUCCAAUUUACAGCAAGUUAAAGCAAAAAAAAAAAAAAAAAACCGCAGUUCAAAAAAACUGGGCAUCUUGCUUCCUUCUAAUUGAAAGUUCUGCUGUUUCUGUCAAGUCAAAUUGACCACAAAAUGCUCAAAUGAGAUUCUUCAAUAGGAAUACAUAAAAAAAAAAUAAUAUGUAAAAGAAUUUUCAAUGUUUAAUAUAAUAUGUAAAAUAAUUUUCUUAUAUUGGAAUUGGCAGAUGGCUGAGGGCCUUCGUGAAACGUGGGAGAGAAGCGAUAACAUUAUCGUUCAAAAAAUUCAGGAGUAAGUAUUUAUGUGAAAGGCCAUAUUAUUUGGCCAUUUGACCUUAUUUAUGAUUGAAUUAUUUGGAUGGAAAUGAUAAACUACACAUUAUUGUCUGCUUGAGUUGUGAUCUUGAUUAUGGGCUAUUUGGUAUUUUGCCUACAAACUGUAUAGUUAAUUAUCUGUUAGCUUUUGUUUUCCUGUCACAGCUUUAUGUUUCUGUGGCUAAUUGUAGCCAAAAGUUUUAUUUAUCGAUCUUAUUUUUCACAGCAUAAAUGAAACCGUGUUUCAAGCAUCAAAUGCUGCUACAUCAUUCAAGGAAAUUCGUCGUAGAGAUCCGUAAGUUUUUUCCUUUGGUGCUGUGAUACUAACCUGUUUGAAUAAAGGAAUCUGACUUGGUCUUUUCCUCUUUAACAUUAUGGAUUAGGUCUUUCUCUUUACCAGAUUUCGUAGUUGAACUUUAAGAAGCAAUCAAACCGGUGUUAACUUCUUAUAUAAAGGUUAGUGCUAACUGCUAAGCUUAUUUCUAAGAUGAAAGAUGCUUUUAUCCCCUCCCCAAAGAAUAUCAUUACUAUUUAUGUUGUAUUUCUGCUAACUAAUUCUUGCAUAGCAUCUGGUUUGAUAAAUAAAGUAAAGUUUCUGACAUGGAGGUUUUCAAGUUGGAAUAUAUAUUUAUGUUUUAGGUAGAUUCCCAAACUUUGAAGAAACGCUGCAGUACUGAGGUAAUUGAACGUUGUAAGGCAGAGCAUUGGGCUUACCGGAGCCAAGGUAUCUUCUUCGAUAACAAGUAAGGAUAGUCCUGAUACUACCUUUCUUUUGUUAUUGAAGUUUAUUGUUCCUUCUCUCUUGUUUGGUGGUUGUGCACCUAUAUUGAUUUGUACUUCUGUUAAUUAAUUAUAGUCCUUCUCUUGUUUGAGUAAUUAUUGUCUACCAUUUUGUUAGCAAAGGCUUCCCGUGGAAAUUUAGUUUGUUGUGCUGCAUGUCCAAGAUGAUUUUCGUGAUUUUAGUUUUAGAUACAUAAAAGGGAUUUUGCAUCACAACAUGAAUGACUAUUUCUAAAUAUGAACCUACAAUAACCCCAAAUGAAUACCUGAUUAAAUUGGAAACAGGGCAGAUAGAGAGUGAGAUGGAGAGUGUUUGUGUGUGCUUUAGAGUAGUUUUAAGCACAUUUUUUAGAUUUGUUUAACACUAAGUUUGUUUCACUUGCACAAUUGGUUGCCAUUUUAGGUCUCAAAGUGCAUUUUCACUCAUUUUGAACUUUUUGUUAGUUUGUGAGUUACGAACUUACACUUAAGCACUGUUAGGUCGUUUCAAACACAUUUUGUGUUUGUUUGGAACUAAGUUUGUUUAGACAUUUGAUUGACAUGUUGGGUCUCCAAGUGCUUUUUUCCACACUUUUUGAAAUUUUGGUAGGUUGUGAGUCACGAACUUACGCUUGAGUAUUGUUUGGUCCGUUUGAAAGCUUAGACACAUUUUGAACUCUUUUUAAGAUAACUUGAAACUAAGUUCAUUGCACUUACAUACUUCGUUGCCGUUUUGGGUCUUGAAGUACCUUUUUCACACUUUUUGAAAUUUUGGUAGGUUGUGAGUUACAAACUUACCCUUAAGCAUUGUUUGGUUGUUUUGAAAAUUCAAGUGAUAGUUACACACGUUUUGAAUACAUUUUAGGUUAGAUUGAGUUUGUUGCACUUGGUUGUCAUUUUUGGUCUUGAAAUGCUUUUUUCAAACUUUUUGGUAGAUUAUGAGUUACGAACUUACACUUAGGAUUUGCUAGGUCGUUUUGAAAACUCAAGUAAUACAUAGACACGUUUUGAGCACAUUUUAGGUUGGUUUGAACUAAGUUUGUUGCACUUACACACUUGGUUGCCAUUUUGGGUAUUGUAGUGCUUUUUUCACAAUAUUUGAACUUUUUUCGUAGGUUAUGAGUUACGAUCCUACACGUAAGCUGUUUUAGGACAUUUUGAAAGUUAAGUGAUACUUAGACACGUUUUAAACUCGGUUUAGGUUAGUUUGAAACUAAGUUUGUUGACCUUAUCCAAUUGGUUGCCAUUUUCGGUCUUGAAGUGCCCUUUUCACACUUUUUGAACUUUUUGGUAGGCUAUGGGUUACCAACUUACACUUAAACUUUGUUAGGUUGUUUUGAAAGUCCAAGUGAUACUUAGACACGCCUUGACCACUUUUUAGGUUGGUUUGGAACUAAGUUUGUUGCACUUGCGCACUUGGUUGCCAUUUUGGGUCGUGUAGUGUUUCCUUUUUUUCCAUACUUCUUGAACUUUUUGGUAGGUUAUGAGUGAUGAAUUUACAAAUAAACAUUCUUAGGUCGUUCUGAAAGUUCAAGUGAUACUUAAACACGGUUUGAAAUUUUUUUAGAUUUGUUUAAGACUAAGUUUGUUUCACUUGCAUACUUGGUUGCCAUUUUAGGUCUCAAAGUGCAUUUUUCACGCAUUUUGAUUUUUUUGUUAGUUUGUGAGUUACGAACUUACACUUAACGAUUGUUAGGUCGUUUUAAACACAUUUUGCGUUGGUUUGAAACUAAGUUUGUUGCACUUACACAUUGGAUUGAAAUGUUGGGUCUUGAAGUACUUUUUUUCACACUUUUUGAAAUUUUUUUAGGUUGUGAGUUACGAACUUACGCUUGAGUAUUGUUUGGUCGGUUUGAAAUCUUAGACACGUUUUGCACUCUUUUUAGGAUGGCUUGAAACUAAGUCCGUUGCACUUACAUACUUCGUUGCCAUUUUGGGUCUUGAAGUGCUUUUUUUACAGUUUUUGAAAAUUUGGUAGGUUGUGAGUUACAAACUUACACUUAAGCAUUGUUUGGUGGUUUUGAAAGUUUAAGUGAUACGUACACAUGUUUUGAAUACAUUUUAGGUUAGAUUGAUUUUGUUGCACUUGGUUGUCAUUUUUGGUCUUGAAAUGCUUUUUUCAACCUUUUUGGUAGAUCAUUACGAACCUACAUUUAGGAUUUGCUAGGUCGUUUUGAAAACUCAAGUAAUACCUAGACACGUUUUGAGCACGUUCUAGGUUGGUUUGAACUAAGUUUGUUACAAUUACACACUUGGUAGCCAUUUUGGGUCUUGUAGUGCUUUUUUCACACUAUUUGAACUUUUUUCGUAGGUUAUGAGUUACAAAUCUCAACGUAAGCUGUUUUAGGUCGUUUUGAAAGUUCGAGUGAUACUUAGACACAUUUUGUUCAAGUGAUACUGUUUUAGGUCGUUUUGAAGUGAACUUUUUUCUUCUUGUAUUGACUGUUUUACUAUUUCUUCAUGGUUUGUAUUCAUGGUAUUUAUUUUCGUAAUUGGGCAUCUUGCUUCUUUCUUAUUGAAAGUUUGGCCGUUUCUUUCAAGUCAAAUUGACCAGAAAAUGCUCAAAUGAGAUUCUUCAAUAGGAAUAUGUAAAAAAAAUAUAAUAUGUAAAAGAAUUUUUGUGAAACGUGGGAGAGAAGCGGUAACAUUAUCCUUCAAAAAAUUCAGGAGUAAAUAUUUAUGUGAAAGGACAUAUUAUUUGGCCAUUUGACCUUAUUUGUUAUUGAAUUAUUUGGUUGGAAAUGAUAAACUACACAUUAUUGUUUGCUUCAGUUGUGAUCUUGAUUAUGGGCUAUUUGGUAUUUUGCUUACAAACUGUAUAGUUAAUUAUCUGUUAGCUUUUGUUUUCCUGUCACAGCUUUAUGUUUCUGUGGCUAAUUGUAGCCAAAAGUUUUAUUUAUCGAUCUUAUUUUUCACAGCAUAAAUGAAACUGUGUUUGAAGAAUCAGGUGCUGCUACAUCAUUCAAGGAAAUUCGUCGUAGAGGUCCGUAAGUUUUUUUCCUUUGGAGAUGUGAUACUAACCUGUUUGAAUAAAGGAAUCUGACUUGGUCUUUUCCUCUUUAACAUUAUGGAUUAGGUCUUUCUCUUUACCAGAUUUCGUAGCUGAACUUUAAGAAGCAAUCAAACCGGUGUUAACUUCUUAUAUAAAGGUUAGUGCUAACUGCUAAGCUUAUUUCUAAGAUGAAAGAUGCUUUUAUCCUCCCCAAAGAAUAUCAUUACUAUUUAUGUUGUAUUUCUGCUAACUAAUUCUUGCAUAGCAUCUGGUUUGAUAAAUAAAGUAAAGUUUCUGACAUGGAGGUUUUCAAGUUGGAAUAUAUAUUUAUGUUUUAGGUAGAUUCCCAAACUUUGAAGAAACGCUGUAGUACUGAGGUAAUUGAACGUUGUAAGGCAGAGCAUUGGGCUUACCAGAGCCAAGGUAUCUUCUUCGAUAACAAGUAAGGAUAGUCCUGAUACUACCUUUCUUUUGUUAUUGAAGUUUAUUGUUCCUUUUGUUGGGGCUUGGUGGUUGUGCACCUAUAUUGAUGUACUUCUGUUAAUUAAUUAUAGUCAUUCUCUCUUGUCUGAGUAAUUAUUGUCAACCAUUUUGUUAGCAAAGGCUUCCCAUGGAAAUUCAGUUUGUUGUGCUGCAUGUCCACGAUGAUUUCGUGAUUUUAGUUUUAGAUACAUAAAAAGGGCCUUUGCAUCACGACAUGAAUGACUACUUUUUAAUAUGAACGUACAAUAACCCAAAUGAAUGCUGAAGUAAGUUUAUUGAUGUAUGUAAUUUACAACAAUCUUUUUGAACUUUUUGGUAGGUUAUGAAUUACGAACUUGUAUUGAAUAUUUGUUAGGUCGUUUUAAUAAUUCAAGUGAUGCUUAGAAAAUGCAACCGAGCUUAAACAAUUGUGCACAUUUUUCUAAAAUUUUUAGUUUAACCUCUUUAAUAAAAUUCGAAGGAAAUUUUGUUUCUUUUUGUAGGAAUAAAGGAAAAUGAAAUAUAACCAAACUUGGGAUCUUUGCAAGCAAGCUUCCAUGAAGAAACUAGGUUACAAGGGGAGGUCUUCUGUUCUCCUUUUUUUUUCUUUCCAUCCGUAGAAUCUUGCUUAAAAUGCUUUGAGGACAAUGCAAAUUUUUAAGGGGGGGGGGUUGUAGCCUUGCACAUUCCAUGUCCUUUGGGAAAUUUUCAUUUUGCAAAUUUUGCUAAAAAUGUCAAAAUUUAGAAACUUUUGCAAUGCUCUAUGCUUAGAAUAAGUACCAUGUCUACUUCGUUUUAGCAUAAAAAAGCAUAUAUGCCUAAACCCAUGAGAACAGAGCUCGGAUUUGUGAUUGUAUUUGUUAUUUGAAUAUGUUACAUAUGUUGAAAAAUGCAUAUAUUGAUAGCUUAGAAAUGAGUAGAACACUUGGUUCAUUUUCUGAAUAUUGUGAAUUAUGUACAUAAUAAUAUGUCGGUUGCCUUUUUUAUCUCAAUUUUAAUCCCCUUUUUUGCCAUCUUCUACUGCCUUUUUUAUAUUAAUUUUAAAUCCCUCUUUUGGCCAUACACAUUUGUAUAAGAUUGUUUGAAAGCAAAAUAUGAUUGUUAGGUUCUUAGAGUUCUUCACCCAACAUAACAGCCGAUAAAAACAAAACAAUACGACCAAGCUGCUUAGAGUUGCAGAACCCGACCCCCGCCUAGUGGGUCACUAGAGUUCUUCACCCAGCAUGGCAGCCGGUAGAGAGGGAGAGAGAAAAAAAGAGGGAACCAAGCCAGCCGCUUAGGUCAAGUAAAAUGCGCGCCGAGAUCCCCCGGUUUCAGAAUUUUCGUGGGGAUCCUCUCCGCUUUUCUUGCCUAAGCAAAACCCGACCCCGGCUAGUAGGUUCUUAGAGUUCUUCACCCAUCAUGGCAGCCGGUAGAGAGGGAGAGAAAAAAAAGAGGGAGCCAAGCCAGCCGCUUAGGUCAAGUAAAAUGCGCGCCGAGAUCCCCGGUUUCAGAAUUUUCGUGGGGAUCCUCUCCGCUUUUCUUGCCUAAGCAAAACCCGACCCGCCUAGUAGGUCCUUAGAGUUUUUCACCCAGCAUGGCAGCCGGUUAGAGAGGGAGAGAGAAAAAAAAGAGGGAGCCAAGCCAGCCGCUUAGGUCAAGUAAAAUGCGCGCCGAGAUCCCCCGGUUUCAGAAUUUUCGUGGGGAUCCUCUCCGCUUUUCUUGCCUAAGCAAAACCCGACCCCGCCUAGUUGGUUCUUAGAGUUCUUCACCCAUCAUGGCAGCCGGUAGAGAGGGUGAGAGAAAAACAAAGAGGGAGCCAAGGCAACCGCUUAGGUCAAGUAAAAUGCGCGCCGAGAUCCCCCGGUUACAGAAUUUUCGUGUGGAUCCUCUCCGCUUUUCUUGCCUAAGCAAAACCCGACCCGCCUAGUAGGUCCUUAGAGUUUUUCACACAGCAUGGCAGCCGGUAGAGAGGGCGAGAGAAAAAAAAAGAGGGAGCCAAGCCAGCCGCUUAGGUCAAGUAAAAUGCGCACCGAGAUCCCCCUGUUUCAGAAUUUUCGUGGGGAUCCUCUCCGCUUUUCUUGCCUAAGCAAAACCCGACAGCCUAGUAGGUCCUUAGAGUUUUUCACCCAGCAUGGCAGCCGGUAGAGAGGGAGAGAAAAAAAAAGAGGGAGCCAAGCCAGCCGCUUAGGUCAAGUAAAAUGCGCGGAGAUCCCCCGGUUUCAGAAUUUUCGUGGGGAUUCUCUCCGCUUUUCUUGCCUAAGCAAAAACCGACCCCGCCUAGUAGGUUCUUAGAGUUCUUCACUCAGCAUGGCAGCCUGUAGAGAGGGAGAGAGAAAAAAAAGAGGGAGCCAAGCCAGCCGCUUAGGUCAAGUAAAAUGCGUGUCGAGAUCCCCCGGUUUCAGAGUUUUCGUGGGGAUCCUCUCCGCUUUUCUUGCCUAAGCAAAACCCGACCCCGCCUAGUAGGUCCUUUUAGUUCUUCACCUAGCACGGCAGCCGGUAGAGAGGGAGGGAGAAAAAAAGAGGGAGUCAAGCCAGCUGCUUAGGUAAAGUAAAAUGCGCGUCGAGAUUGCCUGGUAUCAGAGCUUGCAUGGGCAACCUCUCCGCUUUUGAUGGAAUUUGAUGAAAUGCUUAUGUCGAAAGUAGGCAUUUCUCUAUAGAGUCCUAAUGGUCAUAGAAAUUUAAUAUGUUUUGUAUUUAUUUUACUUUGUUGUCAAGAAUCAACUUCUUUUCUGAUUUGUAUGUUUAUGUAUAUGUUGCAUCUCUGUCUUGUUAUCAUGUUGUAUUUCAUUGUACUCAAUAGUGUGAUUUGCAUUUUUUAUUUGUGUUAAUAAGUGUUCGUGUAAUUGCAAUUUUGUUCUUGAAGAUAUUUUGCUUGAAUCAAGUUAGUUCUUUAAGGAUCAUUUUCUUGUAAGGUUAUAACUUCUUGUCCAAUUUUUCCAACUCACAUUUCAACUUGUAACAGGUGAAUCUCUUCCAAAUAAGAGCUUAAAAAGAAAAAACAAUUGGAACCUUUAACCAUAAAAUCAAGGUACUGCAUCUUAUUUGCAAUGAAUUGCUAUAAUUUUGUAGAGACUCCACAAAUAAAAUACUAAAUUACCCAAACAGUUGGCAAACAGAGACAGCACUCUGUAGAUCUUUAUUUAUAUAUAAAUGCCAAAGAUACAGUAGAAGGAAAUAUAAAAGAAAGCAAUAAAGGUGAUAAUAUCAUGUCAAACCUCCCUAGGAAAAGAUAGUAGUCCUUCCUAGACCUAGCAGCCUCUACAGACCAAAUGAAGACAAAAAGUUAACCUAGCCCCCAAUCCCGAUAAAUAAAUAAGAGCUUAAAAAGAAAAAACAAUUGGAACCUUUAACCAUAAAAUCAAGGUACUGCAUCUUAUUUGCAAUGAAUUGCUAUAAUUUUGUAGAGACUCCACAAAUAAAAUACUAAAUUACCCAAACAGUUGGCAAACAGAGACAGCACUCUGUAGAUCUUUAUUUAUAUAUAAAUGUCAAGAGAUAUAGUAGAAGGAAAUAUAAAAGAAAGCAAUAAAGAUGAUAAUAUCAUGUCAAACCUCCCCAGGAAAAGAUAGUAGUCCUUCCUAGACCUAGCAGCCUCUACAGACCAAAUGACGACAAAAAGUUAACCUAGCCCCCAAUCCCGAUAAGGCCUUAUUUAUAGCUCUUUUCUCAUUCUUCCCUGUGGGCCCCACUCUCAUGUUCUUUUCCUAAUAUUCUCCCUUUUCUACUUCGUGAGCUUUUACGUUUUACCCCUCAUACGGCCCAUAAAAUUUUGGGGAUAGCUUUUCACAUUUCUUCCGAGCUAGUGAUCUUUGUCGAUAGGGUCGUAGUUUCAAAUACACUUCAUCCCCAAUUUUGAAUUUGAGCUCCCUGCGGUUUCGGUCUGCCAUUUUCUUCAUUCUAUUUUGAGCUAUGCAUAGGUUUUCCUCCAGUGCAUUGAGUGCUAAAUCUCUCUCCUUCAACAUGACUUCUACGUCAUUGUUAGGAGAUUGCUUCCAUCCAUAUGACAGCAGUGGCGGGGGAGUUCUUCCAAAAACAGAUUGGUAAGGAGUAGUUUUGGUGGAUGCGUGGAAGGUUGUGUUAUACCAUAAUUCCGCCCAAGGGAUCAGUUUAUCCCAUUUCUUCGGUUGUUCAUUGCAAAAGCAUCUCAAAUAGGUCUCUAGGCAUCUGUUUACCCUCUCGGUUUGUCCAUCGGUUUGGGGAUGGAAUGCCGUGCUUCUCUUCAAAAUGGUGCCCAUGGUAGUGAACAACUCCUUCCAGAAAUUGCUAAGGAAGAUCUUAUCACGGUCGGUAAUAAUGGACUUGGGUAUUCCAUGUUUGCUGACCACUUUUUCCAAAAAAAUUGAAGCCACUUGCUUGCUGUGUACGGGUGUUUCAGAGGCAAGAAGUAGGAGUACUUACUUAGGCGGUCGACGACUACCAUAAUCACGUUGUAACCUCCUGCUAUUGGCAGCCCUUCAAUAAAAUCCAUGGUCCAAUCCUCCAAUAUCUUGUCGGGGAUAGGAAUGGGUUGCAGAACUCCCGCAGGCUUAGUAGCUUCGAACUUAUUACGUUGACAAGUGUCACAUUCUUCUACAUAUCUCUUGAUAUCAGCCUUCAUUCCUUUCCAAAAUAGUUCCCCACUCAUUCUUUUAUAGGUUCUCAAGAAUCCCGAGUGCCCUCCUAAUAUGGAAUCAUGGAACGUGUGUAGAAGACUCGGAAUGAGGGAGGAAUUUCGCGGCAGCACCAUCCUUCCUUUAUAUAGCAGCCUGCCAUUGUUCCACUGGUAUUUCCCACCUUGAUCCACCUCUCCCUUAAGUUCGGCAAUAAUUUUCUGAAGUUCUUGAUCCAUUUCAACUUCCUUCUCUAUUAUCUCUAUAUCAACUAUGCCUGUGGUUGUCAUUGUAUUUAACUCCACCGAAUGGUCCUUCCUUGAGAGAGCAUCCGCCACCUUAUUCUGCAGACCCGGCUGGUAUAAGAUCUCAAAGUCAUACCCCAAAAGUUUUGUGAGCCACUUUUGGAAUUGAGGCUGAACUUCCCUCUGUUCUAACAGAAAUUUCAGAGCCUUCUGAUCUGAAACAAUUGUGAACUUUCUGCCCAGGAGAUAAUGUCUCCAUUUUUGCACCGAAAGGACAACCGCCAUCAAUUCCCUUUCAUAGAUCGACUUACCCUGGGCUCUUGGGGACAGUUUCUGGCUGAAGAAUGCGAUGGGAUGACCAUCUUGUGAUAAAACUGCACCUAAACCUACUCCUGAAGCAUCAGUUUCGAUUGUGAAGGGCUGAGACCAAUCCGGCAAUGCUAAUACCGGUAAGGUUGUCAUUGCUAGCUUCAGCUGGUCAAACGCUAUUGUAGCUUCCUCAUUCCAAUGGAAUGCAUUUUUCUGAAGUAAUUUGGUUAAGGGUGCAGCUAUUUCUCCAUAGCUUUUCACAAAUCUUCUAUAAUACCCAGUCAGUCCAAGGAAUCCCCUCAGCCCAGUUAUAUCUUUCGGCCGUGGCCAAUUUACCAUACUGCGAAUCUUGUCCUCAUCAGCCUCCACUCCUCUGCUGGAAAUCAGAUGACCCAAAUAUUGAACUUGGGAAUGAGCAAUGACACAUUUAGACCUAUUUGCAAACAAUUCAUGGUCCCUCAAGAUAGCAAAAACCAUUCCUAAAUGUUUCAUGUGUUCAUCUAUGUCCACACUACAAACUAGAAUGUCAUAAAAAAAAACCAGGACACACCUUCGAAGGAAUGGUUUGAACACCUCGUUCAUGAGAGAUUGGAAGGUGGCAGGAGCAUUCGUAAGGCCGAAAGGCAUCACCAAGAACUCAUAAUGUCCUUCAUGCGUGUGGAAACUGUUUUCUCCACAUCUUCCUCCCUCAUCCUAAUCUGGUGGUAUCCAGAUUUAAGGUCUAACUUUGAGAAAGCUGUCGCACCAUGAAGUUCAUCUAAGAGUUCUUCGAUCACGGGAAUUGGAAAUUUAUCAGCCACCGUUACUUGAUUGAGUUUCCUGUAAUCUACACAAAAUCUCCACCCUCCAUCUUUUUUCUUCACUAAGAGGACCGGGCUCGAAUAUGGGCUGCGGCUUGGACGAAUCACCCCAGCUUGUAACAUUUCUAACACCAAUUUUUCAAUCUCUUCCUUUUGUACAUGGCCAUACUUAUAUGGUCUUACAUUAAUUGGUUUCUGAUCGGCCACGGUCAGAAUGCGAUGGUCUAUGGCUCUCCUUGGCGGUAAACCCGUGGGCAACCUAAAGACAUCUGCAUAUUGCUCGAGCAAUCGCUGAACCAUGGGUAAUCCUUCUUCCUUUCCCUUCAAUUCAGCUUCUGUUUCCGAUUCUCCUUCAUAGUUUACUUCAUAGUUUUGGAAUUCCAAGAGGAAUCCUUGGUCCCCGGAUUGCCACGUUUUCUCUAAGGUUCUCAAUGAACAUUCUGACUUCGUUAGAGAAGGGUCACCUUUUAGGAUUAUUCUUCUACCUUCAUCCAAAACGUCAUGGUUAGGGAUGGCCAGUGAACCUUCAUGGUUCCUGUCGAAUCUAGCCAUUGCAUCCCAAGCACCAAGUCUACCGUUCCUAACUCUACCGCUAGGAAAUCUGCUACGAUUGUUAACUCUUUUAACUUCACCUUCACCCUCUUGCAAAUCCCACUUCCUUCACAUUGGUUGCCAUUCCCAAUGGUAACUCCAAAACGAGUUCCCGGAUCGAUGCUCAGCUGUAGUUCAUCUACCAACACUUAGCUGAUGAAGUUAUUGGUCGCCCCGCUGUCAAUCAGAAUAUACUACUUCCCUUCCGUUCACAUGUCCUUUUAAUUUCAUCGUCCCCUUUGAUGUAACUCCCGUGAUCAACCUCAAUUCAAUAGGGUUAUCCAUAUUCAAUUCCAGAUGAUUCAGUUCUAUUACUUCGCUUGCCUCAUCCUCUGUAUCCUCUUCCCUUUUGUGGUCUUCUUCCUCAUUUAGUAUAAGGAGCAUCAACUCUCUUUUUUCUCUCCCUUUACAUCGAUGGCCUGGGGCGUACUUUUCAUUACAUCUGAAACAAAGCCCUUAUCCAGCCUUGCUCUAAAUUCCGUAUCCGACAGCCGUUUAAUUGGGAGAUCUUUUUUCUGGUAAUCAUUUUUCAAUGGAAUAGUUACCUGCUUCAUCACAAACUCUGUCUUUUUACUUUCUGUCUUCUCAUUUUUUCCUUGAAAUUUGCUGCUGUUCUCAUUCCUUUUGGGCUCAACUAUAUCCAACUCUUCCAUCGCCAGUUUUAAUGCUAUAUUCCUAUCAUUCGCAAGCUGAGCUUCCUUCAUACAUUCCUCUAAAGUUUGAGGGUGUCUGCUGAUUACUUCCGCUUGCAGUGAGGGUUCCAGACCCGUUAAAAACGCAUCCAGCAGAACACUUUCUGCCAUGUCCGGGAGGGGGCUGAGUAUGUAACAAACUUCUUAACGUACUCGCUGUAUGAGCCUUCUUGCUUAAUACGGAUUAAUCUUGCCCCCAAGCUCUGCUGUCCUAUAUCUUAAAGAAAUCAAACAUCCUUUCCUUCAAGUCCUCCCAAGAUUCCACCCUCUUUCUACGAUUACUCCAUCUAAACCAGUCUACCUCUUCCUGUCCAAAACUCACGACUGCUACUUUGACCUUCUCAGCUUCCGGUAAGUCAUUUAUAUCAAAAAAAUGUUCUGCUCGGUACGCCCAGGAUUCAGGGUUCACCCUGUAAACAGUGGCAUUUCUAAUUUUUUGUACUUACUUCGGUCUGCGCUGCUUCCACCCGACUCGACUGUGGUUCCGGCCUUUCCAGUUUUCCCUUCAGUUUCAACCUGAUGUCGUCCGUAGUCCCUGCUUCUUCUUUUUUCUUAGCACCAUGGUUUUCUCUUAGCUCGCCUGUCAUUCGAUCCAUCGAUUUCUUCAUUUCCAGCAUCAUCUCCUUCAGACUCAUAAUUUCCUUUUCAGUACCUUCUACCCGUUCUUCUAUCUGUCUUUGAGCCAUCAGACGCGUGAUCACCCCCAGUGUGGAGGCUCUGAUACCAAUAUAUAAGGAUUCAACUUGCUUACUUCACUAUUUCUCCCUUACAAUGGCCAAAAACAGAGGUAGCCCUCUGCUAUCUUUAUUUAUAUAUAGCCAAAAUGAGUACAGAAAAACAUAAAGAUUCAAGAAAAACAAGGAAUAAUGAAGACAAACCCAGCUUCCUCUAGGGAAAGACUGGAUAUUCCUCUAGGCUAAGCAGCCGCCAACUUCAGGAUAAAAAUAAAACCUACCUCCCCUAGACCUAAAAAACCUAUUUAUAUUCCUUCUCUCAUCUUUCUCUUAUUUCUGUGCCUGGGCCCCACCUGCACGAUCUCCUCUUUUUCCUUCCUCAUUAUUAAUUUGUCCAAUUACUUUUCUGCCCCUCCUUUGAUAUGUAUGAAUAACUGGAGGUCUUACACUAUAUCCCACGUUUUUUCCAAUGUCUUCAAAGAACAUUCAGGUUUCACUAAGGAUGGAUCUCCUCUUAACACGAUUUGCUUGUCUUUUGCCCAAAAGGUCAUGGUUAAUGAUGGCCAAUGUACCUUCAUUGUGCCGGUGGUAUCUAGCCAUUGCAUCCCUAAAAUCACGUCAAUAUUUCCUAGUUCCACCACUAGAAAAUCAGUUAUAACUGUCAUUUCUUUCAAUCUCAGUUCCACCUUUCUGCAAAUACCUUUCCCUUUACAGCGGGUCCCGUCUCCAAUAGUCACUCCAAAUUGUGUACCGGGUUCAAUGUUCAACCCUCCUUCCAUUGCCACUGUCGAUGAGAAUCACCACCUCCCUUCCUUUUACAUGCCCCUUCAGUUUCAUUGUCCCUUUGGAUGUUAACCCCGUGAGUGUCUUCAAUUCAAUUUCGUGGUUUCAGCAACAACUAACUGGUUCAGCUCCAUUACUUCUUCGGUCUCUUCCAUUUUGACUUCCUCCCCGCCACUCUCUUCUUCGUUAAGUAUAAAUAACAUUAAUUCCCUUUUCUCUCUCAUCUUGCAUCGGUGUCCCGGUGAGUACUUCUCAUUGCAUCUAAAACACAAACCCUUGUCCAAUCUUGCUCUGAAUUCCGUGUCCAAGAGUCUUUUAACUGGAGGUUCAUUUUUCUGGUAGUUUCCUUUAAUGGGAAUAGUGACUUGCUUCAUGGGGAACUCAGUCUUCUUUGGUGAACUUUUAUCUUGACUGCUUUGUCCCUUGCUUGAGCCUCCUCCUUCCCUAGUCACACUGUUUACCCAUUCUGCCUUGGCUAAUUUCAAGGCUAGGUUUCUGCCACUUACCAGUUGUGCCUCCUUCAUACAUUCCUCUAAGGUUUGAGGAUGUCUACUAAUAACUUCUGCUUGAAGAGCCGGUUCUAGACCUGUCACGAAUGCAUCUAAGAGCACGCUUUCAGCCAUGUGCGUAGUGGUGCAGAAUAUUGUACGAAUUUCUUGACAUAAUCAUUAUAGGAUCCAUCUUGUUCUAUUCGAAUCAGCCUUGCACCUAAGCUCUUCUGCCCAGAAUCUCGAAAAAAUUCAAACAUCCUUACCUUCAAAUCUUCCCAUCCUUCCACCUUCUUUCUAUGGUUACCAACGGUACCAAUCGAUUUCAUCUUGUCUGAAACUAACCACUGCUACUUUCACUUUUUCUGCUUCCGGUAGGCUAUUAAUUUCGAAAAAAUGCUCAGCUCUAAACACCCAUGACUCAGGAUUUUCCCCGGUGAAAAUCGGCAUUUCCAGUUUCUUAUAUUUGCUUCGGUCGACAGUUACUACAUUGUUUUCCCCUGGAUUGUCGGCUUCUUCCCAUUUUCCUUUUAACUUCAUGACUGAUCCAUCAGAAGUUCCGGAUUCAUCUCGCCUUUUGUAGCUGCUGUUUUCUUUCAUUUCAUCAGCCAGUCUAUCCAUGGAUUUCUUCAUUUCCAGAAUCAUUUCCUUCAAGCCCAGUAUUUCUUUCUCGGUUCCAUCUAUUCUUUCUUCUAUUUGCCUUUGCGCCAUCAGUCGCGUCACCACCCCAGCGUUUGGGCUCUGAUACCAAUUGUAGAGACUCCACAUAAAAUACUAAAUUACCCAAACAGUUGGCAAACAGAGACAGCACUCUGUAGAUCUUUAUUUAUAUAUAAAUGCCAAGAGAUACAGUAGAAGGAAAUAUAAAAGAAAGCAAUAAAGAUGAUAAUAUCAUGUCAAACCUCCCCAGGAAAAGAUAGUAGUCCUUCCUAGACCUAGCAGCCUCUACAGACCAAAUGAAGACAAAAAGUUAACCUAGCCCCCAAUCCCGAUAAGGCCUAUUUAUAGCUCUUUUCUCAUUCUUCCCCGUGGGCCCCACUCUCAUGUUCUUUUCCUAAUAUUCUCCCCUUUUCUGCUGCGUGAGCUUUUACGUUUUUACCCCUCCUUUUGUAUGUAUGGAUAAUAGGGGGCCUUACAAAUUUCUUCCAACACUAUGAAACAUUUAUGUUAUAGUUUUAUUAUUGUAAACAUUUUUGCUAAACAUCAUUGUAAUUUCCAAACACAACUCUGCCAAAGUUCCCAAGAUAGUUCUAUAGCAAUGUUCCACAGGCUAUCUUGCAAGUGAUGGAACUCCUUUGCUUUUUUGAAUAGUAAGCUGGCCUUCCUCUUUUGUUAUGCUUUUGUUCUUAAUACUUGCUUUUAUCUUCGCCUAUUUCAUUCCUAGUUGAUAUAUUACAUAGUCCUCUUAAAUCUACAUUCUUUUUCUGUUUUAUGAUUCGCUUGAGUUUAAUGACUAACUUUGGCAAAAUAAUGUUGAACUAUAUUACAUGUUUUGCAUCUAAACCUCAAUUGAAAAGGUUUGUUACCUGUAUCAUUAUAAGGUUUCCAUCCAUCUUUCUUAGGCCAUCAAUGAAUGAAGUUUUUGCUUAGAUCUAUCUUAGUUCGGCCUCUUUAAAAUGUUACUCCAUACAAGGAAGAUCGAAAGUUGUGAUUACAAAGUGUAGAUUUGUAUUGUAUAGUUGCCUUAGUUAUUUUUUUAAUUAUUCUUUUUAGACGUUAUUUCCUUUUAUAAUUAGUUCUCUUUAGUUAGAAUUUCUAUUAAAUUAUACUUGCCUAUUAUCAAGUCCUUUUUCAUUAAUAAGAGAAUGGAGUUUUUCUCAAAUAACAAAAAGUGAUUAUUUAAGAUACUAUGCUAAAGGGAACACAUCCAAUUACCAUGUUGAGAAUAUUAUCUUUGCCUAUUGAAGGUCUUGGAUUCUUGGUCAACUUUGAAUGCGAAUUUUUCUUAGUUGAUUAUUAAAUAUCAGGGUAAAAAGAUCUUAUAUUGUAAUGUUGUUUUGCUUCACUUGCAUCAUACACUAAAACACAAGAUUAAAAAAAAAAGUUAUAUUUAGACUUUUGUAUGGUAGAUUAGGUGUUCUCUUUGAAUUGGUGUUGGUAUUGGCUUUCUAAUUAUGAUAUGAUUUUGGGAACCUUUGAAUUAUGUUCUUCAAACCUUCUCUCUUCGAUUGAAGCUUAUUAUAUUUUAUCGUUGUUAGUAUGUUUUUUUUUUCCAUUUUUUCCCUUCUAAUAUUUUUAUUUGAUAUAUAAUGUGCAUAAAAGAGAAAGUAGUUAAUGUGUUUUACAUUGUUGUGUUGUGCAAAGUUGGUGCUGUUGGUUCAAAUAUUUAAGAUUUGGUGAAGCACUUGGAAUAAGUUCAAACUUUUAAUCUGUAGGAUAAUUUACUUUAUAAGAAUCACACAUUUACCUUUUUUUUCUUUUUUGAAGUAGGAAAGGAGCCUCUUCAUUAAGCUGAAAAUGAAUAGACAAGACAAAAGGUAAUACAAAGAAGCCCUAGGAUCAGUGAGUGCACUAGGACAUCUCAUCUAUGUUGACACCUACUUAGCAUUCUCACCAUAUCGAGACUUAAACCAAAAGACUAAACCAACGACAAGGUUUGGAAUAGAUCAUACAAACUGCCCAAUAACUAUACAACAUAGAUUUAAGACCACUAGAAAUCCAAAAGAAAUAAAAUAAGAGUACAGUAGUGGACUAAGAAUUAAAAAUGAAAGUCGGCCAAUUAUGACUUAUAUCUUGUAUGGAGAAAUCUUUGAAGUCUUUUGAAAGAGAGCAUCAAGAAGAAGCAUUGAUUCUAGCCAUUUCGACUCGAGUUGUCCAAGAGGAAGCUUUAUUUUAAAAUGUUAGCUGAUUAUGUUCAAACCAAAUUUCUGGUAAAAUGGCCUUCACUGCAUUUAACCAAAUCAAUCUUGGUUUCUUCUUGAGAAUGGGACAUGAAAUAAGCUGGACCGCGUUCUCCUAAAUCUAUAGUCGAAAACCCAAUUCAAAUGAAGAUAGCCAAGUAAGUCAAACCAACACUUCUUUUCAUGUAAGCAGGAGAAGAAAAUAUGAUGUAAAUCUUCUAAAGCAUGCAAACACAAGGACAAAUAUUAGGAGAUAAACUGUGAGAGGAAGGUUUCAUUUGCAAAACUUCUGCACAGUUCAUAGUCCAUUUCGCUUUCUCCAAAGCGUGAUAUUCACUCUUUCUAGGGCUUUUUUGUCUUCCAAAUUGUCGAGUAUAAAUGUUUUUCAAUUGGGGAGGCAAUGGAGAGAUGCUUGACCAAUGAAUGAACCAAAAACCUCCCAUUUGAUUCUGAUUUCUAGGUUCUUUUAUUUUGGGAGGCUUGAAAUUCAUCUAUUUCUUCAACUUUUAGAAGUCUCCUGAAAUUUAGAGCCCAUGAAGUAGUGGAAGAGUCCCAAAACUCCUUUACAUCUCCAUUAUUAGAGUUCAAAGACAAUCUAAACGAUCUUGAAAAGAAACAACAUCUGCCCAAAAAUCAUUCCAAAAUGCUAUUCUUCAACCAUCACCGAACUUGAACAAUGCCUAGGAAUCCACUUGAAGCUAGCAUCUCGAAAUGCUAAUCCAGGGACUAUGGAGACUGCAAGUGACAAUUCCUUUAGUAUGCCAUCCAAAUUAACUUUCUCCAUGGAUACUCUUCACCACUUUAGCCCAAAGGGAAUUCUUUUCAUUUAUAAAUCUCCAUCCCCAUUUAGCAAGAAGGUUGCAUUUUUUUAACGUUGCACACAUCGACGCCGAUUCCACCAUCCUCUUGCGAACAAGACACCACCUUCCAAUUAAUCACUUUAUGAAUCAUCUUUUCUGGCAUUAAGAAUAUAGACAUAUAGUGUGUAGGUAUAUGUGAAAAAACCGACUUACAAAGUGUGUCCCAACCUCCACUAAAGAGACAAUAUCUUUUCCACUUAUCUAGUUUAACUUGGAUUUUAUCUAUUUCUUGAAAUUACAUAAGGAGUAGAGAGAGGGCUCCAAGCCGAAGCAGUUAUGGAAAACAUCUCCAAUUUACAGCAAGUUAAAGCAAAAAAAAAAAAAAAAAACCGCAGUUCAAAAAACUAGGCAUCUUGCUUCCUUCUAAUUGAAAGUUCUGCUGUUUCUGUCAAGUCAAAUUGACCACAAAAUGCUCAAAUGAGAUUCUUCAAUAGGAAUACAUAAAAAAAAAAUAAUAUGUAAAAGAAUUUUCAAUGUUUAAUAUAAUAUGUAAAAUAAUUUUCUUAUAUUGGAAUUGGCAGAUGGCUGAGGGCCUUCGUGAAACGUGGGAGAGAAGCGAUAACAUUAUCGUUCAAAAAAUUCAGGAGUAAGUAUUUAUGUGAAAGGCCAUAUUAUUUGGCCAUUUGACCUUAUUUAUGAUUGAAUUAUUUGGAUGGAAAUGAUAAACUACACAUUAUUGUCUGCUUGAGUUGUGAUCUUGAUUAUGGGCUAUUUGGUAUUUUGCCUACAAACUGUAUAGUUAAUUAUCUGUUAGCUUUUGUUUUCCUGUCACAGCUUUAUGUUUCUGUGGCUAAUUGUAGCCAAAAGUUUUAUUUAUCGAUCUUAUUUUUCACAGCAUAAAUGAAACCGUGUUUCAAGCAUCAAAUGCUGCUACAUCAUUCAAGGAAAUUCGUCGUAGAGAUCCGUAAGUUUUUUCCUUUGGUGCUGUGAUACUAACCUGUUUGAAUAAAGGAAUCUGACUUGGUCUUUUCCUCUUUAACAUUAUGGAUUAGGUCUUUCUCUUUACCAGAUUUCGUAGUGAACUUUAAGAAGCAAUCAAACCGGUGUUAACUUCUUAUAUAAAGGUUAGUGCUAACUGCUAAGCUUAUUUCUAAGAUGAAAGAUGCUUUUAUCCCCUCCCCAAAGAAUAUCAUUACUAUUUAUGUUGUAUUUCUGCUAACUAAUUCUUGCAUAGCAUCUGGUUUGAUAAAUAAAGUAAAGUUUCUGACAUGGAGGUUUUCAAGUUGGAAUAUAUAUUUAUGUUUUAGGUAGAUUCCCAAACUUUGAAGAAACGCUGCAGUACUGAGGUAAUUGAACGUUGUAAGGCAGAGCAUUGGGCUUACCGGAGCCAAGGUAUCUUCUUCGAUAACAAGUAAGGAUAGUCCUGAUACUACCUUUCUUUUGUUAUUGAAGUUUAUUGUUCCUUCUCUCUUGUUUGGUGGUUGUGCACCUAUAUUGAUUUGUACUUCUGUUAAUUAAUUAUAGUCCUUCUCUUGUUUGAGUAAUUAUUGUCUACCAUUUUGUUAGCAAAGGCUUCCCGUGGAAAUUUAGUUUGUUGUGCUGCAUGUCCAAGAUGAUUUUCGUGAUUUUAGUUUUAGAUACAUAAAAGGGAUUUUGCAUCACAACAUGAAUGACUAUUUCUAAAUAUGAACCUACAAUAACCCCAAAUGAAUACCGAUUAAAUUGGAAACAGGGCAGAUAGAGAGUGAGAUGGAGAGUGUUUGUGUGUGCUUUAGAGUAGUUUUAAGCACAUUUUUUAGAUUUGUUUAACACUAAGUUUGUUUCACUUGCACAAUUGGUUGCCAUUUUAGGUCUCAAAGUGCAUUUUCACUCAUUUUGAACUUUUUGUUAGUUUGUGAGUUACGAACUUACACUUAAGCACUGUUAGGUCGUUUCAAACACAUUUUGUGUUUGUUUGGAACUAAGUUGUUUAGACAUUUGAUUGACAUGUUGGGUCUCCAAGUGCUUUUUUCCACACUUUUUGAAAUUUUGGUAGGUUGUGAGUCACGAACUUACGCUUGAGUAUUGUUUGGUCCGUUUGAAAGCUUAGACACAUUUUGAACUCUUUUUAAGAUAACUUGAAACUAAGUUCAUUGCACUUACAUACUUCGUUGCCGUUUUGGGUCUUGAAGUACCUUUUUCACACUUUUUGAAAUUUUGGUAGGUUGUGAGUUACAAACUUACCCUUAAGCAUUGUUUGGUUGUUUUGAAAAUUCAAGUGAUAGUUACACACGUUUUGAAUACAUUUUAGGUUAGAUUGAGUUUGUUGCACUUGGUUGUCAUUUUUGGUCUUGAAAUGCUUUUUUCAAACUUUUUGGUAGAUUAUGAGUUACGAACUUACACUUAGGAUUUGCUAGGUCGUUUUGAAAACUCAAGUAAUACAUAGACACGUUUUGAGCACAUUUUAGGUUGGUUUGAACUAAGUUUGUUGCACUUACACACUUGGUUGCCAUUUUGGGUAUUGUAGUGCUUUUUUCACAAUAUUUGAACUUUUUUCGUAGGUUAUGAGUUACGAUCCUACACGUAAGCUGUUUUAGGACAUUUUGAAAGUUCAAGUGAUACUUAGACACGUUUUAAACUCGGUUUAGGUUAGUUUGAAACUAAGUUUGUUGACCUUAUCCAAUUGGUUGCCAUUUUCGGUCUUGAAGUGCCCUUUUCACACUUUUUGAACUUUUUGGUAGGCUAUGGGUUACCAACUUACACUUAAACUUUGUUAGGUUGUUUUGAAAGUCCAAGUGAUACUUAGACACGCCUUGACCACUUUUUAGGUUGGUUUGGAACUAAGUUUGUUGCACUUGCGCACUUGGUUGCCAUUUUGGGUCGUGUAGUGUUUCCUUUUUUUCCAUACUUCUUGAACUUUUUGGUAGGUUAUGAGUGAUGAAUUUACAAAUAAACAUUCUUAGGUCGUUCUGAAAGUUCAAGUGAUACUUAAACACGGUUUGAAAUUUUUUUAGAUUUGUUUAAGACUAAGUUUGUUUCACUUGCAUACUUGGUUGCCAUUUUAGGUCUCAAAGUGCAUUUUUCACGCAUUUUGAUUUUUUUGUUAGUUUGUGAGUUACGAACUUACACUUAACGAUUGUUAGGUCGUUUUAAACACAUUUUGCGUUGGUUUGAAACUAAGUUUGUUGCACUUACACAUUGGAUUGAAAUGUUGGGUCUUGAAGUACUUUUUUUCACACUUUUUGAAAUUUUUUUAGGUUGUGAGUUACGAACUUACGCUUGAGUAUUGUUUGGUCGGUUUGAAAUCUUAGACACGUUUUGCACUCUUUUUAGGAUGGCUUGAAACUAAGUCCGUUGCACUUACAUACUUCGUUGCCAUUUUGGGUCUUGAAGUGCUUUUUUACAGUUUUUGAAAAUUUGGUAGGUUGUGAGUUACAAACUUACACUUAAGCAUUGUUUGGUGGUUUUGAAAGUUUAAGUGAUACGUACACAUGUUUUGAAUACAUUUUAGGUUAGAUUGAUUUUGUUGCACUUGGUUGUCAUUUUUGGUCUUGAAAUGCUUUUUUCAACCUUUUUGGUAGAUCAUUACGAACCUACAUUUAGGAUUUGCUAGGUCGUUUUGAAAACUCAAGUAAUACCUAGACACGUUUUGAGCACGUUCUAGGUUGGUUUGAACUAAGUUUGUUACAAUUACACACUUGGUAGCCAUUUUGGGUCUUGUAGUGCUUUUUUCACACUAUUUGAACUUUUUUCGUAGGUUAUGAGUUACAAAUCUCAACGUAAGCUGUUUUAGGUCGUUUUGAAAGUUCGAGUGAUACUUAGACACAUUUUGUUCAAGUGAUACUGUUUUAGGUCGUUUUGAAGUGAACUUUUUUCUUCUUGUAUUGACUGUUUUACUAUUUCUUCAUGGUUUGUAUUCAUGGUAUUAUUUUCGUAAUUGGGCCAUCUUGCUUCUUUCUUAUUGAAAGUUUGGCCGUUUCUUUCAAGUCAAAUUGACCACAAAUGCUCAAAUGAGAUUCUUCAAUAGGAAUAUGUAAAAAAAAUAUAAUAUGUAAAAGAAUUUUUGUGAAACGUGGGAGAGAAGCGGUAACAUUAUCCUUCAAAAAAUUCAGGAGUAAAUAUUUAUGUGAAAGGACAUAUUAUUUGGCCAUUUGACCUUAUUUGUUAUUGAAUUAUUUGGUUGGAAAUGAUAAACUACACAUUAUUGUUUGCUUCAGUUGUGAUCUUGAUUAUGGGCUAUUUGGUAUUUUGCUUACAAACUGUAUAGUUAAUUAUCUGUUAGCUUUUGUUUUCCUGUCACAGCUUUAUGUUUAUGUGGCUCAUUGUAGCCGAAAGUUUAUUUAUCAAUCUUAUUUUUCACAGCAUAAAUGAAACUGUGUUUGAAGAAUCAGGUGCUGCUACAUCAUUCAAGGAAAUUCGUCGUAGAGGUCCGUAAGUUUUUUCCUUUGGAGAUGUGAUACUAACCUGUUUGAAUAAAGGAAUCUGACUUGGUCUUUUCCUCUUUAACAUUAUGGAUUAGGUCUUUCUCUUUACCAGAUUUCGUAGCUGAACUUUAAGAAGCAAUCAAACCGGUGUUAACUUCUUAUAUAAAGGUUAGUGCUAACUGCUAAGCUUAUUUCUAAGAUGAAAGAUGCUUUUAUCCCCUCCCCAAGAAUAUCAUUACUAUUUAUGUUGUAUUUCUGCUAACUAAUUCUUGCAUAGCAUCUGUGUUGAUAAAUAAAGUAAAGUUUCUGACAUGGAGGUUUUCAAGUUGGAAUAUAUAUUUAUGUUUUAGGUAGAUUCCCAAACUUUGAAGAAACGCUGCAGUACUGAGGUAAUUGAACGUUGUAAGGCAGAGCAUUGGGCUUACCGGAGCCAAGGUAUCUUCUUCGAUAACAAGUAAGGAUAGUCCUGAUACUACCUUUCUUUGUUAUUGAAAUUUAUUGUUCCUUUUGUUGGGGCUUGGUGGUUGUGCACCUAUAUUGAUUUGUACUUCUGUUAAUUAAUUAUAGUCAUUCUCUCUUGUCUGAGUAAUUAUUGUCAACCAUUUUGUUAGCAAAAGGCUUCCCAUGGAAAUUCAGUUUGUUGUGCUGCAUGUCCACGAUGAUUUUCGUGAUUUUAGUUUUAGAUACAUAAAAAGGGCCUUUGCAUCACACAUGAAUGAACUUUUUAAUAUGAACGUACAAUACCCCAAAUGAAUGUUGAAAGUAAGUUUAUUGAUGUAUGUAAUUUACAACAAUCUUUUUGAACUUUUGGUAGGUUAUGAAUUACGAACUUGUAUUGAAUAUUUGUUAGGUCGUUUUAAUAAAUUCAAGUGAUGCUUAGAAAAUGCAACCAAGCUUAAACAAUUCUGCACAUUUUUCUAAAAUUUUUAGUUUAACCUCUUUAAUAAAAUUCGAAAGGAAAUUCUUGUUUUCUUUUUGUAGGAAUAAAGGAAAAUGAAAUAUAACCAAACUUGGAUCUUUGCAAGCAAGCUUCCAUGAAGAAACUAGGUUACAAGGGGAGUCUUCUGUUCUCCUUUUUUUUCUUUCCAUCCGUAGAAUCUUGCUUAAAAUGCUUUAAGGACAAUGCAAAUUUUUAAGUGGGGGGUGGGUUGUAGCCUUGCACAUUCCAUGUCCUUUGGGAAAUUUUCAUUUUGCAAAUUUUUCUAAAAUGUCAAAAUUUAGAAACUUUUGCAAUGCUCUAUGCUUAGAAUAAGUACCAUGUCUACUUCGCUUUUUAGCAUAAAAAAGCAUAUAUGCCUAACCCAUGAGAACAGAGCUCGGAUUUGUGAUUGUAUUUGUUAGUUGAAUAUGUUACAUAUGUUGAAAAUGCAUAUACUGAUAGCUUAGAAAUGAGUAGAACACUUGGUUCAUUUUCUGAAUAUUGUGAAUUAUGUACAUAAUAAUAUGUGCGGUUGCCUUUUUUAUCUCAAUUUUAAUCCCCUUUUUUGCCAUCUUCUACUGCCUUUUUUAUAUUAAUUUUAAAUCCCUCUUUUGGCAAUACACAUUUGUAUAAGAUUGUUUGAAAGCAAAAUAAGAUUGUUAGGUCAAGUAGAAAGCAAAGUCAGCAAGUUCUUAGAGUUCUUCACCCAACAUAACAGCCGAUAAAAACAAAGCAAUACGACCAAGCUGCUUAGAGUUGCAGAACCUGACCCCCGCCUAGUGGGUCACUAGAGUUCUUCACCCAGCAUGGCAGCCGGGAGAGAGGGAGAGAGAAAAAAAAGAGGGAGCCAAGCCAGCCGCUUAGGUCAAGUAAAAUGCGGACCGAGAUCCCCCGGUUUCAGAAUUUUCGUGGGAUCCUUCCGCUUUUCUUGCCUAAGGAAAACCCGACCCGCCUAGUAGGUCCUUAGAGUUUUUCACCCAGCAUGGCAGCCGGUAGAGAAGGUGAGAGAAAACAAAGAGGGAGCCAAGGCAGCGCUUAGGUCAAGUAAAAUGCGCGCCGAGAUCCCCCGGUUUCAGAAUUUUCGUGGGGAUCCUCUCCGCUUUUCUUGCCUAAGCAAAACCCGACCCGCCUAGUAGGUCCUUAGAGUUUUUCACCCAGCAUUGCAGCCGUAGAGAGGGUGAGAGAAAACAAAGAGGGAGCCAAGGCAGCCGCUUAGGUCAAGUAAAAUGCGCGCCGAGAUCCCCCGGUUUCAGAAUUUUCGUGGGAUCCUCUCCGCUUUUCUUGCCUAAGCAAAACCCGACCCGCCUAGUAGGUCCUUAGAGUUUUUCACCCAGCAUUGCAGCCGGUAGAGAGGGUGAGAGAAAAAAAAGAGGGAGCCAAGGCAGCCGCUUAGGUCAAGUAAAAUGCGCGCCGAGAUCCCCCGGUUUCAGAAUUUUUCGUGGGAUCCUCUCCGCUUUUCUUGCCUAAGCAAAACCCGACCCCCCUAGUAGUCCUUAGAGUUUUUCACCCAGCAUGGCAGCCGUAGAGAGGGGAGAGAAAAAAAAGAGGGAGCCAAGCCAGCCGCUUAGGUCAAGUAAAAUGCUCGCCGAGAUCCCCCGGUUUCAGAAUUUCGUGGGGAUCCUCUCCGCUUUUCUUGCCUAGGCAAAACCCGACCCGCCUAGUAGGUCCUUAGAGGUUUUCACCCAGCAUGCAGCCGGUAGAGAGGGAGAGAGAAAAAAAGAGGGAGCCAAGCCAGCCGCUUAGGUCAAGUAAAAUGCGCGUCGAGAUCCCCGUUUCAGAAUAUUUCGUGGGGAUCCUCUCCGCUUUUCUUGCCUAAGCAAAACCCGACCCCGCCUAGUAGGUCCUUAGAGUUCUUCACCCAUCAUGGCAGCCGGUAGUGAGGGUGAGAGAAAACAAAGAGGGAGCCAAGGCAGCCGCUUAGGUCAUGUAAAAUGCGCGUCGAGAUCCCCCGGUUUCAGAAUUUUCGUGGGGAUCCUCUCCGCUUUUCUUGCCUAAGCAAAACCCGACCCGCCUAGUAGGUCCUGCUUCCAAUUCUUGGCGCUUUCUUGGACUCUUAUCUUAUUAUCCCUUUGUAUAUUCCGUCGGACUUUAUCAAGCUUUUAGCCUCCAUUCCAUUUCGGGGGGAAAGAACCGUCUUUGCAUCUGGGAUCUUAGUAGAUUGAAAUGGAGCAACUUCCGGGCGGUACCUUUGUGGAGGGGAUUCACUUCAGAAAGUAGAAGUCGAAAUUCAGUAGAAGUCGAAGGAAGAGAUAGGGUUUCAGGUAAAUUUAUGGGCAGCUUCUAAAUCUACAUUUUGAGAGAAUAAAUAGCUUGACUCAACGACAACAACUGAAACUGAAGAAAGAGCUGCUACUGGUCUCGCCUUUGCCUGGGCCUAGCCCUCGUACUCUGACUCAGCAGCUAGAUAGGGUUGAUGAAGACUUAUCCGUUGAGUCUGCUCUUUCAUGGGUUUCCUGAUCGGGGUUAGGAGCUUUACCAUUGCAAGAACUAUUCUUCUGAGUUUUUCACCCAGCAUGGCAGCGGUAGAGAGGGUGAGAGAAAAAAAAGAGGGAGCCAAGCAGCCGCUUAGGUCAAGUAAAAUGCGCGCCGAGAUCCCCCGGUUUCAGAAUUUUCGUGGGGAUCCUCUCCGCUUUUCUUGCCUAAGCAAAACCCGACCCCCUAGUAGGUCCUUAGAGUUUUUCACCCAUCAUGGCAGCCGGUAGAGAGGGAGAGAAAAAAAAGAGGGAGCCAAGCCAGCCGCUUAGGUCAAGUAAAAUGCGCGCCGAGAUCCCCCGGUUUCAGAAUUUUCGUGGGGAUCCUCUCCGCUUUUCUUGCCUAAGCAAAACCCGACCCGCCUAGUAGGUCCUUAGAGUUUUUCACCCAGCAUGGCAGCCGGUAGAGAGGGAGAGAGAAAAAAAAGAGGGAGCCAAGCCAGCCGCUUAGGUCAAGUAAAAUGCGCGCCGAGAUCCCCCGGUUUCAGAAUUUUCGUGGGGAUCCUCUCCGCUUUUCUUGCCUAAGCAAAACCCGACCCGCCUAGUAGGUCCUUAGAGUUCUUCACCCAUCAUGGCAGCCGGUAGAGGGGAGAGAAAAAAAAAGAGGGAGCCAAGCCAGCCGCUUAGGUCAAGUAAAAUGCGCGCCGAGAUCCCCCGGUUUCAGAAUUUUCGUGGGGAUCCUCUCCGCUUUUCUUGCCUAAGCAAAACCCGACCCGCCUAGUAGGUCCUUAGAGUUUUUCACCCAGCAUGGCAGCCGGUAGAGAGGGGAGAGAAAAAAAAAGAGGGAGCCAAGCCAGCCGCUUAGGUCAAGUAAAAUGCGCGCCGAGAUCCCCCGGUUUCAGAAUUUUCGUGGGGAUCCUCUCCGCUUUUCUUGCCUAAGCAAAACCCGACCCGCCUAGUAGGUCCUUAGAGUUUUUCACCCAGCAUGGCAGCCGGUAGAGAGGGGAGAGAAAAAAAAGAGGGAGCCAAGCCAGCCGCUUAGGUCAAGUAAAAUGCGCGCCGAGAUCCCCGGUUUCAGAAUUUUCGUGGGGAUCCUCUCCGCUUUUCUUGCCUAAGCAAAACCCGACCCGCCUAGUAGGUCCUUAGAGUUUUUCACCCAGCAUGGCAGCCGGUAGAGAGGGAGAGAGAAAAAAAGAGGGAGCCAAGCCAGCCGCUUAGGUCAAGUAAAAUGCGCGCCGAGAUCCCCGGUUUCAGAAUUUUCGUGGGGAUCCUCUCCGCUUUUCUUGCCUAAGCAAAACCCGACCCGCCUAGUAGGUCCUUAGAGUUUUCACCCAGCAUGGCAGCCGGUAGGAGGGAGAGAGAAAAAAAAGAGGGAGCCAAGCCAGCCGCUUAGGUCAAGUAAAAUGCGCGCCGAGAUCCCCCGGUUUCAGAAUUUUCGUGGGGAUCCUCUCCGCUUUUCUUGCCUAAGCAAAACCCGACCCGCCUAGUAGGUCCUUAGAGUUUUUCACCCAGCAUGGCAGCCGGUAGAGAGGGAGAGAGAAAAAAAAGAGGGAGCCAAGCCAGCCGCUUAGGUCAAGUAAAAUGCGCGCCGAGAUCCCCCGGUUUCAGAAUUUUCGUGGGGAUCCUCUCCGCUUUUCUUGCCUAAGCAAAACCGACCCGCCUAGUAGGUCUUAGAGUUUUCACCCAUCAUGGCAGCCGGUAGAGAGGGAGAGAGAAAAAAAAGAGGGAGCCAAGCCAGCCGCUUAGGUCAAGUAAAAUGCGCGCCGAGAUCCCCCGGUUUCAGAAUUUUCGUGGGGAUCCUCUCCGCUUUUCUUGCCUAAGCAAAACCCGACCCGCCUAGUAGGUUCUUAGAGUUCUUCACCCAUCAUGGCAGCCGGUAGAGAGGGAGAGAAAAAAAAAGAGGGAGCCAAGCCAGCCGCUUAGGUCAAGUAAAAUGCGCGCCGAGAUCCCCGGUUUCAGAAUUUUCGUGGGGAUUCUCUCCGCUUUUCUUGCCUAAGCAAAACCCGACCCGCCUAGUAGGUUCUUAGAGUUCUUCACUCAGCAUGGCAGCCUGUAGAGAGGGAGAGAGAAAAAAAAGAGGGAGCCAAGCCAGCCGCUUAGGUCAAGUAAAAUGCGUGCCGAGAUCCCCGGUUUCAGAGUUUUCGUGGGGAUCCUCUCCGCUUUUCUUGCCUAAGCAAAACCCGACCCCGCCUAGUAGGUCCUUUAGUUCUUCACCUAGCACGGCAGCCGGUAGAGAGGGAGGGAGAAAAAAAAGAGGGAGUCAAGCCAGCUGCUUAGGUAAAGUAAAAUGCGCGUCGAGAUUGCCUGGUAUCAGAGCUUGCAUGGGCAACCUCUCCGCUUUAGAUGGAAUUUGAUGAAAUGCUUAUGUCGAAAGUAGGCAUUUCUCUACAGAGUCCUAAUGGUCAUAGAAAUUUAUUAUGUUUUGUAUUUAUUUUACUUUGUUGUCAAGAAUCAACUUCUUUUCUGAUUUGUAUGUUUAUGUAUAUGUUGCAUCUCUGUCUUGUUAUCAUGUUGUAUUUCAUUGUACUCAAUAGUCUGAUUUGCAUUUUUUAUUUGUGUUAAUAAGUGUUCGUGUAAUUGCAAUUUUGUUCUUGAAGAUAUUUUGCUUGAAUCAAGUUAGUUCUUUCUAUAAGGAUCAUUUUCUUGUAAGGUUAUAACUUCUUGUCCAAUUUUUCCAACACAUUUCAACUUGUAACAGGUGAAUCCUUCUAAAUAAGAGCUUAAAAAGAAAAAACAAUUGGAACCUUUAACCAUAAAAUCAAGGUACUGCAUCUUAUUUGCAAUGAAUUGCUAUAAUUUUGUAGAGACUCCACAAAUAAAAUACUAAAUUACCCAAACAGUUGGCAAACAGAGACAGCACUCUGUAGAUCUUUAUUUAUAUAUAAAUGCCAAAAGAUACAGUAGAAGGAAAUAAAAGAAAGCAAUAAAGAUGAUAAUAUCAUGUCAAACCUCCCCAGGAAAAGAUAGUAGUCCUUCCUAGACCUAGCAGCCUCUACAGACCAAAUGAAGACAAAAAGUUAACCUAGCCCCCAAUCCCGAUAAGGCCUUAUUUAUAGCUCUUUUCUCAUUCUUCCCCGUGGGCCCCACUCUCAUGUUCUUUUCCUAAUAUUCUCCCCUUUUCUGCUGCGUGAGCUUUUACGUUUUUACCCCUCCUUUUGUAUGUAUGGAUAAUAGGGGGCCUUACAAUACCCCUCGGUUCCAGGUUCACCUUGUCCUCAAGGUGAAAGUCAGGGAAUUGUUGGUUCAUUUGGAAAACAGAUUCCCAAGUUGUUUCACUGUCCGGCAGCCCUUUCCACUUAAUUAACCAUUCAUUUCCUCCCAAUUCCCGAUUCCAACGGACUCCCAACACUGUUUCCGGCCAUAAUUGUAACUCAAACUCUUCCGUUAGCCUAGGUUGCUGGUGUUGAACAGCUUGUUGACUACCCAGUUUCAGUUUUAACUGAGAAAUAUGGAACACAUUGUGGAUACUGGCUUCCGGCGGUAACAUCAAUCUGUACGCAACUGCUCCUAUUUCUUCAGUAAUUUUGUAGGGUCCGUAAUAUUUAGGUGCUAACUUUUCACACUUCUUCCGAGCCAAGGAGCGUUGCCGGUAAGGUCUCAAUUUCAAGUAGACUUCAUCUCCUACCUUAAAUUUUAACUCUCUUCUAUUUCGAUCAGCCAUUUUCUUCAUCCUGUUCUAGGCUACACACAGGUGUUCUUUUAAGGCAUUGAUGGCUAAGUCACGUUCCUUCAGCAGCGUGUCAACCUCAUUAUUAGGAGUUUUCUUGUAACCAUAGGAUAACAGGGGAGGAGGCGGUCUGCGGUAUACCGUCUGGAAAGGGGUCAUUUUGGUGGAUGCAUGGAAGGUGGUAUUAUACCACAAUUCUGCCCAUGGAAUCAGUCUAUCCCAUUUUUUUGGUUGUUCAUUACAGAAGCAUCGCAGAUAAGUUUCGAGACAUCUAUUUACCCUUUCUGUCUGCCCAUCAGUUUGUGGGUGAAACGCGGUACUCCUCUUUAGAAUAGUUCCCAUGGUUGCAAACAGUUCCUUCCAAAAAUUACUAAGAAAGAUUUUAUCCCGAUCUGUGAUAAUCGACUUAGGAAUGCCGUGCUUGCUUACUAUUCUGUCGAUGAAUAUGGAAGCAACUUGCUUGGCUGAAAACGGAUGUCUCAAUGAUAUAAAGUAAGAAUACUUACUCAGCCGAUCAACUACCACCAUGAUCACAUUAACCCCUCCAGCUAGUGGCAACCCCUCAAUAAAGUCCAUGGUCCAAUCUUCUAAGAUUCUGUCAGGAAUUGGAAUUGGUUGAAGUACCCCAGCUGGUUUGGUUGCUUCGUAUUUGUUUCUCUGGCAGAUCUCGCAUUGUUCCACAUAUUUCUUUAUUUCAGCCUUCAUACCCCUCCAAUAUAGUUCUCCACUGAUCCUCUUGUAAGUUCUUAAAAAUCCAGAAUGUCCCCCGAGGAUAGAAUCGUGGAAAGUAUGUAGGAUCUUGGGUAUAAGUGUAGAAGUUUGAGAUACUACCAUUCUCCCCUUAUAGAGCAAUCUUCCUUUUUCCACUUGAAACUUGCUUCCUUCUUCUGCAUUUUUCUUCAGAUUUUCCAUAAUUUUCUUAAGUUCAGCAUCAUUCUCAACUUCCUGCUCGAUUAGUUUCACAUCAAUGAUUCCAGUAGUUGUCAAGCUGUGCAGCUCCACCGGUUGCUCCAUUCUAGAUAGGGCGUCCGCUGCCUUGUUCUGAUGUCCGGGUUGAUAUAAAAUCUCGAAAUCAUAUCCAAGGAGCUUUGUCAACCAUUUCUGGAAUUGGGGCUGUACCUCUCUCUGUUCAAGCAAGAAUUUAAGAGCCUUUUGAUCUGAAAGUAUGGUGAACUUCCUGCCCAGCAAAUAAUGCCUCCAUUUUUGAACUGAUAGAACUACAGCCAUCAACUCUCUUUCAUAGAUGGAUUUGUUUUGAGCCCUUGUGGAUAACUUCUGACUGAAAAAGGCAAUCGGGUGGCCAUUUUGAGAGAUCACCGCUCCUAACCCUACGCCAGAUGCAUCAGUUUCGAUAAUAAAGGGAAUGUUCCAAUCUGGUAAUGCCAACACUGGUAGAGUAGUCAUUGCUAGCUUCAAAUUUUCGAAGGCAGUAUUUGCUUCUUCAUUCCACUUAAAAGCAUUCUUCUGUAAUAACUUGGUUAGCGGUGCAGCGAUCUCUCCAUAACCCUUGACAAACCUCCUAUAAUAUCCUGUCAGUCCUAAGAAGCCCCGCAGACCAGAUAUAUUCGUUGGUGGUGGCCAAUUAAUCAUCUUCUUGAUCUUAUCCUCAUCUGCCUCAACUCCUCUUUUGGAUAUCAUAUGUCCCAAGUACUGUAUUUGAGAAUGGGCUAUAACGCAUUUUUUUUUGUUAGCAAACAGCUGGUUAUCCUUCAAAACAUUGAAUACCAUGCCCAAAUGCUUUGCGUGUUCAUCUAUAUCCGCACUAUAAACCAGUAUAUCAUCAAAGAACACCAAAACACAGCGCCGAAGGAAAGGUUUAAAUACCUGGUUCAUCAAAGAUUGGAAGGUUGCCAGAGCAUUCGUGAGACCAAACGGCAUUACUAGAAACUCAUAGUGCCCUUCAUGUGUGCGGAACACAGUUUUCUCCACAUCUUCCUCUUUCAUUCUAAUCUGGUGAUAACCAGAUUUCAGAUCUAAUUUCGAGAAAACCGUUGCCCUAUUCAGCUCAUCUAAUAAUUCCUCUAUCACAGGAAUUGGGAACUUAUCCGAUACUGUCGCCUGAUUUAACUUGCGGUAAUCGACACAAAAUCUCCAUCCACCAUCUUUUUUCUUCACUAACAACACCGGGCUGGAGUAAGGGAUAGGUUUAUGGUCAGGUAGGGUUAAUAUUCGGUGAUCAAUAGCUCUUUUUGGAGGUAAUUUCUUCGGUGUCUCAAAUAUCUCCGCAUAAUACUUGAGCAGGGAUCGGAUCAUAGAUAUUUCCUCCUCAUCUCCUUUUAAUCUUGUCCCCAGUUCAUAUUCAUUCUCUACUUCCAUCUCAUAAUUCUGGAAUUCUAAGAGGAAGCCUUGGUCUUCUAUAUGUAAGGAUUCAACUUGCUUACUUCACUAUUUCUCCCUUACAAUGGCCAAAAACAGAGGUAGCCCUCUGCUAUCUUUAUUUAUAUAUAGCCAAAAUGAGUACAGAAAAACAUAAAGAUUCAAGAAAAACAAGGAAUAAUGAAGACAAACCCAGCUUCCUCUAGGGAAAGACUGGAUAUUCCUCUAGGCUAAGCAGCCGCCAACUUCAGGAUAAAAAUAAAACCUACCUCCCCUAGACCUAAAAAACCUAUUUAUAUUCCUUCUCUCAUCUUUCUCUUAUUUCUGUGCCUGGGCCCCACCUGCAGGAUCUCCUCCUCUUUUUCCUUCCUCAUUAUUAAUUUGUCCAAUUACUUUUCUGCCCCUCCUUUGAUAUGUAUGAAUAACUGGAGGUCUUACACUAUAUCCCACGUUUUUUCCAAUGUCUUCAAAGAACAUUCAGGUUUCACUAAGGAUGGAUCUCCUCUUAACACGAUUUGCUUGUCUUUUGCCCAAAAGGUCAUGGUUAAUGAUGGCCAAUGUACCUUCAUUGUGCCGGUGGUAUCUAGCCAUUGCAUCCCUAAAAUCACGUCAAUAUUUCCUAGUUCCACCACUAGAAAAUCAGUUAUAACUGUCAUUUCUUUCAAUCUCAGUUCCACCUUUCUGCAAAUACCUUUCCCUUUACAGCGGGUCCCGUCUGCAAUAGUCACUCCAAAUUGUGUACCGGGUUCAAUGUUCAACCCUCCUUCCAUUGCCACUGCUUCAUGGAUGAAGUUGUUCGUAGCUCCACUGUCGAUGAGAAUCACCACCUCCCUUCCUUUUACAUGCCCCUUCAGUUUCAUUGUCCCUUUGGAUGUUAACCCCGUGAGUGUCUUCAAUUCAAUUUCGGUGGUUUCAGCAACAACUAACUGGUUCAGCUCCAUUACUUCUUCGGUCUCUUCCAUUUUGACUUCCUCCCCGCCACUCUCUUCUUCGUUAAGUAUAAAUAACAUUAAUUCCCUUUUCUCUCUCAUCUUGCAUCGGUGUCCCGGUGAGUACUUCUCAUUGCAUCUAAAACACAAACCCUUGCCAAUCUUGCUCUGAAUUCCGUGUCCAAGAGUCUUUUAACUGCAGGUUCAUUUUUCUGGUAGUUUCCUUUAAUGGGAAUAGUGACUUGCUUCAUGGGGAACUCAGUCUUCUUUGGUGAACUUUUAUCUUGACUGCUUUGUCCCUUGCUUGAGCCUCCUCCUUCCCUAGUCACACUGUUUACCCAUUCUGCCUUGGCUAAUUUCAAGGCUAGGUUUCUGCCACUUACCAGUUGUGCCUCCUUCAUACAUUCCUCUAAGGUUUGAGGAUGUCUACUAAUAACUUCUGCUUGAAGAGCCGGUUCUAGACCUGUCACGAAUGCAUCUAAGAGCACGCUUUCAGCCAUGUGCGGUAGUGGUGCAGAAUAUUGUACGAAUUUCUUGACAUAAUCAUUAUAGGAUCCAUCUUGUUCUAUUCGAAUCAGCCUUGCACCUAAGCUUUUCUGCCCAGAAUCUCGAAAAAAUUCAAACAUCCUUACCUUCAAAUCUUCCCAUCCUUCCACCUUCUUUCUAUGGUUACUCCAACGGUACCAAUCGAUUUCAUCUUGUCCGAAACUAACCACCGCUACUUUCACUUUUUCUGCUUCCGGUAGGCUAUUAAUUUCGAAAAAAUGCUCAGCUCUAAACACCCAUGACUCAGGAUUUUCCCCGGUGAAAAUCGGCAUUUCCAGUUUCUUAUAUUUGCUUCGGUCGACAGUUACUACAUUGUUUUCCCCUAGAUUGUCGGCUUCUUCCCAUUUUCCUUUUAACUUCAUGACUGAUCCAUCAGAAGUUCCGGAUUCAUCUCGCCUUUUGUAGCUGCUGUUUUCUUUCAUUUCAUCAGUCAGUCUAUCCAUGGAUUUCUUCAUUUCCAGAAUCAUUUCCUUCAAGCCCAGUAUUUCUUUCUCUGUUCCAUCUAUUCUUUCUUCUAUUUGCCUUUGCGCCAUCAGUCGCGUCACCACCCCAGCAUUUGGGCUCUGAUACCAGUUGUAGAGACUCCACAAAUAAAAUACUAAAUUACCCAAACAGUUGGCAAACAGAGACAGCACUCUGUAGAUCUUUAUUUAUAUAUAAAUGCCAAGAGAUACAGUAGAAGGAAAUAUAAAAGAAAGCAAUAAAGAUGAUAAUAUCAUGUCAAACCUCCCCAGGAAAAGAUAGUAGUCCUUCCUAGACCUAGCAGCCUCUACAGACCAAAUGAAGACAAAAAGUUAACCUAGCCCCCAAUCCCGAUAAGGCCUUAUUUAUAGCUCUUUUCUCAUUCUUCCCCGUGGGCCCCACUCUCAUGUUCUUUUCCUAAUAUUCUCCCCUUUUCUGCUGCAUGAGCUUUUACGUUUUUACCCCUCCUUUUGUAUGUAUGGAUAAUAGGGGGCCUUACAAAUUUCUUCCAACACUAUGAAACAUUUAUGUAUAGUUUUAUUAUUGUAAACAUUUUUGCUAAACAUCAUUGUAAUUUCCAAACACAACUCUGCCAAAGUUCCCAAGAUAGUUCUAUAGCAAUGUUCCACAGGCUAUCUUGCAAGUGAUGUGGAACUCCUUUGCUUUUUUGAAUAGUAAGCUGGCCUUCCUCUUUUGUUAUGCUUUGUUUUGUUCUUAAUACUUGCUUUUAUCUUCGCCUAUUUCAUUCCUAGUUGAUAUAUUACAUAGUCCUCUUAAAUCUACAUUCUUUUUCUGUUUUAUGAUUCGCUUGAGUUUAAUGACUAACUUUGGCAAAAUAAUGUUGAACUAUAUUACAUGUUUUGCAUCUAAACCUCAAUUGAAAAGGUUUGUUACCUGUAUCAUUAUAAGGUUUCCAUCCAUCUUUCUUAGGCCAUCAAUGAAGUUUUUGCUUAGAUCUAUCUUAGUUCGGCCUCUUUAAAUGUUACUCCAUACAAGGAAGAUCGAAAGUUGUGAUUACAAAGUGUAGAUUUGUAUUGUAUAGUUGCCUUAGUUAUUUUUUUAAUUAUUCUUUUUAGACGUUAUUUCCUUUUAUAAUUAGUUCUCUUUAGUUAGAAUUUCUAUUAAAUUAUACUUGCCUAUUAUCAAGUCCUUUUUCAUUAAUAAGAGAAAAUGGAGUUUUUCUCAAAUAACAAAAAGUGAUUAUUUAAGAUACUAUGCUAAAGGGAACACAUCCAAUUACCAUGUUGAGAAUAUUAUCUUUGCCUAUUGAAGGUCUUGGAUUCUUGGUCAACUUUGAAUGCGAAUUUUUCUUAGUUGAUUAUUAAAUAUCAGGGUAAAAAGAUCUUAUAUUGUAAUGUUGUUUUGCUUCACUUGCAUCAUACACUAAAACACAAGAUUAAAAAAAAGUUAUAUUUAGACUUUUGUAUGGUAGAUUAGGUGUUCUCUUUGAAUUGGUGUUGGUAUUGGCUUUCUAAUUAUGAUAUGAUUUUGGGAACCUUUGAAUUAUGUUCUUCAAACCUUCUCUCUUCGAUUGAAGCUUAUUAUAUUUUAUCGUUGUUAGUAUGUUUUUUUUUUCCAUUUUUUCCCUUCUAAUAUUUUUAUUUGAUAUAUAAUGUGCAUAAAAGAGAAAGUAGUUAAUGUGUUUUACAUUGUUGUGUUGUGCAAAGUUGGUGUUGUUGGUUCAAAUAUUUAAGAUUUGGUGAAGCACUUGGAAUAAGUUCAAACUUUUAAUCUGUAGGAUAAUUUACUUUAUAAGAAUCACACAUUUACCUUUUUUUUCUUUUUUGAAGUAGGAAAGGAGCCUCUUCAUUAAGCUGAAAAUGAAUAGACAAGACAAAAGGUAAUACAAAGAAGCCCUAGGAUCAGUGAGUGCACUAGGACAUCUCAUCUAUGUUGACACCUACUUAGCAUUCUCACCAUAUCGAGACUUAAACCAAAAGACUAAACCAACGACAAGGUUUGGAAUAGAUCAUACAAACUGCCCAAUAACUAUACAACAUAGAUUUAAGACCACUAGAAAUCCAAAAGAAAUAAAAUAAGAGUACUGUAGUGGACUAAGAAUUAAAAAUGAAAGUCGGCCAAUUAUGACUUAUAUCUUGUAUGGAGAAAUCUUUGAAAUCUUUUGAAAGAGAGCAUCAAAAGAAGCAUUGAUUCUAGCCAUUUCGACUCGAGUUGUCCAAGAGGAAGCUUUAUUUUGAAAUGUUAGCUGAUUAUGUUCAAACCAACUUUGAAUGACUAUUUCUAAAUAUGAACCUACAAUAACCCCAAAUGAAUACCGGAUUAAAUUGGAAACAGGGCAGAUAGAGAGUGAGAUGGAGAGUGUUUGUGUGUGCUUUAGAGUAGUUUUAAGCACAUUUUUUAGAUUUGUUUAACACUAAGUUUGUUUCACUUGCACAAUUGGUUGCCAUUUUAGGUCUCAAAGUGCAUUUUCACUCAUUUUGAACUUUUUGUUAGUUUGUGAGUUACGAACUUACACUUAAGCAUUGUUAGGUCGUUUCAAACACAUUUUGUGUUUGUUUGGAACUAAGUUUGUUUAGACAUUUGAUUGACAUGUUGGGUCUCCAAGUGCUUUUUUCCACACUUUUUGAAAUUUUGGUAGGUUGUGAGUCGCGAACUUACGCUUGAGUAUUGUUUGGUCCGUUUGAAAGCUUAGACACAUUUUGAACUCUUUUUAAGAUAACUUGAAACUAAGUUCAUUGCACUUACAUACUUCGUUGCCGUUUUGGGUCUUGAAGUACCUUUUUCACACUUUUUGAAAUUUUGGUAGGUUGUGAGUUACAAACUUACCCUUAAGCAUUGUUUGGUUGUUUUGAAAAUUCAAGUGAUAGUUACACACGUUUUGAAUACAUUUUAGGUUAGAUUGAGUUUGUUGCACUUGGUUGUCAUUUUUGGUCUUGAAAUGCUUUUUUCAAACUUUUUGGUAGAUUAUGAGUUACGAACUUACACUUAGGAUUUGCUAGGUCGUUUUGAAAACUCAAGUAAUACAUAGACACGUUUUGAGCACGUUUUAGGUUGGUUUGAACUAAGUUUGUUGCACUUACACACUUGGUUGCCAUUUUGGGUAUUGUAGUGCUUUUUUCACAAUAUUUGAACUUUUUUCGUAGGUUAUGAGUUACGAUCCUACACGUAAGCUGUUUUAGGACAUUUUGAAAGUUCAAGUGAUACUUAGACACUUUUAAACUCGGUUUAGGUUAGUUUGAAACUAAGUUUGUUGACCUUAUCCAAUUGGUUGCCAUUUUCGGUCUUGAAGUGCCCUUUUCACACUUUUUGAACUUUUUGGUAGGCUAUGGGUUACCAACUUACACUUAAACUUUGUUAGGUUGUUUUGAAAGUCCAAGUGAUACUUAGACACGCCUUGACCACUUUUUAGGUUGGUUUGGAACUAAGUUUGUUGCACUUGCGCACUUGGUUGCCAUUUUGGGUCGUGUAGUGUUUCCUUUUUUUCCAUACUUCUUGAACUUUUUGGUAGGUUAUGAGUGAUGAAUUUACAAAUAAACAUUCUUAGGUCGUUCUGAAAGUUCAAGUGAUACUUAAACACGGUUUGAAAUUUUUUUAGAUUUGUUUAAGACUAAGUUUGUUUCACUUGCAUACUUGGUUGCCAUUUUAGGUCUCAAAGUGCAUUUUUCACGCAUUUUGAUUUUUUUGUUAGUUUGUGAGUUACGAACUUACACUUAACGAUUGUUAGGUCGUUUUAAACACAUUUUGCGUUGGUUUGAAACUAAGUUUGUUGCACUUACACAUUGGAUUGAAAUGUUGGGUCUUGAAGUACUUUUUUUCACACUUUUUGAAAUUUUUUUAGAAUUGUGAGUUACGAACUUACGCUUGAGAGUAUUGUUUGUCGGUUUGAAAUCUUAGACACGUUUUGCACUCUUUUUAGGAUGGCUUGAAACUAAGUCCGUUGCACUUACAUACUUCGUUGCGAUUUUUGGGUCUGAAGUGCUUUUUUUACACUUUUUAAAUUUUGGUAUUGUGUGAGUUACAAACUUACACUUAAGCAUUGUUUUGGUGUUUUGAAAGUUUAAGUGAUACGUACACAUGUUUUGAAUACAUUUUAGGUUAGAUUGAUUUUGUUGCACUGGUUGUCAUUUUUGGUCUUGAAAUGCUUUUUUCAACCUUUUUGGUAGAUCAUUACGAACCUACAUUAGGAUUUGCUAGGUCGUUUUGAAAACUCAAGUAAUACCUAGACACGUUUUGAAGCACGUUCUAGGUUGGUUUGAACUAAGUUUGUUACAAUUACACACUUGGUAGCCAUUUUGGGUCUUGUAGUUACUUUUUUCACACUAUUUGAACUUUUUUCGUAGGUUAUGAGUUACGAAUCUACACGUAAGCUGUUUAGGUCGUUUUGAAAGUUCAAGUGAUACUUAGACACAUUUUGUUCAAGUGAUACUGUUUUAGGUCGUUUUUGAAGUGAACUUUUUUCUUCUUGUAUUGACUGUUUUACUAUUUCUUCAUGGUUUGUAUUCAUGGUAUUUAUUUUCGUAUGAAUCUUUCAUGUUCUGGUAAACAUUGCAGAACACAAAUAUUUUCAUCAAUCUGUCAAAGAGUUGAAGGAGAAGACAGAAGAACUUAAAGGUCACAUGAAAACCUAAAAGUUAGGUAAUUUUUUGAAAACUUUUUUUGUCUUGCUUAGUUUUAGUGGUAUUUUGUUAACAGUGCUGAGACAUACUCUUGUAUGCCAAGGCUGGGUGGCCAAUUCAAUGGAUGGCCUGAGACGGUGAAAUGACGAGUGUAGAACAAAGUAGACAAUCGAGCAGAUUUACAAGUAGGAGGAUGGUGUUUGGUCUUACUCAAAAGCUACUGCUAGAAAGGUGAUUCUCCCUUUAUUUACACAUGUUAUCUAUAUUUAAUUACUGUUUUUAUGUGAUGGUGAAUAAAUAUUUAAGUUGUUUCAAGUUUGUACAUCAUGCUUGAGUUAAUACAUUUCUCAACUCGCACUAAUUUUAAAGUUGAGACUAAGUUUGUUGCACUUACACACUUGGUUGCCAUUUUGGAUUUUGGAGUGCUUUUUCUACAUUUUUUGAACAUUUUGGUAGGUUAUGAUUUAUGAAGUAAGACUAAAGCAUUAUUAGGUCGUUUUUUAAAGUUCGAGUGAUACUUAAACAUUUUUUGAACACCUUUUAGGUUGUUACAAACUAAGUUAGUUUUACAUACAGCCAUGGUUGCCAUUUUGAGUCUUGAAAGAUUUUUUUUCACACUUUUUGAAAUUUUUGGUAAGUUAUGAGUUAUAAACUUACACUUAAGCGUUGUUAGGUUGCUUGAAAACUUAUACGUGUUUUGAAUACUUGUUAGGUUUGUAUAGAACUUCGUUGCACUUACACACUUGACAUUUUGGGUUUUGGAGUGUCUUUUUAAAAAAUUUUGAACUUUUUGCUAGUUUAUGACUUAUGAACUUGUAUUGAAUAUUUGUUAGGUCGUUUUGAUAAUUCAAGUGAUACUUAGAAAAUGCAACCGAGCUUAAACAAUUCCGCUCAUUUUUCUAAAAUUUUUAGUUUAACCUAUUGAAUAAAAUUCGAUGGAAAUUCUUGUUUUCUUUUUGUAGGAAUAAAAGAAAUGAAAUAUAACCAAACUUGGGAUCUUUGCAAACAAUCUUCCAUGAAGAAACUAGGCUACAAGUGGUUUGGGGUUUGGGUUUUUAGGGCUUAGGGCUUUUUGGGCUUAUGGCUUAGGGCUUUUAGGGCGCUUAGGGCUUUUAGGUUUUAGGGCUUAGGGCUUUUAGGGCUUAUGGCUUUAGGGUUUAGGGUAUAGGGUUUAGGGGUUUAGGGUUUAGGGUUUAGGGCGCUUAGGCUUUUAGGGAUUUUAGGGCGCUUAGGGAUUUUAGGUUUUAGGGCUUAGGGCUUUUAGGGAUUAUGGCUUAGGGCUUAGCGCUUUUAGGGCUUAGGGCUUAGGGCUUAGGGCCUUAAGGGCUUUAAGGGUAUUUAGGGAUAAGGGAUUUUAGGGCUUUUAGGGCAUUUAGGGCUUUUGGGGCUUUUAGGGCUUUUAGGGCUUAGGGAUUAGGGCUUGGGCUUUUAGGGCUCGGGCUUUGGGCUCUUUGGGCUUUUAGGACUUUUAGUGCUCUUAGGGCUUUUUGGGCGCUUAGGGCUUAUGACUCUUAAGGCUUAGGGCUUUGGCUUUUAGGGCUUUUAGGGCUUUUAGGGCUUUUAGGGCUUUUAGGCCUUUUAGGGCUUUUAGGGCGCUUAUGGCUUUUAGCUUUUAGGGCUUAGGGCUUUUUGGGCUUUUAGGGCUUAGGGCUUAGGGCUUAGGCUUUUAGGGCUUUUAGGCUUGGGCUUUGGGCGUUUAGGGCUUUUAGGACGCUUAGGGCUUUUAGGUUGUAGGGCUUAGGGCUUUUAGGGCUUAUGGCUUUUAGGGCUUAGCGCUUAGGGCUUAGGGCUUUUACGGGUUUUACGACUUUUAGGGCUUUUAGGGCUGAGGCCUUAGGGCUUAGGCCUUAGGGCUGAGGGCUCAGGGCUCAGGGCUUAGGGCUUAGGGUUUAGUGGCUUAGGGCUUAGGGCUUAGGGCUUAUGACUUUUAAGGCUUUGGGCUUUGGCUUUUCGGGCUUUUGGGCUUUUCGGCUUUUAGGGCUUUUAGGGCUUUUUGGGCUUUUAGGGCUUAGGGCUUAGGGCUUAGGCUUUUAGGGCUUUUAGGGCUUGGGCUUUGGCGUUUAGGGCUUAGGCUUUUAGGACGCUUAGGGCUUUUAGGACGCUUAGGCUUUUAGGUUGUAGGGCUUAGGGCUUUAGGCUUUUAGGACGCUUAGGGCUUUUAGGACCUUAGGGCUUUUAGGUUGUAGCUUAGGCUUUUAGGGCUUAUGGCUUUUAGGCUUAGCGCUUAGGGCUUAGGGCUUUUACGGCUUUUACGGCUUUUACGACUUUUAGGGCUUUUAGGGCUGAGGCCUUAGGGCUUUUAGGGCUGAGGCCUUAGGGCUUAGGCCUUAGGGCUGAGGGCUCAGGGCUUAGGGCUUAGGGUUUAGGGUUUAGGGUUUAGGGUUUAGGGCUUAGUUCUUGUGCUUUUAUUGCUUAGAGCUUAGGGCUUGUAGGGCUUAGGGCUGAUGGCUUAGGGCUUGGGCUUUUAGGGCUUGGGUUUUUAGGGCUUGGGCUUUGGGCUUUUAGGGCGUUUAGGGCUUUUAGGGCGCUUAAGUCGUUUAGGGCUUAGGGCUUUUAGGGCUUAGGGGUUUUGGCUUAUGACUUAGGGCUUGAGAUUUUAGGGCUUAGGGCUUGGCUUUGGCCUUUUAGGGCUUUUAGGGCUUUUACGACGCUUAGGGCUUUUAGGUUUUAGGGCUUAGGGCGCUUAGGGCUUUUAGGUCUUUUAGGGAUUAGGGUUUGGGCUUUUAAGGCUUGUGCUUUGGGCUUUUGGGAUUUUAGGGUUUAGGGCUUGUGCUUUGCGCUUUUAGGACUUUUAGGGCUUUUACAGCGCUAAGGGCGCUUAGGACUUAGGGCUUAGGGCUUAAGGCUUAGGCUUUUAGGGCUUAGGGCUCAUUGAGGAACUGGAUUUAUCUAAUGAGUAUAGGUAAAAUGGUUUUAUAUUGGAUUUGAUCAAUGCAAUGAAUUGUUUUAUCAUAAGACCGAUCCCUAAUUAAAUUGAUGAUCCCCAUCCUAACGAAAUGAAUUUGAUUCAUACAUGUACACACACGAACUGAACAUAUAUACAUUCACCGAAUCAUUGAUAAAGCAAUUCUACUUGGCGAGGAAAAAAUUUUCAAUAACUUGUUGAUCCCUAUCCCCAAAUUUUAAAAUUUAUCGCUCUUGAAUUUUUUGGCUUAGUGUGAAAUCGAAAUAUACCUAACAUAAUCUUAACAAUGAGUUAAUCAAUGAGCGCCGAGAUCCCCCUGUUUUGAAAUUUCGUGGGGAUCCUCUCCGCUUUUCUUGCCUAAGCAAAACCCGACACGCCUAGUAGGUCCUUAGAGUUUUUCACCGAGCAUGGCAGCCGGUAGAGGGAGAGAGAAAAAAAAGAGGGAACCAAGCCAGCCGCUUAGGUCAAGUAAAAUGCGCGCCGAGAUCCCCCGGUUUCAGAAUUUUCGUGGGGAUCCUCUCCGCUUUUCUUGUCUAGGCAAAACCCGACCCGCCUAGUAGGUCCUUAGAGUUUUUCACCCAGCAUGGCAGCCGGUAGAGAGGAGAGAGAAAAAAAAGAGGGAGCCAAGCCAGCCGCUUAGGUUAAGUAAAAUGCGCGCCGAGAUCCCCCGUUUCAGAAUUUUCGUGGGAUCCUCUCCGCUUUUCUUGCCUAAGCAAAACCCGACCCGCCUAGUAGGUCCUUAGAGUUCUUCACCCAUCAUGGCAGCCGGUAGAGAGGGAGAGAAAAAAAAUAGAGGGAGCCAAGCCAGCCGCUUAGGUCAAGUAAAAUGCGCGCCGAGAUCCCCCGGUUUCAGAAUUUUCGUGGGAUCCUCUCCGCUUUUCUUGCCGAAGCAAAACCCGACCCGCCUAGUAGGUCCUUAGAGUUUUUCACCCAGCAUGGCAGCCGGUAGAGAGGAGAGAGAAAAAAAAGAGGGAACCAAGCCAGCCGCUUAGGUCAAGUAAAAUGCGCGCCGAGAUCCCCCGGUUUCAGAAUUUUCGUGGGGAUCCUCUCCGCUUUUCUUGCCUAAGGCAAAACCCGACCCGCCUAGUAGGUCCUUAGAGUUUUUCACCCAGCAUGGCAGCGGUAGAGAGGGGAGAGAAAAAAAAGAGGGAGCCAAGCCAGCCGCUUAGGUCAAGUAAAAUGCGCGCGAGAUCCCCCGGUUUCAGAAUUUUCGUGGGGAUCCUCUCCGCUUUUCUUGCCUAAGCAAAACCCGACCCCCCUAGUAGGUCCUUAGAGUUUUCACCCAGCAUGGCAGCCGGUAGAGGGAGAGAAAAAAGAGGAACCAAGCCAGCCGCUUAGGUCAAGUAAAAUGCGCGCCGAGAUCCCCGGUUUCAGAAUUUUCGUGGGGAUCCUCUCCGCUUUUCUUGCCUAAGCAAAACCCGACCGCCUAGUAGGUCCUUAGAGUUUUUCACCCAGCAUGGCAGCCGGUAGAGAGGGAGAGAGAAAAAAAAGAGGGAACCAAGCCAGCCGCUUAGGUCAAGUAAAAUGCGCGCCGAGAUCCCCCGAUUUCAGAAUUUUCGUGGGGAUCCUCUCCGCUUUUCUUGCCUAAGCAAAACCCGACCCGCCUAGUAGGUCCUUAGAGUUUUUCACCCAGCAUGGCAGCCGGUAGAGAGGGAGAGAAAAAAAAAGAGGGAGCCAAGCCAGCCGCUUAGGUCAAGUAAAAUGCGCGCCGAGAUCCCCCGGUUUCAGAAUUUUCGUGGGGAUCCUCUCCGCUUUUCUUGCCUAAGCAAAACCCGACCCGCCUAGUAGGUCCUUAGAGUUUUUCACCCAGCAUGGCAGCCGGUAGAGAGGGAGAGAGAAAAAAAAAAGGGAACCAAGCCAGCCGCUUAGGUCAAGUAAAAUGCGCGCCGAGAUCCCCGUUUCAGAAUUUUCGUGGGGAUCCGCUCCGCUUUUCUUGCCUAAGCAAAACCCGACCCGCCUAGUAGGUCCUUAGAGUUUUUCACCCAGCAUGGCAGCCGGUAGAGAGGGAGAGAGAAAAAAAAAGAGGGAGCCAAGCCAGCCGCUUAGGUCAAGUAAAAUGCGCGCCGAGAUCCCCCGGUUUCAGAAUUUUCGUGGGGAUCCUCUCCGCUUUUCUUGCCUAAGCAAAACCCGACCCCGCCAGUAGGUCCUUAGAGUUCUUCACCCAUCAUGGCAGCCGGUAGAGAGGGAGAGAAAAAAAAAAGAGGGAGCCAAGCGAGCCGCUUACGUCAAGUAAAAUGCGCGCCGAGAUCCCCCGUUUUAGAUUGGUUUCAAACUAUGUUUUAAACACAUUUCAUUGACAUGUUGGGUCUUGAAGUACUUUUUUCACACUUUUUGAAAUUUUGGUAGGUUGUGAGUUACAAACUUACACUUAAGCAUUGCUUGGUCGUUUUGAAAAUUCAGGUGAUACUUACACACGUUUUGAAUACAUUUUAGGUUAGAUUGAGUUUGUUGCACUUGGUUGUCAUUUUUGGUCGUGAAAUGCCUUUUUCAACCUUUAUGGUAGAUUAUGAGUUACGAACUUACACUUAGGAUUUGCUAGAUCGUUUUGAAAACUCAAGUACUACCUAGACACGUUUUGAGCAUGUUUUAGGUCGGUUUGAACUAAGCUUGUUGCCCUUACACACUUGGUUGCCAUUUUGGGUCUUGUAGUGCUUUUUUCACACUAUUUGAACUUUUUUCGUAAGUUAUCAGUUAGGAAUCUACACGUAAGCUGUUUUAGGUCGUUUUGAAAGUUCAAGUGAAACUUAGACACGUUUUGAACUCGUUUUAGGUUUGUUUGAAACUAAAUUUUAAACACUUUCAUUGACAUGUUGGGUCUUGAAGUACUUUUUUCACACUUUUUGAAAUUUUGGUAGGUUGUGAGUUACAAACUUACACUUAAGCAUUACUUGGUCGUUUUGAAAAUUCAAGUGAUACUUACACACGUUUUGAUUACAUUUUAGGUUAGAUUGAGUUGUUGCACUUGAUGGUCAUUUUUGGUCUUGAAAUGCUUUUUCAACCUUUUUGGUACAUUAUGAGUUACGAACUUACACUUAGGAUCUGCUAGGUCGUUUUGAAAACUCAAGUAGUACCUAGACACGUUUUGAGCAUGUUUUAGGUUGGUUUGAACUAAGUUUGUUGCACUUACACACUUAGUUGCCAUUUUGGGUCUUGUAGUGCUUUUUUCACACUAUUUGAACUUUUUUCGUAAGUUAUGAGUUAUGAAUCUACACGUAAGCUGUUUUAGGUUGUUUUGAAAGUUGAAGUGAAACUUAGACACUUUUGAACAUGUUUUAGGUUGGUUUGAAACUAACUUUUAAACACAUUUGAUUGACAUGUUGGGUCUUGAAGUACUUUUUUCACACUUUUUGAAAUUUUGGUAGGUUGUGAGUUACAAACUUACACUUAAGCAUUACUUGGUGGUUUUGAAAAUUCAAGUGAUACUUACACACGUUUUGAUUAGAUUUUAGGUUAGAUUGAUUUGUUGCACUUGAUGGUCAUUUUUGGUCUUGAAAUGCUUUUUUCAACCUUUUUGGUAGAUUAUGAGUUACGAACUUACACUUGGGAUUUGCUAGGUCAUUUUUAAAACUCAAGUAAUACCUAGCCCCGUUUUGAUCAUGUUUUAGGUUGGUUUGAUCUAAGUUUGUUGCACUUGCACACUUGGUUGCCAUUUUGGGUCUCGUAGUGCUUUUUUCACACUAUUUGAACUUUUUUCGUAAGUUAUGAGUUAUGAAUCUACACGUAAGCUGUUUUAGGUCGUUUUGAAAGUUGAAGUGAAACUUAGACACGUUUUGAACUCGUUUUAGAUUGGUUUCAAACUAUGUUUUAAACACAUUUGAUUGACAUGCUGGGUCUUGAAGUACUUUUUUCACACAUAUUGAAAUUUUGGUAGGUUGUGAGUUACAAACUUACACUUAAGCAUUGCUUGGUAGUUUUGAAUAUUCAAGUGAUACUUACACACGUUUUGAAUACAUUUUAGGUUAGAUUGAGUUGGUUGCACUUGGUUGUCAUUUUUUGUCUUGAUAUGCUUUUUUCAACCUUUUUGGUAGAUUAUGAGUUACGAACUUACACUUAGGAUUUGCUUGGUCGUUUUGAAAACUCAAGUAAUACAUAGACACGUUUUGAGCACGUUUUAGGUUGUUUGCACUAAGUUUGUUGCACUUACACACUUGGUUGCCAUUUUGGGUCUUGUAGUGCUUUUUUCACAAUAUUUGAAAUUUUUUCGUAGGUUUUGAGUAAUGAACCUACACUAAGCUUUUUAGGUCGUUUUGAAAGUUCAAGUGAUACUUAGACACGUUUUGAACUCGUUUUAGGUUGGUUUGAAACUAAGUUUUAAACACAUUUGAUUGACAUGUUGGGUCUUGAAGUACUUUUUUCACACUUUUUGAAAUUUUGGUAGGUUGUGAGUUACAAACUUACACUUAAGCAUUGCUGGUCGUUUUGAAAAUUCAAGUGAUAGUUACACACGUUUUGAAUACAUUUUAGGUUAGAUUGAGUUUGUUGCACUUGGUUGUCAUUUUUGCUCUUGAAAUGCUUUUUUUCAAACUUUUUGGUAGAUUAUGAGUUACGAACUUACACUUAGGAUUUGCUAGGUCGUUUUGAAAACUCAAGUAAUAGCUAGACACGUUUUGAGCACGUUUUGGUUGGUUUGAACUAAGUUCGUUGCAUUUACACACUUGGUUGCCAUUUUGGGUCUUGUAGUUUUUUUUCAAAAAUUUUGAACUUUUUGCUAGGUUAUGACUUAUGAACUUGUAUUGAAUAUUUGUUAGGUCGUUUUGAUAAUUCAAGUGAUACUUAGAAAAUGCAACCGAGCUUAAACAAUUCCGCUCAUUUUUCUAAAAAUUUUAGUUUAACCUAUUUAAUAAAAUUCGAUGGAAAUUCUUGUUUUCUUUUUGUAGGAAUAAAAGGAAAUGAAAUAUAACCAAACUUGGGAUCUUUGCAAGCAAUCUUCCAUGAAGAAACUUGGCUACAAGUGGUUUGGGGUUUGGGUUUUUAGGGCUUAGGGCUUUUUGGGCUUAUGACUUAGGGCUUUUAGCGCUUUUAGGGCUUUUAGGGCUUAUGGCUUUAGGGUUUAGGGUAUAGGGUUUAGGGGUUUAGGGUUUAGGGUUUAGGGCGCUUAGGCUUUUAGGGAUUUUAGGGCGCUUAGGGCUUUUAGGUUUUAGGGCUUAGGGCUUUUAGGGAUUAUGGCUUAGGGCUUUUAGGGCUUAGCGCUUUUAGGGCUUAGGGCUUAGAGCUUAGGGCUUUAAGGGCUUUAAGGGUAUUUAGGGAUAAGGGAUUUUAGGGCUUUUAGGACAUUUAGGGCUUUUGGAGCUUUUAGGGCUUUUAGGGCUUAGGGCCUUUGGCUUAGGGCUUAGGGAUUAGGGCUUGGGCUUUUAAGGCUCGGGCUUUGGGCUCUUUGGCUUUUAGGGCUUUUAGUGCUCUUAGGGCUUUUUGGGCGCUUAGGGCUUUUAGGGAUUAGGGCUGAUAUUUUAAUACUUUUUUCUCAUUCAGUUAAGUUGUUUAUAAUGUGUUUGAUAUUAUAUUUAUAAAUGAUUAAAUUAGUGGAUGUUACUCCCUAAAUAUUAAUGGACAACAAAUUUAUUUAUAAACAUGUUUUAGGUUAAAUAUUUGUUAUAAUUAUAAUACUAGAAUAUUUUAUGAUUUAUAAUAAACUAGGGAAGGUUAAACACAAAUAUUGGAGAAAUAUAAUAUUAAAAUAAAUAAAUUAUUAAAACUAAAAAAUUAUAAGUAUAUAAUUUUUUUUCAAUUUAUUGUUAUCUUACAAAUACUAGUAGACUAUAAAAUUUUUUUUAGAGCAAUGGUCAAAAAUAGAAAAUUUCACAAAAAUAUUAUAUAUAGCUCAAUUUGAUUUUCAUUUUUCUAAAAUUUAAAAAAUUCACGUUAAUACAUUAAAAAAAGCAUAAAUUAUUCUGUGUAAAUAAGAGUUGGUAAAUUGCUACAUUAUUAUUUAAUUUAUAAUGUCAUUUACAUUGCAUUGUAAUUUACAACAUCCUUUUUUAUUUAUUUUUAUAAAUGGUAUGGGUGAGUACUCAGUGCGGUUUAAUGGAAAGAUUAAUUAUAAUAAAGCUUUAGCCAGCUGUCUUAGUUUGAAACUUAAUGGCGUCAACGGCAUCCAACGGCUACAUUUUUAGGUUUACUUACUUCAUUAUUUAACUUUACAGAUAACCUCCAUCGCAAACCAAUUUUCUCCAGAAUUUUCUUUUUCCGCCUCAGUGCACGCUGGUCUAACCUCUGAACCCUAAUACUGAUUUUCCUUUUCCUUUUCCUUUUCUUCUUCUCAUUAUCAGACGUUUGUGAAUUCUACGGCCUUUGUGAUUCAGGUGAUGCGGCUUUCUAAAUUCUGGGCACUAUCUUUCUACAUCGUUUUUGCUUCGUGUCUUUUUUUUUUUUUUACUGUUUUUCGCUAAAUGUCAAAUUUAGGGCUCGUUUGACAAGCUUUUGAUGCGUAUUGUUUCCUAAUCACUUUUGAUUACAUAGUAUUGGCAAUUGAUUCAGAUUAAAUGUUUGUUUCUUGAAUUCGAAGUGUUCAAUUUUUAUAAUUUCUGCAGCGUUUUUAUCUAGAUGAUUUUUUUUUAAUAAAUGAUAUUUACUGUUAAUUUCUGGCGAAUUUAAACGAGAUAAUGAGUAGAGGUAUUAUAUUCUAGUCUCUUUUAGUGACAAAGGAUUGGGAGUUGCUUCAGAUUUAAUGUUUUUUCCUUGAAUUCGAGAUCCUGGAAUUGUUUUCAAAUACACUUACCGACUUACGUUUAUUUUAAUUAGACAGUAACUGGUGUGUACCAGGAUCGGUUUUCUAUUUCAAUUCUUCUCUGAGAGUUGGGAUUUACUAUCGUUUUAUGACGAAGCUUCUCAUAUAUUUUAAACUUUGAUUACUACUUUUUCAGGUGAGGAAAUUUUUUGUCUGUAUGGACAUCCUAAUGAAACAUGGGAAAUGGUUCUUCCAGUAGGCAGAGGUUCCACCGGAGCUUCUAGAGCCUGCACUUGGAAUUAAUUUUGCAACAGAUGGCAUGGACAGAAAAUAUUGGCGACCUCUUGUUGCUGUACAUGGUGAUUCCUGUUUGCUCUCUGUGGCUUUCUAUUUUGGAGCAAGACUUGACCGAAGCAAAAGGUACAACUGUUCCACUUUUGAAUUUUUGCUUGUGAGCUUUAAGUUAGGUUCUGUUAAAUGCAAUUCUUUUUAAUCGUGCAUUUAUGUGAACUUUUAUAGGUAAUGUCAUUUUACUUUUCUAAUGUUUCUUUUGGCAUCAUUACCAAAUACUCUUUCUGACAUGUAGGUGAUAAGUUCAUAACCAACUUACACAAUCACACAACUUCCUUGUGUUUCCCAGUUUAUUAAGGUUGAUUUACCUUCAAUAACAUUGUUACUGUCUGAGUAAUUGUGGUUUUAGGAGGAUGAAGAACUACAUAACUGUUUAUUCGAUAUGAUUACAUAAUCUUCUUUUAUGUGAAGGUGUGCACUAACUUUAUCCAUCUUACUAAUCAUAUAAUGACAGAACACUUUUCUAAAAGGUCUUUCCAGCAGAUUUUUUCUUCUCUUUUCUUCUAGAAACUCUUUCCAGAACAUAUGUAUAUACACAUAUGUAUAUAUAUAUAUAUAUUUGCAAAAUCUCUUGUUUGAAAGGUCUAUUCAAAAGAAUUUUCUAAAAGUUUUCUCGAUUCAUAUUCUGUUUUCGAACACUUCCCAAAAUAUUUCUUGAACUUUUGUCUUUCUUUUUGUUUUUGUUUUUUUGUUCUAAAAAAGAAAACAUUUCACAAAACUUUCAGAAAACCGCAUGAGCAAGGGUGUUGGCCAGAACACACAGGGCAAUGAGCAACAAGGCAACAUGCACACGGUGCGUGGAAGAUGUUGUCUUGGUGCCAUCUUUGCACAUGUGGAAGCAAACUUUCAAAUGUCAUUUACAAAACAUUUAGCAAACUUUUUUUUUCUUCCUCUUUUCUUCUAGAAACUCUUUUCAGAACAUAUGUAUAUAUGUGUGUUUAUAUACAUAGAUAUUUGCAAAAUCUCUUGUUUGAAAGGUCUAUUCAAAAGAAUUUUCUAAAAGUUUUCUCGAUUCAUAUUCUGUUUUCAAACUCUUUCCAAAAUAUUUCGUGAACUUUUGUCUUCCUUUUUGUUUUUUUUUUUGUUCUAAAAAAGAAAACAUUUCACAAAACUUUCAAAAAACCGCAUGAGCAAGGGUGUUGGCCACAACACACAUGGCAAUGAGCAACAAGGCAACAUGCACACGGUGCGCGGAAGAUGUUGUCUUGGUGCCAUCUUUGCACAUGUGGAAGCAAACUUUCAAAUGUCAUUUACAAAACAUCAUUGCAAACUUUUUUUUUCUUCCUCUUUUUUCUAGAAACUCUUUUCAGAACAUAUGUAUAUAUGUGUGUUUAUAUACAUAGAUAUUUGCAAAAUUUCUUGUUUGAAAGGUCUAUUCAAAAGAAUUUUCUAAAAGUUUUCUCGAUUCAAAUUCUGUUUUCGAACUCUUUCCAAAAUAUUUCUUGAACUUUUGUCUUCCUUUUUGUUUUUGUUUUUUUUGUUCUAAAAAAGAAAACAUUUCACAAAACUUUCAGAAAACCGCAUGAGCAAGGGUGUUGGCCACAACACACAGGGCAAUGAGCAACAAGGCAACAUGCACACGGUGCGCGGAAGAUGUUGUCUUGGUGCCAUCUUUGCACAUGUGGAAGCAAACUUUCAAAUGUCAUUUACAAAACAUUUAGCAAACUUUUUUUCUUCCUCUUUUCUUCUAGAAACUCUUUUCAGAACAUAUGUAUAUAUGUGUGUUUAUAUACAUAGAUAUUUGCAAAAUCUCUUGUUUGAAAGGUCUAUUCAAAAGAAUUUUCUAAAAGUUUUCUCGAUUCAUAUUCUGUUUUCGAACUCUUUCCAAAAUAUUUCGUGAACUUUUGUCUUCCUUUUUGUUUUUGUUUUUUGUUCUAAAAAAGAAAACAUUUCACAAAACUUUCAAAAAACCGCAUGAGCAAGGGAGUUGGCCACAACACACAGGGCAAUGAGCAACAAGGCAACAUGCACACGGUGCGCGGAAGAUGUUGUCUUGGUGCCAUCUUUGCACAUGUGGAAGCAAACUUUCAAAUGUCAUUUACAAAACAUCAUUGCAAACUUUUUUUUUCUUCCUCUUUUCUUCUAGAAACUCUUUUCAGAACAUAUGUAUAUAUGUGUGUUUAUAUACAUAGAUAUUUGCAAAAUUUCUUUUUUGAAAGGUCUAAUCAAAAAAUUUUCUAAAAAGUUUUCUCGAUUCAAAUUCUGUUUUCGAACUCUUUCCAAAAUAUUUCUUGAACUUUUGUCUUCCUUUUUGUUUUUGUUUUUUUGUUCUAAAAAAGAAAACAUUUCACAAAACUUUCAGAAAACCGCAUGAGCAAGGGUGUUGGCCACAACACACAGGGCAAUGAGCAACAAGGCAACAUGCACACGGUGCGCGGAAGAUGUUGUCUUGGUGCCAUCUUUGCACAUGUGGAAGCAAACUUUCAAAUGUCAUUUACAAAACAUUUAGCAAACUUUUUUUCUUCCUCUUUUCUUCUAGAAACUCUUUUCAGAACAUAUGUAUAUAUGUGUGUUUAUAUACAUAGAUAUUUGCAAAAUCUCUUGUUUGAAAGGUCUAUUCAAAAGAAUUUUCUAAAAGUUUCUCGAUUCAUAUUCUGUUUUCGAACUCUUUCCAAAAUAUUUCGUGAACUUUUGUCUUCCUUUUUGUUUUUGUUUUUUGUUCCAAAAAAAGAAAACAUUUCACAAAACUUUCAAAAAACCGCAUGAGCAAGGGUGUUGGCCACAACACACAGGGCAAUGAGCAACAAGGCAACAUGCACACGGUGCGCGGAAGAUGUUGUCUUGGUGCCAUCUUUGCACAUGUGGAAGCAAACUUUCAAAUGUCAUUUACAAAACAUCAUUGCAAAUUUUUUUUUUCUUCCUCUUUUCUUCUAGAAACUCUUUUCAGAACAUAUGUAUAUAUGUGUGUUUAUAUACAUAGGUAUUUGCAAAAUUUCUUGUUUGAAUGGUCUAUUCAAAAGAAUUUUCUAAAAGUUUUCUCGAUUCAAAUUAUGUUUUCGAACUCUUUCCAAAAUAUUUCUUGAACUUUUGUCUUCCUUUUUGUUUUUGUUUUUUUGUUCUAAAAAAGAAAACAUUUCACAAAACUUUCAAAAAACCGCAUGAGCAAGGGUGUUGGCCACAACACACAGGGCAAUGAGCAACAAGGCAACAUGCACACGGUGCGCGGAAGAUGUUGUCUUGGUGCCAUCUUUGCACAUGUGGAAGCAAACUUUCAAAUGUCAUUUACAAAACAUUUAGCAAACUUUUUUUCUUCCUCUUUUCUUCUAGAAACUCUUUUCAGAACAUAUGUAUAUAUGUGUGUUUAUAUACAUAGAUAUUUGCAAAAUCUCUUGUUUGAAAGGUCUAUUCAAAAGAAUUUUCUAAAAGUUUUCUCGAUUCAUAUUCUGUUUUCGAACUCUUUCCAAAAUAUUUCGUGAACUUUUGUCUUCCUUUUUGUUUUUGUUUUUUGUUCUAAAAAAGAAAACAUUUCACAAAACUUUCAAAAAACCGCAUGAGCAAGGGUGUUGGCCACAACACACAGGGCAAUGAGCAACAAGGCAACAUGCACACGGUGCGCGGAAGAUGUUGUCUUGGUGCCAUCUUUGCACAUGUGGAAGCAAACUUUCAAGUGUCAUUUACAAAACAUCAUUGCAAACUUUUUUUUUCUUCCUCUUUUCUUCUAGAAACUCUUUUCAAAACAUAUGUAUAUAUGUGUGUUUAUAUACAUAGAUAUUUGCAAAAUUUCUUUUUUGAAAGGUCUAAUCAAAAGAAUUUUCUAAAAAGUUUUCUCGAUUCAAAUUCUGUUUUCGAACUCUUUCCAAAAUAUUUCUUGAACUUUUGUCUUCCUUUUUGUUUUUUUGUUCUAAAAAAGAAAACAUUUCACAAAACUUUCCGAAAACCGCAUGAGCAAGGGUGUUGGCCACAACACACAGGGCAAUGAGCAACAAGGCAACAUGCACACGGUGCGCGGAAGAUGUUGUCUUGGUGCCAUCUUUGCACAUGUGGAAGCAAACUUUCAAAUGUCAUUUACAAAACAUUUAGCAAACUUUUUUUCUUCCUCUUUUCUUCUAGAAACUCUUUUCAGAACAUAUGUAUAUAUGUGUGUUUAUAUACAUAGAUAUUUGCAAAAUCUCUUGUUUAAAGGUCUAUCCAAAAGCAUUUUCUAAAAGUUUUCUUACUUCGAAUCCUGUUCACAAUCUCUUUCCAAAAUAUUUCUUGAACUUUUGUUUUCCUUUUUUUCUUUCAAAAAGAAUACAUUUCAUAAAACUUUCGAAAAAUUGAAAGAGCAAGGGUGUUGGUCACUCACAGGUCAAAAUUUUAGUUUAAAAGGCCUAUUCAAUAACAUUUUCUAAAAGUUUUCUCACUUCAAAUUUUGUUUGUAAACUCGUUUCAGAAUAUUUUCUUGAACUUUUGUCGUCAACUUUUCUUUUAGAAUGAAAAAAGGCAUUUCAUUGAACUGUCAGUAUAUUCCACGAGCAAGACAGCAUACAAUCGAUGCAUGGAAGACACAGCCUUGGUGCCAUUGUGGCACAGGCGGUCAAACAAACUUUAAAAGGCCCCUUACAUAAUAUUGUCUUAAUUUUCUUCUCUUUUUUCUCUUUAAAAAACUCUUCCUGAAACACAUUUUCAAUUUAUAAAAAACACAUUUUCUCUCCAAUGUAGAUUUUGCAUAAUAAAUUCCCUGUUUAAAUAAUAUUUAAGAGUGAAUUUUCACUUUUGUGUAUUAUUCUCUAUCUUACAUGUAUCUCUUCAUAAUUAUUGGAUCUGUUCUAUAACUUUUCUUGUAAAUUUCUAUAUAAAUUGCAAUCGUUGUAUAACAUUUAUCAAUUUAGAAAAAUCUUAGGUGAUUAAAGGAAAUCUGAUUGUCCGAAAAUCACUUUUUUCUAUUUCAUCAUCACCCGACCCAAAUCCCCCUAUGGUUGCCGUUUGGCUUUUCUAUUUUUUUUUUCUUGAAAUUAAGUCUAUAAACACUCAUUCUAUCUUCAGUUAUAUGUUCCAGAAUUAUAUUAUAUUUUAGUUUGACUUCUUUGUAUAUUAUUAUUGGUACAUUUCUAUGUUUUAUUUGCACAAAAUUAUAUGUUUUUUUUAUAACGAUGGAUAACUUCUUUGUUACAAUGUCCAGUAAUUAUUUGACUAUCAUUAAUUUCUAAUUCUGAUUGAUUUUUCUAUGUUAGCACUGGACGCUUUACAUGUAUUUUUAUUUUACUUCCUUUGAUGGAUUUAUUUUUCUUUUAGUUUUUCUUUCAACAUUUUCUUCUUUCUUGAAUUUUUCUACUUUUGUAGAGUAGAUUGUCAAAUUUUAUAUCUUUGUUAUCUUGGUAGAAGUUAUUUAUUUUUGCCGUAUGGGUGAUUUUUUGUUUUUUUGCCCAUUCUAUUCUCUUGGUUCUCUUUUCUUUUUCGGUUCAUAUAUUUAUUAGUUUAGGGUUUGAGUUGAUACAACCCUCAAAAUUGAAGAAUAUAAAUUGAUAUUUAGCCAAAGAAUUUCUUUAGAUGUUUUGAGGCCAUGCGUGACAGUACUUGACCCUGGAUUUUAAACAGCAUCCAAGGUUUGUUGACUUUUGCCCUACCUAUAUCUGAAAAUUAAAAAACAAUCAAUUGUGUAAUAUUGGCUGAAAGAUUCUUCAUAUGCAAAUAAUGGACAAUUUUUCGGUUUCUACAUUGCCUCAAGGAUGCUAACAUCUUACUACAGUGGGUCUUGGACCGGACCUUUUCUGCAGAGCUCCUUCCAUUGCCUGCCAUGAACUUUUGCAUUUUUGACUUAUAGGCACUCGUUAUUUCUUUCUUGUGUUGUAUUCAAUAAAAAUAAAUACCAUGUUCCUUGACUAUAAUUUUGUGUAUACAAGGGUAACUGAAACAUUCAAAGCCUUGCUUUCGGCUUCCCUAGCUAAGCCACAAUGAUGUUUUUCUAUCCUUUGGGCACUGAGAAAAGGCAGAUGCUGCAAAUGAAGGGGGUACACCUUACAAGACAAUGUUUGAUGCUUUUGCAGGUAAAAUUUGUAUUAGUUGUUAUGUCUGGAAGUGAUUUUAUAUUAUUAUAGUUGGUUAUUAGUUGUUAUAAGUAAUUCUGAAGUGUGGCAAUGAUUAUUUAGAGUGAAAUCUGGGCUCUGACAUACAUGAUUUAUGUUCUUUGUAAUUCUGUGCUCAUUAUCUAUGUGAGUAUGCGUUCUUGUCCUCAAUCUUUUUGCAACCUUUUCAUGUCUUUCAUAUUUUGAACUAUACGCAUUUGUGGUUUUCGUAGAACUUUAACAGACACUCCUAUACUUCUACUGCGAAACCACUUUUAAUUAUCUAUUUGCAAUAUGCUGAAUGUUCUAUCAUUAGAAAGCUACUUUCAGGAGUAUUAUAGAUGAUGAAAUAAACAUUAAAAUCCUAACAUUGAAAAAUCAAGCAAAAGGAGGAGAAAAAGUUUGCCGAGGUGUAGUUUAUAGGAAUCAUCAUUUCCUCAAUUUGACGCAGGUAUAUGAGUGAUUUUUUACUUUUGUAUUCAUUUCUCUCUUUACCAUUAUGGGAUCUGUUUUAUGACCUUUUUCGUGAAUUUCUAUGUGAAUUGCAAUUGUUGUAUAACAUCCAAUAUGAUCUUAGAAAGAUAUGAGGUGAUUAAAGAAAACUUGAUGGUUGAAAAAUCAAUUUUUCUUGUUACAUCUCAUGUCGAUGCUCCAAAUUCGAGAACCAUUUAGUUUUUGUUCUCUUAGUUAAACCUUUAAAUUACAUUAUAUUCUUUAGUUUGACUUCUUGUAUAUUAUUAUUUUGGUACAUUUCGUAGUUUUAUUUGCACCAAAUACUUUCUUUCUUUCCUUGUUUGUUGCAUGGGGCGCUUUCAAGGUAUUUUUCCUUUACAUUAUGGAUUUAUUUUUUAGUUUACUUUUUCUUCGUACAUUUUAUUUUUCUUCUCAUCAUUUGCUACUUUAUUUUAAAGUAGAUAAUUAAAUUUUAUUUAUUUACUUUUGGUGGAUGAUUUUUUUCUUUUUCCGUUUAUGAUCUCUUGGUGUGGUUCAAAAUUUUUUUCUUUUUUUUUUUACUUGUGUAAUUUAUUUUUCUUGGAUGGUUCAAAAUAUUUUCACCAUUUUGCCGUCUGUUUAGUUUCUUUUUAUUACAUUCUUAUUUAUUAUUUUUCUAGCUUUGUUGUUUGGUUUGUCUAGUUUUUGAUGUAAGGUCACUUUUAAAAAUAGCAAAACAAAUUAAAAUAUUUAUAAUAAUAUGGCAAAAUUUUAGAUUUUCUCAAGAUAAAAUUUGAUAGACUUAUAUCAUAAUGUCUAUUAGAAGGGUAAGAAUUGUUGGAAUUUUUUGUCCUAAAACUCGUAGUUUGAUUAUAUUCUGUUUCAAUAAAGUUGUUAUUGAGAAAAAUAUUAUAAUCCUAAAUCCAAUAAAUCAAGUUCCAAGGCUAUUUUUUGAAUAAACUUGAACUUUAUGUGUAAACAUAAACGUAGAUCAAGUUUUGACAUAUAGCCUAAAUAGUCUAUAGUAUAUGAAUAAAGGUUGGACACCUUAUUUAGAGAAACUAUGGAUGCGACCCACUUUGUAGUACAAACGAUAUUUUGAAUUUAAGGAGCAAGAUGUAAUAUUGGGGUACAUAUAGCCUAAAUAAGGUUUUAGGAUUUAAGGCUUUUAGCGCUUAGCGCUUUUAGGGCUUGGGCUUUGAACAGCUUGUUGACUACCCAGUUUCAGUUUUAACUGAGAAAUAUGGAACACAUUGUGGAUACUGGCUUCCGGCGGUAACAUCAAUCUGUACGCAACUGCUCCUAUUUCUUCAGUAAUUUUGUAGGGUCCGUAAUAUUUAGGUGCUAACUUUUCACACUUCUUCCGAGCCAAGGAGUGUUGCCGGUAAGGUCUCAAUUUCAAGUAGACUUCAUCUCCUACCUUAAAUGUUAACUCUCAUCUAUUUCGAUCAGCCAUUUUCUUCAUCCUGUUCUGGGCUACACACAGGUGUUCUUUUAAGGCAUUGAUGGCUAAGUCACGUUCCUUCAGCAGCGUGUCAACCUCAUUAUUAGGAGUUUUCUUGUAACCAUAGGAUAACAGGGGAGGAGGCGGUCUGCGGUAUACCGUCUGGAAAGGGGUCAUUUUGGUGGAUGCAUGGAAGGUGGUAUUAUACCACAAUUCUGCCCAUAGAAUCAGUUUAUCCCGUUUUUUUUGGUUGUUCAUUACAGAAACAUCGCAGAUAAGUUUCGAGACAUCUAUUUACCCUUUUUGUCUGCCCAUCAGUUUGUGACUGAAACGCGGUACUCCUCUUUAGAAUAGUUCCCAUAGUUGCAAACAGUUCCUUCCAAAAAUUACUAAGAAAGAUUUUAUCCCGAUCUGUGAUAAUCGACAAAAUUACUUAGGAUAAUCGCCUAGUAGGUCUUUAGAAUAGUUCCCAUCAGCCGUGCUUGCUUACUAUUUUGUCGAUGAAUAUGGAAGCAACUUGCUUGGCUGAAAACGGAUGUCUCAAUGAUAUAAAGUAAGAAUACUUACUCAGCCGAUCAACUACCACCAUGAUCACAUUAACCCCUCCAGCUAGUGGCAACCCCUCAAUAAAGUCCAUGGUCCAAUCUUCUAAGAUUCUGUCAGGAAUUGGAAUUGGUUGAAGUACCCCAGCUGGUUUGGUUGCUUCGUAUUUGUUUCUCUGGCAGAUCUCGCAUUGUUCCACAUAUUUCUUUAUUUCAGCCUUCAUACCCCUCCAAUAUAGUUCUCCACUGACCCUCUUGUAAGUUCUUAAAAAUCCAGAAUGUCCCCGAGGAUAGAAUCGUGGAAAGUAUGUAGGAUCUUGGGUAUAAGUGUAGAAGUUUGAGAUACUACCAUUCUCCCCUUAUAGAGCAAUCUUCCUUUUUCCACUUGAAACUUGCUUCCUUCUGCAUUUUUCUUCAGAUUUUCCAUAAUUUUCUUAAGUUCAGCAUCAUUCUCAACUUCCUGCUCGAUUAGUUUCACAUCAAUGAUUCCAGUAGUUGUCAAGCUGUGCAGCUCCACCGGUUGCUCCAUUCUAGAUAGGGCGUCCGCUGCCUUGUUCUGAAGUCUGGGUUGAUAUAAAAUCUCGAAAUCAUAUCCAAGGAGCUUUGUCAACCAUUUCUGGAAUUGGGGUUGUACCUCUCUCUGUUCAAGCAAGAAUUUAAGAGCCUUUUGAUCUGAAAGUAUGGUGAACUUCCUGCCCAGCAAAUAAUGCCUCCAUUUCUGAACUGAUAGAACUACAGCCAUCAACUCUCUUUCAUAGAUGGAUUUGUUUUGAGCCCUUGUGGAUAACUUCUGACUGAAAAAGGCAAUCGGGUGGCCAUUUUGAGAGAUCACCGCUCCUAACCCUACGCCAGAUGCAUCAGUUUCGAUAAUAAAGGGAAUUUUCCAAUCUGGUAAUGCCAACACUGGUAGAGUAGUCAUUGCUAGCUUCAAAUUUUCGAAGGCAGUAUUUGCUUCUUCAUUCCACUUAAAAGCAUUCUUCUGUAAUAACUUGGUUAGCGGUGCAGCGAUCUCUCCAUAACCCUUGACAAACCUCCUAUAAUAUCCUGUUAGUCCUAAGAAGCCCCGCAGACCAGAUAUAUUCGUUGGUGGUGGCCAAUUAAUCAUCUUCUUGAUCUUAUCCUCAUCUGCCUCAACUCCUCUUUUGGAUAUCAUAUGUCCCAAGUACUGUAUUUGAGAAUGGGCUAUAACGCUUUUUUUUUUUUUGUUAGCAAACAGCUGCUUAUCCUUAAAAACAUUGAAUACCAUGCCCAAAUCCUUUGCGUGUUCAUCUAUAUCCGCUAAACCAGUAUAUCAUCAAAGAAACCAAAAGCGCCGAAGGAAAGGUUUAAAUACCGGUUCAUCAAAGAUUAGAAGGUUGCCGGAGCAUUCGUGAGACCAAACGGCAUUACUAGAAACUCAUAGUGCCCUUCAUGUGUGCAGAACGCAGUUUUCUCCACAUCUUCCUCUUUCAUUCUAAUCUGGUGAUAACCAGAUUUCAGAUCUAAUUUCGAGAAAAUCGUUGCCCCAUUCAGCUCAUCUAAUAAUUCCUCUAUCACAGGAAUUGGGAAGUUAUCCGAUACUGUCGCCUGAUUUAACUUGCGGUAAUCGACACAAAAUCGCAAUCCACCAUCUUUUUUCUUCACUAACAACACCGGGCUGGAGUAAGGGCUAUGACUAGGGCGAAUAACCCCGGCUUGAAGCAUCUCGACCACCAGUUUUUCUAUUUCUUCUUUCUGCACAUGACCGUAUUUGUAAGGUCUUACGUUGAUAGGUUUAUGGUCAGGUAGGGUUAAUAUUCGAUGAUCAAUAGCUCUUUUUGGAGGUAAUUUCUUAGGUGUCUCAAAUAUCUCCGCAUAAUACUUGAGCAGGGAUCGGAUCAUAGGUAUUUCCUCCUCAUCUCCUUUUAAUCUUGUCCCCAUUUCAUAUUCAUUCUCUACUUCCAUCUCAUAAUUCUGGAAUUCUAAGAGGAAGCCUUGAUCUUCUAUAUCCCACGUUUUUUCCAAUGUCUUCAAAGAACAUUCAGGUUUCACUAAGGAUGGAUCUCCUCUUAACACGAUUUGCUUGUCUUUUGCCCAAAAGGUCAUGGUUAAUGAUGGCCAAUGUACCUUCAUUGUGCCGGUGGUAUCUAGCCAUUGCAUCCCUAAAAUCACGUCAAUAUUUCCUAGUUCCACCACUAGAAAAUCAGUUAUAACUGUCGUUUCUUUCAAUCUCAGUUCCACCUUUCUGCAAAUACCUUUCCCUUUACAGCGGGUCCCGUCUCCAAUAGUCACUCCAAAUUGUGUACCGGGUUCAAUGUUCAACCCUCCUACCAUUGCCACUGCUUCAUGGAUGAAGUUGUUCGUAGCUCCACUGUCGAUGAGAAUCACCACCUCCCUUCCUUUUACAUGCCCCUUCAGUUUCAUUGUCCCUUUGGAUGUUAACCCCGUGAGUGUCUUCAAUUCAAUUUCGGUGGUUUCAGCAACAACUAACUGGUUCAGCUCCAUUACUUCUUCGGUCUCUUCCAUUUUGACUUCCUCUCCGCCACUCUCUUCUUCGUUAAGUAUAAAUAACAUUAAUUCCCUUUUCUCUCUCAUCUUGCAUCGGUGUCCCGGUGAGUACUUCUCAUUGCAUCUAAAACACAAACCCUUGUCCAAUCUUGCUCUGAAUUCCGUGUCCGAGAGUCUUUUAACUGGAGGUUCAUUUUUCUGGUAGUUUCCUUUAAUGGGAAAAGUGACUUGCUUCAUGGGGAACUCAGUCUUCUUUGGUGAACUUUUAUCUUGACUGCUUUGUCCCUUGCUUGAGCCUCCUCCUUCCCUAGUCACACUGUUUACUCAUUCUGCCUUGGCUAAUUUCAAGGCUAGGUUUCUGUCACUUACCAGUUGUGCGUCCUUCAUACAUUCCUCUAAGGUUUGAGGAUGUCUACUAAUAACUUCUGCUUGAAGAGCCGAUUCUAAACCUGUCACGAAUGCAUCUAAGAGCACGCUUUCAGCCAUGUGCGGUAGUGGUGCAGAAUAUUGUACAAAUUUCUUGACAUAAUCAUUAUAGGAUCCAUCUUGUUCUAUUCGAAUCAGCCUUGCACCUAAGCUCUUCUGCCCAGAAUCUCGAAAAAAUUCAAACAUCCUUACCUUCAAAUCUUCCCAUCCUUCCACCUUCUUUCUAUGGUUACUCCAACGGUACCAAUCGAUUUCAUCUUGUCCAAAACUAACCACUGCUACUUUCACUUUUUCUGCUUCCGGUAGGCUAUUAAUUUCGAAAAAAUGCUCAGCUCUAAACACCCAUGACUCAGGAUUUUCCCGGUGAAAAUCGGCAUUUCCAGUUUCUUAUAUUUGCUUCGGUCGACAGUUACUACAUUGUUUUCCCCUGGAUUGUCGGCUUCUUCCCAUUUUCCUUUUAACUUCAUGACUGAUCCAUCAGAAGUUCCGGAUUCAUCUCGCCUUUUGUAGCUGCUGUUUUCUUUCAUUUCAUCAGCCAGUCUAUCCAUGGAUUUCUUCAUUUCCAGAAUCAUUUCCUUCAAUCCCAGUAUUUCUUUCUCUGUUCCAGCUGUUCUUUCUUCUAUUUGCCUUUGCGCCAUCAGUCGCGUCACCACCCCCAACGUUUGGGCUCUGAUACCAGUUGUAGAGACUCCACAAAUAAAAUACUAAAUUACCCAAACAGUUGGCAAACAGAGACAGCACUCUGUAGAUCUUUAUUUAUAUAUAAAUGCCAAAAGAUACAGUAGAAGGAAAUAUAAAAGAAAGCAAUAAAGAUGAUAACAUCAUGUCAAACCUCCCCACGAAAAGAUAGUAGUCCUUCCUAGACCUAGCAGCCUCUAUAGACCAAAUGAAGACAAGAAGUUAACCUAGCCCCCAAUCCCGAUAAGGCCUUAUUUAUAACUCUUUUCUCAUUCUUCCCCGUGGGACCCACUCUCAUGUUCUUUUCCUAAUAUUCUCCCUUUUCUGCUGCCUGAGCUUUUACGUUUUUACCCCUCCUUUUGUAUGUAUGGAUAAUAGGGGGCCUUACAAAUUUCUUCCAACACUAUGAAACAUUUAUGUUAUAGUUUUAUUAUUGUUAAACAUCAUUGUAAUUUCCAAACACAACUCUGCCAAAGUUCCCAAGAUAGUUCUAUAGCAAUGUUCCACUGCUAUCUUGCAAGUGAUGUGGAACUCCUUUGCUUUUUUGAAUAGUAAGCUGGCCUUCCUCUUUUGUUAUGCUUUGUUUUAUUCUUAAUACUUGCUUUUAUCUUCGCCUAUUUCAUUCCUAGUUGAUAUAUUACAUAGUCCUCUUAAAUCUACAUUCUUUUUCUGUUUUAUGAUUCACUUGAGUUUAAUGACUAACUUUGGCGAAAUAAUGUUUAACUAUAUUAGAUGUUUUGCAUCUAAACCUCAAUUGAAAAGGUUUGUUACCUGUAUCAUUAUAAGGUUUCCAUGAUUUGUUACCUGUAUCAUUAAAAAUAUUGGGUCGGGUGCAUUUGCUUACACACCAUUCCAUGGCCAGCAGCAGAGGUUGUACUCUACGAUUCAAUUCCUUUCCUAAUCACAAUUUUGAUAGAUUUGUUUCUGAAAAACAAUAUUUAACUUCCUAUUUUUUUGUUUUUUGAUAAAUCUAUUAGUAUAUUUGAUGUAAACUAUAGCUAGUUAGUUAGUAAAAAUCCCUAACUAAUUAGAAAUACAGCUGUAACUAACUUCCUAAAACAGUCUUGUAACUAACUAAAUAAAACAACCUUGUAACUAACUUGUAACUAACCUUGAGAUAUCAAUAUAUAACAGUCUCCUAGCCUGAAAUAUGGCAGAGAAUUCUUUUGAAAAAUCAAUCCAACUUGAAUUACAUCAAAUUGGUAUCAGAGCAGCCCCGAUUCUUGGACGGAAUGGCUGGCCGAAGAGUUAACAACCCUGCCACGGGGGAAAACCGUGUGCAAGAAGCGGCGGAGGAAAUCACCGUCCUCUCUCCAAAGACAUCAACAGUUCGCUUGCUGGCUGUUGAAGAAUCUUUGGGAGAUCUCCACAACAAAUUUGAUAGGUUGAUGGAAAGUGUCGAACUGUUAAACCGAAGAGGAGAAUUCCCACAGCCACCACCACGGAAUGAAAUUAACUUCCAAAACGACCAACGUUUUGGUGAAGCAAGAGGCCGGCGAGCAAGGGGAUACAUUAGAAACAUGAACAACCCACGAGGACUUCAAAGAAGGAGACCCGGUUACGCUAUACAGCAACAACUUGACGAAGACUUUCAAGAAGAUCAAGAAGCUUGGCAAGAAACCCAAGAAGAUGAUUCUUCAAGCGGGGAUGAACAAGGAAACAUGUGGAACUUCAAUGAUGAAGCACGAGCAGGAAGAAAUAACCGAAGAAUUGAGGCCAGAAGAGGAGAAUACCACGAUUAUAAGAUGAAGAUUGACCUUCCCAUGUAUGAUGGCAAACGAAACAUAGAAGCAUUCUCGGACUGGAUAAAGAGUACUGAAAACUUCUUCAACUACAUGGAUACGCCUGAACGCAAGAAAGUCCACCUGGUAGCCUUAAAAUUAAGGGCUGGUGCAUCAGCUUGGUAGGAUCAGUUAGAAAUCAAUAGACAAAGAUGCGGGAAACAACCGGUUCGCUCAUGGGAAAAGAUGAAAAAAUUGCUGAAGGCAAGAUUCUUACCACCAAACUACGAACAAACUUUAUACAAUCAGUACCAAAACUGCCGCCAAGGUGUCCGGACAGUAGCUGAGUACAUUGAAGAAUUCCACCGCCUGAGUGCAAGAACAAACCUAAGCGAAAAUGAACAGCACCAGGUUGCAAGAUUUGUGGGAGGCCUUCGAUUCGACAUCAAGGAAAAGGUCAGACUACAACCAUUCCGUUUCCUAUCUGAAGCAAUAUCAUUUGCAGAAACGGUAGAGGAGAUGAUUGCAAUCCGAUCCAAGAAUCUAAAUAGAAGAUCAGCAUGGGAAACAAAUUCGACAAAAAGCAAAACAAACGACCAACCUUCAACCUCAACAAAAGCAAAAGGGAAAGAGAUUGAUAAUCAAGAAGUAGCCGUUGAAAGAAAGAAAGAACAGACGUUCAAGCCUAGUGGUCAGAACAGCUACUCCGCCCGUCAUUAGGAAAAUGCUUCCGAUGUGGCCAAACUGGCCACCUGUCCAACAACUGUCCGCAAAGAAAAACCAUUGCAAUAGCCGAAGAAGGAGGACAGACAAGUGAAGACAGUAUAGAAGCAGAGGAAGAAACUGAACUGAUUGAAGCAGAUGAUGGGGAAAGGGUCUCUUGUGUUAUCCAACGGUUACUAAUUACGCCCAAGGAAGAAAAGAACCUGCAACGCCACUGUCUUUUCAAGACAAGAUGCACCAUAAACGGAAGAGUAUGUGAGGUAAUCAUAGACAGCGGCAGCAGCGAAAACUUCGUAGCAAAGAAAUUAGUAACAGUCUUGAAUCUAAAGGCUGAAGCACAUAUGAGUUUCAAUGGAUGGGAAGAAAGGUAGUCUUACUCCCUAUAACGAAAAAGAUUAACGAAGGGUUAAGAGGUGAGAAACAGUUAUUCAUCACUGUUAGUGGGAAAAACAUGCUUAAAGAAAGGGAAGAAGACAUCCUAGGACUGGUUGUUAUUGAAAAAACCAAAGAAAAACAGGUUGAAGACAUAGAACCCAAAUUACAGCAGCUCCUUCAUGAGUUCCCUCAUAUAAAGGAAGAACCGAAGGGACUCCCACCCCUUCGAGAUAUACAGUACCACGUAGACUUGAUUCCGGGAGCAUCACUACCAAAUUUGGCUCACUAUAGGAUGAGCCCCCAGGAGUACAAAAUACUUCAUGAUCAUAUUGAGGAAUUACUAAAGAAAGGGCACAUCAAACCUAGCCUCAGCCCGUGUGCAGUACCAGCACUUCUCACGCCAAAGAAAGAUGGAAGCUGGAGAAUGUGCGUUGACAGCAGAGCCAUCAACCGCAUCACGGUAAAGUAUAGAUUUCCCAUUCCAAGGAUUAGUGACCUGCUAGAUCAACUCGGUAAAGCCAGUAUCUUUUCGAAAAUUGACUUGAAAAGUGGCUAUCAUCAAAUACGGGUAAGACCUGGCGACGAAUGGAAGACAGCCCUCAAGACAAACGAAGGAUUAUUUGAAUGGAUGGUCAUGCCAUUCGGCCUUUCUAAUGCACCCAGCACCUUCAUGAGAUUGAUGAACCAGGUACUUCACCCAUUUCUCAACAAAUUCAUAGUAGUUUACUUCGAUGACAUACUUGUUUACAGCACAAACAAUGAUGAGCAUUUACUACACCUAAGGAAGCUGUUUCAAGUCUUAACAGAGGCGGAACUCUACAUAAAUACUAAGAAAAGCAUGUUUAUGAAAAAAGAAAUUGCAUUCCUCGGCUUUAUAAUCAAACAAGGAAGCAUAAGCAUGGAACCAAAGAAAAUCGAAGCCAUCCAUACAUGGCCGACUCCUGCCUCCAUUAAAGAAAUACAAGCCUUCCUCGGCCUGGCUUCGUUUUACAGGAAAUUCAUCAGAAAUUUCAGCUCUUUAGCCGCACCACUAACUGACUGUCUAAAGAAAGGAAACUUCAAAUGGACCCCAUUACAACAAGAAAGCUUUGAAGAUAUCAAAAAGAAGCUCACAUCCAGCCCUAUCCUUAAAUUACCAGAUUUCUCUUCACCUUUUGAAGUAGCAGUUGAUGCAUGCUGUACAGGGAUUGGAGCUGUCCUAGUACAACAAGGACAUCCUAUCGAAUACUUCAGUGAAAAACUCAGCACCGCAAGACAGACCUGGAGCACAUACGAACAAGAGCUGUAUGCCCUCGUCCGAGCACUAGAACAAUGGGAACACUACCUGAUCUCUAAAGAAUUUGUACUCCUAACUGACCAUUUCUCACUAAAAUACUUUCAAGCUCAAAAGAAUAUCAGUAGGAUGCAGCACGCUGGAUAUCCUUCCUCCAAAGGUUUGACUUCGUGAUCAAACACCAAUCAGGCAAAGAGAACAAGGUGGCCGAUGCUCUAAGCAGAAAAGGCUCCCUACUCACAAUACUGUCCUCGGAAAUCAUAGCAUUCAAACAUUUACCCGACUUAUACGAAGGUGAUACUGACUUCAAGGAUAUCUGGUACAAAUGCUCCAACUUCUUAGACGCUGAUGACUACCACAUUGUUGAAGGAUAUCUAUUUAAAGGAGAACAAUUAUGCAUCCCGCACACCUCACUACGUGAAGCCUUAAUAAAGGAAGCACAUUCUGGAGGGCUAGCUGGACAUUUCGGACAGAACAAGACAUUGGAGAUCACUUCCAAACGAUACUACUGGCCGCAAAUAAGAAAAGACUCCAAUAAUUUCGUAAAAAGAUGCCCCAUCUGCCAAAGAACCAAAGGCUCCAGCACGAAUCCAGGAUUAUACUCGCCACUACCCAUCCCGACCUCAAUUUGGGAAGAUUUAUCAAUUGACUUCGUGAUUGGAUUACCAAAAACACAAAGACAAUUUGACUCAAUAAUGGUCAUAGUGGACAGAUUCAGCAAAAUGACACAUUUCGUAGCAUGCAAAAAGACAAAUGAUGCAAUCUACAUAGCCAACCUCUUCUUUAAAGAAGUAGUACGACUACAUGGAGUACCUAAAAGCAUAGUAUCAGACAGAGAUGUCAAGUUCCUGAGUCACUUUUGGCGAACACUGUGGAAGAAGUUUGACACAACACUGAAAUUCAGCACCACAGCCCACCCACAGACAGAUGGACAAACUGAAGUAACAAACAGGACCCUCGGUAAUCUGCUACGCUGCCUUAGCGGGUCAAAACCAAAACAAUGGGAUCUAGCAUUGGCUCAAGCUGAAUUCGCCUUCAAUAAUAUGAAGAACAGAUCAACAGGAAAGUCCCCCUUCGAAGUAGUUUAUACCAAACUACCACGAUUAACCUUUGAUCUCACUACACUCCCCACAACCGUGGAUCUCAACAACGAAGCAGAAUGCAUGGCAGAAAAUAUCAAAAAACUACCCAAGGAAGUCCAUGAUCAUCUUAUACAGACAACAGACUCCUACAAAAAGGCAGCAGAUAAAAAAGAAGACAAGCCCACUUCAAUAAAGGAGACCUAGUAAUGGUACACCUGAAAAAGAGCAGAUUUCCUACUGGCACCUACAACAAGCUGAAAGACAGACAAAUUGGGUCAUUCCCUAUAUUAGAGAAAUACGGAGAUAAUGCCUUCAAGAUCGAUCUACCACAAGACAUACACAUACACCCAGUCUUCAAUGUUGCUGAUCUAAAGCCAUACCAUGCACCAGAUCGUUUCAGGCUUGCUGACUGAUGGACCCUGGGACAAGUCCAUCCUUAGGGGGUGGAAUGAUGUAAACUAUAGCUAGUUAGUUAGUAAAAAUCCCUAACUAAUUAGAAAUACAGCUGUAACUAACUUUCUAAAACAGUCUUGUAACUAACUAAAUAAAACAACCUUUUAACUAACUAAAUAAAACAACCUUGUAACUAACCUUGAGAUAUCAAUAUAUAACAGUCUCCUAGCCUGAAAUAUGGCAGAGAAUUCUUUUGAAAAAUCAAUCCAACUUGAAUUACAUCAAUAUUGGUAAAAUGGUCUAUCGAUAAUGAAAAUCUAUAACUAAUACACAAGUGAUGGACUAACAAUUUAAAAUAUCAUCGUAUUUAUAAAUCACGUGGUUUUGUGACAUAUUUGCUAAUGCCAUAGAAACCUAAAUUAUAUAUACAUUUUAGGUUAGUCACGAUUUUGAGUCUAGAGUUUAGACUUUAGAGAAGCGUCGUAAAUGAACUCUUUAAUCUUUCAGGCCUUUGCGUCUGGAUCUAUAAUACAAUUGUUAAUUUCCUCUAUUCGUGAACAAAUUUAACUAUAUGUUAGUGAAUAAUCGCAUAAAUCUCAUUGUCGUUUCUUACCGUUCACAUUUUUACUUUUGAAAAUACUUUUGUUAUCAACUUAUCUAUGACAAUUAUCUUUAAACGAAAGAUUCUUUUUAAGUCGUCAUGUAUGAAACGAAGUGAUCUUUUCGUUCAUAUUCUUAACAGGUCGGUCUCUCUCCUGCUAUUCAAAAUCUUAGUACUGCCACAUCGAUGAAGAUGACCAAGGUUUUCCAAGCGUUUCUCAUGCUCCAACCCCAACUCGUAGACCUUAUCCACGAGAUGCAGCCAGAUUGUAUCGUUUCUGACGUCUUUUACCCAUGGACGAGUGAUGUGGCAGCCGAGCUCAGAAUCCCACGGCUUGCCUUCAACGGUUCAAGCUUCUUCAGUUAUUGUGCGGAACAAUGUAUAAAGGAGCAUAAGCCACAUCUUGAAGUUGAAUCCAACAAUGAAAAGUUCAAACUUCCGGGGUUGCCUGAUGUUAUUGAAAUGGUGAGAUCUGAGUUGCCAAGUUGGAUCACUAGACAUAAACCAGAUGGUUUCUCACAAUUGCUUGAUGUCAUUAGAGAAUCAGAGAAACGAUGCUAUGGAAUGUUGAUGAAUCGCUUUCAUGAAUUGGAAGCCUCAUAUGAAGAACACUUGAAUAAGGUGAGGUUUACCUCAAACCAUUGUAUAUAACUACACAUUACUCGUUUCUUAACGUAAUCUUUUGGUUUUGAAAUUUUGUACUUGAUUUAUGAUCACGAUUUCGUUAGAAUUAUAUUAUUCAUAUUUUUUUAAAAAAAGAGAAUAUUUGAGAACAAAAAUUACAUCUUGAAGUAUAUAUUUGUUUAGAAGCUUGAUUUUUAGAAGUUGUUAAUUAAGCUUAUUCACAUAUUUUUAAAACACACUUGAAUUCUAAGUUAAAGUUUUUCAAGAAAACUACAAAUUUUACUUUAAGAACGUGUUUUUAAAAGGUUGUUGUCAAAUAAUACAACAUGAGACAAAUUAUUUACUUAUGUAGCAUGAAAUUUUAUUGUCUAAUAAACACUAAUAAUAUAUAGAAAUAGACAUGUGAUAAAUAAAAAAUUAUCAUUACGUUGGCCUGUUGCACCCAGCCUUGUAUAUCUCCUUCGGUCGCAAAGAAGAAAAAAAUAUUCAAAUUAUCGUUUUUAAAAAAGAGAAGUUUGUCACGUGGUAACGUGUAAUCUGGACAUUGAAUAAGCUAUACAAAAUAGAUGGAGCUCAAGAUGCACCCAAAUAUUUUUGAAUUGAUUCGAGACUUCGAGGAUUUGUUUUUAUUAUUAUUAUUAUUGUUUGAUAGAUUAUAGGGAUCAAAACAUGGAUCAUAGGGCCAGUAUCAUUGUUGGCAAACAAUGAAAUUGAAGAUAAAGAAUCAAGAGGUGGAAACCCCAACAUUCAAACCACCAACUUACUCCAAUGGCUCAAUGAGAAAGAACCAAAUUCAGUUCUCUACAUCAACUUCGGAAGCUUGAUUCAGAUGAGUCGUAACCAAAUAACCGAAAUAGCACAUGCGAUUCAAGAAUCCAGUCAAAGUUUCAUUUGGGUCAUAAAAAAGAACGACGAAGACAACGAUGACGACAUAGUAAACAAAGGGUUACAAAAAGGGUUUGAGGAGAGAAUGAGUAGAACCAAAAAGGGUUUGAUAAUAAAGGGAUGGGCUCCACAAUUGAUGAUAUUAGAGCACAAAGUGUUGGAGGGUUUUUGACUCAUUGUGGUUGGAACUCAAUUCUUGAAGGAAUAAGUUCAGGCUUACCAAUGAUCACAUGGCCAUUGUUUGCUGAACAGUUUUACAAUGAGAAGUUGUUGAUUGAAGUGGUGAAGAUUGGAGUGGGAGUUGGGUCAAAGAAAUGGUGCAUUUGGGAGAGAACCAGAAAUUAUUAAGAGGGAAGAGAUUGGUAAGGCCAUAGCUUUUUUUGAUGGGUGAAAGUGUUGAAGCUUUGGAAUGAGAGAGCUAAAGAAAUGGAGAGGCUGCAAAAACAAGUGUGAAUUGUGUGGUUUCUCUCAUACCAACUUGGUUUUCAUUGUUUGAGGAACUUCAAGAAAUGAAGCUUAAGAGAGUGAGGAAUGGUCAGAAGAAUACUUAGAUGUUUGUCAAAGGAUAAAGUAUUGUUUUUCUUUAGUAGUCUAUUCAUCGAACGGCUAUAGUUUGUUGUAAGGUAAAGUAUUUUUGUUUCUAAAUAUAUUUUGAGUUACUUUUACUAUGCGACUAAGUGAGUUUACUAUUGUAAAUCUUCUACAUUUAGUUUAUGAGAUGCAUGUUCAUGUUUAAAAAUAUUUUGUGAUUCACCCGAGUUCAAAUUAUUAAUUAUCCUCUAGUAAACUUUUUUUAAAGAUAAGAAUUAUUUUGUGAUCAAGGAGAUGUACAAAGUUUGUUGGACUAAAGUUGGAUAAUAUAAGAAUUUGUUUUCUUCUAUUGGUUAAGCCUUGGUUCCAAUUUAAUUAAGAAUCACUUCUAGAAUCUUAUUGAGAUUUUCUUAAAAUUUGACGAGUCUACAAAAUGUGUUAGAAUAGAAUUUGUAAUCGUAACAAAUACUAAAUUGAUUCUCAUGUUUUGCAUGAUAUUUUCAAACCAAGUCAAGGACGUAAAUUUAUAAGCUUAUGGAGUUUAUUGAUUAGAUUACUAAAUCCAUAUUGAUUUAAAUUAUACAACCUUCCAAGCGUAGGGGCAUAAAUUAUUUAAAAGAUAGUGAAUUUGUUUCAAGCUGUCAAUUUGAUGUAGAAAAAGCUUUUUGGAGAAUCUUUAUUUCAAGAAGGAAGCUGCCUUCCUAGAAUCAAUUUGAGCAUUAACAUGGCUUUUAGAACAAUUUGAGCAUUAACAUGGUUUUUAGUCGUUGGAAGCUGCAAAGAAGCGUUCCUAGAAGAUGAAUGUUGAUGUUGCAUGGUUGGAGAACACUCAUAGAGGGUGGGACUGGUUGAAUUAUUCGUGAUUGGGAACCCAGUUAGGGUUGGGUGCUUUCCAAUGUCUUUCAAUUGGUCAAUCCAUGCAUGAGACGAGUAUCAUAUGCUAAUGUCAUAGUCAAUUACUUAAGUCACACCUUGGUUUUCCAACUUAUGUUGGGGUUUAGUAGAACAAAGUUGUCCUAUAAUCAAGUAGUUUGUCUUCUUCAUUUGGGAAUUCCUUUCUAGGGAGUUUUUCUCCUUUUAUAUUUCUUCAUUUCGGGAGGGAUUUAUGAUAUAUGUAUGAAGAAAAACAAGUGAAUACUACUAACAGAGAGUGAACCACGAGUUUUUAAGUACAACAAUCGAGGUAUGAAGGAUCGAACCUCCCAUCUCUAAGAUUUUCGUGGGGAUCCUCUCCGCUUUUCUUGCCUAAGCAAAACCCGACCUAGUAGGUCCUUAGAGUUUUUCACCCAGCAUGGCAGCCGGUAGAGAGGGAGAGAGAAAAAAAAGAGGGAGCCAAGCCAGCCGCUUAGGUCAAGUAAAAUGCGCGCCGAGAUCCCCCGGUUUCAGAAUUUUCGUGGGGAUCCUCUCCGCUUUUCUUGCCUAAGCAAAACCCGACCCGCCUAGUAGGUCCUUAGAGUUUUUCACCCAGCAUGGCAGCCGGUAGAGAGGGGAGAGAAAAAAAAGAGGGAGCCAAGCCAGCCGCUUAGGUCAAGUAAAAUGCGCGCCGAGAUCCCCCGGUUUCAGAAUUUUCGUGGGGAUCCUCUCCGCUUUUCUUGCCUAAGCAAAACCCGACCCGCCUAGUAGGUCUUAGAGUUUUUCACCCAGCAUGGCAGCCGGUAGAGAGGGAGAGAGAAAAAAAAGAGGGAGCCAAGCCAGCCGCUUAGGUCAAGUAAAAUGCGCGCCGAGAUCCCCGGUUUCAGAAUUUUCGUGGGGAUCCUCUCCGCUUUUCUUGCCUAAGCAAAACCCGACCCGCCUAGUAGGUCCUUAGAGUUUUUCACCCAAUGGCAGCCGGUAGAGAGGGAGAGAGAAAAAAAAGAGGGAACCAGGCCAGCUUAGGUCAAGUAAAAUGCGCGCCGAGAUCCCCGGUUUCAGAAUUUUCGUGGGGAUCCUCUCCGCUUUUCUUGCCUAAGCAAAACCCGACCCGCCUAGUAGGUCCUUAGAGUUUUUCACCCAGCAUGGCAGCCGGUAGAGAGGGAGAGAGAAAAAAAAGAGGGAGCCAAGCCAGCCGCUUAGGUCAAGUAAAAUGCGCGCCGAGAUCCCCCGGUUUCAGAAUUUUCGUGGGAUCCUCUCCGCUUUUCUUGCCUAAGCAAAACCCGACCCGCCUAGUAGGUUUAGAGUUUUUCACCCAUCAUGGCAGCCGGUAGAGAGGGAGAGAGAAAAAAAAGAGGGAGCCAAGCCAGCCGCUUAGGUCAAGUAAAAUGCGCGCCGAGAUCCCCGGUUUCAGAAUUUUCGUGGGGAUCCUCUCCGCUUUUCUUGCCUAAGCAAAACCCGACCCCGCCUAGUAGGUUCUUAGAGUUUUCACCCAUCAUGGCAGCCGGUAGAGAGGGAGAGAAAAAAAAAGAGGGAGCCAAGCCAGCCGCUUAGGUCAAGUAAAAUGCGCGCCGAGAUCCCCGUUUCAGAAUUUUCGUGGGGAUCCUCUCCGCUUUUCUUGCCUAAGCAAAACCCGACCCCGCCUAGUAGGUUCUUAGAGUUCUUCACUCAGCAUGGCAGCCUGUAGAGAGGGAGAGAGAAAAAAAAGAGGGAGCCAAGCCAGCCGCUUAGGUCAAGUAAAAUGCGUGCCGAGAUCCCCGGUUUCAGAGUUUUCGUGGGGAUCCUCUCCGCUUUUCUUGCCUAAGCAAAACCCGACCCCGCCUAGUAGGUCCUUUUAGUUCUUCACCUAGCACGGCAGCCGGUAGAGAGGGAGGGAGAAAAAAAAGAGGGAGUCAAGCCAGCUGCUUAGGUAAAGUAAAAUGCGGUCGAGAUUGCCUGGUAUCAGAGCUUGCAUGGGCAACCUCUCGCUUUAGAUGGAAUUUGAUGAAAUGCUUAUGUCGAAAGUAGGCAUUUCUCUACAGAGUCCUAAUGGUCAUAGAAAUUUAUUAUGUUUUGUAUUUAUUUUACUUUGUUGUCAAGAAUCAACUUCUUUUCUGAUUUGUAUGUUUAUGUAUAUGUUGCAUCUCUGUCUUGUUAUCAUGUUGUAUUUCAUUGUACUCAAUAGUCUGAUUUGCAUUUUUUAUUUGUGUUAAUAAGUGUUCGUGUAAUUGCAAUUUUGUUCUUGAAGAUAUUUUGCUUGAAUCAAGUUAGUUCUUUCUAUAAGGAUCAUUUUCUUGUAAGGUUAUAACUUCUUGUCCAAUUUUUCCAACAAACAUUUCAACUUGUAGCAGGUGAAUCCUUCUAAAUAAGAGCUUAAAAAGAAAAAAUUGGAACCUUUAACCAUAAAAUCAAGGUACUGCAUCUUAUUUGCAAUGAAUUGCUAUAAUUUUGUAGAGACUCCACAAAUAAAAUACUAAAUUACCCAAACAGUUGGCAAACAGAGACAGCACUCUGUAGAUCUUUAUUUAUAUAUAAAUGCCAAAAGAUACAGUAGAAGGAAAUAUAAAAGAAAGCAAUAAAGAUGAUAAUAUCAUGUCAAACCUCCCCAGGAAAAGAUAGUAGUCCUUCCUAGACCUAGCAGCCUCUACAGACCAAAUGAAGACAAAAAGUUAACCUAGCCCCCAAUCCCGAUAAGGCCUUAUUUAUAGCUCUUUUCUCAUUCUUCCCCGUGGGCCCCACUCUCAUGUUCUUUUCCUAAUAUUCUCCCCUUUUCUGCUGCGUGAGCUUUUACGUUUUUACCCUCCUUUUGUAUGUAUGGAUAAUAGGGGGCCUUACAAUACCCCUCGGUUCCAGGUUCACCUUGUCCUCAAGGUGAAAGUCAGGGAAUUGUUGGUUCAUUUGGAAAACAGAUUCCCAAGUUGUUUCACUGUCCGGCAGCCCUUUCCACUUAAUUAACCAUUCAUUUCCUCCCAAUUCCCGAUUCCAACGGACUCCCAACACUGUUUCCGGCCAUAAUUGUAACUCAAACUCUUCCGUUAGCCUAGGUUGCUGGUGUUGAACAGCUUGUUGACUACCCAGUUUCAGUUUUAACUGAGAAAUAUGGAACACAUUGUGGAUACUGGCUUCCGGCGGUAACAUCAAUCUGUACGCAACUGCUCCUAUUUCUUCAGUAAUUUUGUAGGGUCCGUAAUAUUUAGGUGCUAACUUUUCACACUUCUUCCGAGCCAAGGAGCGUUGCCGGUAAGGUCUCAAUUUCAAGUAGACUUCAUCUCCUACCUUAAAUUUUAACUCUCUUCUAUUUCGAUCAGCCAUUUUCUUCAUCCUGUUCUAGGCUACACACAGGUGUUCUUUUAAGGCAUUGAUGGCUAAGUCACGUUCCUUCAGCAGCGUGUCAACCUCAUUAUUAGGAGUUUUCUUGUAACCAUAGGAUAACAGGGGAGGAGGCGGUCUGCGGUAUACCGUCUGGAAAGGGGUCAUUUUGGUGGAUGCAUGGAAGGUGGUAUUAUACCACAAUUCUGCCCAUGGAAUCAGUCUAUCCAUUUUUUUGGUUGUUCAUUACAGAAGCAUCGCAGAUAAGUUUCGAGACAUCUAUUUACCCUUUCUGUCUGCCCAUCAGUUUGUGGGUGAAACGCGGUACUCCUCUUUAGAAUAGUUCCCAUGGUUGCAAACAGUUCCUUCCAAAAAUUACUAAGAAAGAUUUUAUCCCGAUCUGUGAUAAUCGACUUAGGAAUGCCGUGCUUGCUUACUAUUCUGUCGAUGAAUAUGGAAGCAACUUGCUUGGCUGAAAACGGAUGUCUCAAUGAUAUAAAGUAAGAAUACUUACUCAGCCGAUCAACUACCACCAUGAUCACAUUAACCCUCCAGCUAGUGGCAACCCCUCAAUAAAGUCCAUGGUCCAAUCUUCUAAGAUUCUGUCAGGAAUUGGAAUUGGUUGAAGUACCCCAGCUGGUUUGGUUGCUUCGUAUUUGUUUCUCUGGCAGAUCUCGCAUUGUUCCACAUAUUUCUUUAUUUCAGCCUUCAUACCCCUCCAAUAUAGUUCUCCACUGAUCCUCUUGUAAGUUCUUAAAAAUCCAGAAUGUCCCCCGAGGAUAGAAUCGUGGAAAGUAUGUAGGAUCUUGGGUAUAAGUGUAGAAGUUUGAGAUACUACCAUUCUCCCCUUAUAGAGCAAUCUUCCUUUUUCCACUUGAAACUUGCUUCCUUCUUCUGCAUUUUUCUUCAGAUUUUCCAUAAUUUUCUUAAGUUCAGCAUCAUUCUCAACUUCCUGCUCGAUUAGUUUCACAUCAAUGAUUCCAGUAGUUGUCAAGCUGUGCAGCUCCACCGGUUGCUCCAUUCUAGAUAGGGCGUCCGCUGCCUUGUUCUGAUGUCCGGGUUGAUAUAAAAUCUCGAAAUCAUAUCCAAGGAGCUUUGUCAACCAUUUCUGGAAUUGGGGUUGUACCUCUCUCUGUUCAAGCAAGAAUUUAAGAGCCUUUUGAUCUGAAAGUAUGGUGAACUUCCUGCCCAGCAAAUAAUGCCUCCAUUUUUGAACUGAUAGAACUACAGCCAUCAACUCUCUUUCAUAGAUGGAUUUGUUUUGAGCCCUUGUGGAUAACUUCUGACUGAAAAAGGCAAUCAGGUGGCCAUUUUGAGAGAUCACCGCUCCUAACCCUACGCCAGAUGCAUCAGUUUCGAUAAUAAAGGGAAUGUUCCAAUCUGGUAAUGCCAACACUGGUAGAGUAGUCAUUGCUAGCUUCAAAUUUUCGAAGGCAGUAUUUGCUUCUUCAUUCCACUUAAAAGCAUUCUUCUGUAAUAACUUGGUUAGCGGUGCAGCGAUCUCUCCAUAACCCUUGACAAACCUCCUAUAAUAUAUCCUGUAAGAAGCCCCGCAGACCAGAUAUAUUCGUUGGUGGUGGCCAAUUAAUCAUCUUCUUGAUCUUAUCCUCAUCUGCCUCAACUCCUCUUUUGGAUAUCAUAUGAAGUACUGUAUUUGAGAAUGGGCUAUAACGCAUUUUUUUUUGUUAGCAAACAGCUGGUUAUCCUUCAAAACAUUGAAUACCAUGCCCAAAUGCUUUGCGUGUUCAUCUAUAUCCGCACUAUAAACCAGUAUAUCAUCAAAGAACACCAAAACACAGCGCCGAAGGAAAGGUUUAAAUACCUGGUUCAUCAAAGAUUGGAAGGUUGCCAGAGCAUUCGUGAGACAAACGGCAUUACUAGAAACUCAUAGUGCCCUUCAUGUGUGCGGAACACAGUUUUCUCCACAUCUUCCUCUUUCAUUCUAAUCUGGUGAUAACCAGAUUUCAGAUCUAAUUUCGAGAAAACCGUUGCCCUAUUCAGCUCAUUUAAUAAUUCCUCUAUCACAGGAAUUGGAACUUAUCCGAUACUGUCGCCUGAUUUAACUUGCGGUAAUCGACACAAAAUCUCCAUCCACCAUCUUUUUUCUUCACUAACAACACCGGGCUGGAGUAAGGGAUAGGUUUAUGGUCAGGUAGGGUUAAUAUUCGGUGAUCAAUAGCUCUUUUUGGAGGUAAUUUCUUCGGUGUCUCAAAUAUCUCCGCAUAAUACUUGAGCAGGGAUCGGAUCAUAGAUAUUUCCUCCUCAUCUCCUUUUAAUCUUGUCCCCAGUUCAUAUUCAUUCUCUACUUCCAUCUCAUAAUUCUGGAAUUCUAAGAGGAAGCCUUGGUCUUCUAUAUGUAAGGAUUCAACUUGCUUACUUCACUAUUUCUCCCUUACAAUGGCCAAAAACAGAGGUAGCCCUCUGCUAUCUUUAUUUAUAUAUAGCCAAAAUGAGUACAGAAAAACAUAAAGAUUCAAGAAAAACAAGGAAUAAUGAAGACAAACCCAGCUUCCUCUAGGGAAAGACUGGAUAUUCCUCUAGGCUAAGCAGCCGCCAACUUCAGGAUAAAAAUAAAACCUACCUCCCCUAGACCUAAAAAACCUAUUUAUAUUCCUUCUCUCAUCUUUCUCUUAUUUCUGUGCCUGGGCCCCACCUGCAGGAUCUCCUCCUCUUUUUCCUUCCUCAUUAUUAAUUUGUCCAAUUACUUUUCUGCCCCUCCUUUGAUAUGUAUGAAUAACUGGAGGUCUUACACUAUAUCCCACGUUUUUUCCAAUGUCUUCAAAGAACAUUCAGGUUUCACUAAGGAUGGAUCUCCUCUUAACACGAUUUGCUUGUCUUUUGCCCAAAAGGUCAUGGUUAAUGAUGGCCAAUGUACCUUCAUUGUGCCGGUGGUAUCUAGCCAUUGCAUCCCUAAAAUCACGUCAAUAUUUCCUAGUUCCACCACUAGAAAAUCAGUUAUAACUGUCAUUUCUUUCAAUCUCAGUUCCACCUUUCUGCAAAUACCUUUCCCUUUACAGCGGGUCCCGUCUCCAAUAGUCACUCCAAAUUGUGUACCGGGUUCAAUGUUCAACCCUCCUUCCAUUGCCACUGCUUCAUGGAUGAAGUUGUUCGUAGCUCCACUGUCGAUGAGAAUCACCACCUCCCUUCCUUUUACAUGCCCCUUCAGUUUCAUUGUCCCUUUGGAUGUUAACCCCGUGAGUGUCUUCAAUUCAAUUUCGGUGGUUUCAGCAACAACUAACUGGUUCAGCUCCAUUACUUCUUCGGUCUCUUCCAUUUUGACUUCCUCCCCGCCACUCUCUUCUUCGUUAAGUAUAAAUAACAUUAAUUCCCUUUUCUCUCUCAUCUUGCAUCGGUGUCCCGGUGAGUACUUCUCAUUGCAUCUAAAACACAAACCCUUGUCCAAUCUUGCUCUGAAUUCCGUGUCCAAGAGUCUUUUAACUGGAGGUUCAUUUUUCUGGUAGUUUCCUUUAAUGGGAAUAGUGACUUGCUUCAUGGGGAACUCAGUCUUCUUUGGUGAACUUUUAUCUUGACUGCUUUGUCCCUUGCUUGAGCCUCCUCCUUCCCUAGUCACACUGUUUACCCAUUCUGCCUUGGCUAAUUUCAAGGCUAGGUUUCUGCCACUUACCAGUUGUGCCUCCUUCAUACAUUCCUCUAAGGUUUGAGGAUGUCUACUAAUAACUUCUGCUUGAAGAGCCGGUUCUAGACCUGUCACGAAUGCAUCUAAGAGCACGCUUUCAGCCAUGUGCGGUAGUGGUGCAGAAUAUUGUACGAAUUUCUUGACAUAAUCAUUAUAGGAUCCAUCUUGUUCUAUUCGAAUCAGCCUUGCACCUAAGCUUUCUGCCCAGAAUCUCGAAAAAAUUCAAACAUCCUUACCUUCAAAUCUUCCCAUCCUUCCACCUUCUUUCUAUGGUUACUCCAACGGUACCAAUCGAUUUCAUCUUGUCCGAAACUAACCACGCUACUUUCACUUUUUCUGCUUCCGGUAGGCUAUUAAUUUCGAAAAAAUGCUCAGCUCUAAACACCCAUGACUCAGGAUUUUCCCCGGUAAAAAUCGGCAUUUCCAGUUUCUUAUAUUUGCUUCGGUCGACAGUUACUACAUUGUUUUCCCCUAGAUUGUCGGCUUCUUCCCAUUUUCCUUUUAACUUCAUGACUGAUCCAUCAGAAGUUCCGGAUUCAUCUCGCCUUUUGUAGCUGCUGUUUUUUUCAUUUCAUCAGUCAGUCUAUCCAUGGAUUUCUUCAUUUCCAGAAUCAUUUCCUUCAAGCCCAGUAUUUCUUUCUCUGUUCCAUCUAUUCUUUCUUCUAUUUGCCUUUGCGCCAUCAGUCGCGUCACCACCCCCAGCAUUUGGGCUCUGAUACCAGUUGUAGAGACUCCACAAAUAAAAUACUAAAUUACCCAAACAGUUGGCAAACAGAGACAGCACUCUGUAGAUCUUUAUUUAUAUAUAAAUGCCAAGAGAUACAGUAGAAGGAAAUAUAAAAGAAAGCAAUAAAGAUGAUAAUAUCAUGUCAAACCUCCCCAGGAAAAGAUAGUAGUCCUUCCUAGACCUAGCAGCCUCUACAGACCAAAUGAAGACAAAAAGUUAACCUACCCCCAAUCCCGAUAAGGCCUUAUUUAUAGCUCUUUUCUCAUUCUUCCCCGUGGGCCCCACUCUCAUGUUCUUUUCCUAAUAUUCUCCCCUUUUCUGCUGCAUGAGCUUUUACGUUUUUACCCCUCCUUUUGUAUGUAUGGAUAAUAGGGGGCCUUACAAAUUUCUUCCAACACUAUGAAACAUUUAUGGUAUAGUUUUAUUAUUGUAAACAUUUUUGCUAAACAUCAUUGUAAUUUCCAAACACAACUCUGCCAAAGUUCCCAAGAUAGUUCUAUAGCAAUGUUCCACAGGCUAUCUUGCAAGUGAUGUGGAACUCCUUUGCUUUUUUGAAUAGUAAACUGGCCUUCCUCUUUUGUUAUGCUUUGUUUUGUUCUUAAUACUUGCUUUUAUCUUCGCCUAUUUCAUUCCUAGUUGAUAUAUUACAUAGUCCUCUUAAAUCUACAUUCUUUUUCUGUUUUAUGAUUCGCUUGAGUUUAAUGACUAACUUUGGCAAAAUAAUGUUGAACUAUAUUACAUGUUUUGCAUCUAAACCUCAAUUGAAAAGGUUUGUUACCUGUAUCAUUAUAAGGUUUCCAUCCAUCUUUCUUAGGCCAUCAAUGAAGUUUUUGCUUAGAUCUAUCUUAGUUCGGCCUCUUUAAUAUGUUACUCCAUACAAGGAAGAUCGAAAGUUGUGAUUACAAAGUGUAGAUUUGUAUUGUAUAGUUGCCUUAGUUAUUUUUUAAUUAUUCUUUUUAGACGUUAUUUUUUAUAAUUAGUUCUCUUUAGUUAGAAUUUCUAUUAAAUUAUACUUGCCUAUUAUCAAGUCCUUUUUCAUUAAUAAGAGAAAAUGGAGUUUUUCUCAAAUAACAAAAAGUGAUUAUUUAAGAUACUAUGCUAAAGGGAACACAUCCAAUUACCAUGUUGAGAAUAUUAUCUUUGCCUAUUGAAGGUCUUGGAUUCUUGGUCAACUUUGAAUGCGAAUUUUUCUUAGUUGAUUAUUAAAUAUCAGGGUAAAAAGAUCUUAUAUUGUAAUGUUGUUUUGCUUCACUUGCAUCAUACACUAAAACACAAGAUUAAAAAAAAGUUAUAUUUAGACUUUUGUAUGGUAGAUUAGGUGUUCUCUUUGAAUUGGUGUUGGUAUUGGCUUUCUAAUUAUGAUAUGAUUUUGGGAACCUUUGAAUUAUGUUCUUCAAACCUUCUCUCUUCGAUUGAAGCUUAUUAUAUUUUAUCGUUGUUAGUAUGUUUUUUUUUUUCCAUUUUUUCCCUUCUAAUAUUUUUAUUUGAUAUAUAAUGUGCAUAAAAGAGAAAGUAGUUAAUGUGUUUUACAUUGUUGUGUUGUGCAAAGUUGGUGUUGUUGGUUCAAAUAUUUAAGAUUUGGUGAAGCACUUGGAAUAAGUUCAAACUUUUAAUCUGUAGGAUAAUUUACUUUAUAAGAAUCACACAUUUACCUUUUUUUCUUUUUUGAAGUAGGAAAGGAGCCUCUUCAUUAAGCUGAAAAUGAAUAGACAAGACAAAAGGUAAUACAAAGAAGCCCUAGGAUCAGUGAGUGCACUAGGACAUCUCAUCUAUGUUGACACCUACUUAGCAUUCUCACCAUAUCGAGACUUAAACCAAAAGACUAAACCAACGACAAGGUUUGGAAUAGAUCAUACAAACUGCCCAAUAACUAUACAACAUAGAUUUAAGACCACUAGAAAUCCAAAAGAAAUAAAAUAAGAGUACUGUAGUGGACUAAGAAUUAAAAAUGAAAGUCGGCCAAUUAUGACUUAUAUCUUGUAUGGAGAAAUCUUUGAAAUCUUUUGAAAGAGAGCAUCAAGAAGAAGCAUUGAUUCUAGCCAUUUCGACUCGAGUUGUCCAAGAGGAAGCUUUAUUUUGAAAUGUUAGCUGAUUAUGUUCAAACCAACUUUGAAUGACUAUUUCUAAAUAUGAACCUACAAUAACCCCAAAUGAAUACCGGAUUAAAUUGGAAACAGGGCAGAUAGAGAGUGAGAUGGAGAGUGUUUGUGUGUGCUUUAGAGUAGUUUUAAGCACAUUUUUUAGAUUUGUUUAACACUAAGUUUGUUUCACUUGCACAAUUGGUUGCCAUUUUAGGUCUCAAAGUGCAUUUUCACUCAUUUUGAACUUUUUGUUAGUUUGUGAGUUACGAACUUACACUUAAGCAUUGUUAGGUCGUUUCAAACACAUUUUGUGUUUGUUUGGAACUAAGUUGUUUAGACAUUUGAUUGACAUGUUGGGUCUCCAAGUGCUUUUUUCCACACUUUUUGAAAUUUUGGUAGGUUGUGAGUCGCGAACUUACGCUUGAGUAUUGUUUGGUCCGUUUGAAAGCUUAGACACAUUUUGAACUCUUUUUAAGAUAACUUGAAACUAAGUUCAUUGCACUUACAUACUUCGUUGCCGUUUUGGGUCUUGAAGUACCUUUUUCACACUUUUUGAAAUUUUGGUAGGUUGUGAGUUACAAACUUACCCUUAAGCAUUGUUUGGUUGUUUUGAAAAUUCAAGUGAUAGUUACACACGUUUUGAAUACAUUUUAGGUUAGAUUGAGUUUGUUGCACUUGGUUGUCAUUUUUGGUCUUGAAAUGCUUUUUUCAAACUUUUUGGUAGAUUAUGAGUUACGAACUUACACUUAGGAUUUGCUAGGUCGUUUUGAAAACUCAAGUAAUACAUAGACACGUUUUGAGCACGUUUUAGGUUGGUUUGAACUAAGUUUGUUGCACUUACACACUUGGUUGCCAUUUUGGGUAUUGUAGUGCUUUUUUCACAAUAUUUGAACUUUUUUCGUAGGUUAUGAGUUACGAUCCUACACGUAAGCUGUUUUAGGACAUUUUGAAAGUUCAAGUGAUACUUAGACACGUUUUAAACUCGGUUUAGGUUAGUUUGAAACUAAGUUUGUUGACCUUAUCCAAUUGGUUGCCAUUUUCGGUCUUGAAGUGCCCUUUUCACACUUUUUGAACUUUUUGGUAGGCUAUGGGUUACCAACUUACACUUAAACUUUGUUAGGUUGUUUUGAAAGUCCAAGUGAUACUUAGACACGCCUUGACCACUUUUUAGGUUGGUUUGGAACUAAGUUUGUUGCACUUGCGCACUUGGUUGCCAUUUUGGGUCGUGUAGUGUUUCCUUUUUUUCCAUACUUCUUGAACUUUUUGGUAGGUUAUGAGUGAUGAAUUUACAAAUAAACAUUCUUAGGUCGUUCUGAAAGUUCAAGUGAUACUUAAACACGGUUUGAAAUUUUUUUAGAUUUGUUUAAGACUAAGUUUGUUUCACUUGCAUACUUGGUUGCCAUUUUAGGUCUCAAAGUGCAUUUUUCACGCAUUUUGAUUUUUUUGUUAGUUUGUGAGUUACGAACUUACACUUAACGAUUGUUAGGUCGUUUUAAACACAUUUUGCGUUGGUUUGAAACUAAGUUUGUUGCACUUACACAUUGGAUUGAAAUGUUGGGUCUUGAAGUACUUUUUUUCACACUUUUUGAAAUUUUUUUAGAUUGUGAGUUACGAACUUACGCUUGAGUAUUGUUUGGUCGGUUUGAAAUCUUAGACACGUUUUGCACUCUUUUUAGGAUGGCUUGAAACUAAGUCCGUUGCACUUACAUACUUCGUUGCCAUUUUGGGUCUGAAGUGCUUUUUUACACUUUUUGAAAUUUUGGUAGGUUGUGAGUUACAAACUUACACUUAAGCAUUGUUUGGUGGUUUUGAAAGUUUAAGUGAUACGUACACAUGUUUUGAAUACAUUUUAGGUUAGAUUGAUUUUGUUGCACUUGGUUGUCAUUUUUGGUCUUGAAAUGCUUUUUUCAACCUUUUUGGUAGAUCAUUACGAACCUACAUUUAGGAUUUGCUAGGUCGUUUUGAAAACUCAAGUAAUACCUAGACACGUUUUGAGCACGUUCUAGGUUGGUUUGAACUAAGUUUGUUACAAUUACACACUUGGUAGCCAUUUUGGGUCUUGUAGUACUUUUUUCACACUAUUUGAACUUUUUUCGUAGGUUAUGAGUUACGAAUCUACACGUAAGCUGUUUUAGGUCGUUUUGAAAGUUCAAGUGAUACUUAGACACAUUUUGUUCAAGUGAUACUGUUUUAGGUCGUUUUGAAGUGAACUUUUUUCUUCUUGUAUUGACUGUUUUACUAUUUCUUCAUGGUUUGUAUUCAUGGUAUUUAUUUUCGUAAUGAAUCUUUCAUGUUCUGGUAAACAUUGCAGAAACACAUAAUUUCAUCAAUCUGUCAAAGAGUUGAAGGAGAAGACAGAAGAACUUAAAGGUCACAUGAAACCUAAAAGUUAGGUAAUUUUUUGAAAACUUUUUUCUUUGUCUUGCUUAGUUUUAGUGGUAUUUGUUAACAGGCUGAGACAUACUCUUGUAUGCCAAGGCUGGGUGGCCAAUUCAAUGGAUGGCCUGAGACGGUGAAAUGACGAGUGUAGACAAUCGAGCAGAUUUACAAGUAGGAGGAUGGUGUUUGGUCUUACUCAAAAGCUACUGCUAGAAAGGUGAUUCUCCCUUUAUUUACACAUGUUAUCUAUAUUUAAUUACUGUUUUUAUGUGAUGGUGAAUAAAUAUUUAAGUUGUUUCAAGUUUGUACAUCAUGCUUGAGUUAAUACAUUUCUCAACUCGCACUAAUUUUAAAGUUGAGACUAAGUUUGUUGCACUUACACACUUGGUUGCCAUUUUGGAUUUUGGAGUGCUUUUUCUACAUUUUUUGAACAUUUUGGUAGGUUAUGAUUUAUGAAGUAAGACUAAAGCAUUAUUAGGUCGUUUUUAAAGUUCGAGUGAUACUUAAACAUUUUUUGAACACCUUUUAGGUUGUUACAAACUAAGUUAGUUUUACAUACAGCCAUGGUUGCCAUUUUGAGUCUUGAAAGAUUUUUUUUCACACUUUUUGAAAUUUUUGGUAAGUUAUGAGUUAUAAACUUACACUUAAGCGUUGUUAGGUUGUUGAAAACUUAUACGUGUUUUGAAUACUUGUUAGGUUUGUAUAGAACUAAGUUCGUUGCACUUACACACUUGACAUUUUGGGUUUUGGAGUGUCUUUUUAAAAAAUUUUGAACUUUUUGCUAGUUUAUGACUUAUGAACUUGUAUUGAAUAUUUGUUAGGUCGUUUUGAUAAUUCAAGUGAUACUUAGAAAAUGCAACCGAGCUUAAACAAUUCCGCUCAUUUUUCUAAAAUUUUUAGUUUAACCUAUUGAAUAAAAUUCGAUGGAAAUUCUUGUUUUCUUUUUGUAGGAAUAAAAGAAAUGAAAUAUAACCAAACUUGGGAUCUUUGCAAACAAUCUUCCAUGAAGAAACUAGGCUACAAGUGGUUUGGGGUUUGGGUUUUUAGGGCUUAGGGCUUUUUGGGCUUAUGGCUUAGGGCUUUUAGGGCGCUUAGGGCUUUUAGGUUUUAGGGCUUAGGGCUUUUAGGGCUUAUGGCUUUAGGGUUUAGGGUAUAGGGUUUAGGGGUUUAGGGUUUAGGGUUUAGGGCGCUUAGGCUUUUAGGGAUUUUAGGGCGCUUAGGGAUUUUAGGUUUUAGGGCUUAGGGCUUUUAGGGAUUAUGGCUUAGGGCUUAGCGCUUUUAGGGCUUAGGGCUUAGGGCUUAGGGCCUUAAGGGCUUUAAGGGUAUUUAGGGAUAAGGGAUUUUAGGGCUUUUAGCAUUUAGGGCUUUUGGGGCUUUUAGGGCUUAGGGAUUAGGGCUUGGGCUUUUAGGGCUCGGGCUUUGGGCUCUUUGGGCUUUUAGGACUUUUAGUGCUCUUAGGGCUUUUUGGGCGCUUAGGGCUUAUGACUCUUAAGGCUUAGGGCUUUGGGCUUUUAGGGCUUUUAGGGCUUUUAGGGCUUUUAGGGCUUUUAGGCUUUUAGGGCUUUUAGGGCGCUUAUGGCUUUUAGCUUUUAGGGCUUAGGGCUUUUUGGGCUUUUAGGGCUUAGGGCUUAGGGCUUAGGCUUUUAGGGCUUUUAGGGCUUGGGCUUUGGGCGUUUAGGGCUUUUAGGACGCUUAGGGCUUUUAGGUUGUAGGGCUUAGGGCUUUUAGGGCUUAUGGCUUUUAGGGCUUAGCGCUUAGGGCUUAGGGCUUUUACGGCUUUUACGACUUUUAGGGCUUUUAGGGCUGAGGCCUUAGGGCUUAGGCCUUAGGGCUGAGGGCUCAGGGCUCAGGGCUUAGGGCUUAGGGUUUAGGGCUUAGGGCUUAGGGCUUAGGGCUUAUGACUUUUAAGGCUUUGGGCUUUGGGCUUUUCGGGCUUUUAGGGCUUUUCGGGCUUUUAGGGCUUUUAGGGCUUUUUGGGCUUUUAGGGCUUAGGGCUUAGGGCUUAGGCUUUUAGGGCUUUUAGGGCUUGGGCUUUGGGCGUUUAGGGCUUUUAGGGCUUUUAGGACGCUUAGGGCUUUUAGGUUGUAGGGCUUAGGGCUUUUAGGGCUUAUGGCUUUUAGGACGCUUAGGGCUUUUAGGUUGUAGGGCUUAGGGCUUUUAGGGCUUAUGGCUUUUAGGGCUUAGCGCUUAGGGCUUAGGGCUUUUACGGCUUUUACGGCUUUUACGACUUUUAGGGCUUUUAGGGCUGAGGCCUUAGGGCUUUUAGGGCUGAGGCCUUAGGGCUUAGGCCUUAGGGCUGAGGGCUCAGGGCUUAGGGCUUAGGGUUUAGGGUUUAGGGUUUAGGGUUUAGGGCUUAGUUCUUGUGCUUUUAUUGCUUAGAGCUUAGGGCUUGUAGGGCUUAGGGCUGAUGGCUUAGGGCUUGGGCUUUUAGGGCUUGGGUUUUUAGGGCUUGGGCUUUGGGCUUUUAGGGCGUUUAGGGCUUUUAGGGCGCUUAAGUCGUUUAGGGCUUAGGGCUUUUAGGGCUUAGGGGUUUUGGCUUAUGACUUAGGGCUUGAGAUUUUAGGGCUUAGGGCUUGGGCUUUGGCCUUUUAGGGCUUUUAGGGCUUUUACGACGCUUAGGGCUUUUAGGUUUUAGGGCUUAGGGCGCUUAGGGCUUUUAGGUCUUUUAGGGAUUAGGGUUUGGGCUUUUAAGGCUUGUGCUUUGGGCUUUUGGGAUUUUAGGGUUUAGGGCUUGUGCUUUGCGCUUUUAGGACUUUUAGGGCUUUUACAGCGCUAAGGGCGCUUAGGACUUAGGGCUUAGGGCUUAAGGCUUAGGGCUUUUAGGGCUUAGGGCUCAUUGAGGAACUGGAUUUAUCUAAUGAGUAUAGGUAAAAUGGUUUUUUAUAUUGGAUUUGAUCAAUGCAAUGAAUUGUUUUAUCAUAAGACCGAUCCCUAAUUAAAUUGAUGAUCCCCAUCCUAACGAAAUGAAUUUGAUUCAUACAUGUACACACACGAACUGAACAUAUAUACAUUCACCGAAUCAUUGAUAAAGCAAUUCUACUUGGCGAGGAAAAAAUUUUCAAUAACUUGUUGAUCCCUAUCCCCAAAUUUUAAAAUUUAUCGCUCUUGAAUUUUUUGGCUUAGUGUGAAAUCGAAAUAUACCUAACAUAAUCUUAACAAUGAGUUAAUCAAUGAGCGCCGAGAUCCCCCUGUUUGAGAAUUUUCGUGGGGAUCCUCUCCGCUUUUCUUGCCUAAGCAAAACCCGACACGCCUAGUAGGUCCAUAGAGUUUUUCACCGAGCAUGGCAGCCGGUAGAGAGGGAGAGAGAAAAAAAAGAGGGAACCAAGCCAGCCGCUUAGGUCAAGUAAAAUGCGCGCCGAGAUCCCCCGGUUUCAGAAUUUUCGUGGGGAUCCUCUCCGCUUUUCUUGUCUAGGCAAAACCCGACCCGCCUAGUAGGUCCUUAGAGUUUUUCACCCAGCAUGGCAGCCGGUAGAGAGGGAGAGAGAAAAAAAAAGAGGGAGCCAAGCCAGCCGCUUAGGUUAAGUAAAAUGCGCGCCGAGAUCCCCCUGUUUCAGAAUUUUCGUGGGGAUCCUCUCCGCUUUUCUUGCCCAAGCAAAACCCGACCCCGCCUAGUAGGUCCUUAGAGUUCUUCACCCAUCAUGGCAGCCGGUAGAGAGGGAGAGAAAAAAAAUAGAGGGAGCCAAGCCAGCCGCUUAGGUCAAGUAAAAUGCGCGCCGAGAUCCCCCGGUUUCAGAAUUUUCGUGGGGAUCCUCUCCGCUUUUCUUGCCGAAGCAAAACCCGACCCGCCUAGUAGGUCCUUAGAGUUUUUCACCCAGCAUGGCAGCCGGUAGAGAGGGAGAGAGAAAAAAAAGAGGGAACCAAGCCAGCCGCUUAGGUCAAGUAAAAUGCGCGCCGAGAUCCCCCGGUUUCAGAAUUUUCGUGGGGAUCCUCUCCGCUUUUCUUGCCUAAGCAAAACCCGACCCGCCUAGUAGGUCCUUAGAGUUUUUCACCCAGCAUGGCAGCCGGUAGAGAGGGAGAGAGAAAAAAAAAGGGAGCCAAGCCAGCCGCUUAGGUCAAGUAAAAUGCGCGCCGAGAUCCCCCGGUUUCAGAAUUUUCGUGGGGAUCCUCUCCGCUUUUCUUGCCUAAGCAAAACCCGACCCCCCUAGUAGGUCCUUAGAGUUUUUCACCCAGCAUGGCAGCCGGUAGAGAGGGAGAGAGAAAAAAAAGAGAGCCAAGCCAGCCGCUUAGGUCAAGUAAAAUGCGCGCCGAGAUCCCCCGGUUUCAGAAUUUUCGUGGGGAUCCUCCGCUUUUCUUGCCUAAGCAAAACCCGACCUGCCUAGUAGGUCCUUAGAGUUUUUCACCCAGCAUGGCAGCCGGUAGAGAGGGAGAGAGAAAAAAAAAGGGAACCAAGCCAGCCGCUUAGGUCAAGUAAAAUGCGCGCGAGAUCCCCGGUUUCAGAAUUUUCGUGGGGAUCCUCUCCGCUUUUCUUGCCUAAGCAAAACCCGACCCGCCUAGUAGGUCCUUAGAGUUUUUCACCCAGCAUGGCAGCCGGUAGAGAGGGAGAGAGAAAAAAAAAGGGAGCCAAGCCAGCCGCUUAGGUCAAGUAAAAUGCGCGCCGAGAUCCCCGGUUUCAGAAUUUUCGUGGGGAUCCUCUCCGCUUUUCUUGCCUAAGCAAAACCCGACCCCCCUAGUAGGUCCUUAGAGUUUUUCACCCAGCAUGGCAGCCGGUAGAGAGGGAGAGAGAAAAAAAAGAGAACCAAGCCAGCCGCUUAGGUCAAGUAAAAUGCGCGCCGAGAUCCCCCGGUUUCAGAAUUUUCGUGGGGAUCCUCUCCGCUUUUCUUGCCUAAGCAAAACCCGACCUGCCUAGUAGGUCCUUAGAGUUUUCACCCAGCAUGGCAGCCGGUAGAGAGGGAGAGAGAAAAAAAAGAGGGAGCCAAGCCAGCCGCUUAGGUCAAGUAAAAUGCGCGCCGAGAUCCCCCGAUUUCAGAAUUUUCGUGGGGAUCCUCUCCGCUUUUCUUGCCUAAGCAAAACCCGACCCCGCCUAGUAGGUCCUUAGAGUUCUUCACCUAUCAUGGCAGCCGGUAGAGAGUGAGAGAAAAAAAAAAGAGGGACCAAGCCAGCCGCUUAGGUCAAGUUAAAUGCGCGCCGAGAUCCCCCGGUUUCAGAAUUUUCGUGGGGAUCCUCUCCGCUUUUCUUGCCUAAGCAAAACCCGACCCGCCUAGUAGGUCCUUAGAGUUUUUCACCCAGCAUGGCAGCCGGUAGAGAGGGAGAGAGAAAAAAAAGAGGGAACCAAGCCAGCCGCUUAGGUCAAGUAAAAUGCGCGCCGAGAUCCCCCGGUUUCAGAAUUUUCGUGGGGAUCCUCUCCGCUUUUCUUGCCUAAGCAAAACCCGACCCGCCUAGUAGGUCCUUAGAGUUUUCACCCAGCAUGGCAGCCGGUAGAGAGGGAGAGAGAAAAAAAAGAGGGAGCCAAGCCAGCCGCUUAGGUCAAGUAAAAUGCGCGCCGAGAUCCCCCGGUUUCAGAAUUUUCGUGGGGAUCCUCUCCGCUUUUGCCUAAGCAAAACCCGACCCGCCUAGUAGGUCCUUAGAGUUCUUCACCCAUCAUGGCAGCCGGUAGAGAGGGAGAGAAAAAAAAAGGAGCCAAGCCAGCCGCUUAGGUCAAGUAAAAUGCGCGCCGAGAUCCCCCGGUUUCAGAAUUUUCGUGGGGAUCCUCUCCGCUUUUCUUGCCUAAGCAAAACCCGACCCGCCUAGUAGGUCCUUAGAGUUUUCACCCAGCAUGGCAGCCGGUAGAGAGGGAGAGAAAAAAAAAAGAGGGAGCCAAGCCAGCCGCUUAGGUCAAGUAAAAUGCGCGCCGAGAUCCCCCGGUUUCAGAAUUUUCGUGGGGAUCCUCUCCGCUUUUCUUGCCUAAGCAAAACCCGACCCGCCUAGUAGGUCCUUAGAGUUUUUCACCCAGCAUGGCAGCCGGUAGAGAGAGAGAGAAAAAAAAGAGGGAGCCAAGCCAGCCGCUUAGGUCAAGUAAAAUGCGCGCCGAGAUCCCCCGGUUUCAGAAUUUUCGUGGGGAUCCUCUCCGCUUUUUUGCCUAAGCAAAACCCGACCCGCCUAGUAGGUCUUAGAGUUUUUCACCCAGCAUGGCAGCCGGUAGAGAGGGAGAGAGAAAAAAAAGAGGGAGCCAAGCCAGCCUUAGGUCAAGUAAAAUGCGCGCCGAGAUCCCCCGGUUUCAGAAUUUUCGUGGGGAUCCUCUCCGCUUUUCUUGCCUAAGCAAAACCCGACCCGCCUAGUAGGUCCUUAGAGUUUUCACCCAGCAUGGCAGCCGGUAGAGAGGAGAGAGAAAAAAAAGAGGGAGCCAAGCCAGCCGCUUAGGUCAAGUAAAAUGCGCGCCGAGAUCCCCCGGUUUCAGAAUUUUCGUGGGAUCCUCUCCGCUUUUCUUGCCUAAGCAAAACCCGACCCGCCUAGUAGGUCCUUAGAGUUUUUCACCCAGCAUGGCAGCCGGUAGAGAGGGAGAGAGAAAAAAAAGAGGGAGCCAAGCCAGCCGCUUAGGUCAAGUAAAAUGCGCGCCGAGAUCCCCCGGUUUCAGAAUUUUCGUGGGGAUCCUCUCCGCUUUUCUUGCCUAAGCAAAACCCGACCCGCCUAGUAGGUCCUUAGAGUUUUCACCCAGCAUGGCAGCCGGUAGAGAGGGAGAGAGAAAAAAAAAGAGGGAGCCAAGCCAGCCGCUUAGGUCAAGUAAAAUGCGCGCCGAGAUCCCCCGGUUUCAGAAUUUUCGUGGGGAUCCUCUCCGCUUUUCUUGCCUAAGCAAAACCCGACCCGCCUAGUAGGUCCUUAGAGUUCUUCACCCAGCAUGGCAGCCGGUAGAGAGGAGAGAGAAAAAAAAGAGGGAGCCAAGCCAGCCGCUUAGGUCAAGUAAAAUGCGCGCCGAGAUCCCCCGUUUUCAGAAUUUUCGUGGGAUCCUCUCCGCUUUUCUUGCCUAAGCAAAACCCGACCCGCCUAGUAGGUCCUUAGAGUUUUUCACCCAGCAUGGCAGCCGGUAGAGAGGGAGAGAGAAAAAAAAGAGGGAGCCAAGCCAGCCGCUUAGGUCAAGUAAAAUGCGCGCCGAGAUCCCCGUUUCAGAAUUUUCGUGGGAUCCUCUCCGCUUUUCUUGCCUAAGCAAAACCCGACCCGCCUAGUAGGUCCUUAGAGUUUUUCACCCAGCAUGGCAGCCGGUAGAGAGGGAGAGAGAAAAAAAAGAGGGAGCCAAGCCAGCCGCUUAGGUCAAGUAAAAUGCGCGCCGAGAUCCCCCGGUUUCAGAAUUUUCGUGGGGAUCCUCUCCGCUUUUCUUGCCAAAGCAAAACCCGACCCGCCUAGUAGGUCCUUAGAGUUUUUUCACCCAGCAUGGCAGCCGGUAGAGAGGGAGAGAGAAAAAAAAGAGGGAGCCAAGCCAGCGCUUAGGUCAAGUAAAAUGCGCGCCGAGAUCCCUCAUUUCAGAAUUUUCGUGGGGAUCCUCUCCGCUUUUCUUGCCUAAGCAAAACCCGACCCGCCUAGUAGGUCCUUAGAGUUUUUACCCAUGCAUGGCAGCCGGUAGAGAGGGAGAGAGAAAAAAAAGAGGGAGCCAAGCCAGCCGCUUAGGUCAAGUAAAAUGCGCGCCGAGAUCCCCCGGUUUCAGAAUUUUCGUGGGGAUCCUCUCCGCUUUUCUUGCCUAAGCAAAACCCGACCGCCAGUAGGUCCUUAGAGUUCUUCACCCAUCAUGGCAGCCGGUAGAGAGGGAGAGAAAAAAAAAAGAGGGAGCCAAGCCAGCCGCUUACGUCAAGUAAAAUGCGCGCCGAGAUCCCCCGUUUUAGAUUGGUUUCAAACUAUGUUUUAAACACAUUUCAUUGACAUGUUGGGUCUUGAAGUACUUUUUUCACACUUUUUGAAAUUUUGGUAGGUUGUGAGUUACAAACUUACACUUAAGCAUUGCUUGGUCGUUUUGAAAAUUCAGGUGAUACUUACACACGUUUUGAAUACAUUUUAGGUUAGAUUGAGUUUGUUGCACUUGGUUGUCAUUUUUGGUCGUGAAAUGCCUUUUUCAACCUUUAUGGUAGAUUAUGAGUUACGAACUUACACUUAGGAUUUGCUAGAUCGUUUUGAAAACUCAAGUACUACCUAGACACGUUUUGAGCAUGUUUUAGGUCGGUUUGAACUAAGCUUGUUGCCCUUACACACUUAGUUGCCAUUUUGGGUCUUGUAGUGCUUUUUUCACACUAUUUGAACUUUUUUCGUAAGUUAUCAGUUAGGAAUCUACACGUAAGCUGUUUUAGGUCGUUUUGAAAGUUCAAGUGAAACUUAGACACGUUUUGAACUCGUUUUAGGUUUGUUUGAAACUAAAUUUUAAACACAUUUCAUUGACAUGUUGGGUCUUGAAGUACUACUUUUUCACACUUUUUGAAAUUUUGGUAGGUUGUGAGUUACAAACUUACACUUAAGCAUUACUUGGUCGUUUUGAAAAUUCAAGUGAUACUUACACACGUUUUGAUUACAUUUAGGUUAGAUUGAGUUGUUGCACUUGAUGGUCAUUUUUGGUCUUGAAAUGCUUUUUUCAACAUUUUUGGUACAUUAUGAGUUACGAACUUACACUUAGGAUCUGCUAGGUCGUUUUGAAAACUCAAGUAGUACCUAGCACGUUUUGAGCAUGUUUUAGGUUGGUUUGAACUAAGUUUGUUGCACUUACACACUUAGUUGCCAUUUUGGGUCUUGUAGUGCUUUUUUCACACUAUUUGAACUUUUUUCGUAAGUUAUGAGUUAUGAAUCUACACGUAAGCUGUUUUAGGUUGUUUUGAAAGUUGAAGUGAAACUUAGACACCUUUUGAACAUGUUUUAGGUUAGUUUGAAACUAACUUUUAAACACAUUUGAUUGACAUGUUGGGUCUUGAAGUACUUUUUUCACACUUUUUGAAAUUUUGGUAGGUUGUGAGUUACAAACUUACACUUAAGCAUUACUUGGUGGUUUUGAAAAUUCAAGUGAUACUUACACACGUUUUGAUUAGAUUUUAGGUUAGAUUGAUUUGUUGCACUUGAUGGUCAUUUUUGGUCUUGAAAUGCUUUUUUCAACCUUUUUGGUAGAUUAUGAGUUACGAACUUACACUUGGGAUUUGCUAGGUCAUUUUUAAAACUCAAGUAAUACCUAGCCCCGUUUUGAUCAUGUUUUAGGUUGGUUUGAUCUAAGUUUGUUGCACUUGCACACUUGGUUGCCAUUUUGGGUCUCGUAGUGCUUUUUUCACACUAUUUGAACUUUUUUCGUAAGUUAUGAGUUAUGAAUCUACACGUAAGCUGUUUUAGGUCGUUUUGAAAGUUCAAGUGAAACUUAGACACGUUUUGAACUCGUUUUAGAUUGGUUUCAAACUAUGUUUUAAACACAUUUGAUUGACAUGUUGGGUCUUGAAGUACUUUUUUCACACAUAUUGAAAUUUUGGUAGGUUGUGAGUUACAAACUUACACUUAAGCAUUGCUUGGUUGUUUUGAAUAUUCAAGUGAUACUUACACACGUUUUGAAUACAUUUUAGGUUAGAUUGAGUUGGUUGCACUUGGUUGUCAUUUUUUGUCUUGAUAUGCUUUUUCAACCUUUUUGGUAGAUUAUGAGUUACGAACUUACACUUAGGAUUUGCUUGGUCGUUUGGAAAACUCAAGUAAUACAUAGACACGUUUUGAGCACGUUUUAGGUUGGUUUGCACUAAGUUUGUUGCACUUACACACUUGGUUGCCAUUUUGGGUCUUGUAGUGCUUUUUUCACAAUAUUUGAAAUUUUUUCGUAGGUUUUGAGUAAUGAACCUACACCUAAGCUUUUUUAGGUCGUUUUGAAAGUUCAAGUGAUACUUAGACACGUUUUGAACUCGUUUUAGGUUGGUUUGAAACUAAGUUUUAAACACAUUUGAUUGACAUGUUGGUCUUGAAGUACUUUUUUCACACUUUUUGAAAUUUUGGUAGGUUGUGAGUUACAAACUUACACUUAAGCAUUGCUGGGUCGUUUUGAAAAUUCAAGUGAUAGUUACACACGUUUUGAAUACAUUUUAGGUUAGAUUGAGUUUGUUGCACUUGGUUGUCAUUUUUGCUCUUGAAAUGCUUUUUUUUCAAACUUUUUGGUAGAUUAUGAGUUACGAACUUACACUUAGGAUUUGCUAGGUCGUUUUAAAAACUCAAGUAAUAGCUAGACACGUUUUGAGCACGUUUUAGGUUGGUUUGAACUAAGUUCGUUGCAUUUACACACUUGGUUGCCAUUUUGGGUCUUGUAGUGUUUUUUUCAAAAAUUUUUGAACUUUUUGCUAGGUUAUGACUUAUGAACUUGUAUUGAAUAUUUGUUAGGUCGUUUGAUAAUUCAAGUGAUACUUAGAAAAUGCAACCGAGCUUAAACAAUUCCGCUCAUUUUUCUAAAAAAUUUUAGUUUAACCUAUUUAAUAAAAUUCGAUGGAAAUUCUUGUUUUCUUUUUGUAGGAAUAAAAGGAAAUGAAAUAUAACCAAACUUGGGAUCUUUGCAAGCAAUCUUCCAUGAAGAAACUUGGCUACAAGUGGUUUGGGGUUUGGGUUUUUAGGCUUAGGGCUUUUUGGGCUUAUGACUUAGGCUUUUAGCGCUUUUAGGGCUUUUAGGGCUUAUGGCUUUAGGGUUUAGGGUAUAGGGUUUAGGGGUUUAGGGUUUAGGUUUAGGGCGCUUAGGCUUUUAGGGAUUUUAGGGCGCUUAGGGCUUUUAGGUUUUAGGGCUUAGGCUUUUAGGGAUUAUGGCUUAGGGCUUUUAGGGCUUAGCGCUUUUAGGGCUUAGGGCUUAGAGCUUAGGGCUUUAAGGGCUUUAAGGGUAUUUAGGGAUAAGGGAUUUUAGGGCUUUUAGGACAUUUAGGGCUUUUGGAGCUUUUAGGGCUUUUAGGCUUAGGGCCUUUGGCUUAGGGCUUAGGGAUUAGGGCUUGGGCUUUUAAGGCUCGGGCUUUGGGCUCUUGGGCUUUUAGGGCUUUUUAGUGCUCUUAGGGCUUUUUGGGCGGCUUAGGGCUUUUAGGGAUUAGGGCUUAUGGCUUAGGGCUUAGGGUUUUGGGCUUUUAGGGCUUGGGCUUUGGGCUUUUAGGGCUUAGGGCUUCGGGCUUAGGGCUUUUAGGCCUAGGGCUUUUAGGCCUAGGGCUUUUAGGGCUUGGGCUUUGGGCUUUUAGUGCGCCUAGAGUGUUUAAGGCGUUUAGGGCUUUUUGGGCACUUAGGGCUUAUGCCUUUUAGGGCUUAGGGCUUAGGGCUUAGGGUUUGGGCUUUGGGCUUCUAGGGCUUUUAGGGAGCUUAGGGCUUAGGGCUUUUUGGGCUUUUUGGGCUUUUUGGGCUUUUUGGGCUUUUAGGCUUAGGGCUUAGGCUUUUUAGGGCUUUUAGGUUUUAGGAUUUAAGGCUUUUAGCGCUUAGCGCUUUUAGGGCUUAGGGCUUAGGGAUUUUAGGGCUUUUAGGCCUUUUAGGGCUUAGGCCUUUUAGGGCUUAGGGAUUUUAGGGCUUUUUGGGCAUUUAGGGCUUUUUGGGCUUUUAGGGCUUACGGUUUGGGCUUUGGGCUUUGGGCUUUUAGGGCUUGAGCUUUGGGCUUUUAGGGCUUGGGCUUUGAACAGCUUGUUGACUACCCAGUUUCAGUUUUAACUGAGAAAUAUGGAACACAUUGUGGAUACUGGCUUCCGGCGGUAACAUCAAUCUGUACGCAACUGCUCCUAUUUCUUCAGUAAUUUUGUAGGGUCCGUAAUAUUUAGGUGCUAACUUUUCACACUUCUUCCGAGCCAAGGAGUGUUGCCGGUAAGGUCUCAAUUUCAAGUAGACUUCAUCUCCUACCUUAAAUGUUAACUCUCAUCUAUUUCGAUCAGCCAUUUUCUCAUCCUGUUCUGGGCUACACACAGGUGUUCUUUUAAGGCAUUGAUGGCUAAGUCACGUUCCUUCAGCAGCGUGUCAACCUCAUUAUUAGGAGUUUUCUUGUAACCAUAGGAUAACAGGGGAGGAGGCGGUCUGCGGUAUACCGUCUGGAAAGGGGUCAUUUUGGUGGAUGCAUGGAAGGUGGUAUUUGUUGAUUUUAUGGAAUUAAUCUAUAUUUCAUUCAUUACUUAAUAGAGAUACAAGCCUAUAUAUAACCAUAGAGAAAUAUACUUAAGGAAAUAAUAUCAAAUAAUAUCUCCAGAAUAAUAUCUCCUAAGAAUAAUCUAAUUAUAUUAAUACCCUCCCUCAAACUCAAGGUUGAAAUCACAAACUUGAGUUUGCUAAGAACUAAGAAAAGAAACAAUAUAUCUAGAAUAGAAUAAAAAACCCGAAGAACAAACACACAAAGAACUUCUAGGUUAGAACAAACCACGAAAAACUUCUGGGAUAGAAACAUAGAUCCUCGUAUAGAGAUCUAUAACAGAACCUAGGAAGAACGAAACAAGAACUUCGAGGGGCAAAAUGAAAGAGCAAAACUGAAGCAAAGUAGAAUCAAAGCUGGACGAAAACAGGGUCGGAAUUGGACAGAAGUGUUUUGUCGGAUCAGAUGGAACUGAACGAACUAAACUAGAGCAAGUCAGAAUCAGAUUAAACGGAAAAUCUGGGGCGAACAGAACGGAAACUGAACUGAAUGGAGCAGAGAGGCUUAGCGGAUCUGAACAAAAACAGAAUGGAGGCGUCGUUGGAUCUGGGCUUCGAUCUAAACUUCAAAGGCAGACAUGAAGAAUGGGUCUGAACGAAAUCAGACAGGUCUGGAACAGAUUGGAGGCGGACGCGAGGAUCUGAGGACAUGGGGUUUCAUGGGUUUUGUCGAGACAACAUAAGAAGAUGGAGCAACGACAACGAAACACAGCGGCGAGCGGAGCUUCUUGGACGACGGACAAAACCGAAACUCUUCGGCUGGGCGUUUGGCUUCAACUGGCAGAGGUUCAAUCGGCUGCUUGGCUAACAGAAAAACAAGAGGUCGGACGCGGACGCUAGUGAAAAACAAAUGGGGUUUCUGGGGUUUGGAUAGUGGCAGAUUUGAACAGCAAUGAGUGACAAAGGGAAGGUGCAACGACAACGGCAGAUUUGCAGAUCUAAGGGGUGGCUUCGGCUAAUGGGAGAUGAUUUUCCUCCGUUGAUGGCUAAUGAGAGAUGAUUCUGCCUCCGUUGAUGAAUGAUCAACGGAGGCAGAGAUCAAACGGGAUGUGGAGGCUAGAAUUCAAUAAGGCGAAAACCCUAGAGCUCUGAUACCAUGUUGAUUUUAUGGAAUUAAUCUAUAUUUCAUUCAUUACUUAAUAGAGAUACAAGCCUAUAUAUAACCAUAGAGAAAUAUACUUAAGGAAAUAAUAUCAAAUAAUAUCUCCAGAAUAAUAUCUCCAGAAUAAUAUCUCCUAAGAAUAAUCUAAUUAUAUUAAUAGUAUUAUACCACAAUUCUGCCCAUAGAAUCAGUUUAUCCCGUUUUUUUUUGUUGUUCAUUACAAAAACAUCGCAGAUAGGUUUCGAGACAUCUAUUUACCCUUUUUGUCUGCCCAUCAGUUUGUGACUGAAACGCGGUACUCCUCUUUAGAAUAGUUCCCAUAGUUGCAAACAGUUCCUUCCAAAAAUUACUAAGAAAGAUUUUAUCCCGAUCUGUGAUAAUCGACAAAAUAGUAAGCAACUUGUAAGAGUUGUUGCACUUGAUUGGUUUCAAACUAUGUUUUAAACACAUUUCAUUGAUGAAGUACUUUUUUCACACUUUUUGAAAUUUUGGUAGGUUGUGAGUUACAAACUUACACUUAAGCAUUGCUUGGUCGUUUUGAAAAUUCAAGUGAUACUUCCACACGUUUUGAAUACAUUUUAGGUUAGAUUGAGUUUGUUGCACUUGGUUGUCAUUUUUGGUCGUGAAAUGCCUUUUUCACCUUUUUGGUAGAUUAUGAGUUACGAACUUACACUUAGGAUUUGCUAGAUCGUUUUGAAAACUCAAGUACUACCUAGACACGUUUUGAGCAUGUUUUAGGUCGGUUUGAACUAAGCUUGUUGCCCUUAAACACUUGGUUGCCAUUUUGGGUCUUGUAGUGCUUUUUUCACACUAUUUGAACUUUUUUCGUAAGUUAUCAGUUAGGAAUCUACACGUAAGCUGUUUUAGGUCGUUUUGAAAGUUCAAGUGAAACUUAGACACGUUUUGAACUCGUUUUAGGUUUGUUUGAAACUAAAUUUUAAACACAUUUCAUUGACAUGUUGGGUCUUGAAGUACUUUUUUCACACUUUUUAAAAUUUUGGUAGGUUGUGAGUUACAAACUUACACUUAAGCAUUACUUGGUCGUUUUGAAAAUUCAAGUGAUACUUACACACGUUUUGAUUACAUUUUAGGUUAGAUUGAGUUGUUGCACUUGAUGGUCAUUUUUGGUCUUGAAAUGCUUUUUUCAACAUUUUUGGUACAUUAUGAGUUACGAACUUACACUUAGGAUCUGCUAGGUCGUUUUGAAAACUCAAGUAGUACCUAGACACGUUUUGAGCAUGUUUUAGGUUGGUUUGAACUAAGUUUGUUGCACUUACACACUUAGUUGCCAUUUUGGGUCUUGUAGUGCUUUUUUCACACUAUUUGAACUUUUUUCGUAAGUUAUGAGUAAUGAAUCUACACGUAAGCUGUUUUAGGUUGUUUUGAAAUUUGAAGUGAAACGUAGACACCUUUUGAACAUGUUUUAGGUUGGUUUGAAACUAACUUUUAAACACAUUUGAUUGACAUGUUGGGUCUUGAAGUACUUUUUUCACACUUUUUGAAAUUUUGGUAGGUUGUGAGUUACAAACUUACACUUAAGCAUUACUUGGUGGUUUUGAAAAUUCAAGUGAUACUUACACACGUUUUGAUUAGAUUUUAGGUUAGAUUGAUUUGUUGCACUUGAUGGUCAUUUUUGGUCUUGAAAUGCUUUUUUCAACCUUUUUGGUAGAUUAUGAGUUACGAACUUACACUUAGGAUUUGCUAGGUCGUUUUUAAAACUCAAGUAAUACCUAGCCACGUUUUGAUCAUGUUUUAGGUUGGGUUGAUCUAAGUUUGUUGCACUUGCACACUUGGUUGCCCUUUUGGGUAUUGUAGUGCUUUUUUCACACUAUUUGAACUUUUUUCGUAAGUUAUGAGUUAUGAAUCUACACGAAAGUUGUUUUAGGUCGUUUUGAAAGUUGAAGUGAAACUUAGACACGUUUUGAACUCGUUUUAGAUUGGUUUCAAACUAUGUUUUAAACACAUUUGAUUGACAUGUUGGGUCUUGAAGUUCUUUUUUCACACUAUUGAAAUUUUGGUAGGUUGUGAGUUACAAACUUACACUUAAGCAUUGCUUGGUCGUUUUGAAUAUUCAACUGAUACUUACACACGUUUUGAAUACAUUUUAGGUUAGAUUGAGUUUGUUGCACUUGGUUGUCAUUUUUGGUCUUGAAAUGCCGUUUUCAACCUUUUUGGUAGAUUAUGAGUUACGAACUUACACUUAGGAUUUGCUAGGUCGUUUUGAAAACUCAAGUAGUACCUAGACACGUUUUGAGCAUGUUUUAGGUUGGUUUGAACUAAGUUUGUUGCACUUACACACUUAGUUGCCAUUUUGGGUCUUGUAGUGCUUUUUUCACACUAUUUGAACUUUUUUCGUAAGUUAUGAGUUAUGAAUCUACACGUAAGCUGUUUUAGGUUGUUUUGAAAGUUGAAGUGAACUUAGACACGUUUUGAACAUGUUUUAGGUUGGUUUGAAACUAACUUUUAAACACAUUUGAUUGACAUGUUGGGUGUUGAAGUACUUUUUUCACACUUUUUGAAAUUUUGGUAGGUUGUGAGUUACAAACUUACACUUAAGCAUUACUUGGUGUUUUGAAAAUUCAAGUGAUACUUACACACGUUUUGAAUACAUUUUAGGUUAGAUUGAUUUGUUGCACUUGAUGGUCAUUUUUGGUCUUGAAAUGCUUUUUUCACCUUUUUGGUAGAUUAUGAGUUACGAACUUACACUUAGGAUUUGCUAGGUCGUUUUUAAAACUCAAGUAAUACCUAGCCACGUUUUGAGCAUGUUUUAGGUUGGUUUGAUCUAAGUUUGUUGCACUUGCACACUUGGUUGCCAUUUGGGUCUUGUAGUGCUUUUUUCACACUAUUUGAACUUUUUUCGUAAGUUAUGAGUUACGAAUCUACACGUAAGCUGUUUUAGGUCGUUUUGAAAGUUCAAGUGAAACUUAGACACGUUUUGAACUCGUUUUAGAUUGGUUUCAAACUAUAUUUUAAACACAUUUGAUUGACAUGUUGGGUCUUGAAGUACUUUUUUCACACAUUUGAAAUUUUGGUAGGUUGUGAGUACAAACUUACACUUAAGCAUUGCUUGGUCAUUUUGAAAAUUCAAGUGAUACUUACACACGUUUUGAAUACAUUUUAGGUUAGAUUGAGUUUGUUGCACUUGGUUGUCAUUUUUGGUCUGAAAUGCUUUUUUCAACCUUUUUGGUAGAUUAUGAGUUACGAACUUACACUUAGGAUUUGCUAGGUCGUUUUGAAAACUCAAGUAUACCUAGACACGUUUUGAGCAUGUUUUAGGUCGGUUUGAACUAAGUUUGUUGCCUUACACACUUGGUUGCCAUUUUGGGUCUUUAGUGCUUUUUUCCACUAUUUGAACUUUUUUCGUAAGUUAUGAGUUAGAAUCUACACGUAAGCUUUUUAGGUCGUUUUGAAAGUUCAAGUGAACUUAGACACGUUUUGAACUCGUUUUAGGUUUGUUUGAAACUAAGUUUUAAACACAUUUCAUUGACAUGUUGGGUCUUGAAGUACUUUUUUCACACUUUUUGAAAUUUUGGUAGGUUGUGAGUUACAAACUUACACUUAAGCAUUACUUGUGUUUUGAAAAUUCAAGUGAUACUUACACACGUUUUGAAUUACAUUUUAGGUUAGAUUGAUUUGUUGCACUUGAUGUCAUUUUUGGUCUUGAAAUGCUUUUUUCACCUUUUUGGUAGAUUAUGAGUUACGAACUUACACUUAGGAUUUGCUAGGUCGUUUUUAAAACUCAAGUAAUACCUAGCCACGUUUUGAUCAUGUUUUAGGUUGGUUGAUCUAAGUUUGUUGCACUUGCACACAUGGUUGCCCUUUUGGGUAUUGUAGUGCUUUUUUCACACUAUUUGAACUUUUUUCGUAGUUAUGAGUUAUGAAUCUACACGAAAGUUGUUUUAGGUCGUUUUGAAAGUUGAAGUGAAACUUAGACACGUUUUGAACUCGUUUUAGAUUGGUUUCAAACUAUGUUUUAAACACAUUUGAUUGACAUGUUGGGUCUUGAAGUUCUUUUUUCACACAUAUUGAAAUUUUGGUAGGUUGUGAGUUACAAACUUACACUUAAGCAUUGCUUGGUCGUUUUGAAUAUUCAACUGAUACUUACACACGUUUUGAAUACAUUUUAGGUUAGAUUGAGUUUGGUUGCACUUGGUUGUCAUUUUUGGUCUUGAAAUGCUUUUUCAACCUUUUUGGUAGAUUAUGAGUUACGAACUUACACUUAGGAUUUGCUAGGUCGUUUUGAAAACUCAAGUAGUACCUAGACACGUUUUGAGCAUGUUUUAGGUUGGUUUGAACUAAGUUUGUUGCACUUACACACUUGGUUGCCAUUUUGGGUCUUGUAGUGCUUUUUUCACACUAUUUGAACUUUUUUCGUAAGUUAUGAGUUAUGAAUCUACACGUAAGCUGUUUUAGGUUGUUUUGAAAGUUCAAGUGAUACUUAGACACCUUUUGAACUCGUUUUAGGUUGGUUUGAAACUAACUUUUAAACACAUUUGAUUGACAUGUUGGGUGUUGAAGUACUUUUUUCACACUUUUUGAAAUUUUGGUAGGUUGUGAGUUACAAACUUACACUUAAGCAUUACUUGGUGGUUUUGAAAAUUCAAGUGAUACUUACACACGUUUUGAUUACAUUUUAGGUUAGAUUGAUUUGUUGCACUUGAUGGUCAUUUUUGGUCUUGAAAUGCUUUUUUCAACCUUUUUGGUAGAUUAUGAGUUACGAACUUACACUUAGGAUUUGCUAGGUCGUUUUUAAAACUCAAGUAAUACCUAGCCACGUUUUGAUCAUGUUUUAGGUUGGUUUGAUCUAAGUUUGUUGCACUUGCACACUUGGUUGCCAUUUUGGGUCUUGUAGUGCUUUUUUCACACUAUUUGAACUUUUUUCGUAAGUUAUGAGUUAUGAAUCUACACGUAAGCUGUUUUAGGUCGUUUUGAAAGUUCAAGUGAAACUUAGACACGUUUUGAACUCGUUUUAGAUUGGUUUCAAACUAUAUUUUAAACACAUUUCAUUGACAUGUUGGGUCUUGAAGUACUUUUUUCACACAUAUUGAAAUUUUGGUAGGUUGUGAGCUACAAACUUACACUUAAGCAUUGCUUGGUCAUUUUGAAAAUUCAAGUGAUACUUACACACGUUUUGAAUACAUUUUAGGUUAGAUUGAGUUUGUUGCACUUGGUUGUCAUUUUUGGUCGUGAAAUGCCUUUUUCAACCUUUUUGGUAGAUUAUGAGUUACGAACUUACACUUAGGAUUUGCUAGGUCGUUUUGAAAACUCAAGUAACUACUAGACACGUUUUGAGACAUGUUUUAGGUCGGUUUGAACUAAGCUUGUUGCCUUACACACUUGGUUGCCAUUUUGGGUCUUGUAGUGCUUUUUUCCCACUAUUUGAACUUUUUUCGUAAGUUAUCAGUUAGGAAUCUACACGUAAGCUGUUUUAGGUCGUUUUGAAAGUUCAAGUGAAACUUAGACACGUUUUGAACUCGUUUUAGGUUUGUUUGAAACUAAAUUUUAAACACAUUUCAUUGACAUGUUGGAUCUUGAAGUACUUUUUUCACACUUUUUGAAAUUUUGGUAGGUUGUGAGUUACAAACUUACACUUAAGCAUUACUUUGUGGUUUUGAAAAUUCAAGUGAUACUUACACACGUUUUGAUUAGAUUUUAGGUUAGAUUGAUUUGUUGCACUUGAUGGUCAUUUUUGGUCUUGAAAUGCUUUUUUCAACCUUUUUGGUAGAUUAUGAGUUACGAACUUACACUUGGGAUUUGCUAGGUCAUUUUUAAAACUCAAGUAAUACCUAGCCCCGUUUUGAUCAUGUUUUAGGUUGGUUUGAUCUAAGUUUGUUGCACUUGCACACUUGGUUUCCAUUUUGGGUCUUGUAGUGCUUUUUUCACACUAUUUGAACUUUUUUCGUAAGUUAUGAGUUAUGAAUCUACACGUAAGCUGUUUUAGGUCGUUUUGAAAGUUCAAGUGAAACUUAGACACGUUUUGAACUCGUUUUAGAUUGGUUUCAAACUAUGUUUUAAACACAUUUGAUUGACAUGUUGGGUCUUGAAGUACUUUUUUCACACAUAUUGAAAUUUUGGUAGGUUGUGAGUUACAAACUUACACUUAAGCAUUGCUUGGUAGUUUUGAAUAUUCAAGUGAUACUUACACAGUUUGAAUCAUUUUAGUUAGAUUGAGUUGGUUGCACUUGGUUGUCAUUUUUGUCUUGAUAUGCUUUUUUCAACCUUUUUGUGAUUAUGAGUUACGAACUUACACUUAGGAUUGCUUGGUCGUUUUAAAACUCAAGUAAUACAUAACACGUUUUGAGCAUUUUAGGUUGGUUUGCACUAAGUUUGUUGCACUUACACACUUGUUGCCAUUUGGGUCUUGUAGUGCUUUUUCACAAUAUUUGAAAUUUUUUCGUAGGUUUUGAGUAAUGAACCUACACCUAAGCUUUUUUAGGUCGUUUUGAAAGUUCAAGUGAUACUUAGACACGUUUUGAACUUGUUUUAGGUUGGUUUGAAACUAAGUUUUAAACACAUUUGAUUGACAUGUUGGUCUUGAAGUACUUUUUUCACACUUUUUGAAAUUUUGGUAGGUUGUGAGUUACAAACUUACACUUAAGCAUUGCUGGGUCGUUUUGAAAAUUCAAGUGAUAGUUACACACGUUUUGAAUACAUUUUAGGUUAGAUUGAGUUUGUUGCACUUGGUUGUCAUUUUUGCUCUUGAAAUGCUUUUUUUCAAACUUUUUGGUAGAUUAUGAGUUACGAACUUACACUUAGGAUUUGCUAGGUCGUUUUGAAAACUCAAGUAAUAGCUAGACACGUUUUGAGCACGUUUUAGGUUGGUUUGAACUAAGUUCGUUGCAUUUACACACUUGGUUGCCAUUUUGGGUCUUGUAGUGUCUUUUUCAAAAAUUUUGAACUUUUUGCUAGGUUAUGACUUAUGAACUUGUAUUGAAUAUUUGUUAGGUCGUUUUGAUAAUUCAAGUGAUACUUAGAAAAUGCAACCGAGCUUAAACAAUUCCGCUCAUUUUUCUAAAAAUUUUAGUUUAACCUAUUUAAUAAAAUUCGAUGGAAAUUCUUGUUUUCUUUUUGUAGGAAUAAAAGGAAAUGAAAUAUAACCAAACUUGGGAUCUUUGCAAGCAAUCUUCCAUGAAGAAACUUGGCUACAAGUGGUUGGGGUUUGGUUUUUAGGCUUAGGGCUUUUUGGGCUUAUGACUUAGGGCUUUUAGCGCUUUUAGGGCUUUUAGGGCUUAUGGCUUUAGGGUUUAGGGUAUAGGGUUUAGGGGUUUAGGGUUUAGGGUUUAGGGCGCUUAGGCUUUUAGGGAUUUUAGGCGCUUAGGGCUUUAGGUUUUAGGGCUUAGGGCUUUUAGGGAUUAUGGCUUAGGGCUUUUAGGGCUUAGCGCUUUUAGGGCUUAGGGCUUAGAGCUUAGGGCUUUAAGGGCUUUAAGGGUAUUUAGGGAUAAGGGAUUUUAGGGCUUUUAGGACAUUUAGGGCUUUUGGAGCUUUUAGGGCUUUUAGGGCUUUUAGGGCUUUUAGUGCUCUUAGGGCUUUUUGGGCGCUUAGGGCUUUUAGGGAUUAGGGCUUAUGGCUUAGGGCUUAGGGUUUGGGCUUUUAGGGCUUGGGCUUUGGGCUUUUAGGGCUUAGGGCUUCGGGCUUAGGGCUUUUAGGGCUUGGGCUUUGGGCUUUUAGUGCGCCUAGAGUGUUUAAGGCGUUUAGGGCUUUUUGGCACUUAGGGCUUAUGCCUUUUAGGGCUUAGGGCUUAGGGCUUAGGGUUUGGGCUUUGGGCUUCUAGGGCUUUUAGGGAGCUUAGGGCUUAGGGCUUUUUGGGCUUUUUGGGCUUUUUGGGCUUUUUGGGCUUUUAGGGCUUAGGGCUUAGGCUUUUAGGGCUUUUAGGUUUUAGGAUUUAAGGCUUUUAGCGCUUAGCGCUUUUAGGGCUUAGGGCUUAGGGAUUUUAGGGCUUUUAGGCCUUUUAGGGCUUAGGCCUUUUAGGGCUUAGGGAUUUUAGGGCUUUUUGGGCAUUUAGGGCUUUUUGGGCUUUUAGGGCUUACGGUUUGGGCUUUGGGCUUUGGGCUUUUAGGGCUUUUAGGGCUUGAGCUUUGGGCUUUUAGGGCUUGGGCUUUGAACAGCUUGUUGACUACCCAGUUUCAGUUUUAACUGAGAAAUAUGGAACACAUUGUGGAUACUGGCUUCCGGCGGUAACAUCAAUCUGUACGCAACUGCUCCUAUUUCUUCAGUAAUUUUGUAGGGUCCGUAAUAUUUAGGUGCUAACUUUUCACACUUCUUCCGAGCCAAGGAGUGUUGCCGGUAAGGUCUCAAUUUCAAGUAGACUUCAUCUCCUACCUUAAAUGUUAACUCUCAUCUAUUUCGAUCAGCCAUUUUCUUCAUCCUGUUCUGGGCUACACACAGGUGUUCUUUUAAGGCAUUGAUGGCUAAGUCACGUUCCUUCAGCAGCGUGUCAACCUCAUUAUUAGGAGUUUUCUUGUAACCAUAGGAUAACAGGGGAGGAGGCGGUCUGCGGUAUACCGUCUGGAAAGGGGUCAUUUUGGUGGAUGCAUGGAAGGUGGUAUUAUACCACAAUUCUGCCCAUAGAAUCAGUUUAUCCCGUUUUUUUUGGUUGUUCAUUACAGAAACAUCGCAGAUAAGUUUCGAGACAUCUAUUUACCCUUUUUGUCUGCCCAUCAGUUUGUGACUGAAACGCGGUACUCCUCUUUAGAAUAGUUCCCAUAGUUGCAAACAGUUCCUUCCAAAAAUUACUAAGAAAGAUUUUAUCCCGAUCUGUGAUAAUCGACAAAAUUACUUAGGAUAAUCGCCUAGUAGGUCUUUAGAAUAGUUCCCAUCAGCCGUGCUUGCUUACUAUUUUGUCGAUGAAUAUGGAAGCAACUUGCUUGGCUGAAAACGGAUGUCUCAAUGAUAUAAAGUAAGAAUACUUACUCAGCCGAUCAACUACCACCAUGAUCACAUUAACCCUCCAGCUAGUGGCAACCCCUCAAUAAAGUCCAUGGUCCAAUCUUCUAAGAUUCUGUCAGGAAUUGGAAUUGGUUGAAGUACCCCAGCUGGUUUGGUUGCUUCGUAUUUGUUUCUCUGGCAGAUCUCGCAUUGUUCCACAUAUUUCUUUAUUUCAGCCUUCAUACCCCUCCAAUAUAGUUCUCCACUGACCCUCUUGUAAGUUCUUUAAAAAUCCAGAAUGUCCCCCGAGGAUAGAAUCGUGGAAAGUAUGUAGGAUCUUGGGUAUAAGUGUAGAAGUUUGAGAUACUACCAUUCUCCCCUUAUAGAGCAAUCUUCCUUUUUCCACUUGAAACUUGCUUCCUUCUGCAUUUUUCUUCAGAUUUUCCAUAAUUUUCUUAAGUUCAGCAUCAUUCUCAACUUCCUGCUCGAUUAGUUUCACAUCAAUGAUUCCAGUAGUUGUCAAGCUGUGCAGCUCCACCGGUUGCUCCAUUCUAGAUAGGGCGUCCGCUGCCUUGUUCUGAAGUCUGGGUUGAUAUAAAAUCUCGAAAUCAUAUCCAAGGAGCUUUGUCAACCAUUUCUGGAAUUGGGGUUGUACCUCUCUCUGUUCAAGCAAGAAUUUAAGAGCCUUUUGAUCUGAAAGUAUGGUGAACUUCCUGCCCAGCAAAUAAUAUCCUGUCAGUCCUAAGAAGCCCCGCAGACCAGAUAUAUUCGUUGGUGGUGGCCAAUUAAUCAUCUUCUUGAUCUUAUCCUCAUCUGCCUCAACUCCUCUUUUGGAUAUCAUAUGUCCCAAGUACUGUAUUUGAGAAUGGGCUAUAACGCUUUUUUUUUUUUUGUUAGCAAACAGCUGCUUAUCCUUAAAAACAUUGAAUACCAUGCCCAAAUCCUUUGCGUGUUCAUCUAUAUCCGCACGAUAAACCAGUAUAUCAUCAAAGAACACCAAAACACAGCGCCGAAGGAAAGGUUUAAAUACCGGGUUCAUCAAAGAUUAGAAGGUUGCCGGAGCAUUCGUGAGACCAAACGGCAUUACUAGAAACUCAUAGUGCCCUUCAUGUGUGCAGAACGCAGUUUUCUCCACAUCUUCCUCUUUCAUUCUAAUCUGGUGAUAACCAGAUUUCAGAUCUAAUUUCGAGAAAAUCGUUGCCCCAUUCAGCUCAUCUAAUAAUUCCUCUAUCACAGGAAUUGGGAAGUUAUCCGAUACUGUCGCCUGAUUUAACUUGCGGUAAUCGACACAAAAUCGCAAUCCACCAUCUUUUUUCUUCACUAACAACACCGGGCUGGAGUAAGGGCUAUGACUAGGGCGAAUAACCCCGGCUUGAAGCAUCUCGACCACCAGUUUUUCUAUUUCUUCUUUCUGCACAUGACCGUAUUUGUAAGGUCUUACGUUGAUAGGUUUAUGGUCAGGUAGGGUUAAUAUUCGAUGAUCAAUAGCUCUUUUUGGAGGUAAUUUCUUAGGUGUCUCAAAUAUCUCCGCAUAAUACUUGAGCAGGGAUCGGAUCAUAGGUAUUUCCUCCUCAUCUCCUUUUAAUCUUGUCCCCAUUUCAUAUUCAUUCUCUACUUCCAUCUCAUAAUUCUGGAAUUCUAAGAGGAAGCCUUGAUCUUCUAUAUCCCACGUUUUUUCCAAUGUCUUCAAAGAACAUUCAGGUUUCACUAAGGAUGGAUCUCCUCUUAACACGAUUUGCUUGUCUUUUGCCCAAAAGGUCAUGGUUAAUGAUGGCCAAUGUACCUUCAUUGUGCCGGUGGUAUCUAGCCAUUGCAUCCCUAAAAUCACGUCAAUAUUUCCUAGUUCCACCACUAGAAAAUCAGUUAUAACUGUCGUUUCUUUCAAUCUCAGUUCCACCUUUCUGCAAAUACCUUUCCCUUUACAGCGGGUCCCGUCUCCAAUAGUCACUCCAAAUUGUGUACCGGGUUCAAUGUUCAACCCUCCUACCAUUGCCACUGCUUCAUGGAUGAAGUUGUUCGUAGCUCCACUGUCGAUGAGAAUCACCACCUCCCUUCCUUUUACAUGCCCCUUCAGUUUCAUUGUCCCUUUGGAUGUUAACCCCGUGAGUGUCUUCAAUUCAAUUUCGGUGGUUUCAGCAACAACUAACUGGUUCAGCUCCAUUACUUCUUCGGUCUCUUCCAUUUUGACUUCCUCUCCGCCACUCUCUUCUUCGUUAAGUAUAAAUAACAUUAAUUCCCUUUUCUCUCUCAUCUUGCAUCGGUGUCCCGGUGAGUACUUCUCAUUGCAUCUAAAACACAAACCCUUGUCCAAUCUUGCUCUGAAUUCCGUGUCCGAGAGUCUUUUAACUGGAGGUUCAUUUUUCUGGUAGUUUCCUUUAAUGGGAAAAGUGACUUGCUUCAUGGGGAACUCAGUCUUCUUUGGUGAACUUUUAUCUUGACUGCUUUGUCCCUUGCUUGAGCCUCCUCCUUCCCUAGUCACACUGUUUACUCAUUCUGCCUUGGCUAAUUUCAAGGCUAGGUUUCUGUCACUUACCAGUUGUGCGUCCUUCAUACAUUCCUCUAAGGUUUGAGGAUGUCUACUAAUAACUUCUGCUUGAAGAGCCGAUUCUAAACCUGUCACGAAUGCAUCUAAGAGCACGCUUUCAGCCAUGUGCGGUAGUGGUGCAGAAUAUUGUACAAAUUUCUUGACAUAAUCAUUAUAGGAUCCAUCUUGUUCUAUUCGAAUCAGCCUUGCACCUAAGCUCUUCUGCCCAGAAUCUCGAAAAAAUUCAAACAUCCUUACCUUCAAAUCUUCCCAUCCUUCCACCUUCUUUCUAUGGUUACUCCAACGGUACCAAUCGAUUUCAUCUUGUCCAAAACUAACCACUGCUACUUUCACUUUUUCUGCUUCCGGUAGGCUAUUAAUUUCGAAAAAAUGCUCAGCUCUAAACACCCAUGACUCAGGAUUUUCCCGGUGAAAAUCGGCAUUUCCAGUUUCUUAUAUUUGCUUUGUCUCGGUCGACAGUUACUACAUUGUUUUCCCCUGGAUUGUCGGCUUCUUCCCAUUUUCCUUUUAACUUCAUGACUGAUCCAUCAGAAGUUCCGGAUUCAUCUCGCCUUUUGUAGCUGCUGUUUUCUUUCAUUUCAUCAGCCAGUCUAUCCAUGGAUUUCUUCAUUUCCAGAAUCAUUUCCUUCAAUCCCAGUAUUUCUUUCUCUGUUCCAGCUGUUCUUUCUUCUAUUUGCCUUUGCGCCAUCAGUCGCGUCACCACCCCCAACGUUUGGGCUCUGAUACCAGUUGUAGAGACUCCACAAAUAAAAUACUAAAUUACCCAAACAGUUGGCAAACAGAGACAGCACUCUGUAGAUCUUUAUUUAUAUAUAAAUGCCAAAAGAUACAGUAGAAGGAAAUAUAAAAGAAAGCAAUAAAGAUGAUAACAUCAUGUCAAACCUCCCCACGAAAAGAUAGUAGUCCUUCCUAGACCUAGCAGCCUCUAUAGACCAAAUGAAGACAAGAAGUUAACCUAGCCCCCAAUCCCGAUAAGGCCUUAUUUAUAACUCUUUUCUCAUUCUUCCCCGUGGGACCCACUCUCAUGUUCUUUUCCUAAUAUUCUCCCCUUUUCUGCUGCCUGAGCUUUUACGUUUUUACCCCUCCUUUUGUAUGUAUGGAUAAUAGGGGCCUUACAAAUUUCUUCCAACACUAUGAAACAUUUAUGUUAUAGUUUUAUUAUUGUUAAACAUCAUUGUAAUUUCCAAACACAACUCUGCCAAAGUUCCCAAGAUAGUUCUAUAGCAAUGUUCCACUGCUAUCUUGCAAGUGAUGUGGAACUCCUUUGCUUUUUUGAAUAGUAAGCUGGCCUUCCUCUUUUGUUAUGCUUUGUUUUAUUCUUAAUACUUGCUUUUAUCUUCGCCUAUUUCAUUCCUAGUUGAUAUAUUACAUAGUCCUCUUAAAUCUACAUUCUUUUUCUGUUUUAUGAUUCACUUGAGUUUAAUGACUAACUUUGGCGAAAUAAUGUUUAACUAUAUUAGAUGUUUUGCAUCUAAACCUCAAUUGAAAAGGUUUGUUACCUGUAUCAUUAUAAGGUUUCCAUGAUUUGUUACCUGUAUCAUUAAAAAUAUUGGGUCGGGUGCAUUUGCUUACACACCAUUCCAUGGCCAGCAGCAGAGGUUGUACUCUACGAUUCAAUUCCUUUCCUAAUCACAAUUUUGAUAGAUUUGUUUCUGAAAAACAAUAUUUAACUUCCUAUUUUUUUGUUUUUUGAUAAAUCUAUUAGUAUAUUUGAUGUAAACUAUAGCUAGUUAGUUAGUAAAAAUCCCUAACUAAUUAGAAAUACAGCUGUAACUAACUUCCUAAAACAGUCUUGUAACUAACUAAAUAAAACAACCUUGUAACUAACUUGUAACUAACUUGUAACUAACCUUGAGAUAUCAAUAUAUAACAGUCUCCUAGCCUGAAAUAUGGCAGAGAAUUCUUUUGAAAAAUCAAUCCAACUUGAAUUACAUCAAAUUGGUAUCAGAGCAGCCCCGAUUCUUGGACGGAAUGGCUGGCCGAAGAGUUAACAACCCUGCCACGGGGGAAAACCGUGUGCAAGAAGCGGCGGAGGAAAUCACCGUCCUCUCUCCAAAGACAUCAACAGUUCGCUUGCUGGCUGUUGAAGAAUCUUUGGGAGAUCUCCACAACAAAUUUGAUAGGUUGAUGGAAAGUGUCGAACUGUUAAACCGAAGAGGAGAAUUCCCACAGCCACCACCACGGAAUGAAAUUAACUUCCAAAACGACCAACGUUUUGGUGAAGCAAGAGGCCGGCGAGCAAGGGGAUACAUUAGAAACAUGAACAACCCACGAGGACUUCAAAGAAGGAGACCCGGUUACGCUAUACAGCAACAACUUGACGAAGACUUUCAAGAAGAUCAAGAAGCUUGGCAAGAAACCCAAGAAGAUGAUUCUUCAAGCGGGGAUGAACAAGGAAACAUGUGGAACUUCAAUGAUGAAGCACGAGCAGGAAGAAAUAACCGAAGAAUUGAGGCCAGAAGAGGAGAAUACCACGAUUAUAAGAUGAAGAUUGACCUUCCCAUGUAUGAUGGCAAACGAAACAUAGAAGCAUUCUCGGACUGGAUAAAGAGUACUGAAAACUUCUUCAACUACAUGGAUACGCCUGAACGCAAGAAAGUCCACCUGGUAGCCUUAAAAUUAAGGGCUGGUGCAUCAGCUUGGUAGGAUCAGUUAGAAAUCAAUAGACAAAGAUGCGGGAAACAACCGGUUCGCUCAUGGGAAAAGAUGAAAAAAUUGCUGAAGGCAAGAUUCUUACCACCAAACUACGAACAAACUUUAUACAAUCAGUACCAAAACUGCCGCCAAGGUGUCCGGACAGUAGCUGAGUACAUUGAAGAAUUCCACCGCCUGAGUGCAAGAACAAACCUAAGCGAAAAUGAACAGCACCAGGUUGCAAGAUUUGUGGGAGGCCUUCGAUUCGACAUCAAGGAAAAGGUCAGACUACAACCAUUCCGUUUCCUAUCUGAAGCAAUAUCAUUUGCAGAAACGGUAGAGGAGAUGAUUGCAAUCCGAUCCAAGAAUCUAAAUAGAAGAUCAGCAUGGGAAACAAAUUCGACAAAAAGCAAAACAAACGACCAACCUUCAACCUCAACAAAAGCAAAAGGGAAAGAGAUUGAUAAUCAAGAAGUAGCCGUUGAAAGAAAGAAAGAACAGACGUUCAAGCCUAGUGGUCAGAACAGCUACUCCCGCCCGUCAUUAGGAAAAUGCUUCCGAUGUGGCCAAACUGGCCACCUGUCCAACAACUGUCCGCAAAGAAAAACCAUUGCAAUAGCCGAAGAAGGAGGACAGACAAGUGAAGACAGUAUAGAAGCAGAGGAAGAAACUGAACUGAUUGAAGCAGAUGAUGGGGAAAGGGUCUCUUGUGUUAUCCAACGGUUACUAAUUACGCCCAAGGAAGAAAAGAACCUGCAACGCCACUGUCUUUUCAAGACAAGAUGCACCAUAAACGGAAGAGUAUGUGAGGUAAUCAUAGACAGCGGCAGCAGCGAAAACUUCGUAGCAAAGAAAUUAGUAACAGUCUUGAAUCUAAAGGCUGAAGCACAUAUGAGUUUCAAUGGAUGGGAAGAAAGGUAGUCUUACUCCCUAUAACGAAAAAGAUUAACGAAGGGUUAAGAGGUGAGAAACAGUUAUUCAUCACUGUUAGUGGGAAAAACAUGCUUAAAGAAAGGGAAGAAGACAUCCUAGGACUGGUUGUUAUUGAAAAAACCAAAGAAAAACAGGUUGAAGACAUAGAACCCAAAUUACAGCAGCUCCUUCAUGAGUUCCCUCAUAUAAAGGAAGAACCGAAGGGACUCCCACCCCUUCGAGAUAUACAGUACCACGUAGACUUGAUUCCGGGAGCAUCACUACCAAAUUUGGCUCACUAUAGGAUGAGCCCCCAGGAGUACAAAAUACUUCAUGAUCAUAUUGAGGAAUUACUAAAGAAAGGGCACAUCAAACCUAGCCUCAGCCCGUGUGCAGUACCAGCACUUCUCACGCCAAAGAAAGAUGGAAGCUGGAGAAUGUGCGUUGACAGCAGAGCCAUCAACCGCAUCACGGUAAAGUAUAGAUUUCCCAUUCCAAGGAUUAGUGACCUGCUAGAUCAACUCGGUAAAGCCAGUAUCUUUUCGAAAAUUGACUUGAAAAGUGGCUAUCAUCAAAUACGGGUAAGACCUGGCGACGAAUGGAAGACAGCCCUCAAGACAAACGAAGGAUUAUUUGAAUGGAUGGUCAUGCCAUUCGGCCUUUCUAAUGCACCCAGCACCUUCAUGAGAUUGAUGAACCAGGUACUUCACCCAUUUCUCAACAAAUUCAUAGUAGUUUACUUCGAUGACAUACUUGUUUACAGCACAAACAAUGAUGAGCAUUUACUACACCUAAGGAAGCUGUUUCAAGUCUUAACAGAGGCGGAACUCUACAUAAAUACUAAGAAAAGCAUGUUUAUGAAAAAAGAAAUUGCAUUCCUCGGCUUUAUAAUCAAACAAGGAAGCAUAAGCAUGGAACCAAAGAAAAUCGAAGCCAUCCAUACAUGGCCGACUCCUGCCUCCAUUAAAGAAAUACAAGCCUUCCUCGGCCUGGCUUCGUUUUACAGGAAAUUCAUCAGAAAUUUCAGCUCUUUAGCCGCACCACUAACUGACUGUCUAAAGAAAGGAAACUUCAAAUGGACCCCAUUACAACAAGAAAGCUUUGAAGAUAUCAAAAAGAAGCUCACAUCCAGCCCUAUCCUUAAAUUACCAGAUUUCUCUUCACCUUUUGAAGUAGCAGUUGAUGCAUGCUGUACAGGGAUUGGAGCUGUCCUAGUACAACAAGGACAUCCUAUCGAAUACUUCAGUGAAAAACUCAGCACCGCAAGACAGACCUGGAGCACAUACGAACAAGAGCUGUAUGCCCUCGUCCGAGCACUAGAACAAUGGGAACACUACCUGAUCUCUAAAGAAUUUGUACUCCUAACUGACCAUUUCUCACUAAAAUACUUUCAAGCUCAAAAGAAUAUCAGUAGGAUGCAGCACGCUGGAUAUCCUUCCUCCAAAGGUUUGACUUCGUGAUCAAACACCAAUCAGGCAAAGAGAACAAGGUGGCCGAUGCUCUAAGCAGAAAAGGCUCCCUACUCACAAUACUGUCCUCGGAAAUCAUAGCAUUCAAACAUUUACCCGACUUAUACGAAGGUGAUACUGACUUCAAGGAUAUCUGGUACAAAUGCUCCAACUUCUUAGACGCUGAUGACUACCACAUUGUUGAAGGAUAUCUAUUUAAAGGAGAACAAUUAUGCAUCCCGCACACCUCACUACGUGAAGCCUUAAUAAAGGAAGCACAUUCUGGAGGGCUAGCUGGACAUUUCGGACAGAACAAGACAUUGGAGAUCACUUCCAAACGAUACUACUGGCCGCAAAUAAGAAAAGACUCCAAUAAUUUCGUAAAAAGAUGCCCCAUCUGCCAAAGAACCAAAGGCUCCAGCACGAAUCCAGGAUUAUACUCGCCACUACCCAUCCCGACCUCAAUUUGGGAAGAUUUAUCAAUUGACUUCGUGAUUGGAUUACCAAAAACACAAAGACAAUUUGACUCAAUAAUGGUCAUAGUGGACAGAUUCAGCAAAAUGACACAUUUCGUAGCAUGCAAAAAGACAAAUGAUGCAAUCUACAUAGCCAACCUCUUCUUUAAAGAAGUAGUACGACUACAUGGAGUACCUAAAAGCAUAGUAUCAGACAGAGAUGUCAAGUUCCUGAGUCACUUUUGGCGAACACUGUGGAAGAAGUUUGACACAACACUGAAAUUCAGCACCACAGCCCACCCACAGACAGAUGGACAAACUGAAGUAACAAACAGGACCCUCGGUAAUCUGCUACGCUGCCUUAGCGGGUCAAAACCAAAACAAUGGGAUCUAGCAUUGGCUCAAGCUGAAUUCGCCUUCAAUAAUAUGAAGAACAGAUCAACAGGAAAGUCCCCCUUCGAAGUAGUUUAUACCAAACUACCACGAUUAACCUUUGAUCUCACUACACUCCCCACAACCGUGGAUCUCAACAACGAAGCAGAAUGCAUGGCAGAAAAUAUCAAAAACUACCCAAGGAAGUCCAUGAUCAUCUUAUACAGACAACAGACUCCUACAAAAAGGCAGCAGAUAAAAAAGAAGACAAGCCCACUUCAAUAAAGGAGACCUAGUAAUGGUACACCUGAAAAAGAGCAGAUUUCCUACUGGCACCUACAACAAGCUGAAAGACAGACAAAUUGGGUCAUUCCCUAUAUUAGAGAAAUACGGAGAUAAUGCCUUCAAGAUCGAUCUACCACAAGACAUACACAUACACCCAGUCUUCAAUGUUGCUGAUCUAAAGCCAUACCAUGCACCAGAUCGUUUCAGGCUUGCUGACUGAUGGACCCUGGGACAAGUCCAUCCUUAGGGGGUGGAAUGAUGUAAACUAUAGCUAGUUAGUUAGUAAAAAUCCCUAACUAAUUAGAAAUACAGCUGUAACUAACUUUCUAAAACAGUCUUGUAACUAACUAAAUAAAACAACCUUUUAACUAACUAAAUAAAACAACCUUGUAACUAACCUUGAGAUAUCAAUAUAUAACAGUCUCCUAGCCUGAAAUAUGGCAGAGAAUUCUUUUGAAAAAUCAAUCCAACUUGAAUUACAUCAAUAUUGGUAAAAUGGUCUAUCGAUAAUGAAAAUCUAUAACUAAUACACAAGUGAUGGACUAACAAUUUAAAAUAUCAUCGUAUUUAUAAAUCACGUGGUUUUGUGACAUAUUUGCUAAUGCCAUAGAAACCUAAAUUAUAUAUACAUUUUAGGUUAGUCACGAUUUUGAGUCUAGAGUUUAGACUUUAGAGAAGCGUCGUAAAUGAACUCUUUAAUCUUUCAGGCCUUUGCGUCUGGAUCUAUAAUACAAUUGUUAAUUUCCUCUAUUCGUGAACAAAUUUAACUAUAUGUUAGUGAAUAAUCGCAUAAAUCUCAUUGUCGUUUCUUACCGUUCACAUUUUUACUUUUGAAAAUACUUUUGUUAUCAACUUAUCUAUGACAAUUAUCUUUAAACGAAAGAUUCUUUUUAAGUCGUCAUGUAUGAAACGAAGUGAUCUUUUCGUUCAUAUUCUUAACAGGUCGGUCUCUCUCCUGCUAUUCAAAAUCUUAGUACUGCCACAUCGAUGAAGAUGACCAAGGUUUUCCAAGCGUUUCUCAUGCUCCAACCCCAACUCGUAGACCUUAUCCACGAGAUGCAGCCAGAUUGUAUCGUUUCUGACGUCUUUUACCCAUGGACGAGUGAUGUGGCAGCCGAGCUCAGAAUCCCACGGCUUGCCUUCAACGGUUCAAGCUUCUUCAGUUAUUGUGCGGAACAAUGUAUAAAGGAGCAUAAGCCACAUCUUGAAGUUGAAUCCAACAAUGAAAAGUUCAAACUUCCGGGGUUGCCUGAUGUUAUUGAAAUGGUGAGAUCUGAGUUGCCAAGUUGGAUCACUAGACAUAAACCAGAUGGUUUCUCACAAUUGCUUGAUGUCAUUAGAGAAUCAGAGAAACGAUGCUAUGGAAUGUUGAUGAAUCGCUUUCAUGAAUUGGAAGCCUCAUAUGAAGAACACUUGAAUAAGGUGAGGUUUACCUCAAACCAUUGUAUAUAACUACACAUUACUCGUUUCUUAACGUAAUCUUUUGGUUUUGAAAUUUGUACUUGAUUUAUGAUCACGAUUUCGUUAGAAUUAUAUUAUUCAUAUUUUUUUAAAAAAAGAGAAUAUUUGAGAACAAAAAUUACAUCUUGAAGUAUAUAUUUGUUUAGAAGCUUGAUUUUUAGAAGUUGUUAAUUAAGCUUCACAUAUUUUUAAAACACACUUGAAUUCUAAGUUAAAGUUUUUCAAGAAAACUACAAAUUUUACUUUAAGAACGUGUUUUUAAAAGGGUUGUUGUCAAAUAAUACAACAUGAGACAAAUUAUUUACUUAUGUAGCAUGAAAUUUUAUUGUCUAAUAAACACUAAUAAUAUAUAGAAAUAGACAUGUGAUAAAAAAAAAUUAUCAUUACGUUGGCCUGUUGCACCCAGCCUUGUAUAUCUCCUUCGGUCGCAAAGAAGAAAAAAAUAUUCAAAUUAUCGUUUUUAAAAAAGAGAAGUUUGUCACGUGGUAACGUGUAAUCUGGACAUUGAAUAAGCUAUACAAAAUAGAUGGAGCUCAAGAUGCACCCAAAUAUUUUUGAAUUGAUUCGAGACUUCGAGGAUUUGUUUUUAUUAUUAUUAUUAUUGUUUGAUAGAUUAUAGGGAUCAAAACAUGGAGCAUAGGGCCAGUAUCAUUGUUGGCAAACAAUGAAAUUGAAGAUAAAGAAUCAAGAGGUGGAAACCCCAACAUUCAAACCACCAACUUACUCCAAUGGCUCAAUGAGAAAGAACCAAAUUCAGUUCUCUACAUCAACUUCGGAAGCUUGAUUCAGAUGAGUCGUAACCAAAUAACCGAAAUAGCACAUGCGAUUCAAGAAUCCAGUCAAAGUUUCAUUUGGGUCAUAAAAAAGAACGACGAAGACAACGAUGACGACAUAGUAAACAAAGGGUUACAAAAAGGGUUUGAGGAGAGAAUGAGUAGAACCAAAAAGGGUUUGAUAAUAAAGGGAUGGGCUCCACAAUUGAUGAUAUUAGAGCACAAAAGUGUUGGAGGGUUUUUGACUCAUUGUGGUUGGAACUCAAUUCUUGAAGGAAUAAGUUCAGGCUUACCAAUGAUCACAUGGCCAUUGUUUGCUGAACAGUUUUACAAUGAGAAGUUGUUGAUUGAAGUGGUGAAGAUUGGAGUGGGAGUUGGGUCAAAGAAAUGGUGGCAUUUGGGAGAAGAACCAGAAAUUAUUAAGAGGGAAGAGAUUGGUAAGGCCAUAGCUUUUUUGAUGGGUGAAAGUGUUGAAGCUUUGGAAAUGAGAGAGCUAAAGAAAUGGGAGAGGCUGCAAAAACAAGUGUGAAUUGUGGUGGUUUCUCUCAUACCAACUUGGUUUCAUUGUUUGAGGAACUUCAAGAAAUGAAGCUUAAGAGAGUGAGGAAUGGUCAGAAGAAUACUUAGAUGUUUGUCAAAGGAUAAAGUAUUGUUUUUCUUUAGGUCAGUCUAUUCAAUCGAACGGCUAUAGUUUGUUGUAAGGUAAAGUAUUUUUGUUCUAAAUAUAUUUUGAGUUACUUUUACUAUGCGACUAAGUGAGUUGUACUAUUGUAAUCUUCUACAUUUAGUUUAUGAGAUGCAUGUUCAUGUUUAAAAAUAUUUGUGAUUCACCCGAGUGUCAAAUUAUAAAUUAUCCUCUAGUAAACUUUUUUAAAGAUAAGAAUUAUUUUGUGAUCAAGGAGAUGUACAAAGUUUGUUGGACUAAAGUUGGAUAAUAUAAAUUUGUUUUCUUCUAUUGGCUUAAGGCCUUGGUUCCAAUUUAAUUAAGAAUCACUUCUAGAAUCUUAGUUGAGAUUUUCUUAAACAUUUGACGAAGUCUACAAAAUGUGUUAGAAUAGAAUUUGUAAUCGUAACAAAAACUCUAAAUUGAUUCUCAUGUUUUGCAUGAUAUUUUUCAAACCAAGUCCAAGGACGUAAAUUUAUAAGCUUAUGGAAGUUUAUUGAUUAGAUUACUAAAUCCUAUAUGAUUUAAAUUAUACAACCUUCCAAGCGUAGGGGCAUAAAUUAUUUAAAAGAAGUGAAUUUGUUAUCAAGCUGUCAAUAUUGAUGUAGAAAAAAGCUUUUGGAGAAUCUUUAUUUCAAGAAGGAAGCUGCCCUUCCUAGAAUCAAUUUGAGCAUUAACAUGGCUUUUAGAAUCAAUUUGAGCAUUAACAUGGCUUUUAGUCGUUGGAAGCUGCAAAGAGAGCGUUCCUAGAAGAUGAAUGUUGAUGUUGCAUGGUUGGAGAACACUCAUAGAGGUGGGACUGGUUGAAUUAUUCGUGAUUGGGAACCCAGUUAGGGUUGGGUGCUUUCCAAUGUCUUUCAAUUGGUCAAUCCAUGCAUGAGACGAGUAUCAUAUGCUAAUGUCAUAGUCAAUUACUUAAGUCACACCUUGGUUUUCCAACUUAUGUUGGGGUUUAGUAGAACAAAGUUGUCCAUAAUCAAGUAGGUUUGUCUUCUUCAUUUGGGAAUUCCUCUUUCUAGGAGAGUUUUUCUCCUUUUAUAUUAUCUCUCAUUCUCGGGAGGGAUUUAUGAUAUAUGUAUGAAGAAAAAACAAGUGAAUACUACUAACAGAAGUGAACCACGAGUUUUUAAGUACAACAAUCGAGGUAUGAAGGAUCGAACCUCCCAUCUCUAAGAAUUUUCGUGGGGAUCCUCUCCGCUUUUCUUGCCUAAGCAAAACCCGACCCGCCUAGUAGGUCCUUAGAGUUUUUCACCCGGCAUGGCAGCCGGUAGAGAGGGAGAGAGAAAAAAAAAGAGGGAGCCAAGCCAGCCGCUUAGGUCAAGUAAAAUGCGCGCCGAGAUCCCCCGGUUUCAGAAUUUUCGUGGGGAUCCUCUCCGCUUUUCUUGCCUAAGCAAAACCCGACCCGCCUAGUAGGUCUUAGAGUUCUUCACCCAUCAUGGCAGCCGGUAGAGAGGGUGAGAGAAAAAAAGAGGGAGCCAAGCAGCCGCUUAGGUCAGUAAAAUGCGCGCCGAGAUCCCCCGGUUUCAGAAUUUUCGUGGGGAUCUUCUCCGCUUUUCUUGCCUAAGCAAAACCCGACCCGCCUAGUAGGUCCUUAGAGUUUUUCACCCAGCAUGGCAGCCGGUAGAGAGGGAGAGAGAAAAAAAAGAGGGAGCCAAGCCAGCCGCUUAGGUCAAGUAAAAUGCGCGCCGAGAUCCCCCGGUUUCAGAAUUUUCGUGGGGAUCCUUUCCGCUCUUUUUGCCUAUGCAAAACCCGACCCGCCUAGUAGGUCCUUAGAGUUUUUCACCCAGCAUGGCAGUCGGUAGAGAGGGAGAGAGAAAAAAAAAGAGGGAACCAAGCCAGCCGCUUAGGUCAAGUAAAAUGCGCGCCGAGAUCCCCCGGUUUCAGAAUUUUCGUGGGGAUCCUCUCCGCUUUUCUUGCCUAAGCAAAACCCGACCCGCCUAGUAGGUCCUUAGAGUUUUUCACCCUGCAUGGCAGCCGGUAGAGAGGGAGAGAGAAAAAAAAGAGGGAGCCAAGCCAGCCGCUUAGGUCAAGUAAAAUGCGCGCCGAGAUCCCCCGGUUUCAGAAUUUUCGUGGGGAUCCUCUCCGCUUUUCUUGCCUAAGCAAAACCCGACCCGCCUAGUAGGUUCUUAGAGUUUUCACCCAUCAUGCAGCCGGUAGAGAGGGGAGAGAAAAAAAGAGGGAGCCAAGCCAGCCGCUUAGGUCAAGUAAAAUCGCGCCGAGAUCCCCGGUUUCAGAUUUUCGUGGGGAUCCUCUCCGCUUUUCUUGCCUAAGCAAAACCCGACCCCGCCUAGUAGGUCCUUAGAGUUCUUCACUCAGCAUGGCAGCCUGUAGAGAGGGAGAGAGAAAAAAAAAGAGGGAGCCAAGCCAGCCGCUUAGGUCAAGUAAAAUACGUGCCGAGAUCCCCCGGUUUCAGAGUUUUCGUGGGGAUCCUCUCCGCUUUUCUUGCCUAAGCAAAACCCGACCCCGCCUAGUAGGUCCUUAUAGUUCUUCACCUAGCACGGCAGCCGGUAGAGAGGGAGGGAGAAAAAAAAGAGGGAGUCAAGCCAGAUGCUUAGGUCAAGUAAAAUGCGCGUCGAGAUUGCCUGGUAUCAGAGCUUGCAUGGGCAACCUCUCCGCUUUAGAUGGAAUUUGAUGAAAUGCUUAUGUCGAAAGUAGGCAUUUCUCUACAGAGUCCUAAUGGUCAUAGAAAUUUAUUAUGCUUUGUAUUUAUUUUACUUUGUUGUCAAGAAUCAACUUCUUUUCUGAUUUGUAUGUUUAUGUAUAUGUUGCAUCUCUGUCUUGUUAUCAUGUUGUAUUUCAUUGUACUCAAUAGUCUGAUUUGCAUUUUUUAUUUGUGUUAAUAAGUGUUCGUGUAAUUGCAAUUUUGUUCUUGAAGAUAUUUUGCUUGAAUCAAGUUAGUUCUUUCUAUAAGGAUCAUUUUCUUGUAAGGUUAUAACUUCUUGUCCAAUUUUUCCAACAAACAUUUCAACUUGUAGCAGGUGAAUCCCUUCUAAAUAAGAGCUUAAAAAGAAAAAACAAUUGGAACCUUUAACCAUAAAAUCAAGGUACUGCAUCUUAUUUGCAAUGAAUUGCUAUAAUUUUGUAGAGACUCCACAAAUAAAAUACUAAAUUACCCAAACAGUUGGCAAACAGAGACAGCACUCUGUAGAUCUUUAUUUAUAUAUAAAUGCCAAAAGAUACAGUAGAAGGAAAUAUAAAAGAAAGCAAUAAAGAUGAUAAUAUCAUGUCAAACCUCCCCAGGAAAAGAUAGUAGUCCUUCCUAGACCUAGCAGCCUCUACAGACCAAAUGAAGACAAAAAGUUAACCUAGCCCCCAAUCCCGAUAAGGCCUUAUUUAUAGCUCUUUUCUCAUUCUUCCCCGUGGGCCCCACUCUCAUGUUCUUUUCCUAAUAUUCUCCCCUUUUCUGCUGCGUGAGCUUUUACGUUUUUACCCCUCCUUUUGUAUGUAUGGAUAAUAGGGGGCCUUACAAUACCCCCGGUUCCAGGUUCACCUUGUCCUCAAGGUGAAAGUCAGGGAAUUGUUGGUUCAUUUGGAAAACAGAUUCCCAAGUUGUUUCACUGUCCGCAGCCCUUUCCACUUAAUUAACCAUUCAUUUCCUCCCAAUUCCCGAUUCCAACGGACUCCCAACACUGUUUCCGGCCAUAAUUGUAACUCAAACUCUUCCGUUAGCCUAGGUUGCUGGUGUUGAACAGCUUGUUGACUACCCAGUUUCAGUUUUAACUGAGAAAUAUGGAACACAUUGUGGAUACUGGCUUCCGGCGGUAACAUCAAUCUGUACGCAACUGCUCCUAUUUCUUCAGUAAUUUUGUAGGGUCCGUAAUAUUUAGGUGCUAACUUUUCACACUUCUUCCGAGCCAAGGAGCGUUGCCGGUAAGGUCUCAAUUUCAAGUAGACUUCAUCUCCUACCUUAAAUUUUAACUCUCUUCUAUUUCGAUCAGCCAUUUUCUUCAUCCUGUUCUAGGCUACACACAGGUGUUCUUUUAAGGCAUUGAUGGCUAAGUCACGUUCCUUCAGCAGCGUGUCAACCUCAUUAUUAGGAGUUUUCUUGUAACCAUAGGAUAACAGGGGAGGAGGCGGUCUGCGGUAUACCGUCUGGAAAGGGGUCAUUUUGGUGGAUGCAUGGAAGGUGGUAUUAUACCACAAUUCUGCCCAUGGAAUCAGUCUAUCCCAUUUUUUUGGUUGUUCAUUACAGAAGCAUCGCAGAUAAGUUUCGAGACAUCUAUUUACCCUUUCUGUCUGCCCAUCAGUUUGUGGGUGAAACGCGGUACUCCUCUUUAGAAUAGUUCCCAUGGUUGCAAACAGUUCCUUCCAAAAAUUACUAAAGAAAGAUUUUAUCCCGAUCUGUGAUAAUCGACUUAGGAAUGCCGUGCUUGCUUACUAUUCUGUCGAUGAAUAUGGAAGCAACUUGCUUGGCUGAAAACGGAUGUCUCAAUGAUAUAAAGUAAGAAUACUUACUCAGCCGAUCAACUACCACCAUGAUCACAUUAACCCCUCAAUAAAGUCCAUGGUCCAAUCUUCUAAGAUUCUGUCAGGAAUUGGAAUUGGUUGAAGUACCCCAGCUGGUUUGGUUGCUUCGUAUUUGUUUCUCUGGCAGAUCUCGCAUUGUUCCACAUAUUUCUUUAUUUCAGCCUUCAUACCCCUCCAAUAUAGUUCUCCACUGAUCCUCUUGUAAGUUCUUAAAAAUCCAGAAUGUCCCCGAGGAUAGAAUCGUGGAAAGUAUGUAGGAUCUUGGGUAUAAGUGUAGAAGUUUGAGAUACUACCAUUCUCCCCUUAUAGAGCAAUCUUCCUUUUUCCACUUGAAACUUGCUUCCUUCUUCUGCAUUUUUCUUCAGAUUUUCCAUAAUUUUCUUAAGUUCAGCAUCAUUCUCAACUUCCUGCUCGAUUAGUUUCACAUCAAUGAUUCCAGUAGUUGUCAAGCUGUGCAGCUCCACCGGUUGCUCCAUUCUAGAUAGGGCGUCCGCUGCCUUGUUCUGAUGUCCGGGUUGAUAUAAAAUCUCGAAAUCAUAUCCAAGGAGCUUUGUCAACCAUUUCUGGAAUUGGGGCUGUACCUCUCUCUGUUCAAGCAAGAAUUUAAGAGCCUUUUGAUCUGAAAGUAUGGUGAACUUCCUGCCCAGCAAAUAAUGCCUCCAUUUUUGAACUGAUAGAACUACAGCCAUCAACUCUCUUUCAUAGAUGGAUUUGUUUUGAGCCCUUGUGGAUAACUUCUGACUGAAAAAGGCAAUCGGGUGGCCAUUUUGAGAGAUCACCGCUCCUAACCCUACGCCAGAUGCAUCAGUUUCGAUAAUAAAGGGAAUGUUCCAAUCUGGUAAUGCCAACACUGGUAGAGUAGUCAUUGCUAGCUUCAAAUUUUCGAAGGCAGUAUUUGCUUCUUCAUUCCACUUAAAAGCAUUCUUCUGUAAUAACUUGGUUAGCGGUGCAGCGAUCUCUCCAUAACCCUUGACAAACCUCCUAUAAUAUCCUGUCAGUCCUAAGAAGCCCCGCAGACCAGAUAUAUUCGUUGGUGGUGGCCAAUUAAUCAUCUUCUUGAUCUUAUCCUCAUCUGCCUCAACUCCUCUUUUGGAUAUCAUAUGUCCCAAGUACUGUAUUUGAGAAUGGGCUAUAACGCUUUUUUUUUUUUGUUAGCAAACAGCUGGUUAUCCUUCAAAACAUUGAAUCUUGCAAUAAAACUCUCAAAAUUAAAUAUAGUAACAAACAUUAGCUAUUCUUUGGUUAACUCUUAUCCGAUGAAAUUUAGUUUAUUAUCCCAUUGUAAAUACUAGCUCUGAGAAUCUGUACAUACUCUACUCUUAAGUUAAAUCUAUUACAUUGAAAAAUGUGAGACCGACCAAAGAAGAAGUUUCCUCCUCCCUAGCUUACUGCACUGUUGUCCAUGGUAAGAAAGGUACUUCAAAAAGAAAAUGUCUAAGGUAUGCAAAUUUCAUCAAUGAAAAGUUCACAAUGUUUAAAGUAGAGCAAAAUAACCAUUUGUAGUCCUUAAAGUUGGGUCGUUCCUAGUCCUUACAACAAAAACGCUACGACAAUACAUGUAUGACAAUUUUUAGUCCUUAAAGUUGAACAGUUUGACAUAUCCUUGAGGGACCAAAGAAACGUAGUUAGAAAAACUUAAUAAGAAUGAGAAUAAAUACAAGUAAGGAGGGUGGUAUUGUCCCAAAUUUCCACAACUCUUCUCAAACCUUCAAAAUUCUAUGGAAACUCAUCAAUAAACAAUAGAGCUUUAGGUAAACUUUUGAAAUUGGAAACUUACCAUGGCUCUAUUCGGUGCAAGUCCACAUACUUUACUCUUUUUUACCUUUGAGUUAAACAAACAAUAGAGCUUUAGGUAGACUUUUGAAAUUGGAAACUCAUCAACCUAGCCAUAUAAAGAUCAAAUUUGCUUUAACAAAACGUACGUUGAAGUCCUUCCAACCCGAUUAAAAAAAAAACAGAUAAGUCUAACACUUUAACAAAUUUCUAGUGCAUAUUAUGCAUCUCAAUUGAUCACAACAAAAUAAGAUUGAACAUAAAUACCCGUAAGUAAUACCUUUUCAAUAUUGCAUUUUCAUAAAACUUACAAGGGUGUAAACAAAAGGACAUGGUGUCUUCAUGAGAAUAAACUAGAGUAACAGUGCCUCAUGUAAAAUUAUAUCAAAACCUCACAUACCAGACAAAUAUAUCCUUGAUAGAAAUAGAAAUUAGAAACUAAAAAAUGUUGUUUAAAUCCAAGUUAUAAAUGAAAACUAAUGAAAUCCACAACUAAUAACAAUAUAAAAAGGCUUAACUAGAUACAAAUAAGUUCUGUCUGUAGUCUAACUCUAAAACAACAAAUACUCAUCAUUACCUCUAAAUAUCCCUGCAGCUGGUACAACAUUCAAAAAUGUUUCAAUAGCUCCCAACACAUAACUGAACCACCAAAUUGAGGAGAAGGCAGAAGUUAAGAUACACAGAAGUAGUGCACAUUUUGACUUAAAAAAAUAAAACACAACAAAAACGCUGCUGGACAAUGAAAGAAUGAUAAGACAAAAACUUGUCGUUAGAAUUUAUAUGUUCGCCUUUGUAAAAACUUGUUAAUUCAACCAUUUCUUCUUGAAGGUGAAGACAAUACUAAAGAAAUGAUGAUGAACCUAACCUAAAUUAAAUGCCCCAAACUAAAAACGAUAUGGUUAUAAUGGGGCUAAUUCUGAAUCUUUUCAAAUCCCUUCCCUUCACUCUCUUUACUAAUACAAUGUGGGAUAAACAAACCAUUGUGUGUUUUUUUUUUUUUUUUUUGGUGACUCUCAUAAAAUCCAUAGAUAUUCACAACAAACCAAUUUCAACAAACCCUAAAGAGAACUAUGUACAUAAAAGACAUGUCUCUAGAAACAAAAGCUAACGAGAAACUACUGUUCAACUUACUUUUCAUGGUUUAUAAACUUUAAGAAAGAUUAAAAAAAUAUAACAAGAUAUAUAUACACACCUUAUAUAGGACAUUAUGUAAUGGGAUAAUGAAGAAUAAGUUCAAUAAACUUUAAUGUACCCAAUCUACCAUAAACUUGAGUUCACUCAAAACCUUUAAGAAAAUGGACAAAUAGAAAUAUAAUCAAGCAAACAUAAUCAUUUUGUUAGGUACAUGCAAGAUAAACUAUUUCACACCAACAUAUAUAAUCAGUAUACAAAUGAAAUCUUUGAGUUUCACAAGCUAAACUCAAUUUAAACUUUGAACUAACAAGUCCAAACAAUUUUCAUUGUAAUUCAAUAGUUAAAAACGUACCUUGGAGCCCUUCCAACCCUAUCAAAAAAACAUAUAAGUCUAGCACUUUAACAAAUUUCUAGUGCAUAUUAUGCAUCUCAAUUGAUCACAACAAAAUAAGAUUGAACAUAAAUACUCAUAAGUAAUACCUUUUCAAUGUUGCAUUUUCAUAAAAAUUCAACAAGCAUUGUCACUCUCUCGAGGAUUCUUCAAGCCCUAAGUAUGAAAAAAUGUUCAAUGAUUAAAUCGUACUCCAUUUACAUGACAAUUUGACAAAGUUGAGUUAACCCCCCCCCCCCCCCCAAUUUCCAACACUAUUGUUGGAAAGGAACAACAAGAUCUUUCAAAGUAAGGAAAGAACUACUAUGAAGAUUUUAGAUGAUAUUAAUUCAAGCAAACGUUUAUAUACUACUAAUAUACCAUACUAAUUCGACUAAAACACUUUCAACGAGACUAGAAUUAUACAAAAUAUACUUUAAACCACAAUAGUUGAAUAUGUAUUUUUGGUAGGGAGGUAGACACUACUUACUUGAACAAAUAACGACAACGUCCUUGAAGUAAGAGGACUUUCUGCUAAUCCUCAAUUCAAUCAAUUAUUCAAAAUGUCAUAAGGUAGUCAUAGGAAGAAAAUAUAGUUUAAAAACGUUGAUAAAAAGUGGAGGUAAAAAAAGUGUAUAGGCUUAAGUUUCAAAAACUUAAAGCCAAAAACCAAAUAGAUAACAUACAGAAAUUCUCUUGGAAUGUGUAUAGGCUUAAGUUUCAAACUUAAAGCCAAAAACCAAAUAGAUAACAUACAGAAAUUCUCUUGGAAUGUGUAUAGGCUUAAGUUUCAACAUACACAUUCAUACCUUUCCAAUGUGUAUAACAUACAUCGCGGUUUAUGUUUCAAGCAGAGGGUGUAUUUCGACAUUUUCAAAUUUACUCCUCUUGGAAAGAUCUAGCAUGGUAAGUGGCAAAUAAAAUUCUACCAUACAAAAUAAAUCUUAAUUCACCAUCAUUUUUUUGUCUUUCCUUUCAAUAUAGAACAUGUAGUAAUUUUUGUUGCUACUAUCCUUAUUGUAAGAAAGGGAGAGAGAACAUACCUAUAAUUAUCAAUAAUCACUUCCCUCUAUCCUUCAAUCAAAGCAACUCAAUAGCAACCAUAAACAAAAUAUCAAUAGAAAAAUCAAAAGUACUAAAAUUCACUUGGAAUGCAUAGACAAACAAAAAGACCCUACACACCAUCAAAGUUUAAAAUCUCACAUUUCAUUUUUCAUUCUCUUUUUCUCAAAGCUUCAGCCCAUAGCCAUGACAUCUCCUUGGCCUUGAUUUCCUAAUUCGAACGAAAAAAAUCAAUCAAAAAUCAACCAAAUGCUUCAUUGAGGCAUUUCAUCAAACACAUUGUAAGCUACCAAAAUGUUUCAUCACAUAGCCAACCAUAAAGAAAAAAUGUAGAUUCAAAUUAGAAAAAUGAUUGUAAACAACAAUAUUGAAUAGGAUGGUAGACAAAACAAACACAUAUCUCAUAUAAAAGCAAAACUAUGAGGGAUGUUUUUCAUAAAAAGAACCAUCAAUAUAUCACAUUGUGGGUAAAAUGAAAGCAUUUGAAGUUAAUAUACUGUAUAAAUACAAACAAUAGAAAUAAUGGUUGAGAUUCACCAGUGAGUUCAGCGGUGCAAGGGGUGUUGGGUGGUUGCGUCGGCUGAAGGAGAGAAAGAGAGGGAUUUCGCGCAUUGUUGACAAAAGUCUAGUCUUUCCCGGCAUGCGUGAGAGAGGGAGAGAGAUGGUUAGCGGAAGGGGGAAAAUCGAAGAGGGGGACGUGUGGAUCUUCCACAGAGAAGAAAAGAAGAAGAGAAGAAGAAGAGAAGAAGAAGAAGAAGAGGAGGAGGUAGAGAAAGAGUUUUGGAGAUGUUUUAUUUUAAUAAAUAAAUUAUUUAAUGUUUUUAGAAUUAGGAAAAAAUCUGAUUUUAAUAAAUUUUUAUUUAAAAUAAAUUUUAUUUUAAUAAAUUAAAUAAAUAUUUUUUGUAUUUUAUGACAUCAAAUAACUGUUGCGGAAAGUAAAAUCCGAAAAAUUCCGUCUUUUUCCGCCAAAAACGCGGUUUUUUAGCUUUUGUGACAGUUUUUUCUUUUCUCCUUUCAAUUUGGGAUGUAUACAACUGUCAUAGUAGACCACUUUUCUACUAGUGCCACCACCCAAAAUUAGAAUAGAUCAUAAUUCUAGCCCAAAUUUCAGGUCAAUCAAUUUCAAAUUUAUAAAUUUUAAAAUCCAAAACAUAUCAUCAAGCAAAAUUAUUUUAUUAUUAUUAUUAUUAUACAUAUGAAAUAUCAAUAAAUAAAUCAUUCUUCGGGAAACAGUUAAAAAUAGAAAAGCAUUUACACUUGAAAAUGACAAAAUACUCUCCAUUCUCUAUUUGUCAUCUUUUAUUUAUAACAGCCUUAACAUUAAUAUCUAAUUUUAAUAAAUACCUAUUAUUCUCUAUGCUCUAUGAUUUCAUUGUAUUAUUUGUCUUGUCUUGGACAAGUUUGCACGGUGCUUUCUCUAUUAUUUUCUGAGUUCCCAAUCCUUCUUCUUGGGACGUGGCUCCGACCACAUAGAAGUGCUCUAGGAGCUAGUUGUGGAUUGAAUCAUGGGGUUUUUUUUUUCUCUUUGUAACCAUUAAAAUUUAGUAGAUUCAAACCUUCAAUCUCUAAAAUAUAAUAUUGAAAGAGCCUAAGCUUGCCAUUUUGAAAAAUGGACAUUUAGCAAAUCUAAAAAUAAACUUAAAAAUAAUAAACAAACCUUGGUUAGAAUUCUCGUCUAAGUGAAACGUUGAGGUAUAUUGUUUCCCCAUUUUAACAAAUACUUACUUAAUUAUUGAACCUUAAAAUUUGGACUUAGAAAAUGGAUGGUUAUAACUAAGCAUCUUUAGUUUACGGAUUUGACGAAAAAAGUGGAAUUGGGAUUGGAUACGAAAAUUAUAUAUAUGUAUAUAUUGAGUUAAUUAGUAGUCUUAUCUGUUAGAUUGCAUAUUAUGGCAAAUCAAGAGGUAGCAAACGUGGAAGUUGAGAUGAGAACUUCGGGAUUACGUAUUGUGGAAGUGAAGGAAGCAAAUAUAGAUUGUAUAUUCUGUCUUAUUUGUUAGAUUGCAUUUUAUAUAGACUGCAUGUUAGAUUGCAUUUUAUAUAGACUGCAUGUUAGAUUGCAUUUUAUAUAGACUGCAUAUUGCAUAUAUUAGGACAAUUCUGUCUAAUAGAGGCUGUUGGCACGUAAGAAAUUUUUACACCUAGAAUAAUUUAAAUGCAUGCAGAUUAGGUUUCGUGCUUGUGAUGCCAUUUUGGUAUUGGAUUGUUCACUUCUUUACAAGUUGGACGACUCUCCUACCACUCCCUUUAAUUUAUUCCCUUUAUCCUACCACUCCCUUUAUUCCCUUUAUCUCACUACAUGGAAUGCAACGUUUUUCUUCUCUACACUUCGUGACAUAAUGGUUAAUCUUUUCAUUUAUUUUUGUGUUAAAUUCUUUCUAGUUUUAUUUUAAUUUAGUUUUGCAAUAUGUGUGUUGGAGGGAGGAUGAUCAAAACUACAACACUAUACGCAUGUAUAUGCCCAUUUAAAUUUAUAUAUUUACUUGAUUUAAUUGUUUUUAAACUUACCAUACAAUACAGAAUUGAUACCAUAGCAAAUGGGACCUCACUUUCUUCUUAUUUCCAAGUAAAUAAAUAAAAAUAAUGAUCAAAUGUUAAAAUAAUACAAAUAUCGUCCCUCACUUUGUACAAUAGAUCCUAUUGUUGGGUCAGUUGCCAAAAUGUUGAUAAUUGGUUUCAUUUGAACAUAAGAAACCAAGAAAGGCAACAACAAAAAAAAUAUGUGUGUGGUUUCUUAAAUAAGACCAGACCCUUUUCUCUCUAUAAAAAAACUUACACCGAUCAUCAGUAUAACUCAUGUCUGUCUAGGCUAGCAACGCUCUAUCUAGGAAUCACACAACUACUCCAAGCACGGCUUCAUAUCAUUUAAAAUGACGAGCACAACGACGAAAAUGUGGUGUUCUGCAACUGAGGACAUGGUGUAGGAAAGACUGAAGUGCUAAAACCCGAGACAAAAGCACAAUGCCAUUUUGCGGAGGGAGUGAGACCGAGAAUGGUCACAUUUUUCAUACAUACACCGUCAUAUGAUGUGCCUGCAAUCCCGUAAAGAACCGGAGCCUUUGUCGAAUUUAAGCUCAUGAGAUUGGUAAUGAAAAUGCCCUUCACUUUAGGAACUGCCUUUGGAUCAAAUUGUUCAUCAGGAUGGUCAUUUGAGCCCCUGCUAAACCUUAUAGCCAUUUUCACUCUGUUCAUUACAAAGUUAGUUAUACUAACAUUUGCAAUGUAUCCUCCUCUACCUUGGUCGGAUUUGAUUCGAAUGCCUGCUGCCGAAUCCCAGACGUUUAAAUCCUCAAUUGUAAUGUUUGAUAUUCCACCUGACAUCUCACUUCCUAUUCCAACACCAGAACAGGUAGGGGUGGUGCCAGAAACUCGCCUUAUGACGAUAUUUGAGCUUGGGCGUGCAAGGUUGAUUCCAUAUUGAUCCCAACCACUCUUCACUGCUACUAGAUCAUCUCCGCUUUCGAUAUAACAGUCCUCGAUACAAACAUUGGUACUAGAAUCUACACCAUAAUAAAGAUGCAUUUGGAAUUUAGAUAACUCCAGCAUUGUUUUACAUUUAUUUCUCAUACCUCCUAGCUCCAAGAAAGAAGCAAAAUACCUGGAUCGAUACCAUCUGUGUUCGGGGCAUUGAGCGGAGCCAAGAUCGUCAUGUCUUUGAUAACAACAUUGCUGAAAUCAAACAAAAGUUCAAGAACCAGUAUAUAAUUGCAAAGAGUAGAUAAUUAUUGAAAAUGAAACCUGCAAUAGACAGGAUGAAUUGUCCAAAAGGGGGAAUUUUUGAAGGUGAGAUUGGAAAUGAGAAUAUUGUGAGAGUUGAUGAGCUCUACAAGAUGGCCCCUUGUGUGAUUUAAUGUUCUAUUCCACCAAAGCUCCCACCACAUCUUGCCUUGCCCAUCAAUGGUUCCAUUCUCUCCUGAAAAAACAACAUAAAAACUCAAUAGAUUUUCAUGAUUAAGAACAUUCUCGAACCCGAGUGCCGUCAAAGCUAAAUGAGAAGAAGAGUUCACACUAGUUCCAGUUUCGAUGCACAAAGCUAAUGUAGAUCAAAAGAUAUGAUCCCAUUUGAUACUUUUUUUAAGGUAGGUAGAACUUCUUAUUCCUAGUUUUUAUCACUGGACUCUACUCAUAUUCUUUUUAGUUCAACAAUAUGUAACGGUGAGUUUCAAACAUAUGACAUUUUGGUCAAAUUUAUAUAUGUUUUAACUAAAUGAGCUAUACUGAUCACAUUGGUGACCUAGUGGUAUUUGGCUAGGGUAAAAAACAAGAAAAUCAAAGAAAGAAAAUGGGUAAGUCAAGUUAGUCUUAGAAGGUAGAUCUUAAGCUUAAAAUUGAAAUACCUAACUUUUCUCAUCUCAAGUGACCCCUUAACAUAAAAUACUAUAAUGAUCUUCUCCACAACCAAAAUGUACUAAAAGGUCAAGUGCCCUUACAAAAAAAACUCCUUAUUGCCAAUUUCACUUUUAAAAACAGUUGAAAUGGUAUACCAAGAUUCAGUUCUUUAUCAUUCCCACCCCAAACAUAAAAACACACCAUAGAAAAUAAAGCAUGAUAUCUUGAGAGAGAGAAAUAAUAUUCUUAGAUCCUAAAUCCCUUUUUUUAAUUUUUAACAUUAUCAUGGUUCCCUAGCUAAUUGCUUAGUCAUGAUCAAAGUUUGAUUCCAUUACUUUACAAAACCCAAGAUAAGAAUCCUCAUGAAUAUAAAAUCCUAGCAAUGAAGAUGAAGCCAAAAACAAAAACAAAAAAAAAACAAAAAAAGAUAAAGAAAAGUGAAAGCACCUGUAAUUACAACAUUUGAAAGGGCAUUGCCAUGAAUAAGGCUGAUGUGUCUUCCUCCCAAUCUCUCUCUUCCUCUUCCAUAAGAAGGAAGUGGCUCUAUAAUGGGCCACUCAUCUGGAUCCUUUUUUUUUUUUUUUAAUUUCAAACAAAUAUUUAAUCAAGUGCACACUAAACUUUUGACAAUAACAUGCCACCAUGAUUUCUAAAAGCAAAGAUUUAUCAAUUCAUAAUUAACAAAUUUGAUUUGAUAAUUUAUUUUACUGAUCAAACCAAAGCUUAUUCAGUUUCAAAUAAUACCCAACAAAAAAAAAAAAGUCAACCAGUUAUCAUAAAAGCUCUGUUUCAUUUACACACCUUGGGGGAAGGAAUCACACUUUAAUUUUAUUUUAUUUUUUCUAAGGAAUUUUGUUAAUGGGAAAUCCCAAACACUAAUAUAAAUUAGCUUCAAAAGCACUAAUGAAUGCAUUAAAUGAUAAUUCAUAGUGCCAAUAAAUCAUUAGCAUAUACAACCUUUUUUUCUCAUAAUUUCACUGCUUUAUUAUUAUUUAUUAUCAUUACUUUUUUGGUUACAUACAACUUUACUUGUUUUAUUGCUUUUUUUUUUCUUUAAAAAAUAAUAUUAUUAUCAAUUCACAUUUUCACUAUAAAUAAGUUCAGAUAUUACAUUUUUCUUGCAUGCAAAAAUAUUUAUUAUCUUAUUAUUAUUUAAUCAAUUUGGAUGGAAAUAUUGGAUAUAUAUAUAUAUAAAUAUGGUGGAUCCCACUUGCUAUGUUUUUAGGUUUAAAAAUGCAAUAAGAACUUAGGUGACACCGCCAGAGUCAUCACUCUGAUUUUACCUUUUCUGCUAAGUUAUGAAAUCCCAUUUGUCAUUUUCUUCUUCACCAAAAUCACAAAGAAUUUGUCCUUUCCAAACUCAUUAAAACAAUAAAAAUAAAAUUCCCCAACAGUUUAAAAGAAACACCACACAAAGUCUUAAACACAUAAAUAUUUAAAACAAAAAAACAAAUUACAAAAGACAAGCUUAAAAUUACCAUUUAAUUUUCUAAUAACUAUUUAGUUUAACCGUAAGUAAUUUUAGGGGUUUAGGGUAAAAAAGAAAAAAACUGACCUGGGAGGCUAAAAUAAGAGCGCCACGUUGGAGAAAGAGGGUAAAAUUACUGGUGAGAUUAAAGCUGCCCGUGACCCAACUGCCCUUAGGGACGGUCAGUUUAGACCCGCCUUUGUCGCCGAACCGCCGCAUGUACUGAAUGGCCUUCCGAAACGCUUCCGUGUUGGAAGUCUUUCCGUCCCCUACUCCUCCGAAAUCCGUGAUCGACAUGACAACCCCCGCCGUAGCAUCUGGGCGGAAGAAGGCGGAGCAGGUGGGGAGUUGGAAAUCAGAGGGUGGGAGCCAGAAGGGGAAAGGGGGAGUUCUGGUGGCGAUUUGGAAGGUGAGGAUAGCGAGGAAGAUGAAGAGAAGGAGAAGGGAAGAACAGGAGGGAUUGAUCGGAGGGCCGAAAUAGAAUUUUGAUUUAUCACUGUCCAUUAAUGGAAAACCAAAUUACAAUAGAGAGAAGAAGAAGAAGAAGAAGAAAGAAGGGGUAGAGGUCUAGAAGGCAGGCUAGAACUGGAAGGGUGGACAAUGGACAUUGCGCUUCCGCAUGCUAAAUCUUUUCCCUUUUUUUUUUCUUUUUUGCUUUCUCUUCUACUUCUUUCUUUUUAAUAGUUUUUUUUUAAAUAUAAAAUUUUCAAAUUUAGUUAAUUACAAUUUGAUUUGAUUAUAAUAUUUAUGGAAGGUAUUUUCACAUUUUUAAAAAUAGAUUAGAUGAUGCUUUAAAUAGUUUGAAGUUUCAGCCCUACUAAUUUCCUAGUUUUGUUUUCAAAUUCCAUAAUUACCCUUACUUCAAUGCACUUAUUUUGUUUUUGCAAGAAGCAUGACACCUUUUGUUUAUUUUUUUUAUUCUAUACAAAAUUUCUAACAACAUUUAUAUAUAACCAAAUAUUACAAUAUAUUUAAUAUAUUAAACUACUAUUUAUCUUUAUUAUAAUAUAAAUAAACACAUAAUUUAUUUUAGGCUAUCAUGGUUGUGUACUAAGAACCAACGUUCAUUGGGUUUAAGUUCCUCACGUUCCAAUUUGUAUUAAAAAAAUUAAUGAAAAUUUUUUAUUACAUCAUUUUUUUAAAAUAUAUUUUUCUUAAUAUUUUUGAAAACUAUUUCAUUUAUUAUUUGAAAGUAAGCUAAAUUUGAAAUGUAUGCAUAUUAAAUAUGAGUGGAAUUUUAGACAGGGAGAGAGAGGACAUCAUUUAAAAAGUACUAAUUAAUUUCUUUGAUAGCCUUGUUAUUAUUAUUUUCUAAAACAGUUUGAUAGCGUUAUUAUUAUUUUUAUAGUCGGAAUUCUGGUUGUAGUAAAAGAACAAAAUUGUCAUUAAAAUUAAAAAAAAAAAGAGGGAGGGGGGCAAGAUGGUAAUUAUGUAAAAAGAAGCCGUGGGCUUUUGUUUGCUUAUUUGAAAAAGUGGGAUUAUGAGACGUGGCAAGUUUAGAGUGGUGUUAAUAUGGAGUGAUAGCGUGAUAGAUGUUGUAGAAGAAACCUAAUGGUGUAAAAAUGGAAGCCGCUAUUCACGGGCAUCUUUCAACCUUUCUCAUCAUUUCUUUUUCAUUCUAUUUUCUUUAUUUUAUUAUGUUUUCUCUUAAAUUAAUAAAAAAAAUAAAAUUUAUUUAUUUUAAUUUGAGAAUGUAUGAUGAUAAAUAAUUUUAAUUGGAAAAGGAACGAAACCUUUUGAAUUUAUUAAAAACGCAAACAAAUACUAAAUAAGAGAAUAUCAUAGUUAUAUAUAUAAAAAAAAAAAAUGCAACAUCUCCAUUAUUAUGAAACAUUUUAAAUGAAGCUAAAAGUAAAAUUAUGCAACAUUAAUGUAAAUUAUCUCAACUUCAAAUGACAUUUGAACCAAUGUUUGAUUUUAGAAUUAAUAUUAUAUAUAUUUUUAAAUAGAAAAUUUAAUUUGAUUUAUAGUUCCAAGAGAUGCCUUCCUAAAAUGAUUGUUUAUUUACUUGUACCAAUUGAAGCCCUAGUUUUAAUUUAAAUUUACUAUCAAACAAAUAAUUAGGAUCAGAACACAUUUCAAGUAAAAAUAAAAAUGUACUUUUCCAUUAUUUUUCUUUCAAAUGUACAAAAGUCUACUUUUUUGGUGCCAUAUGUCUAUAACUAGUAAAGGUAAAUAAAAUAUAAAAAAAAAAGGAAAAAAAUAUUAAAAUUUGUUUGAAAAUUUUGUGUAAUUUCAUUUAUGAAUAUGUUUACAUACAAAAUUAGUUAUUUGCAAAAGAAAUUGAUUUCGUCUUCUAAAAUGUUAAAAGUUUUUUUUUUCAAUAACAAAAGAUAGUCCAUUAAUAAUUAACAUAGGACUAAAAGAAUGAACUAUGGUAAUAUUUUGAUAUUUUUUAUUCUCAUGUAUAAAAAUUUGAAAAGUGAGGAUAUAAAGAGUUAUGAAAAAUGGUAUUUUGAUAUAGUUUCUACCUAAUACCUUCUCUCAUUCUUUUAAAUUUGAAUCCAUCUAAUUGUACGUUGUUUUAAGCUUUUCAGUUGAAGUUACUAUUUUUUAUCAAACCUAGAUUAACCCUUUGAUUAUAUAUUUUCUAAUAGAAUUAGAUGAAUUAGAGAGAAAAAUGAAAAACAAAAAACCACAGCCAAUGUUUUAUUAGUUAUGUUUUGCAAUAUUCAUCAUGAACUUAUAUAACCUUGCAAUUUAGUACAAUUUAAUUGAAGCUUUUCUGUGGUUGUCUUACCAAUCAAUCCAUUGGCUGAGUUGACACCCGAGUUAAGGGCGACAUCGGUAGAUGACUCGGAAUUUUCAUUCCCAAUUCCCUUUUCAAAUUCUAUAACCUUCGUCACCACGAACAAUUUGCAAUAGAUACGAAACCAAGAUCAGGGUCUUCUUAAUUUUCCUUCUAUCUUUCUUUUUCCCCUUCAUUGGACGCGCCAUCAAUUCUACAUUGGAUUGCAGCAUUUGGGUAUUAAAUUUUGAUCUGUUUUUACGGGAUGUCAUGUUCGAUUUCAUUGUGAUUCAUUCAAUUCCAUUUCUGUCGCAUGUUUUCGUAUCUCUUUGGUAAUGGUGCAUGCUGUUUUGCAUUUGUUGAAUCAGCUGACAUUUGGGUUUUCUUUUUCUUUGAUUAGGUACGUGAAUCGGGUAGCGAUCUUGUUUUUAAAAAUUGUUGAUUGGGUUGGAGCCAUUGGAGGACGGAUUUGAUGGAUUCGACGUCAAACCAAACCGAGUUUGAUUACUUGUUCAAGUUGUUGAUGAUUGGGGACUCUGGGGUUGGAAAAAGUAGUCUGCUUUUAAGUUUCACUUCCGAUAACUUUGAAGAUCUCUCACCGACGAUCGGUUAGUUUUGCUAUACGGAUCAGAUUUGAAGUAUUAGUUUGGAAUUUCCUUUUUUGCUUUUGUGGGAUCUUGCGCAUUCUUUUUGAAAAUGAGCUUAGACAAAUCGGUUUUGUUGUUUGCUGCGGAAUAUUGGUUCAUCAUUUUAAAGAAACAUGUGGAAAGACAAUGAUAUACUUUUGCUGAAUAUUGGUUCAUCAUUUUCACUUUCACCUUCACCUUCUGCAUGGGAUUGAGAUGAGAUUGAGGGCAAAAAAUUAAAUGAAAGGGAAAGUUGAGAGGACCAAGAUUGAGAGAGGCAAUUAAUCUUAACCGUAUUUCAUCAAGAGAAGAAUGAAGCUCUUAGAUAAUCAGGUCAGGUGUCAUUUUUUUAGGACAGUGUAAGGAACUUAGCUAUAAUCGUAUCUGAGAAACUAAAAUGAGAAGUCAUGAAAGAGGUAAUUUGUGCAUUAAUUUCUAAUGGAAAAUACUAUAUUUCAAUGUAAAUAUGUAUUGUAUACUUUCAGGUAUACAAUGAAAAGUUCAUUUUCUUUGUAAUAUUAUAUAUAUAUACACACACUGUAUACUUUCUACCCGCUCUAUUAUCACUGGUCAUCUAUACUUUUGCAUUCUGUUCAGUACUUACUGACCCUGUGUAAAUCUAGGCAUAUGCUCAUCGUCCUACUGUGGGGCUAUUAGUAGAAUAGAUUUCCUUUUACCUGUGUAAGUUUGGUUGAAUUUCAAACCGCAUAGCUGAAAUUUUGGAUGUUCUCUUUCUUAUUAAAACAUUAUUAACAAAAUUGAGAAUUUAAAAUGAUUUUGAUUAUAAAUCCUACGUCUGCAUGUUUAAUUGUGCUGGUUUGCUUGUUUAAAAUGGAAAACGGCACAAGCCUUGCUAACUUCUUAAUUUGCCUUGCAAUGGCAUGUAACCAUCAAUAGACUAGAAAUGACUUUUAAUUAAUUGGUUGUUUUUGUGCGCAGGUGUGGAUUUUAAGGUAAAGUAUGUUACUGCUGGUGGUAAAAAGCUGAAGCUUGCAAUUUGGGAUACUGGUAAUUAAGCUUCUCCACACACAUAAAUAGGCUUCUUCUUCCUCCAUUUUUAUUUUUGAGAGGGCGUCUAUUCUAUUUUCCACACAUGCAAGAUGUAUGCUUUGGCAGAGAAGCACCAAACGGCUAAGUUAGAUAAUUAAUUUACAAAAAGAUAUUGCUUAGCUAAUUAUAUAAGCAGCUGGACGGUAUACUAAAUUAUAAAUACAUUGAGGCUUGGCCAUUUGCGUAGCUUGUCCUUUGUUCACCAGCUCAAAGUUGACUUUUCCUUCAUGGUCCGGCAAUCUAUGCAGUAAUCCUCGAUUCGGCACAGUUUUCUCCUGUUUUGAAUGUAGAAGCUAGAAAAUUUUGUUACCAAAUCUUUGAGGCAUUAAAUAAAUGGAUGAGAAGACAAUAAAUUUAACCAAUUGACAAAUAGAUCUGGAAGGUGAAAACGGAUGCUAACUGUUGACCAUAAGUGUGCCUGGAUGAUGGUUCUGCUGUGCAGAAAAAUGCAACAUGAAUGAACUUUUCACGUUCAUGUAUAGAACUUUGUUGAACCUGCAGCCGGCUAGAGCUUUUUCAUCAAGAUUAGAAACUUGUUCAUAUUUGUGUUUGAAUUAAAUUUGGAUCUUGACCUAACAGACUAAGAAAUUGCUCAAAGGAUUGUACAUGCUUAUUCUAAUUCUUAACUGUUAUCCAGUGGUCCUAGUGCUGUGAAUUAUAAAGAUAAUAUAGUUGUUCUUGUUGAUUAGCCAUGAUGUAUUUGAUGGUACUAGGGUAUUACUUCCUAUAUUUUCUUGUAAUGAAUCUGUAUGAAAGAAAUCUGGUUUACCACAUCUCCAAACUAUGCAUCUUGUAGAAUCUAACUCAAUGUUCAAUCGUACAGCUGGGCAGGAGAGAUUCAGAACACUGACUAGUUCAUACUACAGAGGUGCUCAAGGGAUCAUUAUGGGUGCGUUCUACUCCCUUCUUUAUUUGAUUGUUUUAAAGAGAAGAAAUUCUUUGCUUGGCAUAAAUGUUAAAUUUCUCAGCUGUGUUUAGUUUAAACGCAUUCAUGAUUUUAUCAAAUGAUAAGUUGUUCAUUUGUUUGGCCGUCCAAUAUUAUUCUAUUGCCUUUUGUAUUAUGUUAUCUUGAUUAUGACAUCAAAUAUUAACUGUCAGUUUAUGAUGUAACGAGGAGAGACACGUUUACAAACCUUUCUGAGGUAUGGGCAAAGGAAAUAGAUCUAUAUUCAACCAAUCAAGAUUGCAUCAAGAUGCUUGUUGGAAACAAAGUUGAUAAGGUAAGCGUCUUCAACUUCCAUUUGAAAUUUUCCAUUCACCUGAAUUUGGUUACUCUAACAUUUGUAUAGAUGUCGAUUAAUUGUUCAAGUGUAUGGUGAACUGAAAUUCAUAUUCCAAAGAGUUUUCAGGUUAAUUACCAAUAACAUAUUGAUAAUUUAAGAACCGAUUAAAUGAGUUAUGAAUAUCAAAGCUUUUUCCGUAUGAGUUUGUUAGGUAUUCAAGCUGUUAUUUACUACUAUUAUUAGAAAGCUUAGAAGAUGGCCUAAUGGUAAAAACGGAGACAUAGUCUGAAUAACUAACUAAGAGGUCAUGGGUUCAAUACAUGGUGGAAUUAAUUUCCUACAUGUUAUCUUGACACCCAGAUGUUGUAGGGUCAGGCGGGUUGUUCCGUGAGAAUAGUCGAGGUGCUCGUAAGCUUUCCCGGACACUCACGGUUAUAAGAAAAAGAAUUAGAAAGCUUAGAAGAGUGUUGAAACACUGUACAAAUGAAAUCUAACUUCUAGGUCUGGCUCAUCUCCACGCACAAAGCCUAUCCUAAAUUAUGACUCAAGAAACCAAACUUCCAAUAGGAAGAACAUAAAAACAAAAAGGCAUGUGCGAAAUACACUAAAUGUGAAGUUCAGGUUUUUGAGAUUCUUUUAAAUUUCUUAUGAUAAUGUUUUUCAUUGUCUGCAUCUAACUUACUUUUUAUCUGGAAUUUUAUUCUUCAGGAAAGUUAUAGGACAGUAACCAAGAAAGAGGGAAUUGACAUGGCUAGGGAAUAUGGUUGUCUUUUUACAGAAUGCAGUGCCAAAACUCGGGUUAAUGUACAGCAGUGCUUUGAAGAACUUGUUUUAAAGGUAGCAAUUUCAGUUUAGUAUUACUGUUGGUUCAUUUAUUGGUCAAGGGAUUGAUAUUGAUUGGUGAGUAGCAGGAACAUGGUGUUUCCCUGUUGUAAUUGUAACAGUCACAUUUCUGAUAUUUUUUAAAAGAUAAAAGCAAUCACAUUCCUGGUAUAUUCAUAAAUAGGUUAAGGCAGUGAAAAAUUUUGAACCCUCUUGAAUAGUCAUAUUUUAACGGCUAAAAUUUUCCUCUUCCUUUUUCCCAUUUUAAGAUUUAGAAAUAUCCUGCAAACUCACUGAAUGUUGCUUGGACGAUUAAAACAUGAUGAUAACGAUUCUUAUAUACAGAUUCUUGAUACGCCCAGCCUUUUGUCUGAAGGCUCUAAAGGAGUGAGAAGGAACAUCUUCAAGGAAAAACCUCCACAGUCUGAUGCAUCCACGAGCAGUUGUUGCUGAAAUUGAUUCAUUGUCUCUAACUACAUUUGCUGGUUGUUUCUACAUUGUUGUAAAACUACAGUAGAGGAGCAUGGUGUUAUAGCUUUUAUUUGUCUCACUCUCACAAAUUACCUUACAAAUUGAAAAGGGUGGUUUUGUCUUCUUGCUGGCUUUCUUGUACAGGGAAAAAUUGAAAUGGAAAUAUAUGAUACAUGAUUUCAGUCUUUCUUGCUUUAAUUUAGUUGCUGUCCUCUGGACUUUUGUUUUGUUUCUAUACACUGAGUCAUAGAUUCAGUACGAUUAAAAGAUGAUUCUUGUUAAUGUAAGAGCUGGGGGGAGGGGGGUUGGGAAGAAGUGUCCCACCUGCAAGUGUUUAAUUGAAGGGCAUAUUUGGAUGACUUUUAAGGGGUUAUAAAAGGGUUCAAGGAAAAUCCAAAUAGGUCCUCAUCCGACUCAAGUGGGGUUGAUUUGAAGUCGAGUUGGGCUUUGUGACGGAAAGGAAGAACAACCCCGUUUGGUUGUAUAUGCAUAAAUUUAGCGAUCUAAUAAAUAGGAUCUUCUUUUACCGGUUACUCGUUUCUUUCACCGGUUCAUGGAAGGUAACCGCUAGAUUUGUUUUUUAGAUGGAGAAAUAAAAACCACUUGUUAGGGGCUUCUUUUUAUUGAACUUAUAAAGUUGGAGAAUGGUGUGACUAAAGGUAUCAGCUCGGUAUGUGUUUGUUACAGUCGAGACGUUAAUAAACUUAAAUUCUUGAAACGUUGAAGAGGUUCUUUUGAUUUCCUUUUAUGGAAGGUAUAUCAAGAAUGUAAAUAUUCUGAUUGAUUUGUGGAAACCUUUGAGUUCAUUAUGUAUGGUAAACAAAGUGAAUGUUGAUGGUAGUAGUAAAUGAGAUCAAAGUUUAUGAUAUGCUUUUCAAGAGAAGAAUGAUGGUAGUAGUGACCAAGAAAGAUCAAAGUUUAUUUCUCUCGUUGAUGCCGUAUAAAAAACAUUGUAAAAGUAGUAUGCUCCAAAAUUGGAAAAUAUAAGAGUUCUAUAAAAUGUUCUUGGCCAAGAAAAUGUGAAUAAAAAAUUCAAUUAAAUCGAAACAGUCCUUAAAUCUAUCAAAAUGUGAAAAAUUCUCAAUCUCUCACAAGUAUUGAAAACUCAAGGUUUUAAUUGAUGUUGGUUAGGUUCCUAAUAGUAAAUACUCUAGGACUCCGAUGUACAUCUUUAUGAUUAUGUUGUGUUUAAGGAAGAGAUUGAAAGACACAUACAAAAUGUAUCACCAACAAGGAUCAUCUAAUCCAAUAUGAGCCCUUACUUCAACCUAGUGUUGUUAGUCAAGAAAAAAAGACAUGAUUUGACGUUUUUGUGUUAUUAUAGAGCUUUGAAGGAAGCCAUUGUUCCACGUAGAUUUUCAAUCCUUGUCAUUGAGAAUUGCUAGAUGUUACAUAAGUCUUUCAUGUAUUAUAUGUUAGACCACAAAUUUGACUAUUUACAUCCAUAGAGGUUACUAUAAAUUUCUUGUGAUGCGUUUGAGUUAAAAAAGAACACUUCAACCACUUUUUAAUCUACGAUGAAUCAAAGUAUUUAUACAUGUUAUGUUUUUGAUAAAACGUCUUAUAGUUUUGUUUGAAGAUAUAUUGAUGUAUAGCCUCAACUUGAGACCCACGUAAUAUCCUCGGCCACAAUUUUCUAUUAGCAAACAUGAAAGAAAUGCAAGUGUGAGGAAAGUUGUGUGUGGAUCUAACUAUUCAUAAAUGGUUUGUGAAAGCAUUGGACGUGGAAACCAUUAAAAAAAGGUCAAAGAAGAUGAAUAUCUGUGUAAGAUUUGAGUGGAGUGGCACGAUGAUUCUCAAUCCCAACUUUUUUUUACUUUUUUUUAUUUGUCUUUGACACUUUUCUCCCUAAUUCUUCCCAAUUUUGGAGCAAUCUAGCUUAAUCUAGCUUAAUCUUUUGAAGAUAUUUGAAUCAAGAAUGAUGUUGCGAAUUUCAAAAAAUGAUAAAAUUUAGAUAGUUGUAAACUCUAAGCUAUGAGUAUAUAAUGUGAGAAGUUGACAAGACAUAAAAUUGAUAUAUUUUAGUCACGGACUCAAUAACUCUUUAGACCAAACAAGGAGUGUAGCUCACAAGUCGAAUCUUUCUAAUUCUCUCCUCUUCAUACCUUAACUUUUUGGCCUAAACACCUCGGUAAGUGCUUGCAUAUGUAUCGCUUUAUUUCUAUGUCACAUAUUAGACUCUUUCGACCACUACCCAUUAGUCCAUAACUAAUUUGAAAUGAUAUCUUUUAAGGAUUUCAUUGACAUGGGCUCCAUAGACACAUCACACAAAUGGAAAGGCUAAUUCUAUGUCUAAGACAAGGUGGCUCUCACCACCCGGGUAUUGUUAAGCUCUACUAGAAAAUAAGAUGUGAUUUGAAUUUAAAUCAAAGUUGAAAGAGAUUGUUACCUUCCCAAAUUGGUAGAAAUUUUGGUUGUAUUUUGUUUGAAGGUGAUCAAAAUAUCAAAAAAGAACCUUAGAUGUUCAUUCCUCAAGUGCUCAUAAAUUACAUUGAUUCAUCUUACAUAUUACACUUAGAAACAGGUCAUAAUAGCAUUUAAAUCUAAAUAAACAUAGGGAAGUAAGAAGAAUAAAAGUUCGAAAAUGAGAAAAAAAGAAAUACACAAUUUGAUUCCAAAAUUAUAUCUAAAGUAUAAGCAAUUUAGUAUGGAAAAUAUGAAAAUAAGGCUGAAGUUUUGCCACCAAAACAAACCAACAGCCAUGGGUUCUACAACUGCAAGACUGCUGAUUCCUCAUCUUCUUCUUCCCUCUUCUUCUUCUUCUUCUCACAAUCCAUCAACAAACACUCGCACCAAAUCUUCAAAACCCCUUUCAUUUCCCAACCAUAAUUCAUUACCAACCAGGCGUUUGUUGCUUUUCUCCCUCCCCAUAGCCACUGCCUUUCUUCUCCCAAUUCCGGGCAAUCCAAUUCAACCCAGUUCUUCCUUUGCUGUGGAGAGCUUUGACCCUGUCAGCCGUUCCGAGAAAGAUGCCAGUGCCGCCAUUUCACGAAGAGUAUCUGAAGCUGUGGAGCUUCUCGAUAAAGGCAGGGAGUUGCAAGCUCUUGGUGAUUUCAAUCAAGCUCUUCUCUACUUCACUCAGGUUUGUACUAAUUUUGCAUCUUCGAAUUCGUAGAUUUAACGUCGAGUCCCCAAUAAUUUAAACAAUGAUAAGUUAUAGAAUUGUUGAGGAUUGAUGCUUAGCUGAAUUUUUCCAUUCUUUAGAGUCAACUAAGUUUUAGAUGUAAAGUUCUUGUGAUGGACAUCGUGUUAUCAGAUAGCAAUGGCUUUUUUCCAAAAACAAAUUAACAGGAAAAUUUUCAGAAAAAUUAAUAUGCUCUGGAGUGUUGUUAGUUUAUGUUAUUGUAUCUAUAAAUCUAAAAUGUAUGUUGGACAAAGCAUAUCAACAAAAAGAAACCUUUUAGGAAAUCCUGCAUGCAGGAUCUGGUGCAUAAAAGUAAGGCAUAUUAUCCACAAAUGAUUUACUUAUCUGACUUUAUGGAUAAUUCCCCAAUAUAUUUUGGCGACCCAUUGGGAUGUUAUUAGUCUUUUCCACCCACAUUUGGUGUGAUUAUGCGAUUUACCUAGUUGGAAUUUUCAAGUCUUAAGCAUACUGAUGGGUUUUCAGCUGAAUGGAUUAAACCAUUUCUUACAAAAUGUCAAAAUCGUGAAGAUUUGUGGAAAGGGUACUUGUCUUUUUUGUUUUCAGAUAAGUUGUAUGUAAGGAACUUUCUUGUAAGACAUAAGAUCCACGUAUUUUUUAAGGCAGUUCUAUGAAUGGAAUUUUGGAGGCCCAUUUGGGUGUGGUUUGUUAGAUCCAUAUGUUCUAAUCACGAGUGACUUAACUUAACAACACAGUUCUGUCACUAUCCAGAUAGAAGAAUGAGAAAACUAUUAUGUUUUUCGUUUUUAAUCGUGUUUGAGACUAGGAUCCGCGGUGGAUCAUUAUAUUACUGAUCUUCAGAAAUAUUCACUACUUCAAUUUGGAUUUGCUGUAGGCUUCAAAACAUGCAACAUGAAAUUACUUUCUGAUUUCUAAACACCUGUCUCGCAUAGACAAAAAUUCUAUAGCCUCUAAAUACUGAGUGUUCCUGAGGUUCAGGUAGGGGGCGACAAAACUUUGAUUAUAAACUUUUUUUAUUAUUUAUUUUGCUGAAGAAAACUCAAAACGAAAAGUGUUUAGCAUGUGACGAGAAGACUUCAGAUUCCUUUCCCUUUGAAGCUCAUAUUCAAUCUGCACUCCUCAUUUAAUUGAGAGAAAUUAUUUAACUAUUGAUUUAUUUGUCAAGUCAACGUAUUUUGAGUGUUAGUUCUUAUUAAAAAUUUGAUUUUAGUUCUUUUCUAAUUUCAGGUAAUUGAUAAAUAUAAAGAUUUUGCUUUCUCGGAUUAUGCCCGAGUAGGCAGAGCAUUGGCCCUGUACGAGAUUGGUGACCGAGAAGAAGCCAUUGCAGAGAUGGAGGAUGUUUCCAUAUCAUUGAAGGGAUAUCCAGGUACUUGAAUAAAUUUUGCACAAAUUUUGGGUUCUAGACGUACAGAUUGAAGAGGGUAUCACGUAGAUGCAGUGCAACAACAGUUUUAGCUAGAGAAAGAGACUUUAACAUACAGUAUACAAGUACUUGAGAAUAUAUAUAUAUAUAUUUAAAUGAUUCUUCAAACAAUUUUCCUGAGGUAAAAGUUUAGUUAAAUUAUAUGUUUAGUUCAUAAAUUUUGAGGUUUGUGUUCAUUUUAGUUCUUUAGCUUUCAAUAGUCGGUUAAAUUUUAAAAUAAUUUAUUCAAGUAAAGGUCAAAAUUGCAACUUGAAAGUGAGAGUUUAAGAUGAAAAUGGAUGCAUAUUGUUUAGAGUUAAAAGUAGAUGGAUGAUUAAGGCUAUGAUGGCAUAAUUGAAUCGUGCCAAGGAGCUUGGAUGCAACGCAAAUAACUAUAGAUAUGGGUCAUGGAUGUGUUACCAACAUAAUUAAUGCCAUUUAAAAAAGAGUCAAUAGUAUGCACAGGAUAAUUUUAUACAUUCAUGGGUUUGAGGUAUGCAAAAGUUUAUUUAUUUUUAUGUUAUAUAUCUAUUUAGGAUGCUCAACCAGUGUUUGAUACAUAUCUAACAAAUGUGGACUAGUAUUUAUUUGUACAAUUAGUGUCAAAUGCAUUUAUUGUAGUUACAAGAGUUCUAUGCUUGUAUUCUUUCUCUAUCAUUUUCUGGUGUGGUUGGAUUUUGUAAAACAUCAUUGAAUGUGGAUUGAAAUUUUGACUGCUCUCUCGAAGCUAUGUAUAGCAAGCCACCUAGAAUCUAAAAGAUCAUAAUGUUUAACAGUAGUACUCGACAGUUGGUGUCUUUUCUCUUACAUUAUGUGGCCAUAAUGAAUCAUGUGUAGUACAUAGUACUUACUGGCAUUUAUGUACCGGUAUAUUGUUUUGCAGAAGUGCAUGCGGCAUUGGCUGCAGCUUUAUACGUGGAUAAGCAUGCUGCAUUGCUGGCUGAAAAUCAAUUCACCAUUGCAACCUUGCUUGAUCCUCACUAUGUGGAUAUCUCGUAUGUGAAAGAAACAAAGCACUGGCCUCCUAGUUUGAUCAGUUCUUUGCAACAUUUCUUAACACUUUCUUAGACAUUUGUAAUAAAAUAUAUACAGUUUCUGUCAUAAAAAACUCAAUUCCUUGUUUUGUAAGUGCACAAAAUUUAAUACACUUUAAACAUCCAUGUAAUUAUUAGUAGAAAUAUAGUUUAUGUUUACUCUCUUAUCCCCUUUGACUUGUAACAUAAAUUCAUUUCUUCAUUUAAACUUACCUGAUGCUCAUCCUCAUUCAUGUUCUGAGUCUAUUCAAUGCACCUUCUUUAUUGACGGAGGAUACAAUGAUGGUUUUGCUAGUUUUAUACCAUUGGAUAUAAGUAAGUGAAAUUACAAAACAUUUUUUGUAUUGGAAUCUUGAAUCUAUAAUUGAGUCAACUUCAUUCAUAUUUGUGUUAUUGAACUAAUCCUAGAAAUUGGACAGAAACUUUGAACACUUGAGCUGGAUAAUGGAUGUAUCAGAAUUGUCCUUAAUUAACCAAGGUUGAUUGACCUCUACAAGACAAUGGAAGUCACCAUUUAGGAAGGCUUUUCUUUCACGCUGAAAAGUCUUUGCUGUGACUCUGCACUCAUUUUUGUACUUUUAGUGCUUUCAUAUUAACUUUUUAAAUGGUGAGACCACAAUACUUUGUCCUAGAGUAACUAUAGGUCUUUAGUGGGUCCUCAUAUUAAUAAAAAAAAAAAAAAAUUGCUCUUUUAAUGCCAUUCUGGUGUUCAUAAAAUGCUUUCACACAUGGAAAUUUUCCCACUUCUUCAAGAAAGAUCACAGAAAAUAUUUUGCCACAAGUAACUUCUGGUUUGUAUAACCACAUCUUUCAAAUCAGCCUUCUCUUUCUGAUUUUUCAAUUAUUUAUAGUUUUGAUGGUUUUUUUGGGCAAGGUAAAGUCCCAUCAGAAGUACCUGCCAGUAAUUGCAACUAUUUUAGAAAGAUGCUGGGGAUUCAGAAUUCUGAUGUGCUCUCAUUCAUUCAAGCUAAAUGCCAUUGCUGACAGGCAAGCAGUGAAGUGCUUCCAGCAAAUUGAGUGGGCCAUCAAGCAUGUGCUUUGCCCCUGCCUUUCUAAAUCAUAUGCAAAUCUCUGCAGUUACUCAUACUAUUAUUAAGUUGUAAAGUAUUGAACACUUGUCAUGAUUAUUAAUCAGUUGUAUCAUGACAUUUACAGGCUUUCAAUUCUGAUGCUCAUAUUGGACAUGGGAGGCUUAUUUACACAUCAUCAAUGGCUCUGAUUGAGCCUCAGGUUCACUUAAUCCAAUCUGCUUUAUUGAUUUUCUUUUAUCAAAUCAAAUCAUACCAAAAUUUGGAUUGUGAACAUUUGAUUAAUGAGAAAGCUAGGUAUAUUAUAAUUAAAGUUUUUCCAAUCUGAAUAUAAUGAUACUGAAAUGCAUUUGCAUGUGAUUAAAAAUCUCCAAUGAGUGAAUUUUUUCUAUACUUGAUUGUGUACACUACUAGAUAUUUCUUCCAUAGCCAAUCAAUUUUGCUGGCUACAAUGUAAAGAUUCACAUUUGAAAGGGAAAAAAAAAGGUCCCAAAAGGGUUGAGGGAUAGAAUAUUAUUAUCACACAUUACAUAUUCCUUUUGUCCUCAACCCACUUGGAUCUAAGAAGCUUGAGUAGGAUUCUUGCCUUUGUUUUGGUUUUUGCACAACACUGACUUUGCAGAAGCAGAAGUAAUUGACUCAAAACUCCACCUCUAAUGGCCUUUUCUCUUGCCUCUACUGAAUCAUAACAUAAAAUUAUAAGUGAACUAACAGCACUUUCACUGCCUCCGUGAUCUGAUACUCUAAAAACCAUCUUCACAAUAACAUUUACACCAUCUGGAAUAUUUACCACUUCCUCUUUUGCACUUCUAAAUACCAAAAGUUUCUCAAUUGCUGCCAUUGCUUCUCGUGCAGAGCUUCUUUCUCUUUGUUGAGCAUUAGAAAUGUAUGAAAUAAGUCCAGUAACUGCACCUUCCACAACCAAAUUGUUGAUGUUUUGUUCCAAGUUACUUAGUGAACAUAUGGCUUUGGUUGCUGCAUCAGAUGCCUCUGAGUUGUGGUGUAGAAGUUGCACGAUUUCUCGUAAAAGCUCGGUUGUGUUUCCGAGUAAAACACUAAGAUCUUUAGUCUCAACUGAAGAUGAAAUUGCCUGAACCAAAUGACACAAACUGAUCUUGAUCAUGGAAGUGCCAUUACUGAACAAAACCAUGAACCGUGAUAGUUUUGACUCAUCCAUUAGCACAUUUAGGGACUGUAUCUGUUCAAGAGAAACCAUAGCAACCAUAAAACUAAGCGCUUGCUCUACAAAUUCCUGAUAUUCUUGUGAUAGUUUGGUUUCUUCUUGCCCAAAAAUCAACUCCAAAAGCACUGACAAGAACCCAAUUCGGAUCAAACAAGAAUUACGAGAAGGAAACUCUUCACAUAAAAUUCUAACUCUUUGAAGAACUUGUAGCUUGUAUUCAUAAGAAAACUCAUCAGAUUCAAGUUUGAUUCUCAAAGCAGCCAUAGAAUCAAUAGUAGAAACACAUUGAGGGUUUAUUUGGUCACUCAUCUGAAGCCACUGACAAAUCAAAUGACGAAGAGUAUUAUUAGGAACAAAAGAAGGAUCAUGAAGCUUCUGCAUUGUAACAGGACAUGUAAGAUUCCCUGAUGCCAACCAUUUCUCAAUGCUUGAUCUUUCAUAAGUUUGUCCUGUGCAAAGAGUGACAGGAUCCUUAAACAAAUCAAGACUUAUUGGACAUCUAAACAAGUGAGGGAUGGUCUCAUGAUCAUCAGCUUCUUUCAUGGAGAAGAAAAAGAAUAAAACUAAUUACAAAAACCAGAGAAAGAAGAGAGUGAGUACCCCCUAUUAGAAAUUUGGUAAAAAGAGAGAUGGAAAUGAAAUCUUUGAGAGAGGUGGAAUGAUAAAAAAGGAAGAUACGGUGGGAAAGUUUUCAAAAGAAAGAGAAAAAAGGGAGACCGAUUGAGUUCUUAAAGGCUUUUCUUUUCAAGUCACAAAAGAAGAACACAACAGUGUGAUAUUUGAGGAAAGGAAAAUGGAGACCCCAAAAGCUAAAAGGCAUAAAGAGAGAUGAAAAACAGGUAUAGAAAUUGGAAUCAGAUGGUAUAAAGGUGGAUUUAGAAAGCAAAAAAAGCUGAAGGAAAGAAAAGUAGGCAAAAUAUUAAGACUUAAACAGUGAGUUUCUAUGGGGGAAAAGUGUACUGAUUUUGGUCUGAGCUAAUGCUGUUUCACACUGGCAGAUAUAACGAAAAAAAAAGAUAAAAGAGUAUAGAUCAGAAGAGAGGGACAAAGUAGAGGUUAAUCCUAGUGAGAGAGAUGAACAAAGUAAAAUGAUAUGGAAGAAGUAUGAGAAAAAUUGGUCCCCAUUACUCUAAUAUAGAAUUCAGUCAAAGUGACCCACCAUCAAAUAAUAAUAAUUAUUAUUGUCUUUGAAGUUUGAAUCAACCCUCAUAAUAAGAAAAAAAAAUGGGGAAAAAAGGAGAAAAAUAAUGGGUCUAAUUCCCUGUGAUAGAGAGAGAGAGAGAGAGAGAGAGUUUUGACUAAGAAUUUUUCUUAUUCCUUGAGAUAUAGAUAGAGAGAGAGAGUUUGACUGUGAAAUGUUAAUGGUAAUCACAAUUAGAUUUUGAUGAGAAUUCUGAUCUCAAUUAUGAUUAUAAACACUCAUACCAAUCAUAUAAUGCAAAUCUAAACUGGAUAAUUCUCUAAUAUGUGUACUAAUAAAGGUGGCCUUUUUUUCCCCUAUGUUCAUACCUUUAAGAUCUUUCAAAAUUCAAACAAAAUUUGAAUUCUAAAUUUUAUAUAUUUUAAAAUUUUGGUUUUAUUUUUAGAAAUUGGAUAUGAGUUAAAAAGAAAAAAAAUAAACCCAAAAUUUAAAAAUAAAUAAUCGAAUAAUUAUCAAACGUAACCUACGAGAUCAUGUAAAUAUGUACUUAAUUACUUUAUUUGAAGUUGCAAUUACUUGCUUGAUCUAGGCCAUAAAUAUGACAUAGGAUGGUCUAACAAUAGCGAAUCUAUUUGAACAAUAAUCAUAUCAAUUAUUAAAAGUUGAAGCAGUUUACACAACAAAAUGGUAUAUUCUUUCCUAUAUAGACAUGAUUUAACGACUAUAGAUAUAAAACAGUGAAGAAAAGUCAGAAUAGAUGACUUUUACUCUUUAAAUUUUUAUUUUUUCUUUAUAAAACGUAGACCAACUCAAAUAUUUAACUAAAGGAAUAGUCAUUUAUUUGAAGGUUCUAAUUUUUUAAGAUAUAUUAAAAUGAAACUACAAAUUUCACCUACAUCCCAAACACAUGUAAUGAGCUAAUAUACAUAAAACAGAAAGAGAAAAAUCAAUUGACUCUCCCACUUUGAAUCGCAAUUAUUUAUUUUUGAUUCAUUUCUAUUUUCAUUUAGAAGUUGAAAAUUAUUUACAUAAAAUUAUUCUUAAAAAAUAUCACAAAAUCUCUCUAAACAAGUAAAUAAAAGUAGAGAAGGAUUAGCAAGUGAAAAGUUACUCAAAUUUGAUGAAAAUCACUCCUAUAUCUAUUUAGAUCCACGACUUUAAAACAAAAUUUUAAAUAAGAGUCUAAAUAAGUUAACUUAAUUAAAUUGAUAGAUAUAUAACAAUGGGUAAUUAGUAUAAAGUUAAAAAAGUUUUAAUUAAACUAAUACAAAGUCAAAAUUUAAAAGUAUAGAUUAAAUUUUGUAGUCCCUCUAGAAGUGAUGUUAAAUGCGCAACAUCAUUCAAGUAAUUAAUCCACUUAGAAUCCAUAGUUUUUGUUGAGUAGAGAAGUCUUCAACAAUGGAAUUCCAUCACAAACUAAGAACCUUUUUUGUAACAAAAAGAGGCCAAAUUUAAUUUGUUCACGUAAAGUGUUACAAAAAAAAGUCACUCAAUUUUAUAUUAUAAAUAAAAAGAAAGAAUGGAAACUACCAAAUUAUGGAUUAUACCUGAUUAUGGAUUCAAAUAAAACUUUGUCUCAUAUAUAUAUAAAACUUAUAGCUUAGCUUAUAAGUUUACUUUAGAAAGACUUCCACAUUUUGCUUCCAAACCGUCUUUAAAGUUGAGGGACCUAAUAUUCAUUAUACAAAAUUAAAAGUCAUGAUAUGUAAAUAAUUAAUAAGGUCGUAGUUGUACAAUCUAUAAAACAUAUGUCAUAUUUGAAUAAUUAAACGGUCAAAGAUCGAGGAUGAUAAUGAUGACGAACUAAGUUGAUUCAAUGAACAUGAUACUUUUAUAUGUAUAUUCAUGUUAAUAUGAUGAAAAUUGUUGACAUGAACAAUAUUUGAAAUGUAAGAUAUUUAUGAUUUAGACUAGUUAACAAUGAAAUGAUGAAAAAGAGAAGGAUUAUAAGUUUUGAAACGUUACAAAAACGUUGGUUGAGUUAGGUCAUAUUUUGAAUAGUGUUGAAAGGAUGAUGUUUAAGAUUGAAUGCAUGCACACCCACCAUAUUUAUUUGAAGUGUGCCGGCCAAAGGCAUCAUCACAAAAACACAAAUUAAUUCUAUCAACACUUUGACUUUUUGACUCUCAUUAUAUACACCAAACUUCCCCACCUCAUGACUUCCUAAUGUUUAGUCUAUUUUUUCCAAUAGUGUGUUAUGGGGAUGAUCCAUUGCCCAUUAUGAACGAAGGGGUGAUUCCAAAUUCUCUCCAUAGUCCCACUUUUAUCAUACGACUUUCAAACGUGGAUCAAACUUUAGGUAUUUGUGUAAUGAUGUCAACCAUAUAUCGUGUCAUUUCAUUGAGGUUUUAAGUCUUAUUUGUAGUCGUUUGUCAAAAUUCUAGAAGCUUUUUUGUGACGGUAUUGUGUGAUUAUAUUAUAACAUCUAGAGGUAUAAUAAUUUGUGUUUGAAGUCAAGCAUAUAGAUACAUACACAAACAACUUCUCUAACUUCAUAAUAUUGGACAAAAGUAUAUAUCUAAAAGUGGUAUUUGCAAAGUAUAUAGAGAACAACCCACUAAUGAUACAAAAAGUAUUUUCAAAUUAGACGAUAAGAGUUCAAGAUGAAGGAAUCAUCAAAGUACGUUUAUCGAGAUCAAAAAACUUACGAUAUACUAAAAUAAUUUCUUAUAUAUAUAUAACAUGAGUGGAAAAUGUAUAAAUCGUUAGAAAAAUUUCUCAUUUUAUUCUCUAAUAUUAUGCAUAGUUUUUUGUUUUAAGCUUUGUGAAGACCCAUAAAAUGUAUUACAUAUACUUAAACACAUGGUUGGAUUGACAAAAAAAAAAAGAUGUUUUAAAUAAAUCAUUUUCAUCCAAACACUUUGUAUAACAACUUAGUUAUACUUAAUUACAUUCUUGAAGACAAAUUUGUUAAGUCUGACAUAAUCAAAGUGGAUGGUUGAUAUCUAUAGUUUCAAAAAGAAAAAUAAAUAGCAAAGAGAAAGUACUUGUGAAUUAAAUCAAAGCAAUGAGAAUGGUUAAUUAAGUAAACCAAUAUCCACAAAAGGUAAAAGACCAAGUUCAUUUCCCUUUCAAUGUUUACAAUAUUUUACACCCAAUUCUUUUAAUUUGAUAAAAAGGAAUUCAAAUGUCAAAAAGGAUAGUCAAGAAUAUUUUAGCUUUAAUGUUCCCUCAAGAUUAGGUAAGUUUGGCCAAAAGAUAUUGGAAGAGAGAGAGAGAGAGAGAGAUAUCCAAAGCCACAAAAAGACAAAUAAAUGAGCAAAAUACACAAACUAUUCAAAAUAAUAUUUUUUUAUUUUCUUCUUCUCUUUAAAAAUGAAGAAAAUGAACUUUGAACUUAAUCUUGUCGGCUUCUUCAAUACUUUAAUUUGAAAUUACAAUAUUAUUUCUUUUUAAAACAACUAUUAAUUAAUAAUCUUUUGUUAGAGACUUUUAUCUAAAGAAAAUAAAAUCUUUUAUUGGACUUUGUUACAUUCCUUACUUUGUACCCAACAAUUGUUUGAAGAUAAUAAACUAAUAGAAAUGUAAACAAAAAUUCUUACAUUGAUCCAAGAAAAAAGUGAUCGUGGAUAUAUAUAAGCAAUUAUUUGUAUUGAUAAGACUUCUACAUAUGGUCAUGAUUUGUGAAGUUGAAUGUAGGUAAGAAAAGGAAUGUAUAUAUAUAUUUCACAAGUUUUUUCCCUAGGUAGCCACUUUAGGUCAUUUUUAAAUGGGUACUAUUGGUAUAAAUUUUUAAGAUAUCGAUCCUUUAUUUUUUUAGUUUUAGUAUACAUUCAAGUUUUAAUUCCUUGAUCAAAGUGAGCUUAGUUUAACGGUAAUUGAUAUGACUUUCUAUUUUAGAGAUGUGAGACGUUCGAAUCUCUCAACCUUCAAUUGUUGUACUAAAAAAAGUUUCAAUUACUUGUAUAUAUUUCACCUCAAGCUUUAAUAAUUAUUUUUAUUCAUUUAGUAGUAAUUAAAACUUUAAAGGGAGAGAUUAUAAAAAGAAAAUUGAUAGGGAUUGAUUUAUUUUGAUGCAUUGUGAUAAAUUGAAUUAAUAUUUUUAUCGACGAAUUGUAAGUAACGCCCUCGAACAAAAUUUGUAGAUCCAACAACUGGCUCGAUUAUAGUCCCAUUUUGAAGUUAGGUUUCACGCAAUAACAUUUGCAUAUAUUCUAAUAUACUCCUCGUUGAAACUCAUGGAGAGAUAAUCAUUUUUACCUCAUGAUAUGCUCAUAUUUUCUUUGUCAACUCAUCAACGUGGAAUCCAUAUCUCUAUGCAUAUUGUAUAAUUAACUUACCAAUUAUACAUUUCAUUCUUCACACACACGCACACUAAAAAGAAAUCCAAUGUAAUUUUAUUUCCAUGCUACUAUUCUAGGCAACUUUUAAGUAGUUAGUCAAUACUUAAUUAGCGGUAAUUUGAUAUGAUCUUCCUUCUAUCUAUUGUACUAAAACGCAAACUUUUAGAUGGUUAAAAGUUGUUAAGUGUUUAUUGUGAAUUUUUUGGUCAAAUUUUGGUUGAAACAACACUUCAUAUAUUUUAUAUAUGUGUGUGAUCUAACUGUUGGGUUGGCCAUGCCCAUGCUCUAGAUGAACAUUAUUUAUAAUGAGCCCUCAGUCCAUGUAAUAUUCCUCCAAUUAAAUAUUAUAAACAUGAUGAGAAAAGGGAAAAUAAUAAUAAUCCAAGACAAAAUUAAAUGAGGUUUAAUAAUUAACUAAGAUUAUAUAUUGGAAAUUCAAAUAUCAUCUAAACUCAAAUACAUCUCAUCCAAAUAAGAAAGUUCACUUUCAUCAUCAUCAUCAUCUUCCUCAUAACAAAACAUACUUCUUCCAAUAAUAUUAUUGUUUUCUUUUGCUUCAAAUACUCUACAUACAACCCAUAUUCCAAACUCCUGUUCAAAUCACAACACAUACAAUCACCUUAAUAAAUCAACCCAACAAUAAUGUUUAAAUUAAAUAACCUAACAAUUCGAACAAUCUAGACUAUCCAAUCUAAAUUGUAUAGACUAGGUUAGGGUAACCCAAAAUUUAGAAAAUGUAACCAACAACUCACUCUAAUCUAACUCGAAUUUUAAAGAUUUGGUUCGAUUGGGUUGAAGAUACAAUCAUUUUGGGUUGCCAAUUUGGUCCAAAAACUUUCCAUAAUCCAACUCAAUCAACCCAUUUACCUUCACCUAAUUAAUCUCUAUACACAAUUAUAAAAUAUACCAUCAUUCAACCACUACUACAUAGUUUUAUGUUUUUCUCUAUUUAAUUUAAUUAUGCUCUUAGGAAAAUACAUACACUAGUUAAGUUUUUUUUCUUGAUAUGGAUUGUAUAGUUAUAUAAUCUUGUAUCUAUUCAGUAUUUGAACUUUUGGAUUACAAUUUAUGUGAACCUCCAACUUUAUCAAAUAGGUUAUUGAUUUUCUUUCAACUAUUUUUAUAAUUUACAUACCUUAGUGAUCGUAAAACAUUAAUAAAGCUUGAAGUCUAGAUUUGUUAUUAUUUUUAAAAAAUUUAAUAUGUCGUGAACUUAUUAAAUACAAAAUCUAAAGUUUAAAGACACAUUUAAUAUUUAGGAACCCUUUUACCAAACUUUAAAAGUUUAAGAGAUAAAUUUGUAAAUGAAUCUGCAUCCAAAUUAUCUAAAUACUUUUUUGGUUUUUUAAGCUUUUAAAUAUGAUUUUCAUUUUGGUCCUUAAAAUUUCUACUUCCGUUCCUAAGCUAUAAAUUUAGUUUUUAUUUGGUGAUAAUACUUAUCUAAAUUAAAAUUUAAAAAGUUACAUUUUGCCAUUGUGUUUGAGUUUUUAUUUCCAUUUAGUCUAUAAGCUUUAUAGUUUUAUACUUUUACUUAAGAUAGUAAAAAGACCAUAGUACCAAAACUAGUAAUUUCACAUAUAUUUUUUUAUUUAAUAAAAAAUUAAGUACUAAGUGCCAACUAGAAUGAACAUAUACUUCAUUUAGCAAAAAGUUUGUACUACAAAUUUCAAGAUUAGAACUUUAUUGAUUAUUCACUCCACGUAUUAUUUUUCUAGAAAAACACCCGCCAUACCAAUUACUUUGUCUGAUUUUGAGGGGAAAACAUGGUGAUCGAAUCUAUAACGAAAUGAAAAAGUGUAAAAUGAAAGAAAACGAAAAACGAGAAACAAGGAAAAAUAGUGAAAAUGUAAGAUUCUUGAGUUGUUUCACUUACUGAUUUUGUUUGUGAUAGAUUAUUGUUGUUGUUUUGAGAUGGAUGAGUAUGAUCAUGAGUGUUCAAAAGGUAGUUGUAAAUGUGAUACUCUUGCAUGACCCAACUUGUUUGAAUGGGUGUUGGUGAUUCAUCAUCUUCUUCUUGAUCACCAACAAAGAAAAUAUGAUAUUUUUUGAUACCCACUUCAUCCCCAUUGGCACCGCAAAAGAUUGGUUCAUCCAUUAAAACAUCUUUCCAAUAUCCACUCUCUGUUGCUCUACUUUCUCCCACUCUGCUGAAAAAGUAAUGAAUGUCCCCAUUUGACAGUGUUUUACCUGUGAAACACAAUAAAAUUUUAACUUUAAAAUAUGUGUUUUGGUUGUUUCAAUUUGGUUCAUAUAGAUACAAAAUUUAUAAAUAUAGAACUUUUACUUUUCACUUAGUAUUAUUGCUCUCGAAUUUGAAACUUAAAUGAAAACUAAAACAAAAACUCAAGAAACAAAAACAUUUUAAGUUCUAAUGAAGUCUACAAGUUUUAGAGAAGAUAAAACAAACUAGAAUCAAUAUUUACUUUAAAGGAAAACGUAAAAUAACACACACAUAUAUAUAUAAAUUUUAAAAGCAAGAUCUUAUGCUCUUCCAAUGCUCCUCAUCAAUCUAACUUAAAAGCUAGCUUGACUUCUUGUACCUACUGCAUGCAUAUAUAGCUAGCUAUAUUGUUCUUCGCAUAAUAAGAGAAAAGAUAGAGGGGGGGAGAGAGAGAGAGAGAGAGAGAUUAUGUAUAUAUUAUAUUAUACCAUGGAAUUGCCAAGGGUUAUAGAGAUGAAGCUGAAGAUGAGGAAUAAUAAUGGAAUUGGAAAAACGAUGAUGAGAGUUAGCUUUGUGAUAGAGAAAGUGAAGCACAAGGUCUUCAUCAGUUGGGCAGAAUCUAAGACCAGGAGGCAACAGAUUUAAGCUAUUAUUUCCACUUAUCCCACCUUCAUCCAUAUUAACAAACUCAAUCAUAAUAAUAUAAAUAACAAAUACACAAUAAUAGUAUUCUUUUCUUUUUUCUUUUUGAGGAGGUAACUAGGUUAAGGCCUAGUAGGUUUUAAUGGAGAAACUUUGCACCACAUUUGGCCUAUUUAUAUAUAGAAAUUAAAUGCAUAUAUGAAAUUAAAUUAAAUAUAUAUUUAAGAAGAGGAUAAUAUUAGUGCAUAUAUGUGUUUUGUUUCAUUGAUUUAAUAAAGGCAUUUUUUCCCAACACCAUGCUUCCUUGACCCACACUUUUGGAAUGAAAACAAAAUCAAAAGUAACUUUUUCUUUUGCUUUGUUUUUAUUGUAAAAGAGACACAAAAAGAAAAAUAAAGAAAACAGUAACUACUACUUUAUAUGGUCUACUAACACCAACUUGUGAUCAUAAACUUUAGGUUUAGCUUACAUUUAUAUUUUAUUUAUUAGGUAUAUGGUGCUAUAAGAUAAUGUUUAAGUUAAUGAUGGAAAAUUAUUUUCAACCAAAAGAUGAAAUUUUCAGUACUUUUUUGGGGGAGAAGUGACAAAGCAAUAGCAAUUAAAUGUUGUAAUUUUGUUUUAUUUAUAGAAGCAAUGAAUUAAUGGUAUUUAGUGAGAGUGAAAUGGUGUGGAUUGCAAAUGGAUGAAAUGAUAAAUGGGUAAUCAAUCAAAUCUGAACAUAGUGGGUGUCGUUGUUUGAUGAACUACUGCCUAAAUCAUUUUGUUUAAUCUAAUGCAUAAUUACGUUUAAAUUAUUCCCUCUCUUUGAUUAUUGACUUCACCAAUAUUUCUACCAAACAAAAAUAGAAGAUGAGAUGUAUUAAUCCACUAAAUGUUCCUUUGGAUUUUAAAGUCUCUAUCUAGUACAAUAAUAAUGACAAUUAUAUAUGUAGAGAGAAGAGUCACACCCUAACAAUUUAAUCGUGAAAGAAAUUAUUAACAUUUUGGGAUAGAUUUGAAUAAUGUUAAAUAUAAUCAUCAAUAUUGAUCCAAAAACUUAAGUUAAUAAGUGCACGUUCUAACGUUCAACAUUAUUAAUAUGAAUUCCUUAGGGUUGCUUGCUCAUGAACAUUUUGUAGUAAAGGAUCUUUCCAAAGAAAAAAAGAUUUGAGAGGUGUGAGAAUUGAUUAUAUAUUAAAGAUGAAAGACAAUUAUCAUAUAUUAAAAAUACUUAGAAUAUUGAUUGAUUUACAUAGUAAAGACAAGAUUAUCAAGGUAUUAAAACACUAAUAUAUACCUUCAAAAUUCCCAAUAAAUCAUACCAAUAUACACAAACAAACAGGAUGAAACGUUAGUUGACUCACCAAUUGAUCAAAAACUACUUUAAGUUUUUUUUAAAAAAAUAAGUAACAACAAAAAUAAAUAUAAAAAUUAGUAUAUUAUUAGAUUAAAAUACUUUGUGAAAGGGAUCUAAUAAUAAGUGGUGACAAAUAUAUUAUUUUAUGGAGUGAUGUAGAAUCAAAUCUAAUGAAGCCCUUAAAAUUAAUAAACACUCACGAGAUCGAUCAUUCAUUGUUUAUAAAAAAUACAUCAUCAUUGUUUAUAUGAAAGCAACUUCUUUCUAUUAUUUUUUAUUCUCCCAUCUCAUCAUUUUGUUGGAUGGGAUCUUAACACAUAUAUACAACAGAUUCUGCCAAUUAGAAUAUCUAUAUAGUUCUUUGAAAACAAAACAUAUAAUUCUAAUCCAAUAUAGUUGACAGACAAGUUUUACCACUCCAACACAAUUUUUUAUAUUAGAAACUUUGGUAACACUCUACUCCCUGUUAUGAUCACUUUCCUACAUAGGAGAAUAAACAUGUAUUUAUGCGUGCCAUUUAGUUGCAUUCAAAUUUUCUCGUGAUAGUUGUUCUUUAUUUUAGAAAUUCAAUUGUCCUAUACAUUGAAAUAGUUUAUAGAAAUGAUGGGUUUCAAUAUGCCUUUGGUUUCAAAUCAUCCUAAUUAGAAACACUUUUAUAAGUUUGAAUGUGCUAAUUAAUUCUUGUUAAAUUCUCUUUUGUAAUUUUAGUUUUGAGAGGUGAGAUUAAAAGGUGUGAGUAAUACUAAAGUUUUGAGAGAGUGUUCUUGUAAUUGAGAUUGGAAAAAGAACUAUUUAUAUUAUGUGUGAUAUAUUAUAACAAUUUUCACACGGUAAACUUCUUUUUAGUUAGUAGGUCAUGGUUUUUUUCUAGGUUAAGAGAUUUUCGUGUAAGCCUUGUGUUUUCUAUUAUUUUCUUUUAAUUUCUAUAUCAUCUUUCUACUUAUUUUGUCAAAGAGAUGAUAGAUUUUUUUUUUCUUCUAACAAUUGGUAUUUCAUAGCCUUAAAUUCAUAGUUUCUUGAAUGUUUGAGUAUACGUUUUAUAGUUACCGCACUAUUUAUAUACUUUCAUGUCACUAUUUAUAUACUUUCAUGUUAGAAAAUCGUAAACACUAAACAUUAAACGUAUUAUGAAUAUUGUGAAUUGGUUCACGCUACUUAUAAAUUAUUUAGAAGUGCAGCAAAUAUACGUUAAUUAGGUUUAUAAGGUGAAUAUGAAAUUUGUCAGUAUAGAAAUGAACUCAACUAAGGAGAACAACUUCAACUUGUACUGAUCAUAAUUGUAUUAUGAAUUAUACAUGAGAAUAAAGAGUGGUAAGUGCAUUGGCCUAAUAUUAUUAUGCAUGCUUUGGUUUAUCAAAAGCCAUAUCAUUACGUUACAACUCAUUAGGCUAUUCAAAAUGAUUCCCAUUUAUUGUUUUAGUUGAGAGGUCAUAUCUAAAAGCAUUUUGAAGGAAUAAUCUCAACCACAAAAGCGAAGCCACUUUUGUGCUUAUCCCAAUACAAAAGGAAAGAAAAACACUUUGCAAUUGCAAUUGAGUUGCAACCCAACUCUUUUCCCAAUAUUAUCUUAUUUAUUUAUUAUUAUUAAUUAGUUAAGUUUGAAUGCAACUUGUUUGUAGUUGCAAACAAAUACUAUAUUAUUUGGCAUUUGUUAUAUAUUUGUUUUGAUAAUCAUUUAAACUAUUAGAACACAGUUCUAUACAACUAAUAAGUGAUGAUCACCAUUAGACAUUUAGGAGAGAUUUGUAGUGCGAAAGUUUAAGAACCUAUAGUUUAAAAAUGGUAAUGUAUAGGAAAUCUACAAUUCUGGAGAUAACUAGACAUAGUAAAAAAUUUAAGAAUCUCUAGUUCCUUUACAAUUAUCAUGAUUAUAUGUAUAUCUAAUCAUCCAAAUUAGUUCUAGAGUAGUACUUAGCUUCAAUGUAUAACUAGUAUUAGUCCACGUGAUAUAGCAUUAGAUCAAUAGUUUAGUGCUUUUUCAAAGAAAUUAAAAAUGGUUGAUAAGAGACGAAUAAAUUGAUAGAUAAUCAUAACUAUUAAUUUUAUUUCUUGCUCCUUUUUUCUAACCACCACUCACUUUAAAAAUUGACAUAUGUUUCUUUUUCGAUAUAGACAAGGCAUUAUUAGUUCAAUCUAUAUAUUUAAGUUAGCAUGGUUUAUUCUUAACUCAAUCAUAUAAACAUGGAAAUAAUCUUUCACCCUAUACUUACCUAGAAAUUUAAUUCAUAUUAGUACCUAUAAUAUAGGUAUUUCAAAAUCAAUAAAGGGAAGAAUAAUGAAUUGAAAAUCCCAUCAUUAGUUCAUCUUGUUUUCAAUCCUUACAUAAAAUUGACACAAUAUCCUAGCAUGCAUUUAAUCUUUCUUAUUGAUUUUAAAAGUCUAAUUUAUUUUAUAACAUUUAUAAAAACUUUUAGACUUAAUCAAUCAUUUUAUCAAUAUAUAACCUUAUAAAAACAUUCAAUUAAUAUGGAUUUUAAUUUAUUUAACUUUAAUUAAAUCAUAUUUAAUUUUAAUUUAAUUAAAUCAUAUUUAAUUAAAUUAAAUCAAACAAUAACUAAUUAAUUUGAUUAAAUCAUAUUUAAUCAAGAAUAACUUAAUUAAUUAAUCAUAUUAAUUAAUUUCCAUAUUAAUCAAUUAACAUGCAUACAAUACAAUAUAACAUUUAUAUUAUACAUUUUAAUGCAUGAACAUGUUAACCUAUGGUGGGAUUUUAAAUCUAUAUGACAUUCAAAAUGCACAUACAAAUUUAAAGUAAUUUAAUCAUACAUCACAUGCAUAAAUAAAAAAACACCCUAAAAUGGACUGAUUUUUGGCUCCUAAAUUAAGUUAAGUACUAAAUUAUUACAUAAUUAAUUUGGUGUAGUACAGAACCACUCCCAAAAACUUCGAACCGGCUGAAAAACUAACCGAAACCCCUUGAACCGGCCCAAAAACCAAAUUUAUUGGCUUGAACCGGCCCAAUUAACUAAACAGGCCCAGGCGCACACGGGUCGGGCGCAGGCGGGCGCGGCGGGACAGGCAGGAGGGCGCGCGGCGCAGGAGGGCGCACGGGCGCAUGCGGGCGCGCGGCACAGGCGGGCGCGCGGGCACAGGCGGGCGCAGGAGGGGCGCGCGGCGCGUGGGACGCAGGCGGGUCGCGCAUCGGGUCAUGACCGGGUUUUCGGGUCUGUGACCUUCUUUUCUUCAUUUUUUUUCAAUUCUCUCACCCGGUUGAACCCGUUACAGCCUAACUUCAACUCUAAUGACUUUUUUAGUUUUUAAAAAAUUACAAACACUUUGCAACAAUAAAAAUAAGCCAUUAACAAGGCUAAUUACAAUAAUUAGAACAAAAACACUUAAUCUAGAGCCAAAUUCAUAAUAUAUCCAUUUUAGUUCAAACCAAAAUUUAUCUAAUAAAUAUGAACCCACCACAUACAAUUGGGUAAAAAUGAAGCAUGCUCUGAAACCACAUGUACCAACUUGAUCACCACAAGUCCCAACUUGAUCACCACAAGUCCCAACUUGAUCAUUGAUGGUACUUGUGGUGAUCAAUGAUCAAGUUGGGACUUGUGGUGAUCAAGUUGGGACUUGUGGUGAUCAAGUUGGGACAUGUGGUUUCAAAGCAUGCUUCAUUUUUACCCAAUUGCAUGUGGUGGGUUCAUAUUUAUUAGAUAAAUUUUGGUUUGAAAGUAAUGGAGAUAAAAUGGGAUUGGAAGGUUUCUUUUUUCUUUUGUUGAGAUGAUGAAAAUGAUAAAAGAGGCAAAAGUUCUUCAACAUUUGAAAACACCUCUAUUUAUAACCUAAUUACAUGCAAAAAUGCAUGUAAUUCAUUUGCCAAAUCUCAACACCUAAUGUUCCACUAACAAUUAGUGGGCUAGGUGUCUAUAUCUCAUAUAGCCACAUAUCCCACUAAGAGUUAGUGGGAUUAUCCAACAAAAUGUUGGAUUUUUCCACUAACUUAGUCCAAGGGUAAAAUGGUCAUUAGAUAUUUCUAGUCAAAAGUCAAACUUUGACUUUUCUAAGUCAAAAGUCAAUAUUUUGACUUUUUACCAUUUUGUCCGUCUUGACUAAUUCCAACCUCCCGAGCAUGAAUCCGCAUUCAUUUUUCCAAAAUUCAAAUCACAUUUGAAUAUAAGGCCGGUCAAAGUUUGACCUUUUCAAAGUCAAAAGUCAACAUUUUGACUUUUUACUAUUUUUGACCAAUUCCAUCAAUUCUGAGCUUCUUAGUAUGAAUCCGCAUUCAUACUUAUAGUAUGUAAAACAUAAAGCUCUAUUUCUAAUUAGAAGACCGACGACUAUAUCACUAUAUUUGUCGGUUUCCCUUUCUUCUCCCAAUUCGAAACAAUUCGAGCUUAUUUCAUCACACUGUUCUAAGUUUAAUCCAUAUGAGCUAGCAGAGGAACCUAAUGGACCUAUAGAUCAUGGGCUCCAACGAUUCAAGAUUAACUAGCUAAACUCUUUUAAACCGAGUUAAUCAACAUUCGUUAACUAACGGGUCAUUCCACUAAAGUCCCGUAGUUGCACUCCCCUCACUAUAGAUAUAUUUGUGUCCAUUUGAUAAAACCAUAAUCAGUAAGUUAAUCCUUCACAGGUUGCUCGUAACCUUGGCUGGGUCAAAAUACCGUUUUACCCCCAAGAUUACAUCUUGCUCCUUAAGUCCCACUAAUCCACUAUUGAACAAUUGGUUUAAGGUUCAACCUAUAAACUUAAUCCCUCUCGGGCCAAUGAGAGGGUGGGGCCCCUUGUUCAAGACUUGGAUUCAGUGCUUAAGAGAGCAACCUAUCUACUAACCCUAAAGCGGGUAGGAGUGAAUUCCAUCUUGUACCCUAUGUUCCCAGCUAUCCACCGAUCUUACCCCUGAAAUGGGAGGCUUAUUGGGCCAACGCUGAUGAGCUGCCCUCACCUAUGCAGAUCUAAGGAUAAUCUCGUGUGAACAGGAGUUCAUAGUUAACUCAGGAUUAAGACUAAGUUACCUAGGUCAUCAAUAAUUGAGAUAGUCAGUUUUAAACAGUAAACGGUGUUAUAACGUAAAAAUGACUAAUUCAUGGUUCAGUCUUAUGUAAACAUUUUACAUAGGAUGCCCCCACUUUCAUGUCUCUACAUGAACGAUUAGGAUCACCUCGUUUGUACUACAAAGUGGGCCGCAUCCAUAGUUUCUCUAAAUAAGGCGCCCAACCUUUAUUUCAUAUACUAUAGACUAUUUAGGCUAUAUACUCGAACUUGAUCCACGUUUAUGUUUACACAUAAAGUUCAAGUUUAUUCAAAAAAUAGCCUUGGAACUUGAUUUAUUGGAUUUAAGAUUAUAAUAUUUAAUUUCUCAAUAACAACUUUAUUGAACAGAAUAUGAUUUACAAACUACGAGUUUUAGGACAAAAAAUUCCAACACUAAAGAGGUGCAAGAUAAAAAUAAAACAAUUAAACCCUUCAAAAACAAGUUUUGGGAUAAAAAAAAUGAGUAUGUGGCAUCACUGGUCACUUUUUGUGGAAAUUUUUUUCAAUAUUAUUCAAAAUGAGACUAUCUAGUAGUCAGAUUUGAAUUUUCGAUACUUUUCACAUUGUUCUAAAUUGGGUCGUUUCUUUGUAAGCUAUAGCAUGGACAUUUUUAGAACCGUUUUGGGUGCUACCAUAAUACAUCACUAAGGAGCACCAGUCUCGACCAUUAUGCAAUUUUCUGUGUCAUAGAGUAAUGCAAAAGAUAGGAUGUCGCACUUAUCAACCCACAAUCAUUGAGUUAAAGAGGUGCAAGAUAAAAACAAAAAAAAAAAUUAAAAUAAACGCUUCGAAGACAAGUUUUGGGACAAAAAUAAAACAUGAGUCUUAGAGCAUCAUGGAUCAGGUUUUAGUUUUUGUGGGGAAAAAAACUUUAAUAUUACUCAAAAUGACACAAUCUAGUAGUUAGAUGUGAAUUUUCGAAACUUUUUAACAUUGUUCUAAAUUGGGUCGAUCCCAAUUAAUUUUCUACUUUGUAACAAUGUUUCAUUUAUGUCAAUGGUUAGGUUGGAACAAGAUAUAAGCGUUAGGUAUGAAAACGGGUCAUGUUUGUUUAUUUUUCUAGAAAAAAAAAAUUGACAUAAUCCAACUCAAAUUUGGUUUCACAAAGAAGUUGUUCGACUUGACUCGGAAAAAAAUUAGAAACAAAGAGGAAGACCUUGAACAACCUAAAUUUGAUAGAAUUUAGGUAAUGAAAAUGAUUUGAAGAUCCAUGAAUGUGAAGGGCAGCUCAAUUAGAUAUGAAGUACAUAAUGAUCAUGUUGAUUAUUAUUGCAUGCAUUUAGGUUUGAAAACCAUGAAGUAUUGAGAAAACAUAAAAGUGAAAUUCAAAGUUUAAUUUGGAUGAUUGGAUGUUUUUGUUGAAUAUGAUUUGGGAUAGACACUAUUUUUCCACCUCUCUUAAUUCAUCAUUCGCCAAAUGGCUACACAAUUAUAUACAUCCAAUAUAUAAGAGAUAUAUAAUGAUGAACAAUGUUUCAACUUUAAUUAAAGUGAUGGAAUCAUGGAAAUAUAUGUAAGAACGAUGAGUUCGCAUGCCAAAUUGCCAUAAACCACUCCAUCUUCAUUGAUUUCAUAAGUUAUAUGAUAACCUUUUCUUUUUCUGUUUUUCAUUUUUUACUAUAGAUUUUUUAAAUUAUUAAUUUCAUUUUUCGUUUUCAAUUUUUGAAAAGAAUAAACAUUAGUAAGAUUGAAGAUAAACCCAAAUAAACAUUGGCCCAACAUAAGAUAAAACCCCAUUAUUAGCAAAAUGGGCUCAUAUGGGCUGUAAGCUUAUAAGGGUAACUACCCACGUGGGUCAUGUCUAUCGUGCGGUCAGCCGUCAACUCCAUAAUGGGUUGGAAUCUUUUUGGAUCUGGGCUAAUUGGGCCAAUUGGGUUUGCUCCAUUUAUCUUUAAAGCUAUGUUUGCUCCAUUUGAGUCUUGCACUCAUCCGUAUAACUCCAAAAGGCACUUGAGGCUUCUAAAGCUAGCUAGAUUUUCUCUAUCAAUAAACAAACUUGAAGACAAAGUUAGUAAAUUGGAUUAAGUGAUUUUAGUUUCAUUAGAGUGACCUAAAGUAAAAAAGUAGGAGAUGAGAUCUUCUGGUUUAGGGAUACACAGAGUCGUCCUAAGAUUGAUUUUGUGGAGUGAGUGGGCAUCCCAUUGGGUUUAACCAAACAACAUCUAGAGAUGUGAGAAAGGGUUGAAAUAGUUGGAUGGAAGAAAGAGAGAUGAAUGGAAAGGAAGUAAGUAUUCACGGGGUAACAAAAGUUUGAUAUUAUUAAAAAAGAAAAAGAAAACAAAGAGUUGAAAACAUGGAAAUGAGUUGUAAGGAAGGAGUGAUGGAAAAGUUUGGUUGGGUACCCAUUGACCACAAAACAAUGGUUCACGGGUGCCUUUACACUCUCUCACUACAUCCUUUUUUUAAUCACACAUUCCAACAAACACUAAGGCCAUUUUUCUUUUAACAAACAUAUACAAUUUACAUUAUUGAUAUCUUUUCAAUAUUUAACACAAUAUUAUAUAUAUAUAUAUAUGAAAAUUUGUAUGGAUGAAAAAUGAAUCAUAACGAAAUCAAUUUAUUUAACUAUUUUAAAAAAAACAUUAAUUUCAAAUAAAAACAAAGGAAAGAAAAUUGAUGUAUAAUUUCCACACAUAAAUAGUUUUAGGGCAAAGGACAAAAUAGAAAUAGGUAACUUUUGAGGACAACCAAGCAAUUUUUGAAAAAGUGAAGAAGAGCUGAAUCUUCUCUUUUGCUCUCAUCCACAAAAAAGAUUUGCCCAUUUUUUUCAUCUAUUUUUCCUUCAAUUUUAACCUUUUGUUUGAAUAGGAAUUAAUUCUCCACCACACAAAAUAAUGAAAAGCUCAUAAAUCCAAAUGCCUUUCUUACAAAAAUAUAAUAACACUAAUCACCCUUCAAUUUUUGUGGUCCACUAGUUUUGCAUGUAAAUCCAAAUCUUUGGACCCAUGGGGUGGAAAAAUUGAAUAAAUAUCUAAAUUUUUAACAUACUUUAUACUAAAUAUCAAUUCAUACAAAAAUAGAUUAUAAAUGUAAAGGAGUACUGUAUAGAAUAGAGAAACACCUCAAAUUAACUACAUAAUUUUAAUUAACAUUUAAGUUAACUAUACAUUAUUGUUUACUACAUGUAACAUUAAUACAUAAUAGAGAGAAAGUUUACCAAAAGAAUGUAAAUUGAACUUAUGGGUUCACUUGCAUGGUAAAAUUAGUAGUUACAAAGUAAAAAUGUUAUUAUUAUCAUCCCUAUUAAUAAACCUUUCUUGUUGGCUAAAAUAAUAACAAAGACAUGAUUGAGUAUUAAUUUAGGAAACCACAUAAUAAAAGUGCUAAGAAAUAGAAGGGAUAUGUUAUAUUACUUUAUAGUAUUGAAUCAAUUAUAAAGGUGAAUGACAAAAAAUAAUGGAGUUAGAUUAGAGUAAUGUAUGGUCAUAUGUACUUAAUAAUUAAUUAUUCUUUUACAUUAUGUCAUGUUUUUAUUUAUUUAUUUAUUUUUUUUUGGUCCAAUUCAUCUAAUUAUCAAUACAUUAAACUUAAUUAUUCAAGUUCCUUUUGACAUUAAAACUCAUCAUUUUAACUCUAUGAAAGGAUUUGGAUGAAAUGUGCAGUUGUAAGAUUCCUUACCAUAUCAAUUAGCUAUUUGUAUUUUUAAUUUGAUAGGAUGAUGUAAUUAUCAUUCUACUACAUAAUAAUACAAUUGAAUGAAGAUUGAUACAAACAAAAAGUAGUUGCAAAUAUAGCAAUCAAACCUAAACAAUAACUCAUCAUCUUUCAGUCUCUAAUAAGUUUGAAGUAGUAAGAAAAAAGAAAAGAAAUGAAAUGAAAAAACAAAACACUAAGAAUAAUUAUAUUUAAAGAAGAGAUAGAAUGCCAAUGUUGGCAUAUUGAGAGAGAGAGAGAGAAUGAGAAUGUGAAGAAAACAGUGUGUGUGUGUGUGUGUGUUUAAGGGCUUAGAAAGAAAGCAGUGAGCUGAGUUAGUAAGAAAAACCCAAAUCAGAAGAAGAUAACUGAAAUGAAGAAGCAAGAAGAAGAACAACAUCAAGAACAAGAAGGAUGCGACAUUGAAGCCAUAGGAAUCACCUACAAGAUUCAAAUCCAUAACUCCAAAUCCCCAUUUCUCAACUUCUUCUCCACCUCAAAACCCUCCCUCCGCCAUCGCCAUGUCCUUUCCGACGUCAAUUGCCAAGCCAAAUCCUCCCAAAUCCUUGCCAUUGUCGGCCCCAGCGGUGCCGGAAAAUCCACUCUCCUCCAAAUCCUCGCCGGCAAAACCACCCCUCACGGCGGCUCCCUCCUUCUCAACCACCUCGCCGUCGACCCUUCCUAUAUCAACCGAAUCUCCGGCUACGUCCCUCAAAAAGACUCCCUUUUCCCUCUCCUCACUGUCGAAGAAACUCUGACCUUCACCGCCCGCCUCCGUCUCUCCCUCCCUUCUGCCGUCCUCACCGCCAAGGUUACUUCUCUGAUCGACGAACUCGGUCUGACCCAUGUCGCCCGUUCCCGAGUCGGCGACGACCGAGUCCGUGGAAUCUCUGGCGGCGAGCGGCGGCGGGUUUCAAUCGGCGUGGAAGUGAUUCACGACCCCAAAGUUCUUAUUCUUGACGAACCCACUUCCGGUCUCGACAGCACUUCCGCUUUUCAGAUCAUCGACAUGCUGAAAACAACCAUGGCUGAAGCUCAGCGAAGAACCAUCAUUCUUAGCAUCCAUCAACCUGGAUUCAGAAUCGUGAAGCUUUUCGAUUCCAUUCUUCUUCUUUCCAAUGGCUCUGUUUUACACCAUGGCUCUGUCGAACAUCUCGGACUCAACCUCACUCUAAUCGGCCUUCAACCUCCUCUUCAUCUCAACAUUCUCGAAUUCGCCAUUGAAUCCAUCGAAACAAUCCAACAAACCCCAAAUCAAACCCAAUUGUUAAUCCCUCACUCCCAAUUAAAACCCCCUAAAUUCACCCUGCAACAGCUAUUUCAACAAUCCAAAGUCAUCGACGAGGACACCAUCAAAAUCGGAAUCCACAAAUCAAUCCCUCACCAUUUCGCCAAUUCCCCAUUCAAAGAAACGGCCAUCCUCAUGCACAGAUUCUCCAAGAACAUAAUCAGAACAAAGGAGCUUUUCGGUUGCAGAACAGUACAAAUGUUGGUAACAGGGCUUGUUCUUGGUUCAAUUUUCUACAAUCUCAAAUUCGAUUUAAUUGGUGCUGAAGAACGCGUGGGGUUAUUCGCCUUCAUUCUCACAUUCCUAUUAACAACCUCGAUCGAAGCCCUCCCAAUUUUCUUACAAGAAAGAGAGAUUCUAAUGAAAGAAACCUCCUCAGGUAGUUACAGAGUAUCCUCAUACGCCAUAGCCAACGGAUUAGUAUACCUUCCGUUUCUACUAAUCUUAGCAAUUCUGUUCUCAAUUCCAUUAUACUGGCUAGUGGGGCUUAACAGAAACAUAAUAGCGUUUCUUCAUUUCAUGCUGUUGAUAUGGCUGAUUCUAUACACAGCAAAUUCAGUGGUGGUUUGUUUCAGUGCAUUAGUGCCAAAUUUCAUAGUGGGGAACUCAGUGAUAUCGGGGGUAAUGGGUUCGUUCUUCCUGUUCUCGGGGUAUUUCAUAUCGAACCAGGAAAUACCAAAGUAUUGGAUAUUUAUGCAUUACAUAUCAGUGUUUAAGUACCCAUUUGAAGGGUUUUUGAUAAAUGAGUUUUCGAGAUCAGGGAAGUGUUUGGAAAUGAUGUUUGGGGAAUGUGUAGUGAGAGGAGAGGAUGUGCUGAAGGAAGAAGGAUACGGGGAAGAAAGUAGGUGGAGAAAUGUAAUGGUAAUGGUGGGGUUUGUUUUGAUCUAUAGAUUUGUUUCUUAUGUUAUUCUUAGAUGUCGAUGCUGCAGGAAAACUGGUUUUGUUUAACAGAAAUGAAGAAGAACGAAGAUGAAGAAGAUGAAGAAGAUUGAAGAUCGAAGAAGAAGAAUAAGGACAAAAAAAAAUCUCUCUCUUCACGAGUUUGGAUUUGAAAGAUGCUCUUAGUUCACGUGGUAGUUUUAAUUGUAGCCAAAGGUUAUACUCACACGUGUUUCUUUGUUCUUUCGGAUUUUUAUUUUUAUUUUUUGCCCUUUCUCUCUAACUAUAUAUAUAUAUAUAAUAUAUGUAAAAUUUUCUUUUAAAUUAACAAUUUGGUGUGUGGUUUGUUCAUCUAAGUUCAAAUUUAUUCAACCAAUUAUUUAGUAGAGAAAAGCUUAAAUGGUGAAAGUGAUUUUAAGUAAUCAAAAUUUCUUCUUACAAAAAUUGUGAAGUAUCAUGAAUAUUUCUUUUACAUAAUUCUUUUCUUCGGUAAAAGAUAAGUUCAGGUUAAACAAAACUAUUUUUUUAUUUAUUUGCCAAAUAUGAUAUUUAACAUAUUAUUACUUAUGAAACACAAAUAAAAGAAAGAAAGAAAAAAAGAUCUGUAAACAUAGAUUCAGAAAUCCAUAUUAAUAGAGAUAAAUCGUGUUAAUACCAUUAAAACAUACAUGCUUUGAAAGAACUAAUUUCAAAUGUUAGUUGUUUUAGGAAAAGAACAAGCAAAACCGAGAACAAUGACUAAGCAAACAAAACGUAGAUCCAAUCACAACUUUCAUAUAUGCGUGAGUAGUGUCACCUCAUUUCAACAACAAUCAUGGUUCAAGAUUUGAUUUAACUAACAAUUCUAUUCAUCACUCCCUAACUAUAGAAUCACCAAUUCAAUCAAUUAUAUCACCAUCAAAGAAAGAAAAAAAAUGGUAAAAAGUAUUUUUAUUUUUGAAUAAUUGAAAUGCUCCAUAGUUUUCAACCUUUAAUAGUUUAUUUAACAAAAAUUGUAAAACAUAGAAAUAUAUUCUAAAUAAAAUAAACGACAUAUAUCUCACAACUCCACCUUAACAAAUUUAACACUUGAAAAUAAACAUCAUGAAUGAAGACUAAAAAUCCAAACUUUCAAAAUUAAUAAAAAAAAUUCUCAAAUUUGAAUGAUUUUUAGAAAAGCUCUACAAAUAGUGUCUCUUCCCAAACUCGGUUAUUCCAAUUCUUUUUCUUUACCGUUAUUUUCCCCCUUCUUCAUCAAUAAUUUAUAAAACACUCUCCCAAAUUCCAUCCCCACCCCAUCCCUUCUUCUAUAAAACAAUGGACAAACACACGGUAACCUCCGAUGAACUUCUCGGAAUCAAAAUCUACACCGAAGAACACGCCAACGGCGGUGGGCGGAAAAGACGAGCAAUGGCAAAAGGAAUGCAAAAAACACGCUCAAAAACCUCAAUGCUAGCUAGUAAACUUCCUUCCAACCGGCACUCUCCUAACCUUCGAAAUGCUUCUGCCGUCGGUCUCCGGCAAGGGGGAGUGCACGCGGGUGAACACGAUGAUGAUAUAUAAACUUCCUCUUGGGCUUAUGCGCUUCUAUCCUGUUUCUUGUUUCACUUCACAGACAGUUUCAAAUUAGGCGUGGACGGGAAAGUUUAUUACGGGAUCGUGACGCGGAGAGGGCUGGCGGUGUUCAAGACGGGGUUGAGUGAGGUGGAAGUGGCGAAGGAGGAGAGGUUAUGGAAAGCUUUCCUUUGAUGGUGGGAAGCAUUUGUAGUGCUUUGUUUUUGGUGUUUCCUAAUACUAUAUAUUAUAUGGUAUUGGUUGUAUGGCUAAUUGACUCUAUUACCCCCCACCUUUUUUUUCUUUUUCUUAAUUGUUAGGAUUUUUUUAAUAAUUAUUAUUCUAAUUUUACUAAACUAUAAUCACCAAUUCAAUCAAUUAUAUCUAUAAAAGAAGAAAAAAAUUGGUUAUAUCUAUAAAAGAAGAAAAAAAAUUGGUUGUAUGGUCGUGUAUGUUGCCAUGGCCUUUGUUAAUUCUUCGAAACUAGAAAGAACAAAGAUCUCACAUAUUCAUACAGGUGGAAAAGAUAGAAACAUGCAUCGUUUUGAUUGAAACUUCUUUUAUUGAUAGAGGACGAAAAAACAAAUACAAGUAGUCAUACACCUAAAAAACGAUCAUCCAAAUCAAAAGAUAUGACCUAGAAACUAUCCAUUUCUCAUGUGUCGUCAAAUUUUGCCUAAUUGCUUCUUAGAGAUAGUUUGUUUUAGCUCCAUUUUCGUCCUUACACUCAAUUGUGCUUCUUUGAUGCUUAAAACCAGUAAAAUAAUCAAACAUAAUAAGAACCUAGAAUUAAGUGAAGCUAGAUAACAUAUUUAUGGUGCUAUCAUUUAUUUACCAUUUCACACUAUAAUUUUAUUAUUUCUAGUUUAUCUUACCAAGCCAGUGUCAAUUUUCUUUUCUCAUUCUCAAUGUUCUUUUAUUUGCUUCAAAAAUUCAAUUUGAAAAAAAAAAAUGUGAGAAAGUUGAGAAUUGAAGAGGAAAAAAAAGAACAAAAUUAGUUUUUUUUUUUGUUUAUUUGAUUAAUUAAUUCAAGAAUGUUGAUUAUGUUUGAGUAUUGACAUGAAAUAUUUAUCGAAAAAUUAGGAAGAAUUUUCAUCAUUUGUUGAAAUCAAAGUAAGGCUCUCUCUAAAAGUGCUUGUAAAAUUUGGUAACAAAAUAGGGUUUAAACCAAAAGAUUAUAAAAGAAGAAAAAAUAAUAAUUACUAAUAAUUAAUUAACAUUGUUGGGGCAGCCCAAAGAACGGUUGUGACCUCCAUUGCAGAAACAGAAGAACAAAGCUCAUUUGGUUGUAAAACCAAUAGAACGAAUCGAAAGCCUCCCUUGAGAGUUAUACAGUUGAAAAUGGAGCUUCAAGAUUUUGCGCCAAUUUUUGGUAAACCCACCAGAGUGGAGUGGGUAAACAGGGGUUCACUUUCUUUGCUCCAAUUUUUGUUCCAUGUUUAUUCUCCAAAUCCUUCGCACCUCAGAUUUCUUGUUACUGAUUUUCAUUCUAACACUUGGGAAUCCACCAAAUCAGCUUUCCAGCUUGAGGAUAUGGUGGGCAUCUUUGAUUUCUCCCUGUACGUCGUCUCUUUGUUGCAUCCUUCUUCUUUGAUUUCUAUUAAUAUGUUGUUCUUGCUUCUUUUUUUCCUCUUAGCAAAUGAUGAAAUGGGAUUGUUUUUUAGAAUUUGUUGGUGCGAAAAGCUCUACUAUUUUAUGUAAUCUUUGAUACAGAGAGAUGACAUUGGAAUUGGAGGGGCUUUUUCAGAGUUUGUUGAUUAUAUUGUUGCAUCUAUGAAAUUUGGAGAUGUAAGGCUUUGUAUGGAAGGACAAUCGGGGAAAGAUGGUAAUCUUCCUGAUAUGUAACUAAUUCAAAUUCUCUUUCCCAUUCAAUAUAUUGUGAAACUCACUCCUUUUUUUAUUAUUCUACAGGUGCAGCAUCUGUCAAACUAAUUGCUCAGAAAUCAAAGGGAAUGCCUGUAUUUUCCAUUUCUCUCACAAAACUUGUUGACUCUGCUGCUGCUGAAGCUAUGGCAACUAUGUCCUUGGGGCUUUUUAACUCAUUAAAAGAAAAGGAGUGUUCACUUAUGAAAGGUUUUCAUCGCUUAUCUAUAGACUGCCUAUAUUCUGUGCUAUAGUCAUCAAAUAUGUCGAUAUCGUUUGGUUAGAAAAAAAAAGAAUACAUUUUUAUAGUGUUUGAACAGAAGGAAAGAUGUUGGAGGUUCUUAUGAAAUAUAGUGAUCGGGUGGGCUCAGUGUGUGGAUCAUUCUAAUUAGAUGGAAGGAUAGGCAUCUUUAGUUUCUUUUCCCUUUUUGUUCCAUCUAGAUUUUGGUAUUUGGCUUUCAUUUCUCUCAAAUAACUUCUCACAGCAUUCUACAAAAUUGUUUGGUAUUUUGUUAAGGCCUUAGCCACAAUUUUAUUUAUCAACUAUGGGGAAGGAUUUGAGAGUUCCCCAAUCUCUCCACACUACUCUAAUGAGAGUCUAUACCAAAAUCAUUUAGCCAAAAAGAUACCCACCCCCAACAUUCACAAUACCUAAAUAGGCAAACUCUAAGAAAGCUAACAGAAUACUUGGCCCCACUUUAACAGUCAUACUCCUAAGGGCCCACCUUACGGGAAAUUACUAACUAACUCUCAAUCAUUCUUUCUUCUUCCCACUUUUAUUCCUAUGUGAAUACACCUUUACUAUGGGGGGUCUAUCAAAUUUGUAUCUGAACAUUGGCAUGUUGCAUUUUUUGUUAUGAAUUAUGCAUAUACAAAAUAAUUGUCUUAUAUUCAAAUGGAUAUAUUAGAAUGUGUCAACUCUCCGGUGUGUCUGUGAACUUUAAGAAUACCUAAUUUUGGUUCCAUUCGUAUGUGAUGGGCCAAUCCAGUCAAGCUGAUUUGAAGUAGGGAAAUAAACACAGUACUCUCAAUCAAAUCUGUCUUGGGAAGCUGUUUCUUUUUAGUCUCCCAUUGGUGUGGUUUUGUAGGACUGACUCAAAUAUCAUGUGCGAACUGCUUGAAAAUGUUUGUACUUGAAAAUUACUUUGUUUAGACUUUAGGGUACCGUGUUUAUUGAACAACAAACUACGUGAUGUACAUGGUUUUAGUUUUUCUUUCUUUAUUAUUAUUAUUUUUUUUUGGUAACUGUGAUAGCAUAGUUUGAUGUAAUAUUCAUUUAUAGGUUAAAUUUAGAACAAGAUUUUUCUCAGAAAUGUUCAAUUUUUUGCAUGCUUGCAUUGAAACUUAGCAUCUGUAGCAUUGACUUUUCUCCUAUACUGUUCUUUCAGAACAAGAGCACUCCCUUCAGUUGACAACCAUGAUAUCAACUGAAAAGGUAUAUCCAUCUUCGUCUUGCACCACUGUAAAUAAAUAUGAUACAUGGUGAUGGGCACUUUUAGUUUUAUACUUAUCGAUAGACUUCAUUAAUAAAUACAUUUAAUAAUACACAAUAUAACGAUAACAAGAUUUCUUCUGAUUUCUUCUCUUCCACAGCCUCUCUUAUAUAUCAGAACUCAAACAGUUUACUCUAGUCAAUACUGUUCCCUGUUAUUAGUCUGCAUAUGUUUUGUUAAUUUUUACUUCCUUUGAAACUUUAUUUAUUAAAUGUUAAUAAGAAAAAAGAUUAAAAAUUAAAAAUGAAGAACACGGAUGUUCUUUAUGUCUCACUUAUUCUUUCAUUAUAUAUGACCUCAUGUAACUUUGUUAGCCAUUUCUUGGUUGAAAAACAUUUUCCAUUACAAUACCAAUUGCUUCCUUAUCCCCUAUGGAUUCAACUCAUGGGUCUUUGAGUUUCUCUAUUUUUGUAUUAAACAUUUCUUAUUUGAGAUUAUACUUUUUGUUGAUGUCAGGAAAAGAACGAAAAUAUCCAAACUCAGCUCGGGCAAUAUAGAAAGAAACAGAAGUUACAAAAUAUGAAUGCCUCAAAUUCUCCUGGUAUGUUCCUAUAAUCAAUCCAUUUAAGGUAUUAUGAAAUUAUAUGUUAUGUACUAAAGGACUGAUCGAUUUUUUCCGUUCUUCACAGAUAAAUCUGGCGUACAUAAUAUUGGCUUGACAAAAGCCACCAAUCGUGUGGUGCCAGUACACCGGAGGUCGGUUUCUCAAAGUUACAUUCAUCACAUAAUUCAAUUGAUUUAUUCCCAAUACUAAUAGAUGUACUUAGCAUUGUAUUUGAACAGGGCGAAAGCUAGGGGUGCCCUUCUGCAAGACUCUGAAGAUGACAAUGGUAGGUAGAGAAGUUGAAUGUCUUGUAUCCAAUCUAGUUUUGUACAGAAUUUUGAUUUCUGAAAAGCUGCUCUAGCCAAUCACUCUCUUCCCUUUGAAUGGAGAAAAAAAAUCCCGUGGUAUUGAGUUCCUCAAUGGUUUGCUUAAAAAGGAACAGGAAAUCCUUGUUUAGGGUCAAGAGGCUAUCUCCCUGUCGUUAUCCCAAAGCUUUAAAACUUUUGUUUCUUCCAUGCAAGUUUUACUUUCUAGCACAUCCACGUUAAAUGAUCUCAUUUUUUCAUAUAUUUUCUUUUAAUCUACACUAAUAGAGAUGUUCCUUCCAUUUUUUUCCCAUUUUUUCUUACAGAAAAAGAGCGCUCCCUUCAGUCGACAUUCGAGGAAAAGGUAUAUUCAGUCUCCUGUCCCCUUUAUGAAUAAAGCACUUUGUCCUUUUAUAGACGGGUUCUUAUUGUCUUGAAAUACCUCAAAAUUAGUACAAGUAUGACCAUAGUCGUGGUGUAUUUUUGGUGCCUUCGGAGCGUAUUUUCAUCUUGCUCAUUAAUUGUUUGUAAAUUUUUUAAUCUACUUUUGAAUAUGUCAGGAAAAGAAAGAGGGGUUGCUAAAUACAGAUACCUUGGCCAUUGUAGACAAUCUUCAUAAGCCUCCUAGUAUGUUUUUUAUGGUUCCCUCUAAAAUUUAAGCUUAUUUGUUUUUAUUGAAAAGAGAGACAACGAGUUCACACCAAUUUACGUGGAAACUCGAGUACCGGGAGAAAAACCACGAUUGUUUGUUGUUAUUAUUUUCUAAUGAAUAAAACAAUAGGUACAGGGAGAAUAAAUAGAGUACACAAUGGAAUAAAAAAGGAAAAGAUUUAGGAAAAUAAGGAAUACAUUCCCAUAAUCUUUCCAUAAUUAUUCUAGGAUUCUAACAAGGAAAAAGCCUAGAAAAAAAGGAAAGAAUUCCAACACUCCCCCUCAAGUUGGGACGUAAAUAUCAAUGAGGCCCAACUUGCUAACGCAAAGUCGAAGUUUGGUCUGAGAAGCCCUUUGGUAAGAACAUCAGCAACCUGUUGACUCGAAGGGAUGUACGGAAUGCAUAUGCUCCCACUGUCAAGUUUUUCUUUGAUAAAAUGUCGAUCAAUCUCAACAUGUUUAGUUCUAUCAUGUUGAACAGGGUUGUUAGCAAUACUAAUAGCGGCUUUAUUAUCACAGAAAAGCUUCAAUGGUGUCUCACAUUCCUGAUGAAGAUCUGUCAAAACUUUCUGAAGCCAAAUUUCCUCACAUAUUCCUAAACUCAUAGCUCUGUAUUCAGCCUCAGCGCUGCUCCUGGCCACAACACUUUGCUUCUUACUCCUCCAAGUUACAAGAUUGCCCCAAACAAAGGUACAAUAACCAGAGGUAGAUUUUCUGUCAACAACAGAUCCUGCCCAAUCCGAGUCAGUGUAUGCCUCAAUGGUCUUUCUGUCUGUUUUUCUAAACAUCAGCCCUUUACCAGGUGUUGAUUUUAAGUAUCUCAAGAUUCUGUUGACAGCUUUCAUGUGUUCCUCAUUAGGGGUCUGCAUAAACUGGCUGACAACACUCACAGCAAAGGAAAUAUCAGGACGAGUAUGAGAUAAGUAAAUUAAUUUACCCACGAGGCGUUGAUACUGUUCUUUAUCAACUGGAACUUGAUCAUCAGAGUUUCCUAGUUUGCAGUUGAAUUCAAUAGGAGUGUCAGUGGGACGACAUCCUAACAUACCUGUCUCGGUUAACAAAUCAAGGAUGUAUUUUCUUUGAGAUACGGAGAUACCUUCUUUAGAUCUGGCCACCUCCAUUCCAAGGAAAUAUUUCAAAUUUCCCAAAUCCUUGAUUUCAAACUCAUCGCCCAUUCUCUGCUUUAGUUGACUGAUUUCUGCCUGAUCAUCUCCAGUCAAAACAAUGUCAUCCACAUAAACUAUUAGAACAGCAAUCUUUCCUGUUUUGGAAACCUUUGUAAAUAAAGUAUGAUCAGAGUGUCCCUGCCUGUACCCUUGGGACUUGACAAAGGUAGUGAAUCUGUCAAACCAUGCUCUGGGAGACUGUUUCAGACCAUAUAUAGAUUUCUGGAGUUUACACACAUGCUGACCAAACUGGGCUUCAAAUCCAGGCGGAGGGCUCAUGUAGACUUCCUCUACGAGGUCUCCAUUCAAAAAGGCAUUCUUAACAUCCAGCUGAUAUAAAGGCCAAUCUUUGUUCACAGCAACAGAUAACAGAACUCUAAUAGUAUUCAACUUAGCAACUGGAGAAAAAGUUUCUGAAUAGUCAAUACCAUAGGUUUGAGUAAAUCCCUUCGCAACUAACCUUGCCUUGUGUCUGUCAAGAGUACCAUCAGCUUUGUAUUUGAGAGAGAACACCCAUUUGCAUCCCACAGUUUUGUGUCCCUUAGGUAGAGUACAAAUGUCCCAAGUACUAUUCUUUUCAAGAGCUUUCAUCUCUUCCAUGACAGCAUUCUUCCAUUCAGGAUACUUUAAAGCAGUGUAGAUAUCUUUUGGUAUUAUGGUAGAGUCAAGGCUUGCUGUAAAAGCUCUGAACUGAGGAGAGAGACUAUCGUAGGAAACAUAAUUGCAAAUGGGGUGUUUAGUACAAGACCUGGUGCCUUUUCUCAGAGCAAUGGGAAUGUCAAGAGAGGAAUCAUACUCAUCUGAUUUUCCUGUAUGACCCUGUUCCGCUUCAUUAUUACGGGUUUCUAUUCUGACCUCAAUCUCAUCACCACUGUCCUUUUCUUCCACGUUUUCAAGAACAGCAACAUUAGACCUGUCAUUCUCACUUAUCAUAUUCUUAGUACAGGGUUCAGUAGGGUUUUCCAUACCUUGAUCUCGAGGAGGUUCAGAGUCUUGGACUGGAGCCGGCGGCUGACUAGUAGGGGAACCGACUUCCUUUUUGUGAUUCCUCCUGUAGUACGUUUUCCAGGGGACUUGGUUUGUGGGUAGGACUAUGGAAUGAGGAAUGAUGUUAGACACGACACUAGGAGUGGGUUCGAUGAAUUCAAAGGUGUUGUUAGACUCUUCACUCACACUCUCCCCCUGAAGAUGGCUAACGGGAAAGUAGGGUCGAUCCUCACAGAAAGUAACAUCCAUAGUGACAAAGUAUUUUCUGGAUGGUGGGUGAAAACAUUUAUAACCACGCUGGUGAGGGGGAUACCCAACAAACACACAUGCCUGAGCCCGAGGGGUAAAUUUGGUUUGAUUAGGGCCAAAAUUAUGGACAUAAGCGGUACACCCAAACACACGAAGAGGAACCUCAGAAACAUGACGAGUCGAUGGGUAGGACUCCUUAAGACAAUCUAAGGGAGUUUGAAGAUGAAGAAUACGAGAAGGCAUUCUAUUGAUUAAAUGAGCUGCUGUAAGAAUAGCAUCUCCCCACAAGUAUGAAGGAAGGGAAGUAGAAAGCAUAAGGGAACGGGCUACUUCCAGAAGGUGACGGUUUUUUCGCUCGGCCACUCCAUUUUGUUGAGGAGUGUAGGCGCACGAGUUUUGAUGAACAAUCCCCUUGGAAGCAAGAAAUUCACUAAGGUUAUGGUUUUGGAAUUCCCGACCAUUAUCACUCCGAAGAAUAGCAAUUUUUUGAUGGAAUUGUGUUUCAAUGGUGUGAUAGAAAUUUUGAAACAUAGAGGAAACCUCAGAUUUAUCAGUGAUAAGGUAGACCCAGGUAAGACGGGUAUGAUCAUCAAUGAAGGUUACGAACCACCGUUUUCCAGAUGAGGUUGUUAUCUUGGAUGGUCCCCAGACAUCACUAUGAACAAGAGUGAAGGGUUGGGUUGGUUUGUAUGGUUGUGAGGGAAAAGAGACUCGAUGUUGUUUGGCCUGAAUACACACAUCACAAGAUAAGGUAGUCAUCUCAACUUUAGAGAAGAGAUGUGGAAAUAAAUGUUUCAUAUAUUGAAAAUUAGGGUGGCCUAAACGAAAAUGCCACAACAUACAAUCUUGUUCAGAAGUAGUGAAAUAGGAAGAUAAGAGACUAGUCCUAGGAAUGCUACUAGAAGAGGUAUCGUCAUCAAGGAGGUAGAGUCCCCUACUAUGCCGGGCAGUGCCAAUCAUCCUCCCCGAGCUCAAGUCCUGAAAAGAGACAGAAUCAGGUAAGAAUAUUGCUUUGCAGUUUAACUCAUGAGUGAUCUUGCUUAUCGAAAGCAAAUUAUAAGAUAGUUUGGGCACAUGCAAAACAUUAUGUAAGGAGAGCCCUGCACAAGGAGAAAUCUUCCCCUUUCCAGCAAUGGGGGCCAAGGAGCCAUCUGCAAUUCUAAUUGUCUCGUUCCCAGCACAAGGAAUGUAAGAUACAAAAUGUUCAGAGGACCCAGUCAAAUGAUCUGUGGCACCAGAAUCCAGAAUCCAGGGGUUCUUCCCAUCAAUACUAACAAGACCGAAGGAAUGAGGUAUACCUGAUUGGACAAUGGCACCUAAAGUGGCAAGACUGAGAUCAGUUUGGUUUUUGUGUGGAUCGGAUUGUUGAGGAGGUUCAGCAGACUCACUCACAUACGCCCGCCCUGUGUUCUGUUUGUCGUUGGAAGGGCGUUUCUUACUUCCUGGGGGACGACCAUGUAACUUCCAACAUUGUUCUUUGGUAUGCCAUUGUUUUUUGCAAUGCUCGCAGACAGGAAUUGGUUUUCCAUUAUGCUUGUCACUGCUACUGUUAGAAGAUCUUGCACUAAAAGCAGCAGAGUCAAUAGUAGGGGUUGCGGAAAUAUUCAUAGCACUUGUGCGAUCUUCCUCGAGGCGGAUUUCAGAGCAAACUUCCAUCAGGGAGGGAAUCGGUCUUUGACCUAGUAUACGCCCUCGAACUACAUCAAACUUAGGAUUAAGACCAGCAAGAAAGUCAUAAAUCCUGUCAUUCUCUUCAAUUCUCGAGUACUGUACACCAUCAGUGGGAUCACGCCAGACUAGUUCUCUGCAUAGGUCCAUUUCUUGCCAUAUAAGAGAAAGCUUAUUGAAAAAGGAUGUGACAUCCAUGGUUCCUUGCUUGCAUUCAUGAACUUGCUUUCUCAGCGUGUAUAGACGAGAGGCAUUCUGACGUUUUGAGUAAAGUGUCUGGGCUGUGUCCCAAAUAUCCUUGGCUGUUGCAGCAAACAAUAACGGCUUGCCAAUUUGAGGUUCCAUACUAUUGAUCAAUAUGGAUCGAAGAAUAGAGUCUUCUGCCUUCCAAUAUCGUUCAUGUGGGUCGCCCGGUAGGGGGCGAGGUAUUUCCCUGUCAGAAAGCUAAAUUUUUGUCGUCCUUCGAGGACCAUCUUUACUGACUGAGACCAUGAGAAAUAGUUGUUGCCAUUCAACUUUUCUCCUGAAAGAUGAUACAUGGAAGACUGAGCCACCGUAUUAGUCACAUAAGGAGAGGAUACAUUAGGGAACGAGUUUACCGGAUUCUCAGAAUACAUCGGUAGAGUGGAUGUCGUCCCUAAGGUAGCCUCAAGUGCUGCUAUCUGUUGUCGAAGCCCUUCCAAUUGUUGAUGAACUAUUCCCGAGGAAGCUUGCACGUUACGGUUGGAAUAUGCCGAAGAUUCACCAACCUCAAAUGUUGAGUGAAUUUGAGAGUUUUUAACAUCGGGAUGGUAGCUAGGAUCAUUGGGUGGCUGGCCAUACAGAUUUGACGAGCAGAAGCGGUGGUAGCCGAUUGGAAUUAGAUGGCAGAACAUAAAUCGGGGCGUGGGGAGCAAUAUAGGCCGCGGACGAAGAAAAGGGUUGGACAGAUGGGAUGGUCGGCGCCGUCUGAGGAAGAAAACCAGGCGCGUGGUGGUCCGGUGACGGCGCGGACGACUGCGGUAAUGACGAAAAAUUAUUUUCGGACGUUUUCUGUAGCCGGCUUAAUAAUUCGUCCAUGGCAGCACUCAUCCGAGCAUCGGUGGCAGCAGCUACGGCAGCACUAAAAUUGAUGGUUGUCCCUUCUGUUUGAUUUUAAUCAGUGGUUUGGUUUUUUUGGGUUUCUAGGGUGUUUUCAUUGUCCCGCUCUGAUACCAUAUUGAAAAGAGAGACAACGAGUUCACACCAAUUUACGUGGAAACCCGAAUACCGGGAGAAAAACCACGGUUGUUUGUUGUUAUUAUUUUCUAAUGAAUAAAACAAUAGGUACAGGGGAGAAUAAAUAGAGUACACAAUGGAAUAAAAAAGGAAAAGAUUUAGGAAAAUAAGGAAUACAUUCCCAUAAUCUUUCCAUAAUUGUUCUAGGAUUCUAACAAGGAAAAAGCCUAGAAAAAAAGGAAAGAAUUCCAACAGUUUUCAAGGUUUAAGAACACUUUUGGUCCCUGAGCUUUCACGAAAGUAAUAAUGUAUUUCCUAAACUUUAAAAUGCAAAAAUUUUGUCUAUUUACUUUCAACUUUGUAUGGACUUUAGUCUCUAUGAUGAAAGUGUUCAUUCAAAUUAAGUGUUAAUUUAUAUUACAUAAUGGCUUAGUCUUCAUAGUUUAUAUGUGAAUUUGAUCAUCAAUGAGUUAUAAACCUACCCGGGUAAGAAACUUAACUCAAUCACAAUAAUAAUUUCCACCAUAGAGAUUUGGUUCUUACUAAUUGUAAAUUACAAGAACUAAAUUGUUACAUUUUAAAGUUAAGGAACUAAAUUGUUAAUACAUUUGCAAGAAUGAGGACUAUCUUUUUGUUACCAACUAAAGUUGAGGGUCAAAAUCGUUAGUUUUAUGCUAGUUUAGGGACGAAAAGUGUUUUUUAAUUAUUCGCUACACAGAACUCAUUAUUGAAUUAUCUUAUUCUUAACAGACAAAUCUGUUCAUGAUAUCGGCUCGACAAAAAUCACCAAGCAUGUCGUGCCAACACAUCACAGGUUGGUUUCUUGACUAAAUGAACCUAAUUUUGUUUGUUAUUUCCCCACGAACGAUGGUAAACAUACUGUAGCAUUGUACUUGAGCAGGGCAAGAACACGAGGUGCCCUUCUGCAAGAUAACGAAGAUGACGAUGGAAGGUAAAAAAAACAAGACAGUUUCAAAAUGUUGAGUCCUUGUGUUCAAAACUAGUGUUAGACAUGGAGUAGGUAAACAAAAUAAUAGAUAUGAUUGUGCAAUGCAGACAUUUCUUUGUUGUAUAUGAUUACGUAAUUCUCAUCUAACUUUGGCUUUCUGCUCAAUUUAGAUUCGAAAAUGUGUAAAUUUUCGAAUGACGAGUAGAUACAAAUUUGAAAUAUAUUGUGCAGCUUAAAACAAGUCACAGUGUGAGACUUUUCAUUAAUUUCUCAAACAAAUCAGCACUUGUUGACAACUUUAUAUUACCAUAUGAGUUAGCUUGAAAAAUAUUAUUAUUAUUAUUAGAAUGUAGAACACAUUUUAAUUUCCAAUAUAUCACGUUCUACAAUUUUUUAAACAUUUAUUUUCAAAACUCUUGACUUUUCUUUAGAAAAAACCAAAAGCUUUUGUUCCAAUAUAUCAGGUUGUAGUCUUUGGCCCUUGAAUUUUGUUAACAUUUAUUUUCAACUAUAUUGACUCUUUCUUUAGAAAAAAUAAAAAAAAAAUUCAAACGAUUACCGAUAAUAAAAAUAGAUAAAGAUAUAAUUUGAAAGAUAUUUAUGAAUAAGUUUAUGAGUAAAAAUAGAUAAAGAUAUAAUCUAAAAGUCGUAUCAUUAAUAAAAGUUUAUCAAAUCAAAAAAUUUAUUACGAAAAAAAAAUAUAGAUAAUCUAACGAAGAGGGAAUCCAAAAAUGAUGAUGUAAAAAGGAAUGAAAAAGCAUUAUCCCCACACUUUAGUUUCUCGUACAAUGAGAACCAUCCAAAUUGUGACAAAGACAGAAAUGAGAUAAGCACAAACCACCAUUAUUGCAAUACAACAAUCAACUAAACUCAAACUCACUCACUCACCUAGACACAACUUUUAAUGCACUCUUUUUGAAAAAGCUUUCCCAAACAAAAGAAGAAGAAAAAAAAACUUAUAUAAUGUGUUGUAUACAAAUUAUUUAUGUUUAUAUGCAGAGUUGCAUUCAUGAACCACUGAUAUAUAGUGAAACUGAUAUGAGUUGUAACUUUUGUAGUUCUAUUUCAUUGGUGCCUCAUAUGGAAGUGGUGGUGAUUGGUGGGUCAUAUACUCAUUAAGAACAAAAAUAAUAAUAAAUCAAAUGAAAAAGUUACUUUUUACUUUUUAGAAAAAGCGAUUGCAAAUGACUAAGUAAUGGAGACAUUGAUAGGUCUAUCAAUAUAUUUAUAUAUAUUAGGUGAGGCAAUUGGAUUAGAAUGAUAAAAUAGCAACUUUUAUCCAAUCAAUUACUUUAUAAAUGUUAAAAGAAGAACGAAGAAAGAGUUGUUUUUCAAAUUAAGCAACAUAAACUCUAUAUUUUGACAACAAAGUUAAAAAGAUAACUUUAUAUUUUUCUUCUUCUUUUAUAAAGAUAUGAUUGAACAUACACCAUUUCAGGAGGUGUCGGUGUCCACUAACAUUAUGCCCAUCCCAUGGUUGCUUUCAUUUCAAAAGGAUCAAAAUUUGGAUAUGAACUCUUACAUUUUGCCUUUUGGUGUUACCUAACUUUUCUUUAAUUAAAAUUAAAGUGUGUUUAGUUUGGAGCAAUUCUAUGUUCGGUGACUUUUUGAAAAUUUUCUUAGAAUGGAUGUGAGUGAAAACAAAACAUGCUGAAAUGACUCUAAUUGGUUCGUGGAACAACUUUCACUCUAAUAAGUCUUUAAGACAAGUAAGAAUGAUAUUGUCAAGUCGCAAGUAAUUAGACGUUACAGAUAUAUAGUUUUAUUUAUAUAUAAACACAUAUCUACAUUAGUGAGGGUCAUACGUUUUACAGAGUGUUUGUAUUUACUCAGUAACACUAAUAUCAUUUUCACACAUUUAAAUUUAUGCACGUUAUAGAUUUUAUUAGGUAUGUAUACAACUUAAUAACACUAGUAAGUAUAAUGUUUUGUUGGUGUAUAUACAUAUAUACAUAAUACGUCUACGUUUUUGCAGAUUAUUGAUUUAGUAACUUUCUUUGGGUGAAUUCAAUUUGUUUUUUUUUGUAACAAAACUAAAUUGUAAAGUCUAGUGUUAGAAAGUAUGGUUUCUCUCCUUCACCCUUUGUUUAAUAAUUUUAAUAAUUUUAAGUUUUAAUAGAUUGUGUUCAUAUUAAGACGAUGGCAUAAGCAGAGUUGGGUGUGGGGCACCGCCGUCACCACCACUACCAAUCUUCAACAAAUCACUUUAACGACGUAUGGGUAAAGGCAGUUAGUAUUAUUGGGUUAAUCAAUUUUAAAUACAUCUUGUACCACUAAAUUCUUUUACUUUAUUAUCUGUUUUUUACCAAACCAAAUCUUUCUUACACUACAAGAGUUUUUUUUCUUUUUCUUUUUUAUCUUUAUAAAAAAAAUACAAACCAUCAUAAUAAGAAAUUAAGAAAGAAGUAAAAGUUAAAAAUCAAAGGUUAAUCAAACGGAUCUUCAAUGUUGAGCUAUUACCAUUUAUAUCCACGAUUUGUUUAAAUAAUAUUUAAAUUCUAAGUCUUCAGUCAUUUUGUGAUUGAGUAAUUUUUAAUAUCAUCCUUCAGAAAAGAAAAGGAUUAGGAUUAGGAUUGUCCUAAUGGGAGUGGGAGUGGGAGUGGGGAGUAGAGAAUUUUGUGAGGAUGAAGAUGGGAUAGGGGGGCGGGGACGGGGAUCGGUAGUGGCAUCCCCGGCCCUCCUCGUCCCGUGGACAUCUCUACUCCUCAUCCCCGUCCCUCACCAUUAAUACCGCGCAUAAGGAGUGAUCCAUUUCCGAUAACGAAAAUCGUGCGUGGGGAAUGGUCCCAACGCUCGACGCGCAAGUGAAACCGUCGUGUGUCGAGUGAUGGAUCUUACAAGGUGGGUGGGAGGGGACGGGGGGGGGGGGGGGGGGGGGGGGGGGAAUAUUUAUAAUUUUAAUUAAGAAGGAUAGAUAUUGAAGAGAGGAAUGAGAAAUUAGAAUGAAAUCAAAACAUUAUAUGGUAGAUGAAACUUAACAUAAAUCAAAGCACAUAGAAACUAAAUAGAAGAGAGAGAGAGAGAGAGAGUUGGAUGAAUUCAUUUGUUGGUGGUGGAGGAUGAGUUGGCGGCGAUGCCGAAGUUGCCUGUGGAGAGAAAUUGGUUUUUGAGUGCGCUCCUCGACGCCGGAUAUUGAGAAGAAUAGGAAUAACCCGGAUAUGGAGUAGUACAUGGUUUCGAUUUCCGUUCGGCGCCGGACUUCAUUUUUUCUCCGUCUUUGUCUUUUGAUUUUUGCUUAUCGCUUCUCUCACUCAUCUUUUCCCCUUUCAUAAUAUUAUCUUCCACCUUCCAAAUAAUAAUAAUUGAGCUUGAGCCACCCACGCAUUUAUAACCUUAAUUUUACACGUGUCUUUUUCUUUUUACUCUUUUAAAUUUUCCAUAAAAUUACAUAUUCUAUAUACAGCUUACCUUCAUAAACCCUAUCUACUGUUGAAUCACUUUAUCUUUACUAUUUAGGAUAAUUUUCUAUAAUCAUAAAGGCAGAUGAAAUUUUAAUUUGGUUGCUAUGAUUCCAAAAAAAUAUAAU